AAAAAAAAGGAAAAAAACAAAAGUGUGUGAUCCUCUUUCUCGAGUCUUCACAUUUAGAGACACUGAACCCAAAUCAAAAUUAAUCCUUCAAAUUAAUUUUCACCUCCAAACAUAGCUAUCCGAAAAACCCUAACCUCUGCCUCCUCUUCCUCUUAUCCCGGAAACCUAAAUUCCGUGACCCUAACCCCUUCUCUUUCCGAAAACCCUCCGGAAUCGGAAAAUUCAUAAUUCUUCAGAAUUAAUUUUCACCUCGAAGCCAAACCCUAACUGCCUCAUCUUCCUCUCAUUCAUAUCCCAAAAGUAGCUUCAACAGUCAGGCCUGUAGCCAUGAAAGCCGUAGUGAUCACUACUUCCGGUGAUCCCCAAGUUCUCCAAGUGCAAGAAGUCGAAAACCCUGAAAUUGGAGAUGAUGAAGUUCUAAGUAGAGUGGACGCCGCUGCCAUUAACCGAACAGAUACGCUUCAGAGGAAGGGCUUGCACCCUUCCUCAAAGGCGGCAGUCCCUACCCGGGUCUCGAAUGUUCUGGAAUCAUCGAAGCUGUUGGAAAAGCCGUCGUUCGAUGGAAGGUUGGCGAUCAGGUAUUUCAAUUGCCUAAUAUUUUGAUUUCGUUUCUGUUCCUCUGUUUUUCUCGGCUAUCAAACACUAGGAACGUGUAAAUAAGGAGGUUAGUUGAUUGCGAAAACGGGAAUUUUUUGUUCGUGUCUGUGUUAAGGAGUCUUUGUUGAGAAUUUUGGGGAAAUUUAUGAUAAGUUUGUGAUUUUAUGAUUAAUUUUGUGUAUCAAUAUAGGUUAAAUUAUUGAGCUUAUUGGUUUUCAAAUUUAUGGUUGUAAGAAAAUUGGUCAGUGUAAGGUUAUGGGAUCAUUACCAAUUUGCUUACUGAAAAUUUUUCCAGAUAUUGUGGACCGGUUUGGUAGCAGAAAUAAGAACUGUGUUUUGUUUUUCAAAACGGAAAUGGAUGCAGAAAACAUGUUUUUCUUUCAGAACUUGUUUCCGAAAAUAUUUCCUGAAAAUGAAUUAUUUCAGAACUUGUUUUAAAAAAAUUCAAACACUUUAUCAAUUUAAAAGGUUCUGAAAUGGACAUGUUCAUGGUCUUCAUUUUUUAAAAUUAAAGCUUUUAUGAAAAAACCAUUUUCCCUUCUACUAAACAAACAGGCUCUAUAUUGUAACAGAUCGAUUGGCCAUUUCCUUUGUCAUGUUUUGUGAAUCAUGGCAACACUGGAAUCCACUCCAUUACCAUCUGUUAGUGAUUAGAAGACAAAGCACCAAUUUUAAUGAUAUCCUUUAUGUGAUUUUGCUUCCUCCUGAGUACAAGUUCAUAGUAUACAUGGUACAUGGUGAAUCUGUAUGACAGUUCAUGGUAUACAGGUGUGUGCUCUUCUUUCUGGUGGAGGGCAUGCUGAAAAAGUGGCUGUUCCAGCUGGGCAAGUUCUCCCUGUCCUAUCUGGUGUUUCUCUGAAGGAUGCUGCUGGAAUUCCUGAGGUUGCAUGUACUGUUUGGUCAACUGUUUUAAUGAUGAGCCGACUGUCUGCAGGAGAAACAUUCCUGGUGAAUUUUUUGUCUUUUUUAUUUUCUGAUGCCUGAUAUAUUUACCAGCACAAAUUUACCCUGUUGCUGUUUAAUGUGUGUGCAUCAAUAUUGGAUUAGGGAGGUAGAAGAGCCAUGGUUCUAAUUAAAUCAUUACAUCAUCAUAUUCUUAUUUAGAUACAUUGUAUCCCACAAUUUCAUUGCAUCCAAGGCUAUGUUGUUUUUUAUUGCACGGUUUGUGUCAUGGUAAUUUCUCAACCCUUCUCUGGAAAAUUAUGUUGGAUGGCUGCUAUUAAUUACCCCAAAAGAAGAAAUUUUAUGUUGAAGUAAGAUGAGUAGCACAAAGAGUUACUUGUGGUUGAUCCUAUCAUCAAAUGGGCGAUUGAUGCACAAUCCAAAUGGUAAAUUUUUUUCCCCCUUUAUCCAGAUGGAAUUUUUAUGCAUGGUUGAAUAGUGAAAUGAGGACUGAUAAUAUUUCAGGUUCAUGGGGGUUCAAUUGGAAUUGGUACCAUCUAUUCAAAUAGUGAAAUACUGAGGAGCAAGGGUAUUUGUUACAGCAGGUUUGCCAUCACUGUUCUACCUCAUCUCACAGAAUGCUUAUCUCAUGGCACCAAUUCCUUUUCUUCACAUGUUUUCAACCAUUUUUUCCACCCAGGAACGAGGAAAAAUUAGCUGUUUGUAAGGAUCAUUGAGCAGAUGUGUGCAUCAAUUACAAGACUGAAAACUUUGUUGCAUGGGUGAAGGAGGAAACAGGAGGGAAAGGUAUAAUCUAUUGUAUCUUAACGAUAAUUUCAAUUGAAGGUGGAAUUGCUUUUUAAUUUUUAGUGCACCAAAUCCACUAGUCUGGAAUGUUUGAAAAGAUAAAUAGUCAUCUUCCACUUGAUACCGAUUGUGAAGAUCUAACCCCAAAAAUGUUGAAUGACAGGUGUUGAUGUUAUACUGGAUAAUAUUGGAGGGGCCUACUUUUGGGGAGACAUCAAUGGUUUAAAUGUUGAUGGAAGGCUUUUUAUUAUUGGUUUUCAGGGUGGAACAGUGGUACAAGUAAAUCUUUCAGGUUUACUUGCAAGGCGCCUUACAGUGCAAGGUACCGCUUUCUCUGUAGUUUUGGAGUUGAAUCAAUUUGAUUAAUCUCAUCCAAGUUCAGAACUGAGGUGGAUUCUGGCAAGCCAAGGAAAAACCAAAUUACCAUAAAUUCUUUUUUUCUUGGAAAUCCUGUUUCUCAAUCUGGUCAGUAUAUGGAAAUUCCAAGGAAAAUAUGUUUUACAUUUUCCAUAAGGCUCAAUGGGUUUUAACUCCACUCAGCUACUUUAUGUCUUGUAUUUAAUAUUGCAAACCAAAAUAAUAAUACGUAGAGAUUGAGCUUGGAGGCCAAUCUAGCAAAUGUGGAGAUUAGAAAUAGUUUACCAUCUAGAUAGUCAAGCAUAGCAAUUUACCAAACCCUUACCAACCAUCCAUACUAACCAAUUGUGGUUAAAUGUUUACAAAAAUGUACAUUAAAUCAAAGAGAAAAAAGAUUAAAAACGAACAAGAGAGAAGAAGUACGUCACCUAAUUUUGGUAAUAAAUGAAAUUAAAAUAAAUUCAUAAAUUUUUUAAAUUAAAAUGAAUUUGAACUCUAGAGAUUUGUGUAGAUAUCUUAUUAAAAAACCAAAAAGUUUGUUGCAUAUAUAAUUUCAACAAUGCAUAAAUAAUUACAACAUACGCAAUACAAUAAUAUUACACAACUAUAUUUUCAAAUAUAGUAUAAGAUCAUUAAAGUGAUAAAUUGUAGUUGUAUAAAAUAUUUAUACAAGUAAAGAAGAAAUUAUGAGAUUGAAAUGCUUGUUGGAUUCUAAGUAAAAAGGAAAUGAGAUAUAGAGAUUGUCCCAUCAGACAUAGAAUUUCAUAUACAUAAUUUUCCCUUCAAGAAAAUUUAGGGUCAAAUUGAAAAAUUUUCAUUCAUAGAUUUUGGUAAAACCUCUAUCUAGUCCUCCAAAUCUUGUAUACAAAAGGAAAUAACAUUGGUAUGAGGGGUUUGAAUGCUUAAUUUUAGAUUGAAAAUGCUUGAGAUAAUUUUUGAUCGACUUCACAUGUGUUUUUGAUAAACUUGGAACAUUCAAACUUGUAUUUGAAGAAUCUUCAAAUCUUCAAUUUGAUCUUAAAUAAUGUUGAAACCUUCGAAAUUUGAAUAGAAGAAUCUUUAAGCAUUUGAAUUUUGGUUUAAAGAAUUUUGAAAUUUGAGAUUGAAGAAUCUUCAAAUUUGGGCCUGAAGAUCAAAGGCUAAGCUUGAAGAGUUCUUGAAGCUUGAGUGGUAUCUCCGAUUUUGUUUUGUAUUUCAUAAAAACUUUUAAGUAUACUAUAUUUAUAGGUUUGAAGAGACAUUGAGAUUUUGUAUACAUGUUUGGAGUUUUAAACCUUGAAAUAUUACUCUUUUAUGAAAUUAACAUUUAUAAAAUUUGGAAGAACAUAAUUAGAUAAUAUUCUAAGUUAUUUUUAAUGAAAAUUGAUAAUUACCUUUUAAUUAUCAAAUUCACUAUUUCUAUUUAUUUUUGUAAUAUAUAUUAAUUACUAAAAUCAUUUAUUUCCUUUAUUUAGUUUGAAAGCAAUUAUAUAUCUUUUGUUUGUGUAGAGCUCAUGUGACACGACAAAUUUUAUUUUGUAACUUGCUCUGGAUGAAUGGCCAUUAUAAACUUCAUUUUAUCCUCAUCUGAUUUUGAGGUGGGAAUAGGAGAGAUGAGGAUUUGACAUUUGGACCUAAGCCUCAGAGGGUUUUAACUCCACUCAACUACUUUAUGCCUUGUAUUUAAUAUUGCAAACCAAAAUAAUAACAGACAUGAUCCUUUUCAAAAUUUUUAUAAUAAUAGAAGUGUAAAUAAUAUAAGUAAAAAUAAUAUAAUAUUUUUUAAAAUGAUAAAAUAAUAGGUUAUAUAAAUUUUAAUAUAUAGGUAAAAUUAAUUAAAUUUUAACAAAUACCUUCACACUUAAACAUUACAUAUCUUUUAUUUAAUAAAAUGUUAAAAUAUUAAUAUAUUUAAAAUUGUAUAAUUAUUUUUUAUUUUAAUACUAUAUAAAUUAUAUAUUUAUGAUAUUACUGGUUCAACUAUAAUUCAAUCACUGAUCCAACCAUUGAACCAUGAAUUAGUAAAUUUUUUUAUUCAAUGAUAGGUUUGAUUCUAAAAAUAUUAUGACUAUGUUUGGUUCCAGAAAUUUUUUUUUGAUGGAUUACAUCAAUCUAGAUAAUGACAAAGAUAUUACCAAUUUGAUAUCACCAAUUGAUAACACAAUUAAAAAAUAAUAUGCAUUUUAACAUAUUUGAAUUCAUUGUACUCAUAUCCAUGACCUAAUUUUACACAUCCUUAAAUCAUGGUUGAUUUAUGAAACAAAUCUAUACCAUCAAUAGAAAAUAAAUAAAUAAAAUAAUACAAAAAAAUAUAUAGAUAGUCAAGCAUAGCAAUUUACCAAACCCUUAGCCACCAUCCAUACUAACCAAUUGUUGUUAAAUGUUUACAAAAAUAUACAUUAAAUCAAAGAGUAAAAAGAUUAAAAACGAACAAGAGAGAAGAAAUACAUCACCUAAUUUUUGUAAUAAAUGAAAUUAUAAUAAAUUCAUAAUUUUUUUAAAUUAAAAUAGAAAUUCAAAUACAUGUAACUAUUGUUUUUGUCUUGUAAAUCAUCCAAUUUUUCAAUGAAUUUAAACUCCACAUAUUUGUGUAGAUAUCUUAUUAAAAAAAACAAAAAGUUUUCACUAAAAUCAUAAAAUUUAGAUUAGAAAUGAUUUACUAUAUUAGUUCAAAAUUCAUCUCCACAAAAAUUGAAAUAAAUUAAUUAUCUUGAUCAAUUCAAAUAAAAUUUCUCCAAUUAAAUUUCCAAAUAUGUGCCUUAAUACCUAUAAUGGAAUUAGUAAUUUUAAUUAAAAAAUAAAUAAAAAUAAGGAUUUGAUCUUUUUCUUACCAUUUGAUGAAAAUUAUAAAAUAUACUAAAAUGACAAGUGAUCAGACAUUUGAAAUUUGCAUCAUUUCUACCAUUGCAAACACCACCAACUCCAUAUUUCCCAUUUUUCUACCUACUGCCAAUUCACUCAUCUCUCUGGGAAGAUUUUUGAGGUUAUCGCCAUGCUUGAGAUAAUCCAGAAAGUUGAGCGGCAUCACUCUCUGAAAGGUGCCUUACAGCAUGGGUAAUGUAUGGGAUACAUCUGAUAGCUUGCCAUAUCCAUAAACCACUAUAUUAAACCAUGGUUCAUAUCCCCAACGCCACACGAGAAUCUGUACUCAUCCCAAGCAGCUUGGAGAUCAUAAAAUUAGGUUUUGAGGGCCUCCCGAGACAUGCACAGCUUCACCUUUGUGCAUUCCUUUGAUUUGGAAAAUUUCUUCUGUAAAAUCCCCCAUUAUCAUGCCCUGAACCAAGACAAUUUCACAAUAUCCAAUAGCAUAUCAUUUACUUCCAUUUUGUCAAUGGGAAUUACCAUUUUGCAUGGGAAGCACCAACGGAGAUAGGGGUUUUCAAAUUGGAUCACUAGCAAAGAAACCCACCGCAACGAUCUGAAUAAUUGAGCACAACAUCCACUUUAGAGAACCCCUCCUGAAGGCGAAAUCGUCAUCUUGGCUAAACGUAGUCAUAGUUGGGUUGUGAGAAAUGGAGAUGAAUCACAGAAGGCUUUCAGUUUGAUAGCAACGAAAAGGUAAAUGUACUCUAGAGAAGUUUUGACCUUGGGAGAAGCGCUUUUGAAUCCAAGUCAAGGUCUGUUCUGGAUCCCUUUUCGACUCUCUCUAUUAAAGGAAGAUAAUCUGCCCAGGAUUUGGAUGCAAGCCUACAAGGCCAUGUUUAGGAGACUUAUGCAAAAUAUUUAUCCAUAGCUCCCCGCCUGAAACAUCUACAUAAAGCGUCUUCCAAGUGUGAACCAUCGUCUUGGGUCCUUGAGAUGAACAAAAACUGAGACAUGUCGUGAGUUAGAUGCAUUGCCUGAAAAUGCCGAGCAGUAGUAUGGCCUUCUUUCUGAUCAACUGUUUUGUCAAAUUCUAGAGCUCUCAUUCCAAAUCCAUCAGUUUUCUCAAAUGAUUGGCCAGUGGAGAUCCAUGGAUAUAACAUAUGAAAUGUGCACAAUAAAAGUAAUCAAACGGUUGGUUGGUUUGGCUGAAUCCCACAAUCGCAAAGACUUAUCAUAUGAAACUGUUACCAACUGAGUUGAAUUUGGCCUAAAAAGGAUAUCCGUUACUACAAACUAGCGUUCUUUCGUGGUGCUCUCUCUUUGCAGGCUAUCCAUGUUCCAAAGAAAAACUCUCUUGUCAUGUCUGGCACUGGGCACUGAUUAGAGUGUGGGACGUUCAUUCUCCAUUAUCACCAAACACAUGCAGGAUAUAUAUAUAUCAAUUCAUUCAAAAUAUGCCUUUAUUUUAUGGAACAUACCCGAAUCCAUUUUGUUUGUGUUGAAGAGGUAUAGAUCUUCUAAGGCUAUGGAGGGCACCACCUUUUCUCAGAAUUCUCUCUGACGAUGGGAAGCCGAAGAGAACGGGUUUUGUUUUUAUUUUGAAAACGUUGUUAUCCUUAAAGAACAAACACUAUUCUUUGGAUUUAUACCCUCCUACCUUAGGGACCAUACCGUUUGGCUACUGGGCCUCACGAGUCUUAGGCCCAUCAUCUAAGGCCCGUGAUGGCACUGGGCUCUACACAUAAGGUGGCCCAUACUCUAGAACGAAUAGAAAUCAUAUGUAUAUAUAUGGAUAGCUAAAUCCUGAAUAAUGGUUAAUAUGAUGUCGGUCCACAUUUAUUCUAUCAAUCUCCCACUUGGACCACAUAUAUUACAAAACAAUGUUCAUGAUAGUACUUUAUUGAGCUCAUCUUUGCUAUCCUAUCUUAAUAUCCUUAAACAAUCUGGUCUACUAGUUAUGCUAACAUAGGAUCAAAGUGGCCUUCAUUAAUCAUAAUUAUAACUAGACCCAUCAAUGAUCACAACAUUAACAAAAUUAGCAACAUAGAUCAAGUAUGGAUGUGUAGCAUGAAAAUUACAUAAAAUGUGAUCUUUAUUAUGUCUAUUUCCAAUUGGUCCUACUUUAUGACUAAAAAAUAGUCAAAUUCCACUUUCAACACUUGAUGCUAAACUGCUUCUGAAAGUCAUCAUUUCAAUUCAGAGAAUUCAAAUACAAUAGUCUUUAAAAUCAAGGUUUGUUGCGUACAUUAUUGGAAUGUUCAGCAAAUAUUUGAGUAACCCAAGUAUGGAUUACUGGAAAAAGGCAAAAUAGGUUAUGCGGUAUUUACAAAGAACUAAAGAUUAUAUGCUCACAUACCGUAGAUCCAGUCAUUUAGAGAUCAUGGGAUAUUCGGACUCCGAUUUCGCGGGAUGUCUUGACAACAAGAGAUCCACUUCAAGCUUCAUCUUCAUGUUGGCUAGAUGAACAGUUUCAUGGAAAAGUGUUAAACAAAUACUUAUUGCUUCUUUCACCAUGGAGGCAGAAUUCAUAGCCUACUACAAAGCAUCAAACCAUGGGAUAUGACUGCGGAAUUUUGUCACUCAGUUGCGAAUCGUUGAUGAGAUUGAGAAAUCAUUAAGAAUAAAUUGUGAUAAUAAAGCCAUAGAAUUGUAAUUCUAAGAACAACCGAAGUUCGUCAAAGUCCAAACACAUUGACAUCAAGUUCUUGGUUGUGAAAGAAAGAGUUUAGAGUCUUCAAGUAUCAAUUGAACAUACAAGCACAAACUCCAUGAUUGCGGAUCCGCUCACUAAGGGUUUGCCACCCAAAGUAUAUCAUGAGCAUGUCACACAUAUGGGUGUUGUACAUAUUGAUGAUGUUCCAGUAUAGUGGGAGUUUGUAUUUAGAUUUUGUGUUUGUUUUCUUGAUAUGAUGUUAUAUUGUGUUAUCGUGUACAAACUUGUGCAUACAUGAGACUUCCUAUUGUUGAGGCAUAGGGAAACCUCUUCAUAUCCUUCUUUUUAAGUUCAUUUUUCGGACAUUGGUGCAAACUAAAUUUAUCGCCUUUUGCUACAGGCAUGUCUCCUGGUGUACAAUUGCUCAUGCCAAAUCUACUCAACACCUUAUCGAUGUAGGCCUUUUGUGAUAACCCAAGUAUACCUCUUAAACGAUCCCUAUAGAUCUGUAUACCUAGCAAAAAAGAUGCAUUACCAAGAUCCUUCAUGUCAAAUUUACUAGACAAAAAUAGCUUAGUUUCAUGCAAAAGUCCCACAUCACUACUUGCAAGUAGAAUAUCAUCAACAUAUAGCACCAAGAUAAUGAAUUUGCUCCCACUAAACUUGAGAUAUAUGCAUUGAUCAAUGGUGUUUUCCUUAAAACCAAAUGAAGUAAUCACCUGAUUAAACUUUUGGUACCAUUGUCAAGAUGCUUGCUUUAAACCAUAUAUGGACCUUUUUAAUCUGCAUACAAGUUGCUUUAAAUCAUUAGACUCAAAGUUCUCCGGUUGCAUCAUGAAUAUUGUUUCAUCAAUGUUACCAUUAAGAAACGCAGUUUUAACGUCCAUUUGAUGCAACUCUAAAUCAUAAUGAGCCACAAGUGCCAUGAUGAUUCUAAAGGAGUCAUUUGACAAAACCGAUGAAAAAAUCUCCUUAUAAUCAAUGUCUUCCUUUUGAGUGAAACCUUUUGCGACUAGACGUGCCUUAUACCUAACAAUGUUGCCUUUUGAAUCCCACUUGGUCUUAAAAAUCCAUUUACAACCAAUCGAUUUUACACUUUCAGGCAACUUUACUAGGUCCCAAACACCAUUAUCUUUCAUUGAUUUCAUCUCAUCUUUUAUGGCUUCUAUCCACUUUUCAGAGUCAGAACUUUGUUUGACUUGACUAACUGAAAUUGGAUCAUCUUCCAAACCCAUGUCAAACUCUUGUUCCUGGAGAUGUACAACAUAAUCAUCUGAAAUUGUACUUCUCAUUUCUCUAGUGGAUCUCCUUAGUGGCACUUGUAUUUGAGGUUCUUGAGGCUGUUGAGUUACCUCUUCAUAAACUUGAACCGGUUCCAUAACUUGAGCAGGAGGAAUCUCAAGUGUGUUUUGAAUCUCUGUUAUUGAUUGUACAAUCUGGAUAGUGUCAUCAAACAUAAUAUGACCAUGUCCAGUCGUAAUAAUAGGAAUACUAACAGAUUCCUCUUCAAAUACCACAUUUCUUAACGGUUCUCUCCCAUUUAACUCAACAUCCUCAAUAAAUUUAGCUUUGCCCGUUUCAAAAAAGGAUCUAGUUGAGGGGUCAUAAAACUUGAAACCUCUCAACCUUUUAGAAUAUCCUACAAAGUAGCAGCUCACUAUUCUAGAGUCCAAUUUCUUUUCAUUUGGUUUUUAAGGCCUAUCUUCAGCUGGACAACCCUAGACAUGCAAGUGCCUAAUACUAGGUUUCUUGCUAGUUCAUAACUCAUAUGAGGUUUUGGCUACUGCUUUGCUUGAGACUCUAUUCAAAAUAUAAAUUGUUGUUUUGAUGGCUUCGCCCUAAAGUGAUUCUGGUAAGGUGGAAUGACUGAUCAUACUUCUUACCAUAUCCUUAAGAGUACGAUUUCGCCUAUCUGCUACACCAUUUUGGAUUGGAGUCCCCAGCAUGGUGUAUUGAGGAACGAUACCACACUCCAUCAAAUAUUUGGCGAACAGCCCUGGACGUUGUUCACUAGAUCCGUCAUAUCUACCAUAAUAUUCACCUCCACGGUCAGAUCUGACGACCUUUAUUUUCUUGCUUAGUUGGUUCUCAACUUUAGCUUUGAAAUUCUUGAACACAUCUAAUGAUUGAGACUUCUCAUGAAUCAAAUAAAGAUAGCCAUAGCGCGAGUAAUCGUCAAUGAAAGUGAUAAAAUAUUAUUGUCCAUUCCAAGAAGGGGUAGGAGAUGGACCACAAAUGUCCGUAUGUAUCAAUUCAAAGACGUCACUGCACUUGUUAACAUCAUUUUUUUUCUCAUAUUUGUUUGUUUACCCUUAAUAUACUCUAUACAGACUCGAAAGUAUAAGAAAUUAAGUGGAUCAAGAAUUCAUUCUGACACAAGCCUUUGAAUACGUUGAUUUGAAAUAUGACCCAAAUGCCUGUGCCAUAACAUCGAUGAAUUCUCAUUUGUUAAUUUCCGUUUAAUGUCAUAAUUACUUGAAUUCAAGGUUUCAUUUUCAUUAGUGGUCUUUAUGUUUAAUUUGUAUAAUUUGUCUGUUAGAUUACCUGUACCAAUAACAUUUGAAUUUAGAUAAAGACUAACCAUUCCAUUUCUAAAUGAACAAUAAUAUCCAAAGUACAUCCAGAGUCUAACUGUAAUCUAAAAAGACCAAUAGUCUUGACUGCAACCUUGUUGCCAUUUCCCGCAUAGAUGUAUCUUUCACCAUCAAUUGGCAUUCGGCUCCUUAGGCAACCCUACAUCGUGACACUUAUGUGAGUAGUUGCACCCGUAUCUAUCCACCAAGUGUCAGUAGGCACUACGACUAAAUUAAUUUAUGAACAAACAAAGUUGAGAAGUGUACCUUUCUUUUCACGCCAAGCAGCGUAUUUGGUACAUGUCUCUUCAUAUGACCAACCUUCUUGCAAAAGAAACAAGUCAUCUCCUUAUCUUGUUUCUUCUACACCUUUUGCAUUGAUGUCCCAAAAAUUGCAGUUUGUUUUUCUUUAUUGUCCCUUUUUCUUUUCUUGUUGGUACCAAAUCCCUGAGAUGUGGAAGCCAAGUGAGCACUUUCUAUCUUUUCUUGUUUCAAUCUCUCAUCCUUUUGUGCACAUUGAGCAAUAAGCUCAUUCAAAGUCCAUUUUUCUUUUUGUGUGUUGUAACUGAUUUGGAAUGGACUGAAUUGUGUAGGCAGAGAGAUCAAGACCAAGUGCACGAGUAUGUCUUCUGAAAACUCUAAUUUUAGUACCUUUAGUCUAGUCACAAGAUUAGACAUUUCCAUAAUAUACUCCCUUAUAUUCUCUUUCCCUUUGUACCGCAUAGAGACAAGCUUACUAAGAAUAGUGCUUGUCUCAACCUUUUCAUUUGUAGUGAAUCGGUUUGCUAUCUGGUCUAAGAAUGCCUUGGCUCGAGUUUUCUCAGGUAUUGCACUUCUUACAGCUUUUGGAAUUGAGUGCUUUGUUAUCAUUAGAGUCAUGCGAUUGGAUCGCUCCCAUUUUUCCAUAGUAGAACUUUGCUCAGCAGUGCUGGCACUAGUAAGAUCUGGAGGGCGAUCCUCUCUUAAUGCAUAGUCUAAAUCCAUGCACCCGAGCACAAUUAUAGCGUGUUUCUUCCAUUUCUUGAAGUUUGUGCCAUUAAGUGCAGGAAUGUUAUUAACAUUUGCAGAUAUAGAAUAUGUUGAAUUCAUAAUAAUAAAGCUCACAAUCAGUCACAUAAAUAUCAUACAUACAUGAAAAAUAACAUCAUACAAGAUACUUAGCACAAACAUUAAUAUUCUGUCUUUGGACAAUAAAUAUUAACUUGUAAUUGGUAUCCUUAUUCAAAAUUAUUCAUAAAUAUUGACAAUAAAACCAAAAACAAUAUGCUUGUCUUUAGACUAACAUAUCGAAUGCAAGAUAAACUUUAUAUGUCACAUAUUUAUGACUACUUUAUUUAUUAUUAUAUUAAAAUAAUCUUCCUUUGGGCCAAUUAUUUUAAAUAAUAAUAAUAACAUGUUUAGAUAUUAUAAAAUAAAUAAAUUAUAUAAUAUAAGUUACUUUGACAACUAACAUACAUAAUUCAUUUAUUUUAAAAUAUUAAACACAAACAUAACAAGAAAUAAUAAAUUCAAUUAAAAUUAUUUAUUUAUUUAUGCAUAAACCCAUGUAUAUAUAUAUAUAUAUAUAUUAAUUGAAGCAUAAAAAACCAUCUACAUGUGUAUAUAUAUCAAUUGAAGCAUAUAUACAAGCUUUAGUCUAAUGGUUUAAGCAAAAAAUAGGCCAUGGUAAAGGGUUUAAGCCAACCCGCCCCUUUAGUUUGGUUUUUGUUUUUUUUUUUUUGUUUUAAUUUCUUUUGGGCUACUGACCAUGCAUUCUCUCAUGGCCCAACGACCACUUAUGGUCACUUACAAGCCAAGCCCCUUCCAUAUAUAUAUAUAUAUAUAUAUGUUUUUAUUUAUUUAUUUAAAUUUUGUCCAUUGCAGCCCAAAGCGACCAUCCCUUGUAAUGGCAUCAUCAACGGUGCCAGAGCUGUCCUCGAACGACACCGAUAGUGAAACGCUGCCACCAUCACCGGAACGGUGAUUUCCCAUCGCCAAACGACGGUGUCACUACCGGAAUGAUGCUGUAACAGCAUCGCUGGGAAGCAACCUAACUUGUGGCGUGACACCAUGACAAGCAAUGCCACUAGCAGUGAAACGCUGUCGCCAUCACCGAAACGGUGAUUUUCCAUUGCCAAACAAUGGCGCCACCACCGGAACAACGUUGAAACAACAUCACUGGGAAGCAGCCCUACCCGUGGCACCAAAAUGGCGCUUGGAUGGCAUUUGGAACACUUGCAACAACGUUCAAAUCAGCGCUUCUCACUGGCAAAUGACGCUUGAACGACAUCUGGAAAUAAUGCCUACAACGCCUAAAAAUUGUGCUAUUUUGAACUCUUAAAACAACGUUGAAAUGACGUCUACCAAAGUCUGGAAUUGCACCGCUGUCUAGAACGAUGCCAUGAUGGUGUCUCACUCGCCUUAAAUGGCACCAACCACCAUGACUUGCAACCUAAAAAAUGGCACUUGAACAGCGCCUGAAGCGUGCCUGGAACGACGCUACAAACGAUGCCUGAAAUGGUGCCUUUUGUAUGCCUGAAAACGACAUAGGAAUGACGCUUAAACUACGUCCAUUUUGAACGCCUGAACGGUGUCCUAACGGCGCCUGAAACGAUGCCUGAAUGACGCCUGGAAUUGGCCCAGAUUUAUUUUAUGUUGUUUCCUUCCUCUUGGAUCUUUUGUUUGUGUUUUAAAAAAAAAAAUGUUUUGGUGAAAAUGGGAAAUGCAACCAGGCUCUGAUACCAUUUUGUGGGACGUUCAUUCUCCAUUAUCAUCGAACACAUGCAAGAUAUAUUUAUAUAUAUCUAUCAAUUCAUUCAAAAUAUGCCUUCAUUUUAUGGAACAUACCCGAAUCCAUUUUGUUUGUGUUGAAGAGGUACAGAUCUUCUAAGGCUAUGGGGGGUACCACCUUUUCUUAGAAUUCUCUAUGACGAUGGGAAGCCAGAGAGAACAAGUUCUAUUUUUAUUUUGAAAACGUUGUUAUCCUUAAAGAACAAACACUAUUAUUUGGAUUUAUACUCUCCUACCUUAGGGACCAUACCCUUUGGCUAUUGGGCCUCACGAGUCUUAGGCCCAUCAUCUAAGGCUCGUUAUAGCACUAGGCUCUACACAUAAGGUGGCCCAUACUCUGGAAAGAAUAGAAAUCAUAUGUAUAUAUAUGGAUAGCUAAAUCAUGAACAAUGGUUAAUAUGAUGUCGGUUCACAUUUAUUAUAUCAUAGAGACUUCCCAUAUGAAGAAAAUCGACAGCAGGUAGCUUUGCCAUUCUUAGUCUGUAUACAACCAACCUUAGCAAGGAUUGAACCCUUUUAUGCUUAGUUGUGCCAUAAAGAUCCUUACCACUGCCUAUAACAUGUAAUCAAAAUGAUUCGAUAAUAUCAUCUAGUGAACCAAUACCUCCAAAUGAGAGACCAUUGCCUUGGUAACUAGGGCUCAUGACUGAGAAUUGCUUGAACCCCUUUGCUUGGGUUGGAGCUUGACUGAUGCACAAAAUAUUCAUAGGCCUCUUCCCAUAACUGGCACCUUGUGUUUGCAACAUAAUUGAACAUGUAUUGAAGUGAGUUUUUUUGCAUCUUUUUGUAAGAAAAUUCUAAACAACAGAGAUUGCUUAGUGUGCCCGGCUCCUCGGGGAAUCAAGGUUCAUUCCUGUAGGGCCAAUUUUUUCACAGUCGAACUAGAUAACAUGGAGAGUAUGUUGCAAUGCUUCAACGGGGUAUUUCUUAGGAAAAUCCACCUGAAGCUAGUACAAUUCGUUGGCGUACUGAGUUCCUGGAGCUCUAUUGACUUCAAUCACCCAUCUUUGUAGAUUAUCGGUGACUUAUGCUCGGAUCCUGUAGGAGGAUUGACCUGACAUUCCACUAGCUCUUUCUGGAAGGCGAUCUUGUUUAACACCUUGUGAGAAGAGGCAAGGGAACUGGUCAUUGUUUCUUCGAGAAGAUCAGUGGCCGAGGAUGGGUUUGGAUCAGAAUUGCUAUAUGGGUUUUCUUUGGGUGAACCAAUUAGUGAAGUGGGUGGCUAUAUAGCAACUGAAGGGUAGUCAUACUAACGAGGAACUAUUAUUUCAUGCAUGUGGAGAGGAAAUGAGUAGAUUCUUCAGGGAUAUAUGAUUAUUCAUCUCUAGCUUACGUUGAAUAUCUCCUAACAAAUUUAUGCUUUGAAGCUCCCUUAGUUUCAUUACAGCUAACUUGGCCAACUUGGUUUCAUCAUGUUUCCUACAACCUCUAAGCAAAGCACGCCAGAUCACCAAAUCAGGUUCUAUUCGCAUUUUGUCCAUAAACUCCUUUGCCUAUUGACAAUAGACUGCCCCUCAAAAUUUGAUGAGAUAACAUCAACGCUGACAGGUUGGCCAUCCCCAUAAGCAUCUUUAUAGAGAUUGAUUCUAUGUUUAGAUAUUUCUCUCUCCUCAAGUGAGUUCAAUUUUUUUGUAACAUCCUUCUCCUUCUCUACUAAUAGUCUUAGCUGAACAUCCAACCUAUGUUCCUAAAGUGCCAGCAUCUCAUAUCUGAUGACAAGCCAACAACCUUGCCCUUGCUGAGACCAAUGUUUUUAAGGCGUUUGUGGGGCGCGCCUUGAGGCGAGGCGCAGCGAAAACGUGUUGAGGCGUUAAAAAUAAAAUGAAACACCUGAAAGGCGUACGCUUUUCCGAUGAGGCGUGAUUGAGGCGUGCUUUGAUCGCGCCUUUCACACUCCAAGAAGAAGGUGUAUGCUUCCUCGGAUCUGAUGUGGCAAUGAACAGAGAUUUAAAAAAAAACCCUAAGUAAUCCCUAAAACCCUAGUCCCGACUGAAAACAAACCCAAAACGAAACCCUACCUCCAACGACUCAAGUGGCGACGGAGUGCUCACCCUCGGCUGCGACCAAUCGCAAUGCAUCUUCUCCGGCGACGAUCCCUCUCAUUCAUCUCCAGGUAUGUUGCGAACUCCUUCUUCCAUGGUUUCUCCCUCUUCGUUUCUCUUUCUGCAAUCCACACGGGCUUCGUCGACUCUUCAUCCAAAUUUUUUUUUUAUCAAAUCAGUUAUGUAUAUCUAUUUAAAUUUUAAACCCUUUUUUCUCUCUCUUACAGUAUAUCUAUUUAAAUUCUUUCUCGGCAAUCCACAGCCCACACUUCCAGUCCACACUUUUCUCUCUCUCCCAAUAGGCUUUUCAUUUUCCUUUUUUUUUUUUUUUUUUUUUUAAAUUAUCAAAUCAAAUGUGCCUUUUGUUAAUAAGAUUUUUUUUGAAGUUUUUUAUAUGUUUGCUUAUAGUAUCAACAAAAAAAUAUAAUUAAAAUUAUAUAAAAGACAAUUAUUUGUGAAUUUUGAAUUUUUUAUUUCUGGUUUAAUUUUAAUUUUCACCUCAAUUUUCUUUAUUUCAUUAUUAAAUUCCAAUUAAAAUUUAUGUGUAUAAUUUUUAAACUCUUUUAAAAAAAAUUGGUUUUUUUUUAAUUUAAACCAAUUAAAUUUUGUAUUUCAUUUUUAAAUUUCUUUCAAUUGUGCUUUGUUAUUAUUUUUUUAGUCAAUUAUAUUGUUAUAUGGAAAUUUGAAUAUUAUUAUUGGUGAUUUUUUUUAGAAUGAGUUCCUCUGAUUCAAAAAAUUCAAGAAAGGAUUUUGUGUGGAAGUAUGUGAUGGAAGUUUCUAGAGAGCAAUAUUUAAUAUGUAAAUUUUGCAAUCAAAGAUGUACGGGAAGGGUGAAUAGACUAAAACAUCACUUAGCCGGAACUCAUCAUGGUAUGAAACCAUGCAACAAAGUUAGUGAAGAUGCUAGAUUGGAAUGUAAAGAGGUAUUGGCUAAUUUUAAGGAUCAAAAAACGAAGAGAAAUGAAUUGCUCCAAGAAAUUGGUAUGGGUCCAACUUCAAUGCAUGAAAGUGCCUUGUCUAAAAUAAUAGGGACAUUAGGGAGUGGGAGUGGGAGUGUAAGUGGGAGUGGGGAACCUAUUCCUAGGGGACCCAUGGAUAAAUUUACCACUUCACAACCUAGACAAAGUACUUUGAAUUCAUAGUGGAAGCAAGAAGAAAGGAAGGAAGUGUGUAGAAAAAUUGGUAGGUUUAUGUAUUCAAAAGGUCUCCCAUUCAACACUGUGAAUGAUCCUUAUUGGUUUCCUAUGAUAGAUGUUGUUGCAAACUUUGGGCCCGGGUUUAAGCCUCCAUCUAUGCAUGAAUUGAGGACAUGGAUUCUUAAAGAAGAGGUGAAUGACCUAAGUAUCAUUAUGGAAGAUCACAAAAAAGCUUGGAAACAAUAUGGAUGUUUAAUUAUGUCAGAUGGUUGGACAGAUGGAAAAAGUAGGUGUCUUAUCAAUUUUUUGGUGAAUAGUCCUGCUGGAACUUGGUUUAUGAAAUCAAUUGAUGCUUCUGAUACAAUAAAAAAUGGGGAAUUGAUGUUCAAAUAUCUUGAUGAGGUGGUUGAAGAAAUUGGAGAGGAGAAUGUUGUGCAAGUCAUCACUGAUAAUGCCUCUAAUUAUGUGAAUGCUGGAAUGAGGCUUAUGGAAAAAAAGAGUAGAUUGUGGUGGACUCCUUGUGCUGCUCAUUGCAUUGAUUUGAUGUUAGAGGAUAUUGGAAAGCUAAAUGUUCAUGCUACUACACUUUCUCGAGCUAGGCAAGUUGUGAAGUUUAUAUAUGGGCAUACUUGGGUUCUUAGCUUGAUGAGAACAUUUACAAAAAAUCAUGAACUUAUUCGUCCAGCAAUUACACGGUUUGCUACUGCAUUUCUUACUCUCCAAAGUCUUUAUAAGCAAAAGCAAGCUCUUAUAGCAAUGUUCUCCUCAGAAAAAUGGUGUUCAAGCACAUGGGCUAAAAAGGUAGAAGGUGUGAAAACUCGAAGUACAGUGUUGUUUGAUCCAAAUUUUUGGCUUCAUGUUGCUUUUUGCAUAAAGACCACUGUUCCAUUAGUUAGUGUCUUGAGAGAGGUUGAUUCAGAGGAAAGACCAGCCAUGUGUUAUAUUUAUGAGUUGAUGGAUUUAGUUAAGAAGAAGAUUGCAUUUAAUUGUCGGGGCAUGGAGAGAAAAUAUGACCCAAUUUGGAGAAAAAUUGAUGCAAGAUGGACUCCGCAACUUCAUCGACCUUUACAUGCAGCAGACUAUUAUCUUAAUCCUCAAUUGCGGUAUGGAGAUAAGUUCUCUAAUGUUGAUGAGGUGAGGAAGGGAUUAUUUGAAUGCAUGGAUAGAAUGUUGGAUUAUCAAGAACGUUUAAAAGCUGACAUUCAGUUGGACUCAUAUGACCAAGCAAUGGGUGAAUUUGGGAGUCGUAUUGCAAUUGAUUCUCGAACAUUAAGAAGUCCUACAAGUUGGUGGAUGCGUUUUGGGGGUUCAACACCGGAGUUGCAAAAGUUUGCUAUUCGAGUCCUUAGCCUUACUUGUAGUGCUUCGGGAUGUGAAAGAAAUUGGAGCACAUUUGAAUCGGUAAUACUUCUAUUUUUGUAAAUUUUUAUACAUAUAUUUCUAUUUCAAUGUUAGAGAACUUUAUUUCAUUUUAACACAUAAAAUUGUUUCUUUUAUUAUUUGUAGAUCCAUACAAAAAAAAGAAAUAGACUUGAACAUCAAAAGUUGAAUGCUCUAGUGUAUGUAAGGUACAACACUAGAUUGAGAGAGUGAAGUCUACAAAGGAAACAAAAUGUUGAUCCAACCUUGGUAGAGGAGAUUGAUUCUGAUGAUGAAUGGAUUGCGGAGAAAGAAGAUCUCCUCCUCCCCCUUGAUCUUUGUUGGCUUCAAGAUAAUGAAUUAUUCAAUGUUGAUGCCAUUAGAGUUGUGUCAUCCAACUCCCAAGAGACGCAAGCAUCAUCGGAUCAUAUGGUUUCUUCACAUUCCUACAAAAGGAAACAUAAUGAAGUACCAAGUAAGUACUCAAAAAUUGAAAUCAUAAAUUUGAUUAAAUUUAAUAAAAAAAACUUUUAAUAUUUAAACAUAAUUAAUACUUUAUGCUAGGUACAAGUGGAGGCAAAGGCAAAGAGAAGGAAUUGAAUUUGACACCAAUUGAUGAAGAUGAAGAUUUAGAUGAAAUGGGGAUACAUGAUAGUGGACAUUUUCCUACUAUUGAUACAUUGGAUGAGGAUGAUGAUGACCUUGGAGAGGAGGAUUUAAGUUGAAACAAUUUACUCUAGUUGUUAUUUCAUGACUUAGUUAUGGAUUUUUUGUAAAAGUUUAGAACUAUUAUUAUGGUUGACUCUAUUUUCUAUUUCAUGACUUAGUUAUGGCUUUUUGUUAAAGUUUGAAACUAUUAGUAUAGUUGAAUCUAUAAUCUAUUUUAUGAAUUUGUUAUGGUUUUUUGUGAAAGUAAGGAACUAGUAUGUUUUUUUUUAUGAUUCUAAUGAAUUGUUUUCAUGUUUUUAUUUAUGCUAUUUUAUUUUAUAUAUUUUAAAAUAUUAAUUAAUUAUAUAAUGUGAGGCUCAAAAAGCUUACGCCUCAAUGCCUCGAGGCUUACGCCUCGCCUCACGAACACAAAAACGCCUCGCCUUACGCUUUCGCCUUUAAAAACUUUGGCUGAGACCCAAAUAAGUAUCCAGAACCAUCAUCAUCAACCCUUUCACAAGCCUUUGUAUUUGAAGGUCAGAUUGGGAUUGCUUUGAAUGCACUGACACUGACACUGCAAUACACAAUUGUUUCUUCUCCAAUAAAAACACCACAAAGAGGUGAGGGGACUGGUAUUAGCAAAGAAGUGUUGUUAUCUAUAUUGUUCUGAGCCCGAGUACCAAAAACAAAAUCCUCAUCCUCAUCUAUACUCUUCCAUUACAUCCCUAGGCUUUUCAAUGUGAUCCACAUGGCUUACAGGAAUCCAGAAAUAUCGGUCUGUAUAAAAGUUGCUCUUAUGUGGCUCUCCUAGAAAACAUCCCAAUCAAGAUGAUCAACCUAGCUUAGAUGCUCAACACCCCAAACUUACGAGAAAUAGAGGAAUAAAAAGCAAGGAUAGGAGCCAAAGUAAAAACUGAGGGAAGAGCAAAUAGGAAAUCAAGCAAAACAUGAAUGUACAGAGCCUCAUUUCAGGUGACAUCUUUGGGCUAAUAAUAGGUGGAAUUAACAAAGUAGAUAAGCAUGAUUGUUAUAAAUAUCAAGUUCAAGGAUGAAGUCGUGCAUCAGCUACUUAUAGGGGGAGUCAAGGAAACCAAGAUAAGAUCAAAGAGAGCAUGUAUGCAAAUAAACAGAUUUGACAAAAUAGACCAAACAGCUUGUGAAUAUCCUCCUACAAAAAACUACUACACGUGGCAAAAAGUGAUGAAGCAAAAAGAGUCGGGUCCGCAUAUACAUAUCCUAUGCUAUCCUAUUCCUUCAAAUCCAAAGCAACCUGUAUUUUCAAUGGGAUUUGUUGUGAUGAAUUUUACUGGAUUGUAACAUGUAAAUAUGUUAAAAAAGGCUUGGGACAUUCCUAUAUAGUAACGCAUAAAGGUACUUCCAUUGUGAAGUUGUCAAAAUUGCAAAUUUAAAUUACAAAAUUUGAAAACAUAGAGAUGAAAGAUGAUGAAACCUUCUUUGAAAUUUUAUAUUGAACUCAUUAAUAUUAUUAAUUUUCAUUUCAGUCUAAGGGAAAGAAUUCUUUACUCUAAAGUGGUCACAAAAAUAUUAAAAUUCCUUGUCGAGAGAUUUAGAUCUAAAGUGAUCAAUAUAGAAGAAAGUAAAAAUAUUCUAAGUGUAGGUAAACUUGUAGACUCAAAUGACUCUACCUUCUCAUAAAAAAUCCUCAAUUUUAUAAAUUAUAUAGAUUUCUUCAUUUGAUACAAAAUUUGAAUAAAGAUUUUUCAAAUGACAACACAAGGAAAGGGAAAAAAAAAAUCUAUCCAGAUCAUAUUAUUUAAUCACUUAAAUUAUUUAAAAAUAAAAAUGUUUACUGCUAACAUUAUUUAGGUUCAUCUUUCUUUUGAUGGAGGUUAAAAUUCAUAAUUUUGAGGAAAAAGAUGAGGAUUCUCAUUUUUUUUUUCCAUGUAUGAAUGGGAUUCUCAUUGUGUAUAUGUGGGUUACUAAAUGGCAAAUUUGGGGGCCAAUAUGAGGGAAAAAAUGAAGUUGAGUUUGUCACCAAGAAUAGACAUGGUUCCUACAAAGGUGGCAUCUUUAAUUUCAUGUUUGGAUUGGACUUGUCAUGUAACAACUUAACAAGUGAAAUCCCUCAUGAACUUGGAAUGUUAAGUUUGAUUCAUGCAUUGAACUUGUCUCGUAAUCAACUAAAAGGCUCCAUUUCAAAGAGUUUUUGCAAUCUUUCUCAAAUAGAGAGCUUAGACCUUUUUAAUAAUAAACUAAGUGGAAAAAUUCCUCCAAAAUUGGUUAGACUAAACUUUUUAGCAGUGUUCAAUGUUAGCAUAUUCGGAAGAGUUUUAGAUAUGAAUGCAUAAUUUGCAAAAUUUGAUGAAAGUAACUAUGAAGCUAAUCCUUUCCUUUGUGGACCACCAUUAAACAGAAAAUGUAGCAUAAAUGUUGUUGAACCACCUUACCAACCAUUAGAGUCUUCAGAAGAAAGUGAUGCAAAAUGGUAUAAUAUCAAUCUUGUUAUUUUCUUUGCAAAUUUUACUACAUCAUAUAUCAUGAUAUUAUUAGGAAUUUCAACCAUUCUUUACAUUAACCCUUAUUGGUGUCAAAUAUGGUUCAAUUUUAUCGAGAAAUAUAUAUACUUUUGCUAUUAUUUUGUUUCCUAUACUCUUUCCAAGUUAUUAACAUAUUUUGAAUAAUUAGAGAUUUUUGUUUUCAAUAAUAUUUACAUAAUUAACUACUAUUGGUUUCCAUGACAUGGAAAGAAAUGCGGUGAAGGCAACAACCACUUUUUUUUCUCCUCUACUAGUGCAUGAUUGAUAUGAGUUAAAACUUGCACCCUUAUCUUUACUUAAAUUUUCUCAGCUUUUGUUUCAAUUCUUAAUUAUCAUUUCUUUUAUGUAUUGUUUAAUACAAUAUCCUAAACACAUUGCUUUGAAGGUUACUUAUUUAUUAAGCAUGAUAUUUAUUUUCAUAAAGACAAAUUCAAGUUUUUUAGGAAUUUUUAGAAUUAUUAUAAUUUGGAGUUCACAUUAGAGGAAAAAAAGGAAAGAAAAGAAUAGAUAAUUAAAAAAACAAUUUUAGUAAGUAUAAUUUGUCAUCUUCGGUAUAACAAAUGGGAAUUCCAAAAUAAUAUUUCAAUUUGUUAGUCUAUUCCUUAUAAUAUUAAUUGAAAUAUCAAAUAAGGAGUCACGUUUUGAUUUUUUUAUUAGCUUGAAUUGCAUGUCACAUAUAUUUUAAAAUCAAGCAUACCUCAGCAGGGAAGUUCUUGUAACAUGCAUGAACAUGAUAUGAUGAAUUAAAUAAUUUUCUUAAUUGUGUGAGACACAAACCCUCUUUGUUUAAUAAUAAUAAUAAUAAUAAUAAUAUACUACACAUUAUUAAAUCAUAUAUGUAUAUUUAUAGUCGUAUAAUAUAUUUAUAUAAGUAACAAUAAAUUAUAUUGUAUAAGGUAUCGGUAGGAGUUUUCAAUUCCCUCAUAUAAUAAUAUCUAUCAAUAAUUGGAUUGGACACCUUGCUGGCCAUGAGAAUGGACUUGACAUUAACACAUAGCCUUGAGUGGUGUUGAUAUUAUUACUUUGAACCAGAACUGCAGUCAUCUCAAAAACUAUAUUAUAUAGAAAAGCAAAAUAAAAACAUUAGUUAAAAAAAAUGUCAAGAUCCUUGAAAUCACGUUUCAAUAUGUUAAAUUACCAUUUUUUUAAAUAAAUUUUUGAUAGGUUGUGUGAAUAAAUAUAAUUGCUAUGAAGGGUUUCAAUUUAAUUUUACUAGCAAAUCCAUAAUAGGUGAAAAGACAAAACUACCAUUUUUGUUUUUUUUCUUUAUUUACCUUUUUUCUCUCGUAACCUUACUCCUUUCUCCUUUUUGUUUUUUCCUUUUUUAUUAUUAAUUUGUCUUUUUCCUUUUUCUCAACUAACUAUUUUUUUUCUUGUAAUUGUUAUUAUCAUUCUUAUUAUAAAUAUUAUAACCUUAUAUUAUAAAUUUUUAGUUUAGAUUAUAUUUAAACUAACUAAUGUUGUGGUUUUAAUUGACAUGGAAAAGAAUGUGGUUAUACAUGUGAUUGUCGCCUUUUUUUUUUUCAAUUAGUUAACUAUUGAUACAAGUUAAAAGUAAAAAUUGCAAUAUUAUCUUUACGUCAAUUUCACCGAUCUUUUGUUUUUAUUUUCAUGUAUCAUUCCUUUUUUGGUUAUUUAAUUAAAAGGAUUAAAAAAAAAUCACAUAUUCACAAUAAUAACCUUCAUAUUUUAAAAACAUAAAAUAAACAUUUUUUUUUUUUUAUAAAAAUACCCUCCAACUAUAUUUUUUAUAUCCCUAUUUCAAAUCCAAACACUUCUUUUAAAAAUAAUAAUAAUAAAUAAGGGCAAAAAUGUCAAACUGGGAUUAUAUUUAUAAUUUUCAAUAAUUAGAGGUUGUUUUUCCAAUGUAAAAAUUAUUUUGUUCCUUUGGCACAAAUAUUUCUUUCUUUUAUGUAUUUUUUUUAUUCAAAAUAUUAAACACAUUACCCUCAAGGUUACUAUUUAUUAUGAAUGGUGUUUACUUUACAUAACGAGAUAUUCAAAUUUUUUAGAAUUUUUUAAUGUUAAAAUAAUUUGGAGCUUAAUAGGGAAAAAAAAGAAGAAAGAAUAGAUAAUUAGAAAAGCAAUUCAAAAAAAUAAAAUUUAUCCUCUUAAAUUGGUUUUGUGUAAUACUAUAGAAGCCAUUUCUUGAGUUUGAUAUGGUAGAAUUUGGAUUCAUAUUUAUUUUAAAAUCAAGAAAUUCAAGUGUUGGUAGCAUCAAUAGAAUCUUAACAAAUUUGAAAAAAAAUAUUUAGGUAGAUCACAUUUAAAUAUAGCUAAUAGAAUAAAAAAUUAGUAUUAUUAGAAAGACAUGAUCAAUUAAAUCUUUUUUCUUAUCUAUGACACCGACUUUAUUUUUUUACAUAGUCAAUACAAUUUAUUACAACUUAUAUGUCAUUAAAUUAUAUACGUUUAUAUUAAAUAUAAUAUAAGACCAUUAAUGGAAUAAUUAUGCAAGUAAUAUAAAUUGUAUAUAAUAUAAAAAAUUUAAACUCCAUCAAACUAAUGGAAUCUAUUAUAAUAAGUAGACUAGACACCAUGUUGGCCCGAGUUGCAGGCCUGGGCCAGAUUUUAAAGGCUGGGCUUUGAGUUGCCCGUGGGCCUGAGCCAAGGCCUUCUCUUGGUAUCAUCAUUUUGAAGAAAUAAAUUGCUGAUACAGAGAAAAAAACUAUACUAAAUAGAAAAAUAAAUAAAAGCAUUGACUAAAAUGAAGGUCAAGGUCCUUGAAAAAUAAUCUUUAAAUUGUUGCAUAUAUAAUUUCAAUAAUGCAUAAAUAAUUGCAAUAUAUAUGAUAUGAUAAAGAAUUUGGAAUUAAAAGAAGAUUGAUCUAUUUUAAAUGUGGUUGGAAUAUUUCUAAAUUUGUGAUGGGAAGUUAGACAGCCAAUUAGGGAUCCAUAUUAUUUAUUUUCAAUGAUAUGAAUUUAUUUACUUUUAUUAAUAUUCUUAAUGCAACAAUAUAAAAUAUGUCAAUUUUCUAAAAUUUAAAAAGUAAUUGUAAAAGAAUUUUUUUUAAUUAUUUUUCUGAAAUUGAGUUUAUUAUAACAUUUUUCUUUACAUAAAUUUCUUUUUUAUUUUUAUUUUUUUUAAAAUGAGAUAUGAAAAAAAGAGAUCAAUAUUAGUACAAGUAAAACCCAAUAUAUAUAUAAAAAAAAUGAAUAAAUGUUUAUGAAAUAUUUUUUCUCUUUUAAUUCCUAUUCAAUUCAUUACACAAAAUAUUUUUGGUUUUUAUGCUAAAAUUUAUUGUUUAUUCAAAAAUUCUAGUAUACCUAGCUAUCAUAGAAGAGCCCCAAAAUUUUAUUGUUUAAGAGAAUAUGUGUUGCCACUUUAAAAGAUUUAUAUGCAAAAGGGAUUGAUAUUUUUUUCCUUUGGAUAUAUUUAGUUCCCGGAAAAUUUGAGGGAAAAUGUGAGGGAAGAAAAAUAGAGAAGAAAAGUAUAACGAAAUAAAAAGUGAAGGAAAAUGAAAAAUAGAUUUAAAGUUAAUAAAUUAUUUUCAUUGGUUUUUUCAAACUUAUUUUACUUAUUUUAUUCUAUUAAAUAAAGAUUAGCUAAUUUUAAUUAUAUUUGGUUUGAUUUUUAUUAUUUUUCAAAGCAAAACCAAAUAUGAAAAAAAAAACAUUUUUUUUGUUCAUUUUUUCUUUCCUUAUUACUUUUCAAAACUCAAACAUAGCUUUUAGAUUUGGAGCAUGGAAAGAUAAGAGUAUUGAAUAAAGGUUCUAUAUAUGCCCAUGCCCAUGAUACCAUUGAAAAAAAUGGAGAAAGGGUGAAACUUUUUCUCUUCAAUGGAAAUCAAAUAUAAUUAUUUUUAUCUUGUAGUAAUUGAAUGUUAUACUCCAUAAACUCAAAAUUAAAAUAAAUAAAAAAUUUAAAAACUAGGACAAUCCCAUUUUUUUUUUCAAUUUCUUAAAAAGAAAUUAAAUUACAUUUAUUUAUAUCUAUUUUCAUCCCUACCCAAAAAAAUAAAAAAAAAAUUAACAAGGUGGGACAUGUAUGAGAAAUUCUCACACUAACUCUCUCUAGUUUAUUUUUUAUUUUUUAAAAAAAAUCAAUUUCUUUUAAAAAAAUUAAACUAUAUAAAAAAUAAAUAUAAUUUAAAAUAAAAUAAUUUAACAAUUUUUUUUUUAAGAAAAGUAAAUUUCUUAUUUUAUAUAUGUUAAAAAUAAAUAUAAUCUUUUAUUUUUUUAUAUAUAUAAUCGGGUAAGGUAGAGUGGGACAAAGAAAUAAUCCCCUUCGAUUCCAAUAUGAAUUUUUAAAAUAUAAAAUAAAAAUCUUAAACUCAUCCCUAAUCCAUUUAUUUUUAAUCCUAAACUCGUCUUAUUAAGAAUAAGGCAAAGUGAGUACAUGAAAACACUUCUUUUAUCAUCAUCUCUACAAGUUCUAAUGUUUAGACUGCAAUCCAUAUCAAAGAUUUAUAAAGAAAGGACAACGAUGAAUUUCAUAAACAUUUGAAAGCAUAUACGUACAAAGUUUUAAAUAAUAUUGCUUGAGGUGCAAAUAUUAUUUGGCGCACAUAUUGAGGGACUUCAACUUGUUUUUUACAUUAGUAAGUAAUCUUGAAUAUCUAGAGUAACUUGACCAAAAUCUCUUUAAUUUUAUUUUCUUUGAUGGUUGUAUGAUGAAUUAGAAUGCUUAUAUAACAUGAUUAAAAAUUUUAAGAAAAAAAAAACUAAGAAGAAAGAAAGAAGCACCGAUCUUCCAAAUAUUGCUUCCACUUUAAUAUCUAGAAGGCUCUAAGAAAAGAACUUUUUUCAUGAAUCAUAACCCAAGUCGAAAAUAAAUUGAACCCAUUUUCUAAGUUAAAUUUUGAAUUUUUUACUAGUGAAUGCAAAUUGGGAAAAUGUAUAUAAAUAUAAUUAAACUAGAAUAGUAGGUUAGGUUUGUAGGUGGAGUUUGUUUGAAUUGUUGGAACUUCCAAGUCGUUGUGGGUCUAGUGGUCCCAUAGCUCUCUAUUAAUUUCCACCAUCAAUUUUCUGCAAUAAAGUCAAGUCAUUCCUAACCCCUAUAUUAAGUUGGCCUUAAAAGUCAAGUCAUUGAUCAUAGUUACAUUCAUGAAUCACAACCUAAGUCGAAAAUAAAUUGAACCCAUUUUUCAAGUUCAACUUUGAAUUUUUUACUAGUGAAUGCAAAUUGGGAAAACAUAUAUAAAUAUAAUUAAACUAAAAUAGUAGAUUAGGUUUGUAGGUGGAGUCUGCUUAAAUUGUUGAAACUUCCAAGUCAUCGUGGGCCCAGUGGUCCCAUAGCUCUCUAUUAAUUUCCACCAUCAAUUUUUUGCAAUAAAGUCAAGUCAUUCCUAACCCCUAUAUUAAUUUGGCCUUAAAAGUUCAGUCAUUGAUAGCUAAAUCCCAACCCAAGUCAAAAAUAAAUUGAACCCAUUUUCUACGUUCAACUUUGAAUUUUUUUUAAUUGGAAAAAUGUAUAUAAAUACAAUUAAACUAGAAUAGUAGAUUAGGUUUGUAGGUGGAGUCUGCUUGAAUUUGUGAAACUUCCAAGUCAUCGUGGGUCUAGUGGUCCUAUAGCUCUCUAUUAAUUUCCACCAUCAAUUUUCUACAAUAAAGUCAAGUCAUUCCUAACCCCUAUAUUAAUUUGGCCUUAAAAGUCUAGUCAUUGAUAGCUACGUUCAUGAAUCCCAACCCAAGUCAAAAAUAAAUUGAACCCAUUUUCUAAGUUCAACUUUGAAUUCUUUUAAUUGGGAAAAUGUAUAUAAAUACAAUUAAACUAGAAUAGUAUAUUAGGUUUGUAGGUGGAGUCUGCUUGAAUUUGUGAAACUUUCAAGUCGUCAUGGGUCUAGUGGUCCCAUAGCUCUUUAUUAAUUUUCACCAUCAAUUUUUUGCAAUAAAGUCAAGCCAUUCCUAAACCAUAUAUUAAUUUGGCCUUAAAAGUCAAGUCAUUGAUAGUUACGUUCAUGAAUCACAACCCAAGUCUAAAAUAAAUUGAACCCAUUUUCCAAGUUCAACUUUGAUUUUUUUACUAGUGAAUGCAAAUUGGGAAAACGUAUAUAAAUAUAAUUAAACUAGAAUAGUAUAUUAGGUUUGUAGGUGGAGUAAGCUUGAAUUGUUGAAACUUCCAAGUCAUCACGGGUCUAAGGGUUCCAUAGCUCUCUAUUAAUUUUCAUGGUCAAUUUUUAUGAAUUAAGAUUUAAAAGUGAGAAGGGAAUAAAUUUUUUCUUUUUCAAUUCAUUACAAAAAAUAUUUUUGGUUUUUAUGCUAAAAUUUAUUGUUUAUUCAAAAAAUUAAAGUAUAAAUAUAUAUAUAUAUAUCUUGCUAUUAUAGAAGAGCUCCAAAAUUUUUGUGUUUAAGAGAAUAUGUGUUGCCACUUUAGAAGAUUUAUAUACAAAAAGGAUUGAUGUUUCUCCUUUGACUAUGUUUGGUUCCCAAAAUUUGAGGGAAAUAAAAAAAAAAUAGUAAAAAAGAAAAAAUGAAAGAAAAUAAAAAAUAGUUUUAAAGUUAAUAAUUAUUUUUAUAUGUUUUUUCAAACUUAUUUUACUUUUUUUUUCAUUAUAUAAAGAUUAAAUAAUUUUAAAAUGCAUAAAUUUCUAACUAAUUUUAAUUAUAUUUAAUUUUUCUUUUAUAUUUUUUAGAUAGGAUCCGACACAUGAAAAAUCCUUUUUUUUAGCAUUUUUUUUUCUUUUCUUAUUACUUUCCAAUAACCAAAUAUAACCUUUAGAUUUAGCCUUUAAACUUGGAGUAUGGAACGAUACUGAGUAUUGAAAGAAGGUUUUGUAUAUGGCCAUGAUACCAUAGAAAAAAUGGGCGAGAGAGAAAAAACCUUUAUUAAAUGAUAAAUUAUUUUUUUCAAUGGAAAUCAAAUAUAAUUAUUUUUAUAAUAAUUACUUUAUUUUUUUUAAAAAUAAUAAUUUGUUGUUGCAUUAAGUAUUCUUGCAUUUGGAGAAGCAUGUUACUACUUACUACAUAAAUAGAUAUUCAUGGAGUGCAUUCUCUAAAAAGCUCCAGUCUCAUGAAAAUGGAAAGAUGGACCGGCCGGUGAACCGGUUCGAGUUUGGAUUUAUUGGCUGCCUCAGCCUUACACGCAUGAUAGGCUGUUGCAGGUGAAGAACUAAUUAAUUUAAAGCCUUCUUCUAUCCUCUCCUAUUCCUCUAUCACUCCAAAUGUUCCACAUGAUAAUGACAAUUCUUUUGUUAAAUGGUAAAAAAAAAAUUUAAAUAUUAUUUAAAAUUUUUUUUAAUUCUAAAUCCAAUGGAAAUUCGACUCUAAGGUGUGUAGAAGGCCCUAGUGCCCAUGUUGCUAAUUUGAUGAUAGUUAAAUUGUCAUUUUGGGAGAUUCCACACACUAGUAUUCUCAUUUAUAAAAUCAUGAACUUUGGCAUCCUAAUUAAUGCAAUUUAAACUUUUUUUGUUUACAAAUGAAAUAAGAGGCAACAUAUAAACCCAAAAGUUAAUUUUCCUACCAUCUCUAUGCACCAUUUUAGCUUUACUCCAAUAUAUUUUCUAUGAUUAAUUAUUUUCAUUCAAACAAUAAUAUCAAAAUAUUUUAAAAUUAGACAUAUCAUAAUCAAAUACCAUUAUAUUAUUACCGAAUAAUAUUUAAUGUAAUUUAAUUAUCAACGUAUACUUAUAAAAUUUAUAUUUUUUAUUAAUGCAUAUAAUAUUAUUAUCAAAUAUGAUAAAUUAUAUAUAUAUAUAUAUAUAUAUAUAUAUAUUUCUUCAACAAAACAACUUUAAAAUAUCUAUUAUAUUUCUAAUUUCAUUUCUAAGAAGUUUUUUUUUUUUUUUUACAUUUUUAUAAGUUUUGAUCAAUUGUAGGCUAACUGAUAUUUUUUAUAUCAAAAUAUCCACCAAUAUAUCUCUGAUAUAUUAGAUAUAUCCGUAAAAUCGAAAUACCAAUAUAUCCGUGAUUAUCGAUAUUUUUAUCCUUGAGGGAUAAUAACUAAUCUAGUUUUUGCACUUAUUGAUAUUUCUCAACAUUUAGAUUGAUUUGACCAAAAUCUUUUUAAUUUUAUUUUCUUUGAUGGUUAUAUGAUGAAUUAGAAUAGUCAUAUAAACAAAUUUAAGAAAAAACGAUAAAAAAGCUCACAUUUUUCAAAUAUUGGUUUCAACUUUGAAUAUUUUUAUUGGUAAAUGAAAAUUGUGAAAAACCUACUAAUGCUAAUACUUUUCACCACAUAAUUAAAUAUAAUAAACUAGAAUAGUGAUUCAUUGAUGUCUUAUAAAGCUACAUGCCUACUUUGACUUGUUAGUUGAUUUUUGUAGGCAGAGUCCAUUUCCAUAUGAAUUGUUGAAACUUCCAAGUCCUUGUGGGUCUAGUGGUCUCUCUAAUAAUUCCCACCAUUAAUUUUUUGUGAUGAAGUGACGUCAUUGAUAGCUACUAUAUCAAUUUGCUAUUAAAAGUCAAGUCAUUGAUAAUUACUAUUCAAUCUUUUUCAAUAUGGAAAUUGGAAUCUCUACUCUUCUCAUUGUUCAUUUUUAGGUAAUGUGAGAAUGUGAGAAUGUGUGAACAUAAAUGUCUUCUAAUCAACCAAUUUUUUUUGAAAAAAACAUGUACAAAAUUGCAAACUUGCAAAAUCAAACUUUCUUGUUGAAUAACCAUAGCUUGAUGGUUUUGAAGAAUCAAAGGAUGAAUCAUAAAAGGGUAUUUGAUAAAAAAUAAAAAUUAAAAAAAUUAAAAGACAACUACUCCCUUAGGUGUAAUAAGUGUAUUUGGUAGCACAAAUUUCCUACCACUUAUUAUUUUUUCCUUUCUUAAAAAAUUAUUUACUCUAUUAAAUAAACUAACCUUGGCUUAUCACUUAUAGCAAAAUAGGUUAAGUACUUUUUAAAAUUUUAUAAUAUUAGAUUUACAUUUUUAUCCUUCAAAAUUUCAUUAAUGUUAGAUUCUUCUAUAUGCUUAACUAAUAAAUAAUUUUUAGCAUUUUUCUUUUCUUAUAAACAUAAAAAAAUAAAAAUAUUAUUAACUUAUUGGUAUAUUUUAAAAUUUUAAUUAGAUUUAAGCUUUUAUUUAUUUGGAUUACCAAUUAUACAUAUAAAUCCUUUAUUAUUAUUGUUAUUAUUGAAAGAAAGGGGUUGAAUAGGUAGUCCCUCAAUCCCCAAAUUAAAUUCUUUAUUGCCUACUUUUGGUUUAUUCCUUUACAUGAAUUCCUUGGUGAGAGUAAACAUUUCAUUAAUAGAUAAAUAAAAUUGAUUCCAUAUCAUAGGGUAUAAUGUGGAAAAAUCACCAGUCUCAUGUGUUCCUUAGUGGAUCCUUUGGAGCCCUUAUCAAAGUUUCAUGAUGAAACCAUUGACUUUUGUUUAACCCAAAUGUGCUUUCAAGACAAAUCUUGAAAUAUUUGAGAGAUGGAGGUUCAAGUCUUUUAUGAACGACCAUGUUCUCUUAGGGUUCAUGAAAAUUCACACCUUUUGAUAAAUAAAACUUAUCUAUUUAUACGUCUAAAACCCAGUAUUUAUUUAUUUAAUUAUAGAAAGUUUCUUAGUUUUAAAAACAUUUCAAAAAUCAUUUUUAGAAUCAAAUAAUAAUUUUAGAGAUAAACACAAUAUUAAAAUUUAACAAAAACAAAAUUUCGAAUUAAAAACACAAUAUAAACUAAAUUACAAAAUAUAAAGGAAUUUUUAUCCUAAUUUCUUGUUUCAAAACCAAAUGGAACACCUAGAAGGGGAGUGAAUGGGUGAUUUUAAAAUUUUUCAAUAAUGAUUUAUAAGUUAUACCCAAUUCUUUUACCCUGCGAGUUGUUAGGGACUAUCAAUUCUUUCCUUUUGGCAAUUCAAACAAUAUAUCAAAUAAUAAAAAGAUAUAAAUAAUGAGACAUAAAGAUUUUUACAUGGAAAACCCCCCACACUAACCAUGGAGAUAAAAAGCCAUGGAGUCUAAGACCUAUUAAUCUAAAUUCACUGUACGAAAUCAAGUUACACAAAUUUAUUUGAUAGCUUUAACUUAAAGACUUACUCUCCGGUACUGACAACUUGAUUCACAUCCACAACGUAGCAACCCUCAAUUACUCCAAUGGAUCACUUCAAGCUUACUAAAAGGAUGAAGGCCUUCAAACCAAGAUUCAAAAAUCAAUUCCUUGAAUGAAAGAUCAGGGAUGGUGUGCCACUUUAGGCUUUCUCUCUAAGAACUCUAAAAUGAUCUCCUCAAUGAAAACCUCUUAAACAAAAUGAGAUAUUUCCCCACAAUCUCUAAUCCUCAAGGGGUUAUAAUGAGAUAUUUAUAAGCAACUAAGUUGAAGAGUUUCAGUUUUGGAACAUGACCGCUCGAGCCAACACACUUCCUACUUGAGCGUUUCGGGCACUUGAGCGGUAAGGCUCGCUUGAGUUGUCCUAAGCGCUUGAGCAUUCCAAGCUACUUGAGCAAUCUUGCUCUAUUUCAAAAGUUAAUUUUAAAUCAUUUUAAGUUCAAAACAAAAUUGAUUCCCUUUAUACCUCAAAGUAGCCUAACUUACAAACCAAACUUUUUUAGAUAUACUUGUGACUUCCUGGUUGGACGAACAACUCUUAAUCUUCAAUGGAAAGCAAGUCAUUAUCUAAAAAGAUUUAUAUGGUCAAACAUAAAAAAACAAAAACAAAAAAAUUGCCAACAUAACAACAAGACUCAAUGUCCUAACAAUCUCCCCCUUUGGCAAUUUUAUGACAAAAACAACAUUACAUAUACCCACUUGAACUCUCAUAAUGGAGUUUAAUAAUACACAUUAAUGUUCAAUUAAAAAUAAACUAAGGGAAUACUUUGUAUCACUUUGUAGUAUUUGUCUUCCAACUUUGUAACCUACACACAUAUAGAAAACUAUACCAAAGGUAAAGCAAUGUGUAGGAUAAGAUAUGAUCAAGAAAGCAAAAUAGGAUAAUUGAAAAUUUUGCUUGAUGCCUUGUGAAAGCAUGAAAAGGGAACAAAUUCAUAUAGUAAUACCAAGGGACAAAGCAAAACUAGAGAAGAAUAUAUAUGUAUGCAAAUCAACCAAACAUAAUAAAAGCUACAUAAGAUGCAAUAGAUCAAUAAUAAUGCCUAGGGGUCUAUCUCCAACCAGAAAAUAGGGAGUGAAAAUCAUAGGAAGAACCUUCUGUGACUUAGAAAGGUUCUAGAGAGAUAGUCAAUUCAAACAUAAAUAUCUUGCUAGAAACAUCUAUGUUAUGUAUCUCUCUAAACCUUCUAAGUUAUGCUUUCAUUAGUUGAUUUGGUUUUUCUCCAAUGUCUCAGGUUUAAUUUCCUCUAAUAUUUCAAUUAGAGAGAAAUUGGUAGUCGAUUGACUUAGUGGGUGUUUGGUAAAACUUAAUACUUAUUAUUUAAUGAUUAACUUUAAGUUAAAUUGUUCUUAAGUUAUUAAUUUAAAAUUUAUUACUUAUUUUGUAUUUAAGUACUAGGGUUAUUUGAAAAAAUCGACUUAAAAUUUAUUCUAAAUCAUCAAAAUGACACAUUUACCCUUAUUAAUUUUAACUUAUAUUUAUUUUCAUUAAUUUUAAACAAUAAAUUUAUUCAUAAAACAUCUAUAUUUUUGUAGAUACAUAACCAUAAAAUAUUUACUAUAAAAAAUGAGUCAUGGAUGUAGAAUUAUAAUUCUAAAAUAUACACUUAUGAGUGUGGGUAAAUAAGGCAAAAAUGAUUUGAGAUUAAGAGUAAAGUUAAUUAUUUUGACUUAAGACUUCAAGUUAAAAAUAACUUUAAGUUGCAAUAUUAAGUUAUUUUAUCAAACAUGCUUAAUUUACUUAACAACUUAAAUUAAGUUAUUAAGUUGAAUUAUCAAACACCCCACUAGUAGUAUGUUGAAAAUUCACACCUUUUGAUAAAUAAAACUUAUCUAUUUAUACGUCUAAAACCCAGUAUUUAUUUAUUUAAUUAGAGAAAGUUUCUUAGUUUUAAAAACAUUUCAAAAAUCAUUUUUAGAAUCAAAUAACAAUUUUAGAGAUAAACACAAUAUUAAAAUUUAACAAAAACAAAAUUUCGAAUUAAAAACACAAUAUAAACUAAAUUACAAAAUAUAAAGUAAUUUUUAUCCUAAUUUCUUGUUUCAAAACCAAAUGGAACACUUAGAAGGGGAGUGAAUGGGUGAUUUUAAAUUUUUUCAAUAAUGAUUUAUAAGUUAUACCCAAUUCUUUUACCCUACGAGUUGUUAGGGACUAUCAAUUCUUUCCUUUUGGCAAUUCAAACAAUAUAUCAAAUAAUAAAAAGAUAUAAAUAAUGAGACAUAAAUAUUUUUACGUGGAAAACCCCCCACACUAACCAUGGAGAUAAAAAGCUAUGGAGUGUAAGACCUAUUAAUCUAAAUUCACUGUACGAAAUCAAGUUACACAAAUUUAUUUGACAGCUUUACCUUAAAGACUUACUCUCCGGUACUGACAACUUGAUUCACAUCCACGACGUAGCAACCCUUGAUUACUCCAAUGGAUCACUUCAAGCUUACUAAAAGGAUGAAGGCCUUCACACCAAGAUUCAAAAAUCAAUUCCUUGAAUGAAAUAUCAGGGAUGGUGUGCCACUUUAGGCUUUCUCUCUAAGAACUCUAAAAUGAUCUCCUCAAUGAAAACCUCUUAAACAAAAUGAGAUAUUUUCCCACAAUCUCUAAUCCUCAAGGGGUUAUAAUGAGAUAUUUAUAAGCAACUAAGUUGAAGAGUUUCGGUUUUGGAAGGUUUCUUAAUUGAAUUUGUGUGAAAAACUCAACAGAAUCAACAUGACCGCUCGAGCCAGCACACUUCCCACUUGAGCAUUUCGGGCACUUGAGCGGUAAGGCUCGCUUGAGUUGUCCUAAGCGCUUGAGCAUUCCAGGCUACUUGAGCAAUCUUGCUCUAUUUCAAAAGUUAAUUUUAAAUCAUUUUAAGUUCAAAACAAAAUUGAUUCCUUUUAUACCUCAAAGGAACCUAACUUGCCACAAACCAAACCUUUUUAGAUAUACUUGUGACUUCUUGGUUGGACGAACAACAACUCUUAAUCUUCAAUGGAGAGCAAGUCACUAUCUAAAAAGAUUUAUAUGAUCAAACAUAAAAAAACAAAAAAAUUGCCAACAUCACAACAAGACUCAAUGUCCAUGCAUGGUCACCUGAAAGUUGACUCCAACCACAAUAUAAUGCAUGUUCUCAUAGAACAUGUGAACAAGAUGGAGAUAGAAAGUCCCUUAGAGAGAAAACAGAGUCUUCUAACCCUACUCUUGAAUGAUGAUAGGGAAGACAGUGUCCUGAAAAGCUUAGAGGUUAAUGGCAUGUUGAGGCUCGACACACCGAUAUGUGAAAGAAGCGUAAUAAUGGUCCCAUGCCACCUGGCAGUGAAAGCGCUCAAUCGAAAGUGCAUCUAGGUUAAAAAGACCCUAGAGUGGGAUGCCCUAGACGGUUUUCAGUGACCUAGGAAAGGUCACCUCCCUCUGAAAUCUAUGACUAGCCAUAUCUAAGGUAUAUAAUAUGAAAAAAAAAAAGCUAAAGAAAAACUAAAGAAAAUCCAAAGAAAAGCUAAACCACUAAAAAUGUUAAACUCAAUGCGUCGAACAAUACUAUACAAAUGGAAAUGAAAAAUAUGAAGCGAACUGACCUCAGAAGACAAAAGGACAGUUACCCAGAGGGCUCGAAGAGGAAUAGGAAAGUUUGAAAUGAAUAUUGUGUGAUGGAUGACCUUUAUAUAGCUUAUAGGAGUGCUUGAUGCAGAUUAGCACUUGAGCGUCAUGACUAACUUAAAUCAAAUUAUUUAUUAAUAUGGAAAUAUUUUAUAAGUUUCAAAGGAAGUAUUCAAUUUAGAACCUUUUUAGAAUUUUUUUGAAAGAAACAAAAAUAAAGCGUGAAAUAUUAUGUGUUAAAGGUGUUAGAAGACAAUAUUGUCUAAUCAAAAGCCUUACACAUUCCCAAAAAAAAAAAAAAAAAAGGAAAAAAAAAGAUACUAUAUAAGAUUUUGAUCACAUCUAAUAGAAACUAAUAUUUAGCAACAUAUCACCAAGCACUAUCUUAUCAGAAAGCUCUAACAUGUUGGAAAUUUAUGUAAGGUUCCAUAACAACUAACAACUUUUUAUGACGACUCGGUAAUGGACCAUUUGCACUUCAACUACAUUAUUAAAUUUAAAUCAUAUUAGAAUAUAAUUGACUUCUCUUUUGUGAGGUUACAUAUCUUGUAGGAUGGGAUAGGUGAUUCAUUUCAUAUAUGAAAUUUUCUUAAUUUAGUAAUGCUUCCAAGUUCAUUAUGAAUCUAAUGGUAUCACAACUCCUUGAAUAUUUGUAAUCUGUAAUCUUUGCUUCAACUUCUCAAGUCUAGUCAUUUUAUCGGCAUAACUAGUUUGCUUCAAUUAUCUCUCAACUUUAUUAUAAAACUAAGGGAAAGGAUUGUCACUCAUUUUAUAUUAACUUAACCAAACAUCUUUAUAUAUAUAUAUAUAUAUAUAUAUUGUAAAUUUAGGAAAAAUUCAUCCAUUAGCCAUAGUAAGUAAGAAUCAAAUAAGGGAUAUGUAAGCCAAUGGUGAUAUUGAUGGCGUUAAAUCAAUGACAUAGUAGAAAAGUGGAUUGUCUAUUUUCAAACCUUUAUAUUUUCAUGCAAUAGUAAAAAGGUUAAGGCAUCACUUGAAAAGUAGUUCGUUUUUUACCUUGGACUAUGAUUUAUGAAUAAAGUUCUUCUGUUGUAUACCUUUUGUGAUGCCCCAACCUAAUUUAGGGGUAAAAAAAUAAUUUAGAAAAAAAUAAAUAAAAAGUUAAAUAAAUUUAAUUAAGGUAAAAAUGUAUUUUUGUAUUUAAAAUUCCUAGGUAUCAAUUAUAUAUUUCUUGUCUUCUCUAUUCAAAAAACCAUAUUACACAAAAAUCAAAUAUCAGAGAACAUAGGACAACGCAGGGUUGAAGAUUUGGAGGUUUAGGGUUGAAGAUUAGUUUUCCAGGUAAGAUUCUAACCCUUAAAUUAGUAUUUUAGAUUCGUUAAUUAGUUUGAACACUUUAGAUAUUCUUUGAAAAAUCUGAAUAUACAUUAGGGUUUGUUAAUUUAAUUUUUAAAUAAAAAAGAUUGAAAAUUUAUGAACAUAAGUAGAGUUAUUAUUAAAGAUUGAAAAUUUUUGAAUAUUUGAAUUAAAAAUCUAGAAAAAAAAGAAGAAAAUAAAUUAUAGCUUUGGACGUGGAAAAAAAUUAAUAUUAAUUAAUAAAUAAAACCUAUGAGUAUGGAAGUAGAAAAAUAUGAGAGUUGAAAGCAAAGAAAAAAAAAGAGAAUAAGGUUUUGUGGUUGUACAUGCCUCCUUAGUGGAAAAAAAAAAUACAAGGUUGCUUGCAAUAGGAUAUGACAAAGAGAGAGAGAUAAAUGCUUAGAUGUUGAUUUUUGUGGGGAAAAAAAGAUUGGGUAAUGUAGGAGAGAAAUAGGUAGCACUUUUAGAGUCGGUGGAGUUGUUGUAAAAGCUCGUAGGGGUAAUUGUUAGGUAGUAGUAGGGUAUGAGAUUAAUUGUUAGGAAACAUUAGGACUUGAAAUAAUAAUAAUUGCUUCUAGUAAAAGUUUUAAUUUAGUUUAAGUAUAUAAAAGAAAUAGAUGAUUAGAAUAAGAUUUGGAAGGAAUAUGAAUUCAUAAAAAUUUCAAAAUUUACUAAUUUAGAUUAUUAUUGUUUUGGAAGUUGAAUAUAAUAUAGGUGAUAAUAUUAUUAAUAUAGGAAAUGAUUAAGAUUCUCAAACCUACAAUUUUAGAUAAAUAGUUAAUAGUAAUAGUUGAUUUUUUAUUUUUUUUUUAUUUUUUAUUUUUUAUGUUAUGUUAAGUGAAUAAUGGAUUCUUUGAUUAAUUCUCUAAGGUUUCUAAGUGCUUCUUUAAGGUAAGGGAUAUUAAUACUGAUUUUGUAAAUGAAAAUAUUUCUUUUUAUAAGUUAUUUUAAAUUAUGAAAAUUUUUAUUUUUAUUUAUGCAUGGAUCAAAUAUAUAUUUUUUCAUGAGAAACAUGUUUGGGCAAUUUCUUUGUUUAUAAAUAAAUAAAUGAAAACUUUGGAAAUAUAAUGUUUUGUUUUGUAAGUUUAAAAUAAUGAAAUAAAGUUUUUGACUCUGGUUUAUAUGACCUUAGUUAAUAGGUUAUAAUUGUUGACAUUUUCAGCUCCAGUCAACGAUUAUAAUUGUUGACAUUUUCGGCUCUCCAAUCAAUGAUUAUAAUUGUUGAGAUUUUCAACCCUAGCCAACGGGUUAUAAUAGUUGACCUUAUAGCCCUAGUCAACAGAUAUAAUUGUUAACCUUUGGCUUUUCCCAUCUUAAAAAGAACAAAUUUAAGGCUAGCCAUUUAUUUGUAAAGUCCCACCUAACUAAGUACCAUUUGUUAUUUAAUAACCAGAGUAAAGAUAUUUUGAAUGUAUUUGAUGUGAAAUUGUUGUGAUAUUAAUAUGAAAAUGUUUGGUUGAAAAGUUCAAAUGUUUAAUGCAUGUUGAAUUCAAAAGUUUUUAUGAAAAUGAUUAUAUGUUAUAUCUCUUAUUUGUAAGUUUGAUCCAUGAAACUGUAUUAAUAUUCCUUAUUGGACUUUGAGCUCAUUCCCCUUUAUUGAGAAUUUUUUUUCGUAUUCUCAGUUUGGGCAAGGAGUGAUGACUGGGUUGGGGAAUUUUCUUUACUAUGGUUUUGCUUCAAUCUUAUUUUGGACAUUGUUUAGAUGUUAAAAUUUAAUUCCCAUUUAAAUUAUUUGGGUUUGGAGUUAUUUGGACGAUAAAACUUUGAUUGAUGUGUUAGUUUUAAAGUUGAGAAUUGAAAAUUAUAGAAUUUAUUUAUCUUACUACUUUGAACAGAAAUUUAGUAAUUGGAGAUCAUCCAGUUACAAGAUGAAUAUUUGAGUCGUUUCAAGUCGUUUCCACUUUGAGUGUUCAGGCUUAGGGUGUGAAAUGAUCGUUAUGCCCUUGGAGUGGGUAUAUUGUUUAUUUGAAUUUAAUGGUCCCCGAACUCCUUAAUUACUCAUAACUUUAUAUCAGCUUCUCAAAGUUAAGUUGUUUUACAACUACUAUCUAGCUACUUUUCUCUACUAUGACAACUUUAUUACAUAGUGAUUAAUUGAAAGAAUCUACAUGUCUUAUUUCAUAGGAUAGUUGAUUUUUUUACUCAAUGAAUUUUGCUUUUAUUAUUGAAAAUUUCAAAUCAUUGUAGUCCAACAAUUUCCUAUCCAUUGGUAAUUUCAUAUUACAUUUCCAAAGUCUAAUCAUUUAAAAACACUUGUAGUUAAUAUAUUGGCAAUUGCAUUGUGGGAAGUUGUUCACUUGAUUUUAAUGUUGAAACUUUCAAAUUUUUGUAGUCCAACAAUUCCCUAUCCAUUGGUAAUUUCAUAUCACAUUUUCAAAGUAUAAUACUUGUAUAUAGUAUAUUUGGUGAUUGUAGAGUGGAAAGUUGAUCAUUUUCAUGAAGACCUCUAAAAUAGAAUUUUUUUUCAUUCCAUUUAUUAAAGAAUUUCAUUAAUUGAACAUAUAUGUUUUUUUAACCGAAAAGUAGAGGCCACAUUAUACGAGGCCUUAGGUGACAAUACUAGGUGAGGGCUUUUUUUUUUAAUUUAUUUAUUACGAAAUAUAAAUAAUAUUAUUUAUUGUAUAAUAAAGAUUAUUAUAAUAUAUUUUUUAUAGAUGAAAAAAAAUAUUAAUUGAGUUUUAUUUUUUUAAAUAAUUGUUUUCAAUAAAUAACGUAUUUGUAAAAAGAAAACUAUAAAAUAUAUGCAUUUGAAAAAUAUUUAAUUUUUAUUUGAUUUAGUAUCAAUUAAUAUUUGUAAUAUUUUUUAAUAUUAUAGAAGUUAACAUACUCAAUUAAGAUAUUCAAGAUCAAGAGAAUAUUUGAGAUUGAAUUAAUUUCUUUAUUGUUUAUGUUUUAGUAAAUUUUUAUAUCCAUUAAAAUUUUUUUAUUGUUUAUUUUUCAUUCAAUGUUUGCAUUUUGUAAUAGAUAUUAAAACAAAUUUUUUUCUUGUAUGUUAAAAAAAUAUUUCAAUGUCUUUAAAAAUAAAAUAUUGUAGUAAAAUCAAAAUUACAUUGUGAAACUUUAAGCGAAUGUUUUAUACUAAAGAAGUGCCAAUUAAAGUAAGCAUGCAUCUACAAUUGUAAUUUAGAUGUCAUAUUGAAACAAUAGUUCUCUUUGACUAUAUCAUAAAAUUUGGUUCGAAUUACUUUAAGUCAUCUUGUAGAUUUUCAAGUUCCAAUGAUAUGCAUCAAGUAUGUGCAACAUACUUGAUAUGACUAAUAUUUUCUUAAGUAAUUGGACACUUUUUUCUAUAAAUUUACUUGAUUAUCAAUGAAUACUUUUAUGUAAGGUAUUGAUAUAAUUCGAUAAAUAUUUUAAAAUAGUAUUAGAAUAGCUUUGCUCUUUCCUAAUUAACAAAUUUACUAAAUUAACUUAUAUAUAUUUGUUUAUUUUAAUUUACUGGUAUUUGACUCAAUUUGUUAUUAUUUUUAAAAUUAUAGGAAAACCAUUAUUUAUAGAGUUUAAUUAUAUUUGGUAAAUUAUCUUUUUAAGUUUGACUAGGAUUAGGAAACUAUUAAUUUAAGAUUAAUCCAUAAGGCUCUAUAAAUUUGCAGUUUUAUAUAACAUUUAAAAAAAGAAAGAAAAAGUAAGAAAAAGUGAAGAGAGAUAGGCAAAGAGUGCAUUGGGUUUUAGAUAGAGAAAGGUCGAGAGAGUUUUGAUUACUACUCAAAAAGAACAUAUUUUAGAUAGUAAUUCUCAUGGGUUUCACAUCUUUUGAGUAUUAAUUAUGCCUAAAAAUGCUCAAUUAACAUGUUGUUGCCCUUGCAAGAGUUACUAAUAAGUUUUAUAAAGUUUUGGAGUCAUUUCAAGUUAUGAUUUUAAUAAAUUGGUGAUGAAAGAGAUGAAUUGAUUUGAAGAAGGAAAAUAAUAUUGAUGAUGAUCCAAAUGCAUAAUGAAAGAAGCAAUAUAAUUAGUUUGAUCGGGAUUUGCUGCUAAUUUGGAGGUAGUUAAGGUGGAGUCAAAAGAAGAAAAUGGAAGAAAUGACAAAGAGGAACUUAAAAACCAAAUGUUGCAGAUUUGUAUGAUCAUUCAAAAAUUACAUGACUAUGCCAAAUGGAUUAGAGAAGGAAAAUUGACUAUAGUAUAAGGAGGAUGCUUAAGUUGAUUUAGCAUGAACAUGAGAAAAUUUCGCAUGAACAUGCGAAAAUUUUGCACAAUCAUGCGAAAUGGUCCAGAAAGCUCUCUAAUGUUGUUGUUGCUCCACUAAUUUCGCACCACCAUGCGAAAUCGAUCUUUUCAUGCAAAAUGGCUGAAGCUCAUGUGAAAUCAUGAUUUUGAUGCUAAACUCCAGAUUUGUGAAUUUGGAAGGUUUUAGAAGACCAAUGAGAGGUUGCCAAGUGUCCACUUGACCUUGGUCUAUAAAUAGAAACUUGAAUUUCCCAUGUAAAGAGCUUUGUGAUACUUUUGAUUUUAGAUUUUUCUAGAAACUCUUUCUCUAAAUAGAAUUCUAUAUUUUCUUUAAUUUUCCCUCAUUUUCUCAUUAGCCAAACAUGCCUAGUGAGACCAAAUUUCCAAGUAUGAGUGACUAAAUCUCGUUUUUCUCAGAGGAAUGAGGAUCUAGAGGCAAGAUCUAUGGUGAAUUAUAGAAAUGAGUUUUAAUUGCAAAUGUAAUUUGAUUCAAUUGAUUGAUUAAUUGAAAUUCGAGGAUUUUUCUCUUCAAAUUGUCCUGAAUGACAAUUACAUUGCAAACUAGGCAGAUUAAUUAAAUUCUUAAAGUUAGAUUUAAUGAGACUGAAUAGUUGCAUUGUAUGAAUCAUUGGAAGAUGAUUUAAGAUGAAUUGAAUAUAUAAUUUAAAUUCAUAUCUUGGAUUAAAUAACCUAAUUUGAAGAGAAAUUAGGUUUAGACUUAAAGGGAAAUCUAAAAUCGGUUUAGAUAAGAAUUUAGGUUUUCAAUCUAACUUGAUGAAAAAUAAAUCUCAACAUUUAUUCACCAUGGAAAUUGUUUUCUAAAAAAUAUUAACUCUGAGAAUUCCUUUUCCUUAUCAGUUUUCUUAUAUUCUACAUUAUAUUAUUCUUUUCGAUUAGAAAUCAUUGUUAUUUUGAUUUUUCGUGAAUUGUCAAAUCAAUUUCACUUGACCAUAAUCAUUUCUUUUCCUCUCAUUUAAACCUUAAUUAUCGAGAAUAAUCCAUCCCAAUAGAAGACACCUAAGACCACUAUACUACUGUAGCUUUUGCUAAAAAACCUUUUUGAUCGGGCAAGAGUUACCUUAGCAUAGUUGAAUUAGGUUAUAAAUUUUUUAUCCAAUAAACAACAAAAAAAUCAAUUGAUCAAGUUUACAUUGUGUAUUCUUGAAUUUUAUUAAUAAAUUUGAUCCCCUUUUUUGAAGCGAUUACACCAAACCAAGUAAAUAUUUUAUCUACUUCAUUUGCUUUAUUUUUUCUAUUAAGUUUAGGUGUUGCAAUUUUUAAGAGUCAUGGUGAGAAGAUUGUGGGAAAAAUUAUUUUAAGGAUGGAGUCGAACAUAAAAUAUGAAAUUGAGUCCUUUGAUGGAAAUAAUAAUUUUAAUAUUUGAUAGAGUAUUAUUAAAGAUGUUUUGAUACAACAAAGACUUCUCAAAGCAUUACAAGGCAAAAAAAACUAGAGAGCAUGACAAAUAAAGAAAUGAAAGAAUUACAAGCAAGAGUUGUAAGUACUAUUUGUUUAAGUCUUAAAAAUGAAAUACAUUGUUUUGAAUGAAAAAAAUAUUCUUUUAGGGGUGUCAAUUGCUCUUUUAGAGACCAAAAAUAUUAAGCAAUCAAGUAGUUCAUCUCAUAUUGGACAAACUGUUAUGAUGAAUUCUAAACCAUAUCAUCAUAGGAGUAAAUCGAAAGAAAAGUAUCUGAUAGGAGGAUGAUCAUUCCAUUCACACUUAUAGAGGAAUAUGAAGUAUUAUUNNNNNNNNNNNNNNNNNNNNNNNNNNNNNNNNNNNNNNNNNNNNNNNNNNNNNNNNNNNNNNNNNNUAGUGAUUGUUUUAUGUUGAAGAAAGGCUAAUUAAAGUAAACAUGCAUCUAAAAUUAUAAUUUAGAUGUUGUACUCAAAUAGUUGCUCUCCUCGAUUAUAUCAUAAAAUUUGGUUUGAAGUCUAAGUCAUCUAAUAAUUUUCUAGUUCCAAUUACAUGCAUCAAACAUGUGUGUUAGGAAGUGUUGCAAAUUACUAAUUAGUAUAUAUUCUUUUUUUUUUAAGAAUAUUGUAUUAAAUAUUUCUAGGUUGAUAUAUUAUUGUAAUAUUAGACUUCUUUAUAGAAUAAGGAAGGUUGUUGAAAAUAUCCCUAUAAAUAUUCUAGUUCAUAAGGGGAAAAAGUUUUGAGAUGAAGAUGGACCCAUAAAGACUAUACAAGGUGGAUAGAGAUGUGAGGAAGAACGAGAGGUACCCGAUGGAGCGAGAGGGCUCGUGGUAGGGUAUAGGUACGAAGAGUGAGGAAACAUGGGAUGUUUUGGGAACUCAAUAUUUGUAUCUAGUUAUGUCCUCUAUAAGUUCUAGUUCUGUCAUCUGCAUUGUUCUCUAUUUUAUAGUGGAAUGAUUCUCUCUUAUCUGUGGACGUAGGCAUGGUUUUCGAACCACGUUAAAACCUUGUGUACCGUUUGUGUUGAUUUUUUUUAUCUUUAUUUUCUUGAUUAAUGAAGUUUGCAUCAAAGCUUCUGUCAACGUAACAAACUUGUAUCAAAGUUUGGGAUAAAGAUUUCUAGAAGAGUAAAAGAUCAUAGAGCACACAAGAUGAAAACAAAAGGAAUUUUUAGUGAAAAAGGAGUCAAUUGCUCUCUCGUGGUGAUAUGAUAUAAAAAGUUUAUGUCAUGGAAAGUUUGAAGAUUUACUUCAUGGAAUCUGGUCCAAAAUGGAGAUUGUUAAUAAGUGUCCCAAAUUCCUAAUUAGUAUAGAUUUUUUUUUUUGUAAAGAAUAUUGUAUAGAAUAUUUCUAGGUUGAUAUAUUAUUGUAAUAUUAGACUUCCUUAUAGAAUAAGGAAGGUUGUUGAAAAUAUCUUUAUAAAUAUUCUAGGUCAUGAGGGAAAAAAGUAUGAGAUGAAGAUGGGCCCUAUAAAAACUAUAUGAGGUGGAUAAAGAUGUGAGGAAGAAUGAGAGGUACUCAAUGGAAUGAGAGGGCUCGUGGUAGGGUAUGGAUACAAAGAGUGGGGAAAUAUGGGAUGUUUUGGGAACCUAUUAGUUGUAUCUAGUUCUGUCAUCUAUAAUGUUCUAGUUACGUCCUCUAUAAUGUUCUCUAUUGUAUAGUGGAAUGAUUCUCUUUCAUCCGUGGAUGUAGGCAUGGUUGUCGAACCACAUUAAAACCUCGUGUACUAUUUGUUUUAUUUUUAAAUUUUUUUUAAUCUUUGUUUCUUGAUUAAUGAUGUGUGCAUCAAAGCUUCCAUCUACGUAACAAACUGGUAUCAGAGCUUGGGUUGAAGAUUUUUGGAAUAGUAAAAGAUCACAAAGCACACAAGAUGAAAACAAAAGGAAUUUUUAGUGAAUGUGGAGUCAAUUGUUCUCUCGUGGUGAUAUGAUACAAAAAGUUUGUGUCAUGGAGGGUUUAAUGAUUGACUCCGUGGAAUUUGGUCCAAGGUAGAGAUUGUUAGGAAGUGUCCCAAAUUCCUAAUUAGUAUAGAUUUUUUUUUUUUAAAGAAUAUUGUAUAGAAUAUUUCUAGGUUGACAUAUUAUUGUAAUAUUAGACUUCCUUAUAGAAUAAGGAAUGUUGUUGGAAAUAUUUUUAUAAAUAUUUUAAGUCAUGAGGGGAAAAAUUUAUGAGAUGAAGAUGGGCCUAUAAAGACCAUAUGAGAUGGAUAGAGAUGUGAGGAAGAAUCGGAGGUACCCAGUGGAGCGAGAGAGUUCGUGGUAGGGUGUGAAUAUGAAGAGUGGGGAAACAUGGGAUGUUUUGGGAACCCAAUAGUUGUAUCUAGUUCUGACAUCUAUAAUGUUCUGGUUCUGUCAUCUAUAAUGUUCUGGUUUUGUCCUCUGUAAUGUUCUUUAUUGUAUAGUGGAAUUAUUCUCUCUCAUCUAUAUAGGCAAGUUGCUAAACCACGUUAAAACCUCGAAUACCUUUUGUGUUGAUUUUUUUUAUCUUUGUGUUCUUGAUUAACGAUGCUUGCAUCAAAGCUUCUACCAACGUAACAAUGUGCAACAUAUUUGAUAUAACUUAUAUUUUCUUAAGUAAUUGAACACUUUUUUCUAUAAAUUUACUUGAUGAUCAAUGAGUACCUACAUAUACGGUAUUGACAUAGUUUGAUAAACAUUUUAAAAUAGUAUUAGAAUGGCUUUUCUUUUUCCCAAUUAACAAAUUUAUCAAAUACACACACACACACACACACACAAAAUACUCAUUAGUAUGUCUUUUAUGAAAAAACUAUGUUUGUUUAUUUGAAUUUAGUAGCCAUUCAAUUCCUUAGUUACUCAUAAACUUUUUAUCACCUUCUUAAAGUCAAGUCAUUUACAAUUAUUUUCAAGUCAUUUACAAUUAUUUUAGCCUUCUCCAUUAUGACAACUUUAUAAGAUAGUGAUUGAUUGGAAGAAUCUACAUGCCUUUGUUGAUAGUAUAAUUGUUUUUCUUUUUUUUCGUAUUCAAAGAAUCUUGCUUCUGUUAUUGAAACUUUCAAAUCCUUUAUGUCUAGUGGUCUUAUAAUUCCCUAUUCAUUGGUCUUUCAUAUUACCAAUCAUUUUGCAAAUGAGUUAAUUUCAUUCACAUCCUCUGAGAUUUGAUGUAAAUUCGCUUAGUUACCAAUGAUUUCAAAUUUCAUUAAUUAGUACCCCUACAGAUAUAAUUCGUGUACAAAAUUUAUUUUUUAAAAGAGUUUAGGUAAAAAUAUUUUAGGUAUAUGUCUUUAACAAUUCUCUAAAAUAAAUUUUACUUGCUAAAAAAUAACUUAUAUAGAUAGAAUACAUCUACAGGAGUUCUAACUAACGAAAUUUAAAACUAAUGGUGGUUUAGUGUAUUUAAACUAAACAUUAGGAAGGGUGACUGAAAUUAACCCUCUAGGUAUAUAUGUUUAACAAAAUUUUUAUUGUUUAUUUUUCAUUUAAUGUUUGCAUUUUUCAAUAAACAUUGAAAAGGAAUUGUUUUUCCAUAUGUUAACAAAAAGAAAUUUGAAUACCUAUAAAAAUGAAAUCUUGUAGUAAAAUUGGAGUUACAUUAUCAGACUUUUAACGAGUGUUUAUGUUUAGAAAGGCCAAUUAAAGCAAGCAUGCAUCUAGAAAUUGUAACUUAGAUGCAUCAAACAUGAGCAACAUAUUUGAUAUAACUAAUAGUUUCUUAAGUAACUAAACACUUCUUUUUCUAUAAAUUUACUUGAUUGUCGAUGAAUACUUACAUACAUUUACAUAGUUUGAUAAAUAUUUUAAAAUAAUAUUAGAAUAACUUUGUUUUUUCUCAAUUAUAUUAGAAAAUAAUAUAAAGUUACUUAUAAACUUUAUAUCAUUUUCUCAAAGUCAAGUCAUUUACAAUUAUUUCUAUCUAGUCUUCUCCAUUAUGACAACUUUUAUAUGAUAGUCGUUGAUUGGAAGAAUCUACAUGUCUUUUUUGAUAAGAUAGUUGUUUUUAUUAUUUUUAUUUUUUUUAUUCCAAAAAUUUGCUUCUAUCAUUGAAACUUUCAAAUCUUUUAUGUAUAUUACCAAUCAUUUUACAAGUGAGUUAAUUUCACUUAGGGUAGAUAUACUUAGCCACACCCCUAUAGAUGUAAUUUGUGUUUAAAUUUUAUUUUUUAUUUAGGUAAAAAUAUCUUAGGUAUAUGUGUUCUACAAUUCUCUAAAAAAUAAAUUUUCUUAUCUAAAAGUUUAUAUAGACAAAAUACAUCUAUAGAAGUCCUAACUAAUGAAAUUUAAAAUCAAUGGUUGUUUAGUGUAUUUACAUUAAACCUUAUGGGGUAUGAUUGAAAUUAAGUCUUUUACAAGCACUUGUAGCUAAUAUGUUUGUAGUUGUAGUCUUGGAAAUUGAUCAUUUUCUUGAAGGCCUCUAGGAUAUUGAAAAUAUUGCCAUAGUUUUAGACUUUUUUUUUAUUACACCUAAUAAAAAAUAUUAUUAAUUUAACAUAUAUAUUCUUGACUUAAAAGUAAAGUCUCUCCAUAUUGUAUAAGCCCUUAGGUGGCAAUAUUAGGUGAAGUUUUUCUUUCGUUUAUUACAAAAUAUAAAUAAUUUAUUAUUGUAUGAUAAAAUUUUAUGUAAUAUAUUUUUAUAGAUGUAAAAUUAUUAAUUGGGUUUUGUUUUUUUUUACUAAAUUGUCAUUUCAAUAUAUAAAACUUAUUUGUAAAAAGACAAUUAUAAACUAUAUGAAAUUGAAAAACAUUUAGUUUUUUUAUUUAAUUUAGAAUUUUAUUUGGAUUAAUAAUUGAUAUUUGUAAGAUUUUUGAAUAUUAAAAAAAGUUAGCAUACUUAAGAAAGAUAUUCAAGAUCGGGAGUGUUUGAUAUCGGAUUAAUUUCCUUAUUUUCUCUAUUUUAAUAAAUUUUCACGUCCAUUACAAAAUUUUUGUUGUUUAUUUUUUACUUCAAUAUUUUUAUUUUGUAAUAGAAAUUUGAAAAGAUUUUUUCCUACAUGUUAAAAAAAAAAAAGAUUUGAACACUCCUAAAAAAGAAAUAUUGCAAUAAAAUUAAAGUUUACACUGUAGGACUAUUAGCAAAUGCUGCAUACUUAAAAUAGACCAAUUAAAGUAGAAAUACUUCUAAAAUUGUAAUUUAGGUAACAAUAAUAUAAAAAGACAAUAUUUUUGAAACAAUAGUUCUCUUGGAGUUUUGGGUACAAUGGACUAGACUUUAUGUAACAAUAGAUAUACAAACUUUCCAUUAACAUCUUGAGAGACAUGAUGAGGAGCAAAGUCAUCCAAGAAGGUACCAUAGAGGUACCUUAGCUCAAUUCAUCUAGACUACAUAAUGUUUAAAGAUCAAAUUCAAUGACUAGAUUUCAAAAAUCAAUAUAAGCUUUCUCAUAUUCUACUCUAUAUAAGACAAUGGUAUGAUACCUCUCUUGUGUCGUAGAAUGCACCAUGAAAACCUUAUCAUUUUAACAUCAGUUUGAAACUUAAAAGUCACUUAGCACAUUCUAGUUAUUAAUUUAAGAGCAUUAAAAGAAAUAUAUAAAAAAAAAGUUACUUUAUCCUUGUGAUUUUGAUCUAGGACUUUUAAUGAUAUUAAAAAAAAAAACAGAAAAAUAAAUGGAAAUAAAAUCAAUAAAUUAAACAAUUGAAUUAAGUUAGUUUAAUUUUUGAAUCGUUAAAUGGGUAAAUAAAGAUCUUAGAUUUGAUAUUAAUAUGAACAUCAUGACUUCAGUGAAUCUUACAAGAAAAUUUUAGUUUGAAAGACUUCAUUCAUUAAACGUGUGGCACAUAUUAAAGUAAAACUAAGUCUUCUCUAUAAUUUGUACCUAUCAUAGUUUCUUUCCUCAUAAAUAGCCUUUUUUGAAUAUAAUAUAGACUUCAACAUGCAUGGUGGGGCCAAUCAAACUACUAGUCAAGACAACUCAUGGGCAACAACGAUGUACCAACUACAUUUAAAUACUCUUCAUAUAUUUGCAUAUCAAGAGUAAUUUAGUAGUGUCUUUCUUAUGUACCUCAUAUCUAGACUUUCAAUGGAGAGUUCUUCAUCUAAAAAUUUGACUUGGGUUUUCAUACUAGUUUUGGUUUAGACAUGUGGAUGCAAAGGUUGCAUCAAAGAAGAGAAGUAGGCUAAAUCAUCUUACAAAUUUUCAAGUUCAAAUUAGAUGCACCAAACAUAUGCAACAUAUUUGAUAUAACUAAUAUUUUCUUAAGUAAUUGAAUACAAUUUUUUUUUAUAAAUUCACUUGAUUAUUAAUGGAUAACUAACUACAUGUAUGGUAUUGACACAACUUGAUAAAUUUUUUAAAAUAGUAUUAGAAUAACUUUGCUAAAAAAAAGUAAAAAUAAAAAUAAAAAUACAUCUAUAUAUAUAUAUAAUUAAAUAAAAUUAAAAAUUAAUAUAUAUAUAUAUAUAUAUAUAUUCUGUGUGUGUAUGUGUGCAUGGUCUCACAAGUCAUUAGCUACUCAUAAGCUUUAUAUCACUUUCUCAAAGUCAAGUCAUUUUGUAAUUAUUUCUAUCUAGCCUUCUCCAUUACGACAACUGUAUAGGAUAUUGAUUGAUUGUAAAAAUCUUCAUGUCUUUUUUUAUAAGAUAGUUUUUUAUUAUUAUUAUUAUUCAAAGAAUUUUCUUUUAUUAUUGAAACUUUCAAAUCCUUUAUGUCUAGUGGUCCUACAAUUCCCUAUUCAUUGGUAUUUCAUAUUACCAAUCAUUUUACAAAUAAGUUUAUUUCACCCGGUAAAUAUACUUAACUACCAAUGGUUUCAAAUUUAAUUGAUUAACACACUUAUAGAUGUAAUUUGUUUUUAAAUUUUAUUUCUUUUAGAAGAAUUGUAGGUAAAAAUGUUCUAGGAAUAUGUGUUCAAUAAUUCUCUAAAAACAAUUUAUAUAGAUGGAAUACAUUCAUGGAAGUUCCAACUAAUGAAAUUUAAAACCAAUGACGAUUUAAUGUAUUUGCACUAAAUCUUAGGGGAGGUGUACUAAAACUAGCCCUUUUACAAAUAUUUGUAGCUAGUAUAUUUGUAGUUAUGGUGUUGGAAGUUGAUCAUUUUCUUAAAGGCCUCUAAGAUAUUGGAAAUAUCGCCAAAGUUUUGAACUUUUUGUUUCACCUAAAUAAAAUAUCAUUAAUUUAAUAUAUAUACUCUUCGCUUGAAAGUAUAGUUUCUUCAUAUUGUAUGAAGUUGUAACUAGGUGACAAUAUUAGGUGAAAUUUUUUUUUGUUUACUACAAAAUAUAAAUAAUAUAUUUAUUAUAUGAUAAAAUUUUGUAAAAUAUAUUAUUAUAGAUGCAAAAUUAUUAAUGGAGUUUUAUUUUUUACUAAAUUAUCAUUUCAAUAAAUAAGAACUUAUUUGUUAAAAGAAAAUUAUAAAAUAUAUGCAAUUGAAAAAAAUUUAAUUUUUUUAUUUAAUUUGGUAUUUUAUUUGAAUUAAUAAUUGAUAUUUGUAAAAUCUUUUAAUAUUAAAAGAAGUUAACAUACUUAAAAAAGACAUUCAAAAUCAAGAGAGUAUUUGAUAUGAAAUUAAUUAAUUAUUUUUUUUCUAUUUAAAUAAAUUUUUACAUCCAUUAAAAAAAUUUUCUUGUUUAUUUUUCACUUCAAUAUUUUUAUUUUGUAAAAUAAAUAGAAAUAAAAUCAACAAAUUAAACAAUUGAAUUAAGUUAGUUUAAUUUUGCCACCGUUAAAUUGGUAAAUGAAGACUCUUAUAUUUGAUAUUAACAUGAACAUCAUGACUUCAUUGAAUAUUCUCACAAGAAAAUUUUAGUUUGAAAGAUUUUAUCCUUUAAACAUGUGGCACAUAUUAAAGUGAGACCAAGUCUUCCCUAUAAUUUGUAUCUAUCACAAUUUCUUUCCUAAUGAAUAACCUUUUUGAAUAGAAUAUAGACUUUAGCAUAUUACCAACCAUUUUACAAAUAAGUUAAUUUCACUCAGUAAAUAUACUUAACCACCAAUGGUUUCCAAUUUGUAGCACUCUUAUAGAUGUAGUUUUUUUUUUAAAUUUUAUUUUUUAGAAGAAUUGUAGGUAAAAAUAUUUUAGAUAUAUAUGUUCAACAAUUCUCUAAAAACAAUUUAUAUAGAUGGAAUACGUUCAUGGAAGUUCCAACUAAUGAAAUUUAAAACCAAUGAUGAUUUAAUGUAUUUGUACUAAAUCUUAGGGAGUGUGGACUAAAAUUAGCCCUUUUACAAAUAUUUAUAACUAGUAUAUUUGUAGUUGUGGUAUUGAAAGUUGAUCAUUUUCUUAAAAGGUUUACCAUUGAAGUUAGUUGAAUAUAAAGUUAGGUGAACUUUACCAUUGUUUAAUUGGUAAAUGAAGACUCUUAGAUUUGAUACUAACAUGUACAUCAUGACUUCAUUGAAUCUCUCACAAGGAAAUUUUAGUUUGAAAGACUUCAUCUUUUAAACAUGUGGCACAUAUUAAAGUGGACCAAGUCUUCCCUAUAAUUUGUAUCUAUCACAAUUUCUUUCCUCAUAAAUAGCCUUUUUUAAUAGAAUUAAUAUAGACUUUAGCAUGCAUGGUGGGCCCUGUCAAACUAUUAGUCAAGAUAAUUUGUAGGUAAGAACGAUGGACCAACUAUAUUAAAUAUUCUUCAUCUAUUUGCAUAUCAAGAGCAACUUAAUAUUGUCUUUCUUUUGUACUUCAUGUUUGAACUUUCAAUGGAGAGUGUGUCAUCUAAAUAUUUGAUGUGGGUUUUUAUACUAUUCUUGGUUCAAAUAUGUGGAUGCAAAGGUUGCAUCGAAGAAGAGAAGAUGGGUUUGCUUGAAUUCAAGGCUUUUCUUAAAUUGAAUAAUGAGCAUGCAGAUUUUCUUCUCCCUUCAUGGAUAGAUAACAACACUAGUGAAUGUUGUAAUUGGGAGCGGGUUAUUUGCAAUCCCACCACAGGUCGAGUUAAGAAGCUUUUCCUCAAUGAUAUUACGCAACAACAAAGUUUCUUGGAAGACAAUUGGUACCAAUAUGAAAAUGUCAAAUUCUGGUUACUAAAUGUCUCCCUAUUCCUUCCUUUUGAAGAACUUCACCAUCUAAACUUGUCUGCAAACUCAUUUGAUGGGUUUAUUGAGAAUGAAGGUAUGUUACCUCUCACCUUUAAAAUUUCAUUUCACUUAUACUCCAAACAUUCUAAAGGAACUACUAGCAUAUGUUCUUAAAAGUGUUCAGGUGGAGACCAAAUGGUCACUAGUAACUAUUGAAUUUAAUAUAAGAACAAUUACUAAUUAUUAAAAUUUAUAAUGUAAAUUAACAUUUAAACAGAACAAUAAAAAAAUUAUUAUUUUAGAAAACUAUAGAUUACAUUAGCCUUAUAUAUAUAAGCAUACUUGUUAUUUAUGCCAUCAUUUCACACUCAACCCAAUAAGUGGGAUUCAACUAAGAGUGAGCAAUUUCACAAUUAUUAAUUAACAGGAACACUUAGUCUCCCAUAUCCUUAUCCUUUUUGUUGAAUUGUCUUUCCUUAUCUUCCAUUCCUAAAAAGCUUGAUUUCUAUAUUCUAAAUUGAUAAAGAUUGGUUAAAGAAAGGUGAUCACAAAAUUUGACUAUUGCUGUCAAAUAAGGAAUCACCAUCUUCAAAGUUUCACAUUUACAAAAAAAAAAAAAAAAAAAAAAAAAAAAAAAAAAAACCCUAGCCUUGGGUAAGGUCCAAGCCUUAUUGUUUUAAGCUGAUGUCGGGUUGGUUUAAUAAUAAACAAAAAAAAUCCUAACCCAUGACCAUCUACGCAUUUCCAAAUUCCACCCAUCCACAACCCAUUAAUAUGACAUUUUCAAGGACAAAAUUUAAUCAAUUAAACCUAUUAGAUGGAUUCUCCAUACAAUGUUAAAAUGAAUAUAAAAACUUUAAUUCAAAAAAUAAUUUCCUUUAUUUAGUUAGGAUUCAAAUUAUAGGGGCACAAAACAUGAAAAUUUUCAUGUUUAAAAUUCACAAAGAUCACAAAAGCUCUUUGAAGCUCUAUGGACUUUUUUAUUUCUAACAUUUAAACACAAAAAUCACCAUAUUUAAUUAGAGAUUUGGAUACAUAUUCUUAUAUUAAAGACAUGUAAGCUUACAUAUUUAAAUAUGAAGAUCUCAACUUGUAAUUACAUGCUUCUAAUUAAAGUUAUAUUACUCUAUUUUAUAGGAUUUAAAGGGUUAUCAAGUUUAAAGAAAUUGGAGAUCUUAGACAUAAGUGGUAAUGAGUUUGAAAAAAGUGUCUUAAAAUCUUUGGACACAAUAACAUCACUCAAGACAUUGGCUAUUUGCAGCAUGGGACUGAAUGAAUCUUUUUCCAUUCGAGGCAUGUUAUAUGUCCACAUUGUUUCUUUGAAAUUAAGUAAAAUAUAUUUCUAACUUUUAAUGUUCCUUAGUUAAUCUCUCUUUUGAUUCAUGUUUGUUGCAGAAUUAGCUAGUUUGAGAAAUUUGGAAGUGUUGGAUCUAAGCUAUAAUGAUUUGGAAAGCUUUCAACUAUUGCAAGGUACUUCAUUAACUUGCUAAAAAAACUUAUGAUAUUUUGUUAUUAAAUUAAAGGUAAGAUUAACAAACAAUUUCUUCUCAUUAGUUACUUUUCUUUGUAAUAUCAUUAAAUUUGAUAUAAAGUAGUCUAAAUCAUCCUUUCAAUUUAUAAGUUUUAAUUAAAACGCAUCAAGCAUGCACAAGAUGUUUAAUAUAACUAAUAUUUUCAUAAGUAAUUGAAUUUUUUUAUAUGAAUUAAUUAACUUGAUUAUCAAUAAAUACUUACAUGUAUAAGAUUAAUAUAGUUUCAUAAGUAUUUUAAAAUUGUCUUACAACACACACACACACACACACAAGGAAAAUGAAAGGUAUGUGAUAUCUUUAUGCUAUGUUUGGUUCCCAAAAAAAUUGAGGGAAAAUGAAAGGAGAAAAAAGUAGAGACGAAAAGUAAAAGAAAAGAAAAAAAGUAAAGAAAAAUAUAAAAUUGAUUAAAGUAAAUACAUUAUUUUUAUAUGUUACUUUAACUUGUUUCACUUAUUUUAAUUCUUCAAUGUAAAGAUGAAAGAUUUGAAAAUGCAUAAGUUUCUAAUUAUUUUUUAUUUUAUUUUAUAGUUUUUACAAUACAACCAAACAUAAUAAAAUCAUUUUCUUUAAUUUUUUUUCUUUUCUUAAUACUUUUCACGAACCCUUUAAGUUAUGUUUGUUUGCAGAAAAUAUGAGGAAUAGAAAAUAGAAAAGAAAAUUAGAAGGAAAGAAAAAGUGAAGUAAAAUAAAAAUAAAUUUAAAUUUAAUAAAUUAUUUGUAUAUGCUACUUUAAACUUAUUUCACUUAUUUUAAAUUAUUUAAACUCAUUUCUAAUAAAUAAUAAUGGAAAUUGUAGAGAAGUUUGUGUUAUUCAAGCUUUGCAAUGACUUUACAAGGUGAAGGAAAAUAUUCUUGCUGAAAUUGAAAAAAGAAAUACCUUCUUAAAUAGCCUAUUGACCGAAAACACAUUACCCUAACAUAUACACACACCUUUAUUAUUUAUACAAUCAUUUAAUACUUAAUCCAGUUAGUGGGAUUCUAGUGGUUGUUUUUAUCUUGGUUUCCAAUAUUUCUGAUUGAUAGUGUUCGAUUAAUGAAAUAUCAUAAAUUUUGACCCUAAUAAGGACCAAUCCCUAUUAAAUGUAAUUGGGUUGACCUAAGACUAAAUGUUAGAUCCAACUAAUAAAAACCCAUCUAUUUGUUGGAGUGUAAAUAACCCGGCCUUAGGUAGGGCCCAUGCCUUAUUAUUUUAAGAUGUAGUCCAACUGGUUUGACACUAGAUUGAGUAAAGCCCAACUUAUGAGCAUCUAUGCAUUUCCAUCCAUCCACAACCUACUGGCAUGGACAAACUUUGGUCAAUUAAACCUAUUAUAACUGCAUACAAAAUUUUAAGUUCAAAAGAUAAUUUUCCUUAUUUAGUUAGGAUUCAUAUUAAAAAGGCACAAAGCACGAAUUUUCAUGUUUAAAUUCACAAAUAUCACAAAAGCUCCUUCAAGCUCUAUGGACCAUUUUAUUUGUAACAUUAUAUUACUCUUAAUUAUCAAAUUAACCAACAAAUUCUUCUCAUUAGUUAUUUUUCUUUAGUAAUGUCAUAAAAUUUGAUAUAAAGUAGUAUUGGUCAUCAUUUCAAAUUUUAGGUUCCAAUUAGAUGUAUCAAGCAUGUGUACCAUAUUUGAUAUAACUAAUAUUUUUAUAAGUAAUUGAAUUUUUUUUUCUAUAAAUCAAUUAAUUUGAUUAUCAAUGAAUACUUUCAUACAUGAUAUUGAUGUAGUUUCAUAAAUAUUUUAAAAUAGUCAUAGAAGUCUUUUAUCUGAUUCACUAGAAAGAAAAAUAAACUAUUCUAAUGAAAAGACUUGAUGAUUUGAAGUGAUUGCUUUUGAUUUUAUUUGAUUGCUACCAUUAUUAAUUGUUAGAAAUUGGCAACAAAUACCCAUUUUGCAUCACUUCUAUAUGCAUCGGGGGAAUGAAUUAUAUUUCAUAGAGCUAAUAGGGCAAAACUCAAACUUUUGGAAUUAUGGAAAAGGUUGCUAGAAAGCUAAUUAACCAUUUAUAUUAUGAUUAAGACUAGUUGGGUUAGAAAUAAUUCAUAUGGAGAUUAAAAAAAACUAUGUAAUUUAGUUUAGUAGCUUGGGUGCUAUUGUAAUGAUUAAUGAUCUGCAACUUGAACACAUCUACUAGUGCUUUCUACUUGUAUAGCUAAAUUUAUGUUACCACUUUGAACUACAGUACUUACAUGAGAAGAAAGUUUUUCCUUAGUGAUAAUGCAAAAGAAAUUAAGUAUCAAUUUUUGUUAAACUAACAAGUGAUAGUUUAGAUAUGGUUUGAAUACACUUCCUUUCUUCUAUAUUUUUAUUUUGAAAAAAAAAAACUCUUUAAUGAAAUAUAAGAAAUCUUAUAUGUAUAAAAAUUAAAGACUUAAACAAAAAAAUUCUUCAAAUUUGAAAAUUUUCGAGAAGUAUUUUUAAGAAUUUGUAUUUUCAAUAUAAUAAUUCAUAUAUUUUGUAUAAAAGUUUUUGUUUAAAAAAAUAGAAGUGUGUCCAAAUUACAAAUUAAUUGUUAAAUUAAGAAUGUUUCUCAGAUCAAGAGAUGAUGAAAGUUGUAGAGAGUUUGCAUUACUCAACCUUUGCAAUUACUUUUUGAAGGUAAAAGAAAAUACCUUCCUACAUAACAUACAAUGGCAGGUUCUGGUUUGUAAGAAACUAAUAAAUGAUUAAGAAUAUGAAUAAGACUUCCUUUAUAAUGGAUAUGUAGAGAAGAAUAGUGGAUGAUAGGAGGUGAAAAUCUUGUAAUAAAAUAUCAAUAUCAGUUAUAAGAUAAUCAACAUUUUCUCUAUUUCUUGUACCUAUGUGAUUAAGAAUCUUGUAGCUCCCUUAUUGAAAUAUAAUAUAAAAAUAUAAAUAAACUAUUUAGAAGUGCAUGUAGUUUUCAACAUGAGGAAGUUCAAAAGCAAGUUAAUUAUGAUAAUUUUCUAUAGUCUAUAUUGAACACAAAUUAUUUUUACUAAAGGUUCAAUCGUUCUAUGAAGGUUAAAAGUUUGAAUUGUUUACAUAUGCAAAUGGACAACCAAACAAGAAAAUGAUUUUGAAAUCCUUUUUGGACCUUUUUUUAUCAUUCAUUUUUUCCCCUACUCUAUUUCCUUUCCCUCAAACUCUCUAGGUAGUAAACAUUACCUAAGAUAAAUAGGGAAGAAAAUAUUUUAUCAUUUAUUUAUUUAGUAUUUUUCUUACAUUUUUUGUAUGUUAUCCAAAUAUAAGAAAACUAUUUUUCUUUAUUUUUUCUUUUCCUUGUUGCUUUUCAAGAAUCAAGCAUACUUUAAACUCUAAUUAAGAGUUACAUAGAUUUACGAAGAAACAAUGCAACUGGUAACAAAAAAUUAAGGAAAUUUAAUUUUUGAGAGUAGGUAUAAUGAGAUUGGUUUGUUUGAUACAAAAUUUGAAUAAAAAUUCUUUCAAUGAAAAUUCAAGGAAAGGAAAAAAAAAACAACUUUCUCUCUAGACUAUAAUACUAAAUCACUUAAAAAAUAUCCUAACAUCGUUUAUGUUCAUCUUUCUUUUUAUGGAUUUGAAAAACCCAAUAAUUUGGAGAAAACUGAUUCAAGGAAGAAUAAUUUUUAGAAUAAAAUAUUAUUAUUUAAGAAGAUCAUAAAUAUUAUAGUCAUUGUUGAAUAUGAUAAAUGAUUUAAAAAAAAUGGUAGUUGGAAAUUUAGAUACUUUUAUAAGACAAAUGAAUUUUUCUAGUAUGGUAUGAAAAAAGGUAAAAUGAUAGGCUUUGAUCAUUUUUUAAGGUAGUUUGUUUAAAUCAUUUUAAUUUAUUUUCAUUUAAGAACAAUAACUUUUAUUACACUAGUUAUUUUGAUUUUCUUUUGAUAGAUUUUGCAAGCUUAAGCAAUUUGGAGCUAUUGGAUUUGAGUAAUAAUUCAUUUAGUGGGAGCGUUCCAUCAUCUAUAAGAUUGAUGUCUUCUCUCAAGUCUUUAUCCCUGGCUGGAAAUUACCUCAAUGGUUCCUUACCAAAUCAAGGUAUAUAUAUAUUGUGAUUACAGGUUUUUCUGUUUUCUUUUUUAAUAUCUUGUUUGUUCUUUAUGCCAAUGAAGUCAUGCAUGUCUAUUAAUUUUUGGUAUUUAAUAAAAAACUUUAUUCUUAAUUCAUAAAGACCUCAUCAACGGUAAGUAACAGCUAGUUGUAAGUUUGGGGGCAUUGACAAGACGAGGAGAUGAUUGGUUACAUGUCUUAUUCUCUUUUGUAGGCUUUUGCCAAUUGAAUAAGCUUCAAGAAUUAGAUCUUUCUUACAACUUGUUCCAAGGAAUCCUUCCUCCAUGUUUGAAUAAUUUGACAUCUUUGAGGUUAUUGGAUCUCUCUUCCAACCUAUUCUCCGGAAAUCUUUCUUCCCCUCUGUUACCUAAUCUCACAUCCCUGGAGUACAUCGAUCUCAGUUACAAUCAUUUUGAGGGUUCAUUCUCUUUCAGCUCUUUUGCUAAUCACUCCAACCUUCAAGUGGUCAAACUUGGAAGGAAUAACAACAAAUUUGAGGUAGAAACUGAAUAUCCAGUUGGUUGGGUUCCCCUGUUUCAGUUGAAAGCUCUUGUGCUAUCCAACUGUAAGCUCAUCGGUGACCUUCCUAGUUUCCUUCGACACCAAUUAAGAUUAACCGUGGUUGAUCUCUCCCAUAAUAACUUGACUGGAAGUUUCUCCAUUUGGCUGCUUGAAAACAAUACAAGACUAGGAUCUCUAGUUCUGAGGAAUAACUCUUUAAUGGGUCAACUACUUCCCCUGAGACCUAAUAGUCGUAUCACUUUAUUGGAUAUCUCAGACAACCGACUUGAUGGGGAACUUCAACAAAAUGUGGCCAAUAUGAUUCCAAAUAUUGAGUUUCUAAAUUUAUCCAACAAUGGUUUUGAAGAUAUUCUCCUAUCCUCAAUAGCCGAAAUGAGUUCCUUACAGUCAUUGGAUUUGUCUGCUAAUAGUUUCUCAGGGGAAGUACCAAAACAAUUGCUUGUGGCAAAAUAUUUGUGGCUUCUGAAAUUAUCAAAUAAUAAAUUUCAUGGUGAAAUAUUUUCAAGGGAGUUUAACUUGACUCAGUUAGGGUUUUUACAUUUGGACAAUAAUCAGUUCAAGGGAACACUGUCAAAUGUAAUCUCCAGAAUCUCUAGGUUAUGGGUGUUGGAUAGGUAACAUGACCGAUUUGACUACCCUAGUGUUGGGCAACAAUAGUUUUAAAGGCAAAUUACCACCUGAGAUUUCUCAAUUGUUGGGGAUGAUAUUUCUUGACCUUUCUUAAAACGCUCUUUCAGGAUCUUUUCUUUCUUUGAAGAGCCUGGAGUAUUUAGAGCAUCUACAUUUGCAAGGGAACAUGUUUAUAGGAUUGAUACCUAGAGAUUUUCUCAAUUCCUCAUAUCUAUUGACUUUGGAUAUCAGAGACAACAGGUUAUUUGGAAGUAUUCCCAAUUCAAUCUCUAGACUUUUAGAGCUAAGAGGAAACCUUUUAAGUGGUUUCAUUCCAUAUCAGCUCUGUCAUUUGACUAAAAUAAGCUUCAUGGAUCUUUCAAACAACAAUUUUUCUAGGUCAAUUCCUGGAUGCUUUGGUCAUAUCAGAUUUGGAGAUUUCAAAACUGAGCACAAUGUGUAUAUACCGAUGUUGGAUUCGUAUUCAGAAAGCAAUCCUUCUAUAUAUGCGGGUUACUUAAUAAAAUUUUAUUUUUCUCUAGUGAACUCCCUAAUGAAGUAGAUGAAGUUGAGUUUGUUACCAAGAAUAGGUAUAGCUCCCACAGAGUAGAUAAAUAUAUUUGUUGGGAAUUUAGAUAUUUUUAUAGAAAAGUAGACAAGUAUUCUAAUUUAUAAAAAUAAUGCAUUUCUUUAGUUUGGUAUAAAAAAAAUGAAAUGAUAUGUAUUGGUAAUUUUUUUUAAAGUAACAAACGUUUUAUUUUAUUUGUAUUUAAGAACAAUUUUUUUUCUUAUACUAGUUAUUUUAAUUUUCUUUUGACAGAUUUUGCAAGCUUAAGCAAUUUGGAGAUGCUAGAUUUGAGUUAUAAUUCCUUAAGUGGGAUUAUUCCAUUAUCUAUAAGAUUGAUGCCUCAUCUCAAGUCUUUAUCCUUGGCCAGAAAUCACUUCAAUGGUUCUUUACAAAAUCAAGGUACAUAUGUUAUGAUUUGUUUGUUUCAUAUAGAUUAGAGAAGAUGAAUAUUGUUAAAAAAAAAAAGUUGUUGUUAAUGUAAGCUAGAAAUAAGUAUUUUGCCUUAUAAAUUAUAUAAGCAUGUGUUUGUUCUGAAUGAAUCUUUACAACAUUUAGAGUUACCAAUGUUUAUAAUUCAUAAAGACCUCAUUAACAGUGAGUAACAACUAAUUGUAAGUAAUUGUGGAAAAAGUAAGGAAAACAAAAUGAGGGAAAAGCAAGGAAUUAGGAAAUUAUUUUGUUCCCAUAAAAAAAUGCUAAGGAAGAAAAAGGUAAAAGAAAGUUUAAAAAAAGUGUAUUUUUCAAAAAUUUAUUUCUCUUUCCUUUAAUUUUGCUAUGGACAACCAAACAAGAAAAUAAUUUUAUAAUUCCUUUUUUUUUUCAUUCUCUCUCUCUCUCUCUCUUUUUCCCUACUCUAUUUCUUUUCCCUCAAACUUUCUUGAUAGUAAACACAACCUAAGGUAAAUGAGGAAGAAAAUUUUUAGUUUUUUUUAUUUUUUAUUUUUUUAGAAUGUUUUCUUACUUUUUAGUAUUUUAUGCAAAUAUAGGAAAAUUUUCAUCUUUCUUUUUAUGGAUUUGAAAAACCCAAUAAUUUGGAGAAAACUGAUUCAAGGAAGAAUAAUUUUUAGAAUAAAAUAUUAUUAUUUAAGAAGAUCAUAAAUAUUAUAGUCAUUGUUGAAUAUGAUAAAUGAUUUAAAAAAAUGGUAGUUGGAAAUUUAGAUACUUUUAUAAGACAAAUGAAUUUUUCUAGUAUGGUAUGAAAAAAGGUAAAAUGAUAGGCUUUGAUCAUUUUUUAAGGUAGUUUGUUUAAAUCAUUUUAAUUUAUUUUCAUUUAAGAACAAUAACUUUUAUUACACUAGUUAUUUUGAUUUUCUUUUGAUAGAUUUUGCAAGCUUAAGCAAUUUGGAGCUAUUGGAUUUGAGUAAUAAUUCAUUUAGUGGGAGCGUUCCAUCAUCUAUAAGAUUGAUGUCUUCUCUCAAGUCUUUAUCCCUGGCUGGAAAUUACCUCAAUGGUUCCUUACCAAAUCAAGGUAUAUAUAUAUUGUGAUUACAAGUUUUUAUGUUUUCUUUUUUAAUAUCUUGUUUGUUCUUUAUGCCAAUGAAGUCAUGCAUGUCUAUUAAUUUUUGGUAUUUAAUAAAAAACUUUAUUCUUAAUUCAUAAAGACCUCAUCAACUGUAAGUAACAGCUAGUUGUAAGUUUGGGGGCAUUGACAAGACGAGGAGAUGAUUGGUUACAUGUCUUAUUCUCUUUUGUAGGCUUUUGCCAAUUGAAUAAGCUUCAAGAAUUAGAUCUUUCUUACAACUUAUUCCAAGGAAUCCUUCCUCCAUGUUUGAAUAAUUUGACAUCUUUGAGGUUAUUGGAUCUCUCUUCCAACCUAUUCUCCGGAAAUCUUUCUUCCCCUCUGUUACCUAAUCUCACAUCCCUGGAGUACAUCGAUCUCAGUUACAAUCAUUUUGAGGGUUCAUUCUCUUUCAGCUCUUUUGCUAAUCACUCCAACCUUCAAGUGGUCAAACUUGGAAGGAAUAACAACAAAUUUGAGGUAGAAACUGAAUAUCCAGCUGGUUGGGUUCCCCUGUUUCAGUUGAAAGCUCUUGUGCUAUCCAACUGUAAGCUCAUCGGUGACCUUCCUGGUUUCCUUCGACACCAAUUAAGAUUAACUGUGGUUGAUCUCUCCCAUAAUAACUUGACUGGAAGUUUCCCCAUUUGGCUGCUUGAAAACAAUACAAGACUAGGAUCUCUAGUCGUAUCACUUUAUUGGAUAUCUCAAACAACCGACUUGUUGGGGAACUUCAACAAAAUGUGGCCAAUAUGAUUCCAAAUAUUGAGUUUUUAAAUUUAUCCAACAAUGGUUUUGAAGGUAUUCUCCCAUCCUCAAUAGCUUAAAUGAGUUCCUUACAGUCGUUAGAUUUGUCUGCUAAUAGUUUCUUAGGGGAAGUACCAAAACAAUUGCUUGCGGCAAAAUAUUUGUGGCUUCUGAAAUUAUCAAAUAAUAAAUUUCAUGGUGAAAUAUUUUCAAGGGACUUUAACUUGACUCAGUUAGGGUUUUUACAUUUGGACAAUAAUCAGUUUAGGGGAUAUUUCUCCAGAAUCUCUAGGUUAUGGGUGUUGGAUGGGAGAUAGUUUUAAAGGCAAAUUACCACCUGAGAUUUCUCAAUUGUCGGGGAUGAUAUUUCUUGACAUUUUUCAAAACGCUCUUUCAGGAUCUCUUCCUUCUUUGAAGAGCCUGGAGUAUUUAGAGCAUCUACAUUUGCAAGGGAACAUGUUUAUAGGAUUGAUACCCAGAGAUUUUCUCAAUUCCUCAUAUCUAUUGACUUUGGAUAUCAGAGACAACAGGUUAUUUGGAAGUAUUCCCAAUUCAAUCUCUAGACUUUUAGAGCUAAGAGGAAACCUUUUAAGUGGUUUCAUUCCAUAUCGGCUUUGUCAUUUGACUAAAACAAGCUUCAUGGAUCUUUCAAACAACAAUUUUUCUGGGUUAAUUCCCGGAUGCUUUGGUCAUAUCGGAUUUGGAGAUUUCAAAACUAAGCACAAUGUGUAUAUACCGAUGUUAGAUUCGUAUUCAGAAAGCAAUCCUUCUAUAUAUACGGGUUACUUAAUAAAAUAUUUAUUUUUCUCUACUGAACUCCUUGAUGAAGUAGAUGAAGUUGAGUUUGUUACCAAGAAUAGGUAUAGCUCCCACAGAGUAGAUAAAAAUAUUUGUUGGGAAUUUAGAUAUUUUAUAGGACAAUAUACAAGUAUUCUAAUUUAUAAAAACAAUGCAUUUCUUUAGUUUGGUAUAAAAAAAAUAAAAUGAUAGGUAUUGGUAAUUUUUUUUCAAAGUAACAAACGUUUUAUUGUAUUUGUAUUUAAGAACAAUGUCUUUUCUUAUACUAGUUAUUUUAAUUUUCUUUUGACAGAUUUUGCAAGCUUAAGCAAUUUGGAGAUACUAGAUUUGAGUUAUAAUUCCUUAAGUGGGAUUAUUCCAUCAUCUAUAAGAUUGAUGUCUUGUCUCAAGUCUUUAUCGUUGGCCGGAAAUCACCUCAAUGGUUCUUUACAAAAUCAAGGUACAUAUGUUAUGAUUUGUUUGUUUCAUAUAGAUUAGAGAAGAUAAAUAUUGUAAAAAAAAAAAAAGUUGUAGUUAAUGUAAGCUAGAAAUAAGUAUCUUGCCUUAUAAAUUAUAUAAGCAUGUGUUUGUUCUUAAUGAAUCUUUACAACAUUUAGAGUUACCAAUGUUUAUAAUUCAUAAAGACCUCAUUAACGGUGAAUAACAACUAAUUGUAAGUAAUUGUGGAAAAAGUAAGGAAAACAAAAUGAGGGAAAAGCAAGGAAUUAGGAAAUUAUUUUUUUCCCAUAAAAAAAUGCUAAGGAAGAAAAAGGUAAAAGAAAGUUUAAAAAAAGUGUAUUUUUAAAAAAAUUAUUUCUCUUUCCUUUAAUUUUGCUAUGGACAACCAAACAAGAAAAUCAUUUUAUAAUUCCUUUUUAUUUUUUUCAUUCUCUCUCUCUUUUUUUCCCUACUCUAUUUCUUUUCCCUCAAACUUCCUUGGUAGUAAACACAACCUAAGAUAAAUGGGGAAGAAAAUUUUCAGUUUUUAUUUUUAUUUUUUUAGAAUGUUUUCUUACUUUUUAGUAUUUUAUGCAAAUAUAGGAAAAUUAUUUUUUUUUCUUGCUCCUUUUCAGACAUGAAUCACACUUUAAAAGAAAAUUAAUUUUUAAUUAGGAGUUAAGAUAAAUUUAAGGAGAAACAAUGAAUCACGAAUAACAAAAAAUUAAGGAAAUUGAAUUUUUGAAAGUAAGUAUAAUCAAAUUGCUUCAUUUGAUACAAAAUUUGAAUAAAAAUUCUUUCAAUGAAAAAUCAAGGAAAGGAAAAAACAUUUUUGUCUCUAGAUUAUAAUACUUAAUCAUGUAAAAAAUCUCUUAACAUCAUUUAUAUUCAUAUUUCUUUUUGUAGAUUUGAAAAAUUCAACAAUUUGGAAUAAACUUAUUCAAUGAAGAAUAAUUUUUAGAUUUAAAGAUUAUUAUUUAAGAUCAUAAAUAUUACCAUCAUUGUUGAUGUCCAAGAAGAUCAUAUUCAACAAUUUUUUUAAUAUGUUGUUUUUUAUGGUAAUUAAUUGAUGUCUUGUAAUUUUUAAUAUUUAAUGAAAAACAUUAAUUUAAUUCAUCUAAAGCUCUUAAUUCAUGAAGACCUCGUUAAUGUAAUGGUGAGUAAUAGUUGGCUGUAAGUUUGGAGUCAAAGACAUGUUAAGGAGAUGAUUAGUUACAUGUCUUAUUCUCUUUUGUAGGUUUCUGCCAAUUGAAUAAGCUUCAAGAGUUAGAUCUUUCUUACAACUUAUUCCAAGGGAUCCUUCCUCCAUGUUUGAAUAAUUUCACAUCUCUGAGGUUAUUGGAUCUCUCUUCCAACCUCUUUUCCGGAAAUUUUUCUUCCCCUCUGUUACGUAAUCUCACAUCCCUAGAGUACAUAGAUCUCAGUUCCAAUCAGUUUGAGGGUUCAUUCUCUUUCAGCUCUUUUGCUAAUCAUUCCAAGCUUCAAGUGGUCAUACUUGGAAGGGAUAACAACAAAUUUGAGGUAGAAACUGAAUAUCCAGUUGGUUGGGUUCCCCUGUUUCAGUUGAAGAUUCUCUCUCUAUCCAGCUGUAAGCUCACCGGUGACCUUCCUGGUUUUCUUCAAUACCAAUUCAGGUUAGUGGGGGUUGAUAUCUCACAUAAUAACUUGACAGGAAGUUUCCCCUAUUGGUUGCUUGAAAACAAUACGAGACUAGAAUCUCUAGUCUUGAGGAAUAACUCUUUAAUGGGUCAACUACUUCCCUUGGGACCUAAUACUCGUAUCAAUUCAUUGGAUAUCUCACACAAUCAGUUGGAUGGACAACUUCAAGAAAAUGUGGCCCAUAUGAUUCCAAAUAUUAUGUUUCUAAAUUUAUCCAACAAUGGUUUUGAAGGUAUUCUCCCAUCCUCAAUAGCUGAACUAAGAGCCUUAUGGAUUUUGGAUUUGUCUACCAAUAAUUUCUCUGGAGAAGUACCAAAGCAAUUGCUUGCAACAAAAGAUUUGGGGAUUCUGAAAUUAUCAAAUAAUAAAUUUCAUGGUGAAAUAUUUUCAAGGGACUUUAACUUGACUGGGUUAUUGUGUUUGUAUUUGGGCAAUAAUCAGUUCACAGGAACUCUGUCAAAUGUAAUCUCCAGAAGCUCUUGGUUGGAGGUGUUGGAUGUGAGCAACAACUACAUGUCAGGUGAAAUUCCAAGCCAGAUAGGUAACAUGACCGAUUUGACUACACUGGUGUUGGGCAACAAUAAUUUUAAAGGCAAAUUACCACUUGAGAUUUCUCAAUUGCAACGGAUGGAGUUUCUUGACGUUUCUCAAAAUGCUUUUUCAGGAUCUCUUCCUUCUUUGAAGAGCAUGGAGUAUUUAGAGCAUCUACAUUUGCAAGGGAACAUGUUUACAGGAUUAAUACCCAGAGAUUUUCUCAAUUCCUCAAAUCUAUUGACUUUGGAUAUUAGAGAAAACAGGUUAUUUGGAAGUAUUCCCAACUCAAUCUCUGCACUUUUGAAGCUAAGGAUUCUUUUGCUAGGAGGAAACCUUUUAAGUGGUUUUAUUCCAAAUCAUCUUUGUCAUUUGACUGAAAUAAGCUUGAUGGAUCUUUCAAACAACUCUUUUUCAGGGCCAAUUCCCAAAUGCUUUGGCCAUAUCCGAUUUGGGGAAAUGAAAAAGGAGGACAACGUGUUUGGACAGUUCAUUGAAUUUGGGUUUGGAAUGGUUUCUCAUCUUGUAUAUGCAGGUUACUUGGUGAAAUAUUACGGUUCCCCAACUUUAGUAUAUAAUGAAAAAGAUGAAGUUGAGUUUGUCACCAAGAACAGGAGUGACUUCUACAAAGGUGGCAUCCUUGAAUUCAUGUCUGGAUUGGACUUAUCAUGUAACAACUUGACAGGCGAAAUACCUCAUGAACUUGGAAUGCUAAGUUGGAUUCGUGCAUUGAACUUGUCUCACAAUCAAUUGAAUGGCUCCAUUCCAAAGAGUUUCUCUAAUCUUUCUCAAAUAGAGAGCUUAGACCUUUCUUAUAAUAAACUGGGUGGAGAAAUUCCUCUAGAGCUAGUUGAACUCAAUUUUUUAGAGGUGUUUAGUGUGGCUUACAACAACUUCUCUGGUAGAGUUCCAGAUACCAAAGCACAAUUUGGGACAUUUGAUGAAAGGAGCUAUGAAGGUAAUCCUUUCCUUUGUGGGGAACUAUUAAAGAGGAAAUGCAACACAAGUAUUGAGUCACCAUGCACACCAUCACAGUCUUUUGAAAGUGAGGCAAAAUGGUAUGAUGUCAAUCAUGUUGUUUUCUUUGCAAGUUUUACUACUUCAUAUAUCAUGAUCUUGUUAGGAUUUGCUAUCAUCCUUUACAUCAAUCCUUAUUGGCGUCAUAGAUGGUUCAAUUUUAUCGAGGAAUGUAUAUAUUCCUGCUAUUAUUUUGUUUUUGAUAGUCUUUCCAAGUUAUCAGCAUAUUUGUAUAAUUAGAUACUUUUAAUUGGAUGAUAUUUGCAUAAUUAACUACUAUUUGUUUCCCUGGGAUAGAAAGAAAUGGGAUGUAUAAUGCUAUGAGCUGAAACUUACAUACUUUGCUCAAAUUCUAACAUCUUUUGAUUUUAUUUUCAAGUUCCGUUAUUUAUUAUGUAUUGCUUAAUUCAAGAUUUAACCAUAUUACGUUACUCUUAUAAAAGCAAAUUCAAAUUUUUAGGAACUUUUAGCAUUAAAAUAAUUUCAUAGUCAGAUUUUAAAAAAUAAAGAAGAAAGAAAAUAAUAAAUAAUUGGAAAAACAAUUCAAGGAAGUAUUAAAUUAUUAUCUUAGAAUUAUUUGGCGUAGUAUGGGAAUUCAAAAAUAAUCUUUCAAUUUGUUAGAAAUGUUUAUUUAUUUAUUAUAGCAAUGAUUGAAAUAUCAAUCACAAAGUAAUGUUUUCUUUUCUUUUGUAGGGCACUAACACUUUUUCUUUGAUAGUAAUAAUUGAUAAAUAUAUUACACAAUUAUUUGUUUUAAAAAAGGGAGGGAUGACAAACAUAAUAACAUGUGAAAUAUUUCUAAAACUGUAAUGGGAAAUAAGCCAUCUAAUUAGGGUGCAAUAUUAUUCAUUUUAAUUUACAUGAAUUUACUUAUUUUUAUUUGCAUCAUAUUUUGAACUAUUUUAUGAAAUUAAGGGAGAUUAAAACAUCACGAGUUUCUUAUUUUAGUUUAUAUUCUUAAUAAUAAAGCAUGAAAUAUUAUAAAAAAAAAAAUCAUGAAUUUCUUUAAUUCCUUAGGAAACCAAUAUAUAAAAAAUUGAACAUAUUAUUAUUUUAUAUCCUAAAUCUCUAAAUUUGUUCAUUACCUAUUUAUUUUUAUAUUAAAUUUAUUAUUAAUUAUUUAUUUAUAUUAUUAUUUUAUGUUUAAAAUGUUCAUAAAUAAUUAAAAUUAAUAAAUAUAAAAAUAAAAUAUUAAAAAAUUAAAUUAUAAAGAUUUCAUCAAACUGACAUAUUUAAAAAAAAAAAAAAGCUAAAAAAGAUGAGGAUAUUAUAGAGGAGGGGAAAAGGAUAAAAGAAAAUUCAUGUGGUAUGAUAAUAUCACGUGUCAAAGUUAUUUUCUUUAAAAAAUAAUAAUAGUAAUGAUGAACUCAUUUGUCUUAUCAAAGUAAGUUAAAAAAAAAAAAAAAAAAAAAAAAGAAAAGAAAAAGAUGGUAGUUGGCUUAUUUGUUCUUUGAAAAUAAAAAAUCAAAGUUUUAGAAAAAUACAAUUUUCUUUUAAAUGAUGAAUGGUUACAUCAUUUCCCCUUAGCUUAUCUGUUCCUUUAAACUUUAGUUUGAAUAAAAUUAGUUUUAAUUAUUUUCUUUUUGGAAUUAUAUUUAAUCGUAUUAUUAAAAAUAUAAAAAACAUCGUAAUAAUAUUGUCAAUAAGUUUUUUUAUAUAUAUUGAAAAAUAUUUAUAUUUAAAAAUAUUUAAAUUUUGUCAUGGGCUGCCCAUUUCAAAAUGAUAAGAAUAUAAUAACCUAAUUUUUCCAAAUUCCAGGUAAAUAUGCUAAUCUAAAAAAAAAAAAUUAUUAGGUUUUUAUGUGCUGAUUGGGUUUUUUUUAUACCCAGUAUGCUCUCCAAUCUACCACUUAAGCAUCCGACAUGGCUAAAAAUAAAUUUUUAAAAAAAAGAAUAAAAAAGGAAAAAAACGAAAGUGUGUGAUCUCUUUCUUGAGUCUUCACAAUCUGAGACACUGAACCCAAAUCAAAAUUAAUCCUCCAAAUUAAUUUUCACCUCCAACCCAAACCCUAACGACUGCCUCACUUUCUUCUCAAACAUAGCUAUACGAAAAACCCUAGCCUCUGCCUCGUCUUCCUCUUAUCCCGGAAACCCAAAUCCCGUGACCCUAACCCCUUCUCUUUCCGAAAACCCUCCAGAAUCGGAAGAUUCAAGUGAUCGAAUUAAUUCUUCAGAAUUAAUUUUCACCUCGAAGCCGAACCCUAACUGCCUCAUCUUCCUCUCAUUCAUAUCCCAAAAGUAGCUUCAACAGUCAGGCCUGCGGCCAUGAAAGCCGUAGUGAUCGCCACUUCCGGCGAUCCCCAAGUUCUCCAAGUGCAAGAAGUCGAAAACCCUGAAAUUGGAGAUGAUGAAGUUCUAAUUAGAGUGGACGCCGCUGCCAUUAAUCGAGCGGAUACGCUUCAGAGGAAGGGCUUGCACCCUCCCUCAAAGGCGGCAGUCCCUACCCCGCUGGAAUCAUCGAAGCUGUUGGAAAGGUCGUCGUUCGAUGGAAGGUUGGCGAUCAGGUAUUUCAAUUGCCUAAUAUUUUGAUUCCGUUUCUGUUCCUGUAUUUUUCUCGGCUAUCCUUUAUGUGAUUUUGCUUCCUCCUGAGUACAAGUUCAUAAUAUACAUGGUACAUGGUGAAUCUGUAUGACAUUUCAUGGUAUACAGGUGUGUGCUCUUCUUUCUGGUGGAGGGCAUGCUGAAAAAGUGGCUGUUCCAGCUGGGCAAGUUCUCCCUGUCCUAUCUGGUGUUUCUCUGAAGGAUGCUGCUGAGGUUGCAUGUACUGUUUGGUCAACUGUUUUAAUGAUGAGCCGACUGUCUGCAGGAGAAACAUUCCUGGUGAAUUUUUUGUCUUUUUUAUUUUCUGAUGCCUGAUAUAUUUACCAGCACAAAUUUUCCCUGUUGCUGUUUAAUGUGUGUGCAUCAAUAUUGGAUUAGGGAGGUAGAAGAGCCAUGGUUCUAUUACAUCAUCAUAUUCUUAUUUAGAUACAUUGUAUCCCACAAUUUCAUUGCAUCCAAGGCUAUGUUGUUUUUUAUUGCACGGUUUGUCAUGGUAAUUUCUCAACCCUUCUCUGGAAAAUUAUGUUGGAUGGCUGCUAUUAAUUACCCCAAAAGAAGAAAUUUUAUGUUGAAGUAAGAUGAGUAGCACAAAGAGUUACUUGUGGUUGAUCCUAUCAUCAAAUGGGCGAUUGAUGCACAAUCCAAAUGGUAAAUUUUUUUCCCCCUUUAUCCAGAUGGAAUUUUUAUGCAUGGUUGAAUAGUGAAAUGAGGACUGAUAAUAUUUCAGGUUCAUGGGGGUUCAAUUGGAAUUGGUACCAUCUAUUCAAAUAGUGAAAUAUUGAGGAGCAAGGGUAUUUGUUACAGCAGGUUUGCCAUCACUGUUCUACCUCAUCCCACAGAAUGCUUAUCUCAUGGCACCAAUUCCUUUUCUUCACAUGUUUUCAACCAUUUUUUCCACCCAGGAACGAGGAAAAAUUAGCUGUUUGUAAGGAUCAUUGAGCAGAUGUGUGCAUCAAUUACAAGACUGAAAACUUUGUUGCAUGGGUGAAGGAGGAAACAGGAGGGAAAGGUACAUUCUAUUGUAUCUUAACGAUAAUUUCAAUUGAAGGUGGAAUUGCUUUUUAUUUUUUAGUGCACCAAAUCCACUAGUCUGGAAUGUUUGAAAAGAUAAAUAGUCAUCUUCCACUUGAUUCCGAUUGUGAAGAUCUAACCCCAAAAAUGUUGAAUGACAGGUGUUGAUGUUAUACUGGAUAAUAUUGGAGGGGCCUACUUUUGGGGAGACAUCAAUGGUUUAAAUGUUGAUGGAAGGCUUUUUAUUAUUGGUUUUCAGGGUGGAACAGUGGUACAAGUAAAUCUUUCAGGUUUACUUGCAAGGCGCCUUACAGUGCAAGGUACCACUUUCUCUGUAGAAGAUUUUUCUGUAGUUUUGGAGUUGAAUCAAUUUGAUUAAUCUCAUCCAAGUUCAGAACUGAGGUGGAUUCUGGCAAGCCAAGGAAAAACCAAAUUACCAUAAAUUCUUUUUUUUUUUCUGGAUCGUUUUACUUCUUGGAAAUCCUGUUUCUCGAUCUGGUCAGGUAUAUGGAAAUUCCAAGGAAAAUAUGUUUUACAUUUUCCAUAAUUGGAAACACUCAGGAAUUUAAUAUUUUCCUCUGAAAUAGCAAUGGUUUUCUAAUUACGACAUUUGUUUUUCUUGUAUCAUCCCAAAAUAUUUUUUAGGUGUUUGUUCUCUCUUGACACAGCUUUUAAUUGGGUCUGUCUUGCUUUUUGAUAGAUCUCUUGACAAGUUGCUUGUAUAUCAUACUUUCUUUAUUGUUUUCGGAUCAUGAACCUUGCUUCUGUCAGCCCUGUUAUCACUACCCAAACUAGUAAAUUUAUGCACAAAACUCCAUGUGUCAGUAACAGUGGUUAUUUGAUUGUAUUAAAUAAUUUGUAAAUACAGUGGAUAAGUUUGUGCAUAGAUUGAAGGCGAAUGAAAAACGUGCAUAGAUUGAAGGUGUGCUGCUUGAGUUGAUUGUAGUUUGAGCAUGAAAAUUUGAAGAUCCAGAACAGCAAAUGAGGAAUGCCUAUCAAUUUGAAACCAGCAUGGGUGGAUGAAUGGAGAGGUUCUUCACUGAAUUUGUCCAUGAAGCUUUUUAGCACUCUAGGGCAAGGGUCUCCAAGCCUAGCUGUUGAUUGCACAUCCCUCCUGCGCAAUACUAAGAACAGAGUGAAAUGCAAAUGCAGGAAAGGGUGUUUCUUAGCUGUUCAACAACUGACAAUACAUUGGCAUGACAAUUCCCUGGAUCGAAUGCCACAAUGCCCUCUUGGAGUUCCAAAGCUUGUUCACAGGUCAAACGAACUUGAGGGUUUUGGGACAUGAACUCCAAGUUUGGUUGCCAAGAAUCUCCAGGUGGAGGAUCAGCUUCUGACACGUGCACACACCUCUUGGCCAGUUUGUGUUAUUGCAAUUUUUAUUAAAUUGCUAAAAAAUUUAUCGCGAACAAUUUUUUCUUUUUUCUUUUUUCUUUUUUUCUUUUUAAACAAACUGCAAAAAUCCCUUUUUUUUUUAUAUAAAAAAAAAAAAAAUUCUCCAACAAAGUGAUUUUUUUUUGUGGCAUGACUCGGUUUGACCACUAACUCGGUGAACUGGUCUAUCGGCUCAAGUUUGGAUCCCUUAAUUUUGUGGCAAAUUGGGCAUCAAGCCCAACAACCUAACUUCCAUGCGGGCUAUCUACUGGAUCUCACCCAUUGUAACUUGCUCUGGGUGAAUGGCCAUUAUAAACUUCAUUUUAUCCUCAUGUGAUUUUGAUGUGGGAAUGGGAGAGAUGAGGAUUUGACAUUUGGACCUAAGGCUCAAUGGGUUUUAACUCCACUCAGCUACUUUAUGUCUUGUAUUUAAUAUUGCAAACCAAAAUAAUAAUAGACAUGAUUCUUUUCAAAAAAUUUAUAAUGUAAUAUUUUUUAAAAUUAUAAAAUAAUAGGUUAUAUAAAUUUUAAUAUAUAGGUAAAAUUAAUUAAAUUUUAACAAAUAUCUUCACAUUUAGACAUUACAUAUUUUUUAUUUAAUAAAAUUUUAAAAUAUUAAUAUAUCUAAAUAUAAUAUUAAAAAUGAAAAAUAAAAUAGUAAUAAUUUUUAUUUUCUUUAUAUAUUUAAAAUUAUAUAAUUAUUUUUUAUUUUAAUAACAUAUAAAUUGUAUAUUUAUAAUAUUAUUGGUUCAACUGUGAUUCAACCAUCACUCCGAUUAUUCAAUUAUGAAUUAAUAAAUUUUUUAAUUCAAUGAUAGGUUUGAUUAUAAAAAUAUUAUGUUUUUUUUUAUGAAAAGUACUCAAGAAAUAUCAUUAAUCACUAAGAUCACGUGGUUGGAUUAGGUGUAUCCGAAACAUAGGUAUUACUCUCUUCCUUAGUUAGGGCUUAGCUUUUGAAAAUGUAGAUAGGUAAAGUGGAUGGAAAGUCUAUAACUACGUAGAGAUUGAGCUUGGAGGCCAAUCUAGCAAAUGUGGAGAUUAGAAAUAGUUUACCAUCUAGAUAGUCAAGCAUAGCAAUUUACCAAACCCUUACCAACCAUCCAUACUAACCAAUUGUGGUUAAAUGUUUACAAAAAUGUACAUUAAAUCAAAGAGAAAAAAGAUUAAAAACGAACAAGAGAGAAGAAGCACAUCACCUAAUUUUGGUAAUAAAUGAAAUUAAAAUAAAUUCAUAAAUUUUUUAAAUUAAAAUGAAUUUGAACUCUAGAGAUUUGUGUAGAUAUCUUAUUAAAAAACCAAAAAGUUUGUUGCAUAUAUAAUUUCAACAAUGCAUAAAUAAUUACAACAUACGCAAUACAAUAAUAUUACACAACUAUAUUUUCAAAUAUAAUAUAAGAUCAUUAAAGUGAUAAAUUGUAGUUGUAUAAAGUAUUUAUACAAGUAAAGAAGAAAUUAUGAGAUUAAAAUGCUUGUUGGAUUCUAAGUAAAAAAGAAAUGAGAUAUAGAGAUUGUCCCAUCAGACAUAUAGAAUUUCAUAUACAUAAUUUUCCCUUCAAGAAAAUUUAGGGUCAAAUUGAAAAAAUUUCAUUCAUAGAUUUUGGUAAAACCUCUAUCUAGUCCCCGAAGUCUUGUAUACAAAAGGAAAUAACAUUGGUAUGAGGGGUUUGAAUGCUUAAUUUUAGAUUGAAAAUGCUUGAGAUAAUUUUUGAUCGACUUCACAUGUGUUUUUAAUAAACUUGGAACAUUCAAACUUGUAUUUGAAGAAUCUUCAAUUUGAUCUUAAAUAAUGUUGAAACCUUCAAAAUUUGAAUAGAAGAAUCUUUAAGCAUUUGAAUUUUGGUUUAAAGAAUUUUGAAAUUUGAGACUGAAGAAUCUUCAAAUUUGGGCCUGAAGAUCAAAGGCUAAGCUUGAAGAGUUCUUGAAGCUUGAGUGGUAUGUCCGAUUUUGUUUUGUAUUUUAUAAAAACUUUUAGGCUAUGUUUGGUUCCCAGAAAAUUUGAGGGAAAAUGCGAGGGAAAGAAAAUACAAAGGAAAAGUAGAAGGAAAGAAAAAGUGAAGGAAAAUAAAAAAAUAGAUUAAAAGUUGAUAAAUUAUUUUUUUUGUUACUUCAAACUCAUUUUAUUUAUUUUAACUCAUCAAUAUAAAGAUUAAAUAAUUUAAAAAUAUAAAAGUUUUUAAUUAGUUUUAAUUAUAUUUAAUUUUCUUUGAUAUUUUUUAUAAGACAACCAAACAUGAGAAAAUCAUUUUCCUUAGCAUUUUUUUUCUUUCCUUUGUACUUUCCGGGAACCAAACAUAGCCUUAAGUAUACUAUAUUUAUAGGUUUGAAGAGACAUUGAGAUUUUGUAUACAUGUUUGGAGUUUUAAACCUUGAAAUAUUACUCUUUUAUGAAAUUAACAUUUAUAAAAUUUGGAAGAACAUAAUUAGAUAAUAUUCUAAGUUAUUUUUAAUGAAAAUUGAUAAUUACCUUUUAAUUAUCAAAUUCACUAUUUCUAUUUAUUUUUGUAAUAUAUAUUAAUUACUAAAAUCAUUUAUUUCCUUUAUUUAGUUUGAAAGCAAUUAUAUAUCUUUUGUUUGUGUAGAGCUCAUGUGACACGACAAAUUUUAUUUUGUAACUUGCUCUGGAUGAAUGGCCAUUAUAAACUUCAUUUUAUCCUCAUCUGAUUUUGACGUGGGAAUAGGAGAGAUGAGGAUUUGACAUUUGGACCUAAGCCUCAGAGGGUUUUAACUCCACUCAACUACUUUAUGCCUUGUAUUUAAUAUUGCAAACCAAAAUAAUAACAGACAUGAUCCUUUUCAAAAUUUUUAUAUUAAUAGAAGUGUAAAUAAUAUAAGUAAAAAUAAUGUAAUAUUUUUUAAAAUGAUAAAAUAAUAGGUUACAUAAAUUUUAAUAUAUAGGUAAAAUUAAUUAAAUUUUAACAAAUACCUUCACACUUAAACAUUACAUAUCUUUUAUUUAAUAAAAUGUUAAAAUAUUAAUAUAUUUAAAAUUGUAUAAUUAUUUUUAUUUUAAUACUAUAUAAAUUAUAUAUUUAUGAUAUUACUGGUUCAACUAUAAUUCAAUCACUGGUCCAACCAUUGAACCAUGAAUUAGUAAAUUUUUUUAUUCAAUGAUAGGUUUGAUUCUAAAAACAUUAUGGCUAUGUUUGGUCCCAGAAAUUUUUUUUUGAUGGAUAAUGACAAAGAUAUUACCAAUUUGAUAUCACCAAUUGAUAACACAAUUAAAAAAUAAUAUGAAUUUUAACAUAUUUGAAUUCAUUGUAAUCAUAUCCAUGACCUAAUUUUACACAUCCUUAAAUCAUGGUUGAUUUAUGAAACAAAUCUAUACCAUCAAUAGAAAAUAAAUAAAUAAAAUAAUACAAAAAAAAUAUAUAGAUAGUCAAGCAUAGCAAUUUACCAAACCCUUAGCCACCAUCCAUACUAACCUGUUGUUGUUAAAUGUUUACAAAAAUAUACAUUAAAUCAAAGAGUAAAAAGAUUAAAAACGAACAAGAGAGAAGAAAUACAUCACCUAAUUUUUGUAAUAAAUGAAAUUAUAAUAAAUUCAUAAUUUUUUUAAAUUAAAAUAGGAAUUCAAAUACAUGUAACUAUUGUUUUUGUCUUGUAAAUCAUCCAAUUUUUCAAUGAAUUUAAACUCCACAGAUUUGUGUAGAUAUCUUAUUAAAAAAAGCAAAAAGUUUUCACUAAAAUCAUAAAAUUUAGAUUAGAAAUGAUUUACUAUAUUAGUUCAAAAUUCACCUCCACAAAAAUUGAAAUAAAUUAAUUAUCUUCAAUUCAAAUAAAAUUUCUCCAAUUAAAUUUCCAAAUAUGUGCCUUAAUACCUAUAAUGGAAUUAGUAAUUUUAAUUAAAAUAAAAAUAAAAAUAAGGAUUUGAUCUUUUUCUUACCAUUUGAUGAAAAUUAUAAAAUAUAUUAAAAUGACAAGUGAUCAGACAUUUGAAAUUUGCAUCAUUUCUACCAUUGCAAACACCACCAACCCCAUAUUUCCCAUUUUUCUACCUACUGCCAAUUCACUCAUCUCUCUGGGAAGAUUUUUGAGGUUAUCGUCAUGCUUGAGAUAAUCCAGAAAGUUGAGCGGCAUCACUCUCUGAAAGGUGCCUUACAGCAUGGGUAAUGUAUGGGAUACAUCUGAUAACUUGCCAUAUCCAUAAACCACUAUAUUAAACCAUGGUUCAUAUCCCCAACGUUACACGAGAAUCUGUACUCAUCCCAAGCAGCUUGGAGAUCAUAAAAUUAGGUUUUGAGGGCCUCCCGAGACAUGCACAGCUUCACCCUUUGUGCAUUCCUUUGAUUUGGAAAAUUUCUUCUUUAGAAUUCCCCAUUAUCAUGCCCUGAACCAAGACAUAUCAUGAUUGGAUGGGCCCCUUCACCAAUUUCACAAUAUCCAAUAGCAUAUCAUUUACUUCCCUUUUGUCAAUGGGAAUUACCAUUUUGCAUGGGAAGCACCAACGGAGAUGGAGGUUUUCAAAUUGGAUCACUAGCAAAGAAACCCACCGCAACUAUCUGAAUAAUUGAGCACAACAUCGGCUUUAGAGAACUCCUCCUGAAGGCGAAAUCGUCAUCUUGGCUAAACGUAGUCAUAGUUGGGUUGUGAGAAAUGGAGAUGAAUCAUAGAAGGCUUUCAGUUUCAUAGCAACGAAAAGGUAAAUGUACUCUAGAGAAGUUUUGACCUUGGGAGAAGCGCUUUUGAAUCCAAGUCAAGGUCUGUUCUGGAUCCCUUUUCGACUCUCUCUAUUAAAGGAAGAUAAUCUGCCUAGGAUUUGGAUGCAAGCUUGCAAGGCCAUGUUUAGGAGACUUAUGCAAAAUAUUUAUCCAUAGCUCCCCGCCUGAAACAUCUACAUAAAGCGUCUUCCAAGUGUGAACCAUUGUCUUGGGUCCUUGAGAUGAACAAAAACUGAGACAUAUCGUGAGUUAGAUGCAUUGCCUGAAAAUGCCGAGCAGUAGUAUGGCCUUCUUUCUGAUCAACUGUUUUGUCAAAUUCUAGAGCUCUCAUUCCAAAUCCAUCAGUUUUCUCAAAUGAUUGGCUAGUGGAGAUCCAUGGAUAUAACAUAUGAAAUGUGCACAAUAAAAGUAAUCAAACGGUUGGUUGGUUUGGCUGAAUCCCACAAUCGCAAAGACUAAUCAUAUGAAACUGUUACCAGCUGAGUUGAAUUUGGCCUAAAAAGGAUAUCCGUUACUACAAACUAGCGUUCUUUCAUGGUGCUCUCUCUUUGCAGGCUAUCCAUGUUCCAAAGAAAAACUCUCUUGUCAUGUCUGGCACUAGGCACUGAUUAGAGUGUGGGACGUUCAUUCUCCAUUAUCACCAAACACAUGCAGGAUAUAUAUAUAUCAAUUCAUUCAAAAUAUGCCUUUAUUUUAUGGAACAUAACCGAAUCCAUUUUGUUUGUGUUGAAGAGGUAUAGAUCUUCUAAGGCUGUGGAGGGCACCACCUUUUCUCAGAAUUCUCUCUGACGAUGGGAAGCCGAAGAGAACGGGUUUUGUUUUUAUUUUGAAAACGUUGUUAUCAUUAAAGAACAAACACUAUUCUUUGGAUUUAUACCCUCUUGCCUUAGGGACCAUACUGUUUGGCUAUUGGGCCUCACGAGUCUUAGGCCCAUCAUCUAAGGCCCAUGAUGGCACUGGGCUCUACACAUAAGGUGACCCAUACUCUGGAACGAAUAGAAAUCAUAUGUAUAUAUAUGGAUAGCUAAAUCCUGAACAAUGGUUAAUAUGAUGUCGGUCCACAUUUAUUCUAUCAAUCUCCCACUUGGACCACAUAUAUUACAAAACAAUGUUCAUGAUAGUACUUUAUUGAGCUCAUCUUUGCUAUCCUAUCUUAAUAUCCUUAAACAAUCCGGUCUACUAGUUAUGCUAACAUAGGAUCAAAGUGGCCUUCAUUAAUCAUAAUUAUAACUAGACCCAUCAAUGAUCACAACAUUAACAAAAUUAGCAACAUAGAUCAAGUAUGGAUGUGUAGCAUGGAAAUUACAUAAAAUGUGAUCUUUAUUAUGUCUAUUUCCAAUUGGUCCUACUUUAUGACUAAAAAAUAGUCAAAUUCCACUUUCAACACUUGAUGCUAAACUGCUUUUAAAAGUCAUCAUUUCAAUUCAGAGAAUUCAAAUACAAUAGUCUUUAAAAUCAAGGUUUGUACAGAUAACACAAUAUAACAUCAUAUCAAGAAAACAAACACAAAAUCUAAAUACAAACUCCCACUAUACUGGAACAUCAUCAAUAUGUACAACACCCAUAUGUGUGACAUGAUCAUGAUAUACUUUGGGUGGCAAACCCUUAGUGAGCGGAUCCGCAAUCAUGAAGUUUGUGCUUGUAUGUUCAAUCGAUACUUGAAGACUCUAAACUCUUUCUUUCACAACCAAGAACUUGAUGUUAAUGUGUUUGGACUUUGACGAACUUCGGUUGUUCUUAGAAUUACAAUUCUGUGGCUUUAUUAUCACAAUUUAUUCUUAAUGGUUUCUCAAUCUCAUCAACGAUUCGCAACUGAGUGACAAAAUUCCGUAGCCAUAUCCCAUGGUUUGAUGCUUUGUAGUAGGCUAUGAAUUCUGCCUCCAUGGUGAAAGAAGCAAUAAGUAUUUGUUUAACACUUUUCCAUGAAACUGUUCAUCCAACCAACAUGAAGAUGUAGCUUGAAGUGGAUCUCUUGCUGUCAAGACAUCCCACGAAAUCGGAGUCCGAAUAUCCCAUGAUCUCUAAAUGACUGGAUCUACGGUAUGUGAGCAUAUAAUCUUUAGUUCUUUGUAAAUACUGCAUAACCUAUUUUGCCUUUUUCCAGUGAUCCAUACCUGGGUUACUCAAAUAUUUGCCUAACAUUCCAAUAAUGUACGUAAUAUCUGGAUGCGUACAAACUUGUGCAUACAUGAGACUUCCUAUUGUUGAGGCAUAGGGAAACCUCUUCAUAUCCUUCUUUUUAAGUUCAUUUUUCGGACAUUGGUGCAAACUAAAUUUAUCGCCUUUUGCUACAGGCAUGUCUCCUGGUGUACAAUUGCUCAUGCCAAAUCUACUUAACACCUUAUCGAUGUAGGCCUUUUGUGAUAACCCAAGUAUACCUCUUGAACGAUCCUUAUAGAUCUGUAUACCCAGCAAAAAAGAUGCAUUACCUAGAUCCUUCAUGUCAAAUUUACUAGACAAAAAUCGCUUUGUUUCAUGCAAAAGUCCCACAUCACUACUUGCAAGUAGAAUAUCAUCAACAUAUAGCACCAAGAUAAUGAAUUUGCUCUCACUAAACUUGAGAUAUAUGCAUUGAUCAAUGGUGUUUUCCUUAAAACCAAAUGAAGUAAUCACCUGAUCAAACUUUUGGUACCAUUGUCAAGAUGCUUGCUUUAAACCAUAUAUGGACCUUUUUAAUCUGCAUACAAGUUGCUUUGAAUCAUUAGACUCAAAGUUCUCCGGUUGCAUCAUGAAUAUUGUUUCAUCAAUGUUACUAUUAAGAAACGUAGUUUUAACGUCCAUUUGAUGCAGCUCUAAAUCAUAAUGAGCCACAAGUGCCAUGAUGAUUCUAAAGGAGUCAUUUGACGAAACCGGUGAAAAGGUCUCCUUAUAAUCAAUGCCUUCCUUUUGAGUGAAACCUUUUGCGACUAGACGUGCCUUAUACCUAACAAUGUUGCCUUUUGAAUCCCACUUGGUCUUAAAAAUCCAUUUACAACCAAUCGGUUUUACACUUUCAGGCAACUUUACUAGGUCCCAAACACCAUUGUCUUUCAUUGAUUUCAUCUCAUCCUUUAUGACUUCUAUCCACUUUUCAGAGUCAGAACUUUGUUUGAAUUGACUAACUGAAAUUGGAUCGUCUUCCAAACCCAUGUCAAACUCUUGUUCCUGGAGAUGUACAACAUAAUCAUCUGAAAUUGUACUUCUCAUUUCUCUAGUGGAUCUCCUUAGUGGCACUUGUAUUUGAGGUUCUUGAGGCUGUUGAGUUACCUCUUCAUAAACUUGAAUCGGUUCCAUAACUUGAGCAGGAGGAAUCUCAGGUGUGUUUUGAAUCUCUGUUAUUGACUGCACAUUCUGGAUAGUGUCAUCAAACAUAAUAUGACCAUGUCCAGUUGUAAUAAUAGGAACACUAACAGAUUACUCUUCAAAUACCACAUUUCUUAACGGUUCUCUCCCAUUUAACUCAACAUCCUCAAUAAAUUUAGCUUUGCCCGUUUCAAAAAAGGAUCUAGUUGAGGGGUCAUAAAACUUGAAACCUCUCAACCUUUUAGAAUAUCCUACAAAGUAGCAGCUCACUGUUCUGGAGUCCAAUUUCUUUUCAUUUGGUUUUUAAGGCCUAGCUUUAGUUGGACAACCCCAGACAUGCAAGUGCCUAAUACUAGGUUUCUUGCUAGUUCAUAACUCAUAUGAGGUUUUGGCUACUGCUUUGCUUGAGACUCUAUUCAAAAUAUAAAUUGUUGUUUUGAUGGCUUCGCCCCAAAGUGAUUCUGGUAAGGUGGAAUGACUGAUCAUACUUCUUACCAUAUCCUUAAGAGUACGGUUUCGCCUAUCUGCUACACCAUUUUGGCUUGGAGUCCCCAGCAUAGUGUAUUGAGGAACGAUACCACACUCCAUCAAAUAUUUGGCGAACGACCCUAGACGUUGUUCAUUGGAUCCGUCAUAUCUGCCAUAAUAUUCACCUCCACGGUCAGAUCUGACGACCUUUAUUUUCUUGCUUAGUUGGUUCUCAACUUUAGCUUUGAAAUUCUUGAACACAUCUAAUGAUUGAGACUUCUCAUGAAUCAAAUAAAGAUAGCCAUAGCGCGAGUAAUCGUCAAUGAAAGUGAUAAAAUAUUGUUGUCCAUUCCAAGAAGGGGUAGGAAAUGGACCACAAAUGUCCGUAUGUAUCAAUUCAAAGACGUCACUGCACUUGUUAGCAUCAUUUUUUUCUCAUAUUUGUUUGUUUACCCUUAAUACACUCUAUACAGACUCGAAAGUCUAUGAAAUUAAGUGGAUCAAGAAUUCAUUCUGACACAAGCCUUUGAAUACGUUGAUUUGAAAUAUGACCCAAACGCCUGUGCCAUAACAUCGAUGAAUUCUCAUUUGUUAAUUUCCGUUUAAUGUCAUAAUUACUUGAAUUCAAGGUUUCAUUUCCAUUAGUGGUCUUUAUAUUUAAUUUGUAUAAUUUGUCUAUUAGACUACCUGUACCAAUAACAUUUGAAUUUAGAUAAAGACUAACCAUUCCAUUUCUAAAUGAACAAUAAUAUCCAAAUUUGUCUAGACAUAAAACAGAAAUUAAAUUCCGUCUAAACGACGAUACUACAAAAGUCUCUUCCAAAUCCAAAGUACAUCCAGAGUCUAACUGUAAUCUAAAAAGACCAAUAGUCUUGACUGCAACCUUGUUGCCAUUUCCCACAUAGAUGUAUUUUUCACCAUCAGUUGGCAUUCGACUCCUUAGGCAACCCUACAUCGUGACACUUAUGUGAGUAGUUGCACCCGUAUCUAUCCACCAAGUGUCAGUAGGCACUACGACUAAAUUAAUUUAUGAACAAACAAAGUUGAGAAGUGUACCUUUCUUUUCACGCCAAGCGGCGUAUUUGGUACAUGUCUUCUUCAUAUGACCAACCUUCUUGCAAAAGAAACAAGUCAUCUCCUUAUCUUGUUUCUUCUGCACCUUUUGCAUUGAUGUCCUAAAAAUUGCAUUUUGUUUUUCUUUAUUGUCCUUCUUUCUUUUCUUUUUGGUACCAAAUCCCUGAGAUGUGGAAGCCAAGUGAGAACUUUCUAUCUUUUCUUGUUUCAAUCUCUCAUCCUCUUGUGCACAUUGAGCAAUAAGCUCAUUCAAAGUCCAUUUUUCCUUUUGUGUUGUAACUAAUUUUGAAUGGACUGAAUUGUGUAGGCAGAGAGAUUAAGACCAAGUGCACAAGUAUGUCUUCCGAAAACUCUAACUUUAGUGCCUUUAGUCUAGUCACAAGAUUAGACAUUUCCAUAAUAUACUCCCUUAUAUUCUCUUUCCCUUUGUAUCGCAUAGAGACAAGCUUACUAAGAAUAGUGCUUGUCUCAACCUUUUCAUUUGAAGCGAAUCGGUUUGCUAUCUGGUCUAAGAAUGCCUUGGCUUGAGUUUUCUCAGGUAUUGGACUCCUUAUAGCUUUUGGAAUUGAGUACUUCGUUAUCAUUAGACUCAUGCGAUUGGAUCGCUCCCAUUUUUCCAUAGUAGACCUUUGCUCAGUAGUGCUGGCACUAGUAAGAUCUGGAGGGCGAUCCUCUCUUAAUGCAUAGUCUAAAUCCAUGCACCCGAGCACAAUUAUAACGUGCUCCUUCCAUUUCUUGAAGUUUGUGUCAUUAAGCGCAGGAAUGUUAUUAACAUUUGUAGAUAUAGAAUAUGUUAAAUUCAUAAUAAUAAAGCUCACAAUCAAUCACAUAAACAUCAUACAUACAUGAAAAAUAACAUCAUACAAGAUACUUAGCACAAAUAUUAAUAUUUUGUCUUUGGACAAUAAAUAUUAACUUGUAAUUGGUAUCCUUAUACAAAAUUAAUUCAUAAAUAUUGACAAUAAAACCAAAAACAAUAUGUUUGUCUUUAGACUAAUAUGUCGAAUGCAAGAUAAACUUUAUAUGUCACAUAUUUAUGACUACUUUAUUUAUUAUUAUAUUAAAAUAAUCUUCCUUUGGGCCGAUUAUUUUAAAUAAUAAUAAUAACAUGUUUAGAUAUUAUAAAAUAAAUAAAUUAUAUAAUAUAAGUUACUUUGGCAACUAACAUACAUAAUUCAUUUAUUUUAAAAUAUUAAACACAAACAUAACAAGAAAUAAUAAAUUCAAUUAAAAUUAUUUAUUUAUUUAUGCAUAAUAUAUAUAUAUAUAUAUAUAUAUAUAUAUAUAUAUAUUAAUUGAAGCAUAAAAAACCAUCUACAUGUGUAUAUAUAUCAAUUGAAGCAUAUAUACAAGCAUUAGUCUAAUGGUUUAAGCAAAAAAUAGGCCAUGGUAAAGGGUUUAAGCCAACCCGCCCCUUUAGUUUGGUUUUUGUUUUUUUUUUUUUUUUUUUUAAUUUCUUUUGGGCUACUGACCAUGCAUUCUCUCAUGGCCCAACGAAUAUAUAUAUAUAUUUGUUUUAAAAAAAUUUUGUCCAUUGCAGCCCAAAGCGACCAUCCCUUGUAAUGGCAUCAUCAACGGUGCCAGAGCUGUCCUCGAACGACACCGACAGUGAAACGCCGCCACCAUCACCGGAACGGUGAUUUCCCAUCGCCAAACGACGGUGUCACUACCAGAAUGACGUUGUAACGGCAUCGCUGGGAAGCAGCCUAACCUGUGGCGUGACACCAUGACAAGCAAUGCCGCUAGCAGUGAAACGUUGUCGCCAUCACCAGAAUGGUGAUUUUCCAUCGCCAAACGAUGGCGCCACCAUCGAAACAACGCUGAAACGACGUCACUGGGAAGCAACCCUACCCGCGGCACCAAAAUGGCACUUGGAUGACAUUUGGAACUCUUGCAACAACGCUCAAAUCAGCGAUUCUCACUGGCAAAUGACGCUUGAACGACGUCUGGAAAUAAUGCCUACAACGCCUAAAAAUUGUGCUCUUUUGAACGCCUGAAACAACGUUGAAAUGACGUCUACCGGCGUCUGGAAUUGCACCGCUGUCUAGAACGAUGCCAUGAUGGUGUCUCACUCACCUUAAAUGGCACCAACCACCGUGACUUGCAUCCCCAAAAAUGGCACUUGAACAGCGCCUGAAGCGUGCCUGGAACGACGCUGCAAACGAUGCUUGAAAUGGUGCAUUUUGUAUGCUUGAAAAUGGCACAGGAAUGACGCCUACACUACGUCCAUUUUGAAUGCCUGAACGGUGUCCUAACGGCGCCUGAAUGACGCCUGGAAUUGGCCCAGAUUUAUUUUAUGUUGUUUCCUUCCUCUUGGAUCUUUUGUUUGUGUUUUAAAAAAAAAGUGUUUUGGUGAAAAUGGGAAAUGCAACCAGGCUCUGAUACCAUUUUGUGGGACGUUCAUUCUCCAUUAUCAUCGAACACAUGCAGGAUAUAUUUAUAUAUAUAUAUAUAUAUCAAUUCAUUCAAAAUAUGCCUUCAUUUUAUGGAACAUACCCGAAUCCAUUUUGUUUGUGUUGAAGAGGUAUAAAUCUUCUAAGGCUAUGGGGGGUACCACAUUUUCUUAGAAUUCUCUAUGACGAUGGGAAGCCAGAGAGAACAAGUUCUAUUUUUAUUUUGAAAACGUUGUUAUCCUUAAAUAACAAACACUAUUAUUUGGAUUUAUACUCUCCUACCUUAGGGACCAUACCCUUUGGCUAUUGGGCCUUACGAGUCUUAGGCCCAUCAUCUAAGGCUCGUGAUGGCACUAGGCUCUACACAUAAGGUGGCCCAUACUCUGGAACGAAUAGAAAUCAUAUGUGUAUAUAUGGAUAGCUAAAUCUUGAACAAUGGUUAAUAUGAUGUCAGUUCACAUUUAUUAUAUCAUAGAGACUUCCCAUAUGAAGAAAAUUGACAGUAGGUAGCUUUGCCAUUCUUGUCCGUAUACAACCAACCUUAGCAAGGGUUGAACCCUUUUAUGCUUAGUUGUGCCAUACAAAUCCUUACCACCGCCUACAACAUGUAAUCGAAAUGAUUCGAUAAUAUCAUCUAGUGAACCAAUACCUCCAAAUGAGAGACCAUUGCCUUGGUAACUAGGGCUCAUGACUGAGAAUUGCGUGAACCCCUUUGCUUGGGUUGGAGCUUAACUGAUGCACAAAAUAUUCAUAGGCCUCUUCCCAUAACUGGCACCUUGUGUUUGCAACAUAAUUGAACAUGUAUUGAAGUGAGUUUUUUUGCAUCUUUUUGUAAGAAAAUUCUAAACAACAGAGACUGCUUAGUGUGCCCGGCUCCUCGGGAAAUCAAGGUUCAUUCCUGUAGGGCCAGUUUUUUCACAGUCGAACUAGAUAACAUGGAGAGUAUGUUGCAAUGCUUCAACAGGGUAUUUCUUAGGAAAAUCCACCUGAAGUUGGUACAAUUCGUUGGCGUACUGAGUUCCUGGAGCUCUAUUGACUUCAAUCACCCAUCUCUGUAGAUUAUCGAUGACUUAUGCUCGGAUCCUGUAGGAGGAUUGACCUGACAUUCCACUAGCUCUUUCUGGAAGACGAUCUUGUUUAACACCUUGUGAGAAGAGGCAAGGGAACUGGUCAUUGUUUCUUCGAGAAGAUCAGUGGCCGAGGAUGGGUUUGGACCAUAAUUGCUAUAUGGGUUUUCUUUGGGUGAACCAAUUAGUGGAGUGGGUGGCUAUAUAGCAACUGAAGGGUGGUCAUACUAAUGAGGAGCUAUUAUUUCAUGCAUGUGGAGAGGAAAUGAGUAGCUUCUUCAAGGAUAUAUGAUUAUUCAUCUCUAGCUUACGUUGAAUAUCUCCUAACAAAUUUCUGCUUUGAAGCUCCCUUAGUUUCACUACAGCUAACUUGGCCAACUUGGUUUCAUCAUGUUUCCUACAACCUCUAAGCAAAGCACGCCAGAUCACUGAAUCAGGUUCUAUUUGCAUUUUGUCCAUAAACUCCUUUGCCUAUUGACAAUAAACUGCCCCUCAAAAUUUGAUGAGAUAACAUCAAUGCUGACAUGUUGGUCAUCCCCAUAAGCAUCUUUAUAGAGAUUGAUUCUAUGUUUAGAUAUUUCUCUCUCCUCAAGUGAGUUCAACUUUUUUGUAACAUCCUUCUCCUUCUCUACUAAUAGUCUUAGUUGAACAUCCAACCUAUGUUCCCAAAGUGCCAGCAUCUCAUAUCUGAUGACAAGCCAACAACCUUGCCCUUGCUGAGACCCAAAUAAGUAUCCAGAACCAUCAGCAUCAACCCUUUCAUAGGCCUUUGUAUUUGAAGGUCGGAUUGGGAUUGCUUUGAAUGCACUGGCACUACAAUACACAAUUGUAUCUUCUCCAAUAAAAACACCACACAGAGGUGAGGGGACUGGUAUUAGCAAAGAAGUGUUGUUAUCUAUAUUGUUCUGAGCCCGAGUACCCUCAACAAAAUCCUCAUCCUCAUCUGUACUCUUCCAUUACAUCCCUAGGCUUUUCAAUGUGAUCCACAUGGCUUACAGGAAUCCAGAAAUACCAGUCUGUAUAAAUGUUGCUCUUAUGGGGCUCUCCUAGAAAACAUCCCUAUCAAGAUGAUCAACCUAGCUUAGAUGCUCAGCACCCCAAACUUACUAGAAAUAGAGGAAUUAAAAGCAAGGAUAGGAGCCAAAGUAAAAAUUUAGGGAAGAGCAAAUAGGAAAUCAAGCAAAACAUGAAUGUACAGAGCCUCAUUUCAGGUGACAUCUUUGGGCUAAUAAUAGGUGGAAUUAACAAAGUAGACAAGCAUGAUUGUUAUAAAUAUCAAGUUCAAGGAUGAAGCCGUGCAUCAGCUACUUAUAGGGGGAGUCAAGGAAACCAAGAUAAGAUCAAAGAGAGCAUGUAUGCAAAUAAACAGAUUCGAAAAAAUAGACCAAACAACUCGUGAAUAUCCUCCUACAAAAAACUACUACACGUGGCAAAAAGUGAUGAAACAAAAAGAGUCGGGUCCGCAUAUACAUAUCCUAUUCUAUCCUAUUCCUUCAAAUCCAAAGCAACCUGUAUUUUCAAUGGGAUUUGUUGUGAUGAAUUUUACUGGAUUGUAACAUGUAAAUAUGUUAAAAGAGGCUUGGGACAUUCCUAUAUAGUAACGCAUAAAGGUACUUCCAUUGUGAAGUUGUCAAAAUUGCAAAUUUAAAUUACAAAAUUUGAAAACAUAGAGAUGAAAGAUGAUGAAACCUUCUUUGAAAUUUUAUAUUGAACUCAUUAAUAUUAUUAAUUUUCAUUUCAGUGUAGGGGAAAGAAUUCUUUACUCUAAAGUGGUCACAAAAAUAUUAAAAUUCCUUGUUGAGAGAUUUAGACCUAAAGUGAUCAAUAUAGAAGAAAGUAAAAAUAUUCUAAGUGUAGGUAAACUUGUAGACUCAAAUGACUCUACCUUCUCAUAAAAAAUCCUCAAUUUUAUAAAUUAUAUAGAUUUCUUCAUUUGAUACAAAAUUUGAAUAAAGAUUUUUCAAAUGACAACACAAGGAAAGGGAAAAAAAAAAUUCUCUCCAGUUCAUUUCAUUUAAUCACUUAAAUUAUUUAAAAAUAAAAAUGUUUACUGCUAACAUUAUUUAGAUUCAUCUUUCUUUUGAUGGAGGUUAAAAUUCAUAAUUUUGAGGAAAAAGAUGAGGAUUCUCAUUUUUUUUUCCAUGUAUGAAUGGGAUUCUCAUUGUGUAUAUGUGGGUUACUAAAUGGCAAAUUUAGGGGCCAAUAUGAGGAAAAAUAUGAAGUUGAGUUUGUCACCAAGAACAAACAUGACUCCUAUAAAGGUGGCAUCCUUAAUUUCAUGUCUGGAUUAGACUUCUCAUGUAACAACUUAACAGGUGAAAUCUCUCAUGAACUUGGAAUGUUAAGUUUGAUUCAUGCAUUGAACUUGUCUCGCAAUCAACUAAAGGGCUCCAUUUCAAACAGUUUUUGCAAUCUUUCUCAAACAGAGAGCUUAGAUCUUCUUAAUAAUAAACUAAGUGGAGAAAUUCCUCCAAAAUUGGUUAGACUAACUUUUUUAGUGGUGUUCAAUGUGACUCAUAGUAGCAUCUUUGGAAGAGUUUCAGAUAUGAAUGCAUAAUUUGCAAUAUUUGAUGAAAGUAACUAUGAAGAUAAUCCUUUCCUUUGUGGACCACCAUUAAAGAGAAAAUGUAGCAUAAAUGUUAAGCCACCUUACCCACCAUUAGAGUCUUCGGAAAAAAGUGAUGCAAAAUGGUAUAAUAUCGAUCUUGUGGUUUUCUUUGCAAGUUUUACUAUAUCAUAUAUCAUGAUAUCAUUAGGAAUUUCAACCAUUCUUUACAUUAACCCUUAUUGGUGUCAAAGAUGGUUCAAUUUUAUCGAGAAAUAUAUAUACUUUUGCUAUUAUUUUGUUUCCUAUACUCUUUCCAAGUUAUUAACAUAUUUUGAAUAAUUAGAGAUUUUUGUUUUCAAUAAUAUUUACAUAAUUAACUACUAUUGGCUUCCAUGACAUGGAAAGAAAUGCGGUGAAGGCAACAACCACUUUUUUUUCUCCUCUACUAGUGCAUGAUUGAUAUGAGUUAAAACUUGCACCCUUAUCUUUGCUUAAAUUUUCUCAGCUUUUGUUUCAAUUCUUAAUUAUCAUUUCUUUUAUGUGUUGUUUAAUACAAUAUCCUAAACACAUUGCUUUGAAGGUUACUUAUUUAUUAAGCAUGAUAUUUAUUUUUCAUAAAGACAAAUUCAAGUUUUUUAGGAAUUUUUAGAAUUAUUAUAAUUUGGAGUUCACAUUAGAGGAAAAAAGGAAAGAAAAGAAUAGAUGAUUAAAAAAACAAUUUUAGUAAGUAUAAUUUGUCAUCUUCGGUAUAACAAAUGGGAAUUCCAAAAUAAUAUUUCAAUUUGUUAGUCUAUUCCUUAUAGUAUUAAUUGAUAUAUCAAAUAGGAAGUCACGUUUUGAUUUUUUAUUAGCUUCAAUUGCAUGUCACAUAUAUUUUAAAAUCAAGCAUACCUCAGCCGGGAAGUUCUUGUAACAUGCAUGAACAUGAUAUGAUGAAUUGAAUAAUUUUCUUAAUUGUGUGAGACACAAACCCUCUUUGUUUAAUAAUAAUAAUAAUAUACUACACAUUAUUAAAUCAUAUAUGUAUAUUUAUAGUCGUAUAAUAUAUUCAAAAUAUUAAACACAUUACCCUCUUAAAUUUUUAUGAAUGGUGUUUACUUUACAUAACGACAGAUUCAAAUUUUUUUAGAAUUUUUUAAUGUUAAAAUAAUUUGGAGCUUAAUAGGGAAAAAAAAGAAUAAAUAAUUAGAAAAGCAAUUCAAAAAAAAUAAAAUUUAUCCUCUUAAAUUGGUUUUGUGUAAUACUAUAGAAGCCAUUUCUUGAGUUUGAUAUGGUAGAAUUCGGAUUCAUAUUUAUUUUAAAAUAAAGAAUUUCAAGGGUUGGUAGCAUCAAUAGAAUCUUAACAAAUUUGCAAAAAAGUAUUUGGGUAGAUCACAUUUAAAUAUAGCUAACAGAAUAAAAAAUUAAUAUUAUUAGGAAGACAUGAUCAAUUAAAUCUUUUUUCUUAUCUAUGACACCGAUUUUAUAUUUUUACAUAGUCAAUAUAAUUUAUUACAACUUAUAUGUCAUUAAAUUAUACAUGCUUAUAUUAAAUAUAAUAUAAGAUCAUUAAUGGAAUAAUUAUGCAAGUAAUAUAAAUUGUAUAUAAUAUAAAAAAUUUAAACUCCGUCAAACUAAUGGAAUCUAUUAUAAUAAGUAGACUAGACACCAUAUUGGCCCGAGUUGGAGGCCUGGGCCAGAUUUUAAAGGCUGGGCUUUGAGUUGCCCGUGGGCCUGAGCCAAGGCCUUCUCUUGGUAUCAUCAUUUUGAAGAAAUAAAUUGCUGAUACAGAGAAAAAAACUAUACUAAAUAGAAAAAUAAAUAAAAGCAUUGACUAAAAUGAAGGUCAAGGUCCUUGAAAAAUAAUCUUUAAAUUGUUGCAUAUAUAAUUUCAAUAAUGCAUAAAUAAUUGCAAUAUAUAUGAUAUGAUAAAGAAUUUGGAAUUAAAAGAAGAUUGAUCUAUUUUAAAUGUGGUUGGAAUAUUUUUAAAUUUGUGAUGGGAAGUUAGACAGCCAAUUAGGGAUCCAUAUUAUUUAUUUUCAAUUAUAUGAAUUUAUUUACUUUUAUUAAUAUUCUGAAUGCAACAAUAUAAAAUAUGUCAAUUUUCUAAAAUUAAAAAAGUAAUUGCAAAAGAAAAUUUUUAAUUAUUUUUCUGAAAUUGAGUUUAUCAUAACAUUUUUCUUUACAUAAAUUUCUUUUUUAUGUUUAUUUUUUUAAAAAUGAGAUAUGAAAAAAAAAGAUCAAUAUUAGUAAAAGUAAAACCCAAUAUAUAUAAAAAAAAUGAAUAAAUGUUUAUGAAAUAAGAUUUAAAAGUGAGAAGGUAAUAAAUUUUUUCUCUUUUAAUUCCUAUUCAAUACAUUACAAAAAAUAUUUUUGGUUUUUAUGCUAAAAUUUAUUGUUUAUUAAAAAAUUCUAGUAUAUCUAGCUAUCAUAGAAGAGCUCCAAAAUUUUAUUGUUUAAGAGAAUGUGUUGCCACUUUAAAAGAUUUAUAUGCAUACCUUUGGAUAUGUUUAGUUCCCGGUAAAUUUGAAGGAAAAUGUGAAGGAAGAAAAAUAGAGAAGAAAAGUAUAACAAAAUAAAAAGUGAAGGAAAAUGAAAAAUAGAUUUAAAAUUAAUAAAUUAUUUUCAUUGGUUUUUUCAAAUUUAUUUUACUUAUUUUAUUCUAUUAAAUAAAGAUUAACUAAUUUUAAUUAUAUUUGGUUUGAUUUUUAUUAUUUUUCAAAGCAAAACCAAAUAUGAAAAAAAAAACAUUUUUUUUGGUUAUUUUUUUCUUUCCUUAUUACUCUUCGGGACUCAAACAUAGCUUUUAGAUUUGGGGCAUGGAAAAAUAAGAGUAUUGAAUAAGGGUUCUAUAUAUGCCCAUGCCCAUGCCCAUGAUACCAUUGAAAAAAAUGGAGAGAGGGUGAAACCUUUACUAGAUGAUAAAUUAUUCUCUUCAAUGGAAAUCAAAUAUAAUUAUUUUUAUCUUGUAUUAAUUGAAUGUUAUACUCCAUAAACUCAAAAUUAAAAUAAAUAAAAAAUUUAAAAACUAGGACAAUCCCAUUUUUUUUCAAUUUCUUAAAAAGAAAUUAAAUUAUAUUUAUUUAUAUCUAUUUUCAUCCCUACCCAACAAAAUAAAAAAAAUUAACAUUGUGGAACAUGUAUGAGAAAUUCUCACAAUUUUUUUUAAGAAAAAUAAAUUUCUUAUUUUAUAUAUGUUAAAAAUAAAUAUAAUCUUUUAUUUUUUAUAUAUAUAAUCGGGUAAGGUAGAGUGGGACAAAGAAAUAAUCCCCUUCGAUUCCAAUCCGAAAUUUUAAAAUAUAAAAUAAAAAUCUUAAACUCAUCCCUAAUCCAUUUAUUUUUAAUCCUAAACUUGUCUUAUAAGGAAUAAGGCAAAGUAAGUACAUGAAAACACUUUUUUUUAUCAUCAUCUCUACAAGUUCUAAUGUUUAGAUUGCAAUCCAUAUCAAAGAUUUAUAAAGAAAGAACAACGAUGAAUUUCAUAAACAUUUGAAAGCAUAUACAAAGUUUUAAAUAAUAUUGCUUGAGGUGCAAAUAUUAUUUGGCGCACACGUUGAGGGACUUCAACUGGUGUUGUCUAGGUUUUUUACACUAGUAAGUAAUCUUGAAUAUCUAGAGUAACUUGAUCAAAAUCUCUUUAAUUUUAUUUUCUUUGAUGAAUUAGAAUGCUUAUAUAACAUGAUUAAAAAUUUUAAGAAAAAAAAACUAAGAAGAAAGAAAGAAGUACCGAUCUUCCAAAUAUUGCUUCCACUUUAAUAUUUAGAAGGCUCUAAGAAAAGAAUUUUAUUCAUGAAUCACAACCCAAGUCGAAAAUAAAUUGAACCCAUUUUCUAAGUUAAAUUUUGAAUUUUUUACUAGUGAAUGCAAAUUGGGAAAAUGUAUAUAAAUAUAAUUAAACUAGAAUAGUAGGUUAGGUUUGUGUGGUCCCACGAUGACUUGGAAGUUUCAACAAUUCAAGCAGACUCCACCUAUAAACCUAAUAUACUAUUUUAGUUUAAUUAUAUUUAUAUAUGUUUUCCCAAUUUGCAUUCACUAGUAAAAAAUUCAAAGUUGAACUUGAAAAAUGGGUUCAAUUUAUUUUCGAUUUGGGUUGUGAUUCAUGAAUGAAACAAUGAUCAAUGACUUGACUUUUAAGGCCAACUUAGUUAAGUCAUUCCUAACCCCUAUAUUAAUUUGGCCUUAAAAGUCCAGUAAUUGAUAGCUAAAUCCCAACCCAAGUCAAAAAUAAAUUGAACCCAUUUUCUAAGUUCAACUUUGAAAUUUUUUUUAAUUGGAAAAAUGUAUAUAAAUACAAUUAAACUAGAAUAGUAGAUUAGGUUUGUAGGUGGAGUCUGCUUGAAUUUGUGAAACUUCCAAGUCGUCGUGGGUCUAGUGGUCCCAUAGCUCUCUAUUAAUUUCCACCAUCAAUUUUCUGCAAUAAAGUCAAGUCAUUCCUAACCCCUAUAUUAAUUUGGCCUUCAAAGUCCAGUCAUUGAUAGCUACGUUCAUGAAUCCCAACCCAAGUCAAAAAUAAAUUGAAUCCAUUUUCUAAGUUCAACUUUGAAUUUUUUUUAAUUGGAAAAAUGUAUAUAAAUACAAUUAAACUAGAAUAGUAGAUUAGGUUUGUAGGUGGAGUCUGGUUGAAUUUGUGAAACUUCCAAGUCGUCGUGGGUCUGGUGGUCUUAUAGCUCUCUAUUAAUUUCCACCAUCAAUUUUCUGCAAUAAAGUCAAGUCAUUCCUAACCCCUAUAUUAAUUUGGCCUUAAAAGUCCAGUCAUUGAUAGCUACGUUCAUGAAUCCCAACCUAAGUCAAAAAUAAAUUGAACCCAUUUUCCAAGUUCAACUUUGAAUUUUUUUUAAUUGGAAAAAUGUAUAUAAAUACAAUUAAACUAGAAUAGUAGAUUAGGUUUAUAGGUGGAGUCUGCUUGAAUUUGUGAAACUUCCAAGUCGUCGUGGGUCUAGUGGUCCCAUAGCUCUCUAUUAAUUUUCACCAUCAAUUUUCUGCAAUAAAGUCAAGCCAUUCCUAAACCAUAUAUUAAUUUGGCCUUAAAAGUCAAGUCAUUGAUAGUUACGUUCAUGAAUCACAACCCAAGUCUAAAAUAAAUUGAACCCAUUUUCCAAGUUCAACUUUGAUUUUUUUUACUAGUGAAUGCAAAUUGGGAAAACGUAUAUAAAUAUAAUUAUACUAGAAUAGUAUAUUAGGUUUGUAGGUGGAGUAAGCUUGAAUUGUUGAAACUUCCAAGUCAUCAUGGGUCUAAGGGUCCCAUAGCUCUCUAUUAAUUUCCAUCAUCAAUUUUUAUGAAUUCAGAUUUAAAAGUGAGAAGGGAAUAAAUUUUUUCUUUUUCAAUUCAUUACAAAAAAUAUUUUUGGUUUUUAUGCUAAAAUUUAUUGUUUAUUCAAAAAAUUAAAGUAUAAAAAUAUAAAAUAUAUAUCUUGCUAUUAUAGAAGAGCUCCAAAAUUUUCGUGUUUAAGAGAAUAUGUGUUGCCACUUUAGAAGAUUUAUAUACAAAAAGGAUUGAUGUUUCUCCUUUGACUAUGUUUGGUUCCCAAAAAUUUGAGGGAAAGAAAAUAAAAAAAAGGUAGUAAAAAAGAAAAAAUGAAGGAAAAUAAAAAAUAGUUUUAAAGUUAAUAAAUUAUUUUUAUAUGCUAUUUCAAACUUAUUUUACUUAUUUUUUUUCAUUAUAUAAAGAUUAAAUAAUUUUAAAAUGCAUAACUAAUUUUAAUUAUAUUUAAUUUUUCUUUUAUAUUUUUUAGACGGGAUCCAACACAUGUAAAAAUCCUUUUUUUUAGCAUCUUUUUUUCUUUUCUUAUUACUUUCCAAUAACCAAAUAUAACCUUUAGAUUUAGCCUUUAGACUUGGAGUAUGGAAGGAUACUGAGUAUUGAAAGAAGGUUUUGUAUAUGGCCAUGAUACCAUAGAAAAAAUGGGCGACAGAGAAAAAACCUUUAUUAAAUGAUAAAUUAUUUUUUUCAAUGGAAAUCAAAUAUAAUUAUUUUUAAAAAUAAAAAUAAAAAAUAAUAAUUUGUUGUUGCAUUAAGUAUUCUUGCAUUUGGAGAAGCAUGUACUACUUACUACAUAAAUGGAUAUUCAUGGAGUGCAUUCUCUAGAAAGCUCCAGUCUCAUGAAAAUGGAAAGAUGGACCGGCCGGUGAACCGGUUCGAGUUUGGAUUUAUGGGCUGCCUCAGCCUAACACGCAUGAUAGGUUGUUGUAGGUGAAGAACUAACUAAUUAAUUUAAAGCCUUCUUCUAUCCUCUCCUAUUCCUCUAUCACUCCAAAUGUUCCACAUGAUAAUGACAAUUCUUUUGUUAAAUGGUAAAAAAAAAAUUUAACAAUUAAUUUAAAAAAUUUUUAAAAUCUAAAUCCAAUGGAAAUUUGACUGUAAGGUGCGUAGAAGGCCCUAGUGCCCAUGUUGCUAAUUUGAUGAUAGUUAAAUUACCAUUUCGAGAGAUUCCACUCACUAGUAUUCUCAUUUAUAAAAUCAUGAACUUUGGCAUCCUAAUUAAUGUAAUUUAACUUUUUUUUGUUUACAAAUGAAAUAAGAGGCAACAUAUAAACCCAAAAGUUAAUUUUCCUACCAUCUCUAUGCACCAUUUUAGCUUUACUCCAAUAUAUUUUCUAUGAUUAAUUAUUUUCAUUCAAACAAUAAUAUCAAAAUAUUUUAAAAUUAGACAUAUCCACUAAUAUAUCUUCGAUAUAUUAUAUAUAUCUGUAAAAUCGAAACACCAAUAUAUCCGUGAUUAUCGAUAUUUUUAUCGUUGAGGGAUAACAACUAAUCUAGUUUUUGUACCUAUUGAUAUUCCUCAACAUUUAGAUUGAUUUGACCAUUUUUUUUUUAAUUUUAUUUUCUUUGAUGGUUAUAUGAUGAAUUAGAAUAGUCAUAUAACAUUAACAGAUUUAAGCAAAAAUGAUAAAAAAGCUCGCAUUUUUCAAAUAUUGGUUUCAACUUUGAAUAUUUUUAUUGGUAAAUGAAAAUUGUGAAAAACCUACUAAUGCUAAUACUUUUCACCACAUAAUUAAAUAUAAUAAACUAGAAUAGUGAUUCAUUGAUGUCUUAUAAAGCUACAUGCCUUCUUUGACUUGUUAGUUGAUUUUUGUAGGUGGAGUCUGUAGGGACCCCUCCCCCUGAUGACACGUGGCACGCAUUUCUAUCCGGAUUAGCUCCAUCCGGAUUUCCUCCAAGGAGACACGUGGCGCGCUUCCCCUAUCCGGACUCCCUCAGGGAGAAGCACACGACACUCGCAAACAUCACAUCCGGACGACCGCCAUAUCGCAUCCGGACGAUCGACAUAUCCUAUCCGGAUAUGUUUGUCCGGAUCGUUGACUAAAGUAAGCAAGUCUUACUACGUCAUUCCGACAGCCUGCCAUGGCCCACGUUCCACCACCUGCAAAGUGAAAAGACAGGAAUGAUGGCAAGUCACUUCCUACGAUCUCUGACAGCUGUGGCGCCUCUCACGAUCUCUGUCAGCCGCCCGUAGGGUGAUGAUGGCCCUGUCACCACCUAGAGUCAUCAUGACAAGCCAAAAUAUCUCUCUAUCAUUAAAGAGGGAGACAGAGCUUCUGGUACUAUAUAUAUGGACCUUCACACAAAGAGGAAGGUAAGCUUGCUAUACCUAGUAAAAGGCCAACUGAUUUAUCUCUUUAACCAUGGCUGACAAAACCAUCGGAGGGUGUGUCCGGACACCCUGUCCGGACGCCUUUUGCAGGAACGAUUGAACCAGGAAUCUAUAUUGGUUGAGAUCGUGCGUCCAUCCAUUUGGCAACUACGUGGAUCACCAGGGACGCGAGGCCUCAACAUUGGCGCCGUCUGUGGGAAAAUCACUGAUUCAGUCACCGACAAAGAUAGCCACACCUUCCCAAAGCCGCUCGUCCGCUAGGGAAAAGGAAGAUAAUUCUGAAUGGCGCCGAGCCAUUGAAAGAAGACAGUUGGCAAGCUCGUGACAACUGCAAGCUCUCCUCCAGGAGACAGAAUGACUAAGAGAAGAAAACGCGGUACUACGCAUCCAAGCUUCAUCGACGGGGCCUCCCCGUCGUCAGCAUUCAAAAGGCCAGGUAGCAAACUCAAGGCCUGACCCAGAGUCAAUAUACCCUGGGGCAGCAGGAGCAAUACUUGAAACAUGCAACGUUAGGCCACAUGAGCCACACACGCCCAUGCACCGAGCUCCCCAUGAGGAAAGCUCAGACUCUACUCAUUUUUCAGCAAAAAGACAACGCGACAAAAAAUCCCAAUUGUCAAACUCAAUGCGUGCGAGACUAGGCCCACAGGAGCCUGGGAGGCCAAAGCCGCCAGUAGCCAUAACCUGGGCAGUGCACCUUGACCCUAUGGUCACCCCCAUGGUGCAGAGCGUUCUCCCGCACCGUGACCCUAUGGUCACCCCUAUGGUGCAGAACGUUCACCCGCACCUAGCGGUACGACAAGCUGGGAGAAACCUCCCAAAUGAGCCACCCAUUGGCUCCAUUAGCAAAAGGCUGGACGACAUGCUCUCCACGCCUUUUUGCUCUCAUAUCAUUCAUUACGAGCCCCCAAGGGGAUUCCUCGUGCCCAAAUUCUCCACAUACGAUGGGUCCAGCGACCCCUUCGACCAUAUCAUGCAUUAUCGACAGCUCAUGACUCUCGAUAUAGGCAAUGACGCGCAGCUAUGCAAAGUAUUCCCCGCCAACCUACAAGGGCAGGCCCUCUCAUGGUUUCACCGCCUACCUCCCAACUAUGUUGAUAAUUUCAGAGACCUAUCAGAGGCCUUCGUGGGACAAUACUUAUGCUCUGCUCGACAUAAGCAGAACAUCAGCACUCUGCAAAACAUAAAAAUGCAGGAUAACGAAUCCUUAAGGGAGUUCGUGAAGUGGUUUGGUCAUGCCGUACUACAGGUAAAGGCUUACAGCAUGGAUGCUGUCCUGCAGAUCUUCAAGCGAAGUAUUUGUCCAGGCACCCCAUUUUUUGAAUCACUCGCUAAAAAGCCUCCUACGACGAUGGACGACUUGUUCCAGCGUGCGAGCAAAUACUCAAUGCUCGAAGAUGACGUGCGAGCAGCCACCCAGCAAGUCUUGGUUGCCGGACAGGCAUCUAGAAGUGGCACGGAAAGAAGUGCCAAACUUCCGGACAGGCCAAGACAGUCCCAUCAAAGGCAGGAAGGGCCAAGUCGCCCGGAAAGGCCGCCCCUCACACCCCUUUCCAUAUCCUAUGAGAAGCUUCUCCCUAUGAUCUAAGACAUGUCCGACUUCAGGUGGCCUAGACCCAUCGGAACGGACCCAUCCAAAAGGGAUCAUAGUAAAAAAUGUGCCUUCCAUAAAGAGCAUGGUCACACAACGGAGACAUGCAGGUGCCUUCAUUAUUUGGUCGAAAGGCUCAUAAGGGCGGGACAUUUAAAGCAAUACCUCCACUCAGAUACCGGAGGUAGAGAUGCUUCCCGAAAUCACAACUCUGGAGCCCCUAGGGCCCUAGCCGUCCCCAAAGCCGUUAUAAACUAUAUUAACAGAGGCCCAUCUGACGAGGAGUACGACUCCAAACGAAAGAAACAAAAGUUGUUGCGGGCAGCAUCGGUGCGCGAACGUGUCAACUCCAUCCGGCCUGGGAUAACUGGGGGGGCCCUCGCCCCAUAGAUGGGAUAAUCAUUUUCCCACCAGUAGACCCCACCCGGAUAUUGAAGCCGCACCGCGACGCCCUCAUCCUGUCCUUAAAGAUAGGAGACUUCGACGUGAGACGCAUCCUGGUUGACCCAGGUAGCUCGGCCGAUCUUGUGCAAGCAUCGGUCAUUAGCCACAUGGGGCACAAUCUCACAGGCCUCGAAAACCCUGGGCGAAUCUUGUCCGGAUUCAACGGGGCGUCAACUACUUCAUUGGGAGACAUUGUACUGUCGGUCCAAGCUGGCCCAGUCACUCUCAACGUACAAUUUUCGGUGGUACAAGAUUUAUCACCCUUCAAUGUCAUCUUGGGGCGCACAUGGCUGCACUACAUGAAAGUCAUCCCCUCUACAUAUCAUCAAAUGGUAAGCUUCCUUACCAAGGAUGGGCAAAUUGACCUAUACGGCAGCCAGUUAGCCGCUCGCCAAUGCUACCAGAUAGCACGAGAAGCAGGGACCAACCAGGAGGAUGCAUCCCUCCCUGAGUCCAGCCAUGCACGUGACCAAUAGCAAUUAUUGAGUCCGGGGGACAAAGAUCCCCCGGCAGCGGAUCCCUUGCAAGCAAUCCAAAUUUCGGAAGAAGGUACUCACCUUACGAAUAUCAGUUAGAAGAGACCCGGAACAUGCAGAACGCCCUCAGACAAAACCAUGACGUCUUCGCAUGGACACAUUCUGAUAUGAAGGGAAUUCAUCCCUCCAUUACCUCUCAUAGGCUUAACGUCUUGCCAACAGCCAGACCCAUCCGGCAGAGGGUUAGACGUUUUCACCCGGACAGACAAAAAAUUAUCCGGAAUGAGAUUGACAAGUUGCUAGAAGUCGGAUUCAUCAGAGAAGUGCAUUACCCGGACUGGUUGGCAAAUGUAGUGGUGGUACCCAAAAAAGAAGGCAAAUGGCGGGUGUGAGUCGACUAUACCAACCUCAAUAAUGCAUGCCCAAAAGACAGUUUCCCUUUGCCACGGAUGGAUCAAAUUGUGGACUCCACUGCUGGGUAAGGGAUGCUCUCCUUCUUGGACGCCUUCUCUGGAUACCACCAAAUCCCCAUGUCCCCGGCUGAUGAAGAAAAGACAGCCUUCAUAACACCACAUGGUCUCUAUUGCUACAAAGUCAUGCCAUUCAGACUCAAAAACGCUGGUGCCACUUACUAGAGACUGAUGACGAAGAUCUUCAAACCUCUGGUCGGCCGCACAAUAGAGGUAUAUAUUGACGAUAUCGUGGUUAAAAGUAAAACCCGAGAGGAACAUGUCCUCCACUUGCAAGAAGUCUUCCACCUCUUGAGGAAGUAUGGCAUGAAGUUGAAUCCCUCUAAAUGUGCCUUUGGCAUAAGUGGUGACAAAUUCUUGGGAUUUAUGGUUAGCCAAAUGGGGAUAGAGGUCAGCCCGGACCAAGUCAAGGCAGUCAUGGAAACACCACCCCCUAGGAGCAAAAAGGAAUUACAACGCCUCACAGGCAAGCUCGUCGCGCUAGGGCGUUUUAUAGCCCGCUUCACUAAUGAACUGCGACCCUUCUUCUUGGCAAUACGAAAAGAAGGAGCAAACGGAUGGACGAACAACUGUCAAAGCGCUUUUGAAAAAAUUAAACAUUGCCUCAUGCAAUCGCCCAUCCUGAGCAGUCCCCUCCUUGAAGAAAAACUGUAUAUGUAUCUGGCUGUAUCGGAGUGGGCAAUUAGUGAUGUUCUAUUCCGCUGCCCCUUACCCAAGGAGCAGAAACCUAUCUACUACGUCAGCAGAGCAUUGGCAGACGUAGAAACCAGGUAUUCAAAGAUGGAGCUAAUGGCCUUAGCUCUUCGAAGUGCUGCCCAGAAGCUCUGCCCCUACUUCCAAGCCCACCCGGUGGUCAUGCUAACUGACCAGCCCCUUCGCAACAUUCUGCACAAGCCAGACUUAACCGGAAGAAUGCUUCAAUGGGCCAUAGAGUUAAGCGAAUAUGGAAUCGAGUUCCAACCCAGGCUGUCCAUGAAAGGCCAAGUUAUGGCUGACUUCGUGUUGGAAUACUCCCGAAGGCCUAUCCAGCGCAAGGAACCAAGUGAAAAAGAGUGGUGGACUUUGCGGGUCGAUGGAGCCUCACGAUCAUCAGGAUCCGGAGUAGGGCUCCUGCUGCAAUCACCAACAGGAGAACAUCUGGAGCAAGCCAUCUGGAUGGGGUUCCCCGCCUCUAACAAUGAAGCGGAAUAUGAGGCCAUCCUAUCCGGAUUGGACCUCGCCCUGGCUCAUCCGUCUCCAAGCUCCGGGUCUAUAGUGACUCCCAACUCAUGGUAAGACACGUUAAGAAGGAAUACGAAGCUAAGGAUGCGCGCAUGACGUGAUAUCUGACUAAAGUAAGGGACACCUUACAACGGUUCACCGAAUGGACGAUCGAAAAAAUCAAACGAUCUAAAAAUGGACGUGCCGACGCCUUAGCAGGCAUAGUUGCCUCCCUCCCCAUCAAAGAAGCCAUAUUGUUGCCUAUACAUGUGUAAGUCAACCAUUCCGUCGCGGAAACCUCCACUUGCAAUACCAUUGAGGCAAAUCAAGCAGACGACCAAGAGUGGACGGAAGACAUUAUAAGGUACCUCUAGACAGGCACUCUGCCUGAAGAGCCCAAGCAGGUACACAAGCUCCGGGUGCAAGCCGCCCGUUUCACCCUAAUUGGGGGGUACUUGUACAAGCGAUCCUUCACAGGUUCCUAUCUUCGGUGCCUAAACCACUCAGAGGCCCUGUAUGUAUUAGCUGAAUUGCACGAGGGAGUAUGUGGAAUUAUUCUGGAGGUCGAUUUCUGGCACACAGGGCCCAUUCGCAAGGAUAUUACUGGCCCACGAUGAAGAAGGAUGCGGCAGCCUAUGUCAAAAAAUGUGACAAAUGCCAAAGGCAUGCCCCCAUACCACAUGUGCCGUCGGAGACAUUGAAGCCAAUAUCAGGCCCCUGGCCCUUCACGCAGUGGGGCAUGGACAUAGUAGGACCCCUACCACCCCCACCCGCUCAAAAGAAAUUCCUGCUCGUCGCCACGAAUUACUUCAGUAAAUGGGUGGAAGCUGAGGCAUACGCUAGCAUCAAAGACAAAGAUGUCACCAAGUUCAUGUGGAAGAACAUCAUCUGCCGCUUCGGAAUCCCCCAAACCAUUAUAGCCGACAACGGUCCAUAGUUUGAUAGCAUCGCUUUCCAGAAUUUCUGUUCGAAACUAAACAUCCGGAAUUCAUACUCCACACCGCGUUAUCCUCAAAGUAAUGGGCAAGCAGAGGCCACAAACAAGACUCUAAUCACUACCUUAAAGAAAAGGCUCGAGCAAGCCAAAGGAAAGUGGGUGGAAGAGCUACCCGGCGUCUUGUGGGCUUAUCGAACCAUACCCAGAUGUCCGACAGGAAACACUCCCUUCGCCCUCGCAUACGGUAUGGACGCAAUCAUUUCUAUUGAAAUAGGGCUACCCACUAUCCCGGACCGAGGCAGGAAAGCAGGAUGAUGCAAAUGUGGAGUUAAGAAGAAACUUGGACUGGGCAAACGAAGUAAGGGAAACUGCAUCCAUUCGGAUGGCAGAUUAUCAACAAAGGGCAUCCGCUCACUACAAUCGCAAAGCAAGGCCCAGAAGCUUUAAAAAUGAUACGCUGGUCCUUAGAAAGGUUUUCGAAAAUACUGCUGAGAUAGGAGCGGGAAAAUUUCAAGCCAAUUGGGAAAACCCCUAUAUAGUAUCUAAGACAAGUGAAAGUGGAGCCUAUCAUCUGCAGAAGCUAGAUGGAACCCCAUUGCUCCGACCAUGGAAUGUAUCUAAUCUAAAGUAGUAUUACCAAUGAAAGAAAAAUAGAGGUACAAAUAUGAAUAAGUAUGUUUUAUUAAUACUUGUGAAAAAUUGUAUACAAAAGUUCUCCGGACUACAAAAUACAGAGAGAAGAUAGCAGUAAAAAUUACAAAAAGAAAAGCUCUCAUUGGGAAGGCUUGCCACGCAGCUUCUCCUCCUCACCCGGGGGAAUCGAAGGGACGUCCCGUUUGAUACCAAGUUUCUUCAUACAGCAACGGUAGCCGAAGAAGUACAUUUCGUCUACCUACUUCUGGUAGUCUGCUUCAAGUUCCUCCCUUUCCGCAGCAAACUCAGCCUCCAACUCUUCUUUUUGCGCUAAUAAACGCAACUGCAAAUCCUCUCUCUGCUUUUUCUCAAUUGACACCUCUGUUUGGAGUUGCCUCACUUCUCCCGCAGUUGGGCCAUUUCGUCCUCCGCCUCAUGUAGACGGGCGUCUGUAGAUUCCUCCCGACUCUUUGCCUCAGCUAGCUCUACCCGGAGAGCCUCGUUGUCAUCUCGAGCAGCGGAUAAACUGGCUUCGGCCUGCUCUAAUCUCAAGCGCAGUUCCUCUUCACUGUUUAUGCGUUGAGAGACGAAGGCCUUCAUAUAAUCAGCAGUUCGUAGUAGGUCAGAAAAAAGAUCACGUUGUUGAGCCAUGCCGCGGAUACCGCUCACCAGCUGCAGAAAAACCCACAAACAAGAAGUGCAAAAAUUACAACCCAUGUGACAAACACAUCAGAAUGGCAAGAAAAAUCAAGAAGUAAACUAUACCAUUUCCGCUGCUUCAAACAUUUUUGCUGAAGGCACAGCAACAUCUGAGCUGGAUGGAAUCCGUUUCAGCAUCUCUCCCAACUGCGCAUAGCUGAAAGGACUAGCGGAGAUGCAAGCUGCAUCAUCAACGGGACUUCCUCCUGACGAGGCAUUAGGGAGUGACUCCUUUCCCGAGUCCGGGGCCUCAUCAUUCUCGACCGGCUGGGUCUCUCCGAGUGAACCCCCAUCUGGGACCAGCACCGGGGCGGUUGGAUUCUCUUCUGCCAUCUCUGUCUCACUCCCCUCCGGAUGAUCCUCCUGGACGGACGAGCAGCUGACUUCGAUGGUUUCCAAAAAACGAUCUUGAAGCCGCCUGAUGAGGCUAGACUUUAAGUCACGGGCCGGACGAGACCUCCUUGCAGUUGGCCCCUUCACCGGUAUAAAGGCAAGGGAGCUUGGCUCGCAAGGAGGCACACCCUGACUUUCUGCCCUCGUUUCUUCCGUUGGGGGUGCCGUAGGAGGCAAUGCUUCAGUACAAGAGGCCUCGGCUGCAUCCGCGUCCGAAUGGGGAGAGCCGAGCUGAUUUACUGAAGUCGCUUCCUCAGCCAGAAGAGCCAGCCGUCCAGCCGCUGGCACUGAAGGCCCCGAAUGGUUUAGACCCGCGAGACGUCCGGAGCCUCUUGAAACAGAAGGCAAGACGGGGGAAGGGGGGAGAGGGGGGGGGGGGGGGGUGGUCUGGCUCUCUUAUUAUUAUUUCCUUUACGAAAGUUGGAGGUGGUAUUACCACUUCCUUUGGUGGAGUUGGAAGUUUUAUUUAUUUCCCCUUAUUGAGAGCCUUCUUCUUCUUUUUCUUCGCCGGGGCGCCAGCAGGAAGAGAGGGCGCGAAGCGUUUUAUAUCGGGGGCCCUCCGCAAAGUUCCCUCUUGCCUCAUUCCCUCCCGUUCGUCGAGACGUGCUCGGCGUGCCUGGGCAUCUGCCUUGCGCACCUCCUUGUAGAAAGGAAGGUCUUUUAGAACAAAAUGCUCCCCAGGCAUUACCUUCUUUGGCAACUUCCUGGGGAGAAUAUUGAUGACAUACGCCUGGGGCUCUUGGACAACGGCUAGCAAGUUUCGCGUAGUAAGCAGCGUCUCAUGAUGCCUCUCAGCGGCAGUAAUCUCAAAUAACUUGUUCAGUCGAACGAAAGACGUUUUUUCUACCCACUCGACUACGCGACCCCUCUUGUCCGGACCUGCAUUAUCAGCAACCAAAGAUAUUAAGCCAUCUGAUAACCCCAAAGCAAGAAAAGCAACAAGACGAAUGCCGAACAAACCCCGCAAGCUGUCUUACCCGGAAGCACCAACGAAAGGUUUGGGGAGAAUGGCCUCUCCGGAUGCUCCAGUAGCCCAGCCCAGAUACCCCGGACCAACACAUGUCCCUUGGCUCCUCCCUUCGUCGAAUCCGAAAGCUUAGUCACUAGUUGGAGAGAAGGCAGGUGGGAAACCAUGCUAAAAAUGUCAUUUUUCUCCUUCUUAAGGGAGUAGAUGAAAAGAACCUCCAGCAGCGAGAGGUCCAGGUUGAACAACAUGCUCAGAAUGCUGCAUCCCAUCAGCACCCGGACCAUGUUGGGAUGGAUGUAGGCCGGGGGGAUCUGGGUGAAGUGGAGAAAUUCUUUGAAAAGUGAUGGGAGAGGGAACCGGAGCCCAACAUUGAGUUGCUUCUUGGUAAAGCAGAUAGUGUUCUCCUCAGUUUUCUCAGUCGACAUGGCCUCUCCGUCCAUAAGUUCAACGGACACGCCAUUUGGGAUGCAGAAGCGUUCGCGAAACUCCCUCACAUUCAACUUAUCCACGGAUUUCUCAGCAUGAGCAUCUCCGGGUGAGCUGGAUGAAGUAGCUUCCUUGUUCGCAGACAUUUUGUAGGCUGGGGCUGAAAUGGAAUCUGCAUGGAGGAAUGCCAACAGUCAAACACAGCAAUCCGACCCCACAACCUUAACUCUACCCCAAAGAAGAAUCGGUGACCCACAAAAGGCACAAGGGUGCAACAGAAACCCUAAACACACCCAAAACACGAUCAAAACCCCCCGAAAAAAGCCCUAGAAACCAAUACCGAUUCCUAGUCGCAAAGCAACUUGCCCAGCAAGCCAGAAACAACCAACAAAACAAACACAACAAGGAGAAAAAAAAAAUAGAAAACGUACCGAGUGUAAAACUGGAAAAAUGGGAUGAAAUCCGCAGUGCAGUCACCGUCACGAUACGAGUAUUACCGGCAGAAAACCCUAGAGCUUCACUAGAAAGUGAAAAUACGCGGAAGGUAGAAGAGAAAGCACUACCAGAAAAAGCGCAGAAGGAAAAAUGCAAGAGAAAGGCACAGUUUGCUAUUUAUAGAGAGACAGCUCCUCGGUAUCCCAAAUGCUUAGCCGCACCAUCAUUGAAAGGACACGCUGCCUGGGAAAUCCCAGAAUCGGCGGCUCAUCAUAAAUGAUCUUCUUCCUUUUUCGCCCCCGCUCGCCACGUGGCCCAAUAAAGCGAAAAAAGUCAACCUCAGUUUCAAAAAACAAUCAUUUUUUAACCCACCCAUUUUGCCCUGGCAAAAUGGGCAGGUUAAAAGGGGGGCAUUGUAGGGACCUCUCCCCCUGAUGACAUGUGACACACAUUUCUAUCCGAAUUAGCUCCAUCCGGAUUUCCCCCAAGGAGACACGUGGCGCGCUUCCCCUAUCCGGACUCCCUCAGGGAGAAGCACACGACACUUGCAAACCUCACAUCCGGACGACCGCCAUAUCGCAUCCGGACGACCGACAUAUCCUAUCCGAAUAUGUUUGUCCAGAUCGUUGACUAAAGUAAGCAAGUCUUACUACGUCAUUCCGACAGCCUGCCACGGCUCACGUUCCGCCACCUGCAGAGUGAAAAGACAGGAAUGAUGGCAAGUCACUUCCUACGAUCUCUGACAGUUGCGACGCCUCCCACGAUCUCUGUCAGCCGCUCGUAUGGUGAUGAUGGCCCUGUCACCACCUAGAGUCAUCAUGACAAGCCAAAAUAUCUCCCUAUCAUUAAAGAGGGAGAUAGAGCUUCUGGUACUAUAUAUAUGGACCUUCACACAAAGAGGAAGGUAAGCUUGCUAUACCUAGUAAAAGGCCAACUGAUUUAUCUCUCUAACCAUGGUUGACAAAACCAUCGGAGGGUGUGUCCGGACGCCUUUUGCAGGAAUGACUAAACUAGGAAUCUAUAUUGGUUGAGAUUGUGCGUCCAUCUAUUUGGCAACUACGUGGAUCACCAGGGACGCGAGGCCUCAACAUAGUCCAUUUCCAUUUGAAUUGUUGAAACUUCCUAGUCCUUGUGGGUCUAGUGGUCUCUCUAAUAAUUCCCACCAUUAAUUUUUUGUGAUGAAGUGCAGUCAUUGAUAGCUACUAUAUCAAUUUGCUAUUAAAAGUCAAGUCAUUGAUAACUACUAUUCAAUCUUUUUCAAUAUGGAAAUUGGAAUCUCUAGCGCUACUCUUCUCAUCGUUCAUUUUUAGGUAAUGUGAGAAUGUGUGAACAUAAAUGUCUUCUAAUCAACCAAUUUUUUUUUGAAAAAAACAUGUACAAAAUUGCAAAACUUGCAAAAUCAAACUGACUGUAAUCAACCAUCAUAAUUUUGAUGGUUUUGAAGAAUCAAAGGAUGAAUCCUAAAAGGGUAUUUGAUAAAAAAUAAAAAUUAAAAAAAUUAAAAGACAACUACUCCCUUAAGUAUAAUAAGUGUAUUUGGUAGCACAAAUUUCCUACCACUUAUUAUUUUUUUUCUUAAAAAAUCAUUUACUCUAUUAAAUAAACUAACCUUGGCUUAUCACUUAUAGCAAAAUAGGUUAAGUAGUUUUUAAAAUUUUAUAAUAUUAGAUUUACAUUUUUAUCCUUCAAAAUUUCAUUAAUGCUAGAUUCUUCUAUAUGCUUAACUAAUAAAUAAUUUUUAGCAUUUUUCUUUUCUUAUAAACAUAAAAAAAUAAAAAUAUUAUUAACUUAUUGGUAUAUUUUAAAAUUUUAAUUAGAUUUAAGCUUUUAUUUUUUUGGAUUACCAAUUAUACAUAUAAAUCCUUUAUUAUUAUUGUUAUUAUUGAAAGAAAGGGGUUGAAUAGGUAGUCCCUCAAUCCCCAAAUUAAAUUCUUUAUUGCGUACUUUUGGUUUAUUCCUUUACAUGAAUUCCUUGGUGAGAGUAAACAUUUCAUUAAUGGAUAAAUAAAAUUGAUUCCAUAUCACAGGGUAUAAUGUGGAAAAAUCAUCGGUCUCAUGUGUUCCUUAGUGGAUCCUUUGGAGCCCUUAUCAAAGUUUCAUGAUGAAACCAUUGACUUUUGUUUAACCCAAAUGUGCUUUCAAGACAAAUCUUGAAAGAUUUGAGAGAUGGAGGUUCAAGUCUUUUAUGAACGACCAUGUUCUCUUAGGGUUCAUGAAAUUUCACACCUUUUGAUAAAUAAAACUUAUUUAUUUAUACGUCUAAAACCUAGUAUUUAUUUAUUUAAUUAUAGAAAGUUUCUUAGUUUUAAAAACAUUUCAAAAAUCAUUUUUAGAAUCAAAUAACAAUUUUAGAGAUAAACACAAUAUUAAAAUUUAACAAAAACAAAUUUUUGAAUUAAAAACACAAUAUAAACUAAAUUACAAAAUAUAAAGUAAUUUUUAUCCUAAUUUCUUCUUGCAAAACCAAAUAGAACACCUAGAAGGGGAGUGAAUAGGUGAUUUUAAAUUUUUUCAAUAAUGAUUUAUAAGUUAUACCCAAUUCUUUUACCCUGCGAGUUGUUAGGGACUAUCAAUUCUUUCCUUUUGGCAAUUCAAACAAUAUAUCAAAUAAUAAAAAGAUAUAAAUAAUGAGACAUAAAGAUUUUUACAUGGAAAACCCCCCACACUAACCAUGGAGAUAAAAAGCCAUGGAGUCUAAGACCUAUUAAUCUAAAUUCACUAUACGAAAUCAAGUUACACAAAUUUAUUUGGUAGCUUUACCUUAAAGACUUACUCUCCGGUACUGACAACUUGAUUCACGUCCAUGACGUAGCAACCCUCGAUUACUCCAAUGUAUCACUUCAAGCUUACUAAAAGGAUGAAGGCCUUCAAACCAAGAUUCAAAAAUCAAUUCCUUGAAUGAGAGAUUAGGAAUGGUGUGCCACUUUAGGCUUUCUCUCUAAGAUCUCUAAAAUGAUCUCCUCAAUGAAAACCUCUUAAACAAAAUGAGAUAUUUCUCCACAAUCUCUAACCCUUAAGGGGUUAUAAUGAGAUAUUUAUAGGCAACUAAGUUGAAAGUUUCAGUUUUGGAAGGUUUCUCAAUUGAAUUUGUGUGAAAAACUCGGCAGAAUCGACAUGAUCGCUCGAGCCAACACACUUCCCACUUGAGCGUUUUGGGCACUUGAGCGGUAAGGCUCGCUUGAGUUGUCUUAAGCACUUGAGCAUUCUAGGCUACUUGAGCAAUCUUGCUCUAUUUCAAAAGUUAAUUUUAAAUCAUUUUAAGUUCAAAACAAAAUUGAUUCCCUUUAUACCUCAAAGAAGCCUAACUUGCCACAAACCAAACCUUUUUAGAUAUACUUGUGACUUCCUGGUUGGACGAACAACAACUCUUAAUCUUCAAUGGAGAGCAAGUCACUAUCUAAAAAGAUUUAUAUGGUCAAACAUAAAAAAACAAAAAAAUUGCCAACAUAACAACAAGACUCAAUGUCCUAACAAUCUUCCCCUUUGGCAAUUUUGUGACAAAAACAACGUUACAUAAACCCACCUGAACUCUCAUAAUGGAGUUUAAUAAUACACAUUAACGUUCAAUUAAAAAUAAACUAAGGGAAUACUUUAUCUCACUUUGUAGUAUUUGUCUUCCAACCUUGUAACCUACACACAUAUAGAAAACUAUACCAAAGGUAAAACAAUGUGCAGGAUAAGAUAUGAUCAAGAAAGCAAAAUAGGAUAAUUGGAAAUUUUGCUUGAUGCCUUGUGAAAGCAUGAAAAAAGAACAAAUUCAUAUAGUAAUAUCAAGGGACAAAGCAAAACUCGAGAAGAAUAUAUAUGUAUGCAAAUCAACCAAACAUAAUAAAAGCUAAAUAAGAUGCAAUAGAUAAAAAAUAAUGCCUAGGGGUCUAUCUCCAACCAGAAAAUAGGGAGUGAAGAUCAUAGAAAGAACCUUCUGUGACUUAGAAAGAUUCUAGAGAGAUAGUAAAUUCAAACAUAAAUAUCUUGCUGGAAACAUCUAUGUUAUGUAUCUCUCUAAACCUUUUAAGUUAUGCUUUCAUCAGUUGAUUUGGUUUUUCUCCAAUGUCUCAGGUUUAAUUUCCUCUAUUAUUUCAAUUAGAGAAAUUAGUAGUCGAUUGACUUAGUGGGUGUUUGGUAAAACUUAAUACUUAUUAUUUAAUGAUUAACUUUAAGUUAAAUUGUUCUUAAGUUAUUAAUUUAAAAUUUAUUACUUAUUUUGUAUUUAAGUAUUAAGGUUAUUUGUAAAAAUCAACUUAAAAUUUAUUCUAAAUCAUCAAAUUAACACAUUUACCCUUAUUAAUUUUAACUUAUAUUUAUUUUCAUUAAUUUUAAACAAUAAAUUUAUUCAUAAAACAUCUAUAUUUUUGUAGAUACAUAAUAACCAUAAAAUAUUUACUAUAAAAAAUGAGUCAUGGAUGUAGAAUUAUAAUUCUAAAAUAUACACCUAUAAGUGUGGGUAAAUAAGACAAAAAUGAUUUGAGAUUAAGAGUAAAGUUAAUUAUUUUGACUUAAGACUUCAAGUUAAAAAUAACUUUAAGUUGCAAUAUUAAGUUAUUUUAUCAAACAUGCUUAAUUUACUUAACAACUUAAAUUAACUUAUUAAGUUGAUUUAUCAAACACCCCACUAGUAAUAUGUUGAAAAUGAAGAGCAUCCAUAGCAGAUAAUGUAUAUGUAUUUGUGUUUAGAGUAGAAGGGCACUACAACAAUGGACUUGCAUGUGAUUUGGUCGCGAUAUGAUUUUGAUGAGAAUAUUUUAUUGUCUUUAAAAUAUUGUUAUAUGAAAUGCCACACUAUGUUAGUAAAUGAUAGUUAUGUUAGUAGAAAUGAAAGUUUGUUUUAUAAUGCAUUGACCAUCCUAACACAUGCACUUAAUUAUCAUUAGUAGUUAGACAUGUAUUCCCUUUUUUCAAUUUUUUUUCUUCUUUUUAAAUACAUUCUAGUGGUACUUUGCCUUAUGACUUAAUUUUUGUUACACUUACUACUUUUGGUUUUAGUCAUAUUUCAUUUUAUUAGUAUUUUCAUUUUGUGUUACAAUUUUAUUUAGUUUCUCUAUAUUCUCUUUUGGAUGGUGAUUUCACUUCAAAUUUUAAUUCAAAUUAGGCUUAUUGUCCUCUUAGUAAGCCUUUUCUAGGCGAGUUGUUAUAGAAAAUUAAACAAACCUCUCCUAAGGUUGGCCUUGUUACAUAGACUUCUUUUCUAUUUUGAAAUAUUAUAUUGACCUCCCUUGUUAGAUAUUGGUUUUUACGAUUACUAAGAAUAAUGCUUCUUAAUCAUUAUUAACGAUAAUGCAAAAUGAUAUAACUACUCUUAGUUAAAUCAAAUCAUAAUGACAAUAUUUUCAUCUUCUUUUUCCAAUUUUCUUCUUCUUCCUCCAUACAUGCUAAUUUGCAAAAAUUUAUACCCAUUAUUUAAAUGAAAUCUUUUGAAAUAAAUUAAAAUCUUCCUUAUUUGAUAUUAUAGAAACCUAAUUUAAAUAAAAUAUUUUGAAAUAAAUUAGAUAAAAAAAAAACUUGUCAUCAUUCUAACCCAAAUCAAAUUUAAAAGAAUAACUAAAUAUUUCAAGUCUCAUUUUGUCUCAAUAUCACCUUUGCUAAUCAACCUAUCCAAUCUUAGAUCAAACUCAAAUUGCAAUCAAAUUUUGACAAGAAAAAAUCUACUUAAGACUGAAUAAGAAAACUUGUGGAAAGAGUCUUAUCAAGAAGGUGCAUGAAACCCUCAGUUCAAAAACUUCUUCUAAAAUAAAAUUAAAAAAAGAAAAGAAAAGAAAGAUAUUCAAUGUUAAAGGACUUUUAAGAUAAAUCAAAAUUUGAAAAUGAAUGUUAAUACUUGCGAUAGAUUCCACAUUCAUGAACAAAUUACCAUUGCACCACUUAUUUUCAAUUCACACUUUAAUUUACUAUCCAUAGAAACUUUCAUUAAAUUUUCCAUAAAACAAACAAAGAGCCUUAACCCCCAAAUAUUUUAAUUCUUAAAAAUACAUCAUUUCAUCAAUUUUUGAAACCCUCAUUUUAACACAAAUUAUUUUUUUUUACAAAUUAUUAAAAGAAUAAAAAGAAAAUUAAGAAGAGGUUGUCAUUAUUAUUCUUGCAAAGUCACCACAAAAUAAAUUAUAACAAAUAUAGAAAAUAAAAUAAUGUGACGAUGAAGAUGAUGCUUAGAAAGUUAGAAUGAAGAAGAUAGUAUCAUUUAGAUGAUUUAGGUUAAGAUGAGGACUAGAUAAGGAAAGUGACAUCAAUUGCCUAAUUAUUUGGGGUUUUAGACAUACAAAAUGAGGGAGAUGACUAAAAUUAUGGUUUAAUUAUUUUUGGUUAAGGAUUAUUAAGUUAUUUUAAGGAAUUAAUUAAUUAAUUUAUAAUAAAUUUAGAAUUAAUUAAAAGUUAAUUAAAAUAAUUAUUGAUUCAUAGUUUAAUUUAAAACUAAUUUGAAUAAAAGAUGAAAAACUGAAAGUCCAUUAGGGUUUCACCUAGAGAGGGGAGAGGAGGUGGAUGAUUUAAAAAAUUUCAAUAAAGAUCUAUAUGUUAUAUCCAAUUUUAUUUUACCCUGUGAGAUGUUAGGGAUAACCUUUUCUAUCAACCUUAGGCAAUUCAAACAAAAUAUCAAAUAUAAAAGAUAAGAACAAUAAGGCAUGCGAUUUUUAUAUGGAAAAUCCUCACACUAACUGUGACGAUAAAAACCACGAGAUCUAAGACCUAUUAAUCUAAAUGCACUAGAUGAAAUCAAGUUACACAGAUUUACUUGACUGCUUUACCUUAAAGAUUUACUCUCUGGUAAGUACAACUUGAUUCAUGUCCACAACAUAGCAACCCUUGAUUGCUCCAGUGGAUCACUUCAGCUUCCUGGAAGGGAUGAAGGUCUCCAAAAUAAUAUUUAAAGAACAAAUCCUUGAAUGAGAAAUUGAGAAUGGUGUGGCAAUCUAGGUUUUGUCUAUAGGAGACCCUUUUUAGAGAAUAAAGUCUCUCAACAAUCUAUCUCCAAUCUCUUCAAUAUCUCUAACCCUCAAGGGGUUAUAAGGGAGGUAUUUAUAGGCAAAAGUUUGAAAAGUUUUGAUUUUGGAAGGUUUCUCAAUUGAAAUUUUGUGAAAAACUUGGUAGAAUCAACAUGAUUGCUCGAGCCAACUCACCCAUCGCUUGAGCGCCUCAAGCACUUGAGUGGUAUGGCUCACUUGAGCGGUCUUAAGCGCUUGAGUAGUCUUUAGUGCUUGAGCGCUCUAGGCCACUUGAGCAGUCUUGCUCUCUUUCAAAAAUCAAUUUUAAAAUCUUUUUAAGUUCAAAACAAAAUUGAUGCUCUUUAAUACCUCAACAUAGCCUAAUUAACAUAAGUCAAGCCUCUUUAAACAUGUGACUUCUCAAUUGGACAAACAACAACCCUUGAUCUUCAAUGAAGAGUAAGUCACUAACUAGAAAGACUUCUAUGACCAAACAUUACAAAGAACAAAAUUGCCAACAUAUAGGAAGGACUUACUGUCUUAACAAUCUCUCCCUUUGACAAUUUUGUGACAAAAAAUUGUUACAUAAACCCACUUGAACUCUGAUAACGGAGUUUACAUAACACACUUUAAUGCUCAAUUAAAACUAAAUUAAGGGAAAGCUUUGUAUUAAUUUAUAGUACUUAUAUUUCAACCCCGUAACCUACACACAUACAAAAAACUAUACUAAAGGUAAAGUAGUGUGAGGAAUAAAGUAAUGUUGAGAAAACAAAACAGGAUAGUUGGAGGUUUUGCUUGAUGACUUAUGAAAACAUGAAAAUGGAACAGAUUUUUGUAGAGACACUGAGGCACAAAGCAAAGCUUGAGAGGAAUAUAGAUACACACAAAUCAGGAAAACACAAUAGAAGCUUGAUAAGACACAAUAGAUCAAUAAUAAUGCUUAGAAGUCUAUCUCCAACCAGAAAAUGGGUAGUGAAAACCAUGGAAAGAAACUGCUAUGACUUAGAAUAGUUCUAGAGUGAUAAUUAGUUUAAACAUAAAUAUCUUAUAAGAAACAUUUGUGUCAAGUAUCUCUUUAAACCAUCUAAGUUAUGUUUUCAUCGGUUGAUAUGGUUUUCUCCAAUUUCUCAAGUUUAAUUUCCUUUAAUAUUUCAAUAAUUUCCCUUAAUGGAUGAAUGAAUGAAUGAAUUGAAUUAAAGAAUUCAAAAUUUUUAACUCAUAGUAACUUCCCUUAAAUUACAAUCAAUACAAUAAUUCAAAUCAAGUAUACAAAAACAUAAAUAAUAGAACAUUUAUGCAUUAGGUGGCGGUAGAGGGAUAGAGCUUGAAGCAUCGUGAGAAUGGGUACAAGAAAAGAUGUAGUUAAGUUAUCCCUAAAUCUCUCGGAGUUGGAGAUCCUAAGAGUCCAUCUUCUGAUGAAGUCGGGCCAUGGAAUUUAGAGCCUCAUGGGCGUUGGGUCUACAAAAGUAAAAGCCUUGUGUGUAGCUCGGGAAGAACUAACACAACCUCAACUUUAGAGUGAGUCCUCGGAGCAGACUCUAAAUAGUCUGCCUCUAGAAUUCCACCAUGCUCCAUAGCUCGAAGCUCAUCCUCCUAGACAACUACCUUUGCAUGCUGGCCUACAUCAUGUGGUUCAUAAGUUGGAAGAGCCAUCAAACUAUAUACAUGAAUGUAGUGCUUGGGCUAGGAACUCCCAUCUAAAAAGGCAUGGGUAGCCUAGACCCCUAGUGUAGGAUCAAUCUUAAAUCCCACAUCCUCGAGUAUCCGCGUCAUGAGGAGGGUAAAAGGGAAAGUGCCUCCUCUAAAGGAUAAACCACGAAGGGGAAUGAUUGUAUCCAGGAUGACUUAGCCAAUGUCAAAUUGUUGGCUUGAGAGAAUGACGUGAAUAAAGUGAGCAGAUGGUCAAUGGAUUUGGGUGCAGUGUGUAAAUGGGUAGAAGGAGUAAGUGAAGAAUGUGGCAAACAACCAUGUUAGCUUGAAGAAGCCAACAAUCAAGAUAUAAGAAGGAAAGGGGCAAAGACCCCCAUAAAGAGAAGUCAGAAUGGUGUCAAGUUUCUCUCGGGUGAGAGCCUGAACCUCUAGGGAAAAUGAAGAAAUGAGAGCCUCAAUUUGCGACAUGCUAAGGACACAUUGAAUGUAAUGGGAGAAAAUAAGGAAAAAUUGACCAUGCAUGGUCAAUUGAAAGGUGACUCCGACCACAAUAUAAUGCAUGUUCUCAUAGAACAUGUGAACAAGAUGGGGAUAGGAAGUCCCCUAGAGAGAAAACAAAGUCUCCUAACUUUACUCUUGAAUGAUGAUAGGGAAGACAGUGUCCUGAAAAGCUUAGAGGUUAAUGGCAUGCUCAGGCUCGACACAUUGAUAUGUGAAAGAAGCGUAAUAAUGGUCUCGUGCCACCUGGCAGUGAAAACGCUCAACCGAAAGUGCAUCUAGGUUAAAAAGACCCUGGAGUGGGAUGCCCUAGACGGUUUCAGUGACCUAGGAAAGGUCACCUCCCUCUGACAUCUAUGACUAGCCAUAUCUAAGGUAUAUAAUAUGAAAAAACAAAAGCUAAAGAAGAACUAAAGAAAAUCCAAAGAAAAGCUAAACCACUAAAAAUGUUAAACUCAAUGCGUCGAACAAUACUAUACAAAUGGAAAUGAAAAAUAUGAAGUGAACUGACCUCAGAAGACAAAAGGACAGUAACCUAGAGGGCUCGAAGAUGAAUAGGAAAGUUUGAAAUGAAUAUGGCGUGCUGGAUGACCUUUAUAUAGCCUAUAGGAGUGCUUGAUGCAGAUUAGCACUCGAGCGUCAUGACUAACUUAAAUCAAAGUAUUUAUUACUAUCAAAAUAUUUUAAAAGUUUCAAAGGAAGUAUUCAAUUUAGAACCUUUUUAGAAAUUUUUUUGAAAGAAACAAAAAUAAAACGUGAAAUAUUAUGUGUUAAAGGUGUUAGAAGACAAUAUUGUCUAAUCCAAAGCCUUACACAUUCCACAAAAAAAAAAAAGGAAAAAGAGAGAUAUUAUAUAAGAUUUUGAUCACAUCUAAUAGAAACUAAUAUUUAGCAACAUAUCACCAAGCACUAUCUUAUCAGAAAGCUCUAACAUGUUGGAAAUUUAUGUAAGGUUCCAUAACAACUAACAACUUUUUCUGACGACUUGGCAAUGGACCAUUUGCACUUUAACUACAUUAUUGAAUUUAAAUCAUAUUAGAAUAGUAAUUGACUUCUCUUUUGUGAGGCUACAUAUCUUGUAGGAUGGGAUAGGUGAUUCAUUUCAUAUAUGAAAUUUACUUAAUUUAGUAAUGCAUCCAAGUUCAUUAUGAAUAUAAUGGUACCACAACUUUUUGAAUAUUUGUAAUCUGUAAUCUUUGUUUCAACUUCUCAAGUCUAGUCAUUUUAUCGGCAUAACUAGUUUGCUUCAAUUAUCUCUCAACUUUAUUAUAAAACUAAGGGAAAUGAUUAUCACGCAUUUUAUAUUAACUUAACCAAACAUCUUUAUAUAUCUUACAUAUAUAUAUAUAUUGUAAAUUUAGGAAAAUUUCAUCCAUUAGCCAUAGUAAGUAAGAAUCAAAUAUGGGAUAUGUAAGCCAAUGGUGAUAUUGAUGGCGUCAAAUCAAUGACAUAGUAGAAACGUGGAUUGUCUAUUUUCAAACCUUUAUAUUUUCAUCCAAUAGUAAAAAGGUUUAGGCAUCACUUGAAAAGUAGUUUGUUUUUUACCUUGGACUAUGAUUUAUGAAUAAAGUUCUUCUGUUGUAUACCUUUUGUGAUGCCCCAAACCUAAUUUAGGGGUAAAAAUAAUAAUUUAGAAACAAAUAAAUAAAAAUUUAAAUAAAUUUAAUUAAGGUAAAAAUGUAUUUUCGUAUUUAAAAUUCCUAGGGAUCAAUUAUAUAUUUCUUGUCUUCUCUAUUCAAAAAACCCUAUUACACAAAAAUCAAAGAUCAGAGAACAUAGGACAACGUAGGGUUGAAGAUUUGGAGGUUUAGGGUUGAAGAUUAGUUUUCCAGGUAAGAUUCUAACCCUUAAAUUAGUAUUUUAGAUUCGUUAAUUAGUUUGAACACUUUAGAUAUUCUUUGAAAAAUCUGAAUCCACGUUAGGGUUUGUUAAUUUAAUUUUUAAAUAAAAAAGAUUGAAAAUUUAUGAACAUAAGUAGAGUUAUUAUUAAAGAUUGAAAAUUUUUGAAUAUUUGAAUUAAAAAUCUAGAAAAAAAAAAAGAAAAUAAAUUAUAGAUUUGGAUGUGGAAAAAAAUUAAUAUUAAUAAAUAAAUAAAACCUAUGAGUAUGGAGGUAGAAAAAUAUGAAAGUUGAAAGCAAAGAAAAAAAAAAGGAAUAAGGUUUUGUGGUUGUAUAUGCCUCCUUAGUGGAAAAAAAAUACAAGGUUGCUUGCAAUAGGAUAUGAUAAAGAGAGAGAGAUAAAUGCUUCGAUAUUGAUUUUUGUGGGGAAAAAAAGAUUGGGUAAUGCAGGAGAGAAAUAGGUAGCAUUUGUAGAGUUGGUGGAGUUGUUGUAAAAGCUCGUAGGGGUAAUUGUUAGGAAACAUUAGGACUUGAAAUAAUAAUAAUUGCUUCUAGUAAAAGUUUUAAUUUAGUUUAAGUAUAUAAAAGAAAUAGAUGAUUAGAAAAAGAUUUGGAAGGAAUAUGAAUUCAUAAAAUUUCGAAAUUUACUAAUUUAGAUUAUUAUUGUUUUGGAAGUUGAAUAUAAUAUAGGUGAUAAUAUUAUUAAUAUAGGAAAUGAUUAAGAUUCUCAAACCUACAAUUUUAGAUAAAUAGUUAAUAGUAAUAGAUGAUUUUUUAUUUUUUUUAUUUUUUAUUUUUUAUGUUAUGUUAAGUGAAUAAUGGAUUCUUUGAUUAAUUCUCUAAGGUUUCUAAGUGCUUCUUUAAGGUAAGGGAUAUUAAUACUGAUUUUGUAAAUGAAAAUAUUUCUUUUUAUAAGUUAUUUUAAAUUAUGAAAAAUUUUAUUAUUAUUUAUGCAUGGAUCAAAUAUAUAUUUUUUCAUGAGAAACAUGUUUAGGCAAUUUCUUUGUUUAUAAAUAAAUAAAUAAAAAAUGAGAACCUUGGAAAUAUAAUGUUUUGUUUUGUAAGUUUAAAAUAAUGAAAUAAAGUUUUUGACUCUGGUUUAUAUGACCUUAGUUAAUGGGUUAUAAUUGUUGACAUUUUUAGCUCCAAUCAACAAUUAUAAUUGUUGACAUUUUCAGCUCCAAUCAACGAUUAUAAUUGUUGAGAUUUUCAACCCUAGCCAAUGGGUUAUAAUAGUUGACCUUAUAGCCCUAGUCAACAGAUAUAAUUGUCAACCUUUGGUUUUGCCCAUCUUAAAAAGAACAAAUUUAAGGCUAGCCAUUUAUUUGUAAAGUCCCACCUAACUAAGUACCAUUUGUUAUUUAAUAACCAGAGUAAAGAUAUUUUGAAUGUAUUUGAUAUGAAAUUGUUUUGAUAUAAAUAUGAAAAUGUUUGGUUGAAAGUUCAAAUGUUUAAUGCAUGUUGAACUCAAAAGUUUUAUUAAAAUGAUUAUAUGUUAUAUAUCCUAUUUGUAAGCUUGAUCCAUGAAACUGUAUUAAUAUUCCUUAUUGGACUUUGAGCUCAUUCCCCUUUGUUGAGAAUUUUUUUGGUAUUCUCAGUUUGGGCAAGGAGUGAUGACUGGGUUGGGGAAUUUUCUUUGCUAUGAUUUUGGUUCAAUCUUUAUUUUGGACAUUGUUUAGAUGUUAAAAUUUAAUUCCCAUUUAAAUUAUUUGAGUUUGGAGUUAUUUGGACGAUAACACUUUGAUUGAUGUGUUAGUUUUAAAGUUGAGAAUUGAAAAUUAUAGAAUUUAUUUAUCUUACUACUUUGAACAGAAAUUUAGUAAUUGGAGAUCAUCCAGUUACAAGAUGAAUAUUUGUGUCAUUUCCACUUUGAGAGUUCAGACUUGGGGUGUGAAAUGACCGUUAUGCCCUUGGAGUGGGUAUAUUGUUUAUUUGAAUUUAAUGGUCCCCGAACUCCUUAAUUACUCAUAACUUUAUAUCACCUUCUCAAAGUUAAGUUGUUUUACAACUAUUAUCUAGCUACUUUUCUCUACUAUGACAACUUUAUUACAUAGUGAUUAAUUGAAAGAAUCUACAUGUUUUAUUUCAUAGGAUAGUUGAUUUUUUUACUCAAUGAAUCUUGCUUUUAUUAUUGAAAUUUCAAAUCAUUGUAGUCCAACAAUUUCCUAUCCAUUGGUAAUUUCAUAUUACAUUUCCAAAGUCUAAUCAUUUAAAAACACUUGUAGUUAAUAUAUUGGCAAUUGCAUUGUGGGAAGUUGUUCACUUGAUUUUAAUGUUGAAACUUUCAAAUUAUUGUAGUCCAACAAUUCCCUAUCCAUUGGUAAUUUCAUAUCACAUUUUCAAAUUAUAAUCAUUUACAAAUACUUGUAUAUAGUAUAUUUGGUGAUUGUAGAGUGGAAAGUUGAUCGUUUUCAUGAAGACCUCUAAAAUAUAAAUUUUUUUCAUUCCAUUUAAUAAAGAAUUUCAUUAAUUGAACAUAUAUGUUUUUUUUAGCUGGAAAGUAGAGGCCACAUUAUACGAGGCCUUAGGUGACAAUACUAGGUGAGGGUUUUUUUUUUAAUUUAUUUAUUAUGAAAUAUAAAUAAUAUUAUUUAUUGUAUAAUAAAGAUUAUUAUAAUAUAUUUUUUAUAGAUGAAAAAAAUAUUAAUUGAGUUUUAUUUAUUUUUUAAUAAUUGUUUUCAAUAAAUAACUUAUUUGUAAAAAGAAAACUAUAAAAUAUAUGCAUUUGAAAAAUAUUUAAUUUUUAUUUGAUUUAGUAUCAAUUAAUAUUUGUAAUAUUUUUUAAUAUUAUAGAAGUUAACAUACUCAAUCAAGAUAUUCAAGAUCAAGAGAACAUUUGAGAUUGAAUUAAUUUCUUUAUUGUUUAUGUUUUAGAAAAUUUUUAUAUCCAUUACAAAUUUUCUAUUGUUUAUUUUUCAUUCAAUUUUUGCAUUUUGUAAUAGAUAUUAAAACGAAUUUUUUUUCCUAUAUGUUAAAAAAAUAUUUCAAUGUCUUUAAAAAUAAAAUAUUGCAGUAAAAUCAAAAUUACAUUGUGAAACUUUAAGCGAAUGUUUUAUACUUAAGAAGUGCCAAUUAAAGUAAGCAUGCAUCUACAAUUGUAAUUUAGAUGUCAUACUGAAACAAUAGUUCUCUUCGACUAUAUCAUAAAAUUUGGUUCGAAUUACUUUAAGUCAUCUUGUAGAUUUUCAAGUUCUAAUGAUAUGCAUCAAGUAUGUGCAACAUACUUGAUAUAACUAAUAUUUUCUUAAGUAAUUGGACACUUUUUUUCUAUAAAUUUACUUGAUUAUCAAUGAAUACUUUUAUGUAGGGUAUUGAUAUAAUUCGAUAAAUAUUUUAAAAUAGUAUUAGAAUAGCUUUGCUCUUUCCCAAUUAACAAAUUUACCAAAUUAACUUAUAUAUAUUUGUUUAUUUGAAUUUACUGGUAUUUGACUCAAAUUGUUAUUAUUUUUAAAAUUAUAGGAAAACCAUUAUUUAUAGAGUUUAAUUAUAUUUUGGUAAAUUAUCUUUUUAAGUUUGACUAGGAUUAGGAAACUAUUAAUUUAAGAUUAAUCCAUAAGGCUCUAUAAAUUUGCAGUUUUAUAUAGGAUUUAAAAAAAGAAAGAAAAAGUAAGAAAAAGUGAAGAGAGAUAGGCAAAGAGUGCAUUGGGUUUUAGAUAGAGAAAGAUUGAGAGAGUUUUGAUUACUACUAAAAAAGAACAUAUUUUAGAUAGUAAUUCUCAUGAGUUUCGCAUCUUUUGAGCAUUAAUUAUGCCUAAAAAUGCUCAAUUAACAUGUUGUUGCCCUUGCAAAAGUUACUAACAAGUUUUAUAAAGUUUUGGAGUCAUUUCAAGUUAUGAUUUUAAUAAAUUGGUGACGAAAGAAAUGAAUUGAUUUGAAGAAGGCAAAUAAUAUUGAUGAUGAUCAAAUGCAUAAUGAAAUAAGAAAUAUAAUUAGUUUGAUCGGGAUUUGCUGCUAAUUUGGAGGUAGUUAAGGUGGAGUCAAAAGAAGAAAAUGGAAGAAAUGACAAAAAGGAGCUUAAAAACCAAAUGUUGCAGAUUUGUAUGAUCAUGCAAAAAUUUUACAUGACUAUGCGAAAUGGAUUAGAGAAGGAAAAUUGACUAUAGUAUAAGGAGGAUGCUUAAGUUGAUUUCGCAUGAACAUGAGAAAAUUUCGCAUGAACAUGCGAAAAUUUUGAACAAUCAUGCGAAAUGGUCCAGAAAGCUCUCUAAUGUUGUUGUUGCUCCACUAAUUUCGCACCACCAUGCGAAAUCGAUAUUUUCAUGCAAAAUGGCUGAAGCUCAUGUGAAAUCAUGAUUUUGAGGCUAAACUCCAGAUUUGUGAAUUUGGAAGGCUUUAUAAGACCAAUGAGAGGUUGCCAAGUGUUCACUUGACCUUGGCCUAUAAAUAGAAACUUGAAUUUCCCAUGUAAAGAGCUUUGUGAUACUUUUAAUUUUAGAUUUUUCUAGAAACUCUUUUUCUAAAUAGAAUUCUAUAUUUUCUUUAAUUUUCCCUCAUUUUCUCAUUAGCCAAACAUGCCUAGUGAGACCAAAUCUCCAAGUAUGAGUGGCUAAAUUUCGUUUUUCUCAAAGGAAGGAGGAUCUAGAGGCAAGAUCUAUGGUGAAUUAUAGAAAUGAGUUUUAAUUGCAAAUGUAAUUUGAUCCAAUUGAUUGAUUAAUUGAAAUUUGAGGAUUUCUCUCUUCAAAUUGUCUUGAAUGACUAUUACAUUGCAAACUAGGUAGAUUCAUUAAAUUCUUAAAGCUAGAUUUAAUGAGACUGAAUAGUUGCAUUGUAUGAAUCAUUGGAAGAUGAUUUAAGAUGAAUUGAAUAUAUAAUUUAAAUUGAUCUCUUGGAUUAAAUAACCUAAUUUGAAGAGAAAUUAGGUUUAGACUUAAAGGUAAAUCCAAAAUCGGUUUAGAUAAGAAUUUAGGUUUUCAAUAUAACUUGAUGAAAAAUAAAUCUCAACAUCUAUUCACUAUGGAAAUUGUUUUCUAAAAAAUAUUAACUCCGAGAAUUCCUUUUCCUUAUCAAUUUUCUUAUAUUCUACAUUAUAUUGUUCUUUUCAAUUAGAAAUCAUUGUUAUUUUGAUUUUUCAUGAAUUGUCAAAUCAAUUUCACUUGACCACAAUCAUUUCUUUUCCUUCCAUUUAAACCUUAAUUAUCGAGAAUAAUCCAUCCCAAUGGAAGACACCUAAGACCACUAUACUACCGUAGCUUUUGCUAAAAAACCUUUUUGAUCGGGCAAGAGUUACCUUAGCAUAGUUGAAUUAUGUUAUAAUUUUUUUUAUCCAAUAAACAACAAAAAAAUCAAUCGAUCAAGUUUGCAUUGUGUAUUCUUGAAUUUUAUUAAUAAAUUUAAUCCCCCUUUUUGAAGCGAUUACACCAAACCAAGUAAAUAUUUUAUAUACUUCAUUUGCUUUAUUUUUUCUAUUAAGUUUAGGUGUUGCAAUUUUCAAGAGUCAUGGUGAGAAGAUUGUGGGAAAAAUUAUUUUAAGGAUGGAGUCGAACAUAAAAUAUGAAAUUGAGUCCUUUGAUGGAAAUAAUAAUUUUAAUAUUUGAUAAAGUAUUAUUAAAGAUGUUUUGAUACAACAAAGACUUCUCAAAGCAUUACAAGGCAAAAAAACUAGAGAGCAUGACAAAUAAAGAAAUGAAAGAAUUAGAAGCAAGAGUUGUAAGUACUAUUUGUUUAAGUCUUAAAAAUGAAAUACAUUGUUUUGAAUGAAAAAUAUUCUUUCAGGGGUGUCAAUUGCUCUUUUAGAGACCAAAAAUAUUAAGCAAUCAAGUAGUUCAUCUCAUAUUGGACAAACUGUUAUGAUGAAUUCUAAACCACAUCAUCAUAGGAGUAAAUCGAAAGAAAAGUAUCUGAUAGGAGGAUGAUCAUUCCAUUCACAUUUAUGGAGGAAUAUGAAGUAUUAUUACUAUGAAAAAAAAAACAUAUCAGGAGAUAUUGUAAAGAAUUGAUGAAGUACCUAGAAGAAAUGAAAAUUUUUAAAUCCCAAGAGACUUCAAAUUCUACUAAUAUUGUUGAUGAAAAUUUUGAAAUAUUGUAGUAAAUUAAAAGUUACAUUAUGGGACUUUUAGUGAGUGUUUUGUGUUGAAGAAAGGCUAAUUAAAGUAAACAUGCAUCUAAAAUUAUAAUUUAGAUGUUGUACUCAAAUAGUUGCUCUCCUCGAUUAUAUCAUAAAAUUUGGUUUGAAGUAGUCUAAGUCAUCUAAUAAUUUUCUAGUUCCAAUUACAUGCAUCAAACAUGUGUGUUAGGAAGUGUUGCAAAUUACUAAUUAGUAUAGAUCCCUUUUUUUUUUUAAAGAAUAUUGUAUUGAAUAUUUCUAGGUUGAUAUAUUAUUGUAAUAUUAGACUUCCUUAUAGAAUAAGGAAUGUUGUUGAAAAUAUCCCUAUAAAUAUUCUAGUUCAUAAGGGGAAAAAGUUAUGAGAUGAAGAUGGACCCAUAAAGACUAUACAAGGUGGAUAGAGAUGUGAGGAAGAACAGGAGGUACCCGGUGGAGCGAGAGGGCUCGUGGUAAGGUAUAGGUACGAAGAGUGAGGAAACAUGGGAUGUUUUGGGAACCCAAUAGUUAUAUCUAGUUAUAUCAUCUAUAAGUUCUAGUUCUGUCCUUUGCAUUGUUCUCUAUUUUAUAGUGGAAUGAUUCUCUCUUAUCUGUGGAUGUAGGCAUGGUUUUCGAACCACGUUAAAACCUUAUGUACCGUUUGUGUCGAAUUUUUUUAUCUUUAUUUUCUUGAUUAAUGAAGUUUGCAUCAAAGCUUCCGUCAACGGAACAAACUUGUAUCAAAGCUUGGGUUAAAGAUUUCUGGAAGAGUAAAAGAUCACAAAGCACACAAGAUGAAACCAAAAGGAUUUUUUAGUGAAAAUGGAGUCGAUUGCUCUCUUGUGGUGAUAUGAUAUAAAAAGUUUGUCUCAUGGAAAGUUUGAAGAUUGACUUCAUGGAAUUUGGUCCAAAAUGGAGAUUGUUAAUAAGUGUCCCAAAUUCCUAAUUAGUAUAGAUUUUUUUUUUUUUUGUAAAGAAUAUUGUAUAGAAUAUUUCUAGGUUGAUAUAUUAUUGUAAUAUUAGACUUUCUUAUAGAAUAAGGAAGGUUGUUGAAAAUAUCUUUAUAAAUAUUCUAGGUCAUGAGGAAAAAAAGUUAUGAGAUGAAGAUGGGCCUGUAAAAACUAUAUGAGGUGGAUAGAGAUGUGAGGAAGAACGGGAGGUACUCAAUGGAAUGAGAGGGCUCGUGGUAGGGUAUGGAUACAAAGAGUGGGGAAAUAUGGGAUGUUUUGGGAACCUAAUAGUUGUAUCUGGUUCUGUCAUCUAUAAUGUUCUAGUUACGUCCUCUAUAAUGCUCUCUAUUGUAUAGUGGAAUGAUUCUCUUUCAUCCAUGGACGUAAGCAUGGUUGUCGAACCACGUUAAAACCUCAUGUACUGUUUGUGUUAUUAUUCUUUAAAUUUUUUAAUAUUUGUUUCUUGAUUAAUGAUGUGUGCAUCAAAGCUUCCACCUACAUAACAAACUGGUAUCAGAGCUUGGGUUGAAGAUUUUUGGAAUAGUAAAAGAUCACAAAGCACACAAGAUGAAAACAAAAGGAAUUUUUAGUGAAUGUGGAGUCAAUUGUUUUCUCGUGGUGAUAUGAUACAAAAAGUUUGUGUCAUGGAGGGUUUAAUGAUUGACUCCGUGAAAUUUGGUCCAAGGUAGAGAUUGUUAGGAAGUGUCCCAAAUUCCUAAUUAAUAUAAAUUCCUCUUUGUAAAGAAUAUUGUAUAGAAUAUUUCUAGGUUGAUAUAUUAUUGUAAUAUUAGACUUCCUUAUAGAAUAAAGAAGGUUGUUGGAAAUAUUUUCAUAAAUAUUUUAAGUCAUGAGGGAAAAAAGUUAUGAGAUGAAGAUGGGCCUAUAAAGACCAUACGAGAUGGAUAGAGAUGUGAGGAAGAAUCGAAGGUACCCAGUGGAGCGAGAGGGCUCAUGGUAGGACAUGAAUAUGAAGAGUGGGGAAACAUGGGAUGUUUUGGGAACCCAAUAGUUGUAUCUAGUUCUGUCAUCUAUAAUGUUCUAAUUCUGUCAUCUAUAAUGUUCUGGUUUUGUCCUCUGUAAUGUUCUUUAUUGUAUAGUGGAAUUAUUCUCCCUCAUCUGUGUAGGCAAGUUGUUAAACCACGUUAAAACCUCGAAUACCAUUUGUGUUGAUUUUUUUUUAGUUUUGUGUUCUUGAUUAACAAUGCUUGCAUCAAAGCUUCUACCAACGUAACAAUGUGCAACAUAUUUGAUAUAACUUAUAUUUUCUUAAGUAAUUGAACACUUUUUUUCUAUAAAUUUACUUGAUUAUCAAUGAAUACCUACAUAUGCGGUAUUGACAUAGUUUGAUAAAUAUUUUAAAAUAGUAUUAGAAUGGCUUUUCUUUUUCCCAAUUAAAAAAUUUAUCAAAUAUAUACAUACACACACACACACACAAUACUCAUUAGUAUGUCUUUUAUGAAAAAACUAUAUUUGUUUAUUUGAAUUUAGUAGCCAUUUAACUCCUUAGUUACUCAUAAACUUUAUAUCACCUUCUUAAAGUCAAGUCAUUUACAAUUAUUUCUAUCUAGCCUUCUCCAUUAUGACAACUUUAUAAGAUAGUGAUUGACUGGAAAAAUCUACAUGCCUUUGUUGAUAGGAUAAUUGUUUUUCUUUUUUUCGUAUUCAAAGAAUCUUGCUUUUGUUAUUGAGACUUUCAAAUCCUUUAUGUCUAGUGGUCUUAUAAUUCCCUAUUCAUUGGUCUUUCAUAUUACCAAUCAUUUUGCAAAUGAGUUAAUUUCAUUCACAUCCUCUGAGAUUUGAUGUAAAUUCGCUUAGUUACCAAUGAUUUCAAAUUUCAUUAAUUAGUACCCCUAUAGAUGUAAUUUGUGUACAAAAUUUAUUUUUUAAAAGAAUUUAGGUAAAAAUAUUUUAGGUUUAUGUCUUUAACAAUUCUCUAAAAUAAAUUUUACUUGCUAAAAAAUAACUUAUAUAGAUAGAAUACAUCUACAGGAGUUCUAACUGACGAAAUUUAAAACUAAUGGUGGUUUAGUGUAUUUAAACUAAACAUUAAGAAGGGUGACUGAAAUUAACCCUCUAGGUAUAUAUGUUUAACAAAAUUUUUAUUGUUUAUUUUUCAUUUAAUGUUUGCAUUUUUCAAUAAACAUUGAAAAGGAAUUGUUUUUCCAUAUGUUAACAAAAAGAAAUUUGAGCACCUAUAAAAAUGAAAUCUUGUAGUAAAAUUGAAGUUACAUUAUCAAACUUUUAACGAGUGUUUAUGUUUAGAAAGGCCAAUUAAAGCAAGCAUGCAUCUAGAAAUUAUAACUUAGAUGCAUCAAACAUGAGCAACAUAUUUGAUAUAACUAAUAGUUUCUUAAGUAACUAAACACUUCUUUUUCUAUAAAUUUACUUGAUUAUCGAUGAAUACUUACAUAUAUUUACAUAGUUUGAUAAAUAUUUUAAAAUAAUAUUAGAAUAACUUUUUUUUUCUCAAUUAUAUUAGAAAAUAAUAUAAAGUUACUUAUAAACUUUAUAUCAUUUUCUCAAAGUCAAGUCAUUUACAAUUAUUUCUAUUUAGCCUUCUCCAUUAGGACAACUUUUAUAUGAUAGUCGUUGAUUGGAAGAAUCUACAUGUCUUUUUUGAUAGGAUAGUUGUUUUUAUUUUUUUUAUUUUUUUUAUUCCAAAAAUUUGCUUCUAUCAUUGAAACUUUCAAAUCUUUUAUGUAUAUUACCAAUCAUUUUACAAGUGAGUUAAUUUCACUUAGGGUAGAUAUACUUAGCCACACCCCUAUAGAUGUAAUUUGUGUUUAAAUUUUAUUUUUUAUUCAGGUAAAAAUAUCUUAGGUAUAUGUGUUCAACAAUUCUCUAAAAAAUAAAUUUUCUUAUCUAAAAGUUUAUAUAGACAAAAUACAUCUGUAGAAGUCCUAACUAAUGAAAUUUAAAAUCAAUGGUUGUUUAGUGUAUUUACAUUAAACCUUAUGGGGUAUGAUUGAAAUUAACUCUCUUACAAGCACUUGUAGCUAAUAUGUUUGUAGUUGUAGUGUUGGAAAUUGAUCAUUUUCUUGAAGGCCUCUAAGAUAUUGGAAAUAUUGCCAUAGUUUUAGACUUUUUUUUAUUACACCUAAUAAAAAAUAUUAUUAAUUUAACAUAUAUAUUCUUGACUUAAAAGUAAAGUCUCUCCAUAUUGUAUAAGCCCUUAGGUGACAAUAUUAGGUGAAGUUUUUCUUUCGUUUAUUAAAAAAUAUAAAUAAUUUAUUAUUGUAUGAUAAAAUUUUAUGUAAUAUAUUUUUAUAGAUGUAAAAUUAUUAAUUGGGUUUUAUUUUAUUUUUUUACUAAAUUGUCAUUUCAAUAUAUAAAACUUAUUUGUAAAAAGACAAUUAUAAACUAUAUGAAAUUGAAAAACAUUUAGUUUUUUUAUUUAAUUUAUAAUUUUGUUUGGAUUAAUAAUUGAUAUUUGUAAGAUUUUUUAAUAUUAAAAAAAGUUAGCAUACUUAAGAAAGAUAUUCAAGAUCGGGAGUGUUUGAUAUUGGAUUAAUUUCCUUAUUUUCUCUAUUUUAAUAAAUUUUCAUGUCCAUUACAAAAUUUUUGUUGUUUAUAUUUUACUUCAAUAUUUUUAUUUUGUAAUAGACAUUUGAAAAGAUUUUUUCCUACAUGUUAAAAAAAAAAAAUGAACACUCCUAAAAAAGAAAUAUUGCAAUAAAAUUAAAGUUUACACUGUAGGACUAUUAGCAAGUGCUAUAUACUUAAAAUAGACCAAUUAAAGUAGAAAUACUUCUAAAAUUUUAAUUUAGGUAACAAUAAUAUAAAAAGAUAAUAUUUUUGAAACAAUAGUUCUCUUGGAGUUUUGGGUACGAUGGACUAGACUUUAUGUAACAAUAGAUAUAUGAACUUUCCAUUAACAUCUUGAGAGACAUGAUGAGGAGCAAAGUCAUCCUAGAAGGUACCAUAGAGGUACCUUAGCUCCAUUCAUCUAGACUACAUAAUGUUUAAAGAUCAAAUUCAAUGACUAGAUUUCAAAAAUCAAUAUAAGCUUUCUCAUAUUCUACUCUAUAUAAGACAAUGGUAUGAUACAUCUCUUGUGUCGUAGAAUGCACCAUGAAAACCUUAUCAUUUUAACAUCAGUUUGAAACUUAAAAGUCACUUAGCACAUUCUAGUUAUUAAUGUAAGAACAUUAAAAGAAAAUAUAAAAAAAGUUACUUUAUUCUUGUGAUUUUGAUCUAGGACUUUUAAUGAUAUUAAAAAAAAAAAAAAAAAACAGAAAAAUAAAUGGAAAUAAAAUCAACAAAUUAAACAAUUGAAUUAAGUUAGUUUAAUUUUUGCAUCGUUAAAUGGGUAAAUAAAGACUCUUAGAUUUGAUAUUAAUAUGAACAUCAUGACUUUAGUGAAUCUUACAAGAAAAUUUUAGUUUGAAAGACUUCAUUCAUUAAACGUGUGGCACAUAUUAAAGUAAAACUAAGUCUUCUCUAUAAUUUGUACCUAUCAUAGUUUCUUUCCUCAUAAAUAGCCUUUUUUGAAUAUAAUAUAGACUUCAACAUGUAUGGUGGGGCCGAUCAAACUACUAGUCAAGACAACUCAUGGGCAACAACGAUGUACCAACUAUAUUAAAUACUCUUCAUCUAUUUGCAUAUCAAGAGUAAUUUAGUAGUGUCUUUCUUAUGUACCUCGUAUCUAGACUUUCAAUGGAGAGUUCUUCAUCUAAAAAUUUGACUUGGGUUUUCAUAUUAGUUUUGGUUUAGACAUAUGGAUGCAAAGGUUGCAUCAAAGAAGAGAAGUAGGCUAAAUCAUCUUACAAAUUUUCAAGUUCAAAUUAGAUGCACCAAACAUAUGCAAUAUAUUUGAUAUAACUAAUAUUUUCUUAAGUAAUUGAAUACAAUUUUUUUUAUUUUAUAAAUUUACUUGAUUAUUAAUGAAUAACUACUUGUAUGAUAUUGACACAACUUGAUAAAACUUUUAAAAUAAUAUUAGAAUAACUUUGCUAAAAAAAAGUAAAAAUAAAAAUAAAAAUAUGUCUAUAUAUAUAAAAUUAAAUAAAAUUAAAAAUUAAAAAAGAAUAUAUAUAUAUAUAUAUAUAUUGUGUGUGUGUGUGUGUGUGCAUGGUCCCACAACUCAUUAGCUACUCAUAAGCUUUAUAUCACUUUCUCAAAGUCAAGUCAUUUUGUAAUUAUUUCUAUCUAGCCUUCUCCAUUACGACAACUGUAUAAGAUAUUGAUGGGUUGGAAAAAUCUUCAUGUCUUUUUUAAUAAGAUAGUUUUAUUAUUAUUAUUAUUAUUAUUAUUAUUAUUAUUAUUCAAAGAAUUUGAUUUUAUUAUUGAAACUUUCAAAUCCUUUAUGCCUAGUGGUCCUACAAUUCCCUAUUCAUUGGUAUUUCAUAUUACCAAUCAUUUUACAAAUAAGUUUAUUUCACCCGGUAAAUAUACUUAACUACUAAUGGUUUCAAAUUUAAUUGAUUAACACACUUAUAGAUGUAAUUUGUUUUUAAAUUUUAUUUUUUUAGAAGAAUUGUAGGUAAAAAUAUUUUAGGAAUAUGCGUUCAAUAAUUCUCUAAAAACAAUUUAUAUAGAUGGAAUACAUUCAUGGAAGUUCCAACUAAUGAAAUUUAAAACCAACGACGAUUUAAUGUAUUCUCACUAAAUCUUAGGGGAGGUGUACUAAAACUAGCCUUUUUACAAAUAUUUGUAGCUAGUAUAUUUGUAGUUAUGGUGUUGGAAGUUGAUCAUUUUCUUAAAGGCCUCUAUGAUAUUGGAAAUAUCGCCAAAGUUUUGAACUUUUUGUUUCAUCUAAAAAAAAUAUCAUUAAUUUAAUAUAUAUACUCUUUGCUUGAAAGUAUAGUUUCUUCAUAUAGUAUGAAGUUGUAGCUAGGUGACAAUAUUAGGUGAAAUUUUUUUGGUUUACUACAAAAUAUAAAUAAUAUAUUUAUUAUAUGAUAAAAUUUUGUAAAAUAUAUUAUUAUAGAUGCAAAAUUAUUAAUGGAGUUUUAUUUUUUACUAAAUUAUCAUUUCAAUAAUAAGAACUUAUUUGUUAAAAGAAAAUUAUAAAAUAUAUGCAGUUGAAAAAAUUUUAAUUUUUUUAUUUAAUUUGGUAUUUUAUUUGAAUUAAUAAUUGAUAUUUGUAAGAUAUUUUAAUAUUAAAAGAAGUUAACAUACUUAAAAAAGACAUUCAAAAUCAAGAGAGUAUUUGAUAUGAAAUUAAUUUAUUUAUUUUUUCUAUUUAAAUAAAUUUUUACAUCCAUUAAAAAAAUUUUAUUGUUUAUUUUUCACUUCAAUAUUUUUAUUUUGUAAAAGAAAUAGAAAUAAAAUCAACAAAUUAAACAAUUGAAUUAAGUUAGUUUAAUUUUGCCACCGUUAAAUUGGUAAAUGAAGACUCUUAUAUUUGAUAUUAACAUGAACAUCAUGACUUCAUUGAAUCUCACAAGAAAAUUUUAGUUUGAAAGAUUUUAUUCUUUAAUCAUGUGGCACAUAUUAAAGUGAGACCAAGUCUUCCCUAUAAUUUGUAUCUAUCACAAUUUCUUUCCUAAUGAAUAGCCUUUUUGAAUAGAAAAUAGACUUUAGCAUGCAUGGUGGGGCCUAGCUAUCAAACUACUAGUCAAAGCAACUCAUGGGCAAGAAUGAUGUACCAACUAGAUUAAGUAUUCUCCAUCUAGUUGCAUAUCAAGAGUAAUUUAGUAGUAUCUUUCUUGUGUACCUCAUUUCUAGACUUUCAAUGGAGAGUUUUUUAUCUUAAAAUUUGAUGUGGGUUUUCAUACUAGUCUUGGUUCAGAUAUGUGAAUGCAAAGGUUGCAUCGAAGAAGAGAAGUAGGCUAAGUCAUCUUACAAAUUUUCAAGUUCAAAUUAGAUGCAUCAAACAUGUGCAACAUAUUUGAUAUAACUAAUAUUUUACCAAGCAACUAAAUACUUUAUAUAUAUAUAUAUAUAUAUAUAUAAAUUUAUUGAUGAUCAAUGAAUACACAUGUAUGGUAUUGACACGGUUUGAUAAAUCUUUUAAAAUAGUAUUAGAAUAACUUUGCUAAAAAAAGUAAAAAUAAAAAUAAAAAUACAUAUAUAUAUAUAUAUAUAAAAUAAAAAAUUUUAAAAGAAUAUAUAUAUAUUAGUGGUCCCACAACUCAUUAGCUACUCAUAAGCUUUAUAUCAUUUUCUUAAAGUCAAGUCAUUUACAAUUAUUUCUAUCUAGCCUUCUCCGUUGCGACAACUGUACAAGAUAUUAAUUGAUUGAAAAAAUCAUCAUGUCUUUUUUGAUAGGAUAGUUUUUUUUUUUAUUCAAAGAACUUUCAAAUCCUUUAUGUCUAGUGGUCCUACAAUUCCUUAUUCAUUGGUAUUUCAUAUUACCAAUCAUUUUACAAAUAAGUUAAUUUCACUCGGUAAAUAUACUUAACCACCAAUGGUUUCCAAUUUGUAACACUCUUAUAGAUGUAGUUUGUUUUUAAAUUUGAUUUUUUAGAAGAAUUGUAGGUAAAAAUAUUUUAGCUAUAUAUGUUCAACAAUUCUCUAAAAACAAUUUAUAUAGAUGGAAUACAUUCAUGGAAGUUCCAACUAAUGAAAUUUAAAACCAAUGAUGAUUUAAUGUAUUUGUACUAAAUCUUAGGGAGUGUGGACUAAAAUUAGCCCUUUUACAAAUAUUUAUAACUAGUAUAUUUGUAGUUGUGGUAUUGGAAGUUGAUCAUUUUCUUAAAAGGUUUACCAUUGAAGUUAGUUGAAUAUAAAGUUAGGUGAACUUUACCAUUGUUAAAUUGGUAAAUGAAGACUCUUAGAUUUGAUACUAACAUGUACAUCAUGACUUCAUGGAAUCUCUCACAAGGAAAUUUUAGUUUGAAAGACUUCAUCUUUUAAACAUGUGGCACAUAUUAAAGUGAGACCAAGUCUUCCCUAUAAUUUGUAUCUAUCACAAUUUCUUUCCUCAUAAAUAGCCUUUUUGAAUAGAAUUAAUAUAGACUUUAGCAUGCAUGAUGGGCCCCGUCAAACUAUUAGUCAAGAUAAUUUGUAGGUAAGAACGAUGGACCAACUAUAUUAAAUACUCUUCAUCUAUUUGCAUAUCAAGAGCAACUUAAUAUUGUCUUUCUUUUGUACUUCAUGUUUGAACUUUCAAUGGAGAGUUUGUCAUCUAAAUAUUUGAUGUGGGUUUUUAUACUACUCUUGGUUCAAAUAUGUGGAUGCAAAGGUUGCAUCAAAGAAGAGAAGAUGGGUUUGCUUGAAUUCAAGGCUUUUCUUAAAUUGAAUAAUGAGCAUGCAGAUUUUCUUCUCCCUUCAUGGAUAGAUAACAACACUAGUGAAUGUUGUAAUUGGGAGCGGGUUAUUUGCAAUCCCACCACAGGUCGAGUUAAGAAGCUUUUCCUCAACGAUAUAACGCGACAACAAAAUUUCUUGGAAGACGAUUGGUACCAUUAUGAAAAUGUCAAAUUCUGGUUACUAAAUGUCUCCCUAUUCCUUCCUUUUGAAGAACUUCACCAUCUAAACUUGUCUGCAAACUCAUUUGAUGGGUUUAUUGAGAAUGAAGGUAUGUUACCUCUCACCUUUAAAAUUUCUUUUCACUUAUACUCCAAACAUUCUAAAGGAACUACUAGCAUAUGUUCUUAAAAGUGUUCAGGUGGAGACCAAAUGGUCACUAGUAACUAUUGAAUUUAAUAUAAGAACAAUUACUAAUUAUUAAAAUUUAUAAUGUAAAUUAACAUUUAAACAAAACAAUAAAAAAAUUAUUAUUUUAGAAAACUAUAGAUUACAUUAGCCUUAUAUAUAUAAGCAUACUUGUAAUUUAUGCCAUCAUUUCACACUCAACCCAAUUAGUGGGAUUCAACUAAGAGUGAGCAAUUUCACAAUUAUUAAUUAACAAAAACACUUAGGCUCCCAUAUCCUUAUCCUUUUUGCUGAAUUGUCUUUCCUUAUCUUCCAUUCCUAAAAAGCUUGAUUUCUAUAUUCCAAAUUGAUAGAGAUUGGUUAAAGAAAGGUGAUCACAAAAUUUGACUAUUGCUUUCAAAUGAGGAAUCACCAUCUUCAAAAUUUCACAUUUAAAAAAAAAAAAAAAAAAAAAACUAGCCUCGGGUAAGGUCCAAGCCUUAUUGUUUUAAGCUGAUGUCGGGUUGGUUUAAUAAUGAACAGAGUAAAUCCCAACCCAUGACCAUCUACGCAUUUCCAAAUUCCACCCAUCCACAACCCAUUAAUAUGACAUUUUCAGGGACAAAAUUUAAUCAAUUAAACCUAUUAGAUGGAUUCUCCAUACAAUGUUAAAAUGAAUAUAAAAACUUUAAUUCAAAAAAUAAUUUCCUUUAUUUAGUUAGGAUUCAAAUUAUAGGGGCACAAAACAUGAAAAUUUUCAUGUUUAAAAUUCACAAAGAUCACAAAAGCUCUUUGAAGCUCUAUGGACUUUUUUAUUUCUAACAUUUAAACACAAAAAUCACCAAAUUGAAUUAGAAACUUGGAUGCAUAUUCUUAUAUUAAAGACAUGUAAGCUUACAUAUUUAAAUAUGAAGAUCUCAACUUGUAAUUACAUGCUUCUAAUUAAAGUUAUAUUACUCUAUUUUACAGGAUUUAAAGGGUUAUCAAGUUUAAAGAAAUUGGAGAUCUUGGACAUAAGUGGUAAUGAGUUUGACAAAAGUGCCUUAAAAUCUUUGGGCACAAUAACAUCACUCAAGACAUUGGCUAUUUGCAGCAUGGGACUGAAUGGAUCUUUUUCCAUUCGAGGCAUGUUAUAUGUCCACAUUGUUUCUUUGAAAUUAAGUAAAAUGUAUUUCUAACUUUUAAUGUUCCUUAGUUAAUCUCUCUUUUGAUUCAUGUUUGUUGCAGAAUUAGCUAGUUUGAGAAAUUUGGAAGUGUUGGAUCUAAGCUAUAAUGAUUUGGAAAGCUUUCAACUAUUGCAAGGUACUUCAUUAACUUGCUAAAAAAACUUAUGAUAUUUUGUUAUUAAAUUAAAGGUAAGAUUAACAAACAAUUUCUUCCCAUUAGUUACUUUUCUUUGUAAUAUCAUUAAAUUUGAUAUAAAAUAGUCUAAAUCAUCCUUUCAAUUUAUAAGUUUUAAUUAAAACGCAUCAAGCAUGCACAAGGUGUUUAAUAUAACUAAUAUUUUCAUAAGUAAUUGAAUUUUUUUUAUGAAUUAAUUAACUUGAUUAUCAAUAAAUACUUACAUGUAUAAGAUUAAUAUAGUUUCAUAAGUAUUUUAAAAUUGUCUUACAACACACACACACACACACAGAGGGAAAAUGAAAGGUAUGUGAUACAUUUAUGCUAUGUUUGGUUCCCAAAAAAAUUGAGGGAAAAUGAAAGGAGAAAAAAGUGGAGAGGAAAAGUAAAAGAAAAGAAAAAAAGUGAAGAAAAAUAUAAAAUUGAUUAAAGUAAAUACAUGUUACUUUAAACUUUUUUACUUAUUUUAAUUCUUCAAUGUAAGGAUGAAAGAUUUGAAAAUGCAUAAGUUUCUAAUUUUUUUAUUUUAUUUUAUAGUUUUUACAAUACAACCAAACAUACUAAAAUCAUUUUCUUUAAUUUUUUUUUCUUUUCUUAAUACUUUUCACGAACCCUUAAGUUAUGUUUGGUUUGCAGAAAAUAUGAGGAAUAGCAAAUAGAAAAGAAAAUUAGAAGGAAAGAAAAAAUGAAGUAAAAUAAAAAUAAAUUUAAAUUUAAUAAAUUAUUUUUAUAUGCUACUUUAAGCUUAUUUCACUUAUUUUAAAUUAUUUAAACUCAUUUCUAAUAAAUAAUAAUGGAAAUUGUAGAGAAGUUUGUGUUAUUCAAGCUUUGCAAUGACUUUUCAAGGUGAAGGAAAAUAUUCUUGCUGAAAUUGAAAAAGGAAAUACCUUCUUAAAUAGCCUAUUGACCGAAAACACAUUACCCUAACAUAUACACACACCUUUAUUAUUUAUACAAUCAUGUAAUACUUAAUCCAGUUAGUGGGAUUCUAGUGGUUGUUUCUAUCUUGGUUUCCAAUAUUUCUGAUUGAUAGUGUUCGAUUAAUGAAAUAUCAUAAAUUUUGACCCCAAUAAGGACCAAUCCCUAUUAAAUGUAAUUGGGUUAACCUAAGACUAAAUGCUAGACCCAACUAAUAAAAACCCAUCUGUUUGUUGGAGUCUAAAUAACCUGGCCUUAGGUAGAGCCCAUGCCUUAUUAUUUUAAGAUGUAGUCCAACUGGUUUAACACUAGAUUGAGUAAAGCCCAACUUAUGAGCAUCUGUGCAUUUCCAUCCAUCCACAACCUACUGGCAUGGAUAAACUUUGGUCAAUUAAACCUAUUAUAACUGUAUACAAAAUUUUAAGUUCAAAAGAUAAUUUUCCUUAUUUAGUUAGGAUUCAUAUUAAAAAGGCACAAAACAUGAAUUUUCAUGUUUAAAUUCACAAAUACCACGAAAGCUCCUUCAAGCUCUAUGGACCAUUUUAUUUGUAACAUUAUAUUACUCUUAAUUAUCAAAUUAACCAACAAAUUCUUCUCAUUACUUAUCUUUCUUUUGUAAUGUCAUAAAAUUUGAUGUAAAGUAGUAUUGGUCAUCAUUUCAACUUUCAGGUUCCAAUUAGAUGCAUCAAGCAUGUGCAACAUAUUUGAUAUAACUAAUAUUUUUAUAAGUAAUUGAAUUUUUUUUUUCUAUAAAUCAAUUAACUUGAUUAUCAAUGAAUACUUUCAUACAUGAUAUUGAUGUAGUUUCAUAAAUAUUUUAAAAUAGUCAUAGAAGUCUUUUAUCUGAUUCACUAGAAAGAAAAAUAAACUAUUCUAAUGAAAAUACUUGAUGAUUUGAAGUGAUUGCUUUUGAUUUUAUUUGAUUGCUACCAUUAUUAAUUGUUAGAAAUUGGCAACAAAUACCCAUUUUGCAUCACUUCUAUAUGCAUCGGGGGAAUGAAUUAUAUUUCAUAGAGCUAACAGGGCAAAACUCAAACUUUUGGAAUUAUGGAAAAUGUUGCUAGAAAGCUAAUUAACCAUUUAUAUUAUGAUUAAGACUAGUUGGGUUAGAAAUAAUUCAUAUGGAGAUUAAAAAAAACUAUGUAAUUUAGUUUAGUAGCUUGGGUGCUAUUGUAAUGAUUAAUGAUCUGCAACUUGAACACAUCUACUAGUGCUUUCUACUUGUAUAGCUAAAUUUAUGUUACCACUUUGAACUAGAGUACUUACAUGAGAAGAAAGCUUUUCCCUAGUGAUAAUGCAAAAGAAAUUAAGUAUCAAUUUUUGUUAAAAAUAACAAGUGAUAGUUUAGAUAUGGUUUGAAUACACUUUCUUUCUUCUAUUUUUUUAUUUUGAAAAAAAAAACUCUUUAAUGAAAUAUAAGAAAUCUUAUAUGUAUAAAAAUUAAAGACUUAAACAAAAAAAUUUGAAAUUUUGAAAAUUUUCGAGAAGUAUUUUUAAGAAUUUGUAUUUUUAGUAUAAUAAUUCCUAUAUUUUGUAUAAAAGUUUUUGUUUAAAAAAAUAGAAGUGUAUCCAAAUUACAAAUUAAUUGUUAAAUUAAGAAUGUUUCUCAGAUCAAGAGAUAAUGAAAGUUGUAGAGAGUUUGCAUUACUCAACCUUUGCAAUUACUUUUUGAAGGUAAAAAAAAAAUACCUUCCUACAUAACAUACAAUGGUAGGUUCUGGUUUGUAAGAAACUAAUAAAUGAUUAAGAAUAUGAAUAAGACUUCCUUUAUAAUAGAUAUGUAGAGAAGAAUAGUGGAUGAUAGGUGGUGAAAAUCUUGUAAUAAAAUAUCAAUAUCGGUUAUAAGAUAAUCAACAUUUUCUCUAUUUCUUGUACCUAUGUGAUUAAGAAUCUUGUAGCUCCCUUAUUGAAAUAUAAUAUAAAAAUAUAAAUAAACUAUUUAGAAGUGCAUGUAGUUUUCAACAUGAGGAAGUUCAAAAGCAAGUUAAUUAUGAUAAUUUUCCAUAGUCUAUAUUGAACACAAAUUAUUUUUACUAAAGGUUCAAUCGUUCUAUGAAGGUUAAAAGUUUGAAUUGUUUACAUAUGCAAAUGUGAAAUUUGAAAGUUUAUAAUUUUUUAUAAUUUUCUUGUAGAUUCAAAAAGCUUGUCCAUAUUCAAAAAGCUCGAGACCUUGAACCUCAAUUACAACAAGUUCAAAAACACUAGCCUACAACAAUUGGAUAUAUUUACAUCCCUUAAAAAUCUUUCUCUAAGAUGGAACAAUGUUGGAGGAUUUUUUCCUAUCCAAGGUAUGUGUAAUUAUUAUUAUUAUUAUUUUUAAUGAUGAAAUAUUAGAAUUGUCAACAUCUUUUAUCUUUUUUUCCCCUCAAUGGUGUUGCAGAAUUAUGCACUCUGGAAAACUUGGUGAUGUUAGACCUAAGUGGGAAUUUCUUUUUUGGCAUGCAAGGUAAAUACAAAGUGAAGUUUUGGUUAUAUAUAUAUAUAUAUAUAUAUAUAUAUAUAUCAUGUAAGAACAUAACUAAAAUCAACAUUAUUUGCCUAUCAAUUUGUGCAUGACUAUUAUUUAGUUAUUCUUCGUAACAUAAUUGAAAGAAUGUCUAGGUGUACAACAUUUAAGAAUUUUACAUGGCACAAUGAAAAACAUGGUAAUCAAUGUGUGCAAUAAAAUUCUAAUAGUUGAAAAAGAAUUUUCUUGUAAUUUUAUGUUCAUGUAUAGUAAUCAAAGAGAAAAUCAUGAAAAUGUAUAUUAGUUAGACUUUAUAUAUCAAUAGACAAAAAAGAAAGAAAAAAAAAGAUUAGUUCCUUAACUUAUCCUAAAAUUUUCUAGAUAACAAGGAGUUUUUUUAUUUUGGGCUAUAAGGUUUACAACCUGAAAAGUGAAGAUGAUUAAUAUUAGUAAUAAAAUUUUAAAAUAUAAAAAUUAGUGAAAUAAUGUUCUCUAUAACUAUAACUCCAACUGCAACUAUUAAUAAAAGAUAAUAAAGGUACUUUAGACUUUGAAUCCAUGGUUAGGUUUGCAAUUUUUUGAUGAUCAAUAAAGCUACAACUUAUGCUGCAAAAGGCUAUACAAAAUGUAUUAGGAGCAUUGCUAAGCUCAUUUAUCAAUAAAGGAAAUCCAGUAAUACUUUGAUUGGAAAAAACCUAGAAUCAUGUUUGAUAUAUAAUAGGUGAAGAAACAAAAUAACAAUUCCAUGGUAUUAGUUAGUUUGAUAUCUCUUUUGUUAUAUGGAAUAACUAUUCCAUUUUAAAAUAAUUAUUUCAUCUUAUCGCUAGAACAAAAAAUUUCAGGCGAUUAUAUGGGCUUUUGGGUUUCUUAAGAAUUUAAGCAUUUAUGGGUCACCCAUAUAUAUAUAGGAAGAAUAAAAAAAAAAAUAUUCUAUGGAGACAAGGGUAGACACCCAUAAAUGUACAUAUAAUUAUUUAAAUAAAAAUAUCAAUAAGAAACAAUAUACAACAAAAUAGAAAAUUUUAAUCUUCCUAAAUUUUAAAAAUAGAAAAUAAAUGAAAAAAAAUUAAAAAGUAAAAAAAAAAAAAAAAAAAGGUCAAGAAUACAAAUAGAUAAGUAAACAAAAUAUAAAAAAAAUACAUAAAUUAAAAUUAAAAUUUUUUUAAAAAAAAUACAUAGAUUAAUAUGAACACUAAAUGAGGUUUUUUGAGAUAGACUUAGUUAGACUUGAACUAGAUGGAUAUUAAAAAAAAUAAAAAUAAAAAUUCAAAGAAAUAAAAACUAAUUAGAUGCUAAAUAUUGGAUUAAAAUAACCAAAUGAAUAAAGAGUAAUUAUUAAUUUUUAACAUUUUUUAUUCCUUAGAAUUAUUAUUUUGUGUAUUAAAUGUAUUAUGAGUGUAGUGGUAUAAAAAAUGUAGUUAAGAAUACUAUGAAGAAUAAUAAUGGUGAUGAUAAUGGUGACGACACUUAAUACCUUUUAUUGUACAUUUAGAAAAAAUGAGGUUCUUGAUCUUUAUGAAGAUUAUCAUUACUCAUCCGCAAGCAUGUUGAUAGUUGAAACUACUCAAUUAUCAAAAAUUGAAUUUCUAACCUUCAAUUUUUCUCUCUCAAAUGUAUAUGUGGGUGAGAAAGCACUAGGUAGGUUAUAAGGUCUCACAUGUAUAUGAGUCAUAGGAUAAAAAAUAUAGAGACAAUACUAGCAUUUAUUUGAUCCAGUGGCAAAUAGAGAAAUAUAACAUAACCAUAACCAUAAUGUUCUAACCUUAUAUAUACCAGAACCAUGUUUCCUUCAUUCAAUUUUGCAACUUUUUCUUUUCAAAUUAGAAUGUAACUCGUAGGAUCCAUUGUCCAUCAAAAUUUUGAAUCGAAUAUUAUAAGAUAUUUCACAUUUCUACCUACUAAAGCAUGAGCUUCAAUGUUCUCAUGCACUUUUGGCUACUAAGUUAAAGAACUCUUUGAGGGUUAAUGGAGUUUCUAUGAGUAGCAAAGCAUUAUAAUCACAAAGUCUUAUCAGUGAUAUGCAAUUUAACCAAGAACUUAUUCCCAACUAUUUUAUGACUUUUCUUGGCUACUUGUAGGCAAGCUAAAGAAAUUUUCUGGUUUGUUCAAGUCUAAAAAGUGGUUUCAAGUUUAGGGCCAAGCUUGGGCUGCACCUAGGUCCUUGGGCCUUAUUCAGCUCCACGUUUAAACCAACCUUGAGUCCAUCUUUGUAAUUUUUCUCCCAAUUCAUUGAUUUAUAUUAGGAUUUUAUAAAGCCUAUAAAUUGACCAACUAAAUAAAGUAGGUUCAUAAACUUUUAGGUGAAAAUUUUCUCUCUAAUAAAUGUUAAUUCAAGAGUCUCCGUAAUCUUUUUAUAUUCAUAUUAAUUGGUAUUUAAACUGACCUUACUAUAUUAAAGUCAAAUACCAAAUAGUGAACACUAUAUCUGCUACUACCACUAUGAUGGUCACAAACAUAGAAUGCUCCUUUUUUUAGAGUCAAUUGAUGCUUAUAAACAACAACUUUGUUUGAAAAUAAAAUACAUCGAGUGAUUGCAUCAAGAGAUUGAUGUAAUAAUUGCAUACUUGAUCUUGAUAAUGCUGAGUUGACUAAAUAAAUGAGUAUUUACUUAUAAGGUAGCCCAUAGAACAUUAUUUGUGGAAAUAUUCAUGCACCUCUACAUAUGUUCAUGAUAACUUAGGUUGAUAAAUUUAAGAAGAACAAAUUCAUAACCUUGGGCAUAGUUAGUAAGAAAUUUCACCAAUAGAGUUUGGUAUCAUGAUUCUAAUUGUUCAAAUUGUUUUAAAGGAGUAUUUUAAAUUGCAUGUUAAUUUGCUUCUAAUAAAUGGAGAGAAACCAAUUCAAGAAGAGAAUUGUACUCAAGCUAUGUAUAACAUUCAUGAAGAUGUAGAAAAUAUUGAUGAACUUACUUUUGAGCAAGUUGAAAUCAUAAUUAAAUAAAAGAACAAACCCAAGGGUUAAGAUUGUCAAGUAAAACUUUAACUAAAAUUUAUUGAUUUUUUAAAUGCCUAUUAGAGGGACAAUAGAAGUUCUAGAUAAAAAGUAAGAACUUUUCUAAGGAAUCACUUGUUAGAUUUUAAGUGAUCAAUAAAUAUAAUGUCCAAUUUAAAACUUUUAUAAAAGCAAUGCUUCUAAAGAAUAACUUGAUUUGAAUUUAAAGUUAUUAUUGAUAUUUGUUUAUAAUGGAUGUAGUUAAUCAACUGAACAUAGUAAAAAACACAUAAAUUUUUCAAAAUACCUUCUAGUUGUUGGGUAUAUUUAAAUAGUCAUCCAUAUCUCAUUAUCUUUUCACUCACAUACUAAUCUCCUUAUUGAGUAUUUACCAAUUACAAGUAGGUUGAAAGUUACUUGAAUUUAAGUCACUAAUCAAUGUUAACUUGAUAACAAAUAAGUCUCUCUUUGAAACUUGUUUUACAAGAUAGCGAAAUGUAGUCGAUCAAUCAUCAAAACAAUGUUCAAGCAUUAGGAUUUAGUUGUUAAUUUUUAUUUUUAUUUUUUGUGCUUAAACAAAGACAAAAAUGAUAAAAACUCCUUAAAAGUACAUAGUAAUUGAAUUUAAUUUAUACAUCAAACAAGAACAAACUAGUCUUGGAUUUAAAAUUCAUCAGGUUUUGUAAUUAUAAUUCCUAAAAAUUUGUAAGACAACAAAAUUAUUGGGCACUAGGUUAUUGGGUGUGUAUGACUAAGAGGUGAAGGAGGGUUCAUCUUAUACAAAGGAUGAUUUGAUUAAUUUUAAAGAUUGGAUAAACAAUAAUUGCAUAUUCAAGUAAAAAUAACAUUGCUAAAAAGGAAAAUAAGUAUUUUAGUCCUCAAACCUAAAAUGGCUAAAAAUUUUAAUUAAUACAAUACAACUUCACCUACAAAAGAAAAAAAAAACCCAAAACUUUUCAAUAGCACAACUAAGUCCAUUUAUCAAAAAAAAGAAAUAUAAGGAAGUUGGACUCAUUUACUAGCAAUUUAACAUAUGACUAAAACCUAUUGAAGAAUUUGCAAUAGCACUUACUUUGGUCAUGUCCAAACUUAUUGCACAUGGUGCAAAAAGGGGUAGUGCUCGAGGAUGCUUCCACAUAAGAAAGACCCUACUUAACUGUUACAAAGGUUAUUUUCCCACUUGUGGGAAUGCUAACCUUGCUAAUAUAUUAUAUGCCAUGUUUAUCAUAUACAAAUUUUUCUUUACUAAAUAUUUCUUUAAUGAUCUUGGACCUAAAAUUAAAUAUUUCAUUAGUAUUGGUCAUGUCGUUCCUCAACUUUUCAACUUUUAGAGUUAAAUCUUUAUCUUUAUCAUUGAUAGUUUUAUGUUUAGUCCCUAGAAACUUCACCUUAUUAACAAUAUGUUCAUUUAAUAUUUUGAUAUUUUUAAUUUUCAAAGAAUCAUAGAGCUCAUUAAUUUUAAUGUCUUUUUAUUCACUUUUAUGCUUUCAACCUUUGUUUUUAGUUUUCCUAUAAUAAUGCAUCAUAGACCCCAUGUAUAUCAUUAAAAUAAAACUCAUUUUUUUCAUUAGGAUUCAAUUAACCCAAUGGAUCAUAAUCAAAAUUAGUUGCAUAUGAACAAAAGCAAUAAGAUUAUCAUUUUGUACAUCUUUACUUUCAUUUGAGUUCUUAGCCCUACAAUCAUCAAACAUGGAAUUACUCCAAGUUACCUACAUAGCCUUCAUACCUAAUGUUUUUAAGGCAAGGACAAUCAACAACCAUGUGUCCCAUUCCCCCAAUGGUUCACUACGAAAUCAAGGUACAUAUGUUAUGCUUUCUUUGUUUCAUAGUGAUUAGAGAGGAUAAACAUUGUAAAAAAAAAAGUUGUCAUAGUUAAUGUAAGCUAAAACUAAAAAACUUGCUUUUUCAAUUGUGUAAGCAUGUUUUGUUCUUGAUGAAUAUUUACAACAUUCAGAGUUACUAAUGUUUAUAAUUCACAGAGACCUCAUUAACAACAAGUAACAACUAAUUGUAAGUAACCAUGAAAAAAAAAUAAGGAGAAAAAUAAAGGAAAAUCAAGGAAAGUGUCAAAUUUUUUCAUCCCCAUAAAAAAUGCUAAGGAAGAAAAAUGUGAAGAAAGUUUAAAGAAAGUAUAUUUUUCAAAAAUUGAAUUUUCUUUCCCUUAAAGUUGGUAUGGACAACCAAACAAGAAAAUGAUUUUUAAAUUCUUUUUUGACCUUUUUCUAUCAUUCUUUUUUUUUUCCCCCUACUCUAUUUCCUUUCCCUCAAACUUUCUAGGUAGUAAACAUUACCUAAGAUAAAUAGGGAAGAAAAUAUUUUAUCAUUUAUUUAUUUAGUAUUUUUCUUACCUUUUUUUGUAUUUUAUCCAAAUAUAAGAAAACUACUUUUCUUUAUUUUUUCUUUUCCUUGUUGCUUUUCAAGAAUCAAGCAUACUUUAAACUCUAAUUAAGAGUUACAUAGAUUUACAGAGAAACAAUGCAACUAGUAACAAAAAAUUAAGGAAAUUUAAUUUUUUAAUUUUUGAGAGUAAGUAUAAUAAGAUUGGUUUGUUUGAUACAAAAUUUGAAUAAAAAUUAUUUUAAUGAAAAUUCAAGGAAAGGAAAAAAAAAAAAAAAAACUUGAUCUCUAGACUAUAAUACUAAAUCAAUUAAAAAAUCUCCUAACAUCGUUUAUGUUCAUCUUUUUUUUUUUAUGGAUUUGAAAAACCCAAUAAUUUGGAGAAAACUGAUUCAAGGAAGAAUAAUUUUUAGAAUAAAAUAUUAUUAUUUAAGAAGAUCAUAAAUUUUAUAGUCAUUGUUGAAAAUGAUAAAUGAUUAAAAAAAAAAAGGUAGUUGGAAAUUUAGAUACUUUUAUAAGACAAAUGCAUUUUUCUAGUCUGGUAUGAAAAAAGGUAAAAUGAUAGGCUUUGAUCAUUUUUCAAGUUAGUUUGUUUAAAUCAUUUUAAUUUAUUUUGAUUUAAGAACAAUAACUUUUAUUACACUAGUUAUUUUGAUUUUCUUUUGAUAGAUUUUGCAAGCUUAAGCAAUUUGGAGCUAUUGGAUUUGAGUUAUAAUUUAUUUAGUGGGAGCAUUCCAUCAUCUAUAAGAUUGAUGUCUUCUAUCAAGUCUUUAUCCUUGGCUGAAAAUUACCUCAAUGGUUUCUUAGCAAAUCAAGGUACAUAUAUUGUGAUUACAGGUUUUUCUAUUUUCUUUUUUAAUAUCUUGUUUGUUCUUUAUGCCAAUUAAGUCAUGCAUGUCUAUUAAUUUUUGGUAUUUAAUGAAAAACUUUAUUCUUAAUUCAUAAAGACCUCAUCAACUAUAAGUAACAGUUAGUUCUAAGUUUGGGGGCAUUGACAAGACGAGGAGAUGAUUGGUUACAUGUCUUAUUCUCUUUUGUUGGCUUUUGCCAAUUGAAUAAGUUUCAAGAAUUAGAUUUUUCUUACAACUUAUUCCAAGGAAUCCUUCCUCCAUGUUUGAAUAAUUUGACAUCUUUGAGGUUAUUGGAUCUCUCUUCCAACCUAUUCUCCGGAAAUCUUUCUUCCCCUCUGUUACCUAAUCUCACAUCCCUGGAGUACAUCGAUCUCAGUUACAAUCAUUUUGAGGGUUCAUUCUCUUUCAGCUCUUUUGCUAAUCACUCCAACUUUCAAGUGGUCAAACUUGGAAGGAAUAACAACAAAUUUGAGGUAGAAACUGAAUAUCCAGUUGAUUGGGUUCCCCUAUUUCAGUUGAAAGCUCUUAUGCUAUCCAACUGUAAGCUCAUCGAUGACCUUCCUGGUUUUCUUCGACACCAAUUAAGAUUAACCGUGGUUGAUCUCUCCCAUAAUAACUUGACUGGAAGUUUCCCCAUUCAGCAGCUUGAAAACAAUACAAGACUAGGAUCUCUAGUUUUGAGGAAUAACUCUUUAAUGGGUCAACUACUUCCCCUGAGACCUAAUAGUCGUAUCACUUUAUUGGAUAUCUCAGACAACCGACUUCAUGGGGAACUUCAACAAAAUGUGGCCAAUAUGAUUCCAAAUAUUGAGUUUCUAAAUUUAUCCAACAAUCUUCCCCUUCAUUUCAUCCAUAUUUGGAUCUACCUUUAAAUCUCUAUUGCAUACAACCCAUAUAUGAUUCCCUCUAAAUUUAGCCUUCAUUUCUUGUUAAGAGGUUUUAAAAGCCAGCAAUUUAAUUUACUUUCAUCCUCUAUAUAGAUGAGAACUCUUAUAUUUAUCCAAUGAUAGGUAACAUUUUUGCAAAUGCUUUUAUUUGAUUUUUUUAAUUGGUCUUAAAAAUAAGUGUUAAUAAAGAUCCACAAUAUAAAAUAAUAAAUUAUAUCUCAAUUGACCUCAAGAUACUAUUUACUUCUACUAACUCAUUUUACAUCUCAAUUGUUCUUAAAAAGUCUAUAAUGGUAAUUAACUAUAGAAUUCAAGUUUUAAUUAUGCAAAAAAUAUAUAAAGGUUUUUAAAAUUAAUAGAAAAAAAGAUUCUAAUAAAUAAUAAGUAGAUUGAAACAUUUAUUUCUAGAAGUAGAGAAAGAUGGAGGAUCAUAAAAGUUGAAAAAAGAAUAAUUUGGAAGUCAUAAAAUUUUGGAAAAAGAAUAAUUCAUAGAGACCUCAUUAACAACAAGUAACAACUAAUUGUAAGUAACCAUGAAAAAAGUAAGGAGAAAAAUAAGGGAAAAGCAAGGAAAGUAGCAAAUUUUUUCAUCCCCAUAAAAAAAUGAUAAGGAAGAAAAAAGUGAAGAAAGUUUAAAGAAAGCAUAUUCUUCAAAAAUUGAAUUUUCUUUCCCUUAAAAUUGGUAUGGACAACCAAACAAGAAAAUGAUUUUUAAAUUCUUUUUUGACCUUUUUCUAUCAUUCUUUUUUUUCCCCCUACUCUAUUUCCUUUCCCUCAAACUUUCUAGGUAGUAAACAUUACCUAAGAUAAAUAGGGAAGAAAAUAUUUUAUCAUUUAUUUAUUUAGUAUUUUUCUUACCUUUUUUGUAUUUUAUCCAAAUAUAAGAAAACUAUUUUUCUUUAUUUUUUCUUUUCCUUGUUGCUUUUCAAGAAUCAAGCAUGCUUUAAACUCUAAUUAAGAGUUACAUGGAUUUACGGAGAAACAAUGCAACUGGUAACAAAAAAUUAAGGAAAUUUAAUUUUUGAGAGUAAGUAUAAUGAGAUUGGUUUGUUUGAUACAAAAUUUAAAUAAAAAUUCUUUCAAUGAAAAUUCAAGGAAAGGAAAAAAAAACAAAUUUAUCUCUAGACUAUAAUACUAAAUCACUUAAAAAAAACUCCUAACAUCGUUUAUGUUCAUCUUUCUUUUUAUGGAUUUGAAAAACCCAAUAAUUUGGAGAAAACUGAUUCAAGGAAGAAUAAUUUUUAGAAUAAAAGAUUAUUAUUUAAGAAGAUCAUAAAUAUUAUAGUCAUUGUUGAAUAUGAUAAAUGAUUAAAAAAAAAAAAGGUAGUUGGAAAUUUAGAUACUUUUAUAAGACAAAUGCAUUUUUCUAGUAUGGUAUGAAAAAAAGGUAAAAUGAUAGGCUUUGAUCAUUUUUUAAGGUAGUUUGUUUAAAUCAUUUUAAUUUAUUUUGAUUUAAUAACAAUAACUUUUAUUACACUAGUUAUUUUGAUUUUCUUUUGAUAGAUUUUGCAAGCUUAAGAAAUUUGGAGGUAUUGGAUUUGAGUUAUAAUUCAUUUAGUGGGAUCGUUCCAUCGUCUAUAAGAUUGUUGUCUUCUCUCAAGUCUUUAUCUCUGGCUGGAAAUCACCUCAAUGGUUCCUUAGCAAAUCAAGGUACAUAUAUUGUGAUUACAGGUUUUUCUAUUUUCUUUUUUAAUAUCUUGUUUGUUCUUUAUGCCAAUGAAGUCAUGCAUGUCUAUUAAUUUUUGGUAUUUAAUAAAAAACUUUAUUCUUAAUUCAUGAAGACCUCAUCAACUGUAAGUAACAACUAGUUGUAAAUUUGGGGGCAUUGAUAAGACGAGGAGAUGAUUGGUUACAUGUCUUAUUCUCUUUUGUAAGCUUCUGCCAAUUGAAUAAGCUUCAAGAGUUAGAUUUUUCUUACAACUUAUUCCAAGGGAUCCUUCCUCCAUGUUUGAAUAAUUUGACAUCUUUGAGGUUAUUGGAUCUCUCUUCCAACCUAUUCUCCGAAAAUCUUUUUUCCCCUCUGUUACCUAAUCUCACAUCCCUGGAGUACAUCGAUCUCAGUUACAAUCAUUUUGAGGGUUCAUUCUCUUUCAGCUCUUUUACUAAUCACUCCAACCUUCAAGUGGUCAAACUUGGAAGGAAUAACAACAAAUUUGAGGUAGAAACUGAAUAUCCAGUUGGUUGGGUUCCCCUGUUUCUGUUGAAAGCUCUUGUCCUAUCCAACUGUAAGCUCAUCGGUGAUCCUGGUUUCCUUCGACACCAAUUAAGAUUAACCGUGGUUGAUCUCUCCCAUAAUAAUUAGACUGGAAGUUUCCCCAUUUGGCUGCUUGAUAACAAUACAAGACUAGGAUCUCUAGUUCUGAGGAAUAACUCUUUAAUGGGUCAACUACUUCCCCUGAGACCUAAUAGUCGUAUCACUUUAUUGGAUAUCUCAGACAACCGACUUCAUGGGGAACUUCAACAAAAUGUGGCCAAUAUGAUUCCAAAUAUUGAGUUUCUAAAUUUAUCCAACAAUCAUCCCCUUCAUUUCAUCCAUAUUUGGAUCUACCUUUAAAUCUCUAUUGCAUACAACCCAUAUAUGAUUCCCUCUAAAUUUAGCCUUCAUUUCUUGCUAAGAGGUUUUAAAAGCCAGCAAUUUAAUUUACUUUCAUCCUCUAGAUUGAUGAGAACUCUUAUAUUUAUCCAAUGAUAGGUAACAUUUUUGCAAAUGCUUUUAUUUGAUUUUUUUAAUUGGUCUUAAAAAUAAGUGUUAAUAAAGAUCCACAAUAUAAAAUAAUAAAUUACAUCUCAAUUGACCUCAAGAUACUAUUUACUUCUACUAACUCAUUUUACAUCUUAAUUGUUCUUAAAAAGUCUAUAAUGGUAAUUAACUAUAGAAUUCAAGUUUUAAUUAUGCAAAAAAUAUAUAAAGGUUUUUAAAGUUAAUAGAAAAAGAGAUUCUGAUAAAUAAUAAGUAGAUUGAAACAUUUAUUUCUAGAAGUAGAGAAAGAUGGAGGAUCAUAAAAGUUGAAAAAAGAAUAAUUUGGAAGUCAUAAAAUUUUGGAAAAAGAAUAAUUCAUAGAGACCUCAUUAACAACAAGUAACAACUAAUUGUAAGUAACCAUGAAAAAAGUAAGGAGAAAAAUAAAGGAAAAUCAAGGAAAGUGACAAAUUUUUUCAUCCCCAUAAAAAAUGAUAAGGAAGAAAAAGGUGAAGAAAGUUUAAAGAAAGUAUAUUUUUCAAAAAUUGAAUUUUCUUUCCCUUAAAGUUGGUAUGGACAACCAAACAAGAAAAUGAUUUUUAAAUUCUUUUUUGACCUUUUUCUAUCAUUCUUUUUUUUUUCCUUACUCUAUUUCCUUUCCCUCAAACUUUCUAGGUAGUAAACAUUACCUAAGAUAAAUAGAGAAGAAAAUAUUUUAUCAUUUAUUUAUUUAGUAUUUUUUUUACCUUUUUUUGUAUUUUAUCCAAAUAUAAGAAAACUAUUUUUCUUUAUUUUUUCUUUUCCUUGUUGCUUUUCAAGAAUCAAGCAUACUUUAAACUUUAAUUAAGAGUUACAUAGAUUUACGGAGAAACAAUGCAACUGGUAACAAAAAAUUAAGGAAAUUUAAUUUUUGAGAGUAAGUAUAAUGAGAUUGGUUUGUUUGAUACAAAAUUUGAAUAAAAAUUCUUUCAAUGAAAAUUCAAGGAAAGGAAAAAAAACAAAUUUAUCUCUAGACUAUAAUACUAAAUCACUUAAAAAAAACUCCUAACAUCGUUUAUGUUCAUCUUUCUUUUUAUGGAUUUGAAAAACCCAAUAAUUUGGAGAAAACUGAUUCAAGGAAGAAUAAUUUUUAGAAUAAAAGAUUAUUAUUUAAGAAGAUCAUAAAUAUUAUAGUCAUUGUUGAAUAUGAUAAAUGAUUAAAAAAAAAAAAGGUAGUAGGAAAUUUGGAUACUUUUAUAAGACAAAUGCAUUUUUCUAGUAUGGUAUGAAAAAAAGGUAAAAUGAUAGGCUUUGAUCAUUUUUUAAGGUAGUUUGUUUAAAUCAUUUUAAUUUAUUUUGAUUUAAUAACAAUAACUUUUAUUACACUAGUUAUUUUGAUUUUCUUUUGAUAGAUUUUGCAAGCUUAAGCAAUUUGGAGGUAUUGGAUUUGAGUGGUAAUUCAUUUAGUGGGAUCGUUCCAUCGUCUAUAAGAUUGUUGUCUUCUCUCAAGUCUUUAUCUCUGGCUGGAAAUCACCUCAAUGGUUCCUUAGCAAAUCAAGGUACAUAUAUUGUGAUUACAGGUUUUUCUAUUUUCUUUUUUAAUAUCUUGUUUGUUCUUUAUGCCAAUGAAGUCAUGCAUGUCUAUUAAUUUUUGGUAUUUAAUAAAAAACUUUAUUCUUAAUUCAUGAAGACCUCAUCAACUGUAAGUAACAACUAGUUGUAAAUUUGGGGGCAUUGAUAAGACGAGGAGAUGAUUGGUUACAUGUCUUAUCACUACUACAAAAAUUGAAAUUAAUGACGCUUUAUUUUAUGACGCUUUCUAAAAGCGUCAUUAUUGAGGGUAUACAAUGACGCUUAUAAGAAGUGUCAUAGUUGUAUUAUUUAUCUUGAUACUGAUUAUAAGUGUCAUUAUUUGAUGUCAUCUUUUUCCUUGUAACUGUGUAUAUAAUGACGCUUAUAAGAAGCGUCAUAGUUUUAUUAUUUACCUUGACACUUAUUAUAAGCAUCAUUAUUUGAUGGGUAUGUAAUGACGUUCUUGAGAAGUGUCAUAGUUGUAUUGACUUUUAAAAUUUUUGUUUUUAAGUUAACUUAUACAAAUUUUGAUAUUAGAAUAUUAUUCUAUAAAUUAAUUAUGGUAAAUUGACAUUAAUAUUAAUGACAUAAAGUUGCUACAUUAAGGUUUUUUUAAAAAAAUUUGGAUAUAAAUAAAAUAAAAUCCUAAUAAAUUAUUUUUUUAUUGUUUGAUAUUAAUUUUUUUAUAGUUUGUAUCAAUACAAUCUAUUUUCAUAAACUAUUUUUCAUUUUUAUUAAAUUAGAAAUUAUCUUAUAUUUCAUUUAAAAAUAAUUUGUUAAUUUAUUUGUGGACCACAAAAAAGUGGCCUAUUUUGAGCACUUGUUCGAGCCUUGGGCCACAUUUAUUGGGUUUAACCCUUUUAUUUGAGAAGGUUUUAUAGUUAAUGAAUAUAAAUUUGAAAUUAUUUAACUAAAAUGAAAUAAAUUAAUAUUUAAAUUAAUUUAAUGAUGAUUAGACUCACAAUAAAACUAAAUGCAAUAAGAAUAUUUAUAAAAACUUUCUAAUAUUUAUGGGAAUUAAGCUCAUUCUAUUAAAUUAGUUUUUUUUUUAAAUAUCAAUAUUCAAAUUAAACCAAUAUCAACCUAAAAUAUCAAAUAAUUAAACAAUAUAAAUUUAUUAUGAGUUCAAUAUAUAAAAAUUAUUAUUGGAAGAUGAAAUAAAGAAUACUAUUUUAAUUUAUUGAAAAAGGACAUGCAUGAUAUUUUAGAAUUUGUUAUAAAGUCUCCAUUGAAAACCCUAACUUUUGGAAGACAAGAAAGAAGGGAGAGAGCCACCGUUUUUAGUGAGAAAGAAGAGAAGAGAGAAAAAUGCAAGUUUUUCUCAUCAGGCCCAGAUUUCAUCAAAGGUCUGAUCCCACUUUGUCCGUGGUCCGAUCGAGCUGAAAUUUGGAGGAGAGUUUCGUGACUCAUUUAUCUUCAAUCUGAACGGUGAAGAUCGGAUUUGGAGUUUCGGAAAGUCAUUAGAAAGAAAGAGGAGAAGAGAGAAAAACGUAGGUUUUUCUCAUCAUGCCCAGAUUUUAUCAAAUGUCCGAUCCCGCUUCGUCCGUGGUCCGAUCGAGUUGAAAUUUGAAGGAGAGGUUUGUGGCUCAUGUAUCUUCAAUAUGAACGGUGGAGAUCUGAUUUGGAGUUUCGGACAGUCAUUAGAGAGAAAGAGGAGAAGAGAGAAAAACUUAGGUUUUUCUCAUCGUGCCCAGAUUUCAUCAAAUGUCUGAUCCCGCUUCGUCCGUGGUCCGAUCGAGUUGAAAUUUGAAGGAGAGGUUCGUGGCUCAUGUAUAUUCAAUAUGAACGGUGGAGAUCGGAUUUGGAGUUUUGGACAGUCAUUAGAGAGAAAGAGGAGAAGAGAGAAAAACAGUGGUUUUUUUAUAUCAUGCCCAGAUUUCAUCAAAGGUUCAAUGCCGCUUUUUUCAUGGUCUGAUUGAGCUGAAAUUUGGAGGAGAGGUUCAUAAGUCAUUAAUCUUAAAUUUGAACGGUGAAGAUCGGAUUUAGAGUUUUGGAAAGUCAUCUUUCAGCCAAAAACAAAACCUUUAUUUUAUCAAAGAUGGCGCUUCCUGAAAGUGUCAUUGUUGCCUAAGACAUACAAUGACAGAGGCGAAGAGGACGCUUUAGAGAAGCGUCAUCUGUUACCUUUCUUGACGCUUAAAAAACGUCAUAGUUUCCCAUUUUUCUUGUAGUGUAUUCUCUUUUGUAAGCUUCUGCCAAUUGAAUAAGCUUCAAGAGUUAGAUCUUUCUUACAACUUAUUCCAAGGGAUCCUUCCUCCAUGUUUGAAUAAUUUGACAUCUUUGAGGUUAUUGGAUCUCUCUUCCAACCUAUUCUCCGAAAAUCUUUCUUCCCCUCUGUUACCUAAUCUCACAUCCCUGGAGUACAUCGAUCUCAGUUACAAUCAUUUUGAGGGUUCAUUCUCUUUCAGCUCUUUUACUAAUCACUCCAACCUUCAAGUGGUCAAACUUGGAAGGAAUAACAACAAGUUUGAGGUAGAAACUGAAUAUCCAGUUGGUUGGGUUCCCCUGUUUCUGUUGAAAGCUCUUAUCCUAUCCAACUGUAAGCUCAUCGGUGAUCCUGGUUUCCUUCGACACCAAUUAAGAUUAACCGUGGUUGAUCUCUCCCAUAAUAAUUAGACUGGAAGUUUCCCCAUUUGGCUGCUUGAUAACAAUACAAGACUAGGAUCUCUAGUUCUGAGGAAUAACUCUUUAAUGGGUCAACUACUUCCCCUGAGACCUAAUAGUCGUAUCACUUUAUUGGAUAUCUCAGACAACCGACUUCAUGGGGAACUUCAACAAAAUGUGGCCAAUAUGAUUCCAAAUAUUGAGUUUCUAAAUUUAUCCAACAAUGGUUUUGAAGGUAUUCUCCCAUCCUCAAUAGCCGAAAUGAGUUCCUUACAGUCAUUAUAUUUGUCUGCUAAUAGUUUCUCAGGGGAAGUACCAAAACAAUUGCUUGCGGCAAAAUAUUUGUGGCUUCUGAAAUUAUCAAAUUAUAAAUUUCAUGGCGAAAUAUUUUCAAGGGACUUUAACUUGACUCAGUUAGGGUUUUUGCAUUUGGACAAUAAUCAGUUCAAGGGAACACUGUCAAAUGUAAUCUCCAGAAUCUCUAGGUUAUGGGUGUUGGAUAGGUAACAUGACCGAUUUGACUACACUGGUGUUGGGCAACAAUAGUUUUAAAGGCAAAUUACCACCUGAGAUUUCUCAAUUGUUGGGGAUGAUAUUUCUUGACGUUUCUCAAAACGCUCUUUUAGGAUCUCUUCCUUCUUUGAAGAGCCUGGAGUAUUUAGAUACCCAGAGAUUGAUACCCAGAGAUUUUCUCAAUUCCUCAUAUCUAUUGACUUUGGAUAUCAGAGACAACAGGUUAUUUGGAAGUAUUCCCUAUUCAAUCUCUAGACUUUUAGAGCUAAGAGGAAACCUUUUAAGUGAUUUCAUUCCAUAUCAGCUUUGUCAUUUGACUAAAAUAAGCUUGAUGGAUAUUUCAAACAACAAUUUUUCUGGGUCAAUUCCCGGAUGCUUUGGUCAUAUCGGAUUUGGAGAUUUCAAAACUGAGCACAAUGUGUAUAUACCGAUGUUGGAUUCGUAUUCAGAAAGCAAUCCUUCUAUAUAUACGGGUUACUUAAUAAAAUAUUUAUUUUUCUCUAGUGAACUCCCUGAUGAAGUAGAUGAAGUUGAGUUUGUUACCAAGAAUAGGUAUAGCUCCUACAGAGUAGAUAAAAAUAUUUGUUGGGAAUUUAGAUAUUUUUAUAGGAAAGUAGACAAGUAUUCUAAUUUAUAAAAACAAUGCAUUUCUUUAGUUUGGUAUAAAAAAAAAUGAAACGAUAGGUAUUGGUAUUUUUUUUAAAGCAACAAACGUUUUAUUUUAUUUGUAUUUAAGAACAAUGUCUUUUCUUAUACUAGUUAUUUUAAUUUUCUUUUGACAGAUUUUGCAAGCUUAAGCAAUUUGGAGAUACUAGAUUUGAGUUCUAAUUCCUUAAGUGGGAUUAUUCCAUCAUCUAUAAGAUUGAUGUCUCAUCUCAAGUCUUUAUCCUUGGCCGGAAAUCAGCUCAAUGGUUCUUUACAAAAUCAAGGUACAUAUGUUAUGAUUUGUUUGUUUCAUAUGGAUUAGAGAAGAUGAAUAUUGUAAAAAAAAAGUUGUAGUUAAUGUAAGCUAGAAAUAAGUAUCUUGCCUUAUAAAUUAUAUGAGCAUGUGUUUGUUCUUAAUGAAUCUUUACAACAUUUAGAGUUACCAAUGUUUAUAAUUCAUAAAGACCUCAUUAACCGUGAGUAACAACUAAUUGUAAGUAAUUGUGGAAAAAGUAAGGAAAACAAAAUGAGGGAAAAGCAAGGAAUUAGGAAAUUAUUUUGUUCCCAUUAAAAAAUGCUAAGGAAGAAAAAGGUAAAAGAAAGUUUAAAAAAAGUGUAUUUUUCAAAAAUUUAUUUCUCUUUCCUUUAAUUUUGCUAUGGACAACCAAACAAGAAAAUUAUUUUAUAAUUCCUUUUUUAUUUUUUUCAUUCUCUCUCUCUUUUUUCCCCUACUCUAUUUCUUUUCCCUCAAACUUUCUUGGUAGUAAACACAACCUAAGAUAAAAUGGGGAAGAAAAUUUUCAGUUUUUUUUUUAUUUUUUUAGAAUGUUUUCUUACUUUUUAGUAUUUUAUGCAAAUAUAGGAAAAUUAUUUUUUUUUCUUUUUUUUUCUUGCUCCUUUUCGGACAUGAAUCACACUUUAAAAGAAAAUUAAUUUUUAAUUAGGAGUUAAGAUAAAUUUAAGGAGAAACAGUGAAUCACGAAUAACAAAAAAAUAAGGAAAUUGAAUUUUUGAAAGUAAGUAUAAUCAAAUUGCUUCAUUUGAUACAAAAUUUGAAUAAAAAUUCUUUCAAGGAAAGGAAAAAACAUUUUUGUCUCUAGAUUAUAAUACUAAAUCAUGUAAAAAAUCUCUUAACAUCAUUUAUAUUCAUAUUUAUUUUUGUAGAUUUGAAAAAUUCAACAAUUUGGAAUAAACUUAUUCAAUGAAUAAUAAUUUUUAGAUUUAAAGAUUAUUAUUUAAGAUCAUAAAUAUUACCAUGAUUGUUGAUGUCUAAGAAGAUCAUAUUCAACAAUUUUUUUAAUAUGUUGUUUUUUUAUGGUAAUUAAUUGAUGUCUUGUAAUUUUUAAUAUUUAAUGAAAAACAUUAUUUUAAUUCAUCUAGAGCUCUUAAUUCAUGAAGACCUCAUUAAUGGUGAGUAAUAGUUGGCUGUAAGUUUGGAGUCAAAGACAUGUCAAGGAGAUGAUUAGUUACAUGUCUUAUUCUCUUUUGUAGGUUUCUGUCAAUUGAAUAAGCUUCAAGAGUUAGAUCUUUCUUACAACUUAUUCCAAGGGAUCCUUCCUCCAUGUUUGAAUAAUUUGACAUCUCUAAGGUUAUUGGAUCUCUCUGUCAACCUAUUCUCCGGAAAUCUUUCUUCUCCUUUAUUACCUAAUCUCACAUCCCUGGAGUACAUCGAUCUCAGUUACAAUCAGUUUGAGGGUUCAUUCUCUUUCAGCUCUUUUGCUAAUCACUCAAAGCUUCAAAUGGUCAAACUUGGAAUGAAUAACAACAAAUUUGAGGUAGAAACUGAAUAUCCAAUUGGUUGGGUUCCCUUGUUUCAAUUGAAGGCUCUUUCGCUAGACAGCUGUAAGCUCACCGGCGACCUUCCUAGUUUUCUUCAAUACCAAUUCAGGUUAGUGGGGGUUGAUCUCUCACAUAAUAACUUGACAGGAAGUUUUCCCAAUUGGCUGCUUGAAAACAAUACGAGACUAAAAUCUCUAGUUCUGAGGAAUAACUCUUUAAUGGGUCAAUUACUUCCCUUGGAACGUAAUACCCGUAUCCAUUCAUUGGAUAUCUCACACAAUCAGUUGGAUGGACAACUUCAAGAAAAUGUGGCCCAUAUGAUUCCAAAUAUGAAAUAUCUAAAUUUAUCCGACAAUGGUUUUGAGGGUAUUCUCCCAUCCUCAAUAGUUGAACUAAGAGCCUUAUGGUAUUUGGAUUUGUCUACCAAUAAUUUCUCUGGAGAAGUACCAAAGCAAUUGCUUGCAGCAAAAGAUUUGGGGGUUUUGAAAUUAUCAAAUAAUAAAUUUCAUGGUGAAAUAUUUUCAAGGGACUUUAACUUGAUUAGGUUGGAAGUUUUGUAUUUGGGCAAUAAUCAGUUGACGGGAACUCUGUCAAAUGUAAUCUCUAAAAGCUCUUGGUUGGGGGUGUUGGAUGUGAGCAACAACUACAUGUCAGGUGAAAUUCCAAGCCAGAUAGGUAACAUGACCUAUUUGACUACACUGGUGUUGGGCAACAAUAGUUUUAAAGGCAAAUUACCACCCGAGAUUUCUCAAUUGUGGGGUUUGGAGUUUCUUGACGUUUCUCAAAAUGCUCUUUCAGGAUCUCUUCCUUGUUUGAAGACCAUGGAGAGUUUAAAGCAUCUACAUUUGCAAGGGAACAUGUUUACAGGAUUAAUACCCAGAGAUUUUCUCAAUUCCUCACAUUUAUUGACUUUGGAUAUGCGAGAUAACAGGUUAUUUGGAAGUAUUCCCAAUUCAAUCUCUGCACUUUUGAAGCAGCUAAGGAUUUUUUUGCUGGGAGGAAACCUUUUAAGUGGUUUUAUUCCAAAUCAUCUUUGUCAUUUGACUGAAAUAAGCUUGAUGGAUCUUUCAAACAACUCUUUUUCAGGGCCAAUUCCCAAAUGCUUUGGCCAUAUCCGAUUUGGGGAGAUGAAAAAGGAAGACAACGUGUUUGGACAGUUCAUUGAAAUUAGGUAUGGAAUGGAUUCUCAUCUUGUAUAUGCAGGUUACUUGGUGAAAUAUUGGGAGGACUUAAGUUCAGUAUAUAAGGGAAAAGAUGAAGUUGAGUUUGUGACCAAGAACAGGCGUGACUUCUACAGAGGUGGCAUCCUUGAAUUCAUGUCUGGAUUGGACUUAUCAUGUAACAACUUGACAGGCGAAAUACCUCAUGAACUUGGAAUGCUAAGUUGGAUUCGUGCAUUGAACUUGUCUCACAAUCAAUUGAAUGGCUCCAUUCCAAAGAGUUUCUCCGAUCUUUCUCAAAUAGAGAGCUUAGACCUUUCUUAUAAUAAAUUGGGUGGAGAAAUUCCUCUAGAGCUAGUUGAACUCAAUUUUUUAGCGGUGUUUAGUGUGGCUUACAACAACAUCUCUGGUAGAGUUCCAAAUGCCAAAGCACAAUUUGCAACAUUUGAUGAAAGCAGCUAUGAAGGUAAUCCUUUCCUUUGUGGGGAACUAUUAAAGAGGAAAUGCAACACAAGUAUUGAGUCACCAUGCGCACCAUCACAGUCUUUUGAAAGUGAGACAAAAUGGUAUGAUAUCAAUCAUGUUGUUUUCUUUGCAAGUUUUACUACUUCAUAUAUCAUGAUCUUGUUAGGAUUUGUUACCAUCCUUUACAUCAAUCCUUAUUGGCGUCAUAGAUGGUUCAAUUUUAUUGAGGAAUGUGUAUAUUCCUGCUAUUAUUUUGUUUUUGAUAGUCUUUCCAAGUUCUCAGCAUAUUUGUAUAAUUAGAUACUUUUAAUUGGAUGAUGUUUGCAUAAUUAACUACUAUUUGUUUCCAUGGGAUAAAAAGAAAUGGGAUUAUAAUUGCUAUGAGUUGAAACUUACAUACUUUGCUCAAAUUCUAACAUCUUUUGAUUUUAUUUUCAAGUUCCGUUAUUUAUUAUGUAUUGUUUAAUUCAAGAUUUAACCAUAUUAUGCUACUCUUAUAAAAACAAAUUCAAAUUUUUAGGAACUUAGCAUUAAAAUAAUUUCAUAGUCAGAUUUUUAAAAAUAAAGAAGAAAGAAAAUAAUAAAUAAUUAGAAAAACAAUUCAAGGGAGUAUUAAAUUAUUAUCUUAGAAUUGUUUGGCGUAGUAUGGGAAUUCAAAAAUAAUCUUUCAAUUUGUUAGAAAUGUUUAUUUAUUUAUUAUAGCAAUGAUUGAAAUAUCAAUCACAAAGUAAUGUUUUCUUUUCUUUUGUAGGGCACUAACAUUUUUUCUUUGAUUGUAAUAAUUGAUAAAUAUAUUACACAAUUAUUUGUUUUAAAGAGGGGAGGGAUGACAAACAUAAUAACAUGUGAAAUAUUUCUAAAACUGUGAUGGGAAAUAAACCAUCUAAUUAGGGUGCAAUAUUAUUCAUUUUAAUUUAUAUGAAUUUACUUAUUUUUAUUUCCAUCAUAUUUUGAACUAUUUUUUGAAAUUAAGGGAGAUUAAAACAUCAUGAAUUUCUUAGUUUAAUUUAUAUUUUUAAUAAUAAAGCAUGAAAUAUUUAAAAAAAAAAAAGAAAAUCAUGAAUUUCUUUAAUUCCUUAGGAAACCAAUAUAUAAAAAAAGUUGAAUAUAUUAUUAUUUUAUAUCCUAAAUUUCUAAAUUUGUUCAUCACGUAUUUAUUUUUAUAUUAAAUUUAUUAUCAAUAAUUAUUUAUUAUAUAUUAUUAUUUUAUAUUUAAAAAUGUUCAUAAAUAAUUAAAAUUAAUAAAUAUAAAAAAUGAAAUAUUAAAAAAUUAAAUUAAAAAGAUUUCAUCAAGCUAACAUAUUUUGAUAAAAAAAAAAAGAGUAAAAAAGAAGAUGGGGAUAUUAUAGAGGUGGGGAAAAAGAUAAAAGAAAAAUCAUGUGGUAUAAUAAUUGCCACGUGUUAAAGUUAUUUUCUUUAAAAAUUAAUUAUAGUAAUGAUGAACUCAUUUGUCUUAUCAAAGUAAAUAAAAAUAAAUAAAUAAAAGAAAAAAAGAAAAAGAAAAAAAGUGGUGGUUGAUUGGAGGUUAGAGAGGAGGGUUUGAAGGUAAAUUUGGAAUAUUGAUUAUUUUCACUAAGUAGAUAUUUUGAAAGUUAUUUUCAAUGUUUUAAAAACCGGACCGGCCGGUCCGACCGGUCCAACCGUCGACCGGUCACCAUUCCGGUCCGAUCCGGUCAUUUGGACCGGAUUGAGAUCGAACCGGAGUUGAACCGCUCGAACCAGCGGUUCAACCGCUGAACCGGACAAACCGAUCGGUUCCAAGGGAACCGGCCAAUUCAAAUAAUUUUAAUUUUAAAAAAAAAAUUACACAAUAAAAAUAUUACUGUGGGUAAGCUGCAAGCAUGAAAGGUAGGAUUCCAUGUUGGGCCUGUCUUGUGACAAGCCCACACACCCACUCCAAUUACCCUGGGCCUCUUUUUUGAGCCCACAAGAUCAUGCCAAGGCUUUGCUGAGGAUGGCUUUUAUAGGAGUCAUUUGACUCCUUGUUCCUCUCAUAUUCCGAUGUGGGAUUGCAUUUUAUCAAUGAAAAAAAACAUAACAAACAUAACAAAACUCCACCAACAGAAUUUGAACCUUGGACCAAUCUUUAACUCUAGUCCACCUAGGAAACCACUCGGCUACAUGUGUUUUAUCAUCUAAUGUGCCAAACAAAAUAAUAUAUAUUAGAUUUUAAAUUUUUUUAUAAUAUUAAAUAAAAAUAAUAUAAUAUUUUUAAAAAUUAUGAAAUUAGUUUAAAUUUUCAUUUUUUUUAUAUUCACAUUUAAAUAUUAUACAUAUUUCAUUUAAUAAAAUUUAAAAUAUUAAUAUGAUUUAAUUUGAUAAUAUCAAAGAUAUAAAAUAAUAUUAUUGAUGUUUAAUUUAUUCAUAUAUAUUUUAAAAUUUUUUAUAAUUAUUUUUAAUUUUAAUAAUAUAUAAAUUAUAUAUUUAUUACGUCACCGGUUCGAUAGCGGUUCGACCGCCGGUCCGACCAGUGAACCGUGAACCGGUAACUUUUCCAGUUCGAUCACCGGUCCGAUUCUGAAAACAUUGGUUAUUUUGCCUGAAACCCAUAUUGUUUGAAAAUAAAAAAUCAAAGUUUUAAAAAAAUACAAUUUUUUUGAAAUGAUGCAUGAUUAUAUCAUUCCCCUAAUAGAUUAUUUAUUCCUUUAAACUUUACUUCAAAUAAAAUAGUUUUAAUUAUUUUCUUUUUGGAAUUAUAUUUAACAUAUUAUUAAAAAUAUAAAAAACAUUUUAAUAAUAUUGUUAAUGAGUUUAUAUAUAUAUAUAUAUAUUGUAAAAUAAUUAAAUUUAAAAAUAUUUAAAUUUAGUUAUGGGCUGCCCAUUUCAAAAUAAUAAGAAUCUCGUAACCUAAUUUUUCCAAAUUCCAGGUAAAUAUGCUAAUCUAAAAAUAAAAAAUAAAAAUUAGGUUUUUAUGCUCUCCAAUCUACCACUUAAGCAUCCGACAUGGCUAAAAUAAAUUACAAAAAAAAAAAAAAAAAAAAAAGGAAAAAAAACAAAAGUGUGUGAUCCUCUUUCUCGAGUCUUCACAUUUUGAGACACUGAAACCAAAUCAAAAUUAAUCCUUCAAAUUAAUUUUCACCUCCAAACAUGGCUAUCCGAAAAACCCUAACGUCUGCCUCCUCUUCCUCUUAUCCCGGAAACCUAAAUUCCGUGACCCUAACCCCUUCUCUUUCCGAAAACCCUCCGGAAUCGGAAGAUUCAUAAUUCUUCAGAAUUAAUUUUCACCUCGAAGCCAAACCCUAACUGCCUCAUCUUCCUCUCAUUCAUAUCCCAAAAGUAGCUUCAACAGUCAGGCCUGUAGCCAUGAAAGCCGUAGUGAUCACUACUUCCGGUGAUCCCCAAGUUCUCCAAGUGCAAGAAGUCGAAAACCCUGAAAUUGGAGAUGAUGAAGUUCUAAGUAGAGUGGACGCCGCUGCCAUUAACCGAACAGAUACGCUCCAGAGGAAGGGCUUGCACCCUUCCUCAAAGGCGGCAGUCCCUACCCGGGUCUCGAAUGUUCUGGAAUCAUCGAAGCUGUUGGAAAAGCCGUCGUUCGAUGGAAGGUUGGCGAUCAGGUAUUUCAAUUGCCUAAUAUUUUGAUUUCGUUUCUGUUCCUCUGUUUUUCUCGGCUAUCAAACACUAGGAACGUGUAAAUAAGGAGGUUAGUUGAUUGCGAAAACGGGAAUUUUUUGUUCGUGUCUGUGUUAAGGAGUCUUUGUUGAGAAUUUUGGGGAAAUUUAUGAUAGGUUAAAUUAUUGAGCUUAUUGGUUUUCAAAUUUAUGGUUGUAAGAAAAUUGGUCAGUGUAAGGUUAUGGGUUCAUUACCAAUUUGCUUAGUGAAAAUUUUUCCACAUAUUGUGGACCGGUUUGGUAGCAGAAAUAAGAACUGUGUUUUGUUUUUCAAAACGGAAAUGGAUGCAGAAAACAUGUUUGGUAGCCUACUUUCAGAACUUGUUUCCGAAAAUAUUUCCUGAAAAUGAAUUAUUUCAGAACUUGUUUUUAAAAAAUUCAAACACUUUAUCAAUUUAAAAGGUUCUGAAAUGGACAUGUUCAUGGUCUUCAUUUUUUAAAAUUAAAGCUUUUAUGAAAAAACCAUUUUCCCUUCUACUAAACAAACAGGCUCUAUAUUGUAACAGAUCGAUUGGCCAUUUCCUUUGUCAUGUUUUGUGAAUCAUGGCAACACUGGAAUCCACUCCAUUACCAUCUGUUAGUGAUUAGAAGACAAAGCACCAAUUUUAAUGAUAUCCUUUAUGUGAUUUUGCUUCCUCCUGAGUACAAGUUCAUAAUAUACAUGGUACAUGGUGAAUCUGUAUGACAGUUCAUGGUAUACAGGUGUGUGCUCUUCUUUCUGGUGGAGGGCAUGCUGAAAAAGUGGCUGUUCCAGCUGGGCAAGUUCUCCCUGUCCUAUCUGGUGUUUCUCUGAAGGAUGCUGCUGAGGUUGCAUGUACUGUUUGGUCAACUGUUUUAAUGAUGAGCCGACUGUCUGCAGGAGAAACAUUCCUGGUGAAUUUUUUGUCUUUUUUAUUUUCUGAUGCCUGAUAUAUUUACCAGCACAAAUUUACCCUGUUGCUGUUUAAUGUGUGUGCAUCAAUAUUGGAUUAGGGAGGUAGAAGAGCCAUGGUUCUAAUUAAAUCAUUACAUCAUCAUAUUCUUAUUUAGAUACAUUGUAUCCCACAAUUUCAUUGCAUCCAAGGCUAUGUUGUUUUUUAUUGCACGGUUUGUCAUGGUAAUUUCUCAACCCUUCUCUGGAAAAUUAUGUUGGAUGGCUGCUAUUAAUUACCCCAAAAGAAGAAAUUUUAUGUUGAAGUAAGAUGAGUAGCACAAAGAGUUACUUGUGGUUGAUCCUAUCAUCAAAUGGGCGAUUGAUGCACAAUCCAAAUGGUAAAUUUUUUUCCCCCUUUAUCCAGAUGGAAUUUUUAUGCAUGGUUGAAUAGUGAAAUGAGAGGACUGAUAAUAUUUCAGGUUCAUGGGGGUUCAAUUGGAAUUGGUACCAUCUAUUCAAAUAGCGAAAUACCGAGGAGCAAGGGUAUUUGUUACAGCAGGUUUGCCAUCACUGUUCUACCUCAUCUCACAGAAUGCUUAUCUCAUGGCACCAAUUCCUUUUCUUCACAUGUUUUCAACCAUUUUUUCCACCCAGGAACGAGGAAAAAUUAGCUAUUUGUAAGGAUCAUUGAGCAGAUGUGUGCAUCAAUUACAAGACUGAAAACUUUGUUGCAUGGGUGAAGGAGGAAACAGGAGGGAAAGGUAUAUUCUAUUGUAUCUUAACGAUAAUUUCAAUUGAAGGUGGAAUUGCUUUUUAUUUUUUAGUGCACCAAAUCCACUAGUCUGGAAUGUUUGAAAAGAUAAAUAGUCAUCUUCCACUUGAUUCCGAUUGUGAAGAUCUAACCCCAAAAAUGUUGAAUGACAGGUGUUGAUGUUAUACUGGAUAAUAUUGGAGGGGCCUACUUUUGGGGAGACAUCAAUGGUUUAAAUGUUGAUGGAAGGCUUUUUAUUAUUGGUUUUCAGGGUGGAACAGUGGUACAAGUAAAUCUUUCAGGUUUACUUGCAAGGCGCCUUACAGUGCAAGGUACUGCUUUCUCUGUAGAAGAUUUUUCUGUAGUUUUGGAGUUGAAUCAAUUUGAUUAAUCUCAUCCAAGUUCAGAACUGAGGUGGAUUCUGGCAAGCCAAGGAAAAACCAAAUUACCAUAAAUUCUUUUUUUUUUUUCUGGAUCGUUUUACUUCUUGGAAAUCCUGUUUCUCGAUCUGUUAAUCACAUGGUUUGUUUUUCUUUAUUGUCCCUCUUUCUUUUCUUGUUGGUACCAAAUCCCUAAGAUGUGGAAGCCAAGUGAGCACUUUCUAUCUUUUCUUGUUUCAAUCUCUCAUCCUCUUGUGCACAUUGAGCAAUAAGCUCAUUCAAAGUCCAUUUUUCCUUUUGUGUGUUGUAACUGAUUUUGAAUGGACUGAAUUGUGUAGGCAGAGAGAUCAAGACCAAGUGCACGAGUAUGUCUUCCGAAAACUCUAACUUUAGUGCCUUUAGUCUAGUCACAAGAUUAGACAUUUCCAUAAUAUACUCCCUUAUAUUCUCUUUCCCUUUAUACCGCAUAGAGACAAGCUUACUAAGAAUAGUGUUUGUCUCAACCUUUUCAUUUGCAGCGAUCAAUUUGCUAUCUGGUCUAAGAAUGCCUUGGCUCGAGUUUUCUCAGGUAUUGCACCCCUUAUAACUUUUGGAAUUGAGUGCUUCGUUAUUAUUAGACUCAUGCGAUUGGAUCGCUCCCAUUUUUCCAUAGUAGACCUUUGCUCAGCAGUGCUGGCACUAGUAAGAUCUGGAGGGCGAUCCUCUCUUAAUGCAUAGUCUAAAUCCAUGCACCCGAGCACAAUUAUAGCGUGUUCCUUCCAUUUCUUGAAGUUUGUGCCAUUAAGGGCAGGAAUGUUAUUGACAUUUGCAGAUAUAGAAUAUGUUGAAUUCAUAAUAAUAAAGCUCACAAUCAGCCACAUAAACAUCAUACAUACAUGAAAAAUAACAUCAUACAAGAUACCUAGUACAAACAUUAAUAUUCUGUCUUUUGACAAUAAAUAUUAACUUGUAAUUGGUAUCCUUAUACAAAAUUAAUUCAUAAAUAUUGACAAUAAAACCAAAAACAAUGUGCCUCUCUUUGGACUAACAUAUUGAAUGCAAGAUAAACUUUAUAUGUCACAUAUUUAUGACUACUUUAUUUAUUAUUAUAUUAAAAUAAUCUUUCUUUGGGUCGCUUAUUUUAAAUAAUAAUAAUAACAUGUUUAGAUAUUAUAAAAUAAAUAAAUUAUAUAAUAUAAGUUACUUUGGCAACUAACAUACAUAAUUCAUUUAUUUUUUGUUGUUUCCUUCCUCUUGGAUCUUUUGUUUGUGUUUUAAAAAAAAAAAUGUUUCAGUGAAAAUGGGAAAUGCAACCAGGCUCUAAUACCAUUUUGUGGGACGUUCAUUCUCCAUUAUCAUCGAACACAUGCAGGAUAUAUUUAUAUAUAUCUAUCAAUUCAUUCAAAAUAUGCCGAUGGGAAGCCAGAGAGAACAAGUUCUAUUUUUAUUUUGAAAACAUUGUUAUCCUUAAAGAACAAACACUAUUAUUUGGAUUUAUACUCUCCUGCCUUAGGGACCAUACCCUUUGGCUAUUAGGCCUCACGAGUCUUAGGCCCAUCAUCUAAGGCUCGUGAUGGCACUGGGCUCUACAUAUAAGGUGGCCCAUACUCUGGAACGAAUAUAAAUCAUAUGUAUAUAUAUGGAUAGCUAAAUCCUGAAUAAUGGUUAAUAUGAUGUCGGUUCACAUUUAUUAUAUCAUAUAGACUUCCCAUCUGAAGAAAAUCGACAACAAGUAGCUUUGCCAUUCUUAGUUCGUAUACAACCAACCUUAGCAAGGGUUGAACCCUUUUAUGCUUAGUUGUGCCAUACAGAUCCUUACCACCGCCUACAACAUGUAAUUGAAAUGAUUCGAUAAUAUCAUCUAGUGAACCAAUACCUCCAAAUGAGAGACCAUUGCCUCAGUAACUAAGACUCACGACUGAGAAUUGCGUGAACCCCUUUGCUUGGGUUGGAGCUUGACUGAUGCACAAAAUAUUCAUAGGCCUCUUCCCAUAACAGGCACCUUGUGUUUGCAACAUAAUUGAACAUGUAUUGAAGUGAGUUUUUUUGCAUCUUUUUGUAAGAAAAUUCUAAACAACAAAGAUUGCUUAGUGUGCCUGACUCCUCAAGGAAUCAAGGUUCAUUCCUGUAGGGCCAGUUUUUUCACAGUCGAACUAGAUAACAUGGAGAGUAUGUUGCAAUGCUUCAACGGGGUAUUUCUUAGGAAAAUCCACCUGAAGCUGGUACAAUUCGUUGGCGUACUGAGUUCCUAAAGCUCUAUUGACUUCAAUCACCCAUCUCUGUAGAUUAUCGGUGACUUUAUGCUCGGAUCCUGUAGGAGGAUUGACUUGACAUUCCACUAGUUUUUUCUGGAAGGCGAUUUUGUUUAACACCUUGUGAGAAGAGGCAGGGGAACUGGUCAUUGUUUCUUCGAGAAGAUCAGUGGCCGAGGAUGGGUUUGGACCAGAAUUGCUAUAUGGGUUUUCUUUGGGUGAACCAAUUAGUGAAAUAGGUGGCUAUAUAGCAACUAAAGGGUGGUCAUACUAACGAGGAGCUAUUAUUUCAUGCAUGUGGAGAGGAAAUGACUAGCUUCUUCAAGGAUAUAUGAUUAUUCAUCUCUAGCUUACGUUGACUAUCUCCUAACAAAUUUCUGCUUUGAAGCUCCCUUAGUUUCACUACAGCUAAUUGGCCAACUUGGUUUCAUCAUGUUUCCUACAACCUCUAAGCAAAGCAUGCCAGAUCACCGAAUCAGGUUCUAUUCGCAUUUUGUCCAUAAACUCCUUUGCCUAUUGACAAUAGACUGCCCCUCAAAAUUUGAUGAGAUAACAUCAACGCUGACAUGUUGGCCAUCCCCAUAAGCAUCUUUAUAGAGAUUGAUUCUAUGUUUAGAUAUUUCUCUCUCCUCAAGUGAGUUCAACUUUUCUGUAGCAUCCUUCUCCUUCUCUACUAAUAGUCUUAGUUGAACAUCCAACCUAUGUUCCCAAAGUGCCAGCAUCUCAUAUCUGAUGACAAGCCAACAACCUUGCCCUUGCUGAGACCCAAAUAAGUAUCCAGAACCAUCAACAUCAACCCUUUCAUAGGCCUUUGUAUUUGAAGGUCGGAUUGGGAUUGCUUUGAAUGCACUGGCACUACAAUACACAAUUGUUUCUUCUCCGAUAAAAACACCACAAAGAGGUGAGGGGACUGGUAUUAGCAAAGAAGUGUUGUUAUCUAUAUUGUUCUAAGCCCGAUUACCCUCAACAAAAUCCUCAUCCUCAUCUGUACUCUUCCAUUACAUCCCUAGGCUUUUCAAUGUGAUCCACAUGGCUUACAGGAAUCCAGAAAUACUGAUCUGUAUAAAAGUUGCUCUUAUGGGGCUCUCCUAGAAAACAUCCCAAUCAAGAUGAUCAACCUAGCUUAGAUGCUCAGCACCCCAAACUUACCAGAAAUAGAGGAAUAAAAAGCAAGGAUAGGAGCCAAAGUAAAAACUAAGGGAAGAGCAAAUAGGAAAUCAAGCAAAACAUGAAUGUACAGAGCCUCAUUUCAGGUGACAUCUUUGGGCUAAUAAUAGGUGGAAUUAACAAAGUAGAUAAGCAUGAUUGUUAUAAAUAUCAAGUUCAAGGAUGAAGUCGUGCAUCAGCUACUUAUAGGGGGAGUCAAGGAAACCAAGAUAAGAUCAAAGAGAGCAUGUAUGCAAAUAAACAGAUACGACAAAAUAGACCAAACAACUCGUGAAUAUCCUCCUACAAAAAACUACUACACGUGGCAAAAAGUGAUGAAACAAAAAGAGUUGGGUCCGCAUAUACAUAUCCUAUUCUAUCCUAUUCCUUCAAAUCCAAAGCAACCUGUAUUUUCAAUGGGAUUUGUUGUGAUGAAUUUUACUGGAUUGUAACAUGUAAAUAUGUUAAAAGAGGCUUGGGACAUUCCUAUAUAGUAACGCAUAAAGGUACUUCCAUUGUGAAGUUGUCAAAAUUGCAAAUUUAAAUUACAAAAUUUGAAAACAUAGAGAUGAAAGAUGAUGAAACCUUCUUUGAAAUUUUAUAUUGAACUCAUUAAUAUUAUUAAUUUUCAUUUCAGUCUAGGGGAAAGAAUUCUUUACUCUAAAGUGGUCACAAAAAUAUUAAAAUUCCUUGUCGAGAGAUUUAGACCUAAAGUGAUCAAUAUAGAAGAAAGUAAAAAUAUUCUAAGUGUAGGUAAACUUGUAGACUCAAAUGACUCUACCUUCUCAUAAAAAAUCCUCAAUUUUAUAAAUUAUAUUGAUUUCUUCAUUUGAUACAAAAUUUGAAUAAAGAUUUUUCAAAUGACAACACAAGGAAAGGGAAAAAAAAAUUCUCUCCAAAUCAUAUUAUUUAAUCACUUAAAUUAUUUAAAAAUAAAAAUGUUUACUGCUAACAUUAUUUAGGUUCAUCUUUCUUUUGAUGGAGGUUAAAAUUCAUAAUUUUGAGGAAAAAGAUGAGGAUUCUCAUUUUUUUUCCAUAUAUGAAUGGGAUUCUCAUUGUGUAUAUGUGGGUUACUAAAUGGCAAAUUUGGGGGCCACCAGAGUCUGCAAUAUGAGGGAAAAAUGAAGUUGAGUUUGUCACCAAGAAUAGACAUGGUUCCUACAAAGGUGGCAUCUUUAAUUUCAUGUUUGGAUUGGACUUGUCAUGUAACAACUUAACAAGUGAAAUCCCUCAUGAACUUGGAAUGUUAAGUUUGAUUCAUGCAUUGAACUUGUCUCGUAAUCAACUAAAAGGCUCCAUUUCAAAGAGUUUUUGCAAUCUUUCUCAAAUAGAGAGCUUAGACCUUUUUAAUAAUAAACUAAGUGGAGAAAUUCCUCCAAAAUUGGUUAGACUAAACUUUUUAGCAGUGUUCAAUGUGACUCACAAUAGCAUCUUCGGAAGAGUUUUAGAUAUGAAUACAUAAUUUGCAAAAUUUGAUGAAAGUAACUAUGAAGCUAAUCCUUUCCUUUGUGGACCACCAUUAAAGAGAAAAUGUAGCAUAAAUGUUGUUGAACCACCUUACCAACCAUUAGAGUCUUCGGAAGAAAGUGAUGCAAAAUGGUAUAAUAUCAAUCUUGUUAUUUUCUUUGCAAAUUUUACUACAUCAUAUAUCAUGAUAUUAUUAGGAAUUUCAACCAUUCUUUACAUUAACCCUUAUUGGUGUCAAAGAUGGUUCAAUUUUAUCGAGAAAUAUAUAUACUUUUGCUAUUAUUUUGUUUCCUAUACUCUUUCCAAGUUAUUAACAUAUUUUGAAUAAUUAGAGAUUUUUGUUUUCAAUAAUAUUUACAUAAUUAACUACUAUUGGCUUCCAUGACAUGGAAAGAAAUGCGAUGAAGGCAACAACCACUUUUUUUUCUCCUCUACUAGUGCAUGAUUGAUAUGAGUUAAAACUUGCACCCUUAUCUUUGCUUAAAUUUUCUCAGCUUUUGUUUCAAUUCUUAAUUAUCAUUUCUUUUAUGUAUUGUUUAAUACAAUAUCCUAAACACAUUGCUUUGAAGGUUACUUAUUUAUUAAGCAUGAUAUUGAUUUUCAUAAAAACAAAUUCAAGUUUUUUAGGAAUUUUUAGAAUUAUUAUAAUUUGGAGUUCACAUUAGAGGAAAAAAGGAAAGAAAAGAAUAGAUGAUUAAAAAAACAAUUUUAGUAAGUAUAAUUUGUCAUCUUCGGUAUAACAAAUGGGAAUUCCAAAAUAAUAUUUCAAUUUGUUAGUCUAUUCCUUAUAGUAUUAAUUGAUAUAUCAAAUAGGAAGUCACGUUUUGAUUUUUUAUUAGCUUGAAUUGCAUGUCACAUAUAUUUUAAAAUCAAGCAUACAUCAGCCGGGAAGUUCUUGUAACAUGCAUGAACAUGAUAUGAUGAAUUGAAUAAUUUUCUUAAUAUAUGUGUAUAUACUACACAUUAUUAAAUCAUAUAUGUAUAUUUAUAGUCGUAUAAUAUAUUUAUAUAAGUAACAAUAAAUUAUAUUGUAUAAGGUAUCGGUAGGAGUUUUCAAUUCCCUCAUACAAUAAUAUCUAUCAAUAAUUGGAUUGGACACCUUGCUGGCCAUGAGAAUGGACUUGACAUUAACACAUAGCCUUGAGUGGUGUUGAUAUUAUUACUUUGAACCAGAACUGCAGUCAUCUCAAAAACUAUAUUAUAUAGAAAAGCAAAAUAAAAACAUUAGUUAAAACAAAUGUCAAGAUCCUUGAAAUCACGUUUCAAUAUGUUAAAUUACCAUUUUUUUAAAUAAAUAUUUUAUAGGUUGUGUGAAUAAAUAUAAUUGCUAUGAAGGUUUCAAUUUAAUUUUACUAGCAAAUCCAUAAUAGGUGAAAAGACAAAACUACCAUUUUUGUUUUUUUUUCUUUAUUUACCUUUUUUCUCUCGUAACCUUACUCCUUUCACCUUUUUGUUUUUUCCUUUUUCUCAACUAACUAUUUUUUUCUUGUAAUUGUUAUUAUCAUUUUUUAUUAUAAAUAUUAUAACCUUAUAUUAUAAAUUUUUAAUUAUAUUUAAACUAACUAAUGUUGUGGUUUUAAUUGACAUGGAAAAGAAUGUGGUUAUACAUGUGAUUGUCGCCUUUUUUUUUUUCCAAUUAGUUAACUAUUGAUACAAGUUAAAAGUAAAAAUUGCAAUAUUAUCUUUAUGUCAAUUUCACCGAUCUUUUGUUUUUAUUUUCAUGUAUCAUUCCUUUUUUGGUUAUUUAAUUAAAAGGAUUAAAAAAAAAAAAUCACAUAUUCACAAGAAUAACCUUCAUAUUUUAAAAACAUAAAUUUUUAUAAAAAUACCCUCCAACUAUAAUUUUUAUAUGUCCCUAUUUCAAAUUCAAACACUUCUUUUAAUAAUAAUAAUAAUAAAAAAGGGCAAAAAUGUCAAACUGGGAUUAUAUUUAUAAUUUUCAAUAAUUAGAGGUUGUUUUUCCAAAGUAAAAAUUAUUUUGUUCCUUUGGCACAAAUAUUUCUUUCUUUUUUGUAUUUUUUUAUUCAAAAUAUUAAACACAUUACCCUCAAGGUUACUAUUUAUUAUGAAUGGUGUUUACUUUACAUUACGACAAAUUCAAAUUUUUUAGAAUUUUUUAAUGUUAAAAUAAUUUGGAGCUUAAUAGGGAAAAAAAGAAUAAAUAAUUAGAAAAGCAAUUCAAAAAAAUAAAAUUUAUCCUCUUAAAUUGGUUUUGUGUAAUACUAUAGAAGCCAUUUCUUGAGUUUGAUAUGGUAGAAUUUGGAUUCAUAUUUAUUUUAAAAUCAAGAAAUUCAAGUGUUGGUAGCAUCAAUAGAAUCUUAAAAAAUUUGCAAAAAAAUAUUUAGGUAGAUCACAUUUAAAUAUAACUAAUAGAAUAAAAAAUUAGUAUUAUUAGGAAGACAUGAUCAAUUAAAUCUUUUUUCUUAUCUAUGACACCGACUUUAUUUUUUUACAUAGUCAAUAUAAUUUAUUACAACUUAUAUGUCAUUAAAUUAUACAUGUUUAUAUUAAAUAUAAUAUAAGAUCAUUAAUGGAAUAAUUAUGCAAGUAAUAUAAAUUGUAUAUAAUAUAAAAAAUUUAAAGUCCAUCAAACUAAUGGAAUCUAUUAUAAUAAGUAGACUAGACACCAUGUUGGCCCGAGUUGGAGGCCUAGGCCAGAUUUUAAAGGCUGGGCUUUGAGUUGCCCGUGGGCCUGAGCCAAGGCCUUCUCUUGGUAUCAUCAUUUUGAAGAAAUAAAUUGCUGAUACAGAGAAAAAAACUAUACUAAAUAGAAAAAUAAAUAAAAGCAUUGACUAAAAUGAAGGCCAAGGUCCUUGAAAAAUAAUCUUAAAAUUGUUGCAUAUAUAAUUUCAAUAAUGCAUAAAUAAUUGCAAUAUAUAUGAUGUGAUAAAGAAUUUGGAAUUAAAAGAAGAUUGAUCUAUUUUAAAUGUGGUUGGAAUAUUUCUAAAUUUGUGAUGGGAAGUUAGACAGCCAAUUAGGGAUCCAUAUUAUUUAUUUUCAAUGAUAUGAAUUUAUUUACUUUUAUUAAUAUUCUUAAUGCAACAAUAUAAAAUAUGUCAAUUUUCUAAAAUUAAAAAAGUAAUUGUAAAAGAAAAUUUUUAAUUAUUUUUAUGAAAUUGAGUUUAUUAUAGCAUUUUUCUUUACAUAAAUUUCUUUUUUAUUUUUAUUUUUUUAAAAAUGAGAUAUGAAAAAAAAAGAUCAAUAUUAGUAAAAGUAAAACCCAAUAUAUAAAAAAUAUGAAUAAAUGUUUAUGAAAUAAGAUUUAAAAGUGAGAAGGUAAUAAUUUUUUUCUCUUUUAAUUCCUAUUCAAUUCAUUACAAAAAAUAUUUUUGGUUUUUAUGCUAAAAUUUAUUGUUUAUUAAAAAAUUCUAGUAUAUCUAGCUAUCAUAGAAGAGCUCCAAAAUUUUAUUGUUUAAGAGAAUAUGUGUUGCCACUUUAAAAGAUUUAUAUGCAAAAGGGAUUGAUAUUUUUUUCCUUUGGAUAUGUUUAGUUCCCGGAAAAUUUGAGGGAAAAUGUGAGGGAAGAAAAAUAGAGAAGAAAAGUAUAACGAAAUAAAAAGUGAAGGAAAAUGAAAAAUAGAUUUAAAGUUAACAAAUUAUUUUCAUUGGUUUUUUCAAACUUAUUUUACUUAUUUUAUUCUAUUAAAUAAAGAUUAACUAAUUUUAAUUAUAUUUGGUUUGAUUUUUAUUAUUUUUCAAAGCAAAACCAAAUAUGAAAAAAAAAACAUUUUUUUUUUUUGUUAUUUUUUUCUUUCCUUAUUACUUUUUAGGACUCAAACAUAGCUUUUAGAUUUGGAGCAUGGAAAGAUAAGAGUAUUGAAUAAUGGUUCUAUAUAUGCCCAUGCCCAUGCCCAUGAUACCAUUGAAAAAAAUGGAGAGAGGGUGAAACCUUUACUAGAUGAUAAAUUAUUCUCUUCAAUGGAAAUCAAAUAUAAUUAUUUUUAUCUUGUAUUAAUUGAAUGUUAUACUCCAUAAACUCAAAAUUAAAAUAAAUAAAAAAUUUAAAAACUAGGACAAUCCCAUUUUUUUUCAAUUUCUUAAAAAGAAAUUAAAUUAUAUUUAUUUAUAUCUAUUUUCAUCCCUACCCAACAAAAUAAAAAAAAAUUAACAAGGUGGGACAUGUAUGAGAAAUUCUCACACUAACUCUCACUAGUUUAUUUUUUUUUAAAAAAAAAAAUAAAAUCAAUUUCUUUUAAAAAAAUUAAACUACAUAAAAAAUAAACAAAUUUUACAAUUUUUUUUAAGAAAAGUAAAUUUCUUAUUUUAUAUAUGUUAAAAAUAAAUAUAAUCUUUUAUUUUUUAUAUAUAUAAUCGGGUAAGGUAGAGUGGGACAAAGAAAUAAUCCCCUUCGAUUCCAAUCCGAAUUUUUAAAAUAUAAAAUAAAAAUCUUAAACUCAUCCCUAAUCCAUUUAUUUUUAAUCCUAAACUUGUCUUAUUAAGAAUAAGGCAAAGUGAGUACAUGAAAACACUUCUUUUAUCAUCAUCUCUACAAGUUCUAAUGUUUAGAUUGCAAUCCAUAUCAAAGAUUUAUAAAGAAAGAACAACAAUGAAUUUCAUAAACAUUUGAAAGCAUAAACAAAGUUUUAAAUAAUAUUGCUUGAGGUGCAAAUAUUAUUUGGCGCACAUGUUGAGGGACUUCAACUGGUGUAGUCUAGGUUUUUUACACUAGUAAGUAAUCUUGAAUAUCUAGAGUAACUUGAUCAAAAUCUCUUUAAUUUUAUUUUCUUUGAUGGUUGUAUGAUGAAUUAGAAUGCUUAUAUAACAUGAUUAAAAAUUUUAAGAAAAAAAAACUAAGAAGAAAGAAAGAAGCAUCGAUCUUCCAAAUAUUGCUUCCACUUUAAUAUCUAGUAGGCUCUAAGAAAAGAACUUUAUUCAUGAAUCAUAACCCAAGUCGAAAAUAAAUUGAACCCAUUUUCUAAGUUAAAUUUUGAAUUUUUUACUAGUGAAUGCAAAUUGGGAAAAUGUAUAUAAAUAUAAUCAAACUAGAAUAGUAGAUUAGGUUUGUAGGUGGAGUUUGUUUGAAUUGUUGGAACUUCCAAGUCGUUGUGGGUCUAGUGGUCCCAUAGCUCUCUAUUAAUUUCCACCAUCAAUUUUUUGCAAUAAAGUCAAGUCAUUCCUAACCCUUAUAUUAAGUUGGCCUUAAAAGUCAAGUCAUUGAUCAUAGUUACAUUCAUGAAUCACAACCCAAGUCGAAAAUAAAUUAAACCCAUUUUUCAAGUUCAACUUUGAAUUUUUUAGUAGUAAAUGCAAAUUGGGAAAACAUAUAUAAAUAUAAUUAAACUAAAAUAGUAGAUUAGGUUUGUAGGUGGAGUCUGCUUGAAUUAUUGAAACUUCCAAGUCAUCGUGGGCCCAAUGGUCCCAUAGCUCUCUAUUAAUUUCCACCAUCAAUUUUUUGCAAUAAAGUCAAGUCAUUCUAACCCCUAUAUUAACUUGGCCUUAAAAGUCCAAUCAUUGAUAGCUAAAUCCCAACCCAAGUCAAAAAUAAAUUGAACCCAUUUUCUAAGUUCAACUUUGAAUUUUUUUUAAUUGGAAAAAUGUAUAUAAAUAGAAUUAAACUAGAAUAGUAGAUUAGGUUUGUAGGUGGAGUUUGCUUGAAUUUGUGAAACUUCCAAGUCGUCGUGGGUCUAGUGGUCCCAUAGCUCUCUAUUAAUUUCCACCAUCAAUUUUCUGCAAUAAAGUCAAGUCAUUCCUAACCCCUAUAUUAAGUUGGCCUUAAAAGUCAAGUCAUUGAUCAUAGUUACAUUCAUGAAUCACAACCCAAGUCGAAAAUAAAUUAAACCCAUUUUUCAAGUUCAACUUUGAAUUUUUUACUAGUGAAUGCAAAUUGGGAAAACAUAUAUAAAUAUAAUUAAACUAAAAUAUUAGAUUAGGUUUGUAGGUGGAGUCUACUUGAAUUAUUGAAACUUCCAAGUCAUCGUGGGCCCGGUGGUCCCAUAGCUCUUUAUUAAUUUCCACCAUCAAUUUUUUUGCAAUAAAGUCAAGUCAUUCUAACCCUUAUAUUAAUUUGGCCUUAAAAGUCCAAUCAUUGAUAGCUAAAUCCCAACCCAAGUCAAAAAUAAAUUGAACCCAUUUUCUAAGUUCGACUUUGAAUUUUUUUUAAUUGGAAAAAUGUAUAUAAAUAGAAUUAAACUAGAAUAUUAGAUUAGGUUUGUAGGUGGAGUCUACUUGAAUUUGUGAAACUUCCAAGUCGUUGUGGGUCUAGUGGUCCCAUAGUUCUCUAUUAAUUUCCACCAUCAAUUUUCUGCAAUAAAGUCAAGUCAUUCCUAACCCAUAUAUUAAUUUGGCCUUAAAAGUCCAGUCAUUGAUAGCUACGUUCAUGAAUCCCAACUCAAGUCAAAAAUAAAUUGAACCCAUUUUCUAAGUUCAACUUUGAAUUCUUUUAAUUGGGAAAAUGUAUAUAAAUACAAUUAAACUAGAAUAGUAGAUUAGGUUUGUAGGUGGAGUCUGCUUGAAUUUGUGAAACUUCCAAGUCGUCAUGGGUCUAGUGGUCCCAUAGCUCUUUAUUAAUUUUCACCAUCAAUUUUCUGCAAUAAAGUCAAGUCAUUCCUAAACCAUAUAUUAAUUUGGCCUUAAAAGUCAAGUCAUUGAUAGUUACGUUCAUGAAUCACAACCCAAGUCUAAAAUAAAUUGAACCCAUUUUCCAAGUUCAACUUUGAUUUUUUUACUAGUGAAUGCAAAUUGGGAAAACAUAUAUAAAUAUAAUUAAACUAGUAUAGUAUAUUAGGUUUGUAGGUGGAGUAAGCUUGAAUUGUUGAAACUUUCAAGUCGUCGUGGGUCUAAGGGUCUUAUAGCUCUCUAUUAAUUUCCAUCGUCAAUUUUUAUGAAUUAAGAUUUAAAAGUGAGAAGGGAAUAAAUUUUUUCUUUUUCAAUUCAUUACAAAAAAUAUUUUUGGUUUUUAUGCUAAAAUUUAUUGUUUAUUCAAAAAAUUAAAGUAUAAAAAUAUAAAAAAAAAUAUAUAUCUUGAUAUUAUAGAAGAGCUCCAAAAUUUUUGUGUUUAAGAGAAUAUGUGUUGCCACUUUAGAAGAUUUAUAUACAAAAAGGAUUGAUGUUUCUCCUUUGACUAUGUUUGGUUGCCAAAAAUUUGAGGGAAAGAAAAUAAAAAAAAAUAGUAAAAAAGAAAAAAUGAAGGAAAAUAAAAAAUAGUUUUCAAGUUAAUAAAUUAUUUUUAUAUGUUUUUUCAAACUUAUUUUACUUAUUUUCUUUCAUUAUAUAAAGAUUAAAUAAUUUUAAAAUGCAUAAUUUCUAACUAAUUUUAAUUAUAUUUAAUUUUUCUUUUAUAUUUUUUAGACGGGAUCCGACACAUGAAAAAAUCCUUUUUUUUAGCAUCUUUUUUUCUUUUCUUAUUACUUUCCAAUAACCAAAUAUAACCUUUAGAUUUAGCCUUUAGACUUGGAGUAUGGAAGGAUACUGAGUAUUGAAAGAAGGUUUUGUAUAUGGCCAUGAUACCAUAGAAAAAAUGGGCGAGAGAGAAAAAACCUUUAUUAAAUGAUAAAUUAUUUUACUACUUACUACAUAAAUAGAUAUUCAUGGAGUGCAUUCUCUAAAAAGCUCCAGUCUCAUGAAAAUGGAAAGAUGGACCGGCCAGUGGACCGGUUCGAGUUUGGAUUUAUGGGCUGCCUCAGCCUAACACGCAUGAUAGGCUGUUGCAGGUGAAGAACUAAUUAAUUUAAAGCCUUCUUCUAUCCUCUCCUAUUCCUCUUUCACUCCAAAUUUUCCACAUGAUAAUGACAAUUCUUUUGUUAAAUGGUAAAAAAAAAAAUUUAACAAUUAAUUUAAAAUCAUUUAUAAAAUCAUGAACUUUGGCAUCCUAAUUAAUGCAAUUUAAACUUUUUUUGUUUACAAAUGAAAUAAGAGGCAACAUAUAAACCCAAAAGUUAAUUUUCCUACCAUCUCUAUGCACCAUUUUAGCUUUACUCCAAUAUAUUUUCUAUGAUUAAUUAUUUUCAUUCAAACAAUAAUAUCAAAAUAUUUUAAAAUUAGACAUAUCAUAAUCAAAUAUCAUUAUAUUAUUAUUGAAUAAUAUUUAAUGUAAUUUAAUAAUCAACGUAUACUUAUAGAAUUUAUAUUUUUUAUUAAUGCAUAUAAUAUUAUUAUCAAAUAUGAUAAAUUAUAUAUAUAUAUUUCUUUAACAAAACAACUUUAAAAUAUCUAUUAUACUUUUAAUUUCAUCUCUAAGAGGUUUUUUUUUUUUUCUUUUUUUUUUUUACAUUUUUAUAAGUUUUGAUCAAUUGUAGGCUAACCAAUAUUUUUUUAUCAAAAUAUCCACCAAUAUAUCUCCGAUAUAUUAGAUAUAUCCGUAACAUCGAAAUACCAAUAUAUCCGCGAUUAUCGAUAUUUUUAUCCUUGAGGGAUAACAACUAAUAUAGUUUUUGCACUUAAUGAUAUUCCUCAACAUUUAGAUUGAUUUGACCAAAAUCUUUUUAAUUUUAUUUUCUUUGAUGGUUAUAUGAUGAAUUAGAAUAGUCAUAUAACAUUAACAGAUUUAAGAAAAAAAGGAUAAAAAAGCUCGUAUUUUUCAAAUAUUGGUUUCAACUUUGAAUAUUUUUAUUGGUAAAUGAAAAUUGUGAAAAACCUACUAAUGCUAAUACUUUUCACCACAUAAUUAAAUAUAAUAAACUAGAAUAGUGAUUCAUUGAUGUCUUAUAAAGACACAUGCCUUCUUUGACUUGUUAGUUGAUUUUUGUAGGUGGAGUCCAUUUCCAUUUGAAUUGUUGAAACUUCCAAGUCCUUGUGGGUCUAGUGGUCUCUCUAAUAAUUCCCACCAUUAAUUUUUUGUGAUGAAGUGCAGUCAUUGAUAGCUACUAUAUCAAUUUGCUAUUAAAAGUCAAGUCAUUGAUAACUAAUAUUCAAUCUUUUUCAAUAUGGAAAUUGGAAUCUCUAGCACUACUCUUCUCAUUGUUCAUUUUUAGGUAAUGUGAGAAUGUGUGAACAUAAAUGUCUUCUAAUCAACCAAUUUUUUUGAAAAAAACAUGUACAAAAUUGCAAAACUUGCAAAAUCAAACUUUCUUGUUGAAUAACCAUAGCUUGAUGGUUUUGAAGAAUCAAAGGAUGAAUCAUAAAAGGGUAUUUGAUAAAAAAUAAAAAUUUAAAAAGUUAAAAGACAACUACUCCCUUAAGUGUAAUAAGUGUAUUUGGUAGCACAAAUUUCCUACCACUUAUUAUUUUUUCCUUUCUUAAAAAAUUAUUUACUCUAUUAAAUAAACUAACCUUGGCUUAGCACUUAUAGCAAAAUAGGUUAAGUAGUUUUUAAAAUUUUAUAAUAUUAGAUUUACAUUUUUAUCCUUCAAAAUUUCAUUAAUGCUAGAUUCUUCUAUAUGCUUAACUAAUAAAUAAUUUUUAGCAUUUUUCUUUUCUUAUAAACAUAAAAAAAUAAAAAUAUUAUUAACUUAUUGGUAUAUUUUAAAAUUUUAAUUAGAUUUAAGCUUUUAUUUGUUUGGAUUACCAAUUAUACAUAUAAAUCCUUUGUUAUUAUUGUUAUUAUUGAAAGAAAGGGGUUGAAUAGGUAGUCCCUCAAUCCCCAAAUUAAAUUCUUUAUUGCCUACUUUUGGUUUAUUCCUUUACAUGAAUUCCUUGGUGAGAGUAAACAUUUCAUUAAUAGAUAAAUAAAAUUGAUUCCAUAUCAUAGGGUAUAAUGUGGAAAAAUCACCAGUCUCAUGUGUUCCUUAGUGGAUCCUUUGGAGCCCUAUCAAAGUUUCAUGAUGAAACCAUUGACUUUUGUUUAACCCAAAUGUGCUUUCAAGACAAAUCUUGAAAGAUUUGAGAGAUGGAGGUUCAAGUCUUUUAUGAACGACCAUGUUCUCUUAGGGUUCAUGAAAUUCACACCUUUUGAUAAAUAAAACUUAUCUAUUUAUACGUCUAAAACCCAGUAUUUAUUUAUUUAAUUAUAGAAAGUUUCUUAGUUUUAAAAACAUUUCAAAAAUCAUUUUUAGAAUCAAAUAAGAAUUUUAGAGAUAAACACAAUAUUAAAAUUUAACAAAAACAAAUUUUCGAAUUAAAAACACAAUAUAAACUAAAUUACAAAAUAUAAAGUAAUUUUUACCCUAAUUUCUUGUUGCAAAACCAAAUGGAACACCUAGAAGGGGAGUGAAUGGGUGAUUUUAAAUUUUUUCAAUAAUUAUUUAUAAGUUAUACCCAAUUCUUUUACCCUGCAAGUUGUUAGGGACUAUCAAUUCUUUCAUUUUGGCAAUUCAAACAAUAUAUCAAAUAAUAAAAAGAUAUAAAUAAUGAGACAUAAAUAUUUUUACGUGGAAAACCCCCCACACUAACCAUGGAGAUAAAAAGCCAUGGAGUCUAAGACCUAUUAAUCUAAAUUCACGGUACGAAAUCAAGUUACACAAAUUUAUUUGACAACUUUACCUUAAAGACUUACUCUACAGUACUGACAACUUGAUUCACAUCCACGACGUAGCAACCCUCGAUUACUCCAAUGGAUCACUUCAAGCUUACUAAAAGGAUGAAGGCCUUCAAACCAAGAUUCAAAAAUCAAUUCCUUGAAUGAGAGAUCAGGAAUGGUGUGCCACUUUAGGCUUUCUCUCUAAGAACUCUAAAAUGAUCUCCUCAAUGAAAACCUUUUAAACAAAAUGAGAUAUUUCUCCACAAUCUCUAACCCUCAAGGGGUUAUAAUGAGAUAUUUAUAAGCAACUAAGUUGAAGAGUUUCGGUUUUGGAAGGUUUCUCAAUUGAAUUUGUGUGAAAAACUCGACAGAAUCAACAUGACCGCUCGAGGCAGCACACUUCCCACUUGAGCGUUUCGGGCACUUGAGCGGUAAGGCUUGCUUGAGUUGUCCUAAGCGCUUGAGCAUUCCAGGCUACUUGAGCAAUCUUGCUCUAUUUCAAAAGUUAAUUUUAAACCAUUUUAAGUUCAAAACAAAAUUGAUUCCCUUUAUACCUCAAAGGAGCCUAACUUGCCACAAACCAAACUUUUUUAGAUAUACUUGUGACUUCCUGGUUGGACGAACAACAACUCUUAAUCUUCAAUGGAGAGCAAGUCACUAUCUAAAAAGAUUUAUAUGGUCAAACAUAAAAAAACAAAAAAAUUGCCAACAUAACAACAAGACUCAAUGUCCAUGCAUGGUCACCUGAAAGGUGACUCCGACCACAAUAUAAUGCAUGUUCUCAUAGAACAUGUGAACAAGAUGGGGAUAGGAAGUCCCCUAGAGAGAAAACAGAGUCUCCUAACCCUACUCUUGAAUGAUGAUAGGGAAGACAGUGUCCUGAAAAGCUUAAAGGUUAAUGGCAUGCUCAGGCUCGACACACCGAUAUGUGAAAGAAGCGUAAUAAUGGUCCCGUGCCACCUGGUAGUGAAAGCGCUCAACCGGAAGUGCAUCUAGGUUAAAAAGACCCUAGAGUGGGAUGCCCUAGACGGUUUCAGUGACCUAGGAAAGGUCACCUCCCUUUGACAUCUAUGACUAGCCAUAUCUAAGGUAUAUAAUAUGAAAAAACAAAAGCUAAAGAAAAUCCAGAGAAAAGCUAAACCACUAAAAAUGUUAAACUCAAUGCGUCGAACAAUACUAUACAAAUGGAAAUGAAAAAUAUGAAGCGAACUGACCUCAGAAGACAAAAGGACAGUAACCCAGAGGGCUCGAAGAGGAAUAGGAAAGAUUGAAAUGAAUAUGGCGUGAUGGAUGACCUUUAUAUAGCUUAUAAGAGUGCUUGAUGCAGAUUAGCACUUGAGCGUCAUGACUAACUUAAAUCAAAUUAUUUAUUAAUAUGGAAAUAUUUUAAAAGUUUCAAAGGAAGUAUUCAAUUUAGAACCUUUUUAGAAUUUUUUUGAAAGAAACAAAAAUAAAGCGUGAAAUAUUAUGUGUUAAAGGUGUUAGAAGACAAUAUUGUCUAAUCCAAAGCCUUACACAUUCCUAAAAAAAAAAAAAAAAAAAAAGGAAAAAGAGAGAUAUUAUAUAAGAUUUUGAUCACAUCUAAUAGAAACUAAUAUUUAGCAACAUAUCACCAAGCACUAUCUUAUCAGAAAGCUCUAACAUGUUGGAAAUUUAUGUAAGGUUCCAUAACAGCUAAAAACUUUUUCUGACGACUCGGUAAUGGACCAUUUGCACUUUAACUACAUUAUUGAAUUUAAAUCAUAUUAGAAUUGUAAUUGACUUCUCUUUUGUGAGACUACAUAUCUUGUAGGAUGGGAUAGGUGAUUCAUUUCAUAUAUGAAAUUUACUUAAUUUAGUAAUGCUUCCAAGUUCAUUAUGAAUCUAAUGGUAUCACAACUCCUUUAAUAUUUGUAAUUUUGUAAUCUUUGUUUCAACUUCUCAAGUCUAGUCAUUUUAUUGGCAUAACUAGUUUGCUUCAAUUAUCUCUCAACUUUAUUAUAAAACUAAGGGAAAGGAUUAUCACGCAUUUUAUAUUAACUUAACCAAACAUCUUUAUAUAUCUUACAUAUAUAUAUUUUUUGUAAAUUUAGGAAAAUUUCAUCCAUUAGCCAUAGUAAGUAAGAAUCAAAUAAGGGAUAUGUAAGCCAAUGGUGAUAUUGAUGGCGUCAAAUCAAUGACAUAGUAGAAAAGUGGAUUGUCUAUUUUCAAACCUUUAUAUUUUCAUCCAAUAGUAAAAAGGUUUAGGCAUCACUUGAAAAGUAGUUCGUUUUUUACCUUGGACUAUGAUUUAUGAAUAAAGUUCUUCUGUUGUAUACCUUUUGUGAUGCCCCAAACCUAAUUUAGGGGUAAAAAAAUAAUUUAGAAAAAAAUAAAUAAAAAGUUAAAUAAAUUUAAUUAAGGUAAAAAUGUAUUUUUGUAUUUAAAAUUCCUAGGUAUCAAUUAUAUAUUUCUUGUCUUCUCUAUUCAAAAAACCCUAUUACACAAAAAUCAAAUAUCAGAGAACAUAGGACAACGCAGGGUUGAAGAUUUGGAGGUUUAGGGUUGAAGAUUAGUUUUCCAGGUAAGAUUCUAACCCUUAAAUUAGUAUUUUAGAUUCGUUAAUUAGUUUGAACACUUUAGAUAUUCUUUGAAAAAUCUGAAUCUACGUUAGGGUUUGUUAAUUUAAUUUUUAAAUAAAAAAGAUUCAAAAUUUAUGAACAUAAGUAGAGUUAUUAUUAAAGAUUGAAAUUUUUUGAAUAUUUGAAUUAAAAAUCUAGAAAAAAAAAGAAGAAAAUAAAUUAUAGCUUUGGAUGUGGAAAAAAGUUAAUAUUAAUAAAUAAAUAAAACUUAUGAGUACGGAGGUAGAAAAAUAUGAGAGUUGAAAGCAAAGAAAAAAAAAAGAGAAUAAGGUUUUGUGGUUGUACGUGUCUCCUUAGUGGAAAAAAGAAAUACAAGGUUGUUUGCAAUAGGAUAUGACAAAGAGAGAGAGAUAAAUGCUUAGAUGUUGAUUUUUGUGGGGAAAAAAAGAUUGGGUAAUGUAGGAGAGAAAUAGGUAGCACUUGUAGAGUUGGUGGGGUUGUUGUAAAAGCUCGUAGGGUAAUUGUUAGGUAGUAGUAGGGUAUGAGAUUAAUUGUUAGGAAACAUUAGGACUUGAAAUAAUAAUAAUUGCUUCUAGUAAAAGUUUUAACUUAGUUUAAGUAUAUAAAAGAAAUAGAUGAUUAGAAUAAGAUUUGGAAGGAAUAUGAAUUCAUAAAAAUUUCGAAAUUUACUAAUUUAGAUUAUUAUUUUUUUGGAAGUUGAAUAUAAUAUAGGUGGUAAUAUUAUUAAUAUAGGAAAUGAUUAAGAUUCUCAAACCUACAAUUUUAGAUAAAUAGUUAAUAGUAAUAGUUGAUUUUUUAUUUUUUUUAUUUUUUAUUUUUUAUGUUAUGUUAAGUGAAUAAUGGAUUCUUUGAUUAAUUCUCUAAGGUUUCUAAGUGCUUCUUUAAGAUAAGGGAUAUUAAUACUGAUUUUGUAAAUGAAAAUAUUUCUUUUUAUAAGUUAUUUUAAAUUAUGAAAAAUUUUAUUUUUAUUUAUGCAUGGAUCAAAUAUAUAUUUUUUCAUGAGAAACAUGUUUGGGCAAUUUCUUUGUUUAUAAAUAAAUAAAUAAAAAAUGAGAACUUUGGAAAUAUAAUGUUUUGUUUUGCAAGUUUAAAAUAAUGAAAUAAAGUUUUUGACUCUGGUUUAUAUGACCUUAGUUAAUGGGUUAUAAUUGUUGACAUUUUCAGCUCUCCAAUCAAUGAUUAUAAUUGUUGAGAUUUUCAACCCUAGCCAACGGGUUAUAAUAGUUGACCUUAUAGCCCUAGUCAACAGAUAUAAUUGUUAACCUUUCGUUUUUCCCAUCUUAAAAAGAACAAAUUUAAGGCUAACCAUUUAUUUGUAAAGUCCCACCUAACUAAGUACCAUUUGUUAUUUAAUAACCAGAGUAAAGAUAUUUUGAAUGUAUUUGAUAUGAAAUUAUUUUGAUAUAAAUAUGAAAAUGUUUGGUUGAAAAGUUCAAAUGUUUAAUGCAUGUUGAAUUCAAAAGUUUUUAUGAAAAUGAUUAUAUGUUAUAUCUCCUAUUUGUAAGUUUGAUCCAUAAAACUGUAUUAAUAUUCCUUAUUGGACUUUGAGCUCAUUCCCCUUUGUUGAGAAUUUUUUUUGGUAUUCUCAGUUUGGGCAAGGAGUGAUGACUGGGUUGGGGAAUUUUCUUUACUAUGAUUUUGGUUCAAUCUUUAUUUUGGACAUUGUAAUUUAAUUCCCAUUUAAAUUAUUUGGGUUUGGAGUUAUUUGGACGAUAACACUUUGAUUGAUGUGUUAGUUUUAAAGUUGAGAAUUGAAAAUUAUAGAAUUUAUUUAUCUUUCUACUUUGAAUAGAAAUUUAGUAAUUGGAGAUCAUCCAGUUACAAGAUGAAUAUUAGAUGAAUAUUUGUGUCGUUUCCACAUUGAGUGUUCAGGCUUAGGGUGUGAAAUGACCGUUAUGCCCUUGGAGUGGGUAUAUUGUUUAUUUGAAUUUAAUGGUCCCCGAACUCCUUAAUUACUCAUAACUUUAUAUCACCUUCUCAAAGUUAAGUUGUUUUACAACUACUAUCUAGCUACUUUUCUCUACUAUGACAACUUUAUUACAUAGUGAUUAAUUGAAAGAAUCUACAUGUCUUAUUUCAUAGGAUAGUUGAUUUUUUUACUCAAUGAAUCUUGCUUUUAUUAUUGAAAAUUUCAAAUCAUUGUAGUCCAACAAUUUACUAUCCUUUGGUAAUUUCAUAUUACAUUUCCAAAGUCUAAUCAUUUAAAAACACUUGUAGUUAAUAUAUUGGCAAUUGCAUUGUGGGAAGUUGUUCACUUGAUUUUAAUGUUGAAACUUUCAAAUUGUUGUAGUCCAACAAUUCCCUAUCCAUUGGUAAUUUCAUAUCACAUUUUCAAAGUAUAAUCAUUUACAAAUACUUGUAUAUAGUAUAUUUGGUGAUUGUAGAGUGGAAAGUUGAUCGUUUUCAUGAAGACCUCUAAAAUAGAAAUUUUUUUCAUUCCAUUUAAUAAAGAAUUUCAUUAAUUGAACAUAUAUGUUUUUUUAACCGGAAAGUAGAGGCCACAUUAUACGAGGCCUUAGGUGACAAUACUAGGUGAGGGUUUUUUUUUUUAAUUUAUUUAUUACUAAAUAUAAAUAAUAUUAUUUAUUGUAUAAUAAAGAUUAUUAUAAUAUAUUUUUUAUAGAUGAAAAAAAUAUUAAUUGAGUUUUAUUUUUUUAAAAUAAUUGUUUUCAAUAAAUAACUUAUUUGUAAAAAGAAAACUAUAAAAUAUAUGCAUUUGAAAAAUAUUUAAUUUUUAUUUGAUUUAGUAUCAAUUAAUAUUUGUAAUAUUUUUUAAUAUUAUAGAAGUUAACAUACUCAAUCAAGAUAUUCAAGAUCAAGAGAAUAUUUAAGAUUGAAUUAAUUUCUUUAUUGUUUAUGUUUUAGUAAAUUUUUAUAUCCAUUACAAAUUUUUUAUUGUUUAUUUUUCAUUCAAUGUUUGCAUUUUUUAAUAGAUAUUAAAACGAUUUUUUUUCUUGUAUGUUAAAAAAAUAUUUCAAUGUCUUUAAAAAUAAAAUAUUGCAGUAAAAUCAAAAUUACAUUGUGAAACUUUAAGCGAAUGUUUUAUACUUAAGAAGUGCCAAUUAAAGUAAGCAUGCAUCUACAAUUGUAAUUUAGAUGUCAUACUGAAACAAUAGUUCUCUUUGACUAUAUCAUAAAAUUUGGUUCGAAUUACUUUAAGUCGUCUUGUAGAUUUUCAAGUUCCAAUGAUAUGCAUCAAGUAUGUGCAACAUACUUGAUAUAACUAAUAUUUUCUUAAGUAAUUGGACACUUUUUUCUAUAAAUUUACUUGAUUAUCAAUGAAUACUUUUAUGUAAGGUAUUGAUAUAAUUCGAUAAAUAUUUUAAAAUAGUAUUAGAAUAGCUUUGCUCUUUCCCAAUUAACAAAUUUACUAAAUUAACUUAUAUAUAUUUGUUUAUUUGAAUUUACUGGUAUUUGACUCAAAUUGUUAUUAUUUUUAAAAUUAUAGGAAAACCAUUAUUUAUAGAGUUUAAUUAUAUUUGGUAAAUUAUCUUUUUAAGUUUGGCUAGGAUUAGGAAACUAUUAAUUUAAGAUUAAUCCAUAAGGCUCUAUAAAUUUGCAGUUUUAUUUAGGAUUUAAAAAAAGAAAGAAAAAGUAAGAAAAAGUGAAGAGAGAUAGGCAAAGAGUGCAUUGGGUUUUAAAUAAAGAAAGGUUGAGAGAGUUUUGAUUACUACUCAAAAAGAACAUAUUUUAGAUAGUAAUUCUCAUGGGUUUCACAUCUUUUGAGUAUUAAUUAUGCCUAAAAAUGCUCAAUUAACAUGUUGUUGCCUUUGCAAGAGUUACUAACAAGUUUUAUAAAGUUUUGGAGUCAUUUCAAGUUAUGAUUUUAAUAAAUUGGUGACGAAAGAGAUGAAUUGAUUUGAAGAAGGCAAAUAAUAUUGAUGAUGAUCCAAAUGCAUAAUGAAAGAAGCAAUAUAAUUAGUUUGAUCGGGAUUUGCUGCUAAUUUGGAGGUAGUUAAGGUGGAGUCAAAAGAAGAAAAUGGAAGAAAUGACAAAGAGGAGCUUAAAAACCAAAUGUUGCAGAUUUGUAUGAUCAUGCAAAAAUUACAUGACUAUGCGAAAUGGAUUAGAGAAGGAAAAUUGACUAUAGUAUAAGGAGGAUGCUUAAGUUGAUUUCGCAUGAACAUGCGAAAAUUUUGCACAAUCAUGCGAAAUGGUCCAGAAAGCUCUCUAAUGUUGUUGUUGCUCCACUAAUUUCACACCACCAUGCGAAAUUGAUCUUUUCAUGCAAAAUGGCUGAAGCUCAUGUGAAAUCAUGAUUUUGAUGCUAAACUCUAGAUUUGUGAAUUUGGAAGGUUUUAGAAGAUCAAUGAGAAGUUGCCAAGUGUCCACUUGACCUUGGUCUAUAAAUAGAAACUUGAAUUUCCCAUGUAAAGAGCUUUGUGAUACUUUUGAUUUUAGAUUUUUCUAGGAACUCUUUCUCUAAAUAGAAUUCUAUAUUUUCUUUAAUUUUCUCUCAUUUUCUCAUUCGCCAAACAUGCCUAGUGAGACCAAAUCUCCAAGUAUGAGUGGCUAAAUCUCGUUUUUCUCAAAGGAAUGAGGAUCUAGAGUCAAGAUCUAUGGUGAAUUAUAGAAAUGAGUUUUAAUCGGAAAUGCAAUUUGAUUCAAUUGAUUGAUUAAUUGAAAUUUGAGGAUUUUUCUCUUCAAAUUAUCCUAAAUGACUAUUACAUUGCAAACUAGGUAGAUUCAUUAAAUUCUUAAAGCUAGAUUUAAUGAGACUGAAUAGUUGCAUUGUAUGAAUCAUUGGAAGAUAAUUUAAGAUGAAUUGAAUAUAUAAUUUAAAUUGAUCUCUUGGAUUAAAUAACCUAAUUUGAAGAGAAAUUAGGUUUAGACUUAAAGGUAAAUCUAAAAUCGAUUUAGAUAAGAAUUUAGGUUUUCAAUCUAACUUGAUGAAAAAUAAAUCUCAACAUCUAUUCACCAUGGAAAUUGUUUUCUAAAAAAUAUUAACUCCGAGAAUUCCUUUUCCUUAUCAAUUUUCUUAUAUUCUACAUUAUAUUGUUCUUUUCGAUUAGAAAUCAUUGUUAUUUUGAUUUUUCAUGAAUUGUCAAAUCAAUUUCACUUGACCAUAAUCAUUUCUUUUCCUCCCAUUUAAGCCUUAAUUAUCGAGAAUAAUCCAUCCCAAUAGAAGACACCUAAGACCACUAUACUACCGUAGCUUUUGCUAAAAAACCUUUUUGAUCGGGCAAGAGUUACCUUAGCAUAGUUGAAUUAGGUUAUAAUUUUUUUAUCCAAUAAACAACAAAAAAAAUCAAUCGAUCAAGUUUGCAUUGUGUAUUCUUGAAUUUUAUUAAUAAAUUUGAUCCCCCUUUUUGAAGCGAUUACACCAAACCAAGUAAAUAUUUUAUAUACUUCAUUUGCUUUAUUUUUUCUAUUAAGUUUAGGUGUUGCAAUUUUCAAGAGUCAUGGUGAGAAGAUUGUGGGAAAAAUUAUUUUAAGGAUGGAGUCGAACAUAAAAUAUGAAAUUGAGUCCUUUGAUGGAAAUAAUAAUUUUAAUAUUUGAUAGAGUAUUAUUAAAGAUGUUUUGAUACAACAAAGACUUCUCAAAGCAUUACAAGGCAAAAAAACUAGAGAGCAUGACAAAUAAAGAAAUGAAAGAAUUAGAAGCAAGAGUUGUAAGUACUAUUUGUUUAAGUCUUAAAAAUGAAAUACAUUGUUUUGAAUGAAAAAAAUAUUCUUUUAGGGGUGUCAAUUGCUCUUUUAGAGACCAAAAAUAUUAAGCAGUCAAGUAGUUCAUCUCAUAUUGGACAAACUGUUAUGAUGAAUUCUAAACCACAUCAUCAUAGGAGUAAAUCGAAAGAAAGUAUCUGAUAGGAGGAUGAUCAUUCCAUUCACACUUAUGGAGGAAUAUGAAGUAUUAUUACUGUGAAAAAAAAAACAUAUCAGGAGAUAUUGUAAAGAAUUGAUGAAGUACCUAGAAGAAAUGAAAAUUUUUAAAUCCCAAGAGACUUCAAAUUUUACUAAUAUUGUUGAUGAAAAUUUUGAAAUAUUGUAGUAAAUUAAAAGUUACAUUAUGGGACUUUUAGUGAGUGUUUUAUGUUGAAGAAAGGCUAAUUAAAGUAAACAUGCAUCUAAAACUAUAAUUUAGAUGUUGUACUCAAAUAGUUGCUCUCCUCGAUUAUAUCAUAAAAUUUGGUUUGAAGUCUAAGUCAUCUAAUAAUUUUCUAAUUCAAAUUGCAUGCAUCAAACAUGUGUGUUAGGAAGUGUUGCAAAUUACUAAUUAAUAUAGAUUCUUUUUUUUUUUAAAGAAUAUUGUAUUGAAUAUUUCUAGGUUGAUAUAUUAUUGUAAUAUUAGACUUUCUUAUAGAAUAAGGAAGGUUGUUGAAAAUAUCCCUAUAAAUAUUCUAGUUCAUAAGGGGAAAAAGUUAUGAGAUGAAGAUGGACCCAUAAAGACUAUACAAGGUGGAUAGAGACGUGAAGAAAAACGAGAGGUACCCGGUGGAGCGAGAGGGCUCGUGGUAGGGUAUAGGUACAAAGAGUGAGAAAACAUGGGAUGUUUUGGGAACCCAAUAAUUGUAUCUGGUUAUGUCCUCUAUAAGUUCUAGUCCUGUCAUCUGCAUUGUUCUCUAUUUUAUAGUGGAAUGAUUCUCUUUUAUCUGUGGACGUGGGCAUGGUUUUCGAACCAUGUUAAAACCUUGUGUACCGUUUGUGUUGAUUUUUUUUUUUAUCUUUAUUUUAUUGAUUAAUGAAGUUUGCAUCAAAGCUUCUGUCAACGUAACAAACUUGUAUCAAAGCUUGGGUUAAAGAUUUCUAGAAGAGUAAAAGAUCAUAGAGCACACAAGAUGAAAACAAAAGGAAUUUUUAGUGAAAAUGGAGUCAAUUGCUCUCUCAUGGUGAUAUGAUAUAAAAAGUUUGUGUCAUGGAAAGUUUGAAGAUUUACUUCAUGGAAUCUGGUCCAAAAUGGAGAUUGUUAAUAAGUAUCCCAAAUUCCUAAUUAGUUUAGAUUUUUUUUUUUUGUAAAGAAUAUUGUAUAGAAUAUUUCUAGGUUAAUAUAUUAUUGUAAUAUUAGACUUCCUUAUAGAAUAAGGAAGGUUGUUGAAAAUAUCUUUAUAAAUAUUCUAGGUCAUGAGGGAAAAAAGUUAUGAGAUGAAAUGGGCCUGUAAAAACUAUAUGAGGUGGAUAGAGAUGUGAGGAAGAACAAGAGGUACUCAAUGGAAUGAAAGGGCUCGUGGUAGGGUAUGGAUACAAAGAGUGGGGAAAUAUGGGAUGUUUUGGGAACCUAAUAGUUGUAUCUGGUUCUGUCAUCUAUAAUGUUCUAGUUAUGUCCUCUAUAAUUGAUUCGUUCCCAAUUGGUGUCUCAGCUGAUUCAUGUCCUCUCCAUGGUCCCUGAUAGUGGUGCCAUUUGAUUCAUGUCCAGCUGGUGUCCCUUGAUUUUGGUCUUCAGGGAGUAAUCAACAAAAUUUAUAACCUAUUACACCAUGUACUAGGAUAGCCUUAGCUAGCAUAGCAUAGUGGCUCUAGGGUCGUUCACUGGGAUGGGUUUUCACUUCACAAUUGAUAUUAAUUCAAAGAUGAAUUGGUGCUUUUUCAUUUCAAGGUUAGCUUUAAAAGAAAACAUAAAGAUGUUUGAAUGAAAAAGGUUUUGUUUUAAACUAACCAAAAAUAAUAACUGAUUUUACUUACAAAGAAAAGUGUUUCUUGGAGUUUAGAUCACUGGGCUCAGAUUCCUUGUACAAAAAGGGAGUUCCGGUCACUUGUUUCUUUUCCUCGCAUUAGAGAAUUAACAUAUAGUUAAUUCUCUAACCGGUGUGGUACAGAUGCUUCCCCUUAAUGGGUUCAAACACUAAAUCCCUCUCACUGAUGCAACUUGCAAUGGCUCGUGCCUCUCACCUAGCAUUUGCCAUUCAAGGUGAUCUUUAACCUUGGAUUACCCUUCACAAGCUCGCAAGAGAUAACUAAUGGAUGUCUCCUUAGAGUCCAAAAGCUUACCAAGUGUUGGCAAUUCUAGAAAAUCAUACCUUCAAACCACCUCCCAAAAGCUCGCAAGAGGUAAACCAGUGCAUCUCCAUUGACGGAGAUCACUUGCCUAACCAAGUGUUGGCUCAAGUGAAUUGAAGGUGUUUUAAGUUAACUAAAAAGAUAAAAACCAUUAACGGGUCACACUUUCUCUUCAUUAAAAACUAAAACAACAAAACUUCCAAUUUAUGCAUGAGGAAACUUACCCGGCUUUCUUUCACUCCAAGAGACGAAGAGCCUAGCCUCUCAUCCUCUGAGAAAAAAUCCUCAGAGUUUGAUUGGCUAGAAAGAAAACUAACGAGAAAACAAAAAUAUAUAUAAGAAGCAGAGCAAAAGCUCUGUUCGUUGAUUACAUAUAUGAUAUAUGAUAUAUGAUGGAUCCUCUUCUUUACAUUGGUUCAAAGAUAUAUAUAGAGAAGAUAUUUUCUAAGAAAUAUCCCAAUAAUAUCUUUGACUAAUUACAAGGAGAAAAUAGAAAUUUACACAAAAUAUCUUGAGAGAAAAAAUCUAACUUAGUCGGUGGCAAAUAUCAGGAAGCUUCAGGAGAAUAUCGCGUCACUGUGCAAAAAUCCGGGUAAUCUGAAAUGCCGGCCGCGGAUGCUCUCCGGGUUAGCGCUAUUAGAAGAUCCGGACAUGCCUGUCUGGGGAGGUUGAAAUGCCUCUUCUUCCAUCCGGCGUCAGGCGUCGGAUUUGAAAUAUCUGAUCAGAGGAUCCUGACAUGUCUGACCGAACAGAAUUUCAGAUGUGAGAUAUCCGGACGUCGCAAGGGGGACCGUUUGCGUGUACAAGGUGUAGAGACCCUUCCCCCUGAUGACACGGAGCACGCAUCGCUAUCCAGAGCAACUCCAUCCGGAUUUCCCAAGAGGACACGCACCGCCAUGCUAUCCGGCACUCGUGAACAUCACACUCCGGAUGAUAGCAUAUCCUAUCCGGAUAUGUUGUCUGGAUCAUUGACUAAAGUGAGCAAGCCUUACUACAGCCCACGUUCCGCCGCUCUUCCAAUGGUGUGUCCGGACGCCCUGUCUGGACAUCUUUUUCCAUGGAUUCCAAAGAACUCUCCUCAAUCUCGGAUUGCUUUGGUGAUAAAAAAGCUAUCAAAACACCAAAACUUAACACAAUUUGAUUAGAAUUGAUUGCAAGGGUCCUUAAUAUGUUAAUUGGGUUAAAAAGUGAUAACUACUACUCAAAAGUGUUUAAAAGAGUUAAUUACAAGCUAUGAAAUAACACUUUUUGAGUAGUAAUCAAUAAUGUUCUCUAUUGUAUAGUGGAAUGAUUCUCUUUCAUUCGUGGAUGUAGGCAUGGUUGUCGAACCACAUUAAAACCUCGUGUACUGUUUGUGUUUUUUUUUUAAAAAAAAUUAAUCUUUGUUUCUUGAUUAAUGAUGUGUGCAUCAAAGCUUCCAUCUACGUAACAAACUGGUAUCAGAGCUUGGGUUGAAGAUUUUUGGAAUAGUAAAAGAUCACAAAGCACACAAGAUGAAAACAAAAGGAAUUUUUAGUGAAUGUGGAGUCAAUUGUUCUCUCAUGGUGAUAUGAUACAAAAAGUUUGUGUCAUGGAGGGUUUAAUGAUUGACUCCAUGGAAUUUGGUCCAAGGUAGAGAUUGUUAGGAAGUGUCCCAAAUUCCUAAUUAGUAUAGAUUUUUUUUUUAUAAAGAAUCUUGUAUAGAAUAUUUCUAGGUUGAUAUAUUAUUGUAAUAUUAGACUUCCUUAUAGAAUAAUGAAGGUUGUUGGAAAUAUUUUUAUAAAUAUUUUUAGUCAUGAGGGGAAAAAGUUAUGAGAUGAAGAUGAGCCUAUAAAGACCAUACGAGAUGGAUAGAGAUAUGAGGAAGAAUCGAAGGUACCCAGUGGAGCAAGAGGGCUCGUGGUAGGGUAUGAAUAUGAAGAGUGGGGAAACAUGGGAUGUUUUGGGAACCCAAUAGUUGUAUCUAGUUUUGUCAUCUAUAAUGUUCUGGUUCUGGCAUCUAUAAUGUUCUGGUUUUGUCCUAUGUAAUGUUCUUUAUUGUAUAGUGGAAUUAUUAUCUCUCAUCUGUGUAGACAAGUUGCUAAACCACGUUAAAACCUCGAAUACCAUUUGUGUUGAUUUUUUUUAUCUUUGCGUUCUUGAUUAACGAUGCUUGCAUCAAAGCUUCUACCAACGUAACAAUGUGCAACAUAUUUGAUAUAACUUAUAUUUUCUUAAGUAAUUGAACACUUUUUCUAUAAAUUUACUUGAUUAUCAAUGAAUACCUACAUAUACGGUAUUGACAUAGUUUGAUAAAUAUUUUAAAAUAGUAUUAGAAUGGCUUUUCUUUUUCCCAAUUAACAAAUUUAUCAAAUAUAUACAUACACACACACACACACACAUAAUACUCAUUAGUAUGUCUUUUAUGAAAAAACUAUAUUUGUUUAUUUGAAUUUAGUAGCCAUUCAACUCCUUAGUUACUCAUAAACUUUUUAUCACCUUCUUAAAGUCAAGUCAUUUACAAUUAUUUCUAUCUAGCCUUCUCCAUUAUAACAACUUUAUAAGAUAGUGAUUGAUUGGAAGAAUCUACAUGCCUUUGUUGAUAGGAUAAUUGUUUUUCUUUUUUUUUCGUAUUCAAAGAAUCUUGCUUCUGUUAUUGAAACUUUCAAAUCCUUUAUGUCAAGUUGUCUUAUAAUUCCCUAUUCAUUGGUCUUUCAUAUUACCAAUCAUUUUGAAAAUGAGUUAAUUUCAUUCACAUCCUCUGAGAUUUGAUGUAAAUUCGCUUAGUUACCAAUGAUUUCAAAUUUCAUUAAUUAGUACCCCUAUAGAUGUAAUUUGUGUACAAAAUUUAUUUUUUAAAAGAGUUUAGGUAAAAAUAUUUUAGGUAUAUGUCUUUAACAAUUCUCUAAAAUAAAUUUUACUUGCUAAAAAAUAACUUAUAUAGAUAGAAUACAUCUACAGGAGUUCUAACUAACGAAAUUUAAAACUAAUGGUGGUUUAGUGUAUUUAAACUAAACAUUAGGAAGGGUGACUGAAAUUAACCCUCUAGGUAUAUAUGUUUAACAAAAUUUUUAUUGUUUAUUUUUCAUUUAAUGUUUGCAUUUUUCAAUAAACAUUGAAAAGGAAUUGUUUUUCCAUAUGUUAACAAAAAGAAAUUUGAACACCUAUAAAAAUAAAAUCUUGUAGCAAAAUUGGAGUUACAUUAUCAGACUUUUAAUGAGUGUUUAUGUUUAGAAAGACCAAUUAAAGCAAGCAUGCAUCUAGAAAUUGUAACUUAGAUGCAUCAAACAUGAGCAACAUAUUUGAUAUAACCAAUAGUUUCUUAAGUAACUAAACACUUCUUUUUCUAUAAAUUUACUUGAUUAUCGAUGAAUACUUACAUAUAUUUACAUAGUUUGAUAAAUAUUUUAAAAUAAUAUUAGAAUAACUUUGUUUUUUCUCAAUUAUAUUAGAAAAUAAUAUAAAGUUACUUAUAAACUUUAUAUCAUUUUCUCAAAGUCAAGUCAUUUACAAUUAUUUCUAUCUAGCCUUCUCCAUUAUGACAACUUUUAUAUGAUAGCCGUUGAUUGGAAGAAUCUACAUGUCUUUUUUGAUAGGAUAGUUGUUUUUAUUUUUUUAUUUUUUUUAUUCCAAAAAUUUGCUUCUAUCAUUGAAACUUUCAAAUCUUUUAUGUAUAUUACCAAUCAUUUUACAAGUGAGUUAAUUUCACUUAGGGUAGAUAUACUUAGCCACACCCCUAUAGAUGUAAUUUGUGUUUAAAUUUUAUUUUUUAUUUAGGUAAAAAUAUCUUAGGUAUAUGUGUUCAACAAUUCUCUAAAAAAUAAAUUUUCUUAUCUAAAAGUUUAUAUAGACAAAAUACAUCUAUAGAAGUCCUAAUUAAUGAAAUUUAAAAUUAAUGGUUGUUUAGUGUAUUUACAUUAAACCUUAUGGGGUAUGAUUGAAAUUAACUCUUUUACAAGCACUUGUAGCUAAUAUGUUUGUAGUUGUAGUGUUGGAAAUUGAUCAUUUUCUUGAAGGCCUCUAAGAUAUUGAAAAUAUUGCCAUAGUUUUAGACUUUUUUUUAUUACACCUAAUAAAAAAUAUUAUUAAUUUAACAUAUAUAUUCUUGACUUAAAAGUAAAGUCUCUCCAUAUUGUAUAAGCCCUUAGGUGGCAAUAUUAGGUGAAGUUUUUCUUUCGUUUAUUACAAAAUAUAAAUAAUUUAUUAUUGUAUGAUAAAAUUUUAUGUAAUAUAUUUUUAUAGAUGUAAAAUUAUUAAUUGGGUUUUUUUUUUACUAAAUUGUCAUUUCAAUAUAUAAAACUUAUUUGUAAAAAGACAAUUAUAAACUAUAUGAAAUUGAAAAACAUUUAGUUUUUUUAUUUAAUUUAGAAUUUUAUUUGGAUUAAUAAUUGAUAUUUGUAAGAUUUUUUAAUAUUAAAAAAAGUUAGCAUACUUAAGAAAGAUAUUCAAGAUCGGGAGUGUUUGAUAUUGGAUUAAUUUCCUUAUUUUCUCUAUUUUAAUAAAUUUUCACGUCCAUUACAAAAUUUUUGUUGUUUAUUUUUCACUUCAAUAUUUUUAUUUUGUAAUAGACAUUUGAAAAGAUUUUUUCCUACAUGUUAAAAAAAAAAAUAUUUGAACACUCCUAAAAAAGAAUAUUGCUAUAAAAUUAAAGUUUACAUUGUAGGACUAUUAGCAAAUGCUAUAUACUUAAAAUAGACCAAUUAAAGUAGAAAUACUUCUAAAAUUGUAAUUUAGGUAACAAUAAUAUAAAAAGAUAAUAUUUUUGAAACAAUAGUUCUCUUGGAGUUUUGGGUACGAUGGACUAGACUUUAUGUACAAUAGAUAUACAAACUUUCCAUUAACAUCUUGAGAGACAUGAUGAGGAGCAAAGUCAUCCAAGAAGGUACCAUAGAGGUACCUUAGCUCCAUUCAUCUAGACUACAUAAUGUUUAAAGAUCAAAUUCAAUGACUAGAUUUCAAAAAUCAAUAUAAGCUUUCUCAUAUUCUACUCUAUAUAAGACAAUGGUAUGAUACCUCUCUUGUGUCGUAGAAUGCACCAUGAAAACCUUAUCAUUUUAACAUCAGUUUGAAACUUAAAAGUCACUUAGCACAUUCUAGUUAUUAAUCUAAGAGCAUUAAAAGAAAAUAUAAAAAAAGUUACUUUAUCCUUGUGAUUUUGAUUUAGGACUUUUAAUGAUAUUAAAAAAAAAAAACAAAACAGAAAAAUAAAUGGAAAUAAAAUCAACAAAUUAAACAAUUGAAUUAAGUUAGUUUAAUUCUUGCAUCGUUAAAUGGGUAAAUAAAGACUCUUAGAUUUGAUAUUAAUAUGAACAUCAUGACUUCAGUGAAUCUUACAAGAAAAUUUUAGUUUGAAAGACUUCAUUCAUUAAACGUGUGGCACAUAUUAAAGUAAAACUAAGUCUUCUCUAUAAUUUGUACCUAUCAUAGUUUCUUUCCUUAUAAAUAGCCUUUUUUGAAUAUAAUAUAGACUUCAACAUGCAUGGUGGGGCCAAUCAAACUACUAGUCAAGACAACUCAUGGGCAACAACGAUGUACCAACUACAUUUAAAUACUCUUCAUCUAUUUACAUAUCAAGAGUAAUUUAGUAGUGUCUUAUUUAUGUACCUCAUAUCUAGACUUUCAAUGGAGAGUUCUUCAUCUAAAAAUUUGACUUGGGUUUUCAUACUAGUUUUGGUUUAGACAUGUGGAUGCAAAGGUUGCAUCAAAGAAGAGAAGUAGGCUAAAUCAUCUUACAAAUUUUAUAGUUCAAAUUAGAUGCACCAAACAUAUGCAACAUAUUUGAUAUAACUAAUAUUUUCUUAAGUAAUUGAAUACAAUUUUUUUUUUAAAUUUACUUGAUUAUUAAUGAAUAACUACAUGUAUGGUAUUGACACAACAUGAUAAAUCUUUUAAAAUAGUAUUAGAAUAACUUUGCUAAAAAAAAGUAAAAAUAAAAAUAAAAAUACAUCUAUAUAUAAAAUUAAAUUAAAUUAAAAAUUAAAAAAGAAUAUAUAUUCUCUGUGUGUGUGUGUGUGCAUGGUCCCACAACUCAUUAGCUACUCAUAAGCUUUAUAUCACUUUCUCAAAGUCAAGUCAUUUUGUAAUUAUUUCUAUCUAGCCUUCUCCAUUACGACAACUGUAUAGGAUAUUGAUUGGUUGGAAAAAUCUUCAUGUCUUUUUUUAUAAGAUAGUUUUUUUAUUAUUAUUAUUAUUCAAAGAAUUUGCUUUUAUUAUUGAAACUUUCAAAUCCUUUAUGUCUAGUGGUCCUACAAUUCCCUAUUCAUUGGUAUUUCAUAUUACCAAUCAUUUUACAAAUAAGUUUAUUUCACCCGGUAAAUAUACUUAACUACUAAUGGUUUCAAAUUUAAUUGAUUAACACACUUAUAGAUGUAAUUUGUUUUUAAAUUUUAUUUUUUUAGAAGAAUUGUAGGUAAAAAUGUUUUAGGAAUAUGUGUUCAAUAAUUCUCUAAAAACAAUUUAUAUAGAUGGAAUACAUUCAUGUAAGUUCCAACUAAUGAAAUUUAAAACUAAUGACAAUUUAAUGUAUUUGCACUAAAUCUUAGGGGAGGUGUACUAAAACUAGCCCUUUUACAAAUAUUUGAUAUGAAAUUAAUUAAUUAAUUUUUUCUAUUUAAAUAAAUUUUUGCAUCCAUUAAUAAAAUUUUAUUGUUUAUUUUUCACUUCAAUAUUUUUAUUUUGUAAAAUAAAUAGAAAUAAAAUCAACAAAUUAAAAAAUUGAAUUAAGUUAGUUUAAUUUUGCCACCUUUAAAUUGGUAAAUGAAGACUCUUAUAUUUGAUAUUAACAUGAACAUCAUGACUUUAUUGAAUCUCACAAGAAAAUUUUAGUUUGAAAGAUUUUAUCCUUUAAACAUGUGACACAUAUUAAAGUGAGACCAAGUCUUCCCUAUAAUUUGUAUCUAUCACAAUUUCUUUCCUAAUGAAUAGCCUUUUUGAAUAGAAUAUAGACUUUAGCAUGCAUGGUGGGGCCUAGCUAUCAAACUACUAGUCAAAACAACUCAUGGGCAAGAAUGAUGUACCAACUAGAUUAAGUAUUCUCCAUCUAUUUGCAUAUCAAGAGUAAUUUAGUAGUAUCUUUCUUGUGUACCUCAUUUCUAGACUUUCAAUGGAGAGUUUUUUAUCUUAAAAUUUGACGUGGGUUUUCAUACUAGUCUUGGUUCAGAUAUGUGAAUGCAAAGGUUGCAUCAAAGAAGAGAAGUAGGCUAAGUCAUCUUACAAAUUUUCAAGUUCAAAUUAGAUGCAUCGAACAUGUGCAACAUAUUUGAUAUAACUAAUAUUUUACCAAGCAACUAAAUACUUUAUAUAUAUAUAUAAAUUUAUUGAUGAUCAAUGAAUACCUACAUGUAUGGUAUUGACACAGUUUGAUAAAUCUUUUAAAAUAGUAUUAGAAUAACUUUGCUAAAAAAAGUAAAAAUAAAAUAAAAUAAAAUAUAUAUAUAUAUAUAUAUAUAAAUAAACAAAAUAAAAAAUUUAAAAAGAAUAUAUAUAUUAGUGGUCCCACAACUCAUUAGCUACUCAUAAGCUUUAUAUCAUUUUCUUAAAGUCAAGUCAUUUACAAUUAUUUCUAUAUAGCCUUCUCCAUUGCGACAACUGUACAAUAUAUUAAUUGAUUGAAAAAAUCAUCAUGUCUUUUUUGAUAGGAUAGUUUUUUUUUUAUUCAAAGAACUUUCAAAUUCUUUAUGUCUAGUGGUCCUACAAUUCCCUAUUCAUUGGUAUUUCAUAUUACCAACCAUUUUACAAAUAAGUUAAUUUCACUCGAUAAAUAUACUUAACCACCAAUGGUUUCCAAUUUGUAGCAUUCUUAUAGAUGUAGUUUGUUUUUAAAUUUUAUUUUUUAGAAGAAUUGUAGGUAAAAAUAUUUUAGCUAUAUAUGUUCAACAAUUCUCUAAAAACAAUUUAUAUAGAUGGAAUACGUUCAUGGAAGUUCCAACUAAUGAAAUUUAAAACCAAUGAUGAUUUAAUGUAUUUGUACUAAAUCUUAGGGAGUGUGGACUAAAAUUAGCCCUUUUACAAAUAUUUAUAACUAGUAUAUUUGUAGUUGUGGUAUUGGAAGUUGAUCAUUUUCUUAAAAGGUUUACCAUUGAAGUUAGUUGAAUAUAAAGUUAGGUGAACUUUACCAUUGUUAAAUUGGUAAAUGAAGACUCUUAGAUUUGAUACUAACAUGUACAUCAUGACUUCAUUGAAUCUCUCACAAGGAAAUUUUAGUUUGAAAGACUUCAUCUUUUAAACAUGUGGCACAUAUUAAAGUGAGACCAAGUCUUCCCUAUAAUUUGUAUCUAUCACAAUUUCUUUCCUCAUAAAUAGCCUUUUUGAAUAGAAUUAAUAUAGACUUUAGCAUGCAUGAUGGGCCCUAUCAAACUAUUAGUCAAGAUAAUUUGUAGGUAAGAACGAUGGACCAACUAUAUUAAAUACUCUUCAUCUAUUUGCAUAUCAAGAGCAACUUAAUAUUGUCUUUCUUUUGUACUUCAUGUUUGAACUUUCAAUGGAGAGUUUGUCAUCUAAAUAUUUGAUGUGGGUUUUUAUACUACUCUUGGUUCAAAUAUGUGGAUGCAAAGGUUGCAUCGAAGAAGAGAAGAUGGGUUUGCUUGAAUUCAAGGCUUUUCUUAAAUUGAAUAAUGAGCAUGCAGAUUUUCUUCUCCCUUCAUGGAUAGAUAACAACACUAGUGAAUGUUGUAAUUGGGAGCGGGUUAUUUGCAAUCCCACCACAGGUCGAGUUAAGAAGCUUUUCUUCAAUGAUAUAACGCGACAACACUUGGAAGACAAUUGGUACUAUUACGAAAAUGUCAAAUUCUGGUUACUAAAUGUCUCCUUAUUCCUUCCUUUUGAAGAACUUCACCAUCUAAACUUGUCUGCAAACUCAUUUGAUGGGUUUAUUGAGAAUGAAGGUAUGUUACCUCUCACCUUUAAAUUUUCUUUUCACUUAUACUCCAAACAUUCUAAAGGAACUACUAGCAUAUGUUCUUAAAAGUGUUCAGGUGGAGAACAAAUGGUCACUAGUAACUAUUGAAUUUAAUAUAAGAACAAUUACUAAUUAUUAAAAUUUAUAAUGUAAAUUAACAUUUAAACAGAACAAUAAAAAAAUUAUUAUUUUAGAAAACUAUAGAUUACAUUAGCCUUAUAUAUAUAAGCAUACUUGUUAUUUAUGUCAUCAUUUCACACUCAACCCAAUAAGUGGGAUUCAACUAAGAGUGAGCAAUUUCACAAUUAUUAAUUAACAGGAACACUUAGGCUCCCAUAUCCUUAUCAUUUUUGCUGAAUUGUCUUUCCUUAUCUUCCAUUCCUAAAAAGCUUGAUUUCUAUAUUCCAAAUUGAUAGAGAUUGGUUAAAGAAAGGUGAUCACAAAAUUUGACUAUUGCUUUCAAAUGAGGAAUCACCAUCUUCAAAAUUUCACAUUUACAAAAAAAAUAAAUAAAAUAAAUAAAUAAAUAAAACUAGCCUCGGGUAAGGUCCAAGCCUUAUUGUUUUAAGCUGAUGUCAGAUUGGUUUAAUAAUGAACAGAGUAAAUCCUAACCCAUGACCAUCUACGCAUUUCCAAAUUCCACCCAUCCACAACCCAUUAAUAUGACAUUUUCAGGGACAAAAUUUAAUCAAUUAAACCUAUUAGAUGGAUUCUCCAUACAAUGUUAAAAUGAAUAUAAAAACUUUAAUUCAAAAAAUAAUUUCCUUUAUUUAGUUAGGAUUCAAAUUAUAGGGGCACAAAACAUGAAAAUUUUCAUGUUUAAAAUUCACAAAGAUCACAAAAGCUCUUUGAAGCUCUAUGGACUUUUUUAUUUCUAACAUUUAAACACAAAAAUCACCAAAUUUAAUUAGAGAUUUGGAUGCAUAUUCUUAUAUUAAAGACAUGUAAGCUUACAUAUUUAAAUAUGAAGAUCUCAACUUGUAAUUACAUGCUUCUAAUUAAAGUUAUAUUACUCUAUUUUACAGGAUUUAAAGGGUUAUCAAGUUUAAAGAAAUUGGAGAUCUUGGACAUAAGUGGUAAUGAGUUUGACAAAAGUGCCUUAAAAUCUUUGGGCACAAUAACAUCACUCAAGACAUUGGCUAUUUGCAGCAUGGGACUGAAUGGAUCUUUUUCCAUUCGAGGCAUGUUAUAUGUCCACAUUGUUUCUUUGAAAUUAAGUAAAAUAUAUUUCUAACUUUUAAUGUUCCUUAGUUAAUCUCUCUUUUGAUUCAUGUUUGUUGCAGACUUAGCUAGUUUGAGAAAUUUGGAAGUGUUGGAUCUAAGCUAUAAUCAUUUGGAAAGCUUUCAACUAUUGCAAGGUACUUCAUUAACUUGCUAAAAAAACUUACGAUAUUUUGUUAUUAAAUUAAAGGUAAGAUUAACAAACAAUUUCUUCUCAUUAGUUACUUUUCUUUGUAAUAUCAUUAAAUUUGAUAUAAUGUAGUCUAAAUCAUCCUUUCAAUUUAUAAGUUUUAAUUAAAACGCAUCAAGCAUGCACAAGAUGUUUAAUAUAACUAAUAUUUUCAUAAGUAAUUGAAUUUUUUUUAUGAAUUAAUUAACUUGAUUAUCAAUAAAUGCUUACAUGUAUAAGAUUAAUAUAGUUUCAUAAGUAUUUUAAAAUUGUCUUACAACACACACACACACACACAAGGAAAAUGAAAGGUAUGUGAUACCUUUAUGCUAUGUUUGGUUCUCAAAAAAAAUUGAGGGAAAAUGAAAGGAGAAAAAAAUAGAGAGGAAAAGUAAAAGAAAAGAAAAGAAAAAAAGUGAAGAAAAAUAUAAAAUUGAUUAAAGUAAAUACAUUAUUUUUAUAUGUUACUUUAACUUGUUUCACUUAUUUUAAUUCUUCAAUGUAAAGAUGAAAGAUUUGAAAAUGCAUAAGUUUCUAAUUAUUUUUUUAUUUUAUUUUAUAGUUUUUACAAUACAACCAAACAUAAUAAAAUCAUUUUCUUUAAUUUUUUUUCUUUUCUUAAUACUUUUCACGAACCCUUAAGUUAUGUUUGGUUUGCAGAAAAUAUGAGGAACAGAAAAUAGAAAAGAAAAUUAAAAGGAAAGAAAAAGUGAAGUAAAAUAAAAAUAAAUUUAAAUUUAAUAAAUUAUUUUUAUAUGCUACUUUAAACUUAUUUCACUUAUUUUAAAUUAUUUAAACUCAUUUCUAAUAAAUAAUAAUGGAAAUUGUAGAGAAGUUUGUGUUAUUCAAGCUUUGCAAUGACUUUUCAAGGUGAAGGAAAAUAUUCUUGCUGAAAUUGAAGAAGGAAAUACCUUCUUAAAUAGCCUAUUGACCGAAAACACAUUACCCUAACAUAUACACACACCUUUAUUAUUUAUACAAUCAUUUAAUACUUAAUCCCGUUAGUGGGAUUCUAGUGGUUGUUUCUAUCUUGGUUUCCAAUAUUUCUGAUUGAUAGUGUUGGAUUAAUGAAAUAUCAUAAAUUUUGACCCCAAUAAGGACCAAUCCCUAUUAAAUGUAAUUGGGUUGACCUAAGACUAAAUGUUAGACCCAACUAAUAAAAACCCAUCUGUUUGUUGGAGUCUAAAUAACCCAGCCUUAGGUAGGGCCCAUGCCUUAUUAUUUUAAGAUGUAGUCCAACUGGUUUGACACUGGAUUGAGUAAAGCCCAACUUAUGAGCAUCUGUGCAUUUCCAUCCAUCCACAACCUACUGGCAUGGACAAACUUUGGUCAAUUAAACCUAUUAUAAAUGUAUACAAAAUUUUAAGUUCAAAAGAUAAUUUUUCUUAUUUAGUUAGGAUUCAUAUUAAAAAGGCACAAAGCACGAAUUUUCAUGUUUAAAUUCACAAAUAUCACGAAAGCUCCUUCAAGCUCUAUGGACCAUUUUAUUUGUAACAUUAUAUUACUCUUAAUUAUCAAAUUAACCAACAAAUUCUUCUCAUUAGUUAUUUUUCUUUUGUAGUGUCAUAAAAUUUGAUGUAAAGUAAUAUUGGUCAUCAUUUCAACUUUCAUGUUCCAAUUAGAUGCAUCAAGCAUGUGCAACAUAUUUGAUAUAACUAAUAUUUUUAUAAGUAAUUGAAUUUUUUUUUCUAUAAAUCAAUUAACUUGAUUAUCAAUGAAUACUUUCAUACAUGAUAUUGAUGUAGUUUCAUAAAUAUUUUUAAAUAGUCAUAGAAGUCUUUUAUCUGAUUCACUAGAAAGAAAAAUAAACUAUUCUAAUGAAAAUACUUGAUGAUUUGAAGUGAUUGCUUUUGAUUUUAUUUGAUUGCUACCAUUAUUAAUUGUUAGAAAUUGGCAACAAAUACCCAUUUUGCAUCACUUCUAUAUGCAUCGAGGGAAUGAAUUAUAUUUCAUAGAGCUAACAGGGCAAAACUCAUACUUUUGGAAUUAUGGAAAAGGUUGCUAGAAAGCUAAUUAACAAUUUAUAUUAUGAUUAAGACUAGUUGGGUUAGAAAUAAUUCAUAUGGAGAUUAAAAAAAACUAUGUAAUUUAGUUUAGUAGCUUGGGUGCUAUUGUAAUGAUUAAUGAUCUGCAACUUGAACACAUCUACUAGUGCUUUCUACUUGUAUAGCUAAAUUUAUGUUACCACUUUGAACUACAGUACUUACAUGAGAAGAAAGCUUUUCCUUAGUGAUAAUGCAAAAGAAAUUAAGUAUCAAUUUUUGUUAAACUAACAAGUGAUAGUUUAGAUAUGUUUUGAAUACACUUCCUUUCUUCUAUUUUUUUAUUUUGAAAAAAAAAACUCUUUAAUGAAAUAUAAGAAAUCUUAUAUGUAUAAAAAGUAAAGACUUAAACAAAAAAAUUCUUCAAAUUUUAAAAAUUUCGAGAAGUAUUUUUAAGAAUUUGUAUUUUUAGUAUAAUAAUUCCUAUAUUUUGUAUAAAAGCUUUUGUUCAAAAAAAUAGAAGUGUAUCCAAAUUAAAAAUUAAUGGUUAAAUUAAGAAUGUUUCUCAGAUCAAGGGAUAAUGAAAGUUGUAGAGAGUUUGCAUUACUCAACCUUUGCAACUACUUUUUGAAGGUAAAAGAAAAUACCUUCUUACAUAACAUACAAUGGCAAGUUCUGGUUUGUAAGAAACUAAUAAAUGAUUAAGAAUAUGAAUAAGACUUCCUUAAUAAUAGAUAUGUAGAGAAGAAUAGUGGAUGAUAGGAGGUGAAAAUCUUGUAAUAAAAUAUCAAUAUCGGUUAUAAGAUAAUCAACAUUUUCUUGUACCUAUGUGAUUAAGAAUCUUGUAGCUCCCUUAUUGAAAUAUAAUAUAAAAAUAUAAAUAAACUAUUUAGAAGUGCAUGUAGUUUUCAACAUGAGGAAGUUCAAAAGCAAGUUAAUUAUGAUAAUUUUCUAUAGUCUAUAUUGAACACAAAUUAUUUUUUCUAAAGGUUCAAUCGUUCUAUGAAGGUUAAAAGUUUGAAUUGUUUACAUAUGCAAAUGUGAAAUUUGAAAUUUUAUAAUGUUUUAUAAUUUUCUUGUAGAUUCAAAAAACUUGUCCAUAUUCAAAAAGCUCGAGACCUUGAACCUCAAUCACAACAAGUUCAAAAACACUAGCCUACAACAAUUGAAUAUAUUUACAUCCCUUAAAAAUCUUUCUCUAAGACGGAACUAUGAUGGAGGAUUUUUUCCGAUCCAAGGUAUGUGUAAUUAUUAUUAUUAUUUUUAAUGAUAAAAUAUUAGAAUUGUCAACAUCUUUUAUCUUUUUUCCCCUCAAUGGUGUUGCAGAAUUAUGCACUCUAGAAAACUUGGUGAUGUUGGACCUAAGUGGGAAUUUCUUUAUUGGCAUGCAAGGUAAAUACAAAGUGAAGUUUUGGUUAUAUAUAUAUAUCAUGUAAGAACAUAACUAAAAUCAACAUUCUUUGCCUAUCAAUUUGUGCAUGACUAUUAUUUAGUUAUUCUUCGUAACAUAAUUGAAAGAAUGUUUAGGUGUAUAACAUUUAAGAAUUUUACAUGGCACAAUGAAAAACAUGGUAAUCAAUGUAUGCAAUAAAAUUCUAAUAGUUGAAAAAGAAUUUUCUUGUAAUUUUAUGUUCGUGUAUAGUAAUCAAAGAGAAAAUCAUGAAAAUGUAUAUUAGUUAGACUUUAUAUAUCAAUAGACAAAAAAGAAAGAAAAAAGAUUAGUUCCUUAACUUAUCCUAAAAUUUUCUAGAUAACAAGGAGUUUUUUUAUUUUGGGCUAUAAGAUUUACAACCUGAAAAGUGAAGAUGAUUAAUAUUAGUAAUAUAAUUUUGAAAUAUAAAAAUUAAUGAAAUAAUGUUCUCUAUAACUAUAACUGCAACUGCAACUAUUAAUAAAAGAUAAUAAAAGUACUUUAGACUUUGAAUCCAUGGUUAGGUUUGCAAUUUUUUGAUGAUCAAUAAAGCUACAACUUAUGCUGCAAAAGGCUAUACAAAAUGUAUUAGGAGCAUUGCUAAGCUCAUUUAUCAAUAAAAGAAAUCCAGUAAUACUUUGAUUGGAAAAAACCUAGAAUCAUGUUUGAUAUAUAUAAUAGGAGAAGAAACAAAAUAACAAUUCCAUGGUAUUAGUUAGUUUGAUAUCCCUUUUGUUAUAUGGAAUAACUAUUCCAUUUUAAAAUAAUUAUUUCAUCUUAUCGCUAGAACAAAAAAUUUCAAGCAAUUAUAUGCGCUUUUGGGUUUCUUAAGAAUUUAAGCAUUUAUGGGUCACCCAUAUAUACAUAUAUAUAUAUAUAUAUAUAUAUAUAUAUGUAGGAAGAAUAAAAAAAAAUAUUAUACGGAGACAAGGGUAGACACCCAUAUAUAUAUAUAUAUAUAUAUAUAUAUAUAUAUAUGUAGGAAGAAUAUAAAAAAAUAUUAUAUGGAGACAAGGGUAGACACCCAUAAAUGUACAUAUAAUUAUUUAAAUAAAAAAUCAAUAAGAAACAAUAUACAACAAAAUAGAAAAUUUUAAUCUUCUUAAAUUUUAAAAAUAAAAACUAAAUGAAAAAAAAUUAAGAAGUAAAAAUAAUAAUAAAAAGGUCAAGAAUACAAAUAGAGAAGUAAACAAAAAAAAUACAUAAAUUAAAAUUAAAAUUUAAAAGAAAAAAUACAUAGAUUAAUAUGAACACUAAAUGAGGUUUUUUGAGAUAGACUUAGUUAGACCUGAACCAGAUGGAUAUUAAAAAAAAUAAAAAAAAAUUGAAAGAAAUAAAAACUAAUUAGAUGCUAAAUAUUGGAUUAAAAUAACCAAAUGAAUAAAGAGUAAUUAUUAAUUUUUAACAUUUUUUAUUCCCUAGAAUUAUUAUUUUGUGUAUUAAAUGUAUUCUGAGUGUAGUGGUAUAAAAAAUGUAGUUAAGAAUACUAUGAAGAAUAAUAAUGGUGAUGAUAAUGGUGACGACACUUAAUACCUUUUAUUGUACGUUUAGAAAAAAUGAGGUUCUUGAUCUUUAUGGAGAUUAUCAUUACUCAUCCGCAAGCAUGUUGAUAGUUGAAACUACUCAAUUAUCAAAAAUUGAAUUUCUAACCUUCAAUUUUUCUCUCUCAAAUGUAUAUGUGGGUGAGAAAGCACUAGGAAGAUUAUAAGGUCUCACAUGUAUAUGAGUCAUAGGAUAAAAAAUAUAGAGACAAUACUAGCAUUUAUUUGAUCUAGUGGCAAAUAGAGAAAUAUAAAAUAACCAUAACCAUAAUGUUCUAACCUUAUAUAUACCAGAACCAUGUUUCCUUCAUUCAAUGUUGCAACUUUUUCUUUUCAAAUUAGAAUGUAACUUGUAGGAUCCAUUGCCCAUCAAAAUUUUGAAUCGAAUAUUAUAAGAUAUUUCACAUUUCUACCUACUAAAGCAUGAGCUUCAAUGUUCUCAUGCACUUUUGGCUACUAAGUUAAAGAACCCUUUGAGGAUUAAUGGAGUUUCUAUGAGUAGCAAAGCAUUAUAAUCAGAAAGUCUUAUCAGUGAUAUGCAAUUUGACCAAGAACUUAUUCCCAACUAUUUUAUGAAUUUUAUGACUUUUCUUGGCUACUUGUAGGCAAGCUAAAGAAAUUUUCUGGUUUGUUCAAGUCUAAAAAGUGGUUUCAAGUUUAGGGCCAAGCUUGGGCUGCACCUAGGUCCUUGGGCCUUGUUCAGCUCCACGUUUAAACCAACCUUGAGUCCAUCUUUGUAAUUUUUCUCCCAAUUCAUUGAUUAAUAUUAGGAUUUUAUAGAGCCUAUAAAUUGACCAACUAAAUAAAGUAGGUUCAUAAACUUUUAGGUGAAAAUUUUCUCUUUAAUAAAUGUUAAUUCAAGAGUCUCCGUAAUCUUUUUAUAUUCAUAUUAAUUGGUAUUUAAACCGACCUUACUAUAUUAAAGUCAAAUACCAAAUAGUGAACACUAUAUCUACUACUACCACUAUGAUGGUCACAAACAUAGAAUGCUCCAUUUUUUAGAGUCAAUUGAUGCUUAUAAACAACUUUGUUUGAAAAUAAAACACAUCGAGUGAUUGCAUCAAGAGAUUGAUGUAAUAAUUGCAUACUUGAUCUAGAUAAUGUUAAUAUGAGUUGACUAAAUAAAUGAGUAUUUACUUAUAAGGUAGCCCAUAGAACAUUAUUUGUGGAAAUAUUCAUGCACCUCUACAUAUGUUCAUGAUAACUUAGGUUGAUAAAUUUAAGAAGAACAAAUUCAUAACCUUGGGCAUAGUUAGUAAGAAAUUUCACCAAUAGAGUUUGGUAUCAUGAUUCUAAUUGUUCAAAUUGUUUUAAAGGAGUAUUUUAAAUUGCAUGUUAAUUUGCUUCUAAUAAAUGGAGAGAAACCAAUUCAAGAAGAGAAUUGUACUCAAGCUAUGUAUAGCAUUCAUGAAGAUGUAGAAAAUAUUGAUGAACUUACUUUUGAGCAAGUUGAAAUCAUAAUUAAAUAAAAUAACAAACCCAAGGGUUAAGAUUGUCAAGUAAAACUUUAAUUAAAAUUUAUUGAUUUUUUAAAUGCCUAUUAGAGGAGCAAUAGAAGUUCUAGAUAGAAAGUAAGAACUUUUCUAAGGAAUCACUUGUUAGAUUUUAAGUGAUCAAUAAAUAUAAUGUCCAAUUUAAAACUUUUAUAAAAGCAAUGGUUCUAAAGAAUAACUUGAUUUGAAUUUAAAGUUAUUAUUGAUAUUUAUUUAUAAUGGAUGUAGUUAAUCAAUUGAACAUAGUAAAAAACACAUAAUUUUUUCAAAAUACCUUCUAAUUGUUGGGUAUAUUUAAGUAGUUAUUCAUAUCUCAUUAUCUUUUUACUCACAUACUAAUCUCCUUAUUGAGUAUUUACCAAUUACAAGUAGGUUGAAAGUUACUUGAAUUUAAGUCACUAAUCAAUGUUAACUUGAUGACAAAUAAGUCUCCCUUUGAAACUUGUUUUAUAACAUAGCGAAAUGUAGUCGAUCAAUCAUCAAAACAAUGUUUAAGCAUUGGGAUUUAGUUGUUAAUUUUUAUUUUUUAUUUUUUGUGCUUAAACAAAGACAAAAAUUAUAAAAACUCCUGAAAAGUACAUAUUAAUUGAAUUUAAUUUAUACAUCAAACAAGAACAAACUAGUCUUGGAUUUAAAAUUCAAUAGGUUUUGUAAUUAUAAUUCCUAAAAAUUUGUAAGACAACAAAAUUAUUGGACACUAGGCUAUUGGGUGUGUAUGACUAAGAGGUGAAGGAGGGUUCAUCUUAUACAAAGGAUGAUUUGAUUAAUUUUAAAGAUUGAAUAAACAAUAAUUGCAUAUUCAAGUAAAAAUAACAUUGCUAAAAAGGAAAAUAAGUAUUUUAGUCCUCAAACCUAAAAUGGCUAAAAAAUUUAAUUAAUACAAUUACAACUUCACCUACAAAAAAAAAAAAAAAAAAAUACCCAAAACUUUUCAAUAGCACAACUAAGUCCAUUUAUCAAAAGCUCUAUGAACAACAACAACUAUCAAAUCACAUAAAUCAUGUUGUUUACAAAGUGCCCUUGAUGUUUUAAAACAUAAGAUAUUACAUAAAAAUCAACCAAUAGUGUAUGACAUUAUAAAAAACAUAUCCAAAUCCAUUGUCGAACUUAAACUAAAUUCAACUUUAUAUACAUAGUCGCAAGUGGGUCUUUUUGUCUUUCAAUUUGGGUCAAAUUCAGAUGUUAGUUUUUUACACAACAAGGGAUUAUCAAGGUGAUAAUUCAUGCAUAUAAAUAGUAUUACUUAUAUAAAAAAAAUGGUAAAUGCAAUUUUUUUGUAUUCACUCACCAUUUGGCAUAUCAAUAAGAAAAAAAUAUAUACAAUAGGUGCUAUCAAUAAUAUUAUGCAUCACUAGAAAUUAUAAUUUUUCAUUUGUUAUCACUACUUGUGCACUUUGGAAAGCUUGCUAGGUACAACAAAUUAGCUCAGUGAAGAAAUUGAUCAAUUCCUUCAUUUCUAAAUAAAUUUGCAUAUACACUAGAAUAAAAACAACUUUUUAACUUAACAAGUUGACUGAGUCUCAGAACUUAGUAGGUUGAAGGCAUAGACUUCCAUCCAAGCUCAUUUACUGGCACCACAUGUUGGAAAAAUAAAGAAAAAUCAAAACACUUGAGUAUAGUUGCAAACCAAUCUAAAUAUAGAGUGAGAUCUACCUUUCUUUGAAAGUUUAGAACAAAUUUUUAUUUUUAUGAUAAGACUAUGCAGUACUUAUCCCUCUCUAACAAGUCUAUAAUCAGUCCAAAGCAUGGGAUAUUGCAUAUUUCUUGAACUCAAUUAGCCUUUAAUCCAUGCAUUUCAAGUAAAUUUAAAACCUGGUGUACUUGUUCUUGAUUCACAUCCUUGUCACUAUUAUCAUUACUUGUUCUUGAAUAUAGAACCUUAUUGUCCAUUAACAAGCGGGCCUAUGUUCCUCCAUGAUUCAAGAGUAUUAUGUUUUGUUCAUCAUCAGUUGGUCUUGCUCUAAAGCUUCUUUUUUAUGACUAUCAAUAACCAGACUUAGAUACCAAAAUUUAUGCAAGAGAGCAUGUACUUUAUACAGUCAAGAACUUGUGAGUCUAGACUUUGUUAUCUAGGUAAAAGAAUAAAUUGGUUUGUUAAAAUAGCUAGCAUUAGGUAUCUAUUCAAUUCCUAUCUUAGACAAUAAAGAUACAAAUGAUCAAAUACAUUCUUAUUAAGAAACAUUUGAUACCAAAAGUGAUGUAAGACAACACAGUUCCUCUAUUCAAUCAAGUUUAAGGCUUAGAUGAACCUAUGAAUUUAUAUUAAUUAAUUGGGAAAGAGAAUAAAUAGGCUAAGUAGAAGUGAUAGGAUUGUAAUAGCAUUAAGUUAAUGAUCUUGUUUAGGUCUUCUACUAAAUUAGAGAAGAAACAAACAAAAGUAAUCAAACGUGUUAGUGAUAAUUAUAUCUACUUAACAUUGAGACAAUAGUUGUACUAAUGGUAAUUAUAUUAUUUCUUGAGAGUUUAAACAAUAUAUAUUGAAAAUAUUUUUAAAGGUUUAGCAACUACCAAGGUUAUAAUCAACUACGAGCUUUUUAUUUUUAAAAAUAUGAAAUAUUAAUAUCUUUACUUUCUUUGAUCUUCUUGUAGGUUUUAAAAGUUUGUCUAAGCUGAAAAAGCUGGAAAUCUUAAACCUUCGUGAUAAUCAGUUCAACAAGACCAUUAUAAAACAGUUGAGUGGACUCACAUCCCUUAAAACACUAGUUGUAAGCUACAACUAUAUUGAGGGACUUUUUCCUUCCCAAGGUAUUGCUUAUUCUUUUAAUAUCCUUAGUAACCACUCUACCAUGAUUUUUUUUUUUUUCAAUUUUAUUUUCUUUCUUGAACCAUACAGAAUUAUCUAUUUUUGGAAACUUGAUGACACUGGAUUUAAGAGAUAAUAGACUCAAUGGCUCCCUAUCAAUCCAAGGUAAAUUCUAAUCAGAAUUAUCAUUAUAUUUAGGGCAUAUAAUAAAUUAAUUAAAUUAUUUUAUCUAUUAUCAUUACUUGGUUAUUUGGAUUUUCUUGAUAUUGUUUAGCAUUUUACAUAGGAAAAUGAAAUGGAAAAAUCAACCCAUGCUUAGUGUUUAAGCACUGGGCUAGAAGUAUAUUUGUCUUCCCAAUUUAAUCAAAGAGAAAAGUCAUAAAUAACAUAAUUUAACUUAUACCUUAUAUUGAUUGAAGAGGUUAGACUACUUUUGGAUUUAAUGGUCAAUAUUUGUUGAAGAUAGGGUUUCCUAAAUUUGAUAAAAAGAACUUCAAUUUAAAUUACCAUAACUACAUAAAGGUGUGACUAGCAUAAUUAAACUCUUUUAUUAAUAGAUGUUCAUAGACUAGUAUUAUAAUCCCACAUGCACAAAUAAUCAAAUUUUGAAAUUAGACUUCAAAUAACUAUGCAAUAUACGAAACUACAAAAUGAAUGGUAGGUCAUAAUUAAUUAAAUUCGUACUAUAUUCAAUGUUGGUCAACACGUGUCAAGUAAAAGUUUUGGCCUAAGUGUAAGGGCUCACUUGCUCCAAUAUAUAUGUUAUUCACUUUGGGUCAAGGCCUACUUUAAAAUAUCUAUACAUUUAUGAGAUAUUUUAAAAUGUAAAAUGAUAGGUUUUGAUCAUUUUUAAAGGUAGCAAACAUUUUAUUUUAUUUGUAUUUAAGAACAACGUCUUUUCUUAUACAAUGUUUAUUUAAUUUUCUUUUGAUAGAUUUUGCAAGCUUAAGCAAUUUGGAGAUAUUGGAUUUGAGUUAUAAUUCCUUCAAUGGAAUUGUUUCAUCAUCUAUAAGAUUAAAGUCUUCUCUCAAGUCUUUAUCCUUGGCUGGAAAUAGACUCAAUGGUUCUUUACAAUGUCAAGGUAGGAAACAUUUAAUUUUAUUUGUAUUUAAGAACAAUGUCUUUUCUUAUAUAAUGUUUUUUUAAUUUUCUUUUGAUAGAUUUUGCAAGCUUAAGAAAUUUGGAGAUAUUGGAUUUGAGUUAUAAUUCCUUCAAUGGAAUUGUUUCAUCAUCUAUAAGAUUAAAGUCUUCUCUCAAGUCUUUAUCCUUGGCUGAAAAUAGACUCAAUGGUUCUUUUCAAUAUCAAGGUACAUAUGUUAUGCUUUCUUUGUUUCAUAAAGAUUAGACAAGAUAAACAUUGUGAAAAAAAGGUUGUCAUAGUUAAUGUAAAAUGAUAGGUUUUUGAUCAUUUUUAAAGGUGGCAAACAUUUUAUUUUAUUUGUAUUUAAGAACAAUGUCUUUUCUUAUACAAUGUUAUUUUAAUUUUCUUUUGACAGAUUUUGCAAGCUUAAACAAUUUGGAGAUAUUGGAUUUGAGUGGUAAUUUCUUCAAUGGAAUUGUUUCAUCAUCUAUAAGAUUAAAGUCUUCUCUCAAGUCUUUAUCCUUGGCUAGUAAUAGACUCAAUGGUUCUUUUCAAUAUCAAGGUACAUAUGUUAUGAUUUCUUUGUUUCAUAAAGAUUAGACAAGAUAAACAUUGUGAAAAAAAGGUUGUCAUAGUUAAUGUAAAAUGAUAUGUUUUGAUCAUUUUUAAAGGUGGCAAACAUUUUAUUUUAUUUGUAUUUAAGAACAAUGUCUUUUCUUAUACAAUGUUAUUUUAAUUUUCUUUUGACAGAUUUUGCAAGCUUAAACAAUUUGGAGAUAUUGGAUUUGAGUGGUAAUUUCUUCAAUGGAAUUUUUUCAUCAUCUAUAAGAUUUAAGUCUUCUCUCAAGUCUUUAUCCUUGGCUGUAAAUGGACUCAGUGGUUCUUUACAAUAUCAAGGUACAUAUGUUAUGCUUUCUUCGUUUCAUAGAGAUUAGAGAGGAUAAACAUUGUAAAAAAAAAAAAGUUGUCAUAGUUAAUGCAAGCUAAAACUAAAAAACUUGCUUUUUCAAUUAUGUAAGCAUGUUUUGUUCUUGAUGAAUCUUUACAACAUUCAAAGUUACUAAUAUUUAUAAUUCAUAGAGACCUCAUUAACAACCACUAACAACUAAUUGUAAGUAACUAUGAAAAAAGUAAGGACAAAAAUGAGGGAAAAGCAAGGAAAGUGACAAAUUUUUUCAUCCCCAUAAAAAAUGCUAAGGAAGAAAAAGGUGAAGAAAAUUUAAAGAAAGUAUAUUUUUCAAAAAUUAAAUUUUCUUUCCCUUAAAGUUGGUAUGGACAACCAAACAAGAAAAUGAUUUUGAAAUUCUUUUUUGACUUUUUUCUUUCAUUUUUUUUCCUACUCUAUUUUCUUUCCCUCAAACUUUCUAGGUAGUAAACAUUACCUAAGACAAAUAGGGAAGAAAAUAUUUUAUCAUUUAUUUAUUUAGCAUUUUUCUUACAUUUUUUGUAUUUUAUCCAAAUAUAAGAAAACUAUUUUUCUUUAUUUUUUCUUUUCCUUGUUGCGUUUCAAGAAUCAAGCAUACUUUAAACUCUAAUUAAGAGUUACAUAGAUUUACGAAGAAACGAUGCAACUGGUAACAAAAAAUUAAGGAAAUUUAAUUUUUGAGAGUAAGUAUAAUGAGAUUGGUUUGUUUGAUACAAAAUUUGAAUAAAAAUUCUUUUAAUGAAAAUUCAAGGAAAGGAAAAAAAAAACAACUUUAUCUCUAGACUAUAAUACUAAAUCAAUUAAAAAAAAUCUCCUAACAUCGUUUAUGUUCAUCUUUCUUUUUAUGGAUUUGAAAAACUCAAUAAUUUGGAGAAAACUGAUUUAAGGAAGAAUAUUUUUUAGAGUAAAAGAUUAUUAUUUAAGAAUAUCAUAAAUAUUAUAGUCAUUGUUGAAUAUGAUAAAUGAUAAAUAAAAAAUAAAAAAUAAAUAAAAAGUCGUUGGAAAUUUAGAUACUUUUAUGGAAAGAUAGACAAAGUGCUCUAGUUUAUAAUACUAAUGCACUUUUCUAAUUUGAUAUGAAAAAAGGUAAAACGAUAGGUUUUGAUCAUUUUUAAAGGUAGUUUGUUUAAAUCAUUUUAAUUUAUUUUGAUUUAUGAACAAUAACUUUUAUUACACUAGUUAUUUUGAUUUUCUUUUGAUAGAUUUUGCAAGCUUAAGCAAUUUGAAGGUAUUGGAUUUGAGUUAUAAUUCAUUUAGUGGGAUCGUUCCAUCAUCUAUAAGAUUGAUGUCUUCUCUCAAGUCUUUAUCUCUGGCUGGAAAUGACCUCAAUGGUUCCUUACCAAAUCAAGGUACAUAUAUUGAGAUUACAGGUUUUUCUGUUUUCUUUUUUAAUAUCUUGUUUGUUCUUUAUGCCAAUGAAGUCAUGCAUGUCUAUUAAUUUUUGGUAUUUAAUGAAAAACUUUAUUCUUAAUUCAUAAAGACCUCAUCAACUGUGAGUAACAGCUAGUUGUAAGUUUGGGGGCAUUGACAAGACGAGGAGAUGAUUGGUUACAUGUCUUAUUCUCUUUUGUAGGCUUUUUCCAAUUGAAUAAGCUUCAAGAGUUGGAUCUUAAUUACAACUUAUUCCAAGGGAUCCUUCCUCAAUGUUUGAAUAAUUUGACAUCUCUAAGGUUAUUAGAUCUCUCUUCCAACCUAUUCUCCGAAAAUCUUUCUUCCACUCUGUUACCUAAUCUCACAUCCCUGGAGUACAUUGAUCUCAGUUACAAUCAAUUUGAGGGUUCAUUCUCUUUCAGCUCUUUUGCUAAUCACUCCAAGCUUCAAGUGGUCAUACUUGGAAGUUAUAACAACAAAUUUGAGGUAGUUGGAAGGGAUAACAACAAAUUUGAGGUAGAAACUAAAUAUCCAGUUGGUUGGGUUCCCCUGUUUCAGUUGAAACCUCACCGGUGACCUUCCUGGUUUUCUUCAAUACCAAUUUAGAUUAACGGCAGUUGAUCUCUCCCAUAAUAACUUGACAGGAAGUUUCCCCAAUUGGCUGCUUGAAAACAAUACGAGAUUGGAAUUUCUGCUCCUGAGGAAUAACUCUUUAAAGGGUCAACUACUUCUCCUAGGACCUAAUACCCUGAUCAGUUCGUUGGAUAUCUCACACAAUCAGUUGGAUGGACAACUUCAAGAAAAUGUGGCCCAUAUGAUUCCAAAUAUUUGGAAGUAUUCCCAAUUCAAUCUCUAGACUUCUAGAGCUAAGGAUUCUUUUGCUAAGAGGAAACCUUUUAAGUGGUUUCAUUCCAUAUCGACUUUGUCAUUUGACUAAAAUAAGCUUGAUGGAUCUUUCAAACAACAAUUUUUCUGGGUUAAUUCCUGGAUGCUUUGGUCAUAUCGGAUUUGGAGAUUUCAAAACUGAGCACAAUGUGUAUAUACCGAUGUUGGAUUCAUAUUCAGAAAGCAAUCCUUCUAUAUAUACGGGUUACUUAAUAAAAUAUUUAUUUUUCUCUAGUGAACUCCCUGAUAAAGUAGAUGAAGUUAAGUUUGUUACCAAGAAUAGGUAUAGCUCCCACAUAGUAGAUAAAAAUAUUUGUUCGGAAUUUAGAUAUUUUUAUAGAAAAGUAGACAAGUAUUCUAAUUUAUAAAAACAAUGCAUUUCUUUAGUUUGGUAUAAAAAAAUGAAAUGAUAGGUAUUGGUAAUUUUUUUUAAAGUAGCAAACGUUUUAUUUUAUUUGUAUUUAAGAAAGAUGUCUUUUCUUAUACUAGUUAUUUUAAUUUUCUUUUGACAGUUUUUGCAAGCUUAAGCAAUUUGGAGAUACUAGAUUUGAGUUCUAAUUCCUUAAGUGGGAUUAUUCCAUCAUCUAUAAGAUUGAUGUCUCAUCUCAAGUUUUUAUCGCUGGUCGGAAAUCACCUCAAUGGUUCUUUACAAAAUCAAGGUACAUAUGUUAUGAUUUGUUUGUUUCAUAUAGAUUAGAGAAGAUAAAUAUUGUAAAAAAAAAAAGUUGUAGUUAAUGUAAGUUAGAAAAAAGUAUCUUGCCUUAUAAAUUAUAUAAGCACGUGUUUGUUCUUAAUGAAUCUUUACAACAUUUAGAGUUACCAAUCUUUAUAAUUCAUAAAGACCUCAUAAACACUGAGUAACAACUAAUUGUAAGUAAUUGUGGAAAAGUAAGGAAAACAAAUUGCUUCAUUUGAUACAAAAUUCGAAUAAAAAUUCUUUUAAUGAAAACUCAAGGAAAGGAAAAAACAUUUUUAUCUCUAGAUUAUAAUACUAAAUCAUGUAAAAAAUCUCGUAACAUCAUUUAUAUUCAUAUUUCUUUUUAUAGAUAUGAAAAAUUCAACAAUUUGGAAUAAACUUAUUCAAUGAAGAAUAAUUUUUAGAUUUAAAGAUUAUUAUUUAAGAAGAUCGUAAAUAUUACCAUCAUUGUUGAUGUCUAAGAAGAUCAUAUUCAACAAUUUUUUUAAUAUGUUGUUUUCUAUGGUAAUUAAUUGAUGUCUUGUAAUUUUUAAUAUUUAAUGAAAAACAUUAUUUUAAUUCAUCUAGAGCUCUUAAUUCAUGAAGACCUCAUUAACGGUGAGUAAUAGUUGGCUGUAAGUUUGGAGUCAAAGACAUUUCAAGGAGAUGAUUAGUUACAUGUCUUGUUCUCUUUUGUAGGUUUCUGCCAAUUGAAUAAGCUUCAAGAGUUAGAUCUUUCUUACAACUUAUUCCAAGGGACCCUUCCUCCAUGUUUGAAUAAUUUGACAUCUCUGAGGUUAUUGGAUCUCUCUUCCAACCAUUUAUCCGGAAAUCUUUCUUCGCCUCUGUUACCUAAUCUCACAUCCCUGGAGUAUAUCGAUCUCAGUUACAAUCAUUUUGAGGGUUCAUUCUCUUUCAGCUCUUUUGCUAAUCACUCCAAGCUUCAAGUGGUCAUACUUGGAAGUGAUAACAACAAAUUUGAGGUAGAAACUGAAUAUCCAGUUGGUUGGGUUCCCCUGUUUCAAUUGAAGGCUCUUUUCCUAUCCAACUGCAAGCUCACCGGUGACAUUCCUGAUUUUCUUCAAUACCAAUUCAAAUUAGAGGUGGUUGAUCUAUCCCAUAAUAACUUGACAGGAAGGUUCACCAAUUGGUUGCUUGAAAACAACACGAGACUAGAAUUUCUAGUCCUAAGGAAUAACUCUUUAAUGGGUCAACUACUUCCCCUGAGACCUAAUACCCGUAUCCUUUCAUUGGAUAUCUCACACAAUCAGUUGGAUGGACGACUUCAAGAAAAUGUGGGCCAUAUGAUUCCAAAUAUUGUGUUUCUAAAUUUAUCCAACAAUGGUUUUGAAGGUCUUCUCCCAUCCUCAAUAGCUGAAAUGAGUUCCUUAAGGGUGUUGGAUUUGUCUGCCAAUAAUUUCUCAGGAGAAGUACCAAAGCAGUUGCUUGCAACAAAAGAUUUGGUGAUUCUAAAAUUAUCAUAUAAUAAAUUUCAUGGUGAAAUAUUUUCAAGGGACUUUAACAUGACUGGGUUGGAUAUUUUGUAUUUAGACAAUAAUCAGUUCAUGGGAACUCUGUCAAAUGUAAUCUCCGGAAGCUCUCAGUUAAUGGUGUUGGAUGUGAGCAACAACUACAUGUCAGGUGAAAUUCCAAGCGGGAUAGGUAACAUGACAGAAUUGAGAACAUUGGUCAUGGGCAACAAUAAUUUUAGAGGCAAAUUACCACCUGAGAUUUCUCAAUUGCAACAGAUGAAGUUUCUUGACGUUUCUCAAAAUGCUCUUUCAGGAUCUCUUCCUUCUUUGAAGAGCAUGGAGUAUUUAGAGCAUCUACAUUUGCAAGGGAACAUGUUUACAGGAUUAAUACCGAGAGAUUUUCUCAAUUCCUCAGAUCUAUUGACUUUGGAUAUGCGAGAUAACAGGUUAUUUGGAAGUAUUCCCAAUUCAAUCUCUGCACUUUUGGAGCUAAGGAUUCUUUUGCUAAGAGGAAACCUUUUCAGUGGUUUCAUUCCAAAUCAUCUUUGUCAUUUAACUAAAAUAAGCUUGAUGGAUCUUUCAAAUAACUCUUUUUCAGGGCCAAUUCCCAAAUGCUUUGGCGAUAUCCGAUUUGGGGAGAUGAAAAAGGAGAAUGACGUGUUUAGACAGUUCAUUGAUUUUGGGUAUGGAGGGGAUUCUCGUAAUUUAUAUGUUGGAUUCACGGUGAAAAAAUGGGAGUUCGAUAGUGAUGUAUAUGAUGAAAAAAAUGAAGUUGAGUUUGUCACCAAGAACAGGCAUGACUCCUACAGUGGUGACAUCCUUAAUUUCAUGUUUGGAUUGGACUUGUCAUGUAAUAACUUAACCGGUGAAAUCCCUCACAAACUUGGAAAGCUAAGUUGGAUUCAUGCAUUGAACUUGUCUCACAAUCAAUUGAAGGACUCCAUUCCAAAGAGUUUCUCCAAUCUUUCUCAAAUAGAGAGCUUGGACCUUUCUUAUAAUAAAUUAAGUGGAGAAAUUCCUCUAGAGCUAGUUGAACUCAAUUUUCUAGAGGUGUUCAGUGUGGCUUACAACAACAUCUCUGGUAGAGUUCCAGAUACAAAAGCACAAUUUGGGACAUUUGAUGAAAGAAGCUAUGAAGGUAAUCCUUUUCUCUGUGGGACAUUGUUAAAGAGAAAAUGCAACACAAGUAUCGAGCCACCAUGCGCACCAUCACAAUCUUUUGAAAGUGAGGCAAAAUGGUAUGAUAUCAAUCAUGUUGUUUUCUUUGCAAGUUUUACUACUUCAUAUAUCAUGAUCUUGUUAGGAUUUGUUACCAUCCUUUACAUCAAUCCUUAUUGGCGUCAUAGAUGGUUCAAUUUUAUCGAGGAAUGUAUAUAUUCCUGUUAUUAUUUUGUUUUUGAUAAUCUUUCCAAGUUAUCAGCAUAUUUGUAUAAUUAGAUACUUUUAAUUGGAUGAUGUUUGCAUAAUUAACUACUAUUUGUUUCCACUAGAUAGAAAGAAAUGGGAUGUAUAAUUGCUACAAGUUGAAACUUACAUACUUUGCUCAAAUUUUGACAUCUUUUGAUUUUAUUUUCAAGUUCCGUUAUUUUUUAUGUAUUGUUUAAUUCAAGAUUUAACCAUAUUUUGUUACUCUUAUAAAAACAAAUUCAAAUUUUUAGGAAGUUUUAGCAUUAAAAUAAUUUCAUAGUCAUAUUUUAAAAAAUAAAGAAGAAAGAAAAUAAUAAAUAAUUGGAAAAACAAUUCAAGGGAGUAUUAAAUUAUCAUCUUAGAAUUGUUUGGCAUAGUAUGGGAAUUCAAAAAUAAUCUUUCAAUUUGUUAGAAGCGUUUAUUUAUUUAUUAUAGCAAUGAUUGAAAUAUCAAUCACAAAGCAAUGUUUUCUUUUCUUUUGUAGGGCACUAACACUUUUUCUUUGAUCGUAAUAAUUGAUAAAUAUAUUACACAAUUAUUUGUUUUUAAAAAGGGAGGGAUGACAAAUAUAAUAACAUGUGAAAUAUUUCUAAAUGAUGGGAAAUAAGCCAAUCUAAUUAGGGUGCAAUAUUAUUCAUUUUAAUUUAUAUGAAUUUACUUAUUUUUAUUUGUAUCAUAUUUUGAACCAUUUUAUGAAAUUAAGGGAGAUUAAAACAUCGAGUUUCUUAUUUUAAUUUAUAUUUUUAAUAAUAAAGCAUGAAAUAUUUUUUUUUUUAAAAUCAUGAAUUUCUUUAAUUCCUUAGGAAACCAAUAUAUAAAAAAAUUGAAUAUAUUAUGAUUUUAUGUCCUAAAUCUCUAAAUUUGUUCAUCACGUAUUUAUUUUUAUAUUAAAUUUAUUAUUAUUAAUUAUUUAUUAUAUAUUAUUAUUUUAUGUUUAAAAAUGUCCAUAAAUAAUUAAAAUUAAUAAAUAAAAAAAAUGAAAUAUUAAAAAAAUUAAAUUAAAAAGAUUUCAUCAAACUAACAUAUUUAAAAAAAAAAAAAAGCAAAAAGAAGAUGGGGAUAUUAUAGAUGAGGGGAAAAAGAUAAAAAAUAAAUAAAAAUUAUGCGGUAUGAUAAUUGCCUCGUGUUAAAGUUAUUUUCUUUUAAAAAUAAUAAUUGUAAUGAUGAACUCAUUUGUCUUAUUAAAGUAAACAAAAAUGAAGAAAAAAAAAAAGUUGUAGUUGGCUAGAGGUGAGAGAGAGAGAGGAGGGUUUGAGUGUAAGUUUGAAAUAUUAAUUAUUUUCACUAAGUAGAUAUUUUGAAGGUUAUUUUCCCCAAAACACAUAUUCUUUUAAUAAAAAAUCAAAAUUUUAGAUUAUUUGUUCCUUUAAACUUUAGUUUGAAUAAAAUUAGUUUUAAUUAUUUUCUUUUUGGAAUUAUAUUUAACACAUUAUUAAAAAUAUAAAAAAAUAUUAUUAGGUUUUUAUGUGCUGAUUGGGUUUUUUAAAUACCCAAUAUGCCCUCCAAUCUACCACUUAAGCAUCCGAUAUGGCUAAAAAUAAAUUAAAAAAAAAAAAAAGGAAAAAAAACAAAAGUGUAUGAUCCUCUUUCUCGAGUCUUCACAUUUUCAGACACUGAACCCAAAUCAAAAUUAAUCCUCCAAAUUAAUUUUCACCUCGAACCCAAACCCUAACUGCUGCCCCGUUUUCUCCUCAAACAUAGCUAUCCGAAAAACCCUAACCUCUGCCUCGUCUUCCUCUUAUCCCGGAAACCUAAAUCCCGUGACCCUAACCCCUUCUCUUUCCGAAAACCCUCCGGAAUAGGAAGAUUCAUAAUUCUUCAGAAUUAAUUUUCACCUCGAAGCCAGACCCUAACUGCCUCAUCUUCCUCUCAUUCAUAUCCUAAAAGUAGCUUCAACAGUCAGGCCUGUAGCCAUGAAAGCCGUAAUGAUCGCCACUUCCGGUGAUCCCCAAGUUCUCCAAGUGCAAGAAGUCGAAAACCCUAAAAUUGGAGAUGAUGAAGUUCUAAUUAGAGUGGACACCGCUACCAUUAAUCGAGCAGAUACGCUUCAGGGAAAGGGCUUGCACCCUCCCUCAAAGGCGGCAGUCCCUACCCCGGCCUCGAAUGUUCUGGAAUCAUCGAAGCUGUUGGAAGGGUCGUCGUUCGAUGGAAGGUUGGCGAUCAGGUAUUUCAAUUACUGAAUAUUUUUUCCUGUUCCUGUAUUUUUCUCGGCUAUCAAACACCAGGAACGCGUAAAUAAGGAGGUUAGCUGAUUGCGAAAACGGAAAUUUUUUGUUCGUGUUUGUGUUAAGGAGUCUUUGUUGAGAAUUUUGGGGAAAUUUAUGAUAAGUUUGUGAUUUUAUGAUUAAUUUUGUGUAUCAAUAAAUGUUAAUUAUUGAGCUUAUUGGUUUUUCAAAUUUAUGGUUGUAAGAAAAUUGGUCAGUGUAAGGUUAUGGGUUCAUUACCAAUUUGCUUACUGAAAAUUUUUCCAGAUAUUGUGGGCUGGUUUGGUAGCAGAAAUAAGAACUGUGUUUUCUUUUCCAAAACGGAAAUAGAUGUAGAAAACAUGUUUGGUAGCCUACUUUCAGAACUUGUUUCUGAAAAUAUUUCCUGAAAAUAUUUCCUGAAAAUGAAUUAUUUCAGAACUUGUUUUUAAAAACUGCAAGCACUUUAUCAAUUUAAAAGGUUCUGAAAUGGACAUGUUCAUGGUCUUCAUUUUGUAAAAUGAAAGCUUUUAUGAAAAAACCAUUUUCCAUUCUACUAAGCAAACAGGCUUUAUAUUGUAACGGAUCUAUUGGCCAUCUCCUUUGUCAUGUUUUGUGAAUCAUGGCAACACUGGAAUCCACUCCAUUACUCUCUAUUAGUGAUUAGGAGAGAAAGCACCGAUUUUAAUGCUAUACUUUAUGUGAUUUUGCUUCCUCCUGAGUACAAGUUCAUAAUAUAUAUGGUACAUGGUACAUGUCUGUAUGACAGUUUGUGGUAUACAGAUGUGUGCUCUUCUUUCUUGUGGUAUACAGUUUGUGGUGGAGGGUAUGCUGAAAAAGUGGCUGUUCCAGCUGGGCAAGUUCUUCUUGUCCCAUCUGGUGUUUCUCUAAAGGAUGCUGCCGGUAUUCCUGAGGUUGCAUAUCCUGUUUGGUUUUAAUGAUGAGCCGACUGUCUGCAGGAGAAACAUUCCAGGUGAAUUUUCAUUUUUUUUUAUUUUCUGAUGCCUGAUAUAUUUACCAGUACAUAACUUAGCUUAAUGGGGUUGUGCAUAUUCUAAUGGUUUAAAAAGUCCAAUGCGCACAAAUUUACACUGUUGGUGUUUAAUGUGUGUGCAUCAAUAUUGGAUUAGGGAGGCAGAAGAGCCAUGGUUUUUAUUAAAACAUUACAUCAUCAUAUUCUUAUUUAGAUACAUCGCGUCUCACGAUUUCAUUGCAUCCAAGGCCAUGUUGUUUUUGAUUGCAUGGUUUGUCAUGAUAAUUUCUCAACCCUUCUCUGGAAAAUUAUGUUGGAUGGCUGAUAUUAAUUACCCCAAAAGAAGAAAUUUUAUGUUGAAGUAAGAUGAGUACCACAAAGAGUUACUUUUGGUUGUUCCUAUCAUCAAAUAGGUGAUUGAUGCACAAUCCAAAUGGCAAACACUUUUUCCCCCUUUAUCCAGAUGGAAUUUUUAUGCAUGGAUGAAUUGUGAAAUGAGGACUGAUAAUAUUUCAGGUUCAUGGGGGUUCAAUUGGAAUUGGUACGUUUGCUAUUCAAAUAGCGAAAUACCGAGGAGCAAGGGUAUUUGUUACAGCAGGUUUGCCAUCACUAUUCUACCUCAUCUCAUGGCACCAAUUCCUUGUCUUCACAUGUUUUCGACCAUUUUUUACAACUGAAAACGAGGAAAAAUUAGCUGUUUGUAAGGAUCUUUGAGCAGAUGUGUGCAUCAAUUACAAGACAGAAGACUUUGUUGCUUGGGUGGAGGAAACAGGAGGGAAAGGUAUAUUCUAUUGUAUCCUAACAAUAAUUUCAGUUGAAGAUGGAAUUGCUUUUAAUUUUUUAGUGCACCAAAUCCACUAGUCUGGUAUGUUUGAAAAGAUAAGUAGUCAUCUUCCACUUGAUUCCGAUUGUGAAGAUCUAACUCCAAAAAUGUUGAAUGACAGGUAUUGAUGUUAUACUGGAUAAUAUUGGACGGGCCUACUUUGAGGGAGACAUCGAUAGUUUAAAUGUUGAUGGAAGGCUUUUUAUUAUUGGUUUUUAAGGGUGGAACAGUUGCAGAAGUAAAUCUUUCAGGUUUACUUGCAAGGUGCCUUACAGUGCAAGGUACCACUUUCUCUAUAGAAGAUUUUUCUGUAGUUUUGGAGUUGAUUCAAUUUGAUUAAUCUCAUCCAAGUUCAGAACUGAGGUGGAUUCUGGCAAGCCAAGGAAAAACCAAAUUACCAUAAAUUCUUUUUUUUCUGGAUUGUUUUACUUCUUGGAAAUCCUGUUUCUUGAUCUGGUCAGGUAUAUGGAAAUUCCAAGGAAAAUAUGUUUUACAUUUUCCAUAAUUGGAAACACUCAGGAAUUUAAUAUUUUCCUCUGAAAUAGCAAUGGUUUUCUAAUUACGACAUUUGUUUUUCUUGUAUCAUCCCAAAAUAUUUUUUAGGUGUUUGUUCUCUCUUGACACAGCUUUUAAUUGGGUCUGUCUUGCUUUUUGAUAGAUCUCUUGACAAGUUGCUUGUAUAUCAUACUUUCUUUAUUGUUUUCGGAUCAUGAACCUUGCUUCUGUCAGCCCUGUUAUCACUACCCAAACUAGUAAAUUUAUGCACAAAACUCCAUGUGUCAGUAACAGUGGUUAUUUGAUUGUAUUAAAUAAUUUGUAAAUACAUUGGAUAAGUUUGUACUAAAUGGCAAUUGUUUCUGCAGUGGCUGGUUUGCAAAACAGAAGUCUGGAAAAGAAAUCUGUAAUUGUGAGUGAGGUGGAGAAGAAUGUUUGGCCUACAAUCACAGGCGUACAAGUAUUUUCCAUUGACGGAAGCAGUAGAGGAUCACCAGCUCAUGGAAAGCAGCAAGCAUAUUGGGAAGAUACCACAUAUUCCAUUAUGUUAUGGUUAUGAAUGAUCUUAUGCCUCAGAGGGGGAUGACAUGAUUUUAAAACUCUUAAUGAGCAUCUACUAUCUGAUACAAUGUGUGAUGCGCGCAGGCCUAGAUGGUCAAUGCUUAGUUUCUUAUGUAGCCCUGUCAUUUGAGAAUAAAAACCAGCCUUCCCGUCCAAACAUUUAGACUACUGGAAUCUAAAGCCUCAAGAUGGUUGACAAUGAAUUUUCAUGUGGAAACAGAUCAUAACUCUCCAACCUCCACAGACGAGCUUACCUUCCUUAUCUGAAGUUUGAACAAAACUGUAUAAAACUGUUAGGUAGGUAGAACUGUCUAAGAAACCAGAGCUUGGCUAGUUGAUCACCUUAUUUACAGAGCUUGGAUGUGAGAGAAACCAGCGCCCCUAAAGGUCAGGACAAGAUCCAUUCCACCAAAGUUGAGCCUUGCAUGUAGUCACCUGGUAUUUUCUUUUAUUGGAGUCUUCCCCUCUACCCUGGCACUGGGAUUGAAAGCGAAUGAAAAACGUGCACAGAUUGAAGGUGUGCUGCUUGAGUUGAUUGUGGUUUGAGCAUGAAAAUUUGAAGAUCCAGAACAGCAAAUGAGGAAUGCCUAUCAAUUUGAAACCAGCAUGGGUGGAUGAAUGGAGAGGUUCUUCACUGAAUUUGUCCAUGAAGCUUUUUAGCACUCUAGGGCAAGGGUCUCCAAGACUAGCUGUUGAUUGCACAUCCCUCCUGCGCAAUACGAAGAACAGAGUGAAAUGCAAAUGCAGGAAAGGGUGUUUCUUAGCUGUUCAACAACUGACAAUACAUUGGCAUGACAAUUCCCUGGAUCGAUGCCCUCUUGGAGUUCCAAAGCUUGUUCACAGGUCAAUUGAACUUGAGGGUUUUGGGACAUGUACUCCAAGUUUGGUUGCCAAGAAUCUCCAGGUGGAGGAUCAGCUUCUGACACGUGUGCACACACCUCUUGGCCAGUUUGUGUUAUUGCAAUUUUAAUAAAUUGCAAAAAAAAAUUAUUGCCAACAAUUUUUUCUUUUUUUCUUUUUUCUUUUUAAACAAACUGCAAAAAUCCUUUUUUUUUUUUAUAAAAAAAAAAAAAAAAAAAAUUUCUCCAACAAAGUGAUUUUUUUUUUUUUGUGGCAUGACUCGGUUUGACCACUAACUCGGUGAACUGGUCUACCGGCUCAAGUUUGGAUCCCUUAAUUUUGUGGCAAAUUGGGCCUCAAGCCCAACAACCUAACUUCCACGCGGGCUAUCUAUAAUAGGUUAAUAUUGCAAACCAAAAUAAUAAUAGACAUGAUUCUUUUCAAAAAUUUUAUAAUGUAAUAUUUUUUAAAAUUAUAAAAUAAUAGGUUAUAUAAAUUUUAAUAUAUAGGUAAAAUUAAUUAAAUUUUAACAAAUAUCUUCACAUUUAGACAUUACAUAUCUUUUAUUUAAUAAAAUGUUAAAAUAUUAAUAUAUCUAAAUAUAAUAUUAAAAAUGAAAAAUAAAAUAGUAAUAAUUUUUAUUUUUUUUAUAUAUUUAAAUUUAUAUAAUUAUUAUUUAUUUUAAAAACAUACAAAUUGUAUAUUUAUAAUAUUAUUAGUUCAACUGUGAUUCAACCAUCGCUCCGAUUAUUCAAUUGUGAAUUAAUAAAUUUUUUAAUUCAAUGAUAGGUUUGAUCAUAAAAAUAUUAUGUUUUUUUUAUGAAAAGUACUCAAGAAAUAUCAUUAAUCACUAAGAUCACGUGGUUGGGUUAGGUGUAUCCGAAACAUAGGUAUUACUCUCUUCCUUAGUUAGGGCUUAGCUUUUGAAAAUGUAGAUAGGUAAAGUGGAUGGAAAGUCUAUAACUACGUAGAGAUUGAGCUUGGAGGCCAAUCUAGCAAAUGUGGAGAUUAGAAAUAGUUUACCAUCUAGAUAGUCAAGCAUAGCAAUUUACCAAACCCUUACCAACCAUCCAUACUAACCAAUUGUGGUUAAAUGUUUACAAAAAUGUACAUUAAAUCAAAGAGAAAAAAGAUUAAAAACGAACAAGAGAGAAGAAGUACGUCACCUAAUUUUGGUAAUAAAUGAAAUUAAAAUAAAUUCAUAAAUUUUUUAAAUUAAAAUGAAUUUGAACUUUAGAGAUUUGUGUAGAUAUCUUAUUAAAAAACCAAAAAGUUUGUUGCAUAUAUAAUUUCAACAAUGCAUAAAUAAUUACAACAUACGCAAUACAAUAAUAUUACACAAUUAUAUUUUCAAAUAUAAUAUAAGAUCAUUAAAGUGAUAAAUUGUAGUUGUAUAAAAUAUUUAUACAAGUAAAGAAGAAAUUAUGAGAUUAAAAUGCUUGUUGGAUUCUAAGUAAAAAAGAAAUGAGAUAUAGAAAUUGUCCCAUCAGACAUAUAAAAUUUCAUAUACAUAAUUUUCCCUUCAAGAAAAUUUAGGGUCAAAUUGAAAAAAUUUCAUUCAUAGAUUUUGGUAAAACCUCUAUCUAGUCCCCCAAGUCUUGUAUACAAAAGGAAAUAACAUUGGUAUGAGGGGUUUGAAUGCUUAAUUUUAGAUUGAAAAUGGUUGAGAUAAUUUUUGAUCGACUUCACAUGUGUUUUUGAUAAACUUGGAACAUUCAAACUUGUAUUUGAAGAAUCUUCAAAUCUUCAAUUUGCUCUUAAAUAAUGUUGAAACCUUUGAAAUUUGAAUAGAAGAAUCUUUAAGCAUUUGAAUUUUGGUUUAAAGAAUUUUGAAAUUUGAGAUUGAAGAAUCUUCAAAUUUGGGCCUGAAGAUCGAAGGCUAAGCUUGAAGAGUUCUUGAAGCUUGAGUGGUAUCUCUGAUUUUGUAUUGUAUUUUAUAAAAACUUUUAAAUAUAUUAUAUUUAUAGGUUUGAAGAGACAUUGAGAUUUUGUAUACAUGUUUGGAGUUUUAAACCUUGAAAUAUUACUCUUUUAUGAAAUUAACAUUUAUAAAAUUUGGAAGAACAUAAUUAGAUAAUAUUUUAAGUUAUUUUUAAUGAAAAUUGAUAAUUACCUUUUAAUUAUCAAAUUCACUAUUUCUAUUUAUUUUUGUAAUAUAUAUUAAUUACUAAAAUCAUUUAUUUCCUUUAUUUAGUUUGAAAGCAAUUAUAUAUCUUUUGUUUGUGUAGAGCUCAUGUGACACGACAAAUUUUAUUUUGUAACUUGCUCUGAAUGAAUGGCCAUUAUAAACUUCAUUUUAUCCUCAUCUGAUUUUGACGUGGGAAUAGGAGAGAUGAGGAUUUGACAUUUGGACCUAAGCCUCAGAGGGUUUUAACUCCACUCAACUACUUUAUGCCUUGUAUUUAAUAUUGCAAACCAAAAUAAUAACAGACAUGAUCCUUUUCAAAAAUUUUAUAAUAAUAGAAGUGUAAAUAAUAUAAGUAAAAAUAAUGUAAUAUUUUUUAAAAUGAUAAAAUAAUUGGUUAUAUAAAUUUUAAUAUAUAGGUAAAAUUAAUUAAAAUAUUUAAACAUUACAUAUCUUUUAUUUAAUAAAAUGUUAAAAUAUUAAUAUAUUUAAAAUUGUAUAAUUAUUUUUUAUUUUAAUACUAUAUAAAUUGUAUAUUUAUAAUAUUACUGGUUCAACUAUAAUUCAAUCACCGGUCCAACCAUUGAACCAUGAAUUAGUAAAUUUUUUUAUUCAAUGAUAGGUUUGAUUCUAAAAACAUUAUGUUUUAUAUAAAAAGUAUUUAAGAAAUAUCAUUAAUGGAUUAUCACUGGUUGGGUUAGGUGUAUCUGAAACAUAGGUAUUACUCUCUUUUUUAAUCGGGGCUUAGCUUUGGAAAAUACAAACAGGUAAAAUGGAUGGAAAGUCUCUCAUAUUAAGUUGAUUAAUUAAGUCAAAACGUUGUUACAACCAUGGAAGAAAAUAUCGGUAAUCACGGAUAUAUCGAUACUUCGAUUUUACGGAUAUAUCGGAUAUAUCGGAGAUAUAUCGGAUAUAUCGGAGAUAUAUCGGCGGAUAUUCUGGAAAAAAAUAUCGGUAGACUUAAAAUUGUUAAAAACUCAUGGAAAUGCAAGAAAAACCUCAUAAUAAUAUAAUUAGAAGUAUAAUUGACAUUUUAAAGUUGUUUUAUUGAAAAAUUUGAUAUAUAUAUAUGAUAUAAUUUACGAUAUUUGAUGUAAUUACAUCAUGUCGAUCUAUAAGAAAUGUUAAUUUUGUAAUUGUUCUCAUUAUAAAGUCACAUAAAAUAUUUCAUUUUAUUAAAUAUCAAUAAUUUGUACACAUUAAAUUCAUUAAAUAAACAUAUUUCAUAUUCAAAAUAUACUAUUUCAUGUUAAUUAAAUUAAUUAAAUAAUUUAGCUAAGUUAACUAGUUUAAUUUAAUUCUAAAUGUGAAAAUAAAUCACAAAUAAUCAUCUAAAAUAAACAUAUCAAUUUAUAAUUAAAUAAUCAAAUUAACCUAAGUUAAUUCAAUAAAAAUAUAAAAAUUAAUUACAAUUGAAUGUAAAAAUAAUAUUAAAUCAUCCAUAUUGCAAACAUACUAAUUAAACAAUAUAAAAUAAAUAAUGAUAUAUAUAUAUAUAUAUAUAUAUAUAUAUAUAUAUAUAUAUAUAUAUAUAUAUAUAAUUUUUUAAUAUUUAAUUAAUUAUUAAUGAUAUUAAAAACAUUAUGAAGAAAAUUAUAUAAUUUUUAUAUUUUUGGUAAUUAAUUAAAAGACUUUGCAUUUAAUUAUAAAAUAAUUAUAAUUAAUUUGCUAUUUAAAAUAUUCUUAUAUUUUCUUUAUAUAAUGAAUUUAAGUAUAUAUAUAAUUGUUGCAUAUUAUAUAUCAAGGGCAACUUAGCUCAGGUGGUAAGCGGAUGAACCCCAAACCUUUUGAUUUGGGGUUCAAAUCCUCUCAGCAGCAAGAAAAUAGAGGCACUGUAGCGCGUUGACGGGCACUGUAUUGCCGAAAUAUCGUGACAUUUUCUACUACUUCUUUGACUGCUUUAUGUGAAUUGGAGUAAUUACUUGCUCAUUGUGAAAUGUUUUCCAAUAGACUAUCAUUUAAUGGAUAACUAUGGAAGAGGAGUUUGGUUGAAAGAAAAAGAUCAAUAAAGUCAAAAUAAAUUAUUAAAACUAUUUUUUUUGAUGGAUUAUAUCAAUCUAGAUAAUGUCAAAGAUAUUACCAAUUUGAUAUCACCAAUUGAUAACACAAUUAAAAAAUAAUAUGAAUUUGAACAUAUUUCAAUUCAUUGUAAUCAUAUCCAUGACCUAAUUUUACACAUCCUUAAAUCAUGGUUGAGUUAUGAAACAAAUCUAUACCAUCAAUAGAAAAUAAAUAAAUAAAUAAAUACAAAAAAAUAUAUAGAUAGUCAAGCAUAGCAAUUUACCAAACCCUUAGCCACCAUCCAUACUAACCAGUUGUUGUUAAAUGUUUACAAAAAUAUACAUUAAAUCAAAGAGUAAAAAGAUUAAAAACAAACAAGAGAGAAGAAAUACAUCACCUAAUUUUUGUAAUAAAUGAAAUUAUAAUAAAUUCAUAAUUUUUUUAAAUUAAAAUAGAAAUUCAAAUACAUGUAACUAUUGUUUUUGUCUUGUAAAUCAUCCAAUUUUUCAAUGAAUUUAAACUCCACAGAUUUGUGUAGAUAUCUUAUUAAAAAAAGCAAAAAGUUUUCACUAAAAUCAUAAAAUUUAGAUUAGAAAUGAUUUACUAUAUUAGUUCAAAAUUCAUCUCCACAAAAAUUGAAAUAAAUUAAUUAUCUUCAAUUCAAAUAAAAUUUCUCCAAUUAAAUUUCCAAAUAUGUGCCUUAAUACCUAUAAUGUAAUUUGUAAUUUUAAUUAAAAAAUAAAUAAAAAUAAGGAUUUGAUCUUUUUCUUACCAUUUGAUGAAAAUUAUAAAAUAUAUUAAAAUUACAAGUGAUCAGACAUUUGAAAUUUGCAUCAUUUCUACCAUUGCAAACACCACCAACUCCAUAUUUCCCAUUUUUCUACCUGCUGCCAAUUCACUCAUCUCUCUAGGAAGAUUUUUGAGGUUAUCGUCAUGCUUGAGAUAAUCCAGAAAGUUGAUUUGGAAAAUUUCUUUUGUAAAAUUCCCCAUUAUCAUGCCCUAAACCAAGACAUAUCAUGAUUGGAUGGCCCCUUCACCAAUUUCACAAUAUCCAAUAGCAUAUCAUCUACUUCCAUUUUGUCAAUGGGAAUUACCAUUUUGCAUGGGAAGCACCAACGAAGAUGGGGGUUUUCAAAUUGGAUCACUAGCAAGGAAACCCACCGCAACAAUCUGAAUUAUUGAGCACAACAUCGGCUUUAGAGAACCCCUCCUGAAGGCGAAAUCGUCAUCUUGGCUAAACGUAGUCAUAGUUGGGUUGUGAGAAAUGGAGAUGAAUCACAGAAGGCUUUCAGUUUGACAGCAACGAAAAGGUAAAUGUACUCUAGAGAAGUUUUGACCUUGGGAGAAGUGCUUUUGAAUCCAAGUCAAGGUCUGUUCUGGAUCCCUUUUUGACUCUUUCUAUUAAAGGAAGAUAAUCUGCCUAGGAUUUGGAUGCAAGCCUGCAAGGCCAUGUUUAGGAGACUUAUGCAAAAUAUUUAUCCAUAGCUCCCCGCUUGAAACAUCUACAUAAAGCGUCUUCCAAGUGUGAACCAUCGUCUUGGGUCCUUGAGAUGAACCCAACUAUUUAGCAAAUUCUAGAGCUCUCAUUCCAAAUCCAUCAGUUUUCCUAGAUGAUUGGCCAGUGGAGAUCCAUGGAUAUAACAUAUGAAAUGUGCACAAUAAAAGUAACCAAACGGUUGGUUGGUUUGGCUGAAUCCCACAAUCGCAAAGACUUAUCAUACGAAACUGUUACCAACUGAGUUGAAUUUGGCAUAAAAAGGAUAUUCGUUACUACAAACUAGCGUUCUUUCGUGGUGCUCUCUUUUUGUAGGCUAUCCAUGUUCCAAAGAAAAACCCUCGUCAUGUCUGGCAUUGGGUACUGAUUAGAGUGUGGGAUGUUCAUUCUCCAUUAUCACCAAACAUAUGCAGGAUAUAUAUAUAUAUAUCCUGCAUAUGUUUGGUGAUAAUUCAAAAUAUGCCUUCAUUUUAUGGAACAUACCCGAAUCCAUUUUGUUUGUGUUGAAGAGGUGUAGAUCUUCUAAGGCUAUGAAGGGCACCACAUUUUCUAAGAAUUCUCUCUGACGAUGGGAAGUCAGAGAGAACAGGUUCUGUUUUUAUUUUGAAAACGUUGUUAUCCUUAAAGAACAAACACUAUUCUUUGGAUUUAUACCCUCCUACCUUAGGGAUCAUACCGUUUGGCUAUUGGGCCUCACGAGUCUUAGGCCCAUCAUCUAAGACCCGUGAUGGCAUUGGGCUCUACACAUAAGGUGGCCCAUACUCUAGAACGAAUAGAAAUCAUAUGUAUAUAUAUGGAUAGCUAAAUCCUGAACAAUGGUUAAUAUGAUGUCGGUCCACAUUUUUUCUAUCAAUCUCCCACUUGGACCACAUAUAUUACAAAACAAUGUUCAUGAUAGUACUUUAUUGAGCUCAUAUUUGCUAUCCUAUCCUAAUAUCCUUAAACAAUCCGGUCUACUAGUUAUGCUAACAUAGGAUCAAAGUGGCCUUCAUUAAUCAUAAUUAUAACUAGACCCAUCAAUGCUCACAACAUUAACAAAAUUAGUAACAUGGAUCAAGUAUGGAUGUGUAGCAUGGAAAUUACAUAAAAUGUGAUCUUUAUUAUGUCUAUUUCCAAUUGGUCCUACUUUAUGACUAAAAAAUAGUCAAAUUCCACUUUCAACACUUGAUGCUAAACUGCUUCUGAAAGUCAUCAUUUCAAUUCAGAGAAUUCAAAUACAAUAGUCUUUAAAAUCAAGGUUUGUACAGAUAACACAACAUAAUAUCAUAUCAAGAAAAUAAACACAAAAUCUAAAUACUAACUCCCACUAUACUAGAACAUCAUCAAUAUGUACAACACCCAUAUGUGUGACAUGCUCAUGAUAUACUUUGGGUGGCAAACCCUUAGUGAGCGGAUCCGCAAUCAUGGAGUUUGUGCUUGUGUGUUCAAUCGAUACUUGAAGACUCUGAACUCUUUCUUUCACAACCAAGAACUUGAUGUCAAUGUGUUUGGACUUUGACAAACUUCGGUUGUUCUUAGAAUUACAAUUCUGUGGCUUUAUUAUCAUAAUUUAUUCUUAAUGGUUUCUCAAUCUCAUCAAUGAUUCACAACUGAGUGACGAAAUUCCGCAGCCAUAUCCCAUGGUUUGAUGCUUUGUAGUAGGCUAUGAAUUCUGCCUCCAUGGUGAAAGAAGCAAUAAGUAUUUGUUUAACACUUUUCCAUGAAACUGUUCAUCCAACCAACAUGAAAAUGUAGCCUGAAGUGGAUCUCCUGCUGUCAAGACACCCCGCAAAAAUGGAGUCCGAAUAUCCCAUGAUCUCUAAAUGACUAGAUCUACGGUAUGUGAGCAUAUAAUCUUUAGUUCUUUGUAAAUAACGCAUAACCUAUUUUGCCUUUUUCCAAUGAUCCAUACCUAGGUUACUCGAAUAUUUGCCUAACAUUCCAAUAAUGUACGCAAUAUCCGGACGUGUACAAACUUGUGCAUACAUGAGACUUCCUAUUGCUGAGGCAUAGGGAAACCUCUUCAUAUCCUUCUUUUUAAGUUCAUUUUUCGGACAUUGGUGCAAACUAAAUUUAUCGCCUUUUGCUACAAGCAUGUCUCCUGGUGCACAAUUGCUCAUGCCAAAUCUACUCAACACCUUAUCGAUGUAGGCCUUUUGUGAUAAUCCAAGUAAAACGAUCCCUAUAGAUCUGUAUACCCAACAAAAAAGAUGCAUUACCAAGAUCCUUCAUGUCAAAUUUACUAGACAAAAAUCGUUUGGUUUCAUGCAAAAGUCCCACAUCACUACUUGCAAGUAGAAUAUCAUCAACAUAUAGCACCAAGAUACUGAAUUUGCUCCCACUGAACUUGAGAUAUAUGCAUUGAUCAAUGGUGUUUUCCUUAAAACCAAAUGAAGUAAUCAUCUGAUCAAACUUUUGGUACCAUUGUUAAGAUGCUUGCCUUAAACCAUAUAUGGACCUUUUUAAUCUGCAUGCAAGUUGCUUUGAAUCAUUAGACUCAAAGUUCUCCAGUUGCAUCAUGAAUAUUGUUUCAUCAAUGUUACCAUUAAGAAACGCAGUUUUAACGUCCAUUUGAUGCAGCUCUAAAUCAUAAUGAGCCACAAGUGUCAUGAUGAUUCUAAAUGAGUCAUUUGAUGAAACCGGUGAAAAGGUCUUGUAGACCCUCAAUUUUGUCCAUUUAGCACAUGUCUUUAAAUUCACAUCCAGUGCUCCACGGUAGUUCCUUGGUGGCCCAUUACUACUCAUAUGGCUUACCUUUUUUUAAGUCACCUCGGAGACUUUGGUUGAGGGAUUAUCUGACCCCUUAUUGUGAUCCUUGGCAAUCCUAAUUUAGAUUGGGCUUGAAUUAGAUACACUUAGCCCAUUUAGGCACCUUAGGCCCACUUAGGCAUCUUAGGCCCGUUUAGAUACACUUGGCCCACUUAGGCUCACUUAGACCCACUUAGGUCAUCUUUUAAAUAUUUUUUUUACAUAUUUGCAUGAUUGCAUUUUUUUGUAUGACUUGCACGGUUGCAUGGCUCAUGGGGCCUAAUUUUUGUUAAUUUGUUUGUUUUAUUUUUAGUUUUAGUUUUAUCAUUAUCAAUCACUCGUUUAUUUAUUUAUUUAUUUUAUUUGUUAUCUCAUUCUUUAUAUUAUUUUCCUUAAUUUAUUUAUUUAUUAUUGUUUUAUUGUUUUCUAAUUUGUUUGCUUAUUUAGUUAUUCAUUCAAUUAUAUAAUUUCAAAAAUUUCAUGUUUUUGCAAGGAAACUUACCAUUGGAGACUAAGGAAAGCGGGACUCUCCUUGGAAAGUUUUGGAGGGGAAUUUGAAGUUGGGAAGAUUGCUUUUGAAUUAGAAGAUUUAGAAAAAGGGAAAAAGGAAGAAGAGAAGAAGAAUGGAAAUAGGGGAAUUUUCUUUUUUUUUGGAAACAAAUUUAGGUCUUGAGGGAUGAUAUAUAUAUGUGAGAAAAGAAAGAGAAAGGGGGAGUGAACAAGCACGCAUUGGAGGAUUGGGAGAAAUUCUGGGAAAAGGUGGAGAGACGUAUUGGAGGCAUUGGAGGAAACCAUUUAAGAGGAGAAGAAGAAAGAAGCACAGAAAAACCAGUGGAGAUUUUCUGAGGAUAGAAACCAGUGCAGAUUUUUUUUUUUUCGUCAAAAGGAAGCAUUCCCAGGUAUGUCUACUGUAGAUUCCUUCUUCAUUCCCAUUAUCCUUUUGUUAUGUACUAAUCUUUGCCGGGUUUUGAGUCUUGCUUGGAUGCUAGGGGGGCAGAAUGACGGAGGUCACAUGUUUGUCUACAUUGAUACUUGCUUCUAUAGAUGUUAUUGAUUUAUCCCUUAGGAGUUCUCUAAUUUUGAUUUAGUGUUGCUAGGUUCCAUUUAUUAUUAUUUCCUGUGCAUUACAUGAGAACUGUGGUUGUAUUCGUUUGUUGGAAUCUGCUCGUACUUAUCCCAUCAUUCCAAACCCAUUGAACCUAACAUGAAAUGGGUUUUCAUUUAAUGGAUCACUUAUUUGUUCAUCCAUUUUUUUUUAUCAAACUCUAUUUUGGCGGGGUUGUUUUUCUACAGUUGAGCAUGCUUCAAAUUGCUCUGUUUUGCUUCCCGGGUGUGUCUUCCUAUAUUUAUGAAUGAAUAAGGUAUAGAUUUGUGGGCUUAUGAGCUGUAAAGGUGAUUUCAGUGGGGUUGAGAUUCUGGGUCCACAAGAAAAAAAUAGAAUAGCAGAAGAGAAAAAUCUGUAAGAGAGUUGGGAAGUCCAGAGUAGUGCAAAUCCUCUUGGGCGUCUUUGGUUCAGAAAUAUCAGAAAAGUUAGAAGGAUGAGAAAAACAAGAAAGAUUGUUUGCCUUUGAACUUUUGAUUGCUUAAAGAUGUUUGACAAUGACCACUGUAAACAACCUGCUACUUUAAUGGUUGUGAUAUUUGAAUGUCAGUAUGAAGAUGUGAUUGGGGUGAAAGUGCUGAAAUCAGAGCUCAGGAGAAGAUCAUUGACUAUUGAGUCUGAUAUGGAAUACAAUUGAAAUGCCAACAUUGAGAUAUUUGGAAGAAGGGGUCUUGCUCCAGGAGUUAGACUUGGUGGGGUGGUUGGUGACUCACUUACCAGAGUUGUAGGAAUGCAAGCAGAUGCACUUUUGUUUGCAGAGGCCAGAAAAUAGGGUUUUGAUUCUUUGGAAAGAGAAGAUGACAAAUAUUUGGAAAGAUUUAAAUUGUUUCAGUUGGAAGCUACUGAAUUUUACCAAGUCUUGAUCAAGAAAAUAAGAAGAUGUAGUGGGCGUCCAGAGGAGCCAUUGUUUUAAUGAAAGUCAGAGUUCUAUAGUUCUAUUCUACCAAUAAAAGUGCAUGAUUUUUGUUUGUCUUAAGGAUCUUGCUAGGUGCAGAGAGCUCUAUAACAAACCUGAUGUUCAGAGUCGCAAUUGGUCAAUUGCUGCUACCUGUUAUAGAGAAGUAACAAUAAUUUGGCACUGGUGCAACUGAAAGAAGAGUACAUGAGGAAAUUCCCUUUCUGGAAUGAUCCAUAUGUUCUAGUGAGCUUGCUUUCUGCUAGCCGACUGCGUGGAGAUGUUGUAAUUGGGGAGUGUUUGGCUAAAUGGCUUCUAAAACUUCAGCUUGUGACUACUUCUCCUUAUGUAUUAUUAUCAAACUUGUAUGCUUCAGAUAGGAAGUGGGCAGAUUUAAAGAACCUGUCAUCAGCGGAUAACAACUUCUCUGACUCAACUUUAGACUCAAUUUCGGGGUUAGAAUCAAUCAAGUCUUUAGAUUUAAGUCGCAACCCCUUUUCUGGUGAUAUGGCAGCAUCAUCGACAAAACUGACUAAUUUGGUAUCCCUUAAUUUAUCGUUAAAUGAGUUCGAAAGUAAAAUUCCAAAAGGUCUCGAGCUGUUUUCAAAACUUGAAAUUCUUGACUCGCAUAGGAAUAUGCUCAGUGGACUUCCAGACGAGGAAUUCUUGUAAUUUUCAGGUGCCAUUCGUGUUGACUUUAGUGGGUGCUAGCAGAGUACUAUCUAUGUUAUUCAUUAUAGCAGAUUCUUAACAUCCACAUUUAUUUAGGAAUAGAUGCUUCAGUUUGGAUGAUAAACAGAUUACAGAUUUAAGGCAUUCUAUUGAUAAGAUUCUAAGUGACAAGUCUUCUUGGAAUGAAGAUCUCUUUGUUGCUACAGUCAAAUUGCUUACUUCUGCUGCAGUUGAUCAGCCUGUUUUUUCUUGUCACCAUAAUUUCAGCCAAAGACAAUCUAGGUUUGAUGCAGCCAAUAAAUGAAGCUUCUUUUGGAAUAUUGGGGUCUGUCAAAGCAAGUUUGGUAGAUGCACUCUUGCAAGUUAUUGAAAGAUUUCAAUGAUCUUAUCAAAUAGCAAUCCCCGUUUACUACUGAAUGUGCUUGACUUACUGAAAACAUUGUGGCAAGGGGCUGCUCAAUAUGCAGAUAUUUUGGAAUGGCUGAAAAACUCUGAAAAGUUCUGAAAACUAUUUUUGUAACUCUAUUUCUCUAAUUGUUAGAAUGAAAGCUCCCCUGCCUGAGAAUCUAACCAAAAUGGAGGCUCUAAGCUUGGCAUACAAAUACCAGUGUCAAACAGCUGUAUUGGAAAUAAUGGCAGAAGUCUUGUUCCUGUGGAAGAAGUUACUGCAUGCUGAAUUUCUUGAAAUGCUUGCAAAUCUGCACAGUUCACCAAUUGAGCCUAGGAAUUCUGAUAUAUCUUCAGGAAUGGAUGACGAGUCCAAUAAUAGUGAGAUGCUCGCAGCUACUAACAUCCACCCUGGACAAGAUUCAUGGAGAAAAUUGGAAGUUGAAUACAAGGAAUUGCCGCAAGUGCACAAUGGUACAUUGCAGCAGAGCAUCUCUGUCGAUGCAAAACUAAUCAAAGAGGAUGUAAUUAGCUUAGUAGAUAAGGAAAGAAGGCAAGCUCUACAGACACCACAAGUGGUUAUGAACAUGCUCGAUGCGACUAUGCCUGGUACUCUAAUGGAAGAACAUAAGAAGAAGGUCCUGGCUGCCGCAGGACAAGGAGAAACAGUUAUGUAAACUUUGUGUGAUGUUGUCCCAGGGGAUAUUUGUGGAAAGCUUUCUACUGUUGUUUCUAGAAUUUUGGCAUACUCAAGGCGUAAAUUUAAACUUUGAGGGUCUUCUGAUGAUUGACCAGACUCCUAAUGUUUCGUCAGGAUUGAAAUCUAAGAUCCAAAAAGAAAUUGGAAUAACAUCAAGUGAAGAAGGUGGGACCGAAAGCUAGGAUACAGUUGAAGAUUACAAAGGUAUAGUUCUUGGAGGUUCCGAAGCCGCCAAACACUCCUUGGAGAAAUUAGGGAAAAUAUCAGAUGGAAGUUCUUGCUCCGGUGUAGAGAAUUCUUGUAAUCAUUCACAGAGAAUCGGUGGUCAAAUUAUAAGUGACUCGGAUGAAGAAGUGGACAUUGAUGAAUAAGGAGGUGGAAAUGAGUUAUUUGAUUUUGCUGCACUGGCUGCUCUCACGAAAAUAGUAGCAAGUGCAAGUUCCGAUAGUGGUAGUAUCACAAUAACCUCUCCAAAGGGAUCCAAGCUUCUCUCUGAUUGCCCCCCCUGCUGGAUUGGGAUCUACAAACCAGUCUCUAAGACCUGCUCCCCAACAAAACCUGUCCAAUCUUUUUACCCAUUUUCCAAUCUUGCAGGGAGGCAAACUGGUGAAGAAUUUAAUCUUGAUAUUGCAGAGAGAGUUGUUUGUGAUCUUAACACUACUGAAGCGUUUCCAAGUGUGUUAGAUCUAAAAUGCAGCCUGAAGUUCUCUGGCCAACUAAACUCGAGCCACUUGAUCGCCAGAUUGUCGAAGAACAAAUCCAGUUCAGUUCUUUCCUUUUACUGGUUUUCUGGCUCAUCCCUACCUCAUGAAUACACCCAGUUAGGCAGUGUUAUUAAAGUACCAAGGGACCUUAUUGAUCCCUACAUCCUGGUUAGCAUCCUUGCUUACGGGCAAUCCUGAACAUGGUGCGCAGCUGUACUGAUAAUCCGUCAUCUGAUAAGUCUUGGAGAUGUUCCCUGCUGCUAUUGCAUUCAGAAAACUCAGAUUGCAUAAGGAAGCUUGCUGAAAGUAUCUCAUAAAUGCUACAACAAAGGACAACUAAAAGGCAAUUUCCCAAGACUUAAUGCCUCAUUUCUGAAACCUGCAAGGGGAGAUGAAGUAUUAUCCAAAGAACCUAAAUGACGAUAUGGAGCUUCAUUAAAAUCUGUCCAGAGAAUUCAAACAGAUCAAUGAAGAGCUGUCUCUAAAGUCAUUCAUGAAAUCGAAAGGACAAAGCCGCGUCAAAAGCUGUUGCUGCUCGCGGUCUUGGACGCAAUGCAAAGAUUGGUUCUGGGAGGGGUCUCAGUGUUGUAGCUAUGGCAACAUCUGCGCAAAGAAAGGAAAUGACAAAUUCGAACAUGAAAUGGAAGUAGGGAUCUUCGCCAAGGUUCAUACUGAGAGAAUGGUUUCAUCUUCAAGAUUUGGAAUCCCAUCAAGACCUCUUGCCAAAUGUUCUCCUCAUGUUUGUUUUCGUUUGCUAUUAUAGUUACCUACGGUGUCGGAUUUCAUUCGAAUUUUUCAGACAAGUCUCCGCAUUCAGCCCAUGGAAAUGACAACCAGAAUUCCAAAACAACAGCGAUCAGACCAGUUCCCAGAUUCCAAUUGUUGGAUAUGUUGGUCAGCCAUAUGGAGCCCCGUCACUACCAAUCUCCCCUCUCUAAUAUCUGUAGCUGAAUUAGCAUCACCAGCUUCAUACGAUUGGCAUCUGGUCUACCUCUUUCAUUAUACUUUCCUCAGAAUUUGUUUUCCAGACAGCAAUGGCAGGUUCCAAUUUGGAACCCAAUAGCUAAAUAGAACCCACCUGGUAGUAAAGGUCAGCAAGCAGGGCUUCAAAACAGAGAAAAUCGGAAGUGAGGAGACCAAAAUCUUGUGCAAUAAGUAAAGAACACUUCAAAUGCCAUAUCCUUUUUCAUUAGAUGCAGAAGGAGGACUCUCUCUGGGUAGGAAUUGUAAUGAUAUGGAAAGGAUGGGAAGUCAUGAUACAAAGCUGUUUUAUCGUUUUAGCUUGGGAAUUGACAACUUCAUCUUCAAACGGUGGAAUUCCAUGAAUAAGGAGCUUUAAGACAUGCCAACAAAUUGCCAAGGAAUAGUCAACUUCUUCACCCAACAGUGAAACUAAAAGUGGAAAGAGCAGAGUAGCAUUGUUUUUUUUGGACCUUUUAUGAUCAUCAUGCAGAAAAAAAACAGCUCAGUAGCUGAAGUUGAGUAUAUUGGCAAACCUGAGAAUGCACUUCCAACCGAUGGAACUGAACAGCAGCAUAAGAAAUCUGAUUUGGAGUUAAGACCUACUACCACAUUACAAGCUCUAGUUGAUGAUUCAAAUUGUGAUCUCGAGAAACUAAAGUUGAAUCCAAACGACAUUGCUGAUGAAAUCAUGUAUCAAACCCUAUGAGCUUUGACUCUGAAAUGAAUAUGGACAGUUCGUUUCCAGUCACGCCAGCAGUAUACGGAGAUCUCUUCACACAACCACCAGCAACGUAGUCACAGCCAAACCCCCAAACCCCCAAACCCCAUUCUCCAUGACCGAUCUGGUGCACACUACUCUUUUCCUUUCACACCCCUCUUGCUUUCCUCGUGAUUUUAUGUGUCUUGAAUUGUGUUUUCAAAAAUUGUUUUCAUCCAAAUAAAUCUAAUUUUAGAUAAUCAUCUUUAGACCUUCUCUAGGCAUUGAAAUCUAAAUUUCAACACCCUUUUGCUGCCAUUUUCCUUCCGGCAUGCGUCUUCACUAUUUUAUUUGAUUUUCAACUAAUUUUCUUGAUUUUCAACAAGCAUGAACAAACUUCAUGAUUCCAAACAAUGGAAUUCAUUGAAUUGACUCAUGCAAAAUCAACUAGGGCUUUGGUGGGGGCCCGACAUUCAUAACACUCACUUCAAUACUGUUUACUUGAUAUGUUGAUUUUUGAUUCUUCUUGAUGAAAUACUUGAAUUCACUUAAUAUUUAUUGUUGAGAUGCUCUCGUUUCCCAUAGAGGAGUACUAGCUUGCUAUCCAGGUACGCUCUCUUCUCAUCUAUUUUUUUAGAACUCUAUGGACUUGUAUGUCAUUGAUGACCAUAUCCAUAUUUGAUGUGAUUCUUGAAUCUCUUGAUAUAUGCCUGAUUUGCUUGAAUAAAACAAAUGUUGUGUGAUGUAUCUCCAAACUAAUCUCUUAUGUUUUAUGAUAGCGCUUGGGAAGCCGUCCAGGUACGCAUUUUUAACUCUUCUUAAUUGUGAUCUGAUCUUGUUUGAUAUGUUAUGUUUUUGGAAUCACCUAGCCUACUUAGGUAUCCAUGAUCAACCAUUUAAUUGCCACGCUUCCCUUAACUUAGUCAGUAGAGACCUCUUUAGGGCUUAGAGGGGUGCUACCUCCUAGAGGUACCUUUCCAAUAAGUAACCUGAUCCCCGGACCUAAACUUGGGUUUCUCAAAGACAUGCUUUUUCCAAAACUAGAGAGUCACUUUUUAGGGUUUUUCUUUCUUGUUUUAUUUUCCCUUUAAAAUAAAAAUAAAAUAGGUGGCGACUCCAACUUUUUUUCCAAAAAUAAUAAAAAGCGAGUCUCGCCGAUCGAGUGGGGGCGCACGUGAAAAAUGCGGGUCCACAAAUUGGCGACUCCGCUGGUGAUUUUGAGGAUCAAGCUUGAACACUAGUUAAGGAAAAUGUGGCGUUUAAUUGGUCGAUUAGUGGGUACCUCUUUUUUUUAGGCAAGGUGAUUCGAUUUGCUUGCUUGUUUGGUUUGCUAUCUUAACAUGUUUGAUUGCCUUGGAUGAUCACUUGAUUGUUUUGCUCACUUUAGCAUGAUUCACUAUCACAUAUGUUAGAUAGGACUUUGUUUGUUUGAUAUUUAUUUGCUUCGCAUGACUGUUUGAAUGAUCACUUGAUUGUUUUGCUCACUUUAGCAUGAUUCACUCUCACAUAUGAUAGAUAGGACUUUGAUUGUUUGAUAUUUAUCUGCUUCACAUGACUGCUUGUUGCAUGACAACCCUUUCUCUUGCAUGUUCGUAUGAUUGCUUGUCUUCAUUCACUAUUUCACUUUAGAUCUUAGGUUUUUUUCGGAUGCACCCACAUCCUUCAUUGUGCACUUUAGAUUAUCCUUGAGUGUUGAGAGAUGGGAGAGCCUUCACCAUUAAGAAACCCCCUGAGAACGCGAGGAAGUGCAUGUGUAGAGGUGAUGACCACCUUGCAUGGAAGCACCCCAUCUCUUUGGAGGCAUGCAGAGGGUUGCGUACCGCCGGAGGGUACGAUCGCUUCUGCUAGGGAUCCUUUGACCCACCCAUUUUACCCUAUAGAACCACCUCAACCUUGUAGGUUAGCCUAGACCCAAUUAAGAUCUCAUUCCUACACGUGGGUGCAUCUGUGGACCUUCAGAACUGCCUUGGUCACAAUUGGAUUCGGUUAUCCCUUCCUUAGUCUCCUUUUGGUGUAAUCAGAGGAGGGUAUCAGAUUGAGUACAUUUGGGCUAUUCUCUUGCACACUUAUCAGCUGAUUCAUACAGAGUCACUUUCGUAUCGCAACUUAUCCAGUGUUUCCAUACUUGUAGGAGAGUUUACCGUGACCAGUCUGGAUUCACCUUCGUGGAUUAGAGUUAGAGGCAGAUUGACCAGAGCAUCAGAUCAGUCAGACCGGAAAUCAGAUCAGGGGGAUAUGGAUUCUCAGAUAGUUAUCGUUGACCAGUUUGCUGCAGCCAUGGCUUCGAUCCAAGAGGCUAUAGCUAGCCUUGGCCAGAGGAUAGAUGGGCAGCAGGCCCGACAGGUCCCAGUUCAGGAGGAUAUCCAGUUUGAUACCACAGUACCACCGCCACCUCCGCACAGUCAGCCAGCACCACAGACUAUACCUUUUACUCUGCAUAGUCAGACUGAGGUUGCACCACCUCCUGCCAUAGUGCCUACUCCGAUCUCAGAGGACCCACAUGCUCGUAUGGAUAAACUUGAGCAGAAGUUGAGACAGAUGAGGACUUCAGAGGGAACUAUUACUUGGGAGGAUUUUGAUGGAGCACCAGUGGCCAGUCUACCGGCCAAGUUCAGGAUGCCUGAGAUUGAGAGAUACAUAGGCAUAGGAUGCCCUCACAUCCAUUUGAGACUCUAUAGUACUGUUAUGAGGGCCCAUGGACUGGAUGAUGCCCAGAUGGUUAUGCUCUUCCCUAUGUCAUUGAGUGGAGCUGCACAGCGUUGGUUCGCUUCAUUGGAGGUAUCACGCCGUAGGACUUGGGAUGACUUAGCCCAGGAGUUUUUGAGACAGUUUGCAUUUAACACUAUCAUUGAUGUUUCGAGGAGAGAGUUGGAGGCUUUGAGACAGAGGCCGGAGGAGUCAAUCACUUCAUUUAUCUCCCGCUGGAGGGAGAAGAUUUCACAGAUUAUAGACCGUCAUUCAGAGAGAGAUCAGAUUAGCAUGAUCAUGAGGAGCUUGCAGCCUAGAUUUGCGAGACGCUUGAUGGGAUUUCCCCAUACGGAUUUCGGAUCUUUGGUACAGGCUUUGUAUGGUAUAGAGGAGGGCAUUGCUAGAGGAUUAUGGUCUGAGUCUUCCCCUACUGAUUCUAAGGGGAAGAGGCCUUUAGGAGGACAGAGAUCAGGAGAUGUUGGUGCUAUCAGUUCAGUAGGGAUGAGACCUUCUAGACGCUAUCAGACAGUUGGGCAGACUCCUGGGUACUACUAUCCACCUUCACCUCAUGCGCAUUACAGACUACCUACUCCUUCCAGACCUAUGACUCCUACUUAUCUGCAUCCGGACUUACAGCCUGUUUUUGCUGCACACGUCGCAGAGAGGUCUCCUGCCCCAUAUACUCGACCCCGAGCUCCACAGACCACUACUUAUGUGCAGAGGCCACCACGUCAGUUUGCUCAGUUGGAUAUGCCUUUGAGUCGAGCUUUUCAGAAGCUCACAGAUGGUGGAUUACUAAUUCCAUUAGCAUCCAGGACUUUACCCCAACCCAUACCACCUCGCUUCAGGAUGGACUUACAUUGUUCCUACUAUCAGGGACCAGGGCAUGACACGGACCAUUGCACUGCUUUGAGACAUGCUAUUCAGGAUUUGAUAGAUCAGGGUUUGGUCAACUUGGGGCAGCCAAGUGUGACCACCAACCCUCUUCCUACUCAUUCCACACGCGCAGUGCAUCCAUCUUCAGGAGAUAUUCAUCACAUGGACCUUAUAGAGGGUUGACAGUAUACACAUGUUGAGUUGGGAUGAUGGAUUACCCGAGCCUAUUGUUCUACAUGACAGUUAUGAGGUCGAUGGGGUUUCAGUGGUCCCUCAAACUCCUGCACCAUUUAGUUUGAUCCCGGACGAGGCACCAUUCCAGUUGACUCAUCUUACACCUUUAGUUAUCGGAUGUCAGGAUGCUUUUGUCCCAUUCACUUUAUGGCCUGAGGAUGAUGAUUCAGUAGGGAGAGAGAUACAGAUUGUGACUCGUAGUGGGAGGAUAGCUCAGCCACCACCACCAGCAGUCAGACCAUUUGAGGGUACAGCCUCUCAUGAGGAGGUUAGGAGAGAGGAUGAUGAGGUUUUGAGACAGCUACAGAGCACUCAGGCUCGCAUUUCCAUCUGGAGUUUAUUAGCAUCAUCCAGUACUCAUAGAGAUGCUUUGAUUCGAGCCUUGAGUCAGAUCAGAGUAGAGACUACCACCACUCCAAAGGGAUUGAUUCAUAUGAUGACGGCUAGCAGGGCCACUUGCAUUGUAUUUUCAGAUGAUGACUUGCCACCUGAUGGUUUAGACCACGUGCACCCUCUAUACAUCACAGUUGGAUGUUCAGGCCGUAGAGUCCCGUCUGUCCUACUGGACAACGGCUCAGCCCUGAAUGUUUGCCCUUUAGCCACUGCUAUAGCCCUUGGUUUCGCGCCUUCAGAUUUUGGUCCUUCUACUCAGACAGUCAGGGCGUAUGAUAGCACCAAAAGGGAGGUUAUGGGUACCUUGAUGAUUGAUUUGCAGAUUGGUCCAACCAUAUUUUCCACUUUGUUCCAGGUUUUGAGGAUUCCUACAUCCUUUAACCUACUACUAGGCCGACCAUGGAUUCAUGUACCUGGAGCUAUUCCUUCUUCCCUUCAUCAGAAGGUGAAGUUUAUUCAUGAUGGGCAGGUCAUCACAGUUCGCUCUACCAGGGAUAUAUUUGCCGCUUCUGAGCCAGUACUUCAGAUCAGUCACAGUGAGGACGACCUACUUCUGACUGGGUUUACUUUUGAUGAGAUAUAGACUCUCAAGAUUGAGGAUUUUUGUAGAGACUUUGUGGCUAUGUCAUUUGAUCAGCACAGUAGCACAGUGGUCCUUGAUAUGAUGAGGGGUAUGACCUUUCUACCUGGCAUGGGGUUAGGACGACGUCAGCAGGGACCGAGCGAGUUCAUAGCUGGCAUGGACCAUGAUACGACAUUUGGACUUGGAUUCAUCCCUACUGAGGCCGAUUACCGUCACAUGGCGCGGCUACGCAAGAAGAAGGUGAGAGCCCGUUUAUCCCGCACACCAUUUGAUUAUCCUAUUCAACCCUAUAGGAUGAGUUUGGCUGACCACUUUGUCAGAGGAUCAGAGACUCGACCUCGUCUAGAGGGGAUUGAUAGUGUGGUUCAUACAGAUAGAGAGACUGACCUUCAACAUCUAUUUCACCAGCUACAGUUGAGUGAUGGGGCUCCCGACUCUUUUUUCCCUUUGACGAUUACUCCCACAUCUCCAGAUCGAGCUAGCAUGUUGUCUCUAUGCUUUCCAGAGGAAAUCACUGGUGAUGGGGUGAUUGUUGAUCCUACUGAGGUGAUUGAUGGAGUUGUUCCCCAUGAUGAGUACCGUGAUGAGAUGGACAUGAUGACCGUGAGCCAGAUUACUGGCAUUGUUCAGCUUCAGCCUGUUUCAGCAUUUGAUAUGUUUGGGGUGUCUACCAUUGAGGUUUUUGAGGGGACUCAGACUCUUCCUGUUCCAGAGCUUCUAGAGGAUGAUAGUUGUUUGUUUGAGGGCAUUAUUAGCCCAGUUGAGGGAGCGUCCGACCUUGUGGACCCACCUCUUUCUUUUGAUGUUUUAUCGGGAUUUGUCUCCCGCUCUAACGAUGUUUCUGUUGCUUCAUUUAUGGAUUUGAGCAUUUUUUAGUAUUCGCCUGUCUCUUGUGAUAGUAUCUUUAUAUCUGCACCCCACCUACCCACUUCACAGAUAUUUGAUAUAGAUGAUGAGAUUGCACAGCCCAGUUCGGAUAGGGACUCUUUGGAUCAUGACUCUGGUCCCAUAGAUGAGAGAGUUUCACCUGCUGUAGGGGACAUUGAGAUUGUUGAUUUUGGCACAGAGGAUCAGCCUAGAGAGCUGAAGAUUGGUUCACCCCUAUCUACAGAUGAGAGAGAUAGACUCAUCCAUUUACUUAGGUCAUACUUGGAUGUCUUUGCAUGGUCUUAUGAGGACAUGCCAGGUGUUGAUCCCUCUAUAGUCCAACACCAUUUACCUACCCUACCACAUGCUAGACCAGUUAAGCAGAAAUUGAGACGGUUGCAUCCACGUUGGAGUCUACAGGUAAAAGAGGAGAUUCAGAAACAACUCAGUGUUGGAUUCAUAUCAGUAGUUGAGUAUCCAGAGUGGUUGGCUAAUGUCGUCCCUGUUCCUAAAAAGGAUGGCAAAGUUAGGGUUUGUGUUGACUUCAGAGAUCUCAAUAAAGCCAGCCCUAAAGAUGACUUUCCCCUUCCACACAUUGAUUUGUUGGUUGAUGGCACCGCAGGCCAUUCGAUGUUGUCUUUCAUGGAUGGGUUUUCAGGGUAUAAUCAGAUUUUGAUGGCUCCAGAGGAUAUGGAGAAGACAACCUUUAUUACUGAGUGGGGUACCUACUGUUACAGAGUUAUGCCAUUUGGGUUGAAGAAUGCAGGAGCCACUUAUCAGAGAGCCGCUACCACUUUGUUUCAUGACAUGAUGCAUAGGGAUGUCGAGGUUUACGUGGAUGAUAUGAUUGUGAAAUCCCGAGGUAGAGCAGAUCACCUAGAUGCUUUAGAGAGAUUCUUUAAGAGGAUCCGGAAGUUUAGAUUGAGGUUGAAUCCUAAGAAGUGCACCUUUGGAGUGACUUCUGGGAAAUUAUUGGGGCAUAUGGUCAGUGAGCGAGGCAUAGAGGUCGACCCAGAUAAAAUCAAAGCCAUAUUUGACAUGCCUGCACCAAAGACUGAGAAAGAGAUUAGAGGUUUUUUGGGCAGAUUACAGUACAUUAGUCGGUUCAUAGCCAGAUUGACAGACAUAUGUGAGCCUAUCUUUCGUCUUUUGAGGAAGAACCAACCAACAAUUUGGAAUGACGACUGUCAGUUUGCAUUUGAGAAGAUCAAGGAGUAUUUGCUUUCUCCUCCUGUUUUAGUGCCUCCUACGCCAGGACGUCCACUUCUUCUAUAUUUGUCAGUUUCAGACAUGGCCUUGGGAUGUAUGUUAGCUCAGAUUAAUGACUCAGGGAAGGAACGGGCUAUUUACUACUUGAGUAAGAGGAUGCUGGAGUAUGAAGUGAAAUAUGUUAUGAUUGAGUGCCUAUGCUUAGCACUAGUUUGGGCUACCAGGAGGUUGAGGCAUUACAUGACAGAGUACUCAGUACAUUUGAUAUCCCGCCUGGACUCGUUGAGAUACUUGUUUGAUAGACCUGCAUUGACUGGUAGAUUGAUGAGAUGGCUUGUACUUUUGACAGAGUUCGAUAUUCAGUAUGUUUCUCAGAAGUCUAUUAAGGGAAGUACUGUCGCUGAUCACUUAGCCUCACUACCGACAUAUGAGGAUAGACCAAUUGAUGAUGAUUUUCCAGAUGAGGAGUUUGUUGCUAUAACCAGCUUAUCAGAAUGGUGCAUGUACUUCGAUGGUGCAGCCAAUCAGUCAGGGUAUGGGAUAGGUGUUCUAUUGGUAUCCCCUCAGGGUGAUCAUAUUCCGAGGUCCGUUCGUUUGGCAUUCUCUAAUUGACAUCCUACCACGAAUAACAUAGUUGAGUAUGAGGCUUGUAUCCUUGGUUUAGAGACUGCAUUGGAGCUUGACAUUAGACAGAUAGAGGUAUUUGGUGACUCCAAUCUGAUACUCAGGAAGAUUCAGGGGGAUUGGAAUACUAGGGACGUGAAGCUUAGACCAUAUCAUGCAUAUUUAGAGUUAUUGGUUGUGAGAUUUGACGACUUGAGAUAUGUUCAUCUGCCUAGAGCGCAGAACCGAUUUGCUGACGCCUUAGCUACUUUAGCUUUCUCCAUGGACAUUCCGAUUGAUGUAGUCAUAUGUCCAUUAUUGAUUGAGUUGAGGCUUGUACUCGCCUAUUGUUGUUUGAUUGGAGAGACAGAGGUCCAGGAUGACCUACCUUGGUAUCAUGAAAUUUAUCAGUUUCUUAGAUCUGGCACAUACCCUGAGGUAGCCACUGCCAAGGAUCGGAGAGCACUAAGGAAUUUGGCCACUAGAUUUGUGAUUUGUGGAGAUACCUUGUACAGACGAUCAGCUGAUGGUAUGCUUCUAUUGUGUUUAGAUCGAGCCUCUGCAGAUCGAGUGAUGAGAGAGGUUCAUUCAGGAGUUUAUGGUCCGCAUAUGGGAGGACACAUGCUAGCCCUUAAGAUUAUGAGGACGGACUAUUUCUGGUUGACUAUGGAGACAGAUUGUUGUCAGUUUGUCCAGAAAUGCCCAGAGUGUCAGAUUCAUGGUGAUCUCAUUCAUGUACCGCCAUCAGAGUUACACGCUUUGACCUCGCCAUGGCCAUUUUCAGUAUGGGGUAUUGAUAUUAUUUAGAAGGUUUCACCAAAAUCUUCCAGUGGUCAUGAGUUCAUCCUAGUUGCCAUAGAUUAUUUCACCAAGUGGGUGGAAGCCGCAUCAUAUGCGAGGUUGACAUCUGCUAGGGUUGCCAGUUUUAUCAGAUCACACAUCAUUUGCCGCUAUGGGGUUCCUCAUGAGUUGAUUUCCGACAGAGGGGUGCACUUCCGAGCUGAGGUAGAUACUUUGUUGCAGAAGUAUGCCAUCCGACAUCAUAGAUCUUCAGCAUAUAGGCCACAGACCAACGGGGCAGUAGAGGCUGCAAACAAGAAUAUUAAGAGGAUUUUGAGGAAAAUGGUUGAGACUUCUCGAGAUUGGUCAGAGAAGCUUCCUUUUGCGUUGUGGGCAUAUCGUACAUCUUUUCGUACUUCUACAGGAGCUACGCCUUACUCUCUAGUGUAUGGUAUGGAGGCUGUUUUGCGAGUCGAGACAGAGAUGGGUUCAUUGAGAGUAGCCAUUGAGCAGCAGAUUUCUGAGACAGAGUGGGCUCAGGCUCGAUUUGAUCAGCUUAACCUUUUAGAUGAGAGGAGAUUGAGAGCGGCAGAUCAUGUUCAGGCCUAUCAGAGAAAGAUGGCUCGUGCCUUCAAGAAACGGGUUAAGCCUAGACCAUUGCAAAAAGGGGACUUAGUUUUGAGGAUUCUCAGAGGUUUGAUUGGAGACCCUAGAGGAAAGUUUAGACCUAGUUGGAGUGGGCCUUAUGUUAUCCGAGAGUUGACUCUAGAAGGGGCUGCAUGGUUGACAGACUUAGAUGGAAACCAAUUUUCAGAGCCUACCAACGUGGAUCAGCUAAAGAAGUAUUAUGUUUGAGACCGUGGUCGCAGGAUGGGUGGCCAUCAUUUCGGUUAGCCUCAUACUUUAUCACCUCUAUAUAUUAGACCGUUGCUAGCCCAUUGAGCUUCGCAUGGUAUGUUAUAGCCUUAUUUCUUUCUUAUAGCUUUGAUUACCAUUUCUACACCCGGGUUGGGGCCCUUUGAUGUAUAUGCAUGUUUUGCUAGGAAAGUCUCAUGAGCUUUAGACUUAUAGGUCUAUCUUCUCAUUUUGUUACCAUCCUCUUAUCACCCUAUUUGUUCUAUUUUAUUAUCAUCAUAUAUUCAUUCUCUUUCUUGUCUCUAUCAUUAUUUGCUUCAUCUUAUCUAUUCUCUUCCUUGGGUUGAUGAUUCUUCACGUCUUAGUGCAAAGAGGGCAGUCAUAGCACUUCAUUCAUCCCAUCAUUUGGCAAUGAUUCGGAGAUUUUAGUUUGAGAGGUUGUCUCAUGGGUUAGGGUUCAUGUAUUCAUCAAUGAUUUGAGAGAGUUUAUUCAUUUUAUUGUAUAUUUCCCAUUGGAGUUUGACUUAUUGAUGAUCAGAGCAUGCGCAAAAAAAAAAAAAAAAAAAAAAAAGCGCAAUGACAUGUUUGUGUAUGGUAUCUUGCUCCAUUGGGUACUUAUAUCACCUUUUGAGGUAUGUUUACUGGGUAUAUUUGACAUUGUGGGUUCUUGUGAGAUGUUUAUAUGAGUUUUCACUCCUUGAGCCACUCUUGUUAUGCAUUUGGAGUGUUGGGGGUUCAUGUGAGAGUUCUAUGGUAUCCUAUGCUUCUUGGUCAUGGUUGAUACAUAUUAGGUAUGAGAGAUGAAUGACCUUUUACUAGGGUCUCCAGAUCAUUGUCUUAUCCACCAUUCCAUCAUUGGUGAUAUGACUUUCCUUUAUUGUACUAACAUGGGUUGAUCAUCACUCGUUCCACUUUCUCAUUGCUUUCUUUUGUAUCCCAUUACCGCUUUCCAGAUCUUUGUUCCACCUUUUAUUCAUUCCCUACAUAUUGAUACCCAUUACUGAUUUGAUACUUUUUUUUCACAUCAUUCACAUAUUUCAUUGAUGGUUUGACCAUUCAUCAUUUCUCUCAUUUCGUUAUCGACAUUCCCUUUGGUUACUUCUAAGUCCAUGACUCAUGAGAUUUUUCUAUGCAUUACAUCUUGUACACGAGGGUACGGGUUUGAUCAUUGGGUAUUUGAGCCUAGUUUCCCUUCAUUUCUUUCACCCUAUCACCUUGGCCUACGUUACGUCCCGUGUCUUAAGACCACCCUGAGGCCACGAGAUCAGACGUUAUCUUUGAUAGUCUUCACUUGGACAGGCUUUUGUAGAUUGAUUGAAGUAUGGUCGUUGCUAUGUUCUCUUUUAUGGAAGAUACUUUUGGAAGCAUUUGGUUUCUCUCUCGCUUGGCAUAUUGAUGUUUGAUGGAUUUUUUUGGGUUUGGAGACAGUUCAUUGAGGAUAUUGGAUUCAUCCUUUGGUUGUGCAUUAGAUGUCCAUAUUGGGGAAUAUUCCCCUUUCAUUUGGUUGAGAUGAGCCCCUAGUGGAGCACUUUCUUUGAGUCUGGGUAUUUUCACCGAUCAGAGAUUCCUAGUGAGGUAUGUUGAGGCUAUAUCAGUUUUAGUGGAGCAUCGUUGAGCCCCUAGUGGUUCCAUUCGCGGAGUACUUCUGAGAUAGACUAGGGGAUUAUUAUUGAGUUGGAGGCAGUUUUCAGUGCAGUGUAUAGAUCAGGCAUACUGGGGCAUAUUUCCCCAUUUUGAGGUUACCAGAUCCCUAUCAGAUUCAGUCAGGGAUUCAUCAGAGACAUGUUUCUACUUUUGAGAUUACCACAUUCCUCAUCAUUUUGGCUAUUCAUUUGAGAUUAGAUUUAGAGUGUCUCCCUUGAGGCAUUGGUCGAUACUUCACUCCGACUUCUUAGCAGAUUAUUGUUGAGCUGAGGAUAGUUGAUUGAUGAUGUUGGAUUCAUCCUUUGGUUGUGCAUCAUCUAUUCACACUGGGGCAUAUGCCCCCCUUCCUCCGAGAUUCUUAUCUGUUAUUGUAUACGGUACGAGGAUGGAUGAUCAUUGUUAGUUUGUUUACCUCACGACUUCGACAUUAGAUUAUCCACACUGGGGCAUAUUCCCCUCUCCUUGAUGAGAUUGUGUUUGGACAGCGGUACGAGGAUGGAUGAUCAUUGUUAGUUUGUUUGCCUCACGACUUCAACAUCCGAUAUCCAUACUGGGGCAUAUUCCCCUCUCCAUUAUGAGAUUUAUUUGAGCAGUGAUAUGAGGAUGGAUGAUUGGUGUCGGUUGUUUAGCUUAUGACUUUGACAUCAGGUCUCAUACUGGGGCAUAUUUCCCUACUUUUUGAGUAUCCUUGAGAUUGAGACAGUGACCAGCUUGGUUUUAGAUUGAGUACUAGCCUAGAGCUUCCGACGAUCGACUGUAUCAGGGCCUCCCUACAUGGAUUUGUUGAGAUAGAGAUGGAUCGUAUCAGGUUUCACCCGAGGAGCGUGGGUGGAUCCUUUAGCCAGAUGCUCAUGAGACAGAUUUGUUUUCGUCAUUGUUACCUUGUCGAUUGGGUUAUUUGAACAAGCAUCAUUUUGUGCACUUUGAGAUUUGCUUUUAGAUGAGCCACGAUAUACACGCUUUGAGAUUUACCUUUUGACAUUCGUCGGUAGAGCAAUUUUUCAGACACAGAGGCCUCUUUCAGUUUUGACUUUUCAGAGGUUUGUCAUGGUGUAUUGGUUUUUGACUCAUUGAUUCUAGCAGAUGAUUGGUUUACUGGUUGUUUCAGCAGUGUGAGCACCUUGGAUACUAGGGCAUAUUUCCCUUCUUGGUUUCAGUAGUCCGACCCUUGACAUUUUGAGUAUAUGGCUUUGAGCCAAUUUAUUUCAUGUCCACUUUCAAGUUGGUCUUCUCUAUUAUUCCCUUCUAGGCCCUGAGCCUUAUAGCCCUAAGUUAUUCAUUCCUUCUAGACCUCGAGUCUUACAGCCCUGAGCAUUCUUUUUCCUUUAGGCCCUAAGCCUUGUGGCCCUGAGCUAUCAUUUCCCAUAGACCUAGAGUCUUUCCAGCUCUUAGCUGAGCUUUCAUCACUUGGUCGCCCAUGAGUGGUUUGACAUGGAGUUUGCGUAUCGCAUUCUCCUUCUAGCCGAUCAGUCAUAGAGCCCAAAGCUCAUAGCCCUGAGCUAUUCAUCGACCCAGAGUCAUUUUCCAUCUUGACCCAGAGUCAUUCAUAGCACCCCGAGCCCUGAGCUCACGACCCGGAGUCAUUUGCAUCAUUCAUAUCCCUGAGAUGUUUCGUUUUCAUCAUUCUAGCCACUUGUGAGUGGUCUCGACCCGACAUCUUGAGUCGGAAAGUAUCUUGAUCGGCUAUCUAUUAGAGCCUGGAGCUCUCGACCCAGAGUCACUUUCCAUUUCGACCUAGAGUCAUUAUUUCCUAUUUUAGAGCCCGGAGCUCUCGACCCAGAGUCAUUUUCCAUUUUGACCCAGAGUCAUUCCUAUCUAUUUAGAGCCCGGAUCUCUCGACCCAGAGUCAUUUUCCAUUUUGACCCAGAGUCAUUCCUAUCUAUUUAGAGCUCGGAGCUCUCGACCUAGAGUCAUUUCCCAUUUUGACCCAGAGUCAUUCCUUUCCACUUAGAGCCCGGAGCUCUCGACCCGGAGUCACUUUCCAUUUUGACCUAGAGUCAUUAUUUUCCAUUUUGACCCAGAGUCAUUUUCCAUUUUGACUUAGAGUCAUUCUUUCCUAUUUAGAGCCUAGAGCUCUCGACUCAGAGUCAUUUUCCAUUUCGACCUAGAGCCAUUCUUUCCAAUUAGAGCCCUGAGCUCAUGACCCGGAGUUUUUUAUCCUAUUUCAGAUCCAGAGUCGUUCAUCUUGUCCCUGACCCAGAUUCAUUCAUCCCAUCCAUGACUUUGAGUCAUCAUUUUCACCUCUUUCCAUCUUUGUGCUACUCGUCACAUACUGUUCUCUCUUUAUUGUCAUUCCCCCCACAUAGAGUUGUCCCAUCCAUGUCAUUGAGACCCCAUCUUUUGAUCUUACCUCUUCAUGUGCUAGGACAAAAUCUCUGGUCCUUCUUUAAUUCUUCGGUAUAGUUCACUUCAUUCUGCUCAUUACUCGUGUUUCUACUCACAUUCUCUACACUCGUGAUCUAUACCAAAGAGGGGCAUAUUUGUAGACCCUUAAUUUUGUCCAUUUAGCACAUGUCUUUAAAUUCACAUCCAGUGCUCCACGGUAGUUCCUUGGUGGCCCAUUACUACUCAUAAGGCUUACCUUUUUCUGAGUCACCUCAGAGACUUUGGUUGAGGGAUUAUCUGACCCCUUAUUGUGAUCCUUGGCAAUCCUAAUUUAGAUUGGGCUUGAAUUAGAUACACUUAGCCCAUUUAGGCACCUUAGGCCCACUUAGGCAUCUUAGGCCCGUUUAGAUACACUUGGCCCACUUAGGCUCACUUAGACCCACUUAGGUCAUCUUUUAAAUAUUUUUUUUACAUAUUUGCAUGAUUGCAUUUUUUUGUAUGACUUGCAUGGUUGCAUGGCUCAUGGGGCCUAAUUUUUGUUAAUUUGUUUGUUUUAUUUUUAGUUUUAGUUUUAUCAUUAUCAAUCACUCGUUUAUUUAUUUAUUUAUUUUAUUUGUUAUCUCAUUCUUUAUAUUAUUUUCCUUAAUUUAUUUAUUUAUUAUUGUUUUAUUGUUUUCUAAUUUGUUUGCUUAUUUAGUUAUUCAUUCAAUUAUAUAAUUUCAAAAAUUUCAUGUUUUUGCAAGGAAACUUACCAUUGGAGACUAAGGAAAGCGGGACUCUCCUUGGAAAGUUUUGGAGGGGAAUUUGAAGUUGGGAAGAUUGCUUUUGAAUUGGAAGAUUUAGAAAAAGGGAAAAAGGAAGAAGAGAAGAAGAAUGGAAAUAGGGGAAUUUUCUUUUUUUUUGGAAACAAAUUUAGGUCUUGAGGGAUGAUAUAUAUAUGUGAGAAAAGAAAGAGAAAGGGGGAGUGAACAAGCACGCAUUGGAGGAUUGGGAGAAAUUCUGGGAAAAGGUGGAGAGACGUAUUGGAGGCAUUGGAGGAAACCAUUUAAGAGGAGAAGAAGAAAGAAGCACAGAAAAACCAGUGGAGAUUUUCUGAGGAUAGAAACCAGUGCAGAUUUUUUUUUUUUCGUCAAAAGGAAGCAUUCCCAGGUAUGUCUACUGUAGAUUCCUUCUUCAUUCCCAUUAUCCUUUUCUUAUGUACUAAUCUUUGUCGGGUUUUGAGUCUUGCUUGGAUGCUAGGGGGGCAGAAUGACAGAGGUCACAUGUUUGUCUACAUUGAUACUUGCUUCUAUAGAUGUUAUUGAUUUAUCCCUUAGGAGUUCUCUAAUUUUGAUUUAGUGCUGCUAGGUUCCAUUUAUUAUUAUUUCAUGUGCAUUACAUGAGAACUGUGGUUGUAUUCGUUUGUUGGAAUCUGCUCGUACUUAUCCCAUCAUUCCAAACCCAUUGAACCUAACAUGAAAUGGGUUUUCAUUUAAUGGAUCACUUAUUUGUUCAUCCAUUUUUUUUAUCAAACUCUAUUUUGGCGGGGUUGUUUUUCUACAGUUGAGCAUGCUUCAAAUUGCUCUGUUUUGCUUCCCGGGUGUGUCUUCCUAUAUUUAUGAAUGAAUAAGGUAUAGAUUUGUGGGCUUAUGAGUUGUAAAGGUGAUUUCAGUGGGGUUGAGAUUCUGGGUCCACAAGAAAAAAAUAGAAUAGCAGAAGAGAAAAAUCUGUAAGAGAGUUGGGAAGUCCAGAGUAGUGCAAAUCCUCUUGGGCGUCUUUGGUUCAGAAAUAUCAGAAAAGCUAGAAGGAUGAGAAAAACAAGAAAGAUUGUUUGCCUUUGAACUUUUGAUUGCUUAAAGAUGUUUGACAAUGACCACUGUAAACAACCUGCUACUUUAAUGGUUGUGAUAUUUGAAUGUCAGUAUGAAGAUGUGAUUGGGGUGAAAGUGCUGAAAUCAGAGCUCAGGAGAAGAUCAUUGACUGUUGAGUCUGAUAUGGAAUACAAUUGAAAUGCCAACAUUGAGAUAUUUGGAAGAAGGGGUCUUGCUCCAGGAGUUAGACUUGGUGGGGUGGUUGGUGACUCACUUACCAGAGUUGUAGGAAUGCAAGCAGAUGCACUUUUGUUUGCAGAGGCCAGAAAACAGGGUUUUGAUUCUUUGGAAAGAGAAGAUGACAAAUAUUUGGAAAGAUUUAAAUUGUUUCAGUUGGAAGCUACUGAAUUUUACCANNNNNNNNNNNNNNNNNNNNNNNNNNNNNNNNNNNNNNNNNNNNNNNNNNNNNNNNNNNNNNNNNNNNNNNNNNNNNNNNNNNNNNNNNNNNNNNNNNNNNNNNNNNNNNNNNNNNNNNNNNNNNNNNNNNNNNNNNNNNNNNNNNNNNNNNNNNNNNNNNNNNUAGGUGCAGAGAGCUCUAUAACAAACCUGAUGUUCAGAGUCGCAAUUGGUCAAUUGCUGCUACCUGUUAUAGAGAAGUAACAAUAAUUUGGCACUGGUGCAACUGAAAGAAGAGUACAUGAGGAAAUUCCCUUUCUGGAAUGAUCCAUAUGUUCUAGUGAGCUUGCUUUCUGCUAGCCGACUGCGUGGAGAUGUUGUAAUUGGGGAGUGUUUGGCUAAAUGGCUUCUAAAACUUCAGCUUGUGACUACUUCUCCUUAUGUAUUAUUAUCAAACUUGUAUGCUUCAGAUAGGAAGUGGGCAGAUUUAAAGAACCUGUCAUCAGCGGACAACAACUUCUCUGACUCAACUUUAGACUCAAUUUCGGGGUUAGAAUCAAUCAAGUCUUUAGAUUUCAGUCGCAACCCCUUUUCUGGUGAUAUGGCAGCAUCAUCGACAAAACUGACUAAUUUGGUAUCCCUUAAUUUAUCGUUAAAUGAGUUCGAAAGUAAAAUUCCAAAAGGUCUCGAGCUGUUUUCAAAACUUGAAAUUCUUGACUCGCAUAGGAAUAUGCUCAGUGGACUUCCAGACAAGGAAUUCUUGUAAUUUUCAGGUGCCAUUCGUGUUGACUUUAGUGGGUGCUAGCAGAGUACUAUCUAUGUUAUUCAUUAUAGCAGAUUCUUAACAUCCACAUUUAUUUGGGAAUAGAUGCUUCAGUUUGGAUGAUAAACAGAUUACAGAUUUAAGGCAUUCUAUUGAUAAGAUUCUAAGUGACAAGUCUUCUUGGAAUGAAGAUCUCUUUGUUGCUACAGUCAAAUUGCUUACUUCUGCUGCAGUUGAUCAGCCUGUUUUUUCUUGUCACCAUAAUUUCAGCCAAAGACAAUCUAGGUUUGAUGCAGCCAAUAAAUGAAGCUUCUUUUGGAAUAUUGGGGUCUGUCAAAGCAAGUUUGGUAGAUGCACUCUUGCAAGUUAUUGAAAGAUUUCAAUGAUCUUAUCAAAUAGCAAUCCCCGUUUACUACUGAAUGUGCUUGACUUACUGAAAACAUUGUGGCAAGGGGUUGCUCAAUAUGCAGAUAUUUUGGAAUGGCUGAAAAACUCUGAAAAGUUCUGAAAACUAUUUUUGUAACUCUAUUUCUCAAAUUGUUAGAAUGAAAGCUCCCCUGCCUGAGAAUCUAACCAAAAUGGAGGCUCUAAUCUUGGCAUACAAAUACCAGUGUCAAACAGCUGUAUUGGAAAUAAUGGCAGAAAUCUUGUUCCUGUGGAAGAAGUUACUGCAUGCUGAAUUUCUUGAAAUGCUUGCAAAUCUGCACAGUUCACCAAUUGAGCCUAGGAAUUCUGAUAUAUCUUCAGGAAUGGAUGACGAGUCCAAUAAUAGUGAGAUGCUCGCAGCUACUAACAUCCACCCUGGACAAGAUUCAUGGAGAAAAUUGGAAGUUGAAGACAAGGAAUUGCCGCAAGUGCACAAUGGUACAUUGCAGCAGAGCAUCUCUGUCGAUGCAAAACUAAUCAAAGAGGAUGUAAUUAGCUUAGUAGAUAAGGAAAGAAGGCAAGCUCUACAGACACCACAAGUGGUUAUGAACAUGCUCGAUGCGACUAUGCCUGGUACUCUAAUGGAAGAACUUAAGAAGAAGGUCCUGGCUGCCGUAGGACAAGGAGAAACAGUUAUGUAAACUUUGUGAGAUGCUGUCCCAGGAAAUAUUUGUGGAAAGCUUUCUACUGCUGUUUCUAGAAUUUUGGCAUACUCAAGGUGUAAAUUUAAACUUUGAGGGUCUUCUGAGGAUUGACCAAACUCCUAAUGUUUCGUCAGGAUUGAAAUCUAAGAUCCAAAAAGAAAUUGGAAUAACAUCAAGUGAAGAAGGUGGGACCGAAAGCUAGGAUACAGUUGAAGAUUACAAAGGUAUAGUUCUUGGAGGUUCCGAAGCCGCCAAACACUCCUUGGAGAAAUUAGGGAAAAUAUCAGAUGGAAGUUCUUGCUCUGGUGUAGAGAAUUCUUGUAAUCAUUCACAGAGAAUUGGUGGUCAAAUUAUAAGUGACUCGGAUGAAGAAGUGGACAUUGAUGAAUAAGGAGGUGGAAAUGAGUUAUUUGAUUUUGCUGCACUGGCUGCUCUCACGAAAAUAGUAGCAAGUGCAAGUUCCGAUAGUGGCAGUAUCACAAUAACCUCUCCAAAGGGAUCCAAGCUUCUCUCUGAUUGACCCCCCCUGUUGGAUUGGGAUCUACAAACCAGCCUCUAAGACCUGCUCCCCAACAAAACCUGUCCAAUCUUUUUACCCAUUUUCCAAUCUUGCAGGGAGGCAAACUGGUGAAGAAUUUAAUCUUGAUAUUGCAGAGAGAGUUGUUUGUGAUCUUAACACUACUGAAGCGUUUCCAAGUGUGUUGGAUCUAAAAUGCAGCCUGAAGUUCUCUGGCCAACUAAACUCGAGCCACUUGAUCGCCAGAUUGUCGAAGAACAAAUCCAGUUCAGUUCUUUCCUUUUACUGGUUUUUUGGCUCAUCCCUACCUCAUGAAUACACCCAGUUAGGCAGGGUUAUUAAAGUACCAAGGGACCUUAUUGAUCCCUACAUCCUGGUUAGCAUCCUUGCUUAUAGGCAAUCCUGAACAUGGUGCGCAGCUGUACUGAUAAUCCGUCAUCUGAUAAGUCUUGGAGAUGUUCCCUGCUGCUAUUGCAUUCAGAAAACUCAUAUUGCAUAAGGAAGCUUGCUGAAAGUAUCUCAUAAAUGCUACAACAAAGGACAACUAGAAGGCAAUUUCCCAAGACUUAAUGCCUCAUUUCUGAAACCUGCAAGUGGAGAUGAAGUACUAUCCAAAGAACCUAAAUGACGAUAUGGAGCUUCAUUAAAAUCUGUCCAGAGAAUUCAAACAGAUCAAUGAAGAGUUGUCUCUAAAGUCAUUCAUGAAAUCGAAAGGACAAAGCCGCGUCAAAAGCUGCUACUGCUCGCGGUCUUGGACGCAAUGCAAAGAUUGGUUCUGGGAGGGGUCUCAGUGCUGUAGCUAUGGCAACAUCUGCACAAAGAAAGGAAAGGACAAAUUCGGACAUGAAAUGGAAGUAGGGAUCUUCGCCAAGGUUCAUACUGAGAGAAUGGUUUCAUCUUUAAGAUUUGGAAUCCCAUCAAAACCUCUUACCAAAUGUUCUCCUCAUGUUUGUUUUCGUUUGCUAUUAUAGUUACCUACGGUGUCGGAUUUCAUUCGAAUUUUUCAGACAAGUCUCCGCAUUCAGCCCAUGGAAAUGACAACCAGAAUUCCAAAACAACAGCGAUCAGACCAGUUCCCAGAUUCCAAUUGUUGGAUAUGUUGGUCAGCCAUAUGGAGCCCCGUCACUGCCAAUCUCCUCUCUCUAAUAUCUGUAGUUGAAUUAGCAUCACCAGCUUCAUACGAUUGGCAUCUGGUCUACCUCUUUCAUUAUACUUUCCUCAGAAUUUGUUUUCCAAACAGCAAUGGUAGGUUCCAAUUUGGAACCCAAUAGCUAAAUAGAACCCACCUGGUAGUAAAGGUCAGCAAGCAGGGCUUCAAAACAGAGAAAAUCGGAAGUGAGGAGACCAAAAUCUUGUGCAAUAAGUAAAGAACACUUCGAAUGCCAUAUCCUUUUUCAUUAGAUUCAGAAGGAGGACUCUCUCUGGGUAGGAAUUGUAAUGAUAUGGAAAGGAUGGGAAGUCAUGAUACAAAGCUGUUUUAUCGUUUUAGCUUGGGAAUUGACAGCUUCAUCUUCAAACGGUGGAAUUCCAUGAAUAAGGAGCUUUAAGACAUGCCAACAAAUUGCCAAGGAAUAGUCAACUUCUUCACCCAACAGUGAAACUAAAAGUGGAAAGAGCAGAGUAGCAUUGUUUUUUUUGGACCUUUUAUGAUCAUCAUGCAGAAAAAAACAGCUCAGUAGCUGAAGUUGAGUAUAUUGGCAAACCUGAGAAUGCACUUCCAACCGAUGGAACUGAACAGCAGCAUAAGAAAUCUGAUUUGGAGUUAAGACCUACUACCACAUUACAAGCUCUAGUUGAUGAUUCAAAUUGUGAUCUCGAGAAACUAAAGUUGAAUCCAGACGACAUUGCUGAUGAAAUCAUGUAUCAAACCCUAUGAGCUUUGACUCUGAAAUGAAUAUGGACAGUUCGUUUCCAGUCACGCCAGCAGUAUACAGAGAUCUCUUCACACAACCACCAGCAACGCAGUCACAGCCAAACCCCCAAACCCCAUUCUCCAUGACCGGUCUAGUGCACACUACUCUUUUCCUUUCACACCCCUUUUGCUUUCCUCGUGAUUUUAUGUGUCUUGAAUUGUGUUUUCAAAAAUCGUUUUCAUCCAAAUAAAUCUGAUUUUAGAUAAUCAUCUUUAGAUAUUCUCUAGGCAUUGAAAUCUAAAUUUCAACACCCUUUUGCUGCCAUUUUCCUUCCGGCAUGCGUCUUCACUAUUUUAUUUGAUUUUCAACUAAUUUUCUUGAUUUUCAACAAGCAUGAACAAACUUCAUGAUUCCAAACAAUGGAAUUCAUUGAAUCAACUCAUGCAAAAUCAACUAGGGCUUUGGUGGGGGCCCAACAUUCAUAACACUCACUUCAAUACUGUUUACUUGAUAUGUUGAUUUUUUAUUCUUCUUGAUGAAAUACUUGAAUUCAUUUAAUAUUUAUUGUUGAGAUGCUCUCGUUUCCCAUAGAGGAGUACUAGCUUGCUAUCCAGGUACGCUCUCUUCUCAUCUAUUUUUUUAGAACUCUAUGGACUUGUAUGUCAUUGAUGACCAUAUCCAUAUUUGACGUGAUUCUUGAAUGUCUUGAUAUAUGCCUGAUUUGCUUGAAUAAAACAAAUGUUGUGUGAUGUAUCUCCAAACUAAUCUCUUAUGUUUUAUGAUAGCGCUUGGGAAGCCAUCCAGGUAUGCAUUUUUAACUUUUCUUAAUUGUGAUCUGAUCUUGUUUGAUAUGUUAUGUUUUUGGAAUCACCUAGCCUACUUAGGUAUCCAUGAUCAACCAUUUAAUUGCCACGCUUCCCUUAACUUAGUCAGUAAAGACCUCUUUAGGGCUUAGAGGGGUGCUACCUCCUAGAGGUACCUUCCCAAUAAGUAACCUGAUCCCCGGACCUAAACUCGGGUUUCUCAAAGACAUGCUUUUUCCAAAACUAGGGAGUCACUUUUUAGGGUUUUUCUUUCUUGUUUUAUUUUCCCUUUAAAAUAAAAAUAAAAUAAGUGGCGACUCCAACUUUUUUUCCAAAAAUCAAUUUUUCACAAAAAUAAUAAAAAGCGAGUCUCGCCGAUCGAGUGGGGGCGCACGUGAAAAAUGCGGGUCCACAGGUCUCCUUAUAAUCAAUGCCUUCCUUUUGAGUGAAACCUUUUGCGAUUAGGCGUGCCUUAUACCUAACAAUGUUGCCUUUUGAAUCCCACUUGAUCUUAAAAAUCCAUUUACAACCAAUCGGUUUUACACCUUCAGGCAACUUUACUAGGUCCUAAACACCAUUGUCUUUCAUUGAUUUCAUCUCAUCCUUCAUGGCUUCUAUCAACUUUUCAGAGUCAGAACUUUGUUUGACUUGACUAAUUGAAAUUGGAUCGUCUUCCAAACCCAUGUCAAACUCAUGUUCCUGGAGAUGUACAACAUAAUCAUCUGAAAUUGUACUUCUCCUUUCUCUAGUGGAUCCCCUCAGUGGCACUUGUACUUGAGGUUCUUGAGGUUGUUGAGUUACCUCUUCAUGAACUUGAAUCGGUUCCAUAACUUGAGCAGGAGGAAUCUCAGGUGUGUUUUGAAUCUCUGUUAUUGACUGUACAUUUUGGAUAGUGUCAUCAAACAUAAUAUGACCAUGUCCAGUCGUAAUAAUAGGAAUACUAACAGAUUCCUCUUCAAAUACCACCUUUUUUAACUGUUCUCUCCCACUUAACUCAACAUCCUCAAUAAAUUUAGCAUUGCCCAUUUCAAAAAAUGAUCUAGUUGAGGGGUCAUAAAACUUGAAACCUCUCGACCUUUCAGAAUAUCUUACAAAGUAGCAACUCACUGUUCUGGAGUCUAAUUUCUUUUUAUUUGGUUUGUAAGGCCUAGCUUCAACUGGACAACCCCAGACAUGCAAGUGCCUAAUACUAGGUUUCUUGCUAGUUCAUAACUCAUAUGAGGUUUUGGCUACUGCUUUGCUUGAGACUCCAUUCAAAAUAUAAAUUGUUGUUUUGAUGGCUUCGCCCCAAAGUGAUUCUGGUAAGGUGGAAUGACUGAUCAUACUUCUUACCAUAUCCUUAAGAGUACAGUUUCGCAUAUUUGCUACACCAUUUUGGCUUGGAGUUCCCAGCAUGGUGUAUUGAGGAAUAAUACCACACUUCAUCAAAUAUUUGGCGAAUGACCCUAGACGUUGUUCACUGGAUCCGUCAUAUCUACCAUAAUAUUCACCUCCACGGUCAGAUCUGACGGCCUUUAUUUUCUUGCUUAGUUGGUUCUCAACUUUAGCUUUGAAAUUCUUGAACACAUCUAAUGAUUGAGACUUCUCAUGAAUCAAAUAAAGAUAGCCAUAGCGUGAGUAAUUUUCAAUGAAAGUGAUAAAAUAUUGUUGUCCAUUCCAAGAAGGAGUAGGAAAUGGACCAUAAAUGUAUGUAUGUAUCAAUUCCAAGACGUCACUGCACUUGUUAGCAUCAUUUUUUCUCAUAUUUGUUUGUUUACCCUUAAUACACUCUAUAUAGACUUGAAAUUCUGAGAAAUUAAGUGGAUCAAGAAUUCAUUCUAACACAAGCCUUUGAUUUGAAAUAUGACCCAAACGCCUGUGCCAUAACAUCGAUGAAUUCUCAUUUGUUAAUUUUUGUUUAAUGUCAUAAUUACUUAAAUGCAAGGUUUCAUUUCCAUUAGUGGUCUUUAUGUUUAAUUUGUAUAAUUUGUCUGUUAGACUACCUAUACCAAUAACAUUUGAAUUUAGAUAAAGACUAACCAUUCCAUUUCUAAAUGAACAAUAAUAUCCAAAUUUUUCCAGACAUGAAACAAAAAUUAAAUUCCGUCUAAACGAUGGUACUAUAAAAGUCUCUUCCAAAUCCAAAGUACAUCCAGAGUCUAACUGUAAUAUAAAAAGACCAAUAGUCUUGAUUGCAACCUUGUUGCCAUUUCCCACAUAGAUGUAUCUUUCACCAUCAGUUGGCAUUCGGCUCCUUAGGCAACCCUACAUCGUGACACUUAUGUGAGUAGUUGCACCCGUAUCUAUCCACCAAGUGUCAGUAGGCACUACGACUAAAUUAAUUUAUGAACAAACAAAGUUGAGAAGUGUACCUUUCUUUUCACGCCAAGCAGCGUAUUUGGUACAUGUCUUUUUCAUAUGACCAACUUUCUUGCAAAAUAAACAAGUCAUCUUCUUAUCUUGUUUCUUCUGCACCUUUUGCUUUGAUGUCCCAAAAAUUGCAGUUUGUUUUUCUUUAUUGUCCCUCUUUCUUUUCUUGUUGGUACCAAAUGCCUGAGAUGUGGAAGCCAAGUGAGCACUUUCUAUCUUUUCUUGUUUCAAUCUCUUAUCCUUUUGUGCACAUUGAGCAAUAAGCUCAUUCAAAGUCCAUUUUUUCUUUUGUAUGUUGUAACUGAUUUUGAAUGGACUGAAUUGUGUAGGUAAAGAGAUCAAGACCAAGUGUACGAGUAUGUCUUCCGAAAACUCUAACUUUAGUGCCUUUAGUCUAGUCACAAGAUUAGACAUUUCCAUAAUACACUUCCUUAUAUUCUCUUUCCCUUUGUACCGCAUAGAGACAAGCUUACUAAGAAUAGUGCUUGUCUUAACCUUUUCUUUUGCAGCGAAUCGGCUUGCUAUCUGGUCUAAGAAUGCCUUGGCUCGAGUUUUCUCAGGUAUUACACCCUUUAUAGCUUUUGGAAUUGAGUGCUUUGUUAUCAUUAACUCAUGCGAUUGGAUCGCUCUCAUUUUUCCAUAGUAGACCUUUGCUCAGCAGUGCUGGCACUAGUAAGAUCUGAAGAGCAAUCCUCUCUUAAUGCAUAGUCUAAAUCCAUGCACCCGAGCACAAUUAUAGCGUGCUCUGUCCAUUUCUUGAAGUUUGUGCCAUUAAGCGCAGGAAUGUUAUUAACAUUUGCAGAUAUAGAAUAUGUUGAAUUCAUAAUAAUAAAGCUCACAAUCAGUCACAUAAACAUCAUACAUACAUGAAAAACAUCAUACAAGAUACCUAGCACAAACAUUAAUAUUCUGUCUUUGGACAAUAAAUAUUAACUUGUAAUUGGUAUCCUUAUACAAAAUUAAUUCAUAAAUAUUUAUCGACAAUAAAACCAAAAACAGUAUGCCUAUCUUUAGACUAACAUAUCGAAUGCAAGAUAAACUUUAUAUGUCACAUAUUUAUGAUUACUUUAUUUAUUAUUAUAUUAAAAUAAUCUUCUUUUGAGCCGAUUAUUUUAAAUAAUAAUAAUAACAUGUUUAGAUAUUAUAAAAUAAAUAAAUUAUAUAAUAUAAGUUACUUUGGCAACUAACAUACAUAAUUCAUUUAUUUUAAAAUAUUAAACACAAACAUAACAAGAAAUAAUAAAUUCAAUUAAAAUUAUUUAUUUAUUUAUGCAUAAACCCAUGUAUAUAUAUGUAUAUAUUAAUUGAAGCAUAAAAAACCAUCUACAUGUGUAUAUAUAUCAAUUGAAGCAUAUAUACAAGCUUUAGUCUAAUGGUUUAAGCAAAAAAUAGGCCAUGGUAAAGGGUUUAAGCCAACCCACCCCUUUAGUUUGGUUUUUGUUUUUGUUUUUUUUUUAAUUUCUUUUGGGCUAUUGACCAUGCAUUCUCUCAUGGCCCAACGACCACUUGUGUUCACUUACAAGCCAAGCCCCUUCCAUAUAUAUAUAUAUAUAUAUAUAUAUAUAUAUAUAUAUAUAUAUAUAUAUAUAUAUAUAUAUAUAUAUGUUUUUUUUUAUUUUAUAAAUUUUGUCCAUUGCAGCCCAAAGUGACCAUCCCUUGAAAUGGCAUCAUCAACGGUGCCAGAGUUGUCCUCGAAUGACGCCUACAGUGAAACGCCGCUGCCAUCAUCGGAACGGUGAUUUCCCAUCGCCAAACGACGGUGUCACUACCGGAAUGAUGCUGUAACGGCAUCGCUGGGAAGCAGCCUAACCUGUGGCGUGACGUCGUGACAAGCAGUGCCGCCAGCGGUGAAACGCUGUCGCCAUCAUCGGAACGGUGAUUUUCCAUCUCCAAACGACGGCGCCACCACCGGAACAACGCUGUAACGACGUCACUAGGAAGUAGCCCCACCCGCGGCACCAAAAUGGUGCUUGGAUGGCGUUUGGAAAGCUUGGAACAACACUCAAAUCAGGGCUUCUCACUGGCAAAUGACGUUUGAACGGCGUCUGGAAAUAAUGCCUGUAGCGCCUAAAAAUUGUGCUCUUUUGAACACCUGAAACAACGUCGAAAUGACGUCUAACGACGUCUGGAAUUGCACUGUUGUCUAGAAUGAUGCCAUGAUGGUGUCUCACUCGCCUUAAAUGGCACCAACCACUGUGACUUGCAGCCCCAAAAAUGGCGCUUGAACAGUGCCUGAAGUGUGCUUGGAACGACGCAGCAAACGAUGCCUAAAAUGGUGCAUUUUGUAUGCCUGAAAACGGCACAGGAAUGAAGCCUAAACUACGUCCAUUUUGAACGCCUAAACGGCAUCCUAACGGCGCCUGGAACGGUGCCUGAAUGACGCCUGGAAUUGGCCCAGAUUUAUUUUCUGUUGUUUCCUUCCUCUUGUAUAUUUUGUUUGUGUUUUAAAAAAAAAGUGUUCUGGUGAAAAUGGGAAAUGCAACCAGGCUCUGAUACCAUUUUGUGAGACGUUCAUUCUCCAUUAUCAUCGAACACAUGCAGGAUAUAUUUUAUAUAUCUAUCAAUUCAUUCAAAAUAUGCCUUCAUUUUAUGGAACAUACUCGAAUCCAUUUUGUUUGUGUUGAAGAGGUACAGAUCUUCUAAGGCUAUGGGGAGGGGAGGGAGGGGAGGGGGGUACCACCUUUUCUGAGAAUUCUCUAUGACGAUGGGAAGCCGGAGAGAACAAGUUCUAUUUUUAUUUUGAAAACGUUGUUAUCCUUAAAAAACAAACACUAUUAUUUGGAUUUAUACUCUCCUACCUUAGGGACCAUACCCUUUGGCUAUUGGGCCUCACGAGUCUUAGGUCCAUCAUCUAAGGCUCAUGAUGGCACUAGGCUUUACACAUAAGGUGACCCAUACUCUGAAACGAAUAGAAAUCAUAUGUGUAUAUAUAUAUAUAUAUAUAUAUAUAUAUAUAUAUAUAUAUAUAUAUAUAUAUAUAUAUAUGAAUAUUUAAAUCCUGAACAAUGGUUAAUAUGAUGUCGGUUCACAUUUAUUAUAUCAUAGAGACUUCCUAUCUGAAGAAAAUCGACAGCAGAUAGCUUUGCCAUUCUUAGUCCGUAUACAACCAACCUUAGCAAGGGUUGAACCCUUUUAUGCUUAGUUGUGCCAUACAGAUCCUUACCAUUUGAUAAUGUCAUCUAGUGAACCAAUACCUCCAAAUGAGAGACCAUUGCCUCGGUAACUAGGGCUCAUGACUGAGAAUUGUGUGAACCCUUUUGCUUGGGAUGGAGCUUGACUGAUGAACAAAAUAUUCAUAGGCCUCUUCCCAUAACUGGCACCUUGUGUUUGCAACAUAAUUGAACAUGUAUUGAAGUGAGUUUUUUUGCAUCUUUUUGUAAGAAAAUUCUAAACAACAUAGACUACUUAGUGUGCCCAGCUCCUCGGGGAAUCAAGGUUCAUUCUUGUAGGGCCAAUUUUAUCACAGUCGAACUAGAUAACAUGGAGAGUAUGUUGCAAUGCUUCAAUGGGGUAUUUCUUAGGAAAAUCCACUUGAAGCUGGUACAAUUCGUUGGCGUACUGAGUUCUUGGAGCUUUAUUGACUUCAAUCACCCAUCUCUGUAGAUUAUCAGUGACUUUAUGCUCGGAUCCUGUAGGAAGAUUGACCUGACAUUCCACUAGCUCUUUCUGGAAGGUAAUCUUGUUUAACACCGUAUGAGAAGAGGCAGGGGAACUGGUCAUUGUUUCUUUGAGAAGAUCAAUGGCCGAGGAUGGGUUUGGACCAGAAUUGCUAUAUGGGUUUUCUUUGGGUGAACCAAUUAGCGGAGUGGGUGGCUAUAUAGCAACUGAAGGGUGGUCAUACUAGCUGACAUUCCACUAGCUCUUUCUAGAAGGUAAUCUUGUUUAACACCUUAUGAGAAGAGGCAAGGGAACUGGUCAUUUUUCUUCGAGAAGAUCAAUGGCCGAGGAUGGGUUUGGACCAGAAUUGCUAUAUGGGUUUUCUUUGGGUGAACCAAUUAGUAGAGUGGGUGGCUAUAUAGCAACUGAAGGGUGGUCAUACUAACGAGGAGCUAUUAUUUCAUGCAAGUGGACAGGAAAUGAGUAGCUUCUUCAAGGAUAUAUGAUUAUUCAUCUUUAGCUUACGUUGAAUAUCUCCUAACAAAUUUCUGCUUUGAAGCUCCCUUAGUUUCACUACAGCUAACUUGGCUAACUUGGUUUCAUCAUGUUUCCUACAACCUCUAAGCAAAGCACGCCAGAUCACCGGAUUAGGUUCUAUUCGCAUUUUGUCCAUAAACUCCUUUGCCUAUUGACAAUAGACUGCCCCUCAAAAUUUGAUGAGAUAACAUCAAUGCUGACAUGUUGGCCAUCGCCAUAAGCAUCUUUAUAGAGAUUGAUUCUAUGUUUACAUAUUUCUCUCUCCUCAAGUGAGUUCAACUUUUCUGUAACAUCCUUCUCCUUCUCAACUAACAGUCUUAGUUGAACAUCCAACCUAUGUUCCCAAAGUGCCAACAUCUCAUAUCUGAUGACAAGCCAACAACCUUGUCCUUGCUAAGACCCAAAUAAGUAUCUAGAACCAUCAGCAUCAACCCUUUCAUAGGCCUUUGUAUUUGAAGGUCGGAUUAGGAUUGCUUUGAAUGCAUUGGCAUUGCAAUACACAAUUGUUUCUUCUCCAAUAAAAACACCACAAAGAGGUGAGAGGACUGGUAUUAGCAAAGAAGUGUUGUUAUCUAUAUUGUUCUGAGCCCAAGUACCCUCAACAAAAUCCUCAUCCUCAUCUGUACUUUUCCAUUACAUCCUUAGGCGUUUCAAUGUGAUCCACAUGGCUUACAGGAAUCCAGAAAUACCGGUCUGUAUAAAAGUUGUUCUUAAGGGGCUCUCCUAGAAAACAUCCCAAUCAAGAUGAUCAACCUAGCUUAGAUGCUCAACACCCCAAACUUACCAUAAAUAGAGGAAUAAAAAGCAAGGAUAGGAGCCAGAGUAAAAACUGAGGGAAGAGCAAAUAGGAAAUCAAGCAAAACAUGAAUGUAUAGAGCCUCAUUUCAGGUGACAUCUUUGGGCUAAUAAUAGGUGGAAUUAGCAAAGUAGAUAAGCAUGAUUGUUAUAAAUAUCAAGUUCAAGGAUGAAGCCGUGCAUCAGCUACUUAUAGGGGGAGUCAAGGAAACCAAGAUAAGAUCAAAGAGAGCAUGUAUGCAAAUAAACAGAUUCGACAAAAUAGACCAAACAGAUCAUGAAUAUCCUCCUACAAAAAACUACUACACGUGGCAAAAAGUGAUGAAACAAAAAGAGUCGGGUCCGCAUAUACAUAUCCUAUUCUAUCCUAUUCCUUCAAAUCCAAAGCAACCUAUAUUUUCAAUGGGAUUUGUUGUGAUGAAUUUUACUGGAUUGUAACAUGUAAAUAUGUUAAAAGAGGCUUGGGACAUUCCUAUAUAGUAACGCAUAAAGGUACUUCCAUUGUGAAGUUAUCAAAAUUGCAAAUUUAAAUUACAAAAUUUGAAAACAUAGAGAUGAAAGAUGAUGAAACCUUCUUUGAAAUUUUAUAUUGAACUCAUUAAUAUUAUUAAUUUUCAUUUCAGUCUAGGGGAUAGAAUUCUUUACUCUAAAGUGGUCACAAAAAUAUUAAAAUUCCUUGUCGAGAGAUUUAGACCUAAAGUGAUCAAUAUAGAAGAAAGUAAAAAUCUUCUAAGUGUAGGUAAACUUGUGACUCUACCAUUUCAUAAAAAAUCCUCAAUUUUAUAAAUUAUAUAGAUUUCUUCAUUUGAUACAAAAUUUGAAUAAAGAUUUUUCAAAUGACAACACAAGGAAAGGGAAAAAAAAUUCUCUCCAAAUCAUAUUAUUUAAUCACUUAAAUUAUUUAAAAAUAAAAAUGCUUACUGCUAACAUUAUUUAGUUUCAUCUUUCUUUUGAUGGAGGUUAAAAUUCAUAAUUUUGAGGAAAAAGAUGAGGAUUCUCAUUUUUUUUCCAUGUAUGAAUGGGAUUCUCAUUGUGUAUAUGUGGGUUACUAAAUGGCAAAUUUGCGGGCCACCAGAGUCUGCAAUAUGAGUGAAAAAAUGAAAUUGAGUUUGUCACCAAGAAUAGACAUGGUUCCUACAAAGGUGGCAUCUUUAAUUUCAUGUUUGGAUUGGACUUGUCAUGUAACAACUUAACAAGUGAAAUCCCUCAUGAACUUGGAAUGUUAAGUUUGAUUCAUGCAUUGAACUUGUCUCGUAAUCAACUAAAAGGCUCCAUUUCAAAGAGUUUUUGCAAUCUUUCUCAAAUAGAGAGCUUAGACCUUUUUAAUAAUAAACUAAUAUAAUAAAAAAUAUUUAGGUAGAUCACAUUUAAAUAUAGCUAAUAUAAUAAAAAAUUAGUAUUAUUAGAAAGACAUGAUCAAUUAAAUUUUUUUUCUUAUCUAUGACACGACUUUAUUUUUUUACAUAGUCAAUAUAAUUUAUUACAACUUAUAUGUCAUUAAAUUAUACACGUUUAUAUUAAAUAUAAUAUAAUAUCAUUAAUGGAAUAAUUAUGCAAGUAAUAUAAAUUGUAUAUAAUAUAAAAAAUUUAAACUCCAUCAAACUAAUGGAAUCUAUUAUAAUAAGUAGACUAGACACCAUGUUGGCCCGAGUUGGAAGCCUGGGCCAGAUUUUAAAGGCUGGGCUUUGAGUUGCCCGUGGGCGUGAGCCAAGGUCUUCUCUUGGUAUCAUCAUUUUGAAGAAAUAAAUUGCUGAUACAGAGAAAAAAACUAUACUAAAUAGAAAAAUAAAUAAAAGCAUUGACUAAAAUGAAGGUCAAGGUCCUUGAAAAAUAAUCUUUAAAUUGUUGCAUAUAUAAUUUCAAUAAUGCAUAAAUAAUUGCAAUAUAUAUGAUAUGAUAAAGAAUUUGGAAUUAAAAGAAGAUUGAUCUAUUUUAAAUGUGGUUGGAAUAUUUCUAAAUUUGUGAUGGGAAGUUAGACAGCCAAUUAGGGAUCCAUAUUAUUUAUUUUCAAUGAUAUGAAUUUAUUUAUUUUUAUUAAUAUUCUUAAUGCAACAAUAUAAAAUAUGUCAAUUUUCUAAAAUUUAAAAAGUAAUUGUAAAAGAAAUUUUUUAAUUAUUUUUCUGAAAUUGAGUUUAUUAUAACAUUUUUCUUUACUUAAAUUUCUUUUUUAUUUUUAUUUUUUUAAAAAAUAAGAUAUGAAAAAAAAAGAUCAAUAUUAGUAAAAGUAAAACCCAAUAUAUAAAAAAAAAUGAAUAAAUGUUUAUGAAAUAAAAUUUAAAAGUGAGAAGGUAAUAAAUUUUUUCUCUUUUAAUUCCCAUUCAAUUCAUUACAAAAAAUAUUUUUGGUUUUUAUGCUAAAAUUUAUUGUCUAUUAAAAAAUUCUAGUAUAUCUAGCUAUCAUAGAAGAGCUAUAAAAUUUUAUUGUUUAAGAGAAUAUGUGUUGCUACUUUAAAAGAUUUAUAUGCAAAAGGGAUUGAUAUUUUUUUCCUUUGGAUAUGUUUAGUUCCCGGAAAAUGUGAGGGAAGAAAAAUAGAGAAGAAAAGUAUAACAAAAUAAAAAGUGAAGGAAAAUGAAAAAUAGAUUUAAAGUUAAUAAAUUAUUUUCAUUGGUUUUUUCAAACUUAUUUUACUUAUUUUAUUCUAUUAAAUAAAGAUUAACUAAUUUUAAUUAUAUUUGGUUUGAUUUUUAUUAUUUUUCAAAGCAAAACCAAAUAUGAAAAAAAAAAACAUUUUUUUUUGUUAUUUUUUUUUUCUUUAUUACUUUUCUGGACUCAAACAUAGCUUUUAGAUUUGGAGCAUGGAAAGAUAAGAGUAUUGAAUAAAGGUUCUAUAUAUGCUCAUGCCCAUGCCCAUGAUACCAUUGAAAAAAAUGGAGAGAGGGUGAAACCUUUACUAGAUGAUAAAUUAUUCUCUUCAAUGGAAAUCAAAUAUAAUUAUUUUUAUCUUGUAUUAAUUGAAUGUUAUACUCCAUAAACUCAAAAUUAAAAUAAAUAAAUAAUUUAAAAACUAGGACAAUCCCAUUUUUUUUUCAAUUUCUUAAAAAGAAAUUAAAUUAUAUUUAUUUAUAUCUAUUUUCAUCCCUACCCAACAAAAUAAUAAUAAAAAAAAAAAACAAGGUGGGACAUGUAUGAGAAAUUCUCACACUAACUCUCCCUAGUUUAUUUUUUAUUUUUUUUAAAAAAUCAAUUUCUUUUAAAAAAAUUAAACUACAUAAAAAAUAAACAAAUUUUACAAAAUUUUUUUUAAGAAAAGUAAAUUUCUUAUUUUAUAUAUGUUAAAAAUAAAUAUAAUCUUUUAUUUUUUAUAUAUAUAAUCGGGAGUGGGACAAAGAAAUAAUCCCCUUCGAUUCCAAUCCAAAAUUUUAAAAUAUAAAAUAAAAAUCUUAAACUCAUCCCUAAUCCAUUUAUUUUUAAUCCUAAACUUGUCUUAUUAAGAAUAAGACAAAGUGAGCACAUGAAAACACUUCUUUUAUCAUCAUCUCUACAAGUUCUAAUGUUUAGAUUGCAAUCCAUAUCAAAGAUUUAUAAAGAAAGAACAACGAUGAAUUUCAUAAACAUUUGAAAGCAUAUACAAAGUUUUAAAUAAUAUUGCUUGAGGUGCAAAUAUUAUUUGGCGCACAUGUUGAGGGACUUCAACUGGUGUAGUCUAGGUUUUUUACACUAGUAAGUAAUCUUGAAUAUCUAGAGUAACUUGAUCAAAAUCUCUUUAAUUUUAUUUUCUUUGAUGGUUGUAUGAUGAAUUAGAAUGCUUAUAUAACAGGAUUAAAAAUUUUAAGAAAAAAAACCAAGAAGAAAGAAAGAAGCACCGAUCUUCCAAAUAUUGCUUCCACUUUAAUAUCUAGAAGGCUCUAAGAAAAUAACUUUAUUCAUGAAUCAUAACCCAAGUCGAAAAUAAAUUGAACCCAUUUUCUAAGUUAAAUUUUGAAUUUUUUACUAGUGAAUGCAAAUUGGGAAAAUGUAUAUAAAUAUAAUUAAACUAGAAUAGUAGAUUAGGUUUGUAGGUGGAGUUUGUUUGAAUUGUUGGAACUUCCAAGUCGUUGUGGGUCUAGUGGUCCCAUAGCUCUCUAUUAAUUUCCACCAUCAAUUUUCUACAAUAAAGUCAAGUCAUUCCUAACCCCUAUAUUAAGUUGGCCUUAAAAGUCAAGUCAUUGAUCAUAGUUACAUUCAUGAAUCACAACCCAAGUCGAAAAUAAAUUGAACCCAUUUUUCAAGUUCAACUUUGAAUUUUUUACUAGUGAAUGCAAAUUGGGAAAACAUAUAUAAAUAUAAUUAAACUAAAAUAGUAGAUUAGGUUUGUAGGUAGAGUCUGCUUGAAUUGUUGAAACUUCCAAGUCAUCGUGGGCCCAGUGGUCCCAUAGCUCUCUAUUAAUUUCCACCAUCAAUUUUUUUGCAAUAAAGUCAAGUCAUUCCUAACCCCUAUAUUAAUUUGGCCUUAAAAGUCUAGUCAUUGAUAGCUAAAUCCUAACCCAAGUCAAAAAUAAAUUGAACCCAUUUUCUAAGUUCAACUUUGAAUUUUUCUUAAUUGGAAAAAUGUAUAUAAAUACAAUUAAACUAGAAUAGUAGAUUAGGUUUGUAGGUGGAGUCUGCUUGAAUUUGUGAAACUUCCAAGUCAUCGUGGGUCUAGUGGUCCCAUAGCUCUCUAUUAACUUCCACCAUCAAUUUUCUGUAAUAAAGUCAAGUCAUUCCUAACCCCUAUAUUAAUUUGGCCUUAAAAGUCUGGUCAUUGAUAGCUACGUUCAUGAAUCCCAACCCAAGUCAAAAAUAAAUUGAACCCAUUUUCUAAGUUCAACUUUGAAUUCUUUUAAUUGGGAAAAUGUAUAUAAAUACAAUUAAACUAGAAUAGUAGAUUAGGUUUGUAGGUGGAGUCAAGCUUGAAUUUGUGAAACUUCCAAGUCGUCAUGGGUCUAGUGGUCCCAUAGCUCUUUAUUAAUUUUCACCAUCAAUUUUCUGCAAUAAAGUUAAGCCAUUCCUAAACCAUAUAUUAAUUUGGCCUUAAAAGUCAAGUCAUUGAUAGUUACGUUCAUGAAUCACAACCCAAGUCUAAAAUAAAUUGAACCCAUUUUCCAAGUUCAACUUUGAUUUUUUUACUAGUGAAUGCAAAUUGGGAAAACUUAUAUAAAUAUAAUUAAACUAGAAUAGUAUAUUAGGUUUGUAGGUGGAGUAAGCUUGAAUUGUUGAAACUUCCAAGUCAUCAUGGGUCUAAGGGUCCCAUAGCUCUCUAUUGAUUUCCAUCGUCAAUUUUUAUGAAUUAAGAUUUAAAAGUGAGAAGGGAAUAAAUUUUUUCUUUUUCAAUUCAUUACAAAAAAUAUUUUUGGUUUUUAUGCUAAAAUUUAUUGUUAUUCAAAAAAUUAAAGUAUAUAAAUAAUAUAUAUAUAUAUAUAUAGAUAUAUAUAUCUUGCUAUUAUAGAAGAGCUCCAAAGUUUUCGUGUUUAAGAGAAUAUGUGUUGCCACUUUAGAAGAUUUAUAUACAAAAAGGAUUGAUGUUUCUCCUUUGACUAUUUUUGGUUCCCAAAAAUUCGAGGGAAAGAAAAUAAAAAAAAAAAAAGUAGUAAAAAAGAAAAAUAAAGGAAAAUAAAAAAUAGUUUUAAAGUUAAUAAAUUAUUUUUAUAUGUUUUUUCAAACUUAUUUUACUUUUUUUUUCAUUAUAUAAAGAUUAAAUAAUUUUAAAAAUGUAUAAAUUUCUAACUAAUUUUAAUUAUAUUUAAUUUUUGUUUUUAUAUUUUUUAGACGGGAUCCGACACAUGAAAAAAUCCUUUUUUUUAGCAUCUUUUUUUCUUUUCUUAUUACUUUCCAAUAACCAAAUAUAACCUUUAGAUUUAGCCUUUAGACUUGGAGUAUGGAACGAUACUGACUAUUGAAAGAAGGUUUUGUAUAUGGCCAUGAUACCAUAGAAAAAAUGGGCGAGAGAGAAAAAACCUUUAUUAAAUGAUAAAUUAUUUUUUUCAAUGGAAAUCAAAUAUAAUUAUUUUUAUAAUAAUUACUUUAUUUUUAAAAAAUAAUAAUAAAACAAAUAAUUUGUUGUUGCAUUAAGUAUUCUUGCAUUUGGAGAAGCAUGUUACUACUUACUACAUAAAUAGAUAUUCAUGGAGUGCAUUCUCUAAAAAGCUCCAGUCUCAUGAAAAUGGAAAGAUGGACCGGCCGGUGAACCGGUUCGAGUUUGGAUUUAUGGGCUGCCUCAGCCUUACACGCAUGAUAGACGGUUGCAGGUGAAGAACUAAUUAAUUUAAAGCCUUCUUCUAUCCUCUCCUAUUCCUCUAUCACUCCAAAUGUUCCACAUGAUAAUGACAAUUCUUUUGUUAAAUGGUAAAAAAAAAAUUUAACAAUUAAUUUUUAAAAAUUUUAAAUUCUAAAUCCAAUUGAAAUUUGACUCUAAUUUGAUGAUAGUUAAAUUACCAUUUUGGGAGAUUCCACUCACUAGUAUUCUCAUUUAUAAAAUCAUGAACUUUGGCAUCCUAAUUAAUGCAAUUUAAACUUUUUUUUUUGUUUACAAAUGAAAUAAGAGGCAACAUAAAAACCCAAAAGUUAAUUUUCCUACCAUCUCUAUGCACCAUUUUAGCUUUACUCCAAUAUAUUUUCUAUGAUUAAUUAUUUUCAUUCAAACAAUAAUAUCAAAAUAUUUUAAAAUUAGACAUAUCAUAAUCAAAUAUCAUUAUAUUAUUAUCGAAUAAUAUUUAAUGUAAUUUAAUAAUCAACUUAUACUUAUAAAAUUUAUUUUUUUUAUUAAUGCAUAUAAUAUUAUUAUCAAAUAUCAUAAAUUAUAUAUAUAUAUAUAUUUCUUUAACAAAACAACUUUAAAAUAUCUAUUAUACUUCUAAUUUCAUUUCUAAGAGGUUUUUUUUUUUUUUUUUUUUUUUUUUUUUUACAUUUUUAUAAGUUUUGAUCAAUUGUAGGCUAACCGAUAUUUUUUAUCAAAAUAUCCACCAAUAUAUCUCCGAUAUAUUAGAUAUAUCCGUAAAAUCGAAAUACCAAUAUAUCCAUGAUUAUCGAUAUUUUUAUCCUUGAGGGAUAACAACUAAUCUAGUUUUUGCACUUAUUGAUAUUCCUCAACAUUUAGAUUGAUUUGACCAAAAUCUUUUUAAUUUUAUUUUCUUUGAUGGUUAUAUGAUGAAUUGGAAUAGUCAUAUAACAUUAACAUAUUUAAGAAAAAAUGAUAAAAAAGAUCGCAUUUUUCAAAUAUUGGUUUCAACUUUGAAUAUUUUUAUUGGUAAAUGAAAAUUGUGAAAAACCUACUAAUGCUAAUACUUUUCACCACAUAAUUAAAUAUAAUAAACUAGAAUAGUGAUUCAUUGAUGUCUCAUAAAGCUACAUGCCUUCUUUGACUUGUUAGUUGAUUUUUGUAGGCGGAGUCCAUUUCCAUUUGAAUUGUUGAAACUUCCAAGUCCUUGUGGGUCUAGUGGUCUCUCUAAUAAUUCCCACCAUUAAUUUUUUGUGAUGAAGUGCAGUCAUUGAUAGCUACUAUAUCAAUUUGCUAUUAAAAGUCAAGUCAUUGAUAACUACUAUUCAAUCUUUUUCAAUAUGGAAAUUGGAAUCGCUAGCACUACUCUUCUCAUUGUUCAUUUUUAAAUUUUAGGUAAUGUGAGAAUGUGUGAACAUAAAUGUCUUCUAAUCAACCAAUUUUUUUGAAAAAAACAUGUACAAAAUUGUAAAACUUGCAAAAUCAAACUUUCUUGUUGAAUAACCAUAGCUUGAUGGUUUUGAAGAAUCAAAGGAUGAAUCCUAAAAGGGUAUUUGAUAAAAAAUAAAAUUUAAAAAAUUAAAAGACAACUACUCCCUUAAGUGUAAUAAGUGUUGUAGACCCCCGGAAGCAGGGACUUUUUUUGAAUUUUUAUUUUUAUUUUCCCGGGGCCCGACAUGAUGGUCAGGAGCUGAUUUUUGGGGCAGAGAGGGGACUCAAGUGGGCGGCUCUCGGGGGGGCAGAUUGGACGGGAUACGGCUGGCUUGCUGAGGAAGACAGGAACAGAAGAAAAACAGAGGAGAAAAGAAGAAAAAGAAAGAGAAAGGAGAGGGGGAUUUCAGACAAGAGGGAGGGAGAAAAAGAAAAGAAAAAGCUGACUGGAGAGGAUUUUGUGGACAGAGGAACCUUCGAGGUAUGAACACUAUCGAUNNNNNNNNNNNNNNNNNNNNNNNNNNNNNNNNNNNNNNNNNNNNNNNNNNNNNNNNNNNNNNNNNNNNNNNNNNNNNNNNNNNNNNNNNNNNNNNNNNNNNNNNNNNNNNNNNNNNNNNNNNNNNNNNNNNNNNNNNNNNNNNNNNNNNNNNNNNNNNNNNNNNNNNNNNNNNNNNNNNNNNNNNNNNNNNNNNNNNNNNNNNNNNNNNNNNNNNNNNNNNNNNNNNNNNNNNNNNNNNNNNNNNNNNNNNNNNNNNNNNNNNNNNNNNNNNNNNNNNNNNNNNNNNNNNNNNNNNNNNNNNNNNNNNNNNNNNNNNNNNNNNNNNNNNNNNNNNNNNNNNNNNNNNNNNNNNNNNNNNNNNNNNNNNNNNNNNNNNNNNNNNNNNNNNNNNNNNNNNNNNNNNNNNNNNNNNNNNNNNNNNNNNNNNNNNNNNNNNNNNNNNNNNNNNNNNNNNNNNNNNNNNNNNNNNNNNNNNNNNNNNNNNNNNNNNNNNNNNNNNNNNNNNNNNNNNNNNNNNNNNNNNNNNNNNNNNNNNNNNNNNNNNNNNNNNNNNNNNNNNNNNNNNNNNNNNNNNNNNNNNNNNNNNNNNNNNNNNNNNNNNNNNNNNNNNNNNNNNNNNNNNNNNNNNNNNNNNNNNNNNNNNNNNNNNNNNNNNNNNNNNNNNNNNNNNNNNNNNNNNNNNNNNNNNNNNNNNNNNNNNNNNNNNNNNNNNNNNNNNNNNNNNNNNNNNNNNNNNNNNNNNNNNNNNNNNNNNNNNNNNNNNNNNNNNNNNNNNNNNNNNNNNNNNNNNNNNNNNNNNNNNNNNNNNNNNNNNNNNNNNNNNNNNNNNNNNNNNNNNNNNNNNNNNNNNNNNNNNNNNNNNNNNNNNNNNNNNNNNNNNNNNNNNNNNNNNNNNNNNNNNNNNNNNNNNNNNNNNNNNNNNNNNNNNNNNNNNNNNNNNNNNNNNNNNNNNNNNNNNNNNNNNNNNNNNNNNNNNNNNNNNNNNNNNNNNNNNNNNNNNNNNNNNNNNNNNNNNNNNNNNNNNNNNNNNNNNNNNNNNNNNNNNNNNNNNNNNNNNNNNNNNNNNNNNNNNNNNNNNNNNNNNNNNNNNNNNNNNNNNNNNNNNNNNNNNNNNNNNNNNNNNNNNNNNNNNNNNNNNNNNNNNNNNNNNNNNNNNNNNNNNNNNNNNNNNNNNNNNNNNNNNNNNNNNNNNNNNNNNNNNNNNNNNNNNNNNNNNNNNNNNNNNNNNNNNNNNNNNNNNNNNNNNNNNNNNNNNNNNNNNNNNNNNNNNNNNNNNNNNNNNNNNNNNNNNNNNNNNNNNNNNNNNNNNNNNNNNNNNNNNNNNNNNNNNNNNNNNNNNNNNNNNNNNNNNNNNNNNNNNNNNNNNNNNNNNNNNNNNNNNNNNNNNNNNNNNNNNNNNNNNNNNNNNNNNNNNNNNNNNNNNNNNNNNNNNNNNNNNNNNNNNNNNNNNNNNNNNNNNNNNNNNNNNNNNNNNNNNNNNNNNNNNNNNNNNNNNNNNNNNNNNNNNNNNNNNNNNNNNNNNNNNNNNNNNNNNNNNNNNNNNNNNNNNNNNNNNNNNNNNNNNNNNNNNNNNNNNNNNNNNNNNNNNNNNNNNNNNNNNNNNNNNNNNNNNNNGGCCCGCCAUACGUGCUUUCCUCAUGAUUGAUUGAUUUGAUUGAUUGAUUGACUUGGCUAUCAUACAUGAUUUAUUUAUCCUGCUCUCCGACAUGCAUGCUAUUAUUUCUUACUUGUGCACUAACCUCUCUCUUGAUAGCGCAUGGUGGCUCGUCGCCCAAGUACGCACCUACUUUCACUCUGGUAAUUGCCCAAGCAUAUUUUGAUUCUCACGUGUGCAUGAUUUAUUCUGGGUACUCAUUGAUCUACUCGUCCAUUGCCAUGAUUGCUUCAUUUUAUUAGUAGAGACCCGACUUUAGGGACUUAGAAGGGUGCUACGGUCCUUACCGUACCUUCCCGAUAAGUAACCUGACCCCCGAACCCGACCCGGUUUUUCGCAGACCGCCUUUUUCAAAAUAAGGAGUCACACUUAGGGUUUUUCUUUCUUAUUUUGUUUACCCUUUAAAAAUAAAACAAAAAUAAGUGACGACUCCAAGUCAUUUUUUUUUUCUUAAUCAAAUAAAAUCAUUUUUCUAACAAAAAUCGAGUUCGUCAUCGAGUGGGAAACACAUGAGCCGAAAUGCGGGGUCCACAAAAUGGCGACUCCGCUGGGGAUUUUUAGAGGGUCAAACUUGAACUUAGAAUGAAGCAAGCGUGGCAUUCGAUUGGACGAUCAGUGGAUGCCCAUUUCUUGAUGGCACAUUGAGGAUAUUUGAUGUAUGCUCGGAUUUUAUAUCUGUUCGAGACUUUUGACAUGUUGAUUAUGGUGAUUGAUUUUAUCCUAAUUGAGGCUUUCGAGGCCAUGUUUUUUCGUGCCUCACUGAUUAUAUCUGUUUGCUACAUCGACAUUGUUGAUUUAUUGAUGAUUGAUCUUAUUGCAUUGAUUAGCACAUUGAUUCUGAUUUUGCCAUGUUUGUUCUGAUCACUUCACAUGCAUACACUCACCACUGUAUAUCACUCGACUUGACAUGUUGAUUCUCUGACUUGUAAUACUGUUUUGACCGUCUUUGAGCAUGAUGUUUGUAUCACUAUUCGUCCCGAUCGUCGUAUUCUCGCUUAUCUUGCGUGUAUAUGAGUGAUAUAUCCUGCUCUGCCUGACUGUAUGAUGCAUGACUGCCCUACCUCUGCAUGAUUGCAUGUCGUCUGUCUAUGUGGGUCUCACUUCUAUCCCCCUACCUCCAAAUCUCUUGGUCUCGGUCAUUCUUUUCAUCUCGGUUCUCACUAUUGCAAGUGUGAGACCUUCUGUGUGCUUGCUCUCUGACCGAGCCAGAGAUUAGGAGUAGGGUCUAGCGACGGGCUAUAUCGAUGCACGGGAGCAUUCUGGAGGAGAGCGACACUUUGAUGUCGAUUGGAGUCCGAUCAUUGAAGACCUGUAUAGCCCCGAGCUAGGUUUCAUGGAUAGUCGUGCGACCAGUGUGUUUCCUCUUCUGCUCUAGAUUCUUAGGGUUUUCGGAUGUACCCACACCUUUCACUGUGCACUUUAGUUGACCAUUGAGCGUCAAGAGUUUGAGAGGUUUCACCAUAGGAAACCCCCUGGGAUGUCGAGGUAGUGCAUGUGUGGAGGUGAUGACCACCUUGCAUGGAAGCACCCCGUCUCUUUUUGAGGCGUGCAGAAGGUUGCGUACCGUCGGAGGGUACGAUCGCUUCUGCUAGGGAUCUUUUAAAGUCCACCCAUAUCCAUUUAGAGUCACCUUCACCAUGCAGGUUGAGCCAUAGAUCCUUUCAAUCAGGACUCCCUCCCUACACGUGGGUGCAUCCGUGGGCCUUCAGAGACGGUUCAGUAGCAACAGGUUUGGUUACCUUCGCAGUAGUCUCUUAUAUAUCUGCUCAGGGUUGGAUAUCAGUUUGUUCGCUUCCAGGCUACCUUUUGACACAUUUGAUAGACAUUCUUUGUGAAGUUUCCCUUACCCCGCACCUUAUCUAGUAUUUUCACUAUUGUAGGAGUACCGAUACGUUCAGUCUGGGUUUGACUUCUUGGAUCAGAGUUGGGGGUAGAUUGAUCAGGGUAUCGGACCAGUUAGGCCAGAGAUCAGAUCAGAGGGAUAUGGAUUCACAGAUAGUUACCGUCGAUCAGUUCGCUGAGGCCAUGGCUUCGAUUCAGGAGGCUAUAGCUAGCCUUGGCCGAAAGAUAGAUGGGCAGCAGGCCCAGCAGGUCCCGCCCCCGGUUGGUGCCCAGUAUGACCCUACAAUGCCACCACCUCCUCCACCCAGUCAGUCAGCGCCACAGGCCAUGCCGUUCACUCUGCAUAGUCAGACCGGGGUUGCCCCACCUCCCAUCACCGCGCCCACCCCGACCUCAGAGGACCCACAUGCUCGCAUGGAUAGACUUGAGCAGGGUUUGAGACAGUUGAGGGCUUCAGACAGAGCCACUACUUGGGAGGGUUUUGAUGGAGUACCGGUAGCUAGCUUGCCGGCUAAGUUCAGGAUGCCUGACAUUGAGAGGUAUACCGGCAUUGGUUGUCCACGCCUCCAUCUCCGAUUAUACAACACCGUGAUGAGGGCUCAUGGACUGGACGAGCCUUAGAUGAUUACUCUUUUCCCACUAUCUUUGAGUGGGGCGGCCCAGCGUUGGUUUGCAUCUUUGGAGGCCUCGAGGCGCCGCACAUGGGACGACUUGGCCCAAGAGUUCCUACGACAGUUUUCGUUUAACACUGUCGUAGAUGUAUCGAGGAGGGAGCUCGAGGCUUUGAGACAGAGGGCGGAGGAGUCUGUUUCUUCUUUCAUUUCUCGCUGGCGCGGGAAGAUAGCUGAGAUUAUCGAUAGACCAUCAGAGAGGGACCAGAUUCAGAUGGUUUUGAGGAGCCUGCAGCCGCGGAUCGCCAGACAUGUGGUAGGGGCCCCGUUCACAGAUUUUGGGUCUCUGGUUAUGGCUCUGUACGAUGUCGAGGACGGCAUCUCGAGAGGCUUAUGGGCAGAUUCUUCCCCUAGUGAUAUUAAGGGGAAGAAGCCCUUCGUAGGAUCGAGGCCAGCAGAUGUGAGCGUUAUCGGUUCUUCCAGUCAGAGGCCUCUCAGGCGCCAUCAGUCGAUCCCACAGUUUCCCGAGCCUCAUUCAUCCUAUGCAUCUCAUCAGUACAGACCACGGGCACCUCGUCCAGCUUAUGAUCAGACAUAUACUCCGCAGACUCUGGCUUUGCCUUAUUAUGCCUCCCAGGGCAUUGAGAGACCCUCAGUUUCCUACACGGCUACAGGACAGCCAUGCUAUGCUGCUCAGUUCACUACGAGACCCGCAGCGUCUUAUCCCCGACCCAGAGCUCAGCAGACUUCUGCUCCCUUUGCUUUGAGGGCGCAGAGGCAGUUCUCACAGAUAGGCAUGCCGUUGAGCCAGGCUCUUCGGAAGCUUACAGAGGCUGGGUUAUUGACUACUCUCACCCCUCGGUCGCCGCCUCAGCCGAUUCCACCUCAGUUCAGGAUGGAUCUACACUGUGCAUACCAUUAGGGGCUUGGACAUGAGACCGAUCGAUGCACCGCUUUGAGGCAUGCCGUUCAGGAUUUGAUUGACCAGGGUUUGGUACACUUGGGUCAGCCGAGUGUGACCACGAACCCGUUGCCUGCUCACACCACACAUGCAGUCCCUCCACCAGCCGAUGACAUUCAUUUCUUAGAGUUUGAUGAGAUCGAUGAUCACAUCCACAUGCUGAGUGAUGUUGAUUCAGACCCAGAGCCCAUCAUGCCAGAUGUGAUUUAUGAGACGAGUGGGGUGACUCUGGGUCCUCGGAUGCCUGCUCCAUUCCGAUUAGUUCCCGAGGCGGCGUCCGUGCAGGCUGCCACAGUUGAGCCAUUGAUUUUGCCGCAUUACAGUGUCCAGACGCCUUUCAUCUUGAUCCCGGAUGUUGAGGGGGUUCAGGCUCCGUAUGUUGAUGAUUCUCAGACUCUGGACAUUCAGUACGUUCUCCGAGGAGGUAGAGUGAUGAGAUAGCCACCUCCAGCUGCUGCCGCUAGACCCUUAGGGGGUGCGUCAUCCCAGGAGGAGGUUAGAGUAGAGGAUGACGAGAUUUUGAGGCAGUUGCAGAGCACUCAGGCUCGUAUUUCUAUCUGGAGCCUUUUAGCGUCCUCCAAUACUCACCGGGAUGCACUGACUCGAGCUCUGAGCCAGAUUAGAGUUGAUACCACGACGACUCCUGAGGGACUCAUUCAUAUGAUGACGGCUGGCAGAGCCACUUGUAUCAUCUUCUCCGAUGAUGACUUGCCACCAGAGGGUUCUGGCCACGCGCGUCCUCUCUAUAUAUCUGUUGGUUGUUCAGGUCGCCGAGUUCCAUCUGUCCUUCUGGACAAUGGCUCGGUCCUGAACGUAUGUCCUCUGGCCACCGCCAUCGCUCUUGGGUACGCACCAUCCGACUUCGGUCCAUCCACUCAGACCGUUCGAGCUUAUGACAUCACCCGUAGAGAGGUCAUGGGUACAUUGGAGAUUGAGCUCCUGAUAGGUCCGACCACAUUUAUCACUAUCUUUCAGGUUUUGAGGAUUCCUACAUCCUUUAACCUGCUUUUGGGCCGACCGUGGAUUCAUCGAGCUGGAGCCGUUCCUUCUUCACUUCAUCAGAAAGUGAAGUUCAUCCAUGAGGGCCAGGUAGUCGUCGUACAGUCGGCAGGGGACAUGUUCAUUUCCGCUGAGCCCGUGCUCCAGAUCAGCCACAGUGACGAUGAUUUACUACUGACCGGGUUCACUUUUGAUGAGGUACAGACUCUUGAGCUGGGAGACUUUUGCCGGGACUUCAUCGCUAUGUCCUUUGACCAGCAUGGGAGCACAGUGGUGCUUGAUAUCAUGAGAGGCAUGUCCUAUCUACCCGGCAUGGGGUUGGGUCGACGUCAGCAUGGACCGAGCGAGUUCAUCACCAUUCCUGAUCAUGACGUACCAUUUGGGCUUGGGUUCAUCCCCACCGAGGCUGACUAUCGAUACAUGGCGCGUUUGCGCAAGGAGAGAGCGAGGGCUCGGCUGACCCACACGCCUUUCGACUAUCCUCUUCGCCCAUACACCAGGAGCUUAUCUGAUUACUUUGUGAGGGCAUCGGAGUCACAUGCACCAUCUGAUGGGAUCAUCGGAGGACUCAGCACCACCCAGGAGGCCGAGCUUCAACGCCUUGUCCAACAGUUACAGUUGAGUGACGGAGCCCUUGGCCCUUCGGCUUCUGUGUUGAUUGCUCCUCCUUCCCCAGAUCGCACGAGCCUUAUGACGCUUUGCUUCCCGGAUGAGAUUGAUGAUCACGGGACUUUUGCCGAGAUUGGAGACGUAGUGGAUAGAGCCGUGCCGCGUGACGAGUACGUUGAUGAGAUGCUCGCGAUGAGUUUGAGCCAGACCGAGGAGAUGGCCCCGCCGGAGCUCGCUUCACCUUUUGAUCUCUUUGGGGUGUCCGUCCUCGAGAUCACUGAGGAUAUCCAGGUUGCCCCCACUCCAGAGGCCGUCGAGGAUGUUAUAGUUGUUGUUGAUUUGUUUGAUGGCCCUGUUGGCCUAGUUGAGGGAGCGUCCGACCUUGUGGACCCACCUCUCACCUUUGAUGUUUUAUCGGGAUUUGUCUCCCGUCAUGACUAUGUUUCUGACUUUUCAUCUAUGGAUUUGAGCACCUUUGAGUAUUUGCCUGUCUCUCAUGUUAUUGAUUUAUCUGCACCAUCUUCACCCACAUCACAGAUUUUUGACAUUGAUGAUGAGAUUGCGCAGCACGACUCAGACGAUGAUUCGUCUUCUGCUUCCGAUUCAGACCCCGUUGAUCAGAGAGUUUCACCUGCUGUAGGGGACACCGAGAUUGUUGACUUUGGCACAACAGAUCAGCCUAGGGAGUUGAGGAUCGGAUCAGAUUUGUCUACAAAUGAGAGAGAUAGCCUCAUCCAGCUACUCAGAUCCUACUUGGACGUUUUCGCAUGGUCCUAUGAGGACAUGCCAGGCCUUGAUCCAUCUAUCGUCCAGCAUCGUUUGCAACUUCUGCCCCGGGCCCGACCGGUUAAGCAGAAGUUGAGACGAUUGCACCCUCGUUGGAGCUUGCAGGUGAAAGAGGAGAUCCAGAAGCAGCUCAGUGUAGGAUUCUUAUCAGUGGUUGAGUACCCGGAGUGGCUGGCCAAUGUCGUCCCUGUUCCCAAGAAGGACGGCAAGGUGAGAGUCUGUGUUGAUUUCCGAGAUCUCAACAAGGCCAGUCCUAAGGAUGAUUUUCCUCUUCCACACAUCGACAUGCUAGUUGACAGUACGGCAGGUCAUUCGAUGUUGUCCUUUAUGGACGGAUUUUCCGGGUACAGUCAGAUCUUGAUGGCUCCAGAGGACAUGGAGAAGACGUCCUUCAUUACCGAGUGGGGCACUUAUUGCUAUAGAGUCAUGCCAUUCGGAUUGAAGAACGCAGGAGCCACAUAUCAGAGAGCAGCGACCACACUCUUCCAUGACAUGAUGCAUCGGGAUGUCGAGGUUUACGUAGACGACAUGAUAGUGAAAUCCCGAUAUAGAUCAGAUCAUUUGGCAGCUCUUGAGAGGUUCUUUGAGAGGAUCAGACAGUUCAGAUUGAGACUGAAUCCCAAGAAGUGCACUUUCGGAGUGACUUUCGGGAAGCUCUUGGGAUACAUGGUCAGUGAGCGAGGCAUAAAGGUAGAUCCGGACAAGAUUAGAGCCAUUCUUGACAUGCCUGCGCCGAGGACAGAGAGAGAGGUCAGAGGCUUCCUGGGCAGACUUCAGUACAUCAGUAGAUUCAUAGCCAGAUUGACAAACAUCUGCGAGCCCAUAUUUCGACUCUUGAGGAAGAGUCAACCUACUGUUUGGGAUGACCAGUGCCAACGUGCCUUCGAGAGGAUCAGAGAGUACUUGUUGUCACCUCCUGUUUUGGCGCCUCCUACACCAGGCCGUCCUCUACUCUUAUACUUGUCUGUAUCAGACGUGGCCUUGGGUUGCAUGUUAGCUCAGCUCGAUGAUUCGAGCAAGGAUCGAGCCAUUUACUAUUUGAGUAAGAGGAUGUUAGACUACGAGACGAGGUAUGUCAUGAUUGAGCGUUAUUGUUUGGCAUUGGUUUGGGCCACUCACCGGUUGAGACAUUACAUGACCGAGUAUUCCGUGCAUUUGAUAUCUCGCUUGGAUCCUCUGAGAUAUUUGUUUGACAGACCCGCUCUGGUUGGUCGCCUUAUGAGAUGGCUGGUACUUCUUACUGAGUUUGACAUCCAUUAUGUCACUCAGAAGUCCAUCAGAGGGAGCAUUGUAGCAGAUCAUCUAGCCUCAUUACCAGUUUCUGAUGCCAGAGCUAUUGACGAUGAUUUUUCAGACGAGGAUGUCGCUGCUGUGACUAGUCUGUCAGGUUGGCGCAUGUACUUUGAUGGCGCGGCCAACCAUUCCGGAUAUGGGAUAGGCGUCUUGUUGAUAUCCCCUCACGGUGAUCACAUUCCCAGAUCAGUUCGUUUGGCAUUCUCGGAUCGGCACCCUGCCACGAACAACAUUGUUGAGUAUGAGGCUUGUAUCUUGGGAUUAGAGACGGCCCUUGAGCUUAGGAUUAGACAGAUGGAGGUGUUUGGUGACUCCAAUAUGGUAUUGAGACAGAUUCAGGGUGAGUGGAAGACUAGAGAUGUGAAGCUUAGGCCUUAUCAUGCAUAUUUGGAGCUACUGGUUGGGAGAUUUGAUGAUUUGAGAUAUACCCAUCUGCCUAGAGCGCAGAACCAGUUUGCUGAUGCUUUAGCUACUCUAGCUUCCAUGAUCGAUAUUCCCGUUGACGCCACUGUUCGAUCUUUGUUGAUCGAGUCGAGAUCUGCUCCUGCUUACUGUUGCCUGAUCGAUGAUGUAGAGCCAGAUGAUGGUUUUCCAUGGUAUCACGACAUAUAUCACUUUUUGAGACUCGGCAUAUAUCCUGAGGCCGCCACGGCCAAGGAUAAGAGAGCAUUGAGACAGUUGGCCACUCGAUUCGUGAUUUGUGGCGAGACACUGUACAGGCGAUCACCUGACGGGAUGCUAUUAUUGUGUUUGGACCGCGCCUCUGCCGAUCGGGUGAUGAGAGAGGUUCAUGCGGGAGUCUGCGAACCACAUAUGGGAGGACAUAUGUUGGCUCGUAAGAUCAUGAGGACAGGAUACUUCUGGUUGACCAUGGAGACAGAUUGCUGCCAGUUUGUUCAGAGGUGUCCCGAGUGUCAGAUACACGGAGAUCUCAUUCACGUGCCGCCCUCCGAGCUGCACGCACUAACUUCACCAUGGCCAUUUUCCGUCUGGGGUAUUGAUAUCAUCGGGAAGAUUUCACCGAAAUCUUCCAGUGGUCAUGAGUUCAUCCUGGUCGCCAUCGAUUACUUCACCAAGUGGGUGGAGGUCGCUUCGUAUGCGAGAUUGACAUCGUCUGGAGUUGCUAGUUUCAUCAGAUCACACAUUAUCUGUCGCUAUGGAGUCCCUCAUGAGUUGAUUUCAGACAGAGGAGUACAUUUCAGAGCAGAGGUUGACACCUUAGUACAGAGAUACAGCAUCCGGCAUCAUAGAUCGUCUACGUACAGGCCGCAGACGAAUGGGGCAGUAGAGGCCGCGAAUAAGAAUAUCAAGAGGAUAUUACGGAGGAUGGUCGAGACUUCUCGGGAUUGGUUAGAGAAGCUCCCAUUUGCAUUGUGGGCUUAUCGAACUUCUUUUCGCACCUCUAUAGGCGCCACACCCUACUCCUUGGUAUAUGGCAUAGAGGCGAUGCUACCCGUUGAGAUUGAGAUGGGUUCGUUGAGAGUAGCACUAGAGCAGCAGAUUCCCGAGGCAGAUUGGGCUCAGGCUCGAUUUGAUCAGCUCAAUCUCCUAGAUGAGAGGAGAUUGAGAGCAGCAGACCAUGUUCGUGCGUAUCAGAGGAAGAUGGCCCGCGCUUUCAAAAAGCGGGUCAAGCCCAGACCAUUACAGAUAGGUGACUUAGUUCUGAAAGUCAUCAGGGGAUUGAUCAGAGAUCCUAGAGGGAAGUUCAGACCCAACUGGAGCGGACCUUAUUUCAUCAGGGAGUUGACCCCAGAGGACGCUGCAUGGUUGAUGGAUUUAGAUGGAAACCGAUUCUCAGAGCCAACCAAUGUGGAUCAGCUAAAGAGGUACUAUGUUUGAGACCAUGGUCGCAGGAUGGGUGGCCAUCAUUUCGGUUAGCCAUUUACCUUGUUACUCCCUUUUGAUACAUAGUCCAUUGCUAGCCCAUUGAGCCUCGCAUGCGCAUUAUAGCCUUUCUUUUUUAUCGCCUUGCUCACAUUUUCACACCGGGAUAGGGGCCCUUUAAUGUAUGCAUGCAUUGUUUGGUAGUUUCAUGAGCUUUGGACCUAGAGGCAUGUUUUUUCUCAUUGUCUUUUUCUAUCACUACACCUUUGCAUUUUCAUCUCAUCUUAUUGGUUAUGUUAUUCAUCUCUUCUUCCUUAUCCUAUCUACUAUCUGUUUGUUUCAUAUUUCGCUUCACCCUGGGGGGUGAUCCUCCUCAGUUCAUCACAUGGAGGGUAGUCACAUCAUUUCUGCCAUCUAUCUCGCGGACACUGAUUUAGAGAUCCUUAGUUUGAGAAGGUCAUCUUGUCAAAGAGAGUUUGUUUGUUACCUUAGCACUUGGGGGUGUGUCCAUUUGUUAUCGAUAUCAUCUUUGGGGUUCAUUUGUUCAUGUUCAGGGUACGCGUAUUUGUAUAUAUGUAAAAAAAAAGAGAAAAAGAAAAUUAUUAUUAUUAUUAUUAGCACAUGUGUGUAUGUGCAUAGUGUUCUCGAUCAUUGGGUAUGUAUAUUGAUGUUUGGGGGUCAUUUUUAUCGAGUAUGUUCGUUAUUGGGAGUUCGUAUGUGAACUCUCUGAGAUCCCACGCUAUUUGUAUUGCUUCGUCAUAUCUAUUUGUGAGAGAGACGAGUGACCUUCUCCUAAGGACUCCGAGUCAUUGCCUUUUCCAUCAUUACCUUCAUUAUUGAUGUGACUUCACUUCAUGUUUGAUCUGAGUCGUUCACCACCUUUCUUCACAUAUUCAUUGUUUCGCCGUCGUUUUUAUCAUUGCUUGUGAUUCAUCUCAUUCCCUUCGCGUCUUAUUCCCUCCUUAUAGCGACCCAUCUCGGUUUCGAUGCUCACUUCGCAUCAUCAUUACACAUGUCACUAUCAGUUCAUUUUGCUCCAUUUGUCUCCUUAUCGAUAUCAUAUUCACGUUAGGCAUCCUCAGGUCCAUGGCUCAUGGGGUUCACUAUACAUGUUGCAUUUCAUAUAUGAGGGCAUGAGUUUUGAUCAUUGGGUAUUUGAGCCUAGUUUCCUUUCGUUUCUAUCACCCUAUCACCUUGGCCUACGUUACGUCCCGUGUCUUAAGACCACCCUGAGGUCAUGGGAUCAGAUGUCGUCUUCGGCAGCCCCUACUUGGACAGGUGAUUGAGAUCUGGUUGAUAUUUAGAUAUUGUCAUGCUUCUUCUUCUGGGAGUCGCCCCUUUGAUGUGUAGGACUGAUUCAGUUGUGUUCGGAUUACCAGGAUCGUGAGUUUGACGAUGAUUGACUUGGUGUCACCUGUUUUUUUGACCUAUCAUACCUCUGGUACCACACUGGGGCAUAUCCCAUUUCAUUUGGAGGUUCAUGGAUCCUCACGGAGUUGCGCGAUCAUCACUUACUGGAUGCUCAUCGAGACGUGGACAUGAUCGUUACCUUACGAAGCCUCUGAGACCCAUCCAGCCAUAUGAUUUCUUGUCGCUUGAUUUCUGGCCUAUCGUGCGCCCGAUGCCAUACUGGGGCAUAUUUUCGUUUCGGAUGAGAUAUACGGAUCUUCACGGAGGUCACGUGCUCGACGAUAGAUGAUUUCAUGUCAUUUGUUCUGCAGACCUAUCGUGCGCCCGAUGCCAUACUGGGGCAUAUUUCCGUUUCGGAUGAGAUUUACGGAUCUUCACGGAGGUCACGUGCUCGACGAUAGAUGAUUUCAUGUCAUUUGUUCUUCAGACCUAUCGUGCGCCCGAUGCCAUACUGGGGCAUAUUUCCGUUUCGGAUGAGAUAUACGGAUCUUCAUGGAGGUCACGUGCUCGACGAUAGAUGAUUUCAUGUCAUUUGUUCUGCAGACCUAUCGUGCGCCCGAUGCCAUACUGGGGCAUAUUUCCGUUUCGGAUGAGAUAUACGGAUCUUCACGGAGGUCACGUGCUCGACGAUAGAUGAUUUCAUGUCAUUUGUUCUGCAGACCUAUCGUGCGCCCGAUGCCAUACUGGGGCAUAUUUCCGUUUCGGAUAAGAUUUACGGAUCUUCACGGAGGUCACGUGCUCGACGAUAGAUGAUUUCAUGUCAUUUGUUCUUCAGACCUAUCGUGCGCCCGAUGCCAUACUGGGGCAUAUUUCCGUUUCGGAUGAGAUUUACGGAUCUUCACGGAGGUCACGUGCUUGACGAUAGAUGAUUUCAUAUCGCUUUUCUUCUGACCCGUCCCACGUUCGAUGCCAUGCUAGGGGCAUAUUUCCGUUUCGAUUGAGAUUUACGGAUCUUCAUGGAGUUGCAUGCUCAUCCCCACUUACGAGAUACACACUGACAUGGUUGUUUCCUCCGUGGAGCCUCUCAGGAGUUACCCAGUUAGGCCUACACUUCGCGACGCCUCGAUGUCAUCAUGUUUUCCUUCCGGGAGACGCCCCUUUUGAUCUAUGGGUUUGAUUCAGUUGUACACGUGGAUGAUUUGGAUCGCGCAUUUGAUGACGGGUGAUCUGAGCUCAUCUGGUUCUUCUGACCUAUCACACAUCCGAUGUCAUACUGGGGCAUACCCCCAUCCUUGAGUCCACCAGGUAUUUUGCGAUUUUUCUCAUCACUUGAUCCACAUCUGGAUCUUUGCGGGUCGUCAUGCUGGGGCAUCCCCCCACUGUCAUUUACGUUUGGGGCAUCCCCCCACUGUUAUUUACGUUUGGGGCAUCUCCCCAUUGUUAUUUACGUUUGGGGCAUCCCCCCACUGUCAUUUACGUUUGGGGCAUCCCCCCAUUGUUAUUUACGUUUGGGGCAUCCCCCCACUGUCAUUUACGUUUGGGGCAUCCCCCCAUUGUCAUUUCGUUAGGGGCAUCCCCCCGCUGUCUUUACGUUUGGGGCAUCUCCCCACUGUUAUUUACGUUUGGGGCAUCCCCCCACUGUCAUUUACGUUUGGGGCAUCCCCCCAUUGUUAUUUACGUUUGGGGCAUCCCCCUAUUGUCAUUUCGUUAGGGGCAUCCCCCCGCUGUCUUUACGUUUGGGGCAUCUCCCUACUGUUAUUUACGUUUGGGGCAUCCCCCCACUGUCAUUUACGUUUGGGGCAUCCCCCGCUGUCAUUUUCGUUUGGGGCAUCCCCCCACUGUCAUUUUCGUUUGGGGCAUCCCCCCACUGUCAUUUACGUUUGGGGCAUCCCCCCAUUGUCAUUUCGUUAGGGGCAUCCCCCCGCUGUCUUUACGUUUGGGGCAUCUCCCCACUGUUAUUUACGUUUGGGGCAUCCCCCCACUGUCAUUUUCGUUAGGGGCAUCCCCCCGCUGUCUUUACGUUUGGGGCAUCUCCCCACUGUUAUUUACGUUUAGGGCAUCCCCCCACUGUCAUUUACGUUUGGGGCAUCCCCCCAUUGUCAUUUCGUUUGGGGCAUCCCCCCACUGUCAUUUUGUUUAGGGCAUCUCCCCAUUGUUAUUUAUGUUUAGGGCAUCCCCCUAUCUUCAGUUUGUUUAGGGCAUUCCCCUACCGUCAGUUCGCUUAGGGCAUCUCCCUUUGUUUCAGAUUUAUCACCACCGUAGGUCUUCACCUAUGGGCCUUAUAGUUUAGUGUUUAGAGUUAGCUUUUUGGUUUGACUUUCAGAGCUAUUAUUUUCUCAGUUUAUCAUUUAGAGUUAGUUUUUUUUUGUUUGGCUUCCAGAGCCAUUAUUCUUCUAGUUUAGUGUUUAGAGUUAGCUUUUUUAUUUGGCUUCCAGAGCUAUUAUUGUUUUUUUCCAGUUUGACGUUCAGAGUCACCAUCAUCACUUUUCAGUUUCGGCGUUCAGAGCCAUCACCGUGUUUUCAGCUCCGGCAUUCAGAGCCAUCAUCGAUUUUCAGAUCGACAUUCAGAGUCGCAUCCUCGGUUUCGGCGUUCGGAGUCGUUAUCACUCCUCGGUUUGACGUUCAGAGUCAUCAUCAUCACUUCUCAGUUUCGGCGUUCAGAGCCAUCAUCAGUUUUCAGAUCGACGUUCAGAGUCGCAUCCUCGGUUUGACGUUCAGAGUCAUCAUCAUCACCUUUCAGUUUCAGCGUUCAGAGCCAUCAUCGGUUUUCAAAUCGACGUUCAGAGUCAUCAUCAUCACUUCUCAGUUUCGACAUUCAGAGCCAUCAUCGAUUUUCAGAUCGACAUUCAGAGUCGCAUCCUCGGUUUCGGCGUUCGGAGUCGUUAUCACUUCUCGGUUUGACGUUCAGAGUCAUCAUCAUCACUUCUCAGUUUCGGUGUUCAGAGCCAUCAUCAGUUUUCAGAUCGACGUUCAGAGUCGCAUCCUCGGUUUGACGUUCAGAGUCAUCAUCAUCACUUCUCCGUUUCGGCAUUCAGAGCCAUCAUCGGUUUUCAGAUCGACAUUCAGAGUCGCAUCCUCGGUUUCGACAUUCAGAGUCGUUAUCACUUCUCAGUUUGACGUUCAAGAUCAUCGUCAUUACUUUUUAGUUUCGGCGUUCAGAGCCAUCAUCGGUUUUUAGAUCGACAUUCAGAGUCACAUCCUCAGUUUCGACGUUCCAAGCCAUCAUCACAUCUUCGUUGACGUUCAGAGCCAUCAUCACUAUUUUCAGUGUGGCGUUCAGAGCCAUCAUCGCUUCUCAGUUUAGGCUUCCAGAGCCAUUACUGUCAUCUUGUUUAGGCUUCCAGAGCCACUACUGUCAUCUUGUUUAGGCUUCCAAAACCACUACUAUCAUCUUGUUUAGGCUUCCAGAGCCAUCAUUGUCGUCUCGUUUAGGCUUCCAGAGCUGUUAUUUUCUAGUUUAGCUUUUAGAGUCAGUUUUUGGUUUGGCUUCUAGAGCUUUUACUUUCUUGGUUUAGUGAUUAGAGUUAGCUUUUCGGUUUGGCUUCCAGAGCUUUUAUUUUCUCAAUUUAGUGCCUAGAGUCGGUCUUGUCAUCCAGAGUCACAACUCCUGGCGUUCAUGUCCACUGGCAUUGCACAUCUUACCUUCAGGGUUUUGCAUUCGUCCUCGGCUUUCCUCACUUCGUUACCCGGUGCUUAUCCCAUAUUCAUCUCGUACUCCAGGGUGGUUCGACCGUUACUCAUCUUUGACAUUGAUCUCUUGAGUCACCUGUAGAGAUGUCUUAGAGGGAAUCUGGGUCCUCGAUGCAGCUUUCGAGGCGCCUUGAGCCUCUCUUAGAAUUUUAGAGCCUCGAGCGAGUUUGUGUUCUACUUGUACCUUUCGGGUUCGGGGGUCUUUCUUUGUUCUUCGAUAGAGUUCACUUCAUUUCACUCUCUUUUCACACUUCUUUUUCACUCUAGUGUUCACAUUCCUUACACUCGUGAACUCUAUCAAAGAGGGGCAUAUUUGUAGACCCCCGGAAGCAGGGACUUUUUUUGAAUUUUUAUUUUUAUUUUCCCGGGGCCCGACAUGAUGGUCAGGAGCUGAUUUUUGGGGCAGAGAGGGGACUCAAGUGGGCGGCUCUCGGGGGGGCAGAUUGGACGGGAUACGGCUGGCUUGCUGAGGAAGACAGGAACAGAAGAAAAACAGAGGAGAAAAGAAGAAAAAGAAAGAGAAAGGAGAGGGGGAUUUCAGACAAGAGGGAGGGAGAAAAAGAAAAGAAAAAGCUGACUGGAGAGGAUUUUGUGGACAGAGGAACCUUCGAGGUAUGAACACUAUCGAUCUCUCGUUUUCUUCCACAUUUUUUUUAGUCUUCAUGCAUUUUUGCUGCUGUUUCUAGCUCCCUUUCAUUGCUUGGACAUGGAUAUUAUUGGUUAUGUGCCCAUUUGUUAUUGUUCCUCUGAGAUUUCCAUGGCUGCGUUUAGGUUAUUCAGGUUGCUCUUUCUAUGGUUUUGGAUUCUACCUGUUCAUAAGUUCAGUGGUUUUCAUCAUGACAUGGGCAUUGGUUUAUAUCACCCGCCGAUUUGUGUUCCAUGUUGUGUUCUAUUUCUAAAGUUAUUUAUUUUUUUUCUUUCUUUCUUUGUUAUUAUUCUCCCCUGCUUCCAUUUCUUAUCUGGACGUGUGGCUUCUUUUGGGUGCAUUGUUUCAUCACGACAUUCCCACUCCAUUAACUUUCAUAUUCAACCUCAUGCUCUCUCUCUCUACCCUUUACUCACACCCACCGAACCCAUUCCUCCCCGCCACUUUCCAUCACCUGCCCCAAGCAUCACCCAUUCAAUCAUUUCAUUCCUUCUCCGUGUACAUGAAGCUCCAUGCAUGCGUGCAUGGGAGCCAUGCAAAGGUGGCACGCUCCUGUAAAGGCCACAGCUGCCGGAUCCGUCCUCGGACACAGACACCAGGCCGCAGCUGCAGGUUCCACUCCCGAACGCCGACGCUGGAACGCGAUGGCGAAGGCGGCAUGGGUGGCGAUAAUCGAGGCGGCGGCGUGGAAAUCGGGCAUCCUGGACAGAUUUCGAGGCCCUCCGGCGUUGCCUCUCUCACCUUCAUUUCCUCCGUCGCCGUCUUCGGAGGUGAGGAAGAAGAUGAAGUUGGCUUUUGGGCUUGCCCAUGGUGUUGGGUUUGGGCUUAAGUGGGAGCCCAGCCCAAGCAAGGUGAUGGAAGUCAAUGUCUUCUCAAUGAAUGGGUUGAGACAGGGAUGGGCUUGGGCUUGGGCUUUGCUAGUGGACUUGGAGGCUUGGAUUUGGGCUUGAGGCUUGCUGAUGGACUUGGACUGAAAUAGGGUUGAUAGGGUGAUAUUAUUAUUAUUAUUAUUAUUAUUAUUAUUAUUAUUAUUAUUAUUAUUGUUAACGAAUAUUAUUAUCAUUAUUAGCAAAAUAUUAUUAUUAUUAUUAUUAUUAUUAUUAUUAUUAUUAUUAACGGAUAUCAUCAUUAUUAAUUAUUAUUAUUUCUAUUAUUAUUAUUAUUAUUAUUAUUAUUAUUAUUAUCAUUGUCAUUAUUAUUAUUUGCUCAGUUUUUUCAAAUCUUUUCAUCGUUAUUAUUUAUUAUUAUUAUUAUUAUUAUUCAUUCAAAUUUUCAAAAUCUAUUUAUUAUUAUUAUUAUUAUUAUUAAUCCAAACUUCCAAAAAUCUCAUUAUUAUUAUUAUUAUUAUUCAUUCAAAUUUUCAAAAUCUAUUUAUUAUUAUUAUUAUCAUCAUUAAUCCAAACUUCCAAAAAUCUCAUUAUUAUUAUUAUUAUUAUUAACUCAAUUUUCAAAAAUCUAUUUAUUAUUAUUAUUAUUAAUCCAAACUUCCAAAAAUCUCAUUAUUGUUAUUAUUAUUAUUCAUUCAAAUUUUCAAAAUCUAUUUAUUAUUAUUAUUAUCAUCAUUAAUCCAAACUUCCAAAAAUCUCAUUAUUAUUAUUAUUAUUAACUCAAUUUUCAAAAAUCUAUUUAUUAUUAUUAUUAUCAUCAUUAAUCCAAACUUCCAAAAAUCUCAUUAUUAUUAUUAUUAUUAACUCAAUUUUCAAAAUCUAUUUGUUAUUAUUAUUAUCAUCAUUAAUCCAAACUUCCAAAAAUCUCAUUAUUAUUGUUAUUAUUACCUCAACUUUCAAAAUCUUAUUAUUAUUAUUAUUAUUAUCAUUAUCAUUAUCAUUGAUUAAAGCUUUCAAAACCAUAUUAUUAUUAAUUCAAACUUUCUAACUUCCAAUUUCCAAGCCCAAUUUAUAAAAAUUCAACCUUCAAAUAAUACUUCAAAAUUCCGAUCUUUAAAACUCAAUUUCGAUUUCCGAAAACACUCAUACUCACUUUAAUCUAUUUAAUUAUUGUUAUUUUGAUAAUUUAUUUCAAAACUCCAUUUUAAAUCGAAUUCUCUAAAACUUCUGAUUUUCCGAAUUAAAUUCCUAAUCCCAAAAAUUCUCAUGUUCCCACUAAAUUAUUUGAUCAUUGGUAUUUUAUUUAUUUCAAAACUCCGUUUUAAAUCAAAUUCUUUAAAAUUGUUGAUUUCCGAAUUAAACUCCUAAUCCCGAAAAUUCUCAUGUUCUCAUUAAUUUACUUAAUCAUUAGUAUUUUAUCUCCAUUUUAAAUCAAUUCUUUAAAACUUCAGAUUUACAAAUUAAAUCCCUAAUCUUGAAAAUUCUCAUAUUCACAUUAAUUUAAUCACUAAUAAUUUGUUUAUUUAUCUUAAAAUUCUAUUUUAAACAAUUCUUUAAACUUUCUGACUUCUAAAUCUAAUUUCCAAUUUCAAAAAUUUCAGCAUUCCCAUUCAUUUAUUUAAUCAUUAUUUUCGUCCUUAUUAUUAUUAGUUCAUUUAUUUAUUUCAAAAUUCCAUUUUUAAACAUUUUUUUUGAAUCCCAACUUUCGAACUUAAUUUCCGAUUUCUAAGAUUCUAAUUUCCUUCAAGUUUGACAUCCCAAAAUUCCAACUUUUAAAUUUAAUUCUCAAGACUCCAAUCUUCAAAUAAUUUUCGAGACUCCAAUUCCCAAAUAAAUUUCAAAAAUUCAAUUUUCUCUCUAACAGUUUUAAUUCUCUUCGGGUUUCAAAUAAUCUUCGAUUUCUCUUGGUUUUAUAUAAACAUGAAUGCUAUUUUCAUAAUUCCAGAAUAAUGGGAUUUGUGAUAUUAAUUCCUGCAAAAAUGAAUGGGCUUUGGUGGGGGCCCGCCAUACGUGCUUUUCUCAUGAUUGAUUGAUUUGAUUGAUUGAUUGAUUGAUUGACUUGGCUAUCAUACAUGAUUUAUUUAUCCUGCUCUCCGACAUGCAUGCUAUUAUUUCUUACUUGUGCACUAACCUCUCUCUUGAUAGCGCAUGGUGGCUCGUCGCCCAGGUACGCACCUACUUUCACUCUGGUAAUUGCCCAAGCAUAUUUUGAUUCUCACGUGUGCAUGAUUUAUUCUGGGUACUCAUUGAUCUACUCGUCCAUUGCCAUGAUUGCUUCAUUUUAUUAGUAGAGACCCGACUUUAGGGACUUAGAAGGUGCUACGGUCCUUACCGUACCUUCCCGAUAGUAACCUGACCCCCGAACCCGACCCGGUUUUCGCAGACCGCCUUUUCAAAUAAGGAGUCACACUNNNNNNNNNNNNNNNNNNNNNNNNNNNNNNNNNNNNNNNNNNNNNNNNNNNNNNNNNNNNNNNNNNNNNNNNNNNNNNNNNNNNNNNNNNNNNNNNNNNNGGCUGCGUUUAGGUUAUUCAGGUUGCUCUUUCUAUGGUUUUGGAUUCUACCUGUUCAUAAGUUCAGUGGUUUUCAUCAUGACAUGGGCAUUGGUUUAUAUCACCCGCCGAUUUGUGUUCCAUGUUGUGUUCUAUUUCUAAAGUUAUUUAUUUUUUUUCUUUCUUUCUUUGUUAUUAUUCUCCCCUGCUUCCAUUUCUUAUCUGGACGUGUGGCUUCUUUUGGGUGCAUUGUUUCAUCACGACAUUCCCACUCCAUUAACUUUCAUAUUCAACCUCAUGCUCUCUCUCUCUACCCUUUACUCACACCCACCGAACCCAUUCCUCCCCGCCACUUUCCAUCACCUGCCCCAAGCAUCACCCAUUCAAUCAUUUCAUUCCUUCUCCGUGUACAUGAAGCUCCAUGCAUGCGUGCAUGGGAGCCAUGCAAAGGUGGCACGCUCCUGUAAAGGCCACAGCUGCCGGCUCCGUCCUCGGACACAGACACUAGGCCGCAGCUACAGGUUCCACUCCCGAACGCCGACGCUGGAACGCGAUGGCGAAGGCGGCAUGGGUGGCGAUAAUCGAGGCGACGGCGUGGAAAUCGGGCAUCCUGGACAGAUUUCGAGGCCCUCCGGCGUUGCCUCUCUCACCUUCAUUUCCUCCGUCGCCGUCUUCGGAGGUGAGGAAGAAGAUGAAGUUGGCUUUUGGGCUUGCCCAUGGUGUUGGGUUUGGGCUUAAGUGGGAGCCCAGCCCAAGCAAGGUGAUGGAAGUCAAUGUCUUCUCAAUGAAUGGGUUGAGACAGGGAUGGGCUUGGGCUUGGGCUUUGCUAGUGGACUUGGAGGCUUGGAUUUGGGCUUGAGGCUUGCUGAUGGACUUGGACUGAAAUAGGGUUGAUAGGGUGAUAUUAUUAUUAUUAUUAUUAUUAUUAUUAUUAUUAUUGUUAACGAAUAUUAUUAUCAUUAUUAGCAAAAUAUUAUUAUUAUUAUUAUUAUUAUUAUUAACGGAUAUCAUCAUUAUUAAUUAUUAUUAUUUCUAUUAUUAUUAUUAAUUAUUAUUAUUAUUAUUAUUAUUAUUAUCAUUGUCAUUAUUAUUAUUUGCUCAGUUUUUUCAAAUCUUUUCAUCGUUAUUAUUUAUUAUUAUUAUUAUUAUUCAUUCAAAUUUUCAAAAUCUAUUUAUUAUUAUUAUUAUUAUUAUUAAUCCAAACUUCCAAAAAUCUCAUUAUUAUUAUUAUUAUUAUUCAUUCAAAUUUUCAAAAUCUAUUUAUUAUUAUUAUUAUCAUCAUUAAUCCAAACUUCCAAAAAUCUCAUUAUUAUUAUUAUUAUUAACUCAAUUUUCAAAAAUCUAUUUAUUAUUAUUAUUAUUAAUCCAAACUUCCAAAAAUCUCAUUAUUGUUAUUAUUAUUAUUCAUUCAAAUUUUCAAAAUCUAUUUAUUAUUAUUAUUAUCAUCAUUAAUCCAAACUUCCAAAAAUCUCAUUAUUAUUAUUAUUAUUAACUCAAUUUUCAAAAAUCUAUUUAUUAUUAUUAUUAUCAUCAUUAAUCCAAACUUCCAAAAAUCUCAUUAUUAUUAUUAUUAUUAACUCAAUUUUCAAAAUCUAUUUGUUAUUAUUAUUAUCAUCAUUAAUCCAAACUUCCAAAAAUCUCAUUAUUAUUGUUAUUAUUACCUCAACUUUCAAAAUCUUAUUAUUAUUAUUAUUAUUAUCAUUAUCAUUAUCAUUGAUUAAAGCUUUCAAAACCAUAUUAUUAUUAAUUCAAACUUUCUAACUUCCAAUUUCCAAGCCCAAUUUAUAAAAAUUCAACCUUCAAAUAAUACUUCAAAAUUCCGAUCUUUAAAACUCAAUUUCGAUUUCCGAAAACACUCAUACUCACUUUAAUCUAUUUAAUUAUUGUUAUUUUGAUUAUUUAUUUCAAAACUCCAUUUUAAAUCGAAUUCUCUAAAACUUCUGAUUUUCCGAAUUAAAUUCCUAAUCCCAAAAAUUCUCAUGUUCCCACUAAAUUAUUUGAUCAUUGGUAUUUUAUUUAUUUAUUUAUUUCAAAACUCCGUUUUAAAUCAAAUUCUUUAAAAUUGUUGAUUUCCGAAUUAAACUCCUAAUCCCGAAAAUUCUCAUGUUCUCAUUAAUUUACUUAAUCAUUAGUAUUUUAUCUCCAUUUUAAAUCAAUUCUUUAAAACUUCAGAUUUACAAAUUAAAUCCCUAAUCUUGAAAAUUCUCGUAUUCACAUUAAUUUAAUCAUUAAUAAUUUGUUUAUUUAUCUUAAAAUUCUAUUUUAAACAAUUCUUUAAACUUUCUGACUUCUAAAUCUAAUUUCCAAUUUCAAAAAUUCCAGCAUUCCCAUUCAUUUAUUUAAUCAUUAUUUUCGUCCUUAUUAUUAUUAGUUCAUUUAUUUAUUUCAAAAUUCCAUUUUUAAACAUUUUUUUUGAAUCCCAACUUUCGAACUUAAUUUCCGAUUUCUAAGAUUCUAAUUUCCUUCAAGUUUGACAUCCCAAAAUUCCAACUUUUAAAUUUAAUUCUCAAGACUCCAAUCUUCAAAUAAUUUUCGAGACUCCAAUUCCCAAAUAAAUUUCAAAAAUUCAAUUUUCUCUCUAACAGUUUUAAUUCUCUUCGGGUUUCAAAUAAUCUUCGAUUUCUCUUGGUUUUAUAUAAACAUGAAUGCUAUUUUCAUAAUUCCAGAAUAAUGGGAUUUGUGAUAUUAAUUCCUGCAAAAAUGAAUGGGCUUUGGUGGGGGCCCGCCAUACGUGCUUUCCUCAUGAUUGAUUGAUUUGAUUGAUUGAUUGACUUGGCUAUCAUACAUGAUUUAUUUAUCCUGCUCUCCGACAUGCAUGCUAUUAUUUCUUACUUGUGCACUAACCUCUCUCUUGAUAGCGCAUGGUGGCUCGUCGCCCAAGUACGCACCUACUUUCACUCUGGUAAUUGCCCAAGCAUAUUUUGAUUCUCACGUGUGCAUGAUUUAUUCUGGGUACUCAUUGAUCUACUCGUCCAUUGCCAUGAUUGCUUCAUUUUAUUAGUAGAGACCCGACUUUAGGGACUUAGAAGGGUGCUACGGUCCUUACCGUACCUUCCCGAUAAGUAACCUGACCCCCGAACCCGACCCGGUUUUUCGCAGACCGCCUUUUUCAAAAUAAGGAGUCACACUUAGGGUUUUUCUUUCUUAUUUUGUUUACCCUUUAAAAAUAAAACAAAAAUAAGUGGCGACUCCAAGUCAUUUUUUUUUUCUUAAUCAAAUAAAAUCAUUUUUCUAACAAAAAUCGAGUUCGUCAUCGAGUGGGAAACACAUGAGCCGAAAUGCGGGGUCCACAAGUGUAUAUGGUAGCACAAAUUUCCUACCACUUAUUAUUUUUUCCUUUCUUAAAAAAUCAUUUACUCUAUUAAAUAAACUAACCUUGGCUUAUCACUUAUAGCAAAAUAGGUUAAGUAGUUUUUAAAAUUUUAUAAUAUUAGAUUUACAUUUUUAUCCUUCAAAAUUUCAUUAAUGCUAGAUUCUUCUAUAUGCUUAACUAAUAAAUAAUUUUUAGCAUUUUUCUUUUCUUAUAAACAUAAAAAAAUAAAAAUAUUAUUAACUUAUUGGUAUAUUUUAAAUUUUUAAUUAGAUUUAAGCUUUUAUUUGUUUGGAUUACCAAUUAUACAUAUAAAUCCUUUAUUAUUAUUGUUAUUAUUGAAAGAAAGGGGUUGAAUAGGUAGUCCCUGAAUCCCCAAAUUAAAUUCUUUAUUGCCUACUUUUGGUUUAUUCCUUUACAUGAAUUCCUUGGUGAGAGUAAACAUUUCAUUAAUAGAUAAAUAAAAUUGAUUCCAUAUCAUAGGGUAUAAUGUGGAAAAAUCACCAGUCUCAUGUGUUCCUUAGUGGAUCCUUUGGAGCCCUUAUCAAAGUUUCAUGAUGAAACCAUUGACUUUUGUUUAACCCAAAUGUGCUUUCAAGACAAAUCUUGAAAGAUUUGAGAGAUGGAGGUUCAAGUCUUUUAUGAACGACCAUGUUCUCUUAGGGUUCAUGAAAAUUCACACCUUUUGAUAAAUAAAACUUAUCUAUUUAUACAUCUAAAACCCAGUAUUUAUUUAUUUAAUUAUAGAAAGUUUCUUAGUUUUAAAAACAUUACAAAAAUCAUUUUUAGAAUCAAAUAACAAUUUUAGAGAUAAACACAAUAUUAAAAUUUAACAAAAACAAAAUUUCGAAUUAAAAACACAAUAUAAACUAAAUUACAAAAUAUAAAGUAAUUUUUAUCCUAAUUUCUUGUUUCAAAACCAAAUGGAACACCUAGAAGGGGAGUGAAUGGGUGAUUUUAAAUUUUUUCAAUAAUGAUUUAUAAGUUAUACCCAAUUCUUUUACCUUGCGAGUUGUUAGGGACUAUCAAUUCUUUUCUUUUGGCAAUUCAAACAAUAUAUCAAAUAAUAAAAAGAUAUAAAUAAUGAGACAUAAAGAUUUUUAUGUGGAAAACCCCCCACACUAACCAUGGAGAUAAAAAGUCAUGGAGUCUAAGACCUAUUAAUCUAAAUUCACUUUACGAAAUCAAGUUACACAAAUUUAUUUGGCAACUUUACCUUAAAGACUUACUCUUCGGUACUGACAACUUGAUUCACGUCCACGACGUAGCAACCCUCGAUUACUCCAAUGGAUCACUUCAAGCUUACUAAAAGGAUGAAGGCCUUCAAACCAAGAUUCAAAAAUCAAUUCCUUGAAUGAGAGAUCAGGAAUGGUGUGCCACUUUAGGCUUUCUCUCUAAGAACUCUAAAAUGAUCUCCUCAAUGAAAACCUCUUAAACAAAAUGAGAUAUUUUCCCACAAUCUCUAAUCCUUAAGGGGUUAUAAUGAGAUAUUUAUAAGCAACUAAGUUGAAGAGUUUCAGUUUUGGAAGGUUUCUCAAUUGAAUUUGUGUGAAAAACUCGGCAGAAUCAACAUGACUGCUCGAGCCAACACACUUCCCACUUGAGCGUUUCGGGCACUUGAGCGGUAAGGCUCGCUUGAGUUGUCCCAAGCGCUUGAGCAUUCCAGGCUACUUGAGCAAUCUUGCUCUAUUUCAAAAGUUAAUUUUAAAUCAUUUUAAGUUCAAAACAAAAUUGAUUCCCUUUAUACCUCAAAGGAGCCUAACUUGCCACAAACCAAACCUUUUUAGAUAUACUUGUGACUUCCUGGUUGGACGAAUAACAACUCUUAAUCUUCAAUGGAAAGCAAGUCAUUAUCUAAAAAGAUUUAUAUGGUCAAAUAUAAAAAAACAAAAAAAUUUCCAACAUAACAACAAGACUCAAUGUCCUAACAAUCUCCCCCUUUGGCAAUUUUAUGACAAAAACAACGUUACAUAUACCCACCUGAACUCUCAUAAUGGAGUUUAAUAAUACACAUUAACGUUCAAUUAAAAAUAAACUAAGGGAAUACUUUGUAUCACUUUGUAGUAUUUGUCUUCCAACUUUGUAACCUACACACAUAUAGAAAACUAUGCCAAAGGUAAAGCAAUGUGCAAGAUAAGAUAUGAUCAAGAAAGCAAAAUAGGAUAAUUGGAAAUUUUGCUUGAUGCCUUGUGAAAGCAUGAAAAAAGAACAAAUUCAUAUAGUAAUACCAAGGGACAAAGCAAAACUCGAGAAGAAUAUAUAUGUAUGCAAAUCAACCAAACAUAAUUAAAGCUACAUAAGAUGCAAUAGAUCAAUAAUAAUGCCUAGGGGUCUAUCUCCAACCAGAAAAUAGGGAGUGAAGAUCAUAGGAAGAACCUUCUGUGACUUAGAAAGGUUCUAGAGAGAUAGUCAAUUCAAAUAUAAAUAUCUUGCUGGAAACAUCUAUGUUAUGUAUCUCUCUAAACCUUCUAAGUUAUGCUUUCAUCAGUUGAUUUGGUUUUUCUCCAAUGUCUUAGGUUUAAUUUCCUCUAAUAUUUCAAUUAGAAAGAAAUUGGUAGUCAAUUGACUUAGUGGGUGUUUGGUAAAACUUAAUACUUAUUAUUUAAUGAUUAACUUUAAGUUAAAUUGUUCUUAAGUUCUUAAUUUAAAAUUUAUUACUUAUUCUGUAUUUAAGUAUUAAGGUUAUUUGAAAAAAUCGACUUAAAAUUUAUUCUAAAUCAUCAAAUUGACACAUUUACCCUUAUUAAUUUUAAUUAUAUUUAUUUUCAUUAAUUUUAAACAAUAAAUUUAUUCAUAAAACAUCUAUAUUUUUGUAGAUACAUAAUAACCAUAAAAUAUUUACUAUAAAAAAUGAGUCAUGGAUGUAGAAUUAUAAUUCAAAAAUAUACACUUAUGAGUGUGGGUAAAUAAGGCAAAAAUGAUUUGAGAUUAAGAGUAAAGUUAAUUAUUUUGACUUAAGACUUCAAGUUAAAAAUAACUUUAAGUUGCAAUAUUAAGUUAUUUUAUCAAACAUGGUUAAUUUACUUAACGACUUAAAUUAAGUUAUUAAGUUGAUUUAUCAAACACCCCACUAGUAGUAUGUUGAAAAUGAAGAGCAUCCAUAGUAGAUAAUGUAUAUGUAUUUGUGUUUAGAGUAGAAGGGCACUACAACAAUGGACUUGCAUGUGAUUUGGUCGCGAUAUGAUUUUGGUGAGAAUAUUUUAUUGUCUUUAAAAUAUUGUUAUAUGAAAUGCCAGACUAUGUUAGUAAAUAAUAGUUAUGUUAGUAGAAAUGAAAGUUUGUUUUAUAAUGCAUUGACCAUCCUAACACAUGUACUUAAUUAUCAUUAGUAGUUAGACAUGUAUUCCCUUUUUUCAAUUUUUUUCUUCUUUUUAAAUACAUUCUAGUGGUACUUUGCCUUAUGACUUAAUUUUUGUUACACUUACUACUUUUGGUUUUAGUCAUAUUUCGUUUUAUUAGUAUUUUCAUUUUGUGUUACAAUUUUAUUUAGUUUCUCUAUAUUCUCUUUUGGAUGGUGAUUUCACUUCAAAAUUUAAUUCAAAUUAGGCUUAUUAUCCCCUUAGUAAGCCUUUUCUAGGCGAGUUGUUAUAGAAAAUUAAACAAACCUCUCCUAAGGUUGGCCUUGUUACGUAGACUUCUUUUCUAUUUUGAAAUAUUAUAUUGACCUCCCUUGUUAGAUAUUGGUUUUUACAAUUACUAAGAAUAAUGCUUCUUAAUCAUUAUUAACGACGUCUUCUUUCUCCAAUUUUCUUCUUCUUCCUCCAUACAUGCUAAUUUGCAAAAAUUUAUACCCAUUAUUUAAAUGAAAUUUUUUGAAAUAAAUUAAAACCUUCCUUAUUUGAUAUUAUAGAAACCUAAUUUAAAUAAAAUAUUUUGAAAUAAAUUAGAUAAAAAAAAAAAAAAAAAAACUUGUCAUCAUUCUAACCCAAAUCAAAUUUUAAAGAAUAAUUAAAUAUUUCAAGUCUCAUUUUGUCUCAAUAUCACCUUUGCUAAUCAACCUAUCCAAUCUUAGAUCAAACCCAAAUUGCAAUCAAAUUUUGACAAGAAAAAAUCAACUUAAGACUGAAUAAGAAAACUUGUGGAAAGAGUCUCAUCAAGAAGGUGCAUGAAACCCUCCGUUCAAAAACUUCUUCUAAAAUAAAAUUAAAAAAGAAAAGAAAAAGAAAAGAAAGAUAUUCAAUGUUAAAGGACUUUUAAGAUAAAUCAAAAUUUGAAAAUGAAUGUUAAUACUUGCAAUAGAUUCCACAUUCAUGAACAAAUUACCAUUGCACCACUUAUUUUCAAUUCACACUUUAAUUUACUAUCCAUAGAAACUUUCAUUAAAUUUUCCAUAAAACAAACAAAGAGCCUUAACCCCCAAAUAUUUUAAUUCUUAAAAAUACAUCAUUUCAUCAAUUUUUGAAACCCUCAUUUUAACACAAAUUAUUUUUUUUACAAAUAAUUAAAAGAAUAAAAAGAAAAUUAAGAAGAGGUUGUCAUUAUUAUUCUUGCAAAGUCACCACAAAAUAAAUUAUAACAAAUAUAGAAAAUAAAAUAAUAUGACGAUGAAGAUAAUGCUUAGAAAGUUAGAAUGAGGAAGAUAAUAUCAUUUAGAUGAUUUAGGUUAAGAUGAGGACUAGAUAAGGAAAGUGACAUCAAUUGCCUAAUUAUUUGGGGUUUUAGAGAUACAAAAUGAGGGAGAUGACUAAAAUUAUGGUUUAAUUAUUUUUGGUUAAGGAUUAUUAAGUUAUUUUAAGGAAUUAAUUAAUUUAUUUAUAAUAAAUUUAGAAAUUAAUUAAAAGUUAAUUAUAAUAAUUAUUGAUUCAUAGUUUAAUUUAAAGCUAAUUUGAAUAAAAGAUGAAAAACUGAAAGUCCAUUAGGGUUCCACCUAGAGAGGGGAGAGGAGGUGGAUGAUUUAAAAAAUUUCAAUAAAGAUCUAUAUGUUAUAUCCAAUUUUAUUUUACCCUGUGAGAUGUUAGGGAUAACCUUUUCUAUCAAUCUUAGGCAAUUCAAACAAAAUAUCAAAUAUAAAAGAUAAGAACAAUAAGGUAUGCGAUUUUUAUAUGGAAAAUCCUCACACUAACUGUGACGAUAAAAACCACGAGGUCUAAGACCUAUUAAUCUAAAUGCACUAGAUGAAAUCAAGUUACACAGAUUUACUUGACUGCUUUACCUUAAAGAUUUACUCUCCGGUAGGUACAACUUGAUUCAUAUCCACAACAUAGCAACCCUUGAUUGCUCCAGUGGAUCACUUCAGCUUCCUUGAAAGGAUGAAGGUCUUCAAAAUAAUAUUUAAAGAACAAAUCCUUGAAUGAGAAAUUGAGAAUGGUGUGGCAAUCUAGGUUUUGUCUCUAGGAGACCCUUUUUAGAGAAUAAAGUCUCUCAACAAUCUAUCUCGAAUCUCUUCAAGAUCUCUAACCCUCAAGAGGUUAUAAGGGAGGUAUUUAUAGACAAAAGUUUGAAGAGUUUCGAUUUUGGAAGGUUUCUUAAUUGAAAUUUCGUGAAAAACUUGGUAGAAUCAACAUGAUUGCUCAAGCGCCUCAAGCACUUGAGUGGUAUGGCUCACUUGAGCGGUCCUAAGCGCUUGAGUAGUCUUUAGUGCUUGAGCACUCUAGGCCACUUGAGCAGUCUUGCUCUAUUUCAAAAAUCAAUUUUAAAAUCUUUUUAAGUUCAAAACAAAAUUGAUCCUCUUUAAUACCUCAACAUAGCCUAAUUAACAUAAGUCAAACCUCUUUAAACAUGUGACUUCUCAAUUGGACAAACAACAACCCUUGAUCUUCAAUGAAGAGUAAGUCACUAACUAGAAAGACUUCUAUGACCAAACAUUACAAAGAACAAAAUUGCCAACAUAUAGGCAAGACUUACUGUCUUAACAAUCUCUCCCUUUGACAAUUUUGUGACAAAAAAUCGUUACAUAAACCCACUUGAACUCUCAUAACGGAGUUUACAUAACACACUUUAAUGCUCAAUUAAAACUAAAUUAAGGGAAAACUUUGUAUUAGUUUAUAGUACUUAUAUUUCAACCCUGUAACCUACACACAUACAAAAAACUAUACUAAAGGUAAAGUGUUACGACCGCCUCUACCACGGCUUCCAGCACGUUUGCCACGAGGAGCUAUGGUGAUUCUUUGUUGUAACAAACCUGAUCAAGAGAAUAAAUAUGGUUUUAAUUCGAGGAAAAACCAGACCUCCCAAUAGCAAACUGCUAUAUAAUAUUCUGAUUGUUCCCCAUUGAUAUGCCGUGAAGCUCUAUAAAUAGCUUUACAAAGUUAAACAACUCCAACAUCCCUAAACUACUCAUCACCUAGAUAAGGAUAAACACUAUUCCUAACCAAACUCCUAAUACUUUAAUCUGAUAACAAUUCAGAUUGCUAUUAUUAUCCUAAAACAAAUAAAAAUAAGAUAAUUAAAUAAAAAAUGAGAUAAUCCUAACACAAUCCUACUCAGCAACUCCUAUGCCUCAUGAAUACAGCAACUCCUCUUGCUAGUGGACAUAACAUUUCCUACCCCUUUAGAUUCGACCCUUGUCCUCAAGGGUGAUAUCAGGAAAACGAAGCCUCAUGAAUACAACAACUCCUCUUGCUAGUGGACAUAACAUUUUCUUCGAUAUCUCCAAUUCCGUCACCGUUAUCCUCCUCUGGCCAGCAUCCUUCAAUCAAAAAAAGCUUCUUACACCGAUGCCCAGGGGCAAACUUUUCGUCACAAUUGAAGCAAAGGCCCUUAUCUCUACGUUCUUUCAUCUCCGUUGGUGACAAUCUUCGAAUGGCGGGAGUAGAUGAAAGUGGGCGACUGGUGACUGUUGAGUUCGUUGAUACAGUCUUUUUUGGCUCAAGGUUGAAACUGGAUCGCUUAUGAUAUUUAACCUCAUAGAGCCGAGCCAAACCUAUUGCUGCAGACAACGUUGGUGGUUUCAUGGCUUGAACAUCUAUCCUCACAUCUUCGUUUAGACCACCAAUGAAACAAGCAACCUGUUGAGACUGAUUUAACUUCCCCACUCGGCUGAGGAGUUUCUCGAAUUGGCUUUGAUACUCCCGUACUGAACCAACCUGUUUGAGCCUUAUAAGAUCUCCAAAAAAAUCAUCAAAUUUCGUUGGCCCAUACCUGGAAUUCAGCCCUUCCUUGAGCGUGAGCCAUGCAACUUCCCCUUCUUCCUUCAGUAUUUGAUACCACAAUUGUGCCUCGCCUUCUAGAUGAUACGUCGCUAGCGGAACCUUCUCUUCCUCAGCAAUUUUCUGAAAUUCGAAGAAUUGCUCUACUCGACAAAUCCAACUCGUUGGAUCUUCACUGCCAUUAAAGCGAGGAAAAUCAAGUUUAGUGACCCUUGGAAUUACCGCACCAUAAGACUCAGUGGAGUCACGAGGGCCUCUAUAAUUGAAUCGCCGAGACCCCCCACCAUUGUGUGAACUCUCUCCUCGUUCCAAACUUUGGUUGCCCGAUAUUUGAUCUAAUCGGGUAUUCAUUGACGUUAUUACUUGCAUCAGUGUUUCUUGUAACUCCUGGAACUUCCUAUCUUGCUCUGCUGCUAUAGAGCCUAUCUCUGUCUCCAAACGAUCAAUGCGUGAUUCAUCCAUAACCUGCUCUGAUACCAAGUUGUUACGACCGCCUCUACCAUGGCUUCCAGCACGUUUGCCACGAGGAGCUAUGGUGAUUCUUUGUUGUAACAAACCUGAUCAAGAGAAUAAAUAUGGUUUUAAUUCGAGGAAAAACCAGACCUCCCAAUAGCAAACUGCUAUAUAAUAUUCUGAUUGUUCCCCAUUGAUAUGUCGUGAAGCUCUAUAAAUAGCUUUACAAAGUUAAACAACUCCAACAUCCCUAAACUACUCAUCACCUAGAUAAGGAUAAACACUAUUCCUAACCAAACUCCUAAUACUUUAAUCUGAUAACAAUUCAGAUUGCUAUUAUUAUCCUAAAACAAAUAAAAAUAAGAUAAUUAAAUAAAAAAUGAGAUAAUCCUAACACAAUCCUACUCAGCAACUCCUCUGCCUCCUCUUGCUAGUGGACAUAACAUAAAGUAGUGUGAGGGAUAAAGUAAUGUUGAGAAAGCAAAACAGGAUAGUUUGAGGUUUUGCUUGAUGACUUGUGAAAACAUGAAAAUGGAACAGAUUUUUGUAGAGACACUAAGGCACAAAGCAAAGCUUGAGAGGAAUAUAGAUACACACAAAUCAGGAAAACAUAAUAGAAGCUUGAUAAGACAUAAUAGAUCAAUAAUAAUGCUUAGAAGUCUAUCUCCAACCAGAUAAUGGGUAGUGAAAACCAUGGAAAGAAGCUUCUAUGACUCAGAAUAGUUCUAGAGUGAUAAAUAGUUCAAACAUAAAUAUCUUAUAAGAAACAUUCGUGUCAGGUAUCUCUUUAAACCAUCUAAGUUAUGCUUUCAUCAGUUGAUAUGGUUGUCUCCAAUUUCUCAAGUUUAAUUUCCUCUAAUAUUUCAAUAAUUUCCCUUAAUGGAUGAAUGAAUGAAUGAAUGAAUUGAAUUAAAGAAUUCAAAAUUUUUAACUCAUAGUAACUCCCCUUAAAUUACAAUCAAUACAAUAAUUCAAAUCAAGUAUACCAAAACAUAAAUAAUAGAACAUUUAUGCAUUAGGUGGCGGUAGAGGGAUAGAGCUUGAAGCGCCCUGAGAAUGGAUACAGGAAAAGAUGUAGUUAAGUUAUCCCUAAAUCUCUCAGAGUUGGAGAUCCUAAGAGUCCAUCUUCUGAUGAAGUCGAGCCAUGGAAUUUAGAGCCUCAUGGGCGUUGGGUCUACAGAAGUAAAAGCCUUGUGUGUAGCUCGGGAAGAACUAACACAACCUCAACUCUAGAGUGAGUCCUCGGAGCAGACUCUAAAUAGUCUGUCUCUAGAAUUCCACUCUACUCCAUAGCUCGAAGCUCAUCCUCCUGGACAACUGCCUCUGCAUGCUGGCCUACAUCAUGCAGUUCAUAAGCUGGAACAACCAUCAAACUGUAUACAUGAAUGUAGUGCUUGGCCCAGGAACUCCCAUCCAAAAAGGCAUGGGUAGCUUAGACCCCUAGUGUAGGAUCAAUCUUAAAUCCCACAUCCUCGAGUAUCCGCGUGAUGAGGAGGGUAAAGGGGAGAGUGCCUCCUCUAAAGGAUAAACCACGAAGGGGAAUGAUUGUAUCCAGGAUGACCUAGCCAAUGUCAAAUUGUUGGCUUGAGAGAAUGGCGUGAAUAAAGUGAGCAGAUGGUCAACGGAUUUGGGUGCAGUGUGUAAAUGGGUAGAAGGAGUAAGUGAAUAAUGUUGCAAACAACCAUGUUUGCUUGGAGAAGCCAACAAUCAGGAUAUAAGAAGGAAAGAGGCAAAGACUGCCAUAAAGAGAAGUCAGAAUGGUGUCAAGUUUCUCUCGGGUGAGAGCCUGAACCUCUGGGGAAAACAAAGGAAUGAGAGCCUUAAUUUGCGACUUGCUAAGGACACAUUGAAUGGAAUGAGAGGAAAUAAGGAAAAAUUGACCAUGCAUGGUCACCUGAAAGCUGACUCCGACCAUAAUAUAAUGCAUGUUCUCAUAGAACAUGUGAACAAGAUGGGGAUAGGAAGUCCCCUAGAGAGAAAACAGUCUCCUAACCCUACUCUUGAAUGAUGAUAGGGAAGACAGUGUCCUGAAAAGCUUAGAGGUUAAUGGCAUGCUCAGGCUCGACACACCGAUAUGUGAAAGAAGCGUAAUUAUGGUCCCGUGCCACCUGGCAGUGAAAGCGCUCAACCGGAAGUGCAUCUAGGUUAAAAAGACCCUGGAGUGGGAUGCCCUAGACGGUUUCAGUGACCUAGGAAAGGUCACCUCCCUUUGACAUCUAUGACUAGCCAUAUCUAAGGUAUAUAAUAUGAAAAAACAAAAGCUAAAGAAAAACUAAAGAAAAUCCAGAGAAAAGCUAAACCACUAAAAAUGUUAAACUCAAUGCGUCGAACAAUACUAUACAAAUGGAAAUGAAAAAUAUGAAGCGAACUGACCUCAGAAUACAAAAGGACAGUAACCCAGAGGGCUCGAAGAGGAAUAGGAAAGUUUGAAAUGAAUAUGGCGUCCUGGAUGACCUUUAUAUAGCUUAUAGGAGUGCUUGAUGCAGAUUAGCACUCGAGCGUCCUUACUAACUUAAAUCAAAUUAUUUAUUAAUAUGUAAAUAUUUUAAAAGUUUCAAAGGAAGUAUUCAAUUUAGAACCUUUUUAGAUUUUUUUUGAAAGAAACAAAAAUAAAGCGUGAAAUAUUAUGUGUUUAAGGUGUUAGAAGACAAUAUUGUCUAAUCCAAAGCCUUACACAUUCCCACAAAAAAAAAAAAAGGAAAAAGAGAGAUAUUAUAUAAGAUUUUGAUCACAUCUAAUAGAAACUCAUAUUUAGCAACAUAUCACCAAGCACUAUCUUAUCUGAAAGCUCUAACAUGUUGGAAAUUUAUUUAAGGUUCCAUAACAACUAACAACUUUUUCUGACGACUCAGUAGUGGACCAUUUGCACUUUAACUGCAUUAUUGAAUUUAAAUCAUAUUAGAAUAGUAAUUGACUUCUCUUUUGUGAGGCUACAUAUCUUGUAGGAUGGGAUAGGUGAUUCAUUUCAUAUAUGAAAUUUAGUUAAUUUAGUAAUGCAUCCAAGUUCAUUAUGAAUCUAAUGGUAUCACAACUCCUUGAAUAUUUGUAAUCUGUAAUCUUUGAUUCAACUUCUCAAGUCUAGUCAUUUUAUCGGCAUAACUAGUUUGCUUCAAUUAUCUCUCAACUUUAUUAUAAAACUAAGGGAAAAAAUUAUCACGGAUUUUAUAUUAACUUAACCAAACAUCUUUAUAUAUAUAUAUAUAUAUAUAUAUAUAUAUAUAUAUAUUGUAAAUUUAGGAAAAUUUCAUCCAUUAGCCAUAGUAAGUAAGAAUCAAAUAAGGGAUAUGUAAGCCAAUGGUGAUAUUGAUGGCGUCAAAUCAAUGACAUAGUAGAAAAGUGGAUUGUCUAUUUUCAAACCUUUAUAUUUUCAUCCAAUAGUAAAAAGGUUUAGGCAUCACUUGAAAAGUAGUUCGUUUUUUUACCUUGGACUAUGAUUUAUGAAUAAAGUUCUUCUAUUGUAUACCUUUUGUGAUGCCCCAAACCUAAUUUAUGGGUAAAAAAAAAUAAUUUAGAAAAAAAUAAAUAAAAAGUUAAAUAAAUUUAAUUAAGGUAAAAAUGUAUUUUCGUAUUUAAAAUUCCUAGGUAUCAAUUAUAUAUUUCUUGUCUUCUCUAUUCAAAAAACCCUAUUACACAAAAAUCAAAUAUUAGAGAACAUAGGACAACGCAGGGUUGAAGAUUUGGAGGUUUAGGGUUGAAGAUUAGUUUUCCGGGUAAGAUUCUAACCCUUAAAUUAGUAUUUUAGAUUCGUUAAUUAGUUUAAACACUUCAGAUAUUCUUUGAAAAUCUGAAUCUAUGUUAGGGUUUGUUAAUUUAAUUUUUAAAUAAAAAAGAUUGAAAAUUUAUGAACAUAAGUAGAGUUAUUAUUAAAGAUUGAAAUUUUUUGAAUAUUUGAAUUAAAAAUCUAGAAAAAAAGAAGAAAAUAAAUUAUAGCUUUGGAUGUGGAAAAAAAUUAAUAUUAAUAAAUAAAUAAAACCUAUGAGUAUGGAGGUAGAAAAAUAUGAGAGUUGAAAGCAAAGAAAAAAAAAAAGAAUAAGGUUUUGUGGUUGUACAUGCCUCCUUAGUGGAAAAAAAAUACAAGGUUGCUUGCAAUAGGAUAUGACAAAGAGAGAGAGAUAAAUGCUUAGAUGUUGAUUUUUGUGGGGAAAAAAAGAUUGGGUAAUGUAGGAGAGAAAUAGGUAGCACUUGUAGAGUUGGUGGAGUUGUUGUAAAAGCUCGUAGGGGUAAUUGUUAGGUAGUGUAGGGUAUGAGAUUAAUUGUUAGGAAACAUUAGGACUUGAAAUAAUAAUAAUUGCUUCUAGUAAAAGUUUUAAUUUAGUUUAAGUAUAUAAAAGAAAUAGAUGAUUAGAAUAAGAUUUGGAAGGAAUAUGAAUUCAUAAAAAUUUCGAGAUUUACUAAUUUAGAUUAUUAUUGUUUUGGAAGUUGAAUAUAAUAUAGGUGAUAAUAUUAUUAAUAUAGGAAAUGAUUCAGAUUCUCAAACCUACAAUUUUAGAUAAAUAGUUAAUAGUAAUAGAUGAUUUUUUAUUUUUAUUUUAUUUUUAUUUUUUAUGUUAUGUUAAGUGAAGAAUGGAUUCUUUGAGAUUAAUUCUCUAAGGUUUCUAAGUGUUUCUUUAAGGUAAGGGAUGUUAAUACUGAUUUUGUAAAUGAAAAUAUUUCUUUUUAUAAGUUAUUUUAAAUUAUGAAAAAUUUUAUUUUUAUUUAUGCAUGGAUCAAAUAUAUAUUUUUUCACGAGAAACAUGUUUGGGCAAUUUCUUUGUUUAUAAAUAAAUAAAUAAAUAAUGAAAACUUUGGAAAUAUAAUGUUUUGUUUUGUAAGUUUAAAAUAAUGAAAUAAAGUUUUUUGACUCUAGUUUAUAUGACCUUAGUUAAUGGGUUAUAAUUGUUGACAUUUUCAGCUCCAGUCAAUGAUUAUAAUUGUUGACAUUUUUGGUUCCAAUCAACGAUUAUAAUUGUUGAGAUUUUCAACCCUAGCCAACGGGUAUAAUAGUUGACCUUAUAGCCCUAGUCAACAGAUAUAAUUGUUAACCUUUGGUUUUGCCCAUCUUAAAAAGAACAAAUUUAAGGCUAGCCAUUUAUUUGUAAAGUCCCACUUAACUAAGUACCAUUUGUUAUUUAAUAACCAGAGUAAAGAUAUUUUGAAUGUAUUUGAUAUGAAAUUGUUUUGAUAUAAAUAUGAAAAUGUUUGGUUGAAAAGUUCAAAUGUUUAAUGCAUGUUGAAUUCAAAAGUUUUUAUGAAAAUGAUUAUAUGUUAUAUCCCCUAUUUGUAAGUUUGAUCCAUGAAACUGUAUUAAUAUUCCUUAUUGGACUUUGAGCUCAUUCCCCUUUGUUGAGAAUUUUUUUUGGUAUUCUCAGUUUGGGUAAGGAGUGAUGACUGGGUUGGGGAAUUUUCUUUGCUAUGAUUUUGGUUCAAUCUUUAUUUUGGACAUUGUUUAGAUGUUAAAAUUUAAUUGCCAUUUAAAUUAUUUGAGUUUGGAGUUAUUUGGACGAUAACACUUUGAUUGAUGUGUUAGUUUUAAAGUUGAGAAUUGAAAAUUAUAGAAUUUAUUUAUCUUACUACUUUGAACAGAAAUUUAGUAGUUGGAGAUCAUCCAGUUACAAGAUGAAUAUUUGUGUCGUUUCCACUUUGAGCGUUCAGGCUUAGGGUGUGAAAUGACCGUUAUGCCCUUGGAGUGGGUAUAUUGUUUAUUUGAAUUUAAUGGUCCCUGAACUCCUUAAUUACUCAUAACUUUAUAUCACCUUCUCAAAGUAAGUUGUUUUACAACUACUAUCUAGCUACUUAUCUCUACUAUGACAACUUUAUUACAUAGUGAUUAAUUGAAAGAAUCUACAUGUCUUAUUUCAUAGGAUAGUUGAUUUUUUCACUCAAUGAAUCUUGCUUUUAUUAUUGAAAUUUUCAAAUCAUUGUAGUCCAACAAUUUCCUAUCCAUUGGUAAUUUCAUAUUACAUUUCCAAAGUCUAAUCAUUUAAAAACACUUGUAGUUAAUAUAUUGGCAAUUGCAUUGUGGGAAGUUGUUCACUUGAUUUUAAUGUUGAAACUUUCAAAUUGUUGUAGUCCAACAAUUCCCUAUCCAUUGGUAAUUUCAUAUCACAUUUUCAAAGUAUAAUCAUUUACAAAUACUUGUAUAUAGUAUAUUUGGUGAUUGUAGAGUGGAAAGUUGAUCGUUUUUAUGAAGACCUCUAAAAUAGAAAUUUUUUUCAUUCCAUUUAAUAAAGAAUUUCAUUAAUUGAACAUAUAUGUUUUUUAACCGGAAAGUAAAGGCCACAUUAGGCCUUAGGUGACAAUACUAGGUGAGGGUUUUUCUUAAAAUUUAUUUAUUACGAAAUAUAAAUAAUAUUAUUUAUUUUAUAAUAAAGAUUAUUAUAAUAUAUUUUUUAUAGAUUUGAAAAAAAUAUUAAUUGAGUUUUAUUUAUUUUUAAAUAAUUGUUUUCAAUAAAUAACUUAUUUGUAAAAAUAAAACUAUUAAAUAUAUGCAUUUGAAAAAUAUUUAAUUUUUAUUUGAUUUAGUAUCAAUUAAUAUUUGUAAUAUUUUUUAAUAUUAUAGAAGUUAACAUACCCAAUUAAGAUAUUCAAGAUCAAGAGAAUAUUAUAGAAGUUAACAUACCCAAUUAAGAUAUUCAAGAUCAAGAGAAUAUUUGAGAUUGAAUUAAUUUCUUUAUUGUUUAUGUUUUAGUAAAUUUUUAUAUCCAUAACAAAAUUUUUAUUGUUUAUUUUUCAUUCAAUGUUUGCAUUUUGUAAUAGAUAUUAAAACAAAUUUUUUUCUUGCAUGUUAAAAAAAUAUUUCAAUGUCUUUAAAAAUAAAAUAUUGCAGUAAAAUCAAAAUUACAUUGUGAAACUUUAAGCAAAUGUUUUAUACUUAAGAAGUGCCAAUUAGAGUAAGCAUGCAUCUACAAUUGUGAUUUAGAUGUCAUAUUGAAACAAUAGUUCUCUUUGACUAUAUCAUAAAAUUUGGUUCGAAUUACUUUAAGUCAUCUUGUAGAUUUUCAAGUUCCAAUGAUAUGCAUCAAGUAUGUGCAACAUACUUGAUAUAACUAAUAUUUUCUUAAGUAAUUGGACACUUUUUUCUAUAAAUUUACUUGAUUAUCAAUGAAUACUUUUAUGUAGGGUAUUGAUAUAAUUCGAUAAAUAUUUUAAAAUAGUAUUAGAAUAGCUUUGCUCUUUCCCAAUUAACAAAUUUACUAAAUUAACUUAUAUAUAUUUGUUUAUUUGAAUUUACUGGUAUUUGACGCAAAUUGUUAUUAUUUUUAAAAUUAUAGGAAAACCAUUAUUUAUAGAGUUUAAUUAUAUUUGGUAAAUUAUCUUUUUAAGUUUGACUAAGAUUAGGAAACUAUUAAUUUAAUAUUAAUCCAUAAGGCUCUAUAAAUUUGUAGUUUUAUAUAGGAUUUAAAAAAAGAAAGAAAAAGUAAGAAAAAGUAAGAAAAAGUGAAGAGAGAUAGGCAAAGAGUGCAUUGGGUUUUAGAUAGAGAAAGGUUGAGAGAGUUUUGAUUACUACUCAAAAAGAACAUAUUUUAGAUAGUAAUUCUCAUGGGUUUCACAUCUUUUGAGCAUUAAUUAUGCCUAAAAAUGCUCAAUUAACAUGUUGUUGCCCUCGCAAGAGUUACUAACAAGUUUUAUAAAGUUUUGGAGUCAUUUCAAGUUAUGAUUUUAAUAAAUUGAUGACAAAAGAGAUGAACUGAUUUGAAGAAGGCAAAUAAUAUUGAUGAUGAUCCAAAUGUAAAAUGAAAGAAGCAAUAUAAUUAGAUUGAUCGGGAUUUGCUGCUAAUUUGGAGGUAGUUAAGGUGGAGUCAAAAGAAGAAAAUGGAAGAAAUGACAAAGAGGACCUUAAAAACCAAAUGUUGCAGAUUUGUAUGAUCAUGCAAAAAUUUUACAUGACUAUGCGAAAUGGAUUAGAGAAGGAAAAUUGACUAUGGUAUAAGGAGGAUGCUUAAGUUGAUUUCACAUGAACAUGAGAAAAUUUCGCAUGAACAUGUGAAAAUUUUGCACAAUCAUGUGAAAUGGUCCAAAAAGCUCUCUAAUGUUGUUGUUGCUCCACUAAUUUCUCACCACCAUGCGAAAUCGAUCUUUUCAUGCAAAAUGGUUGAAGCUCAUGUGAAAUCAUGAUUUUGAUGCUAAACUCUAGAUUUGUGAAUUUGGAAGGUUUUAGAAGACCAAUGAGAGGUUGCCAAGUGUCCACUUGACCUUGGUCUAUAAAUAGAAACUGGAAUUUCCCAUGUAAAGGGCUUUGAGAUACUUUUGAUUUUAGAUUUUUCUAGAAACUCUUUCUCUAAAUAGAAUUCUUUAUUUUCUUUAAUUUUCCCUCAUUUUCUCAUUAGCCAAACAUGCCUAGUGAGACCAAAUCUCCAAGUAUGAGUGGCUAAAUCUCGUUUUUCUCAGAGGAAUGAGGAUCUAGAGGUAAGAUCUAUGGUGAAUUAUAGAAAUGAGUUUUAAUUGCAAAUGUAAUUUGAUCCAAUUGAUUGAUUAAUUGAAAUUUGAGGAUUUUUCUCUUUAAAUUGUCCUGAAUGACUAUUACAUUGCAAACUAGGUAGAUUCAUUAAAUUCUUAAAGCUAGAUUUAAUGAGACUGAAUAGUUGCAUUUGUAUGAAUCAUUGGAAAAUGAUUUAAGAUGAAUUGAAUAUAUAAUUUAAAUUGAUCUCUUGGAUUAAAUAACCUAAUUUGAAGAGAAAUUAGGUUUAGACUUAAAGGUAAAUCUAAAAUUGGUUUAGAUAAGAAUUUAGGUUUUCAAUCUAACUUGAUGAAAAAUAAAUCUCAACAUCUAUUCGCCAUGGAAAUUUUUUUCUAAAAAAUAUUAACUCCAAGAAUUCCUUUUCCUUAUCAAUUUUCUUAUGUCAUCUAUAAUGUUCUGGUUUUGUCCUCUGUAAUGUUCUUUAUUGUAUUGUGGAAUUAUUCUCUCUCAUCUAUGUAGGCAAGUUGCUAAACCACGUUAAAACCUCAAAUACCAUUUGUGUUGAUUUUUUUUUAUCUUUGUGUUCUUGAUUAAUGAUGCUUGCAUCAAAGCUUCUACCAACGUAACAAUGUGCAACAUAUUUGAUAUAACUUAUAUUUUCUUAAGAAAUUGAACACUUUUUUCUAUAAAUUUACUUGAUAUCAAUGAAUACCUACAUAUACGGUAUUGACAUAGUUUGAUAAAUAUUUUAAAAUAGUAUUAGAAUGGCUUNNNNNNNNNNNNNNNNNNNNNNNNNNNNNNNNNNNNNNNNNNNNNNNNNNNNNNNNNNNNNNNNNNNNNNNNNNNNNNNNNNNNNNNNNNNNNNNNNNNNUUCUUUUUCCCAAUUAACAAAUUUAUCAAAUACACACACACACAUAAUACUCAUUAGUAUGUCUUUUAUGAAAAAACUAUAUUGUUUAUUUGAAUUUAGUAGCCAUUCAACUCCUUAGUUACUCAUAAACUUUAUAUUACCUUCUUAAAGUCAAGUCAUUUACAAUUAUUUCUAUCUAGCCGGCCUUCUCCAUUAUGACAACUUUAUAAGAUAGUGAUUGAUUGGAAGAAUCUACAUGCCUUUGUUGAUAGGAUAAUUGUUUUUCUUUUUUUCGUAUUCAAAGAAUCUUGCUUUUGUUAUUGAAACUUUCAAAUCCUUUAUGUCUGAGAUUUGAUGUAAAUUUGCUUAGUUACCAAUGAUUUCAAAUUUCAUUAAUUAGUACCCCUAUAGAUGUAAUUUGUGUACAAAAUUUAUUUUUUAAAAGAAUUUAGGGAAAAAUAUUUUAGGUAUAUGUCUUUAACAAUUCUCUAAAAUAAAUUUUACUUGCUAAAAAAUAACUUAUAUAGAUAGAAUACAUCUACAAGAGUUCUAACUAACGAAAUUUAAAACUAAUGGUGGUUUAGCGUAUUUAAACUAAACAUUAGGAAGGGUGACUGAAAUUAACCCUCUAGGUAUAUAUGUUUAACAAAAUUUUUAUUGUUUAUUUUUCAUUUAAUUUUUGCAUUUUUCAAUAAACAUUGAAAAGGAAUUGUUUUUCCAUAUGUUAACAAAAAGAAAUUUGAACACCUAUAAAAAUAAAAUCUUGUAGUAAAAUUGGAGUUACAUUAUCAGACUUUUAACGAGUGUUUAUGUUUAGAAAGGCCAAUUAAAGCAAGCAUGCAUCUAGAAAUUGUAACUUAGAUGCAUCAAACAUGAGCAACAUAUUUGAUAUAACUAAUAGUUUCUUAAGUAACUAAACACUUCUUUUUCUAUAAAUUUACUUGAUUAUCGUGAAUACUUACAUAUAUUUACAUAGUUUGAUAAAUAUUUUAAAAUAAUAUUAGAAUAACUUUGUUUUUUCUCAAAUAUUAGAAAAUAAUAUAAAGUUACUUAUAAACUUUAUAUCAUUUUCUCAAAGUCAAGUCAUUUACAAUUAUUUCUAUCUAGUCUUCUCCAUUUUGACAACUUUUAUAUGAUAGUCGUUGAUUGCAAGAAUCUACAUGUCUUUUUUGAUAGGAUAGUUGUUUUUAUUUUUUUUAUUUUUUUUAUUCCAAAAAUUUGCUUCUAUCAUUGAAACUUUCAAAUCUUUUAUGUAUAUUACCAAUCAUUUUACAAGUGAGUUAAUUUCACUUAGGGUAGAUAUACUUAGCCACACCCCUAUAGAUGUAAUUUGUGUUUAAAUUUUAUUUUUUAUUUAGGUAAAAAUAUCUUAGGUAUAUGUGUUCAACAAUUCUCUAAAAAAUAAAUUUUCUUAUCUAAAAGUUUAUAUAGAUAAAAUACAUUUAUAGAAGUCCUAACUAAUGAAAUUUAAAAUCAAUGGUUGUUUAGUGUAUUUACAUUAAACCUUAUCGGGUAUGAUUGAAAUUAACUCUUUUACAAGCACUUGUAGCUAAUAUGUUUGUAGUUGUAGUGUUGGAAAUUGAUCAUUUUCUUGAAGGCCUCUAAGAUAUUGGAAAUAUUGCCAUAGUUUUAGACUUUUUUUUAUUACACCUAAUAAAAAAUAUUAUUAAUUUAACAUAUAUAUUCUUAACUUAAAAGUAAAGUCUCUCCAUAUUGUAUGAGCCCUUAGGUGGCAAUAUUAGGUGAAGUUUUUCUUUCGUUUAUUACAAAAUAUAAAUAAUUUAUUAUUGUAUGAUAAAAUUUUAUAUAAUAUAUUUUUAUAGAUGUAAAAUUAUUAUUGGGUUUUAUUUUAUUUUUUUACUAAAUUGUCAUUUCAAUAUAUAAAACUUAUUUGUAAAAAGACAAUUAUAAACUAUAUGAAAUACAUUUAGUUUUUUUAUUUAAUUUAGAAUUUUAUUUGGAUUAAUAAUUGAUAUUUGUAAGAUUUUUUAAUAUUAAAAAAAGUUAGCAUACUUAAGAAAGAUAUUCAAGAUCGGGAGUGUUUGAUAUUGGAUUAAUUUCCUUAUUUUCCUAUUUUAAUAAAUUUUCAUGUCCAUUACAAAAUUUUUGUUGUUUAUUUUUCACUUCAAUAUUUUUAUUUUGUAAUAGACAUUUGAAAAGAUUUUUUCCUACAUGUGAAAAAAAAAAAGAUUUGAACACUCCUAAAAAAGAAAUAUUGCAAUAAAAUUAAAGUUUACAUUGUAGGACUAUUAGCAAGUGCUAUAUACUUAAAAUAGACCAAUUAAAGUAGAAAUACUUCUAAAAUUGUAAUUUAGGUAACAAUAAUAUAAAAAGAUAAUAUUUUUGAAACAAUAGUUCUCUGGAGUUUUGGGUACGAUGGACUAGACUUUAUGUAACAAUAGAUAUACGAACUUUCCAUUAACAUCUUGAGAGACAUGAUGAGGAGCAAAGUCAUCCAAGAAGGUACCAUAGAGGUACCUUAGCUCCAUUCAUCUAGACUACAUAAUGUUUAAAGAUCAAAUUCAAUGACUAGAUUUCAAAAAUCAAUAUAAGCUUUCUCAUAUUCUACUCUAUAUAAGACAAUGGUAUCAUUUUAACAUCAGUUUGAAACUUAGAAGUCACUUAGCACAUUCUAGUUAUUAAUUUAAGAGCAUUAAAAGAAAAUAUAAAAAAAGUUACUUUAUCCUUGUGAUUUUGAUCUAGGACUUUUAAUGAUAUUAAAAAAAAAAAAAACAGAAAAAUAAAUGGAAAUAAAAUCAACAAAUUAAACAAUUGAAUUAUGUUAGUUUAAUUUUUGCAUCGUUAAAUGGGUAAAUAAAGACUCUUAGAUUUGAUAUUAAUAUGAACAUCAUGACUUCAGUGAAUCUUACAAGAAAAUUUUAGUUUGAAAGACUUCAUUCAUUAAACGUGUGGCACAUAUUAAAGUAAAACUAAGUCUUCUCUAUAAUUUGUACCUAUCAUAGUUUCUUUCCUCAUAAAUAGCCUUUUUUGAAUAUAAUAUAGACUUCAACAUGCAUGGUGGGGCCGAUCAAACUACUAGUCAAGACAACUCAUGGGCAACAACGAUGUACCAACUACAUUUAAAUACUCUUCAUCUAUUUGCAUAUCAAGAGUAAUUUAGUAGUGUCUUUCUUAUGUACCUCAUAUCUAGAUUUUCAAUGGAGAGUUCUUCAUCUAAAAUUUUGACUUGGGUUUUCAUACUAGUUUUGGUUUAGACAUGUGGAUGCAAAGGUUGCAUCAAAGAAGAGAAGUGGGCUAAAUCAUCUUACAAAUUUUCAAGUUCAAAUUAGAUGCACCAAACAUAUGCAACAUAUUUGAUAUAAUUAAUAUUUUCUUAAGUAAUUGAAUACAAUUUUUUUUUUAAAUUUACUUGAUUAUUAAUGAAUAACUACAUGUAUGGUAUUGACACAACUUGAUAAAUCUUUUAAAAUAGUAUUAGAAUAACUUUGCUAAAAAAAAGUAAAAAUAAAAAUAAAAAUACAUCUAUAUAUAUAAAAUUAAAUAAAAUUAAAAAUUAAAAAAGAAUAUAUAUAUAUAUAUAUAUAUAUAUAUAUAUUCUGUGUGUGUGUGUGUGUGUGUGCAUGGUCCCACAACUCAUUAGCUACUCAUAAGCUUUAUAUCACUUUCUCAAAAUCAAGUCAUUUUGUAAUUAUUUCUAUCUAGCCUUCUCCAUUACGACAACUGUAUAGGAUAUUGAUUGGUUGGAAAAAUUUUCAUGUCUUUUUUUAUAAGAUAGUUUUUUAUUAUUAUUAUUAUUCAAAGAAUUUGCUUUUAUUAUUGAAACUUUCAAAUCCUUUAUGUCUAGUGGUCCUACAAUUCCCUAUUCAUUGGUAUUUCAUAUUACCAAUCAUUUUAAAAAUAAGUUUAUUUCACCCGGUAAAUAUACUUAACUACCAAUGGUUUCAAAAUUAAUUGAUUAACACACUUAUAGAUGUAAUUUGUUUUUAAAUUUUAUUUUUUUAGAAGAAUUGUAGGUAAAAAUAUUUUAGGAAUAUGUGUUCAAUAAUUCUCUAAAAACAAUUUAUAUAGAUGGAAUACAUUCAUGGAAGUUCCAACUAAUGAAAUUUAAAACCAAUGACGAUUUAAUGUAUUUGCACUAAAUCUUAGGGGAGGUGUACUAAAACUAGCCCUUAUACAAAUAUUUGUAGCUAUAAUAUUUGUAGUUAUGGUGUUGGAAGUUGAUCAUUUUCUUAAAGGCCUCUAUGAUAUUGGAAAUAUCGCCAAAGUUUUGAACUUUUUGUUUCACCUAAAAAAAAUAUCAUUAAUUUAAUAUAUAUACUCUUCGCUUGAAAGUAUAGUUUUUUCAUAUUGUAUGAAGUUGUAGCUAGGUGACAAUAUUAGGUGAAAUUUUUUUGGUUAACUACAAAAUAUAAAUAAUAUAUUUAUUAUAUGAUAAAAUUUUAUAAAAUAUAUUAUUAUAGAUGCAAAAUUAUUAAUGGAGUUUUAUUUUUUACUAAAUUAUCAUUUCAAUAAAUAAGAACUUAUUUGUUAAAAGAAAAUUAUAAAAUAUAUGCAGUUGAAAAAAAUUUAAUUUUUUUUAUUUAAUUUGGUAUUUUAUUUGAAUUAAUAAUUGAUAUUUGUAAGAUCUUUUAAUAUUAAAAGAAGUUAACAUACUUAAAAAAGACAUUCAAAAUCAAGAGAGUAUUUGAUAUGAAAUUAAUUUAUUUAUUUUUCUAUUUAAAUAAAUUUUUACAUCCAUUAAACAAAUUUUAUUGUUUAUUUUUCACUUCAAUAUUUUUAUUUUGUAAAAGAAAUAGAAAUAAAAUCAACAAAUUAAACAAUUGAAUUAAGUUAGUUUAAUUUUGUCACCGUUAAAUUGGUAAAUGAAGACUCUUAUAUUUGAUAUUAACAUGAACAUCAUGACUUCAUUGAAUCUCACAAGAAAAUUUUAGUUUGAAACAUUUUAUCCUUUAAACAUGUGGCACAUAUUAAAGUGAGACCAAGUCUUCCCUAUAAUUUGUAUCUAUCACAAUUUAUUUCCUAAUGAAUAGCCUUUUUGAAUAGAAUAUAGACUUUAGCAUGCAUGGUGGGGCCUAGCUAUCAAACUACUAGUCAAAACAACUCAUGGGCAAGAAUGAUGUGCCAACUAGAUUAAGUAUUCUCCAUCUAUUUGCAUAUCAAGAGUAAUUUAGUAGUAUCUUUCUUGUGUACCUCAUUUCUUGACUUUCAAUGGAGAGUUUUUUAUCUUAAAAUUUGACGUGGGUUUUCAUACUAGUCUUGGUUCAGAUAUGUGAAUGCAAAGGUUGCAUCGAAGAAGAGAAGUAGGCUGAGUCAUCUUACAAAUUUUCAAGUUCAAAUUAGAUGCAUCAAACAUGUGCAACAUAUUUGAUAUAACUAAUAUUUUACCAAGCAACUAAAUACUUUAUAUAUAUAUAUAUAUAUAUAUAUAUAUAUUAGUGGUCCCACAACUCAUUAGCUACUCAUAAGCUUUAUAUCAUUUUCUUAAAGUCAAGUCAUUUACAAUUAUUUCUACCUAGCCUUCUCCAUUGCAACAACUGUACAAUAUAUUAAUUGAUUGAAAAAAUCAUCAUGUCUUUUUUGAUAGGAUAGUUUUUUUUAAUUCAAAGAACUUUCAAAUUAUUUUUAUCUAGCCUUCUCCAUUAUGACAACUGUAUAAGAUAUUGAUUGAUAUGAUAGUUUUCUUGUAUUCAAAGACUUUGCUUUUAUUAUUGAAACUUUCAAAUCCUUUAUGUCUAGUGGUCCUACAAUUCCCUAUUAAUUGGUAAUUCAUAUUAUCAAUCAUUUUAUAAAUAAGUGAAUUUUUCACUCCGUAAAUAUACUUAACUACCAAUGGUUUCAAAUUUAGUUGGUUAGCACACUUAUAGAUGUAAUUUGUUUUUAAAUUUUAUUUUUUAGAAGAAUUUUACGUAAAAAUGUUUCAGUAUAUGUGUUCAAUAAUUCUCUAAAAUAUUUAUAUGGAUGGAAUACAUUCAUGAAAGUUCCAACUAAUAAAAUUUAAAACCAAUGACGAUUUAAUGUAUUUGCACUANNNNNNNNNNNNNNNNNNNNNNNNNNNNNNNNNNNNNNNNNNNNNNNNNNNNNNNNNNNNNNNNNNNNNNNNNNNNNNNNNNNNNNNNNNNNNNNNNNNNGGGGGGGGGGGGGGGGGUGUAUACUGAAAUUAGCUAGUAUAUUUGUAGUUGUGUUGUUAGAAGUUGAUCAUUUUCUUAAAGGCCUCUAAGAUAUUGGAAAUAUUGCCAAAGUUUUGAACUUUUUGUUUUACACCUAAAAAGAAUAUCAUUAAUUUAAUAUAUAUACUCUUCACUUGAAAGUAUAGUCUCUCCAUAUUGUAUGAAGUCGUAGCUAGGUGACAAUAUUAGGUAAAGUUUUUUUGGUUUACUACAAAAUAUAAAUAAUACAUUUAUUAUAUGAUAACAUUUUGUAAAAUAUAUUAUUAUAGAUACAAAAUUAUUAAUUGAGUUUUAUUUUUUACUAAAUUAUCAUUUCAAUAAAUAAGAACUUAUUUGUUAAAAGACAAUUAUAAAAUAUAUGCAGUUGAAAAAAAAUUUAGUUUUUUUAUUUAAUUUAGUAUUUUAUUUGAAUUAAUAAUUAAUAUUUGUAAGAUCUUUUAAUAUUAAAAGAAGUUAACAUACUUAAAAAGACAUUCAAAAUCAAGAGUCUUUGAUAUGAAAUUAAUUAAUUAAUUUUUCUAUUUAAAUAAAUUUUUACAUCCAUUAAAAAUUUUUUAUUGUUUAUUUUUCACUUCAAUAUUUUUAUUUUGUAAAGGAAAUAGAAAUAAAAUCACCAAAUUAAACAAUUGAAUUAAGUUAGUUUAAUUUUGCCACCGUUACAUUGAUAAAUGAAGACUCUUAGAUUUGAUAUUAACACGAACAUCAUGACUUCAUUGAAUUUCACAAGAAAAUUUUUGUUUGAAAGAUUUCAUCCUUUAAACAUGUGGCACAUAUUAAAGUGAGACCAAGUAUUCCCUAUAAUUUGUAUCUAUCACAAUUUAUUUCCUAAUGAAUAGCCUUUUUGAAUAGAAUAUAGACUUUAGCAUGCAUGGUGGGGCCUAUCAAACUAUUAGUCAAGACAACUCAUGGGCAAGAACGAUGUACCAACUACAUUAAAUACUCUUCAUCUAUUUGCAUAUCAAUGGUAAUUUAAUAGUGUCUUUCUUAUGUACCUCAUUUUUAGACUUUCAAUAGGGAGUUCUUUAUCUAAAAAUUUGACGUGGGUUUUCAGACCAGUCUUGGUUCAGAUAUGUGGAUGUAAAGGUUGCAUCAAAGAAGAGAAGUAGACUAAGUCAUCUUAUGAAUUUUCAAGUUCAAAUUAGAUGCAUCAAACAUGUGCAACAUAUUUGAUAUAACUAAUAUUUUAUUAAGCAAUUGAAUACUUUUUUUGAAAAAAAUUUACUUGAUUAUUAAUGAAUACCUACAUGUAGGUAUGGCAUUGACACAAUUUGAUAAAUCUUUUAAAAUAGUAUUAGAAUGACUUUUCUAGAAAAAAAAAAGUAAUAAUAAAAAUAAAAAUACACAUAUAUUAGUGGUCCCACAACUUAUUAGCUUCUCAUAAGCUUUAUAUCACUUUCUUAAAGUCAAGUCAUUUACAAUUAUUUCUAUCUAGCCUUCUCCAUUACGACAACUAUAUAAGAUAUUGAUUGAUUGCAAAAAUCAUCACGUCUUUUUUGAUAGGAUAUUUUCUUUUUUAAUUCAAAGAAUUUUCUUCUAUUAUUGAAACUUUCAAAUCCUUUAUGUCUAGUGGUCCUACAAUUCCCUAUUAAUUGGUAUUUCAUAUUACCAAUCAUUUUACAAAUAAGUUAAUUUUACUCGGUAAAUAUACUUGACCACCAAUGGUUUCAAAUUUGUAGCACCCUUAUAGAAGUAAUUUAUUUUUAAAUUUUAUUUUUAAGAAGAAUUGCAAGUAAAAAUAUUUUUGGUAUAUAUGUUCAACAAUUCUCUAAAAACAAUUUAUAUAGAUGGAAUACAUUCAUGGAAGUUCCAACUAAUAAAAUUUAAAACCAAUGUCGAUUUAAUGUAUUUGCACUAAAUCUUAGGGGGCGUAGACUAAAAUUAGUCCUUUUACAAAUAUUUAUAGGUAGUAUAUUUGUAGUUGUGGUGUUAGAAGUUGAUCAUUUUCGUAACGACCACUAAGAUAUUGGAAAUAUCGCCAAAGUUAAGAACUUUUUGUUUUACACCUAAAAAGAAUAUCAUUAAUAUAAUAUACAUAUAUAUAUAUAUAUAUAUAUAUAUAUAUAUAUAUAUAUACUCUUCACUUGAAAAUAUAUCUCUCCAUAUUGUAUGAGGUCUAAGGUGACAAUAUUUGGUGAAGGUUUCUUUUUUUGUUUAGUACAAAAUAUAAAUAAUUUAUUUAUUAUAUGAUAAAAUUUUGUAAAUAUAUUGUUAUAGAUGCAAAAUUAUUAAUUGAGUUUUAUUUUUUACUAAAUUAUCAUUUCAAUAAAUAAGAACUUAUUUGUUAAAAAACAAUUAUAAAAUAUAUGCAGUUGAAAAACAUUUAGUUUUUUUUUUUUAUUUAAUUUAGUAUUUUAUUCGAAUUAAUAAUUGAUAUUUGUAAGAUAUUUUAAUAUCAAAAGAAGUUAACAUACUUAAAAAGAUAUUCAAGAUCAAGAGUGUAUUUGAUAUGAAAUUAAUUUCUUUAUUUUUUUUUUCUAUUUUAAAAAAUGUUCACAUCCAUUAAAAAAAAUUUAUUGUUUAUUUUUCACUUCAUAUUUUUAUUUUGUAAAGGAAAUAGAAAUAAAAUCAAUAAAUUAAACAAUUGAAUUAAGUUAGUUUAACUUUACCACUAUUAAAUUGGUAAAUGAAGACUCUUAGAUUUGAUAUUAACAUGAACAUCAUGACUUCAUUGAAUCUCACAAGAAAAUAUUAGUUUGAAAGACUUCAUCCUUUAAACAUGUGGCACAUAUUAAAGUGAGACCAAGUCUUCCCUAUAAUUUGUAUCUAUCACAAUUUCUUUCUUCAUAAAUAGCCUUUUUGAAUUGAAUAUAGACUUUAGCAUGUAUGGUGGACCCUAUCAAACUACUAGUCAAGACAAUUCGUAAGCAAGAAUGAUGAACCAACUAGAUUAAAUACUCUUCAUCUAUUUGCAUAUCAAGAGCAAUUUAGUAGUGUCUUUCUUAUGUACUUCAUGUUUGAACUUUCAAUGGAGAGUUUGUCAUCUAAAUAUUUGAUGUGGGUUUUUAUACUACUCUUGGUUCAAAUAUGUGGAUGCAAAGGUUGCAUCGAAGAAGAGAAGAUGGGUUUGCUUGAAUUCAAGGCUUUUCUUAAAGUGAAUGAUGAGCACACAGAUUUUCUUCUUCCUUCGUGGAUAGAUAACAACACUAGUGAAUGUUGUAAUUGGGAGCGAGUUAUUUGCAAUCCCACCACAGGUCGAGUUAAGAAGCUUUCCCUCAAUGAUAUAAGGCAACAACAAAAUUGGUUGGAAGUCAGUUGGUACGGUUAUGAAAAUGUCAAAUUCUGGUUACUAAAUGUCUCUAUAUUCCUUCAUUUUGAAGAACUUCACCAUCUAAAUUUGUCUGGAAACUCAUUUGAUGGGUUUAUUGAGAAUGAAGGUAUGUUACCUCUCACCUUUCAAAUUUCUUUUCACUUAUACUCCAAACAUUCUAAAGGAACUACUAGCAUAUGUUCUUAAGAGUGUUCAAAUGGAGACCAAAUGGUCACUAAUAACUAUUGAAUUUAAUAUAAAUUACUAAUGAUUAAAAUUUAAAAUAUGAAUUAACAUUUAAAUAGAACAAUAAAAAAUUAUUAUUUUAAAAUAUUAUAGAUUACAUUAGCCUUAUAUAUAUAAGCAUACUUGUUAUUUAUUAAUUAACAGGAACACUUAGGCUCCCGUAUUCUUAUCCUUUUUGCUUAAUUGUCUUUCUUUAUCUUCCAUUCCUAAAAAGUUUGAUUUCUAUAUUCCAAAUUGAUAGAGAUUGGUUAAAGAAAGGUGAUCACAAAAAUUGACUAUUGCUUUCAAAUGAGGAAUCACCAUUUUUAGAAUUUCACAUUUACAAAAAAAAAAAAAAAAACUUAGCCUUGGGUAGGGCCCAGGCCUCAUUGUUUUAUUCUGAUGUUGGGUUGGUUUAACAAUGAACAGAGUAAAGCCCAACCCAUGACUACUACGCAUUUCCAAAUUCCACCCAUCCACAACCCAUUGAUAUGACAUUUUCAGGGACUUAAUUUAAUCAAUUAAACCUAUUAGAUGGAUUCUACAUACAAUGUUAAAAUGAAUAUAAAAACUUUAAUUCAGAAAAUAAUUUCCUUUAUUUAGUUAGGAUUCAGAUUAUAGGGGCACAAAGCAUGAAAAAUUUCAUUUUAAAUUCACAAAGAUCACAAAAUCUCUUUGAAGCUCUAUGGACUUUUUUAUUUCUAACAUUUAAACACAAAAAUCACAAAAUUGAAUUAAUAAUUUGGAUACAUAUUCUUAUAUUAAAGACAUGUAAGCUUACAGAUUUAAAUAUGAAGAUCUCAACUUGUAAUUACAUGCUUCUAAUUAAAGUUAUAUUACUCUAUUUUAUAGGAUUUAAAGGGUUAUCAAGUUUAAAGAAAUUGGAGAUCUUGGACAUAAGUGGUAACGAGUUUGACAAAAGUGCCUUAAAAUCUUUGAGCGCAAUAACAUCACUCAAGACAUUGGCUAUUUGCAGCAUGGGACUGGCUGGAUCUUUUCCCAUUCGAGGCAUGUUAUAUGUUCACAUUGUUUCUUCAAAAUUAAGUAUAAUAUAUUUCUAACUUUUAAUGUUCCUUAGUUAAUCUCUCUUUUGAUUCAUGUUUGUUGCAGAAUUAGCUAGUUUGAGAAAUUUGGAAGUGUUGGAUCUAAGCUAUAAUGAUUUGGAAAGCUUUCAACUAGUGCAAGGUACUUCAAUAACUUGCUAAAAAAAACUUAUGAUAUUUUGUUAUUAAAUUAACAAUAUUAGCCAACAAUUUCAUCUCUCUUUUGAUUUGUAUUUGAUGCAGAAUUAACUAGUUUGAGAAAUUUGAAAGUGCUAGAUCUAAGCUAUAAUAAUUUGGAAAGCUUUCAACUAGUGCAAGAUACUUUAUUAACUUGUUAAAAAAACUUAUGAUCUUUUGUUAUUAAAUUAAAUGUAAGAUUAACCAACAAUUUCUUCUCAUUAGUUAUUUUUCUUUUGUAAUAUCAUUAAAUUUGAUAUAAAGUAGUCUAAGUCAUCCUUUCAAUUUUUUUAGUUUUAAUAAAUGCAUCAAGCAUGCACAAGAUGUUUGAUAUAACUAAUAUUUUCAUAUGUAAUUGAAAACUUUUUUUUAUGAAUUAAUUAACUCGAUUAUCAAUAAAUACUUACAUGUAUAAUAUUAAUAUAGUUUCAUAAGUAUUUUAAAAUUGUCUUACAACACACACACACACACAUAACAUACUUUUAUGCUAUGUUUGGUUCUAAGAAAAUUUGAGGGAAAAUGAAAGGUGUGUGAUACUUUUAUGCUAUGUAUGGUUCCCAAAACAAUUGAGGGAAAAUGAAAGGAGAAAAAGUAGAGAGGAAAAUUAAAAGAAAAGAAGAGAGUGAAGAAAAAUAUAAAAUUGAUUACAGUGAAUAAAUUAUUUUUAUGUGUUACUUUAAACUUGUUUCACUUAUUUUAAUUCUUCAAUAUAAAGAUGAAAGAUUUGAAAAUGCAUAAGUUUCUAAUUAUUUUAUAUUAUAUUAUAUUUUAUUUAAUAUUUUUUACAAUACAACCAAACAUAAAAUCUUAAUACUUGAGUUAUGUUUGGUUUGCACAAAAUAUGAGGAAAAGAAAAUAUAGAAGAAAAUUAGAAGGAAAGGAAAAGUGAAGUAAAAUAAAAGUAAAUUUAAAAUUAAUAAAUUAUUUUUAUAUGCUACUUUAAACUUAUUUCACUUAUUUUAAAUUAUUUAAACUCAUUUCUAGCAAAUAAUAAUGGAAAUUACAGAGAAGUUUGUGUUAUUCAAGCUUUACAAUGACUUUUCAGGUGAAAGAAAAUAUUUUUGUUGAAACUAAAAAAUGAAAUACCUUCCUAAAUAGCCUAUUGACUGAAAGCACAUUACCCUAACACAUACAUGCACCCUUAUUAUUUAUACAAUCAUGUAAUAAUUAAUAUAGUUAGUAGGAUUCUGAUGGUCGUUUCUGUCUUGGUUUCCAAUAUUUCUGAUUGAUAGUGUUUCGUUAAUGAAAUAUCAUAAAUUUUGACUCUAACAAGGACCUCAAUUAGACCUAAUCCUUGUUAAAUGUAACUAGGUGGCCUAAGACUAAAUAUUAGACCCAACUAAUAAAAACCCAUCUAUUUAUUGGAGCCUAAAUAACCUGGCCUUGGUUAGGGCCCACGCUUUAUUAUUUUAAGAUGUAGUCCACCUGGUUUGACACUAGAUUAAGUAAAGCCCAACUUAUGAGCAUCUGUGCAUUUCCAUCCAUCCACAACCUAUCGACAUGGACAAACUUUGAUCAAUUAAACCUAUUAGAAAUGUAUACAAAAUUUUAAGUUCAAAAGAUAAUUUUCCUUAUUUAGUUAGGAUUCAUAUUAAAAGGGCACAAAGCAUGAAUUUUCAUGUUUAAAUUCACAAAGAUCACGAAAGCUCCUUCUUGCUCUAUGGACUAUUUUAUUUGUAACAUUAUAUUACUCUUAAUUAUCAAAUUAACCAACAAAUUCUUCUCAUUAGUUAUUUUUCUUUUGUAAUGUCAUAAAAUUUGAUAUAAAGUAGUCUUGGUCAUCAUUUCAACUUUCAAGUUCCAAUUAGAUGUAUCAAGCAUGUGCAACAUAUUUGAUAUAACUAAUAUUUUUUAUAAGUAAUUGAAGUUUUUUUCUACAAAUCAAUUAACUUGAUUAUCAAUGAAUACUUCCAUAUAUGAUAUUGAUGUAGUUUCAUAAAUAUUUUAAAAUAGUCAUAGAAGUCUUUUAUCUAAUUCACUAGAAAGAAAAAUAAACUAUUCUAAUGAAAAUACUUGAUGAUUUGAAGUGAUUGCUUUUGAUUUUAUUUGAUUGCUACCAUUAUUAAUUGUUAGAAAUUUGCAACAAAUACCCAUUUUGCAUCACUUCUAUAUGCAUUGGAAUGAAUUAUAUUUCAUAAAGCUAACAAGUCAAAAAUCAUACUUUUGGAAUUAUGGAAAAGACUGCUAUAAAGCUAAUUAACCAUUUGUAAUCUAAUUAAGACUAGUUGGUUUCGAAAUAAUUCAUAUGGAGAUUAAAACAACUAUGUAAUUUAGUUUAGUAGCUUGGGUGCUAUUGUAAUGAUUAAUGAUCUACAACUUGAAAACAUCCACUAGUGCUUCCUAAUUGUAUAGCUAAAUUCAUGUUACCACUUUGAACUAUAGUACUUACAUGAGAAGAAAGCUUUUCCUUAAUGAUAAUGCAAAAGAAAUUAAGUAUCAAUUUUUGUUGAACUAACAAGUGAUAGUUUAGAUAUGGUUUGAAUACACUUCCUUUCUUCUAUUUUUUUUUUUUUUAUUUUGAAAAAAAAAACUCUUUAAUGAAAUAUAAGAACUCUUAUAUGCAUAAAAAGUAAAGACUUAUAUAAAAAAAUUAUUUUCAAAAAUUUUUAAAGCAAAAGAAUUUAUCUUCUUCAAAUUUUAAAAAUUUUGAGAAGUGUUUUUAAGAAUUUGUACUUUUAGUAUAAUAAUUCCUAUAUUUUAUAUAAAAGUUUUUGUUUAAAAAAAAUAGAAAUGUAUCCAAAAUACAACUUAUUUGUUAAAUUAAGAAUGUUUGUCAAAUCAAGAGAUAAUGAAAGUUGCAGAGAGUUUGCAUUACUCAACAUUUGCAAUUACUUUUUGAAGGUGAAAGAAAACACCUUCUUGCAUAACAUACAAUGGCAGGUUCUGGUUUGUAAGAAAUUAAUAUCUAAAUAAAAAUAUGAAUAAGACUUCCUUUAUAAUAAAUAUGUAGAAAAGAAUAGUGGAUGAUAGGAGGUGAAAAUCUUGUAAUAAAAUAUAAAUGUCGGUUAUAAGAUAAUCAACAUUUUCUCUAUUUCUUGUACCUAUGUGAUUAAGAAUCUUGUAGCUCCUUUAUUGAAAUAUAAUAUAAAAAUAUAAAUAAACUAUUUAGAAGUAAGUGCAUGUAGUUUUCAACAUGAGGAAGUUCAAAAGCAAGUUAAUUAUGAUAAUUUUCUAUAGUCUAUAUUGAACACAAAUUAUUUUUGCUAAAGGUUCAAUCGUUCUAUGAAGGUUAAAAGUUUGAAUUGUUUACAUAUGCAAAUGUGAAAUUUGAAAUUUUAUAAUUUUUUAUAAUUUUCUUGUAGAUUCAAAAGGCUUGUCCAUAUUCAAAAAGCUCGAGACCUUGAACCUCGAUGACAAUAAGUUCAAAAACACCAGCCUACAACAAUUGAAUAUAUUGACAUCCCUUAAAAAUCUUUCUCUACGAUGGAACAAUUUUGAAGGAUUUUUUCCUUUCCAAGGUUUGUGUAAUUAUUAUUACUUUUAAUGGUAAAAUAUUAAAAUUAUCAACAUCUCUUAUCUUUUUUCCUCUCAAUGGUGCUACAGAAUUAUGCACUCUGGAAAACUUGGUGAUGUUGGACCUAAGUGGGAAUGGCCUUAUUGGCAUGCAAGGUAAAUACAAAGUGAAGUUUUGGUUAUGUAUAUAUCAUCUAAGAACAUAACUAAAAUCAACAUUCUUUGUCUAUCAAUCUGUCUAUCAACAUAAUUGAAGGAAUGUCUAGCUGUACAACAUUUAAGAAUUUUGCAUGGCACAAUGAAAAACAUGGUAAUCAAUGUAUGCAAUAAAAUUCUAAUAGUUGAAAAAGAAUUUUGUUGUAAUUUUAUGUUCAUGUAUAGGUUAGAACAAAGAGAAAAUCAUGAAAAUGAAUAUUAGUUAGACUUUAUAUAUCGAUAGACAAAAAAAAAAAAAAAAAAAAGAUUAGUUCCUUAACUUAUCCUAAAAUUUUCUAGAUAACAAGGAGUUUACAACCUGAAAAGUGAAGAUGGUUAAUAUUAGUAAUAUAAUUUUGAAAUAUAAAAAUUAAUGAAAUAAUGUUCUUUAUAACUAUAAUUGCAACUAUGAAUAAAAUAUAAUAAAAUUACUUUAGACUUUGAAUCCAUGGUUAGGUUUGCAAUUUUUUGAUGAUCAAUAAAGCUACAACUUGUGCUACAAAAGAUUACAAAAUGUAUUAGUAGCAUUGCUAAGCUCAUUUAUCAACAAAAGAAAUCCAAUAACACUUUAAUUGGAAAAAACCUAGAAUCUUGUUUGAUAUAUAUAAUAGGUGAAGAAACAAAAUAAUAAUUCCAUGGUAUUAGUUAGUUUGAUAUCUCUUUUGUUAUAUGGAAUAACUAUUCCAUUUUAAAACAAUUAUUUCAUCUUAUUGUUAGAACAAAAAGUUUCAAAUAGUUAUAUGGGCUUUUGAGUUUCUUAAGAAUUUAAGCAUUUAUGAGUCACACACACACACACACACACACACACACAUAUGUAUAUAUAUAGGAAAAAUAAAAAAAUAUUAUAUGGAGACAAGGGUAGACACCCAUAACUAUACAUAUAAUUAUUUAAAUAAAAAUAUCAAUAAGAAACAAUAUACAAUAAAAUAGAAAAUUUUAAUCUUCUUAAAAUUUAAAAAUAAAAACUUAAUGAAAACAAGAAUUUAAGAAGUAAAAAAAAAUAGUAAGAAGGUCAAGAGUACAAAUAGAGAUGUAAACAAAAUAAUAAAUAAAUAAAUAAAAAUAAAAAUUUAAAAGAAAAAAAAUACAUAGAUUAACAUGAACACUAAAUGAAGAUUUUUGAGAUAGACUUAGUUAAACUUGAACUGGAUGGAUAUUAAAAAAAAAAACAAAUUUCAAAGAAAUAAAAACUAAUUAGAUGCUAAAUAUUGGAUUAAAAUAGCCAAAUGAAUAAAGAGUAAUUAUUAUUUUUUAACAUUUUUUUAUUGCCUAGAAUUAUUAUUUUGUGUAUUAAAUGUAUUCUGAGUGUAGUGACAUAAAAAAUGUAGUUAAGAAAACUAUGAAGAAUAAUAAUGGUGAUGACACUUAAUACCUUUUAUUGUACAUUUAGAAAAAAUGAGGUCCUAGAUCUUUGUGGAGAUUAUCAUUACUCAUUCGCAAGCAUGUUGAUAGUUGAAACUACCCAAUUAUCAAAAAUUGAAUUUCUAAUCUUCAAUUUUUUUCUCUCAAAUGUAUAUGUGGGUGAGAAAGCAAUAGGAAGAUUAUAAGGUCUCACAUGUAUAUGAGUCAUAGGAUAAAAAAUAUAGAGGCAAUACUAGCAUUUAUUUGAUCUAGUGGCAAGUAGAGAAAUAUAACAUAACCAUAACCAUAAUGUUCUAACCUUAUAUAUACAAGAACCAUGUUUCCUUCAUUCAAUUUUGCAACUUUUUCUUUUCAAAUUAGAAUGUAACUCGUAGGAUCCAUUGCCCAUCGAAAUUUUGAAUCGAAUAUUAUAAGAUAUUUCACAUUUCUACAUACUAAAGCAUGAGCUUCAAUGUUUUGAUGCACUUUUUGCUACUAAGUUAAAGAACUCUUUGAGGAUCAAUGGAGGUUCUAUGAGUAGAAAAGCAUUAUAAUCACAAAUGGGCUGCACUUAUGGUCUUGUCAGUGAUAUGCAAUUUGACCAAGAACCUAUUCCCAACUAUUUUAUGACUUUUAUGACUUUUAUGACUUUUCUUGGCUACUUGUAGGCAAGCUAAAGAAAUUUUCUGGUUUGUUCAAGUCUAAAAAGUGGUUUCAAGUUUAGGACCAAGCUUGGGUUGCACCUAGGUCCUUGGGCCUUGUUCAGCUCCACGUUUAAACCAACCCUGAGCCCAUCUUUGUAAUUUUUCUCCCAAUUCAUUGAUUAAUGUUAGGGUUUUAUAGAGCCUAUAAAUUGACCAACUAAAUAAAGUAAGUUUAUAAACUUUUAGGUGAAAAUUUUCUCUCUAAUAAAUGUUAAUUCAAGAGUCUCCGUAAUCUUUUUAUAUUCAUAUUAAUUGGUAUUUAAACCAGCCUUAUUAUAUUAAAGUCAAAUACUAAAUAGUGAACACUAUAUCUGCUACUACCAUUAUGAUGGUCACAAACAUAGAAUGCUCAUUUUUUUUAGAGUCAAUUGAUACUUAUAAACAACAACUUUGUUUGAAAAUAAAAUACAUUGAGUGAUUGCAUCAAGAGAUAGAUGUAAUAAUUGCAUACUUGAUGUUGAUAAUGCUAAUAUGAGUUGAUUAAAUUAAUGAGUAUUUACUUAUAAGGUAGCCCAUAGAGCAUUAUUUGUGGAAAUAUUCAUGCACCUCUACAUAUGUUCAUGAUAACUUAGGUCGAUAAAUUUAAGAAGAACAAAUUCAUAACCUUGGACAUAGUUAGUAAGAAAUUUCACCAAUAUAGUUUGGUAUCAUGAUUCUAAUUGGUCAAAUUGUUUUAAAAGAAUAUUUUAAAUUGCAUGUUAAUUUGCUUCUAAUAAAUGGAGAGAAACCAAUUCAAGAAGAGAAUUGUACUCAAGCUAUGUAUAGCAUUCAUGAAGAUGUAGAAAAUAUUGAUGAACUUACUUUUGAGCAAGUUGAAAUCAUAAUUAAAUAAAAGAACAAAUCCAAGGGUUAAGAUUGUCAAGUAAAACUUUAACUAAAAUUUAUUGAUUUUUUAAAUGCCUAUUAGAUGAACAAUAGAAGUUCUAGAUAGAAAGUAAGAACUUUUCUAAGAAAUCACUUGUUAGAUUUUAACUGAUCAAUAAAUAUAAUGUCCAAUUUAAAACUUUUAUAAAAGCAAUGCUUCUAAAGAAUAACUUGAUUUGAAUUUAAAGUUAUUAUUGAUAUUUGUUUAUAAUGGAUGUAGUUAAUCAAUUGAACACAGUAAAAAACACAUAAUUUUUUCAAAAUACCUUCUAGUUGUUGGGUAUAUUUAAGUAGUUAUUCAUAUCUCAUUAUCUUUUUACUCACAUACUAAUCUCCUUAUUGAGAAUUUACCAAUUACAAGUAGGUUGAAAGUUACUUGAAUUUAAGUCACUAAUCAAUGUUAACUUGAUGAUAAAUAAGUCUCCCUUUGAAACUUGUUUUACAAGAUAGCGAAAUGUAGUCGGUCAAUCAUCGAAACAAUGUUUAAGCAUUAGGAUUUAGUUGUUAUUUUUUAUUUUUUAUUUUUUGUGCUUUAAACAAAGACAAAAAUGAUAAAAACUCCUAAAAAGUACAUAUUAAUUGAAUUUAAUUUAUACAUCAAACAAGAACAAACUAGUGUUGGAUUUAAAAUUCAAUAGGUUUUGUAAUUAUAAUUCCUAAAAAUUUGUAAGACAACAAAAUUAUUGGACACUAGGCUAUUGGGUGUGUAUGACUAAGAGGUGAAGGAGGGUUCAUCUUAUACAAAGGAUGAUUUGAUUAAUUUUAAAGAUUCGAUAAACAAUAAUUGCAUAAUAAAGUAAAAAUAACAUUUCUAAAAAGGAAAAUAAGUAUUUUAGUCCUCAAACCUAAAAUGGCUAAAAAUUUUAAUUAAUACAAUUACAACUUCACCUACAAAAAAAAAAAAAAAACCCAAAACUUUUCAAUAGCACAACUAAGUCCAUUUAUCAAAAGCUCUAUGAACAACAUCCACUUUCAAAUCACAUAAAUCAUGUUGUUUUCAAAGUGCCCUUGAUGUUUUAAAACUUAAUAUAUUACAUAAAAAUCAACCAAUAGUGUAUGGCAUUAUAAAAAAACAUAUCCAAAUCCAUUGUCGAACUUAAACUAAAUUCAACUUUAUAUGCAUAGUCACAAGUGGGUCUUUUUGUCUUUCAAUUUGGGUUAAAUUCAUAUGUUAGUUUUUUACACAACAAGGGAUUAUCAAGGUGAUAAUUCAUGCAUAUAAAUAGUAUUACUAAUAUAAAAAAAGAUGGUAAAUGUAAUUUUUUUGUAUUCACUCACCAUUUGGCAUAUCAAUAAGAAAAAAUGUAUAUAUAAUAGGUGUUAUCAAUAAUAUUACUCAUCACUAGAAAUUAUAAUUUUUCAUUCGUUGUCACUAUUUGUGCACUUUGGAAAGCUUGCUAGGUACAACAUAUUAGCUCAAUGAAGAAAUUGAUCAAUUCCUUCAUUUCUAAAUAAAUUUGCAUAUACACUAGAAUAAAAACAACUUUUUAACUUAACAAGUUGACUGAGUCUCAGAACUCAAUAGGUUGAAGGUAUAGACUUCCAUCCAAACUCAUUGACUGGCACCAUAUGUUGGAAAAAUAAAGAAAAAUCAAAACCCUUGAGUAUAGUUGCAGACAAAUCUAAAUAUAGAGUGAGAUCUACAUUUCUUUGAAAGUUUAGAACAAAUUUUUAUUUUUAUGAUAAGACUAUGCAGUACUUAUCAUUCUCUAACAAGUCUAUAAUCAGUCCAAAGCAUGGGAUAUUGCAUAAAUUCUUGAACUCAAUUAGUCUUUAAUCCAUGCAUUUCAAGUAAAUUUAAAACCUGGUGUACUUGUUCUUGAUUCACAUCCUUGUCACUAUUAUCAUUACUUGUUCUUGAAUAUAGAACCUUAUUGUCCAUUAACAAGCGGGCCUAUGUUCCUCCAUGAUUCAAGAGUAUUAUGUUUUGUUCAUCAUCAGUUGGUCUUGCUCUAAAGCUUCUUUUUUAUGACUAUCAAUAACCAGACUUAGAUACCAAAAUUUAUGCAAGAGAGCAUGUACUUUAUACAGUCAAGAACUUGUGAGUCUAGACUUUGUUAUCUAGGUAAAAGAAUAAAUUGGUUUGUCAAAAUAGCUAGCAUUAGGUAUCUAUUCAAUUCCUAUCUUAGACAAUAAAGAUAGAAAUGAUCAAAUACAUUCUUAUUAAGAAACAUUUGAUACCAAAAGUGAUGUAAGACAACACAGUUCCUCUAUUCAAUCAAGUUUAAGGCUUAGAUGAACCUAUGAAUUUAUAUUAAUUAAUUGGGAAAGAGAAUAAAUAGGCUAAGUAGAAGUGAUAGGAUUGUAAUAGCAUUAAGUUAAUGAUCUUGUUUAGGUCUUCUACUAAAUUAGAGAAGAAACAAACAAAAGUAAUCAAACGUGUUAGUGAUAAUUAUAUCUACUUAACAUUGAGACAAUAGUUGUACUAAUGGUAAUUAUAUUAUUUCUUGAGAGUUUAAACAAUAUAUAUUGAAAAUAUUUUUAAAGGUUUAGCAACUACCAAGGUUAUAAUCAACUACGAGCUUUUUAUUUUUAAAAAUAUGAAAUAUUAAUAUCUUUACUUUCUUUGAUCUUCUUGUAGGUUUUAAAAGUUUGUCUAAGCUGAAAAAGCUGGAAAUCUUAAACCUUGGUGAUAAUCAGUUCAACAAGACCAUUAUAAAACAGUUGAGUGGACUCACAUCCCUUAAAACACUAGUUGUAAGGUACAACUAUAUUGAGGGACUUUUUCCUUCCCAAGGUAUUGCUUAUUCUUUUAAUAUCCUUAGUAACCACUCUACCAUGAUUUUUUUUUUUUCAAUUUUAUUUUCUUUCUUGAACCAUACAGAAUUAUCUAUUUUUGGAAACUUGAUGACACUGGAUUUAAGCUGGAAUAGAUUCAAUGGCUCCCUAUCAAUCCAAGGUAAAUUCUAAUCAGAAUUAUCAUUAUAUUUAGGGCAUAUAAUAAAUUAAUUAAAUUAUUUUAUCUAUUAUCAUUACUUGGUUAUUUGGAUUUUCUUGAUAUUGUUUAGCAUUUUACAUAGGAAAAUGAAAUGGAAAAAUCAACCCAUGCUUAGUGUUUAAGCACUGGGCUAGAAGUAUAUUUGUCUUCCCAAUUUAAUCAAAGAGAAAAGUCAUAAAUAACAUAAUUUAACUUAUACCUUAUAUUGAUUGAAGAGGUUAGACUACUUUUGGAUUUAAUGGUCAAUAUUUGUUGAAGAUAGGGUUUCCUAAAUUUGAUAAAAAGAACUUCAAUUUAAAUUACCAUAACUACAUAAAGGUGUGACUAGCAUAAUUAAACUCUUUUAUUAAUAGAUGUUCAUAGACUAGUAUUAUAUUCCCACACACACAAAUAAUCAAAUUUUGAAAUUAGUCUUCAAAUAACUAUGUAAUAUACGAAACUACAAAAUGAAUGGUAGGUCAUAAUUAAUUAAAUUCGUACUAUAUUCAAUGUUGGUCAACACGUGUCAAGUAAAAGUUUUGGCCUAAGUGUAAGGGCUCACUUUCUCCUAUAUAGAUAUUAUUCACUUUGGGUUGAGGCCUACUUUAAAAUAUCUCUAUACAUUUAUGAGAAGUCUACUAAAUAUAAAGUCGUAGAAACUUUUCUUCUUAGGUGAUAUGGAAUUUCACAUUAGGACCAACAUUUUAUAUAUUUUGAAAACAUAAUUUAAUUAACAUUUUAGAACUAAUUAUUAGUUAUCCAUUUAUAAUCCUAGAGGAAAUUCCUUUUACCUAUGCAAAUUAUAUACCUCUAGUAAUUACCUUUAAUUUCUCAUUUACAACUUCCUAAAAUAAUAUGAAAAAUGACAAAGUGUACAAUAUCUACCAAUAUGGGUGGAAUAUGCAGUGAGACCCACAAUGCUCAAUAUAGUACUAGCAUCUAUGUCAUCUAAUAGCAAUGAAAGUACUAAGUAAUAAAAACAAUUGUUUUGGGCACUUUAUGCAAUUGGCCUUGUAAAAAAAGAAAUCUAAGGUAGUUGGACUCAUUUACUAGUAAUUUAACAUAUGACUAGAACCUAUUGAAUCAUUUGCAAUAGCACUUACUUUGGUCAUGUCCAAAUUUAGUGCACAUGGUGCAAAAAGGGGUGUUGCUAGAGGAUGCUUUGUUUUCCCACUUAUGAAAGUCUCAAUCUUGCUAAUAUAUUUUAUGCCAUGUUUAUCAUAUACAAAUUUAGCCUAAGUGUAAGGGCUCGCUUGCUCCUAUAUAGAUGUUAUUCACUUUGGGUCGAGGCCUACUUUAAAAUAUCUCUAUACGUUUAUGAGAAGUCUACUAAAUAUAAAGUCGUAGAAACUUUUCUCCUUAGGUGAUGUGGAAUUUCACAUUAGGACCAACAUUUUAUAUAUUUUGAAAACAUAAUUUAAUUAACAUUCUGGAACUAAUUAUUAGUUAUCCAUUUAUAAUCCUUGAGGAAAUUCCUUUUACCUAUGAAAAUUAUAUACCUCUAGUAAUUACUUUUAAUUUCUCAUUUACAACUUCCUAAAAUAAUAUGAAAAAUGACAAGGUGUAUAAUAUGAGCCAAUAUGGGUGGUAUAUGCAGUGAGACCCACAAUGCUCAAUAUAAUACUAGAAUCUAUGUCAUCUAAUAGCAAUGAAAGUACUAAGGAACAAUUUAACAUAUGUUUUGGGUACUUCAUGCAAUGGCCUUGUAAAAAAAGAAAUAUAAGGAAGUUGGACUCAUUUACUAGCAAUUUAACAUAUGACUAAAACCUAUUGAAGAAUUUGCAAUAGCACUUACUUUGGUCAUAUCCAAACUUAUUGCACAUGGUGCAAAAAGGGGUAGUGGUCGAGGAUGCUUCCACAUAAGAAAGACCCUACUUAACUAUUACAAAGGUUAUUUUCCCACUUGUGGGAAUGCUAACCUUGCUAAUAUAUUAUAUGCCAUGUUUAUCAUAUACAAAUUUUUCUUUACUAAAUAUUUCUUUAAUGAUCUUGAACCUAAAAUUAAAUAUUUCAUUAGUAUUGGUCAUGUCGUUCCUCAACUUUUCAACUUUUAGAGUUAAAUCUUUAUCUUUAUCAUUGAUAGUUUUAUGUUUAGUCCCUAGAAACUUCACCUUAUUAACAAUAUGUUCAUUUAAUAUAUUGAUAUUUUUAAUUUUCAAAGAAUCAUAGAGCUCAUUAAUUUUAAUGUCUUUUUAUUCACUUUUAUGCUUUCAACCUUUGUUUUUAGUUUUCCUAUAAUAAUGCAUCAUAGACCCCAUGUACAUCAUUAAAAUAAAACUCAUUUUUUUCAUUAGGAUUCAAUUAACCCAGUGGAUCAUAAUCAAAAUUAGUUGCAUAUGAACAAAAACAAUAAGAUUAUCAUUUUGUACAUCUUUACUUUCAUUUGAGUUCUUAGCCCUACAAUCAUGAAACAUGGAAUUACUCCAAGUCACCUACAUAGCCUUCAUACCUAAUGUUUUUAAGGCAAGGACAAUCAACAACCAUGUGUCCCAUUCCCCCAAUGGUUCACUACAAAAUCAAGGUACAUAUGUUAUGCUUUCUUUGUUUCAUAGAGAUUAGAGAGGAAAACAUUGUAAAAAAAAAAAAGUUGUCAUAGUUAAUGUAAGCUAAAACUAAAAAACUUGCUUUUUCAAUUGUGUAAGCGUGUUUUGUUCUUGAUGAAUAUUUACAACAUUCAGAGUUACUAAUGUUUAUAAUUCACAGAGACCUCAUUAACAACAAGUAACAACUAAUUGUAAGUAACCAUGGAAAAAAAUAAGGAGAAAAAUAAAGGAAAAUCAAGGAAAGUGGAAAAUUUUUUCAUCCCCAUAAAAAAUGCUAAGGAAGAAAAAGGUGAAGAAAGUUUAAAGAAAGUAUAUUUUUCAAAAAUUGAAUUUUCUUUCCCUUAAAGUUGGUAUGGACAACCAAACAAGAAAAUGAUUUUUAAAUUCUUUUUUGACCUUUUUCUAUCAUUCUUUUUUUUCCCUCUACUCUAUUUCCUUUCCCUUAAACUUUCUAGGUAGUAAACAUUACCUAAGAUAAAUAGGGAAGAAAAUAUUUUAUCAUUUAUUUAUUUAGUAUUUUUCUUACCUUUUUUUGUAUUUUAUCCAAAUAUAAGAAAACUACUUUUCUUUAUUUUUUUUCUUUUCCUUGUUGCUUUUCAAGAAUCAAGCAUACUUUAAACUCUAAUUAAGAGUUACAUAGAUUUAUAGAGAAACAAUACAACUGGUAACUAAAAAUUAAGGAAAUUUAAUUUUUUAAUUUUUGAGAGUAAGUAUAAUAAAAUUGGUUUGUUUGAUACAAAAUUUGAAUAAAAUUAUUUCAAUGAAAAUUCAAGGAAAGGAAAAAAAAAACUUGAUCUCUAGACUAUAAUACUAAAUCACUUAAAAAAUCUCCUAACAUCGUUUAUGUUCAUCUUUCUUUUUAUGGAUUUGAAAAACCCAAUAAUUUGGAAAAAACUGAUUCAAGGAAGAAUAAUUUUUAGAAUAAAAGAUUAUUAUUUAAGAAGAUCAUAAAUAUUAUAGUCAUUGUUGAAUAUGAUAAAUGAUUAAAAAAAAAAAAGGUAGUUGGAAAUUUAGAUACUUUUAUAAGACAAAUGCAUUUUUCUAGUAUGAUAUGAAAAAAGGUAAAAUGAUAGGCUUUGAUCAUUUUUUAAGGUAGUUUGUUUAAAUCAUUUUAAUUUAUUUUGAUUUAAUAACAAUAACUUUUAUUACACUAGUUAUUUUGAUUUUCUUUUGAUAGAUUUUGCAAGCUUAAGCAAUUUGGAGCUAUUGGAUUUGAGUCAUAAUUUAUUUAGUGGGAUCGUUCCAUCGUCUAUAAGAUUGUUGUCUUCUCUCAAGUCUUUAUCUCUGGUUGGAAAUCUCCUCAAUGGUUCCUUAGCAAAUCAAGGUACAUAUAUUGUGAUUACAAGUUUUUCUGUUUUCUUUUUUAAUAUCUUGUUUGUUCUUUAUGCCAAUUAAGUCAUGCAUGUCUAUUAAUUUUUGGUAUUUAAUAAAAAACUUUAUUCUUAAUUCAUAAAGACCUCAUCAACUGUAAGUAACAGCUAGUUGUAAGUUUGGGGGCAUUGACAAGACGAGGAGAUGAUUGGUUACAUAUCUUAUUCUCUUUUGUAAGCUUCUGCCAAUUGAAUAAGCUUCAAGAGUUAUAUCUUUCUUACAACUUAUUCCAAGGGAUCCUUCCUCCAUGUUUGAAUAAUUUGACAUCUUUGAGGUUAUUGGAUCUCUCUUCCAACCUAUUCUCCGGAAAUCUUUCUUCCUCUCUGUUACCUAAUCGCACAUCCCUGGAGUACAACGAUCUCAAUUACAAUCAUUUUGAGGGUUCAUUCUCUUUCAGCUCUUUUGCUAAUCACUCCAACCUUCAAGUGGUCAAACUUGGAAGGAAUAACAACAAAUUUGAGAUAGAAACUGAAUAUCCAGUAUGUUGGGUUCCAAAUAUUAUGUUUUUAAAUUUAUCCAACAAUGGUUUUGAAGGUAUUCUCCCAUCCUCAAUAGCCGAAAUGAGUUCCUUAGAGUCGUUGGAUUUGUCUGCUAAUAGUUUCUCAGGGGAAGUACCAAAACAAUUGCUUGCGGCAAAAUAUUUGUGGCUUCUGAAAUUAUCAAAUAAUAAAUUUCAUGGUGAAAUGCUUUCAAGGGACUUUAACUUGACUCAGUUAGGGUUUUUGCAUUUGGACAAUAAUCAGUUCAAGGGAACACUGUCAAAUGUAAUCUCCAGAAUCUCUAGGUUAUGGGAUUGGAUGUGUUUGGCCCCCACACUCAUUUUAUUCACUAUCAAGGUUUAUUCAAUGACGUAUUACCAAUAUAUUAAUUUCACUAAUUAUAUAUUUUUUUAGUGAUUUUUGUAAAAAUAUUUUUAGUUUUUAGUGCUUUUAUUAAUGAUAUUUAUGUCGGAAAUGCUUAGUCUAUAGAGUACAUCAACACUUAACAAUCCAUUAAUAAAAAAACGAAUGAAAAAAGUUACAAUGAUUAAACUUUAAAUAAAAAAAGAAAAAACCUUUUAAUUGCAGUUGUAAUUGACCAAACAACUCGACUCUCAACAUCUUGAGCGAAGUCCAACAACACUGAUUCAAGCUUCACAAUCUAGCAUAUGGAUUUUUCUUUAAUUUUCUCCCCCUCUUCAAAAUAAAUUUCAUUUAGAAUUUUUCUAUUAUUAACUUGAUAAUUUCAUAUUUGCUAAACUUAAAAACUUCUUAUUAAGAAAUUUUUAAAAACUUCUUAAAAACAACUACAUGUCAAGUGAAAUUCCAAGCUGGAUAGGUAACAUGACCCAUUUGACUACACUGGUGUUGGGCAACAAUAGUUUUAAAGGCAAAUUACCACCUGAUAUUUCUCAAUUGCAGAGGUUGAAGUUUCUUGACGUUUCUCAAAACGUUCUUUCAGGAUCUCUUCCUUCUUUGAAGAGCCUGGAGUAUUUAGAUACCCAGAGAUUGAUACCCAGAGAUUUUCUCAAUUCCUCAUAUCUAUUGACUUUGGAUAUCAGAGACAACAGGUUAUUUGGAAGUAUUCCCAAUUCAAUCUCUAGACUUUUAGAGCUAAGAGGAAACCUUUUAAGUGGUUUCAUUCCAUAUCAGCUUUGUCAUUUGACUAAAAUAAGCUUGAUGGAUCUUUCAAACAACAAUUUUUCUAGGUCAAUUCCUGGAUGCUUUGGUCAUAUCGGAUUUGGAGAUUUCAAAACUGAGCACAAUGUGAAUAUACCGAUGUUGGAUUCGUAUUGAGAAAGCAAUCCUUCUAUAUAUACAGGUUACUUAAUAAAAUAUUUAUUUUUCUCUAGUGAACUCCCUGAUGAAGUAGAUGAAGUUGAGUUUGUUACCAAGAAUAGGUAUAGCUCCUAAAGAGUAGAUAAAAAUAUUUGUUGGGAAUUUAGAUAAUUUUAUAGAAAAGUAGACAAGUAUUCUAAUUUAUAAAAACAAUGAAUUUCUUUAGUUUGGUAUAAAAAAAUGAAGCGAUAGGUAUUGGUAAUUUUUUUUAAAGUAACAAACGUUUUAUUUUAUUUGUAUUUAAGAACAAUGUCUUUUCUUAUACUAGUUAUUUUAAUUUUCUUUUGACAGAUUUUGCAAGCUUAAGCAAUUUGGAGAUGCUAGAUUUGAGUUUUAAUUCCUUAAGUGGGAUUAUUCCAUCAUCUAUAAGAUUGAUGCCUCAUCUCAAGUCUUUAUCCCUGGCCGGAAAUUAUCUCAAUGGUUCUUUACAAAAUCAAGGUACAUAUGUUAUGAUUUGUUUGUUUCAUAUAGAUUAGAGAAGAUAAAUAUUGUAAAAAAAAAAAAAGUUGUAGUUAAUGUAAGCUAGAAAUAAGUAUCUUGCCUUAUAAAUUAUAUAAGCAUGUGUUUGUUCUUAAUGAAUCUUUACAACAUUUAGAGUUACCAAUGUUUAUAAUUCAUAAAGACCUCAUUAACAGUGAAUAACAACUAAUUGUAAGUAAUUGUGGAAAAAGUAAGGAAAACAAAAUGAGGGAAAAGCAAGGAAUUAGGAAAUUAUUUUGUUCCCAUUAAAAAAUGUUAAGGAAGAAAAAGGUAAAAGAAAGUUUAAAAAAAGUAUAUUUUUCAAAAAUUUAUUUCUCUUUCCUUUAAUUUUGCUAUGGACAACCAAACAAGAAAAUUAUUUUAUAAUUCCUUUUUUAUUUUUUUCAUUCUCUCUCUCUUUUUUUCCCUACUCUAUUUCUUUUCCCUCAAACUUUCUUGGUAGUAAACACAACCUAAGAUAAAUGGGGAAGAAAAUUUUCAGUUUUUUAUUUUUAUUUUUUUAGAAUGUUUUCUUACUUUGUAGUAUUUUAUGCAAAUAUAGGAAAAUUAUUUUUUUUUUCUUGCUCCUUUUCAUACAUGAAUCACACUUUAAAAGAAAAUUAAUUUUUAAUUAGGAGUUAAGAUAAAUUUAAGGAGAAACAAUGAAUCACGAAUAACAAAAAAUUAAGGAAAUUGAAUUUUUGAAAGUAAGUAUAAUCAAAUUGCUUCAUUUGAUACAAAAUUUGAAUAAAAAUUCUUUCAAUGAAAAUUCAAGGAAAGGAAUAAACAUUUUUGUCUCUAGAUUAUAAUACUAAAUCAUGUAAAAAAUCUCUUAACAUCAUUUAUAUUCAUAUUUCUUUUUAUAGAUUUGAAAAAUUCAACAAUUUGGAAUAAACUUAUUCAAUGAAGAAUAAUUUUUAGAUUUAAAGAUUAUUAUUUAAGAUCAUAAAUAUUACCAUCAUUGUUGAUGUCUAAGAAGAUCAUAUUCAACAAUUUUUUUAAUAUGUUGUUUUUUAUGGUAAUUAAUUGAUGUCUUGUAAUUUUUAAUAUUUAAUGAAAAACAUUAAUUUAAUUCAUCUAGAGCUCUUAAUUCAUGAAGACCUCAUUAAUGUAAUGGUGAGUAAUAGUUGGCUGUAAGUUUGGAGUCAAAGACAUGUUAAGGAGAUGAUUAGUUACAUGUCUUAUUCUCUUUUGUAGGUUUCUGCCAAUUGAAUAAGCUUCAAGAGUUAGAUCUUUCUUACAACUUAUUCCAAGGGAUCCUUCCUCCAUGUUUGAAUAAUUUCACAUCUCUGAGGUUAUUGGAUAUCUCUGCCAACCUAUUCUCCGGAAAUCUUUCUUCCCCUUUAUUACCUAAUCUCACAUCCUUGGAGUACAUCGAUCUCAGUUACAAUCAGUUUGAGGGUUCAUUCUCUUUCAGCUCUUUUGCUAAUCACUCCAAGCUUCAAGUGGUCAUACUUGGAAGGGAUAACAACAUAUUUGAGGAAGUUGGAAGGGAUAACAACAAAUUUGAGGUAGAAACUGAAUAUCCAGUUGGUUGGGUUCCCCUGUUUCAGUUGAAGGUUCUCUCUCUAUCCAGCUGUAAGCUCACCGGUGACCUUCCUGGUUUUCUUCAAUACCAAUUCAGGUUAGUGGGGGUUGAUCUCUCCCAUAAUAACUUGACAGGAAGUUUCCCCAAUUGGCUGCUUGCAAACAAUACGAGACUAGAAUUUCUAGUCCUGAGGAAUAACUCUUUAAUGGGUCAACUACUUCCCCUGGGACCUAAUACCCGUAUCAAUUCAUUGGAUAUCUCACACAAUCAGUUGGACGGACAACUUCAAGAAAAUGUGGCCCAUAUGAUUCCAAAUAUUAUGUCUCUAAAUUUAUCCAACAAUGGUUUUGAAGGUAUUCUCCCAUCCUCAAUAGCUGAACUAAGAGCCUUAUCGAUGUUGGAUUUGUUUACCAAUAAUUUCUCUAGAGAAGUACCAAAGCAAUUGCUUGCAGCAAAAGAUUUGGAGAUUCUGAAAUUAUCAAAUAAUAAAUUUCAUGGUGAAAUAUUUUCAAGGGACUUUAACUUGACUUGGUUGAAGCAUUUGUAUUUGGGUAAUAAUCAGUUCACGGGAACUCUGUCAAAUGUAAUCUGCAGAAGCUCUUUGUUGAGGGUGUUGGAUGUGAGCAACAACUACAUGUCAGGUGAAAUUCCAAGUUGGAUAGGUAACAUGACAGGAUUGGGAACAUUGGUCAUGGGCAACAAUAAUUUUAAAGGCAAAUUACCACCUGAGAUUUCUCAAUUGUCGGGGAUGAUGUUUCUUGACAUUUCUCAAAAUGCUCUUUCAGGAUCUCUUCCUUCUUUGAAGAGCAUGGAGUAUUUAGAGCAUCUACAUUUGCAAGGGAACAUGUUUACAGGAUUAAUACCCAGAGAUUUUCUCAAUUCCUCAAAUCUAUUGACUUUGGAUAUUAGAGAAAACAGGUUAUUUGGAAGUAUUCCAGAUUCAAUCUCUGCACUUUUGAGGCUAAGGAUUCUUUUGCUGGGAGGAAACCUUUUAAGUGGUUUUAUUCCAAAUCAUCUUUGUCAUUUGACUGAAAUAAGCUUGAUGGAUCUUUCAAACAACUCUUUUUCAGGGCCAAUUCCCAAAUUCUUUGGCCAUAUCCGAUUUGGGGAGAUGAAAAAGGAGGACAACGUGUUUGGACAGUUCAUUGAAAGUGAGUAUGGAUGGAAUUCUCUUGCAUAUGCAGGUUACUUGGUGAAAGAUCUAGGCUCCCCAAUUUUAGUAUAUAAUGAAAAAGAUGAAGUUGACUUUGUCACCAAGAACAGGCGUGACUCCUACAAAGGUGGCAUCCUUGAAUUCAUGUCUGGAUUGGAUUUAUCAUGUAACAACUUGACAGGCGAAAUACCUCACGAACUUGGAAUGCUAAGUUGGAUUCGUGCAUUGAACUUGUCUCACAAUCAAUUGAAUGGCUCCAUUCCAAAGAGUUUCUCCAAUCUUUCUCAAAUAGAGAGCUUAGACCUUUCUUAUAAUAAACUGGGUGGAGAAAUUCCUCUAGAGCUAGUUGAACUCAAUUUUUUAGAGGUGUUUAGUGUGGCUUACAACAACAUCUCCGGUAGAGUUCCAGAUACCAAAGCACAAUUUGCAACAUUUGAUGAAAGCAACUAUGAAGGUAAUCCUUUCCUUUGUGGGGAACUAUUAAAGAGGAAAUGCAACACAAGUAUUGAGUCACCAUGCGCACCAUCACAAUCUUUUGAAAGUGAGGCAAAAUGGUAUGAUAUCAAUCAUGUUGUUUUCUUUGCAAGUUUUACUACUUCAUAUAUCAUUAUCUUGUUAGGAUUUGCUACCAUCCUUUACAUCAAUCCUUAUUGGCGUCAUAGAUGGUUCAAUUUUAUCGAGGAAUGUAUAUAUUCCUGCUAUUAUUUUGUUUCCGAUAGUCUUUCCAAGUUAUCAACAUAUUUGUAUAAUUAGAUACUUUUAGUUGGAUGAUGUUUGCAUAAUUAACUACUAUUUGUUUCCAGAGGAUAGAAAGAAAUGGGAUGUAUAAUUGCUAUGAGUUGAAACUUACGUACUUUGCUCAAAUUUCGGCAUCCUUUGCUUUUAUUUUCAAGUUUCGUUAUUUUUUAUUUAUUGUUUAUUUCAAGAUUUAACCAUAUUAUGUUACUCUUAUAAAAACAAAUUCAAAUUUUUAGGAACUUUUAGCAUUAAAAUAAUUUCAUAAUCAGAUUUUAAAAAAUAAAAAAGAAAGAAAAUAAUAAAUAAUUGGAAAAACAAUUCAAGGGAGUAUUAAAUUAUCAUCUUAGAAUUGUUUGGUAUAGUAUGGGAAUUAAAAAAUAAUCUUUCAAUUUGUUAGACAUGUUUAUUUAUUUAUUAUGGCAAUGAUUGAAAUAUCAAUCACAAAGUAAUGUUUUCUUUUCUUUUGUAGGGCACUAACACUUUUUCUUUGAUAGUAAUAAUUGAUAAAUAUUUUACACAGUUAUUUGUUUUUAAAAAGGGAGGGAUGACAAAUAUAAUACGUGAAAUAUUUCUAAAACUGUGAUGGUAAAUAAGCCAUCUAAUUAGGGUGUAAUAUUAUUUAUUUUAAUUUAUUUGCAUCAUUUUUUGAACUAUUUUAUCAGAUUAAGGGAGAUUAAAACAUCAUGAGUUUGUUAUUUUAAUUUAUAUUUUUAAUAAUAAAGUAUGAAAUAUUAAAAAAAAUAAUCAUGAAUUUCUUUAAUUCCUUAGGAAACCAAUAUAUAAAAAAAUUGAAUAUAUUAUUAUUUUAUGUCCUAAAUUUCUAAAGUUGUUCAUCAUGUAUUAUUUUUAUAUUAAAUUUAUUAUCAUUAAUUAUUUAUUAUAUAUUAUUAUUUAUGUUUAAAAAUGUUCAUAAAUAAUUAAAAUUAAUAAAAAUAUAAAAAAUAAAAUAUUAAAAAAAUUAAAUUAAAAAGAUUUCAUCAAGCUAACAUGUUUUUUUUUAUAAAAAAAAGCAAAAAAAAAUGGGGAUAUUAUAAAGGAGGGGAAAAAGGAGCUUUGACCCAAAAUACUACGUUCUAAAAACAAAAUUCAUAAAGUACCACCCUUUCUAAAAUAAUGUCCAAUCUAAUGUCUCUGUGCUACAUAGAUUGCCACGUCAUAAAACCGUAGUUGGUAACUACGGUUUUAUUUUUUAAAAAUAGUCAAAACCGUAGUCACCAACUACGACUUUAAUUUUAAUUUUAUAUAUAAAUAUAUAUUUAACUUAUAUUUUUUUAAAUAAAAUAUUAUAUUAUUUUGAUUUUAUAUUGAUUAAAAAUAUGUAAGUGGUGUAAUAAAAAUAUUUAACUUUAAUUGAUCUCAUUAUUUAAAGAAUAGUAAUAUAUAAAAUUAAAUAAUUGAUGUCUUUAAUUUGAUAUAAAAAUAUAUUUUGAUAAUUUUAUGAAAAUAUUUGGCACUACAUUCAAUAUAAAUAUAAUUAGUUAUAAAUAUACUAUUUUAUACCCUCAUAAUGAAGAAUAUUAUAUUAUUUUGUAACUUUGUGCAAAAAUUAAAGGCAAUUAUGCACUUGUUCAAAAUAUAAUAUGACUUCAAGUGGGUAAAUAAUUGGAAAAUUACUUAAAUACAACAAAAAUAAAUUUUUUUUUUCCAUUUUUCUCCUUUCGAAAUGGGAUCAAAAUGGAAUGGAAAGACUUAAAAUGUUAAACUUAAAAUGUCAACCUAAAAGAAUUUGUUUUUCCACUUCUUAAAAUAUAGAAUUGUAGAAAGAAAAUACCUUUGUUUUUCCAAUCAAUUCGCUAUUUAGUUUAAUUGUUUUAGUAAAUAGAUGAAAAUGCUUUUGAAAUAUUUUUGUAAAUUCAUUGAUAAUAAGAAAAAUGUUUUUUAUUGGGUACUAAUGGGAGUUUUGGGCAAAAAUAAUUUCUUUAAAACAGAAAAUUCAUAAAAUAAUUUUAUUCAUAAAAUAAUUUUAUUCUCAAAAUAAUUUUUAAUGUGAUGUGUGUCUUAUUCAUGUGGGUAUUCACAUCAUAAAACUGUAAUUGGUAAUCAUGAUUUUUGAUUUUUUUUUUUUAAAUAGUCAAAAUAGUAGUUAGUGAUCAUAACUUUAAAUUUAAACCUAAAGCCAAUUUUUUAAGUUCAAAUUUUAAAUCAUAUGAAUGUUCAAUUUUUUAAAAAUUAUUUUGAUUGGAGGUUUAGAUUGUAAAUUUUUUUUAAUAUAUUAUCUUUUCUAUAUCAAUAUAGUGUUGUUGUAACUAAUUAGUUAUAAAUAUAAUUAGUUUAAAUUUAAACCUAAAACCAAUUAGUUUAAAUGAAUAAAACUAAUUAGGAAUAGGGGAAAAGGUAAAGGAAAGUUAAAGCCGUAGUUGGUGACUACGGCUUUGAUUGUUUUUAAAAUAGUCAAAGUCGUAGUCACAAAUUACGGUUUUAAACUUAAAGUUAAAACCAUGGUUGGUGACUACGGGUUUUGACUAUUUUUAAAAAAUGAAAUCGUAGUUACCAACUAUAUGACGUUUAUGGAUUUUUUUUUUUAAACGAAGUAUUUUGGGUCAUCGGGAAAAAGAUAAAGGAAAAAUCAUGUGGUAUGAUAAUUGCCACGUGUCAAAGUUGUUUUCUUUAAAAAAUAAUAAUAGUAAUGAUGAGCUCAUUUGUCUUAUCAAAGUAAAUAAAAAAACAAAAUGACAAAAAAAGGUGGCAGUUGGCCGAAGGUGAGAGAGGAGGGUUUGAGGGUAAGUUAGGAAUAUUAAUUAUUUUCACUAAGUAGAUAUUUUGAAGGUUAUUUUUUCCGAAACACAUAUUCUUUGAAAAUAAAAAAUCAAAGUUUUAAAAAAAUAUAAUUUUUUUUAAAUGACACAUGAUUACAUCAUUCCCCCUAGAUUAUUUGUUCAUUUAAACUUUUGUUUAAAUAAAAUUAGUUUUAAUUAUUUUCUUUUUGGAAUUAUAUUUAACAUUUAUUAAAAAAAAUAAAAAAACAUAGAUAUAAUAUUGUUAAUGAGUUUUCUUUUUAAUAUUUUGUAAAAUAAUUAAAUUUAAAAAUAUUUAAAUUUAAUUAUGGGCUGCCCAUUUCAAAAUAAUAAGAAUCUCAUAAUCUAAUUUUUCCAAAUUCCAGGUAAAUAUGCUAAUCUAAAAAGAAAAUAAUAAGAAUCUCAUAACCUAAUUUUUAUGUGCUGAUUGGGUUUUUUUCCUUUAAUUUAAAAAAAAAAAAAAGGAAAAAAACAAAAGUGUGCGAUCCUCUUUCUCGAGUCUUCACAUUUUGAGACACUGAACCCAAAUCAAAAUUAAUUUUCACCUCCAAUCCAAACCCUAACUGCUGCCCCCGUUUUCGUUUUCUUCUUCUCUUUCCGAAAACCCACCGGAAUCGGAAGAUUCAUAAUUCUUCAGAAUUAAUUUUCACCUCGAAGCCAAACCCCAACUGCCUCAUCUUCCUCUCAUUCAUAUCCCGAAAGUAGCUUCAACAGUCAGGCCUGUAGCCAUGAAAGCCGUAGUGAUCACUACUUCCGGUGAUCCCCAAGUUCUCCAAGUGCAAGAAGUCGAAAACCCUGAAAUUGGAGAUGAUGAAGUUCUAAUUAGAGUGGACGCCGCUGCCAUUUACCGAGCAGAUAAGCUUCAGAGGAAGGGCUUGCACCCUUCCUCAAAGGCGGCAGUCCCUACCCGGGUCUCGAAUGUUCUGAAAUCAUCGAAGCUGUUGGAAAAGCCGUCGUUCGAUGGAAGGUUGGCGAUCAGGUAUUUCAAUUGCCUAAUAUUUUGAUUUCGUUUCUGUUCCUGUAUUUUUCUCGGCUAUCAAACACUAGGAACGUGUAAAUAAGGAGGUUAGUUGAUUGCGAAAACGGGAAUUUUUUGUUUGUGUUUGUGUUAAGGAGUCUUUGUUGAGAAUUUUAUGAUUAGUUUGUGAUUUUAUGAUUAAUUUUGUGUAUCAAUAUAGGUUAAUUAUUGAGCUUAUUGGUUUUUCAAAUUUAUGGUUGUAAGAAAAUUGGUCAGUGUAAGGUUAUGGGUUCAUGGGUUCAUUACCAAUUUGCUUACUGAAAAUUUUCUGAUGCCUGAUAUAUUUACCAGCACAAAUUUACACUGUUGGUGUUUAAUGUGUGUGCGUCAAUAUUGGAUUAGGGAGGCAGAAGAGCCAUGGUUUUAAUUAAAACAUUACAUCAUCAUAUUCUUAUUUAGAUACAUCGUGUCUCACAAUUUCAUUGCAUCCAAGGCCAUGUUAUUUUUUAUUGCAUGGUUUGUCAUGAUAAUUUCUCAACCCUUCUCUGGAAAAUUAUGUUGGAUGGCUGAUAUUAAUUACCCCAAAAGAAGAAAUUUUAUGUUGAAGUAAGAUGAGUACCACAAAGAGUUACUUUUGGUUGUUCCUAUCAUCAAAUGGGCGAUUGAUGCACAAUCCAAAUGGUAAACUUUUUUUCCCCCUUUAUCCAGAUGGAAUUUUUAUGCAUGGAUGAAUUGUGAAAUGAGGACUGAUAAUAUUUCAGGUUCAUGGGGGUUCAAUUGGAAUUGGUACGUUUGCUAUUCAAAUAGCGAAAUACCGAGGAGCAAGGGUAUUUGUUACAGCAGGUUUGCCAUCACUAUUCUACCUCAUCUCAUGGCACCAAUUCCUUGUCUUCACAUGUUUUCGACCAUUUUUUACAACUGAAAACGAGGAAAAAUUAGCUGUUUGUAAGGAUCUUUGAGCAGAUGUGUGCAUCAAUUACAAGACUGAAGACUUUGUUGCUUGGGUGGAGGAAACAGGAGGGAAAGGUAUAUUCUAUUGUAUCCUAACAAUAAUUUCAGUUGAAGAUGGAAUUGCUUUUAAUUUUUUAGUGCACCUAAUCCACUAGUCUGGUAUGUUUGAAAAGAUAAAUAGUCAUCUUCCACUUGAUUCCGAUUGUGAAGAUCUAACUCCAAAAAUGUUGAAUGACAGGUGUUGAUGUUAUACUGGAUAAUAUUGGACGGGCCUACUUUGAGGGAGACAUCGAUAGUUUAAAUGUUGAUGGAACGCUUUUUAUUAUUGGUUUUCAGGGUGGAACAGUUGCAGAAGUAAAUCUUUCAGGUUUACUUGCAAGGUGCCUUACAGUGCAAGGUACCACUUUCUCUAUAGAAGAUUUUUCUGUAGUUUUGGAGUUGAAUCAAUUUGAUUAAUCUCAUCCAAGUUCAGAACUAAGGUGGAUUCUGGCAAGCCAAGGAAAAACCAAAUUACCAUAAAUUCUUUUUUUUCUGGAUUGUUUUACUUCUUGGAAAUCCUGUUUCUCGAUCUGGUCAGGUAUAUGGAAAUUCCAAGGAAAAUAUGUUUUACAUUUUCCAUAAUUGGAAACACUCAGGAAUUUAAUAUUUUCCUCUGAAAUAGCAAUGGUUUUCUAAUUACAACAUUUGUUUUUCUUGUAUCAUCCCAAAAUAUUUUUUAGGUGUUUGUUCUCUCUUGACACAGCUUUUAAUCGGGUCUGUCUUGCUUUUCGAUAGAUUUCUUGACAAGUUGCUUCUAUAUCAUACUUUCUUUAUUGGUUUUGGAUCAUGCACCUUGCUUUGUCAGCCCUGUUAUCACUACCCAAACUAGUAAAUUUAUGCACAAAACUCCAUGUGUCAGUAACUGUGGUUAUUAGGUUGUAUUAAAUAAUUUGUAAAUACGGUGGAUGAGUUUGUACUAAAUGGCAAUUGUUUAAACAGAAGUCUGGAAAACAAAGCUGUAAUUGUGAGUGAGGCGGAGAAGAAUGUUUGGCCUGCAAUCACAGGCGUACAAGUAUUUUCCAUUGACGGAAGCAGCAGAGGCUCACCAGCUCAUGGAAAGCAGCAAGCAUGUUGGGAAGAUACCGUGCAUUCAAUUAUGUUAUGGUUAUGAAUGAUCUUAUGCCUCAGAGGGAUGACAUGAUUUUAAAACUCUUAAUGAGCAUCUACUAUCUGAUACAAUGUGUGAUGCCCAGGCCUAGAUGGUCAAUGCUUAAUUUCUUAUGUAGGCCUGUCAUUUGAGAAUAAAAACCAGCCUUCCAGUCCAAACAUUUAGACUACUGGAAUCUAAAGCUUCAAGAUGGUUGAAACUGAAUUUUCAUGUGCAAACAGAUCAUAACUCUCCAACCUCCACAAAUGAGCUUACCUUCCUUAUCUGAAGUUUGAACAAAAAUGUAUGAAACGGUUAGGUAGAACUGUCUAAGAAACCAGAGCUUGGAUGUGAGAGAAACCAGCGCCCCUAAAGGUCAGGACAAGAUUACCAUUCCACCAAAGUUGAGCCUUGCAUGCAGUCACCUAGUAUUUUCUUUUAUUGGAGUCUUCCCCUCUACCCUGGCACUGGGAUUGAAGGCGAAUGAAAAACCUGCAUGGAUUGAAGGUGUGCUGCUUGAGUUGAUUGUAGUUUGAGCAUGAAAAUUUGAAGAUCCAGAACAGCAAAUGAGGAAUGCCUAUCAAUUUGAAACCAGCAUGGGUGGAUGAAUGGAGAGGUUCUUCACUGAAUUUGUCCAUGAAGUGGUUUCCAUUAAAUUGCUUGAUGUAAAAAACGAAAAAAGCAUAUAUUGCUUAUUUGAAGUUAGAAUAUAACUUAAGUUGCCAGAAUGGUUUAUGCUUAUAGUGCUGAUUUUAAAGUACGAAACAAAUUGGAACUAACACAAAAAGUAGUUAUAUACCACGAAGAAAUGAAUAAAUUUCAUCUUAUAUCUCAUAGCUUUUGAAGUGAGCGUAUUUUGAUUUGGCAAAAGUAAGGGUGAGUUCAGGAAUGAAGCUUCAUCAUUUCAAAUAUGAAUUUAUAAUCUCAAAUCAGGAAGCAAAAUGGAGUGAAUGUCAUUGACUUGAUGCAUACUGCUUAAAUGGUGAUUUAUUUAAAAAUUUUAACCACGAUUAAUUUUUUCUUUUAAAUCAGUAAUAUAACCCUACAAAAGUAAUGAAGAUUAAAAUGUUAGGCAAUUUAUUUUUUAAAAAAAAAUUGCAAAAUGUCUUUUUUUUUUUUAAUAAAUUGCAAAAAAAAAAAAAUUAUUGCAAACAAUUUUUUCUUUUUUCUUUUUAAUCAAACUGCAAAAAUCUUUUUUUUUUUCUCCAACAAAGUGAUUUUUUUUUUAAUAAAAAUAACUAAAAUCUAGAAUGCACUUUUUUUAUUUAUCAAAUCUUAAAAAUUAUUGUUUUCAAUAAAUAACUUAUUUAUAAAAAGAAAACUAUAAAAUAUAUGCACUUGAAAAAUAUUUAAUUUUUAUUUGAUUUAGUAUCAAUUAAUAUUUGUAAUAUUUUUUAAUAUUAUAGAAGUUAACAUUCUCAAUAAAGAUAUUCAAGGCCUUGAGUUCCCCUUGGGCCUUGGCCAGGGCCUUCUCUUUGUAUCAUUAUUUUGAAGAAGCAUAUUGGUGUGACGUAAAAAAAAACUAUACUAAAUAGAAAAUAAAUAAAAGCAUCAACAAAAAUAAAGGCCAAGAUCCAUGAAAAGUAAUCUUUAAAUUUGUUGCAUAUAUAAUUUCAACAAUGCAUAAAUAAUUACAACAUACACAAUACAAUAAUAUUACACAACUAUAUUUUCAAAUAUAACAUAAGAUCAUUAAAGUGAUAAAUUGUAGUCGUAUAAAAUAUUUGUACAAGUAAAGAAGAAAUUAUGAGAUUAAAAGUCUGUUUGGCAGUGAUUCUAAUAAAAACGUUUUUCUUUAAAGUGUUUCCUUUUGUAGUGUUUCCUUGGAAAAUACUUUUUUGCGAAUUAGAAAAAAUGAUUUUCAAGUGUUUUUUUAUAAUAUAUUGUAUAAGUAUAAAAACACUUUUGAUAUUAAUAAAUUACCAAAAAGGACAUAUAUAUUUAUAUUGUUAAAAAAACUAAAAAUAAUCUUUUUUUAUGAUUUAAAUAAAUUUUUUACAAGAAGAAUUAGAUUAAUAAAUAAAUAUCAAUCAUGAUAUAACAAAUUAUUUGAUUAUAUAUUAGUUUAAAAUUAAUAAUUUUUUUUAUCACUAUAAUAAAAUUUUAAAAAAUAUUUAUAAAAAACAUCUGAAUAAAUAAAUAAAUAAAAGAACAUUGAAUAAAAGAUAAUUUUCAAGGUAAAACAAUAUAUGAUUACCUAUUAAUUUCUCAAAAAAAACAAAAAAACUUUCUAAUUAAAAGUAAAUAAGAAGACAAAUGUUUUCAUAACAAAAAAGGGGGAAAAAAAAUUAUAUUAUUACAUAUUAGAGUCAUAGUUAAACAUCAAUGAGAUAUAAGAAGAUUUGCAAUUCGAUCACGUUCUUCUUCCAUCUCUCUUGCAUGAUGUGAACCAUCUUCCUCAACAAGUGAAUCCACUCUACUCUCUUCUUCAUUAAGUAGAAACAACCCUUGAUCAUCAUCAUAAGGUUUAAAUUCCAUAUCCAUUCUAGCAUUAAUCCUUAUGAAGUUGUGAAGAGCCAUUGAAGCAAUAACAAUCUUUACUUGUUUUUCAAGAGGAAAACUAUGCAUUUGUCAUAGCAUUCUCCAUCUAUUCUUCAAAACGGCAAAUGUUCUCUCAAUUGUGCACCUCAAGGAAGAAUGCCUAUGAUUAAAUAUUUCCUUUUUACCUCUAGGUGAACUACCUCGUCGAAAAUCUGGAAGAUGGUAACGCUCGCCUUUAUAAGGGCCUAAAUAUCCACUCAUUUGAGGAUAACCAGCAUCAACCAAAUAAUAUUUACCUACAAAACAAAAACAAAAAAUAUAUAUUAGAUAAUAAGAAUUUGAUCACAAAAACAAGUUUGAUAUUGUCAUUCACAAACCUCUAGGUGGAUGAGGAAAACCCAAUUCUGGCCUUCUUAAUGCCUCUAAAAAGACCCGUGCAUCAUGAGCAGCACCUUCCCAUCCGACCCAUGCAAAUGUGAAACACAUAUUGAAAUCACAUACUGUCAUAACAUUUUGGGUAGUCAUGCCUUUUCUACCAAUAUAUGGUAUUUGUCUAUCUUUAGGAACCACAACAGGUAUAUGAGUUCCAUCAAUUACCCCAAUACAAUCCUUAAAAUAUGGCCAAUACCGAUCAUCAUUUUUUAUUUUAUUAGGGACUUCCUUAAACUAUGGAUCACUUGGUUUUAUAAUAUCCAUGGCCAUAAGACAAACAACAUCUAAUACAAUCUCAAACCAUUUAGAUACAGAUUCACUAGAGUGUUGAAAUCUUUCUUGAAUCAUCCUAUUGCUUAGUCCAUGACCUAUUGUAGUGAGAAACAUUGCUAAGGCCUCUGUUAAGGGCACAUCAAAACCUUCUUUUAGGCCAUACCUUUUAGUAAGUGUUUCUAAUAAAUUCAUAAACACAUGUUUUUCCAUUCUAAAUUGCUCAAAACACCUAAUUUCAUGGCCAUUUAAGACAUCCAUUACAAACUUGUAUCCUAUGUGGGAAGAAGUUCUGCAAGGUUUUUUUUUUCUUUGAAACAAGUAAGUUUUACAGCUAUAGCACAACCCGCAAGCACCAACUGAUAAAAAUCAUGUUCAUCAUCGUUUUCAUCAUCAAAAUUUUGAUCAUUAUUAUUAGAAGACAUCUACACAAAUAAAAAAAGAAAUACAUUAAUAAAUCUGUUUUUCUCCUUUUCUACCUCUUUGAAAAAGAAGAAUAUUAUCAACUGAAUAUAAUGUUCACAAUAAAUCCUUCAAGUAUCUAGAAGGAACAUUUCCUUUAAUUGUUUGGGCAAGAAAAAGCAUAGCUCAACAAAGCUUCAAGUAGCAAGUUAUUUAUAUAUAUGAACCAGGCUAGAAGUAACCAUGAUAAGAACAUAUAAUACUGCAAUACUCAAGGUUCUUGUGUAAUUCUCCUAAAUUGUAUUUCCUUUUUAAUUUUCCAAAGUACUCAAUUUAAUCUCUCAUCACAAGCAUGGGACUCAACACUUCAAAACAUUUCUCCAAUAAUUUUUCAAGGAAUCAACUUGGUUCCAUGGCCUAUAACUGAUACUAUCAGAUGAUCAACAACAAAUAAUAUCUUAAAUGUAGUUUACCACACAUCUAACCAUACAUUUAUAUUAGAAAUGCAAAUACAAAUACAAGGCCACAGAUUUAAAGUUAUCAGUUUGCUCCUUUCCUGAUAAGCAAUAGGAAGCCCAUACAAAUAGGCUCAUUUCCCAUCCCACUGCUCUAUUCUUAUUUUGUAGAUAAUUACAUUACAUAUGAUAAAUAUAGAAGAUAGAUUAAUUCAAUUAGCAUAAAUUGGAACAAGAAGCUAUGCAUAAAUAGCAUAUAUAAUACUCACAUUACUUUGCUCUUACAACGGUUUUUUCUUUGAACCUAUAUUCUUUUGAUUUGUUGAAGUAUGUUGAGUCAUUUUUUUAACAUGUGCACCAAGAAUUUAACUUGUAUAGGCCUGCACAUAAUGUGAAAGCAAAUAUUAUUAUAAAAUGGUUCAUACAUCCGACGAGUGUCUAAUUAAGUGUUGUUUCCAACAAAGGCAUUCCUCCACUAUAGAAUUGUUCGUGCUGCAUGGAUAUUUUCUCUUUCAUUCAUUUUGUUCUAUUGGAUUUCCAGUAAGAUUUAUGUGUUCUAGGAUUUUCAGAACUACUCUUACACACACCAACUUCGAAGGUAAGUGGUAUUUUUCAUGAGGAAGAAAUUCGAAGUGAUCAUCCCAAUAUCAAAUAAUAUAGCAAAAUUAAGGGUUUAUAGGAAUUAAAGCUGGGCUUCCAUACAAUCAUGUUAAAGGUAAAUAGCAGGGCGGCAAUUUGUUCAUACAUAAAGCUGUUUUUCCCCUUUUCUAUGUCUGUGUCUUAAAUGGGUCUCGACCUAAAUGUGAAAUUGAAAUGACCCUAAUGAAAGAAGAAGUAUGUGAUGAUUGAAUUAAGAAAGAAUGCGAAGGUUUAGCCACUCGAAAAAUAUACUUGUGUCUCAUGAAUUUGUUUGUUGGGUGUGAUUCAAAGAGACAACCUAAGGUCCAAUUUUUGAUCAUCUCAUUUAAAAACCAAUUAUUUUCCAGUAUGAGUGUCUUUAAUGACAAUCUACAUCAUACCCUUGGGAGUCAUUGUUUGGGCGACCCAUUACCAGACAUAAGCGGGAUCAUCCCACCUCAAAAAAAGGGUCUGAAAUGUUAUAAAUGAGAGAUAUCGAGCACCAUAUUACAGCUCCUGGAAAUGCAAUAAUGCAUGUAUGAAGGUGCCCCUUACCAAAAAGAGUGAAAAAACAAAACCGAAUCAGCCCAAAAAUUUAAUUGGGGUUCACAGUAUUUCAUAGAAUUGAGCAAACCUUGACAAAUACCUAUAAGGCAAAGUGGAAAAUGGGGUCUUCAAACCUACCCACAAAUAGUUAUAUGAUGAGCCCCAAUCCGAAACAAGUGGUCCAAUAUAUAAGAGGGGGACCUAAUGCAGAGGACCAUAGUGCCAUAACUACUAUAUACUUGUACCAAAUGGUUAAAAAAAAAAAAUAAUAAUGUGUAUGCAGUAUGCAAUAUGCUUAUAUGCAUUCAAACGAAUCAAACCAUAAAAACUCACUGCUGGAAGGUUUGGGAGGAUACAAAGCCCUGAAAGCAACGAAAUCGAUCAGCGGUCCACAAGCUGGAUCCUCCUCUACUCUUGGGUUAUGUAUGAUGAUCUCGAUCACAUCAAAGACAUGUGGUUUACAGAUAUGUGAACCAAAAAUCCUAAACAGAGCGAUUGCAUAUGUGAACUAGAAUAGAGGAUGAGAGUUUUAGAAAGAGAAGUACCAGGAAAUGAGACUCGACUACUCUAUUGAUUUACCAUUUCAUUUUCUCAUACUUUCCUCCUAACCAAACAAUCCUAAAACCCAAAACCCUAACUAGCAUUGCAAGACAAUCAGACAUUAAAAACAAGGAAAAGAAAAACAAGCAAAGAACAGAGGGUUACCUUCGAUUAGAUAAAUGAUGUCGAAUGAAAGUGGAGCGCUUUUCAGAUGGAGAGCGAUGGAGGAGGAGAACCAAGGAGAAAGGUAAGUGAAAGGGAAAUGGAGGUAUCGGGAAUCACUUGGGGGUAUUUUUGGAAUAUUUCAAAAUUUUUGAAGUGUUUUUUUAAAAAACACCUGUCAAGUGAUUCUCUAAAAAUCAUUUUAAGUGUUUUUCCAGAUUUUCAGAAGUGUUUUUAAAAAUAUGCCAAACACCUUAUUUUCAUCCCAAAAACACUUAAAAGUAUUUUUAAGGGUAUAAACACUUUUAAAAAUCAUUGUCAAACGGGCUCUAAAAUGCUUGUCGGAUUCUAGGUAAAGAAGAAAUGAGAUAUAGAGAUUAUCCCAUCAGACAUAUAGAAUUUCAUAUACAUAAUUUCAUAUAUUUAUAGGUUUGAAGAGACAUAUUGAGAUUUUGUAGACAUGUUUGGAGUUUUAAACCUUGAAAUAUUACUCUUUUAUUAAAUUAACAUUUAUAAAAUUUGGAAGAACAUAAUUGGAUAAUAUCUUAAGUUAUUUUUAAUGAAAAUUGAUAAUUACCUUUUAAUUAUUAAAUUCAUUAUUUCUAUUUGUUUUUGUAAUAUUUCUUAAUUACUAAAAUAUUUUAUUUCCUUUAUUUAGUUUGAAAGCUAUUAUAUAUCUUUUGUUUGUAUAGAGCUCAUGUGACAUAUCUCACAAUUUAAUUUAAAGAUUCAUUACCAAAUGACAAAUUUUAUUUUGUCACGCUUCUCUUCUUUUCUCCCAGACCGGAUUGGUCGACCAAUCAUUGAUCGGAGCCUUUCAGAAUGGCUAUCAAACCGCCACUGAACCGAGAAAUCAACGGUUUAACCACUAACUCGGUGAACUGGUCUACCGGCUCAAGUUUGGAUCCCUUUAAUUUGUGGCAGAAUGCGCCCAACCAAAUUGGGCCUCAAGCCCAACAACCUAAAGUCCAUGCGGGCUAUCUACUGGAUCUCACCCAUUGUAACUUGCUCUGGGUGAAUGGCCAUUACAAACUUCCCUCAUCUGAUUUUGAUGUGGGAAUGGGAGAGAUGAGGAUUUGACAUUUGGACCUAAGGCUCAAAGGGUUUUAACUCUACUCAACUACUUUAUGCCUUCUAUUUAAUAUUGCAAACCAAAAUAAUAAUAGACAUGAUUCUUUUCAAAAUUUUUAUAAUAAUAUAAGUAAAAAUGAUGUAAUAUUUUUUUAAAUGAUAAAAUAAUAGGUUAAAUAAAUUUUAAUAUAUAUGUAAAAUUAAUUAAAUUUUAAUAAAUAUCUUCACAUUUAAACAUUACAUAUCUUUUAUUUAAUAAAAUGUUAAAAUAUUAAUAUAUCUAUAUAUUUAAUUUGAUAUUAUUAUAAAUUAAAAUUAAAAUAUUAAUAAUUUUUAUUUUCUUUAUAUAUUUGAAUUUGUAUAAUUAUUUUUUAUUUUAAUAACAUAUAAAUUGUAUAUUUAUGAUAUUACUAGUUCAACUGUAAUUCAACCAUCAGUUCGAUCAUUGAACUGUGAAUUAGUAAAUUUUUUUUAUUCAUUGAUAGGUUCGAUCCUAAAAUCAUAUAUAGAUAUCUAUGGAGUGUAUACAUAUAUUAUGUAUCAUAAAUUUAUAUAGGGAUCACCUAUGUAUGUAGGGUAUACAUAUAUUAUGUAUCGUAAAUUUAUUUUUUAUAUUAUUUAUUUUUUAAAAUAAAAAAAUUAAAUUCGUAGUUAAAAAUAAAAGAAGUAAAAAACAUUUAUAAAAUAUAUUGUAAAAUAAUGCCAAUAUAUGUAUUAUUUUAUAUAAGGUGCAACUUGGAAGGGUUGGUCCAACUCAACCUAAACCUAACUUGAUGUUUGAGUGGGUUUAGGCAAACAUUUUCAAUACUUAGGUUGAGCUUAAGUUAAGUUUUCUCAAUCCGAGUUCAAUUUGGGUUGGGUUUGGACCAAGGUUUGAAUAACUUGAGUCUAACUCAAACCUGAUUUAAUGUUUUUAUAGUGUUUAUAUCCUUUAAAAUAAUAUUCCUUUUCAUUUUAGAUUUUAAAGAAAAAAUAUCAAUUAUAAUUAUAUCAUAUACUUUUUUUUUGUUUUUGUUUUUAGAGAGAUAUAUAAGUUUACUUUUAUUUUUUUAUUGUCAUUUUGAAAUUUUGUAUUACUUACUAUUUAAAUUUUGGUAUAAAUAUAUAGAAUUUAAAACAGAAAAUAAUAUGGAUAGAUUUUGAAUCAUGCAACCUAAUCAACCCAAUUAACCUGAGUUUAACCUGUUUAACCCAAUCAAACUGAGUUUAAUUUGAUCAACCCGACUUUAACUUGACUAACCCAAGUUCAACCCAAGCUUCAAAAAAUGACGUCGGGUUGGGUUGAGUACCUUGAGUUAGAGGUCAGGUUGGAUUGAGUUUGGGUUGAUUGUUUUUUAGUUUGGGUUAGGAUCCAGUUAGCCAUUAACUCAACUAACCGACCUAAGUUGCAACCCUAAUUUAAUAUAUAUUAAAUUAUUGUUAUAUAUUGAACAACAUAAUAUAAAAAAAUUAUUUAUAAAUUUUAAAUCUUUUAGUCAUAAAUAUUGCUAAACAAAAGAAAAUUUCCAUUGUUUUAAUAGUGAAUAUUGGAAUGCAAUAUAAUUUUAUUUUAAACAAAUAUUAAAUAUUGAAAAAUAAUAUAUAUUCCAUUUCAUUUUUUUUAUUCAUUUUACAAACUAAAUAUAAACAUAACAUAACAUAUCUUAUUAUGUAUACUACCUUAGAAUAUCAUAUCCAUUAGAUAUAAUAUACAAAGAUAUCACAAUCUUUUAGAAAAAAUAGUAUGGGAUAUAUUGUGGACCCGCAUUUUUUGCAUGUGUUCCCAUUCGAUGGCAAGACUCGUUUUUUAUUUGAAAAACUGAUUUUUAAAAAUUAUUUUUGGAGUUGCCACUUUUUUUUUUUUUUUAAAUGAAAAAAAAAACUGUAAGUGUGACUCCUAUAAAGGAAAAGUAGGUUUGAGAAAAUCAAGUCAGAGUCUAAGGGUCAGGUUAUUUAUUGGAAAUAUACCGUAGUAAGUUGUAGUAGUACCCCUCUAAGUUCUAAAAAUUAGGUUUCUAUUAAUCGGCUAAGGCAAGUGUAGCAAGUGAUUGAUUAAUCGUGGAUACCAAAGUUCAGGAUAUAGAACAAAGCAAAGUAUGCACAAGAAUGAAUAAAUAAGCAAGAUGGAGAUGGGAGCAUACUUGAACGACAAACGAGAGCGCUUACAUGGAAAUAGGGUUAGUGCACAAGUGUAGAGUAAUCACAUAUAAAUCACAAAACAGAUCAAAGUCAAUCAAUAUUCAAUCACAAAUGUUGGGCCUCACCAAAACCCAAUUUAUUUACAUUAAUUAAUUAUAAUGAAAAUAGGAAAUGCAUGCCAGAAGAGAAAUUUGGGUUCAAAAAUUUUAUUGAAAUCAACAUUUUAUUGCCAAGGAAAACCCAAUUUAUUUACACCACCAACUCCAUAUUUCCCAUUUUUCUACCUACUGCCAAUUCACUCCUUUCUCUGAGAAGAUUUUUGAGGUUAUUGUCAUGCUUGAGAUAAUCCAGAAAGUUGAGCGGCAUCACUCUCUGAAAGGUAUUUUAUAGCAUGGGUAAUGUGUGGGAUACAUCUGAUAGGCUGUUAUAUCCAUAAACCACCAUAUUAAACCAUGGUUCAUAUCCCCAACACCACACAAGAAUCUGUACUCAUCCCAAGCAACUUGGAAAUCAUAAAAUCAGGUUUUGAGCGCCUCCCAAGACAUGCACAGCUUCACCCUUUGUGCAUUCCUUUGAUUUGGAAAAUUUCUUCUACAGAAUUCCCCAUUAUCAUGCCCUAAACCAAGACAUAUCAUGAUCGGAUGGGCCCCUUUAUCAAUUUCACAAUAGCCAAUAACAUAUCAUUUACUUCUGUUUUGUCAACAGGAAUUAGCAUUUUGCAUGGGAAGCACCAACGAAGAUGAGGGUUUUCAAAUUGGAUCACCAACAGAGAAACCCAUUGCAACUAUUUGAAUAAUUGAGCACAACAUCGACUUUGGAAAACUUCUCUUAAAGGUGAAAUCAUCAUCUUGGCUAAACGUAGUCACAGUUAGGUUGUGAGCAAUAAUCACAGAGGGCUUUCAGUUUGAUAGCAACGAAAAGGUAAAUGUACUCGAGAGAAGUUCUGACUCUGGGAGAAGCACUCUUGAAUCCAAGUGAAGGUCUGUUCUGGAUCUUUUCCUGGCUCUCUCUGUUAAACGAAGAUAAUCUGCCCAGGAUUUGGAUGCAAGGCCAUGUUUAGGAGACUUAUGUAGAAUAUUUAUCCAUAGCUCCCUGCCAGAAACAUUUGCAUAAAGCGUCUUCCCGGUGUGAACCAUUGUCUUGCCUGGAAGUGUCGAGCAGCAAUAUGGCCUUCUUUUUUAUUAACUAUUUUGUCAAAUUCUAGAGCUCUCAUUCCAAAUCCAUCAGUUUUCUCAAAUGAUUGGCUAGUGGAGAUCCAUGGAUAUAACAUAUGAAUUGUGCACAACAAAAGCAAUCAAACGGUAUGUUGGUUUGGCUACAUUCCACAAUCGCAAAGACUUAUCAUGCGAAAUAGUUACCAAUUGCAUUGAAUUUUGCCUAAAAAGGAUAUUCGUUAUUACAAACUGGUGUUCUUCCGUGGUGCUCUCUCUUUGCAGGCUAUCCAUGUUCCAAAGAACAACUCUCUUGUCAUGUCUGGCACUGAUUAGAGAUUUCCCAUCUGAAGAAAAUCGACAACAGGUAGAUUUGCCAUUCUUGGUCUGUAUACAUCUAACCUUAGCAAGGGUUGAACCCUUUUAUGCUUAGUUGUGCCAUACAGAUCCUUACCACCGCCUGCAGCAUGUAAUCGAAAUGAUUCGAUAAUGUCAUCUAGUGAACCAAUACUUUCAAAUGAGAGACCACUGCCUCUGUAAGUAGGGCUCAUGACUGAGAAUUGCGUAAACCCCUUUGCUUGGGUUGAAACCUGACCGAUACACAAUAUUCAUAGGCCUCUUCCCAUAACUAGCACCUUGUGUUUGCAAUAGAAUUGAACAUGUAUUGAAGUGAGUUUUUUUGCAUUUUCUCGUAAGAAAAUUCUAAACAAUAGAGACUACUUAGUGUGCCCAGCCCUUCGGAGCAUCAAGGUCCAUUUCUAUAGAGGGCCAAUUGUUCCACAGUCGAAACAGAUAACAUGGAAAGUAUGCUACAAUGCUUCAACGGGAUAAUUCUUGGGAAAAUCUCUUCAAAUUGAUGAAUGGUAGUUUUUCAUUCUUAUUUCAUUCGUUCAUGUACAUAGUAUAUAUAGAGGGUAAUCACCAUUUUAAGAAUGAGAAAGAAUGAUACAAGAAAGGAAUGAUAUAAGGAAAGAACAACUAAUAUCCUAAUAUCUCAACAUUCCUAAUAUCUAAACAUUCCUAAUAUCUUAACACUCCCCCUCAAGUUGGUGCAUAGAUGUCACACAUGCCCAACUUGUCUAAAAAUUUUGAGAACACUCGACUUGAGACUGCAGCUUUGGUGAGGAUAUCGACCAAUUGAUCUUCUGAUCGAAUCUUAGGCAAUUCCACAAUCUUAUCAUCCAACUUCUCCUUAAUGAAGAAUCUGUCCACCUCGACAUGCUUUGUACAAUCAUGUUGUACUGUAUUAUGAGCAAUAUCACAUGCGGCUUUAUUGUCACAAAACAAUCGAAUUGGUUGCCUAGAUAGGUAAUCUAAAUCCUGUAAGAGGAGUCUUAGCCAUAAUGCCUCACAAAGUCUUAGAGUCAUACCCCUAAAUUCUGUUUCUGCACUUGAACGAGCGAUGACAUAAUACUUCUUACUUUUCCAUGUCAUAAGAUUACCACCUACAAAGGUAAAGUAACUAGAUGUAGAUCGCCUAUCAUCCACUACACCGGCCCAAUCAACAUCAAUAUAUACUUCUAUACUCUAAUGAUCAACAUUUUUAGUGAACAAAAUUCCCUUUCCAGGAGCAUUCUUCAAAUACCUCAAAAUACGCAUGAUUGCAUUCAUAUGUUGCUCUCUAGGAUUAUGCAUGUAUUGACUUACUACACUCAAUGCAUAAGCAAGAUCUGGUCUUGUUUGAGCUAAGUACAUUAAUUUUCCCACAAGUCUCUGGUAUAUUCCCUUAUGGGUUGAUACUUGAUUAGGCUCAAUACACAAUUUCAAACCUUCUUCUAUUGGUGUAUCAACAGGUUGACAUCCCAACAUUCCAGUCUCCUAUAAAAGAUCUAAGGCAUACUUUCUUUGAGACAGAAAAAUUCCUUCACUUGAUCAAGAAACUUCAAUCCCAAGAAAGUAUUUCAGAGAAUCUAGAUCUUUCAUUUCGAAUUCUCUAGAUAGAUAAUUUUGCAGAGCUUUUCUUUCUUCAGGAUCAUUUCCUGUAACUACCAUGUCAUCCACAUAUACGAUGAGUGUCGUAAUCUUACUAUGUUACUUUUUCAGGAACAAAGUGUGAUCUGAAUUACUUUGAUGAUAGCCAAAAUCUCUCAUUGACUUUGUGAACCUUUCAAACCAUGCUCUCGGGGAUUGCUUCAACCCAUACAAUGAAUUCUUCAAUUUGCACACCUUUUGAUAUUGCUUUUCUAACACCAUGCAUCGUGGUGGAAGAUCCAUAUAUACUUUUUCAGAUAACUCACUAUGCAGAAAGACAUUUUUCACAUUGAACUGUUGUAAUGGCCAAUCCAGGUUUGCAGCUAAAGACAGUAAUACUCGAACUGUGUUGAUCUUAGCUAUAGGUGCAAAUGUCUCUUCCUUCUUCUAUCACUUCUUUAGUUUCUGGGUGGUCAUUACUACUUGGUUCCAAAGUUGUACUACUCAUAUCCAACUCACCUGCUUCCUAGUUCACCUGUUCAGAUUGUCUAGAUUCAUCCUUUUCAUAGAUAUGAUAAUCAUAAUUGAGAGUUUGAAUUUCCUUCUGGUACUCCCCCUGAAGUUUAGACUCAAAUGAAGAAUACAUCGAAUCUUCAUGAAACACCACAUCCAUUGUAAUAAACAUUCGUCGAGUUGGAGGAUGGUAACAUCGAUAUUCCUUUUUGUGCAAUGCAUAUCCAACAAACACACAUUGCAAUGCACGAGAAGUUAACUUGGUGCGUUGGUGUUUGUGUAGAUGCACAAAUGCCAUGCAACCAAAAACACGAGGAGGUAGAUUUGAGACGGUUGAGGCAACUACGAUAUUAAUAAGAGCUUGGAGAGCUGUUUGGAAGCUAAUUGAGUUGAAAGGUACCUGAUUGAUAAAGUAUGUGACAGAUGUUAUUGUUUCCCCCCAAUAAGAUAUCGGUAUUUUUGCUGCUAUCAAGAAAGUACGAACAACCUCUAACAAGUGUCAAUUUUUUCGUUCAGCGACUCCAUUUUGCUGGGGUGUAUUGGAACCAUGGAAGAAAAUAUCGGUAAUCACGAAUAUAUCGGUACUUCGAUUUUAUGGAUAUAUCGGCGGAUAUUUUGGAAAAAAAUAUCGGUAGGCUUAAAAUUGUUAAAAACUCAUGGAAAUGUAAAGAAAACUUCAUAAUAAUAUAAUUAGAAGUAUAAUAGACAUUUUAAAGUUGUUUUGUAGAAAAAAUUGAUAUACAUAUGAUAUAAUUUGCGAUAUUAAAUGUAAUUAUAUCAUGUCGAUCAAUAAGAAAUGUUAAUUUUGUAAUUAUUCUCAUUAUAAAGUCACAUAAAAUACUUCAUUUCAUUAAAUAGCAAUAAUUUGUACACAUUACAUUACAAUGUCCCUUUAAUACCAAAAUGAGGAUCGAUGUGGUUCAAUGGGAUUGAUAGAUGAAGGAACGCCGUCUUGCUGUUGGAGACAAUAUUGGUACCAACUCAAUGAGCCUCGAUAAUAUUGGUUAAAAAUUCUAACAUGCCAUGCAUAUAUCUCUUGAGUCCUGCCCACUGCCUCUACAUGGAUAGGAUACUCAAAGUUCACCCAUGUGUUAAUGCCCAAUCCUCCUUCCAUCUGAUAUGGAACUUGGUAAGGCAUUUGUCUUGAAGGUGAAUAACGCGACAUACCAUACUCUUCAUCUGUUGAACUUGAAGGUUGACCAUAACUCAUCACAUGAGGAGAGUAGACAUCAGCCUCAUUCGAGGAGUCACUAAAUUGAGUUCCUAUACUCAUAGAUUCAAAACUCCCUGAAAGUAACUCCUCAUUAUAUGGUUCCAUCAUUCGUUCUCUUCCUCUAUAAGGCUUCCCAAUAGCUCCUAUGCCUGGACCAGCUCUUCUAGAGCCAUGGUCUUCAUCUUGUGUGCAGUGUGUGAAAGUAUUUUCAUAGGUGAAUUGGCUGACUGGAUAUUGACUAUGUUGACGUUCAUUAAUAUCUCCUCCCGCAUUAUCACCUCCAUCAUCAGUUCCACCUCUUGAACCAUCGUAACCAGAAGCAGAAGUACCUGCAGCACUAGGUCUACUACUAUGGCCAGCACUUGUGGAGUUAAUCUCUUGGUGGGAAUCAUCAGUAUCUUUGCUAAAACUUUCAGAGUGAACUUCUUCAGACAACACACGUUCAACAUUAACUCCAAAUUCUCGAGCAUGAGCAGCAAUUCGUGGAUCGGGAUUUCCAACUUCGUCAUCCAAGUGUAUAGGUCUCACCCAUUGGAACAACUGAUUAUCUUCUUCUUCACCCACCUCGACUGAAAUGUCAAGAAUAUCAAGAUAAUCUUUUUCAGCAACUCGAUCAUUUUCUGCCUCCAUAUCGCGUAACUUUAGCCUUAUAUUAUAGUAACAAAAAACUAAUUGCUCCAAUCGAGAGUAAGCCAAACGAUUUCGUUGCUUUGUGUGGAUAAGAGCAAACGUGCUCCAAUUUCUCUCACAGGCAGUAGAUGACGCAGUUUGUGAGAGAACUUUGAUGGCUAACUUUCUCAAUGUAGGUGUUUGAUUCCCAUACAUAAACCACCAUUCAGCUGCAACCAAUUUGAUAAUCAUAUAAAUACUUAUAUGGUGAAUUUACAAUAAUGAUAAUCAAUUUUUUCCUACAAAGACUCACCGGGCACCAUGGUUAACCUUGCUGCAAUUGCCGCCCGAUCACCGAAUCCUCUUUUUGCAUCUCGAAAAAGCACAAGCUAUGUAUUCAACAUUGAAUUUGUUAAUAUCAUAUUUGUUAGUAAACGUUCAAAUAAAUUGAUGAAUGAAAUUAUUGUUUUAUAGACAAAUAACAAUUUUUUAUUUACCUCAUUUCCAAAUUGACCAAGUGAUUCAGUAGUUGGAUCUAAUUUUGCAAAAACAUCAUGGACCGCUUGAAGUAGUUCCGGAUCACUACCAACUCCACGCCUAUAUUGAAAUCUUGGAUUCAAGAAGUAUGCUACAAUAAAAUUAAGUAGAGUUAGUUUUUUUUUAAACAAAAUUAAAUACAGAGUAAAAACUUAUAAAGAUAUAUAGUACUUAAGUACCUGCUGCAUGAAGUGGAUGUUUUAGUGUUUUCUCCCAACGAUCUUGUAUUAUUUUGAACAUCCAAUCUCCAGCUCCUUGACGCGUAAGGUUCUUUUUCAUCACGUGCAUAAGCUCAUACACAAAUGGCAUUGUGGGAACAACUUCAGAAUCCAUAAGUCGAAGCACCACGUAUAAUGGCUCAUAUAAUGAAACUAUAUUUGUCAUUCUGUCCCAAUACGCAUGGUCAAACAAUAAUUGCUCCAACUCUCGUCCAUGUUUUGUUCGACUUAGCUUGUGUUGUGCCCAAUCAUCACUCAUAAACAAUUUUUUCAAAUCGACCCUUUUUUUAAGAAGACUGUCAAGAGCAAUAUAAUUGGUAGCAAACCUUGUAGCUCCUGGUCGAACAAUGUCUCCACCACAAUACAAUCUCAUUUGUGCUAGUAACCAACCAUGAUUGUAAAUGAAGUUAGUUAUCUUGCGAGCAUUGUUUAUCACCUCGAUAACACUGGGUCUUUUACCAAUGUCUUCAAAGAUUAAGUCAAUGCAGUGCGCCGCACACGGAGUCCAGUAUAAGUUAUACUUCUUCAUCAAUUGUUUCCCUGCUUUCAUGAACGCCGACCCAUUAUCUGUGACAAUUUGGACCACAUUUUCUUUACCGACUUCUUUGAUAGCAGUCUUCAAUAGGUUGUAUAUAUAAUUGUGGUCUUUAAUAUAGUUCGAUGCAUCAACUGACUUAAGGAAGACCGUGCUCCCUUUAGAAUAAACCAUGAAAUUAAUAAUACUUAAUUUCGUGGGCCCUGUCCAUCCAUCUGACAUUAUUGUGCACCCAUAUGUCUUCCAUUUUUCUCUUUGUUGGUUCACAUAAGCUUCCAUUUCUCUGUACUCCAUUUCCAAGUACUUGUUCUUUAUGUCAAAUGGAGAUGGAGGUUCGAUUCCCAUUCCUGCACUUCAUAUAAAAAAAAAAUGUAAAACAUGUCACAAAAGACUAUACUUACUAAAAGUAUAGCACAAUAUAACAUUUCAAAAAUUAGUAAUUACCAGCUUGUUGUGCACCAAUAAUCAUAUUCUUGAAGUGAUGAGACUUUGCUUUUGCGGGUGCGACGCUCUCAUAAAUGAAGAAUUUGCUAAUUAAGCGUCCCAUCGUUUCUUUAAUUGCACCACCCUUGAAUAUAUCUUUGAUAUUUUUUUGUUUUGCUGUAGAAGACUUGUAAAGCGAAGGAGCAAUAGGGGGUGAUUGUUGCAAAUGUCGCAUACUAUGUGAUUUUCGCAUCAUCGACGGUAAUCCAGUAGACUGUGAAGACUCCCCCGUUUUGCGUUUGCUUCCUACAAUAUUCUCAUAUUGUUCACGUUCCCAUUCUGAUGCUUUCGAGGCACGAACUGCAGAUCGAUAUGCAUCCCGCUCAUCUGGGUGCAUAUCUGCCGGAUACAUAUACACAUCUUCAUUCUCAACAUCUUCAUCAUCAUCAUCUUCGUCUACCAAAUGUGUAUGAUGAGUCCCCAUUGUGCCACGUAAUUGAGCACGAAUUUCUUCAAUAUCUGCAUUUUUCUUUACUUUUGCUUUUGUUUUGUCAUGCACUAGGAAUCGUAUCUCUUCUUUCACUUCGGGCGGCACUCUCGGACACUUUUUGGUGUUGUUAUGCGGGUCUUUUUGCAUUAAAUGAAACUUGAAUCGCGUGAUGCCUCCACUUUUCAUCACCAACCCACAGAAAUUACAAAUUGUUCCAUUUCGGUUACCCUCAAUCGAUAAAUAAUACUUCCAAGUCGGAUCUCGCCCUAGCAGGGCAAAACCACCUUCACUAGCCAUGCUAAAUCUAUUGCAAUAAAAAUACACUUGAAUGUGAUUUCAAUGUAAACAAAAAUCAAGUCAAUAUUUAAAUUUAAAUAUAUGAGAAAUGUACAAAAUAAUGAUAAAGAAUGAACAUAGUUGAUAUUCCAUAUAUUUAGUUAAACUAAUUAAAUAAUUUAGCUAAGUUAAUUUUUUGAAUCUAAAUCUAAUUUUAUGAAAAAUUUACUAAAUUAAAAAUUAAUCAUAAUUGGAUAUGAAACUAAAUCAUGAUAAUUAUAAAAAUUGAACAUAUUUAAUAUUCCAUAUAUAGUAGUUCAUGUUAAUUAAACUAAUUAAAUAAUUUAGCUAAGUUAAUAUUUUGAAUCUAAAUCUAAUUUUAUGAAAAAUUUACUAAAUUAAAAAUUAAUCAUAAUUGGAUAUGAAACUAAAUCAUGAUAAUCAUAAAAAUUGAACAUAUUUAAUAUUCCAUAUAUAGUAGUUCAUUGGGGUUGGAAAGCUUCAUGAGAACCUUAGUAGAGCGGUUACAACCCUACUUAGCAUGUUAAUUAAAUUAAUUAAAUGUGAAACUAAAUCACAAAUAAUCAUCUAAAAUAAACAUAUCAAUUUAUAAUUAAAUAAUCAAAUUAACCUAAGUCAAUUCAAUAAAAAUAUACAAAUUAAUUACUAUUGAAUAUAAAAAUAACAUUAAAUCAUCCAUAUUAAUUACAAUUGUAAACAAAAUUAAUUACAAUUUAAAAAAAACAUACCUUAAAAUUGGAGUAAUGAGAGAGCAAAUGAAGAAUGAAAGCAAAAAUGGGUGAAAUUGAUGGAAAAAUGGCUAUUUAUAGAAGAAAUUUGGGCCAAAAUAGCCGUUGGAACACCAAUUUACCGUUGAAAUUCAAAUCUGGCCGUUGGAUCACAAACUGGGACAAAUCUGGUCGUUGGAUCACAUUAUUAACGUUGGAAUCGCAUCUGGGCCGUUGGAUCAACGCGGGCGUGAUCUGGGCCGUCAGAUCGCGCUGGAGAGAGGAGCGAAAUAUCCCCAAAAAGUCGGCGAUUUAUCGGCGAUUUUCCGCGGCCACGGCGAUUAUUUGGAGAAAUCGCCGAUUUAUCGAUUUUCACCGAUAUAUCACCGAUUUAUCGGCGAUUUAUUGGCGAUUUUUUGCGAAAAAUCGUCCCCCGAUUUUUCUCCUGGAAAUGCCGUGUCGCCGCCUCCCGAUACAAGAUAUAUCGGCGAUAUUUCGCCGAUAUUUCGCGAUAUUUUCCUCCAUGAUUGGAACAAGUAGUUUGAUGAAUGAUGCUAUGUCCUUUCAAAUACUUUUGAAGAUCAGGACUCUGAUAUUCUCCACCAUUAUCGCUACGUAGAACCCGAACAUUUGCAUUGUACUGAGUUUCAAUCAUUUUAUGAAAUUUUUGAAACAACAAGUUCACUUUAUCUUUAGUCUUCAUCAAGCAUAACCAUGUCAUUCUGGUACAAUCAUCAAUAAAAGUAACAAACCAACGCGAACCACUCAAAGUUAGGACUUUGGAUGGGCCCCAAACAUCAGAAUGUAUAACCAUAAAAGGAAAUGGACUUUUAUUCAAAAUUAACGGAAACAAAGCACGAUGACUUUUAACCAAUUCACAAAUAUCACAACGGAAACCAGAAAUAUCACUCUUUGCAAACAAACUAAGAAACAAUUUUUUUAAAUAACCAAAGGAAGCAUGUCUCAAACGUCGAUGCCACAACCAAAUUUCAGACUUUUUUUUCUCCCCCUCAGAUCCAUCUGCCAUCAAGGCUUGUUGCAACUUAUUUGAAUCCUUUGACCGUAAGUCCAAGUAAUAGAGUUUUCCCCACUUAAUACCACAACCAAUCGUCUGUCUUGUUUGGAUGUCCUUAAAAACACAAAAUUCAGGCUAAAAAAUGACAAUACAAGAUAAGACUGCAGUGAUUUGAGAAACUGACAAAAGAUUGUAAUUUAAAUAUGGAACAACUAAAACAUAAUCCAAAUUCAAACUAUCAGUAAGAGUUAAGGAUCCUUCCCCAAUGAUUGGGGUUGUGUUACCAUUGGCUGUGGAAACAAUUUUUUGUGAAGAAGGUCUAAGGGGUGAGACCUGUCUAGAAUCAAAAGUCAUAUGAUUUGUAGCACCAUAAUCAAUUAUCCAUGCACUAUUAAUAACAGGUGUAGAAAUAUUUAAAAACUUACCACCAUAAUUUGUAGUGGUUAUCAAUGCAGAGGCUUUCUCAGCAACAUUAGCCUCUGUUUUUAUUUCGGCAACAGCUGCAGUUGAGGUUUUCUUGGAAUCUUUCUUCCGUUGAUCACGAUUAUGAUCCCACCAGUUUGAAUAUCCCACAAUUUCAAAGCAACGACUCUUGGUAUGACAAGUCUUAUUACAUUGAGUGCAUUUGAAGGUUGACCAGAAGGAUUGAAAAAACAAUAGUAUUUUUUUCACUCAUUUUUUUUUUAUCUUGAAAAAAUGGGCGAUGGCUGGCCUUACCGACAAAAUAUCCAGAAUUUCAGUUCCAUGGCUUUGAUACCAUCUUCAAAUUGAUGAAUGGUAGUUUUUCAUUCUUAUUUCAUUCGUUCAUGUACAAAGUAUAUAUAGAGGGUAAUCACCAUUCUAAGAAUGGGAAAGAAUGAUACAAAGAAGGAAUGAUAUAAGAAAAGAACAACUAAUAUUCUAAUAUCUCAAAAUUCCUAAUAUAAGGAAUGAUAUAAGGAAAGAACAACUAAUAUCCUAAUAUCUCAACAUUCCUAAUAUCUCAACAAAAUUCACCUAAAACUGGUACAAUUCGUUGGCGUACAGAGUUUGUGGAGCUCCAUUGACUUCAACCACCCAUCUUUGUAGAUUAUUGAUGACUUUAUGCUCGAAUCCCACAUGAGGAUUGACUUGACAUUCUGCCAGCUCUUUCCGGAAGGCGAUCUUGCUUAACACCUUGUGAGAAGGAGCAGAGGAAUUGGACAUUGUUUCCUCGAGAAGAUCAAAGUGGCCAAUGAUGGGUUUGGACCAGAAUUGCUAUCUGGAUUUUCUUUAGGUGAACCAAUUAGUGGAGUGGGUGGCUAUGCAACAAUUGAAGGGUGGCCAUACUAAUAAGGAGCUAUUAUUUCAUGCACAUGGAGAGAAAAGAAGUAGCUUCUUCAAGGAUUUAUGAUUAUUCAUCUCCAGCUUGCGUUGAAUAUCUCUUGAUCGAAAAAUUUCUGCUCUGGAGCUCCCUUAGUUUCACUACAACCAACUUGGCCAACUUGGUUUCAUCAUGUUUCCUACAACCUCCAGGCAAAGCAUUCCAGAUCACCGAAUCAGGUUCCAUUGGCAUUUUGUUCAUAAACUCCUUUGCCUAUUGACAACAGACUACCCCUCAAAAUUUGAUGAGAUAACAUUAAUGCUGACAUGUUGGCCAUCCCCAUAAGCAUCUUUAUAGAGAUUGAUUUUGCGUUUAGAUAUUUCUCUAUCCUCAAGUGAGUUCAACUUUUCUAUAACAUCCUUCUCCUUCUCCACUAAUAGUCUUAGCUGAACAUCCAACCUAUGUUCCCAAAGUGCUAGUAUCUCGUAUCUGAUGACUAGCCAACAACCUUGCCCUUGCUGAGACCCAAAUAAGUAUCUACAACCAUCAACAUCAACCCUCUCACAUGCCUUUGUAUUUGAAUGUUGGAUUGGGAUUGCUUUGAAUGCACUAGCACUGCAAUAAACAAUUGUUUCUUUUCCAAUAAAAACACCACAAAGAGGUGAGGGGACCGUGUUAAAGAUAUGGACUCACAUAUUUAUCAAUGGUUCAUGACUAAGCUAUUCGUCUUUCGCAUAUUUGUUUUUUAUCGGUUUUCUAAAGUAUAGGACACCUCAUGUGUAGAGCCCAAUACCAUAUGUGUCUCAGAUGAUGGGCCUGAGACACAUAUGGCCCAAUCUUUUAAACGGAGUGGUCCCUAAGGCAGAAGGGUAUAAAUAUAAAGGCUAAGUGUUUGCUCAUCAUGAUCACAUCUUUUGAAAUAAGAACAGAACCCGCUCUCUCCCGCUCCUAUCGUUAGAGAAAAUAACAGAGAAAUGUGGUGCCCUCCAUAGCCUUAGAAGAUCCAUACCUUAUCCAUCUUGGGAAAUAAUGGACUCAAGUAUGUUCCAAGAAAUGCAAAAGCAAGGCAUGUUUUCCAUGAUUGAAAUAUAUAUACAUUCAAUUUCUGUUGUUUGGGUAAUAAUGGAGAAUAAAAUAUUCACAUAGACCGGUAUUAGCAAAGCAGUCUUGUUGUCUAGAUUGUUCUGGGCCCGAGUACCCUCUACAAAAUCUUCAUCCUCAUUUGUACUCCUCCAUUAUAUUCCUAGGCGUUUCAAUGUGAUCCACAUGGCUUACAGGUAUCCAUAAAUACCGGUCUGUAUAAAAGUUGCUCUUAUGGGGCUCUUCUAGAAAACAUGCCAAUCAAGAUGAUCAACCUAGCUUAGAUGCUCAGCACCUCGAACUUACCAGAAAUAGAGGAAUAAAAAGCAAGGAUAGAAGCCAGAGUAAAAAUUGAGGGAAUAGCGAAUAGGAAAUCAAGUAAAACAUGAAUGUACAAAGCCUCAUUUCAGAUGACAUCCAUGGGCUAAUAACAAGUGGAAUUAACAAAGUACACAAACAUGAUUCUUAUAAAUAUCAAGUUCAGGGAUGAAGUCGUGCAUCAGCUACUUACAGGAGAAGUCAAGGAAACCAAGAUAAAGAUCAAAGAGAGCAUGUAUGCAAAUAAACAGAUUCAGCAAAAUAGACCAAACAGCUCGUGAUGGCCACACCAAUCAACAAGAUAACUUCCAGACAUUUGUAGAAAAAUGGAGCAGAAUAAUGUGAAAAUGAUAGAGUGCAAAGUUCACGGUGACCAUACCUGCAAGUCUCAUCUCCAAGCAGAGUUUGCUCGACUUUAAGUGUUUUCUUGCAUCUUUCUCCACAGCACAACUUUCUUCUGUUGUUCUCUCUCAAAACCUACUCUCUUAGAAUAUCAUAAUCUUUCAUUCUUUGCUCUCUAAUGUGUCUUUCUCUACCUCUCUCUCACAGUCCUGUUGCCCCCAAAACCUCCAUUAAAAAAAAUCCCAGAAUACUCCUGCUUUCACCGUUCCCAGGCCAUUGUCCCUCCCACAACUCCUCACAGCUUUUUUCUUUCAGCCUCGAGACAUUCUGCAGCUCCUCAAACAGCCUCUGCUACAUUUUCUCCCCUAGUUUCCCCUUUUAGAAAAUCACUACUCCACUCUCUGAAAAAGUGGUCUCUAACCAACCUCCACUAGAGAGAAUAUCCUCUCUAAUAGCUCACCUGUCCUGCGAAAAAAAAAAAAACUACUACAUGUGGCAAAAAGUGAUGAAAAAAACAAAAGGAAGUCUGACUCACCUCUCUUGCAAAAUAUAGUGUACUACACAUGGCAAAAAAGUGAUGAAAAAAAGUUGGUCUACAUAGACAUCCUAUUAUAUCAUAUCAUUUCAAAUCCAAAGCAACAUGUAUUUUCAAUGGGAUUUGUUGUGAUGAGUUUUACAGGAUUGUAACACGUAAAUAUGUUAAAAGAAGCUUGGGACCUUCCUAUAGUAACACAUAAAGGUACUUCCAUUGUGAAGUUGUCAAAAUUACAAAGUUUGAAAACAUAGAGAUGAAAGAUGAUGAAUCUUCUUUGAAAUUUUAUAUUGAACUCAUUAAUAUUAUUAAUUCUCAUUUCAGUAUAGGGGAAAUGAUUCUUUACUCUAAAGUGGUAAAAAAAAAUAUUAAAAUUUCUCAUCGAGAGAUUUAGACCUAAAGUGAUCAAUAUAGAAGAAAGUAAAAAAUUCUGAGUGUAGGUAAACUUGUAGACUCAAAUGACUACCAUCUCAUAAAAAUCCUCAAUUUUAUAAAUUAUAUAGAUUUCUUCAUUUGAUACAAAAUUUGAAUAAAUAUUUUUCCAAUGACAAUACAAGGAAAGAAAAAAAAAAAAAAAAACUCUCUAGAUCAUAUUAUUUAAACACUUAAAUUAUUUUAAAAUAAAAAUGUUUAUUGCUAACAUUAUUUAGGUUCAUCUUUCUUUUGAUGGAGGUUAAAAUUCACAAUUUGGAGGAAAAAAUGAGGAUUCUGAUUUUUUUUUUCCAUGUAUGAAUGGGAUUCUCAUCGUGUAUAUGCAGGUUACUCAAUGGUAGAUUUCAGCCACCAAAGUCCUGCAAUAUGAGGAAAAAGAUGAAGUUGAGUUUGUCACCAAGAACAGACAUGACUCCUAUAAAGGUGGCAUCCUUAAUUUCAUGUCUGGAUUGGACUUGUCAUGUAACAACUUAACAGGUGAAAUCUCUCAUGAACUUGGAAUGUUAAGUUUGAUUCAUGCAUUGAACUUGUCUCGCAAUCAACUAAAGGGCUCCAUUUCAAAUAGUUUUUGCAAUCUUUCUCAAAUAGAGAGCUUAGAUCUUUUUAAUAAUAAACUAAGUGGAGAAAUUCCUCCAAAAUUGGUUAGACUAACUUUUUUAGUGGCGUUCAAUGUGACUCACAAUAGCAUCUUUGGAAGAGUUUCAGAUAUGAAUGCAUAAUUUGCAAUAUUUGAUGAAAGUAACUAUGAAGAUAAUCCUUUCCUUUGUGGACCACCAUUAAAGAGAAAAUGCAGCAUAAAUGUUAAGCCACCUUACCCACCAUUAGAGUCUUAAAAAAAAAGUGAUGCAAAAUGGUAUAAUAUCGAUCUUGUGGUUUUCUUUGCAAGUUUUACUAUAUCAUAUAUCAUGAUAUCAUUAGGAAUUUCAACCAUUCUUUACAUUAACCCUUAUUGGUGUCAAAGAUGGUUCAAUUUUAGCGAGAAAUAUAUAUACUUCUUUAUGCCAAUUUCACCAAUCUUUUGUUUUUAUUUUCAUGUAUCAUUCCUUUUUUGGUUAUUUAAUUAAAAGGAUAUAUUCACAAGAAUAACCUUCAUAUUUUAAAAACAUAAAAUAAACAUUUUUUUUUUAUAAAAAUACCCUCCAACUAUAAUUUUUAUAUGUCCCUAUUUCAAAUCCAAACACUUCUUUUAAUAAUAAUAAUAAUAAAUAAGGGCAAAAAUGUCAAACUGGGAUUAUAUUUAUAAUUUUCAAUAAUUAGAGGUUGUUUUUCCAAAGUAAAAAUUAUUUUGUUCCUUUGGCACAAAUGUUUAUUUCUUUUAUGUAUUUUUUUAUUCAAAAUAUUAAACACAUUACCCUCAAGGUUACUAUUUAUUAUGAAUGGUGUUUACUUUACAUAACGACAUAUUCAAAAAAUUUAGAAUUUUUUAAUGUUAAAAUAAUUUGGAGCUUAAUAGGGAAAAAAAAGAAUAAAUAAUUAGAAAAGCAAUUCAAAAAAAUAAAAUUUAUCCUCUUAAAUUGGUUUUGUGUAAUACUAUAGAAGCCAUUUCUUGAGUUUGAUAUGGUAGAAUUUGGAUUCAUAUUUAUUUUAAAAUCAAGAAAUUCAAGUGUUGGUAGCAUCAAUAGAAUCUUAACAAAUUUGCAAAAAAAUAUUUAGGUAGAUCACAUUUAAAUAUAGCUAAUAGAAUAAAAAAUUAGUAUUAUUAGAAAGACAUGAUCAAUUAAAUCUUUUUUCUUAUCUAUGACACCGACUUUAUUUUUUUACAUAGUCAAUAUAAUUUAUUACAACUUAUAUGUCAUUAAAUUAUACACGUUUAUAUUAAAUAUAAUAUAAGAUCAUUAAUGGAAUAAUUAUGCAAGUAAUAUAAAUUGUAUAUAAUAUAAAAAAUUUAAACUCCAUCAAACUAAUGGAAUCUAUUAUAAUAAGUAGACUAGACUCCAUGUUGGCCCGAGUUGGAGGCCUGGGCCAGAUUUUAAAGGCUGGGCUUUGAGUUGCCCGUGGGCCUGAGCCAAGGCCUUCUCUUGGUAUCAUCAUUUUGAAGAAAUAAAUUGCUGAUACAGAGAAAAAAACUAUACUAAAUAGAAAAAUAAAUAAAAGCAUUGACUAAAAUGAAGGUCAAGGUCCUUGAAAAAUAAUCUUUAAAUUGUUGCAUAUAUAAUUUCAAUAAUGCAUAAAUAAUUGCAAUAUAUAUGAUAUGAUAAAGAAUUUGGAAUUAAAAGAAGAUUGAUCUAUUUUAAAUGUGGUUGGAAUAUUUCUAAAUUUGUGAUGGGAAGUUAGACAGCCAAUUAGGGAUCCAUAUUAUUUAUUUUCAAUGAUAUGAAUUUAUUUACUUUUAUUAAUAUUCUUAAUGCAACAAUAUAAAAUAUGUCAAUUUUCUAAAAUUAAAAAAGUAAUUGUAAAAGAAAAUUUUUAAUUAUUUUUCUGAAAUUGAGUUUAUUAUAACAUUUUUCUUUACAUAAAUUUCGUUUUUAUUUUUAUUUUUUUAAAAAUGAGAUAUGAAAAAAAAAGAUCAAUAUUAGUAAAAGUAAAACCCAAUAUAUAAAAAAAAAUGAAUAAAUGUUUAUGAAAUAAGAUUUAAAAGUGAGAAGGUAAUAUAUUUUUUCUCUUUUAAUUCCUAUUCAAUUCAUUACAAAAAAUAUUUUUGGUUUUUAUGCUAAAAUUUAUUGUUUAUUCAAAAAUUCUAGUAUAUCUAGCUAUCAUAGAAGAGCUCCAAAAUUUUAUUGUUUAAGAGAAUAUGUGUUGCCACUUUAAAAGAUUUAUAUGCAAAAGGGAUUGAUAUUUUUUUCCUUUGGAUAUGUUUAGUUCCCGGAAAAUUUGAGGGAAAAUGUGAGGGAAGAAAAAUAGAGAAGAAAAGUAUAACGAAAUAAAAAGUGAAAGAAAAUGAAAAAUAGAUUUAAAGUUAAUAAAUUAUUUUCAUUGGUUUUUUCAAACUUAUUUUACUUAUUUUAUUCUAUUAAAUAAAGAUUAACUAAUUUUAAUUAUAUUUGGUUUGAUUUUUAUUAUUUUUCAAAGCAAAACCAAAUAUGAAAAAAAAAACAUUUUUUUUUGUUAGUUUUUUCUUUCCUUAUUACUUUUCAGGACUCAAACAUAGCUUUUAGAUUUGGAGCAUGGAAAGAUAAGAGUAUUGAAUAAAGGUUCUAUAUAUGCCCAUGCCCAUGCCCAUGAUACCAUUGAAAAAAAUGGAGAGAGGGUGAAACCUUUACUAGAUGAUAAAUUAUUCUCUUCAAUGGAAAUCAAAUAUAAUUAUUUUUAUCUUGUAUUAAUUGAAUGUUAUACUCCAUAAACUCAAAAUUAAAAUAAAUAAAUAAUUUAAAAACUAGGACAAUCCCAUUUUUUUUCAAUUUCUUAAAAAGAAAUUAAAUUAUAUUUAUUUAUAUCUAUUUUCAUCCCUACCCAAAAAAAUAAAAAAAAUUAACAAGGUGGGACAUGUAUGAGAAAUUCUCACACUAACUCUCUCUAGUUUAUUUUUUAUUUUUUUAAAAAAAUCAAUUUAUUUUAAAAAAAAAUUAAACUACAUAAAAAAUAAACAAAUUUUACAAUUUUUUUUAAGAAAAGUAAAUUUCUUAUUUUAUAUAUGUUAAAAAUAAAUAUAAUCUUUUAUUUUUUAUAUAUAUAAUCGGGUAAGAUAAAGUGGGACAAAGAAAUAAUCCCCUUCGAUUCCAAUCUGAAUUUUUAAAAUAUAAAAUAAAAAUCUUAAACUCAUCCCAAAUUCAUUUAUUUUUAAUCCUAAACUUGUCUUAUUAAGAAUAAGACAAAGAGAGUACAUGAAAACACUUCUUUUAUCAUCAUCUCUACAAGUUCUAAUGUUUAGACUACAAUCCAUAUCAAAGAUUUAUAAAGAAAGAACAACAAUGAAUUUCAUAAACAUUUGAAAGCAUAUACAAAGUUUUAAAUAAUAUUGCUUGAGGUGCAAAUAUUAUUUGGCGCACAUGUUGAGGGACUUCAACUGGUGUAGUCUAGGUUUUUUACACUAGUAAGUAAUCUUGAAUAUCUAGAGUAACUUGAUCAAAAUCUCUUUAAUUUUAUUUUCUUUGAUGGUUGUAUGAUGAAUUAGAAUGCUUAUAUAACAUGAUUAAAAAAUUUAAGAAAAAAAAACUAAGAAGAAAGAAAGAAGCACCGAUCUUCCAAAUAUUGCUUCCACUUUAAUAUCUAGAAGGCUCUAAGAAAAGAACUUUAUUCAUGAAUCAUAACCCAAGUCGAAAAUAAAUUGAACCCAUUUUCUAAGUUAAAAUUUGAAUUUUUUUACUGAUGAAUGCAAAUUGGGAAAAUGUAUAUAAAUAUAAUUAAACUAGAAUAGUAGGUUAGGUUUGUAGGUGGAGUUUGUUUGAAUUGUUGGAACUUCCAAGUCGUUGUGGGUCUAGUGGUCUCAUAGCUCUCUAUUAAUUUCCACCAUCAAUUUUCUACAAUAAAGUCAAGUCAUUCCUAACCCCUAUAUUAAGUUGGCCUUAAAAGUUAAGUCAUUGAUCAUAGUUACAUUCAUGAAUCACAACCCAAGUUGAAAAUAAAUUGAACCCAUUUUCCAAGUUCAACUUUGAAUUUUUUACUAGUGAAUGCAAAUUGGGAAAACAUAUAUAAGUAUAAUUAAACUAAAAUAGUAGAUUAGGUUUGUAGGUGGAGUCUGCUUGAAUUGUUGAAACUUCCAAGUCAUCGUGGGCCCAGUGGUCCCAUAGCUCUCUAUUAAUUUCCACCAUCAAUUUUUUGCAGUAAAGUCAAGUCAUUCCUAACCCCUAUAUUAAUUUGGCCUUAAAAGUCCAGUCAUUGAUAGCUAAAUCCCAACCCAAGUCAAAAAUAAAUUGAACCCAUUUUCUAAGUUCAACUUUGAAUUUUUUUUAAUUGGAAAAAUGUAUAUAAAUACAAUUAAACUAGAAUAGUAGAUUAGGUUUGUAGGUGGAGUCUGCAUGAAUUUGUGAAACUUCCAAGUGGUCGUGGGUCUAGUGGUCCCAUAGCUCUCUAUUAAUUUCCACCAUCAAUUUUGUGCAAUAAAGUCAAGUCAUUCAUAACCCCUAUAUUAAGUUGGCCUUAAAAGUCAAGUCAUUGAUCAUAGUUACAUUCAUGAAUCACAACCCAAGUCGAAAAUAAAUUGAACCCAUUUUCCAAGUUCAACUUUGAAUUUUUUACAAUUGAAUCCAAAUUGGGAAAACAUAUAUAAGUAUAACUAAACUAAAAUAGUAGAUUAGGUUUGUAAGUGGAGUCUGCUUGAAUUGUUGAAACUUCCAAGUCAUCGUGGGCCCAGUGGUCCCAUAGCUCUCUAUUAAUUUCCACCAUCAAUUUUUUGCAAUAAAGUCAAGUCAUUCCUAACCCCUAUAUUAAUUUGGCCUUAAAAGUCCAGUCAUUGAUAGCUAAAUCCCAACCCAAGUCAAAAAUAAAUUGAACCCAUUUUCUAAGUUCAACUUUGAAUUUUUUUUAAUUGGAAAAAUGUAUAUAAAUACAAUUAUACUAGAAUAGUAGAUUAGGUUUGUAGGUGGAGUCUGCAUGAAUUUGUGAAACUUCCAAGUGGUCGUGGGUCUAGUGGUCCCAUAGCUCUCUAUUAAUUUCCACCAUCAAUUUUCUACAAUAAAGUCAAGUCAUUCCUAACCCCUAUAUUAAGUUGGCCUUAAAAGUCAAGUCAUUGAUCAUAGUUACAUUCAUGAAUCACAACCCAAGUCGAAAAUAAAUUGAACCCAUUUUCCAAGUUCAACUUUGAAUUUUUUUACUAGUGAAUGCAAAUUGGGAAAACAUAUAUAAAUAUAAUUAAACUAAAAUAGUAGAUUAGGUUUGUAGGUGGAGUCUGCUUGAAUUGUUGAAACUUCCAAGUCAUCGUGGGCCCAGUGGUCCCAUAGCUCUCUAUUAAUUUCCACCAUCAAUUUUUUGCAAUAAAGUCAAGUCAUUCCUAACCCUUCUAUUAAUUUGGUCUUAAAAGUCCAGUCAUUGAUAGCUAAAUCCCAACCCAAGUCAAAAAUAAAUUGAACCCAUUUUCUAAGUUCAACUUUGAAUUUUUUUAAUUGGAAAAAUGUAUAUAAAUAAAAUUAAACUAGAAUAGUAGAUUAGGUUUGUAGGUGAAGUCUGCUUGAAUUUGUGAAACUUCCAAGUCGUCGUGGGUCUAGUGGUCCCAUAGCUUUCUAUAAUUUCCACCAUCAAUUUUCUGCAAUAAAGUCAAGUCAUUCCUAACCCCUAUAUUAAUUUGGCCUUAAAAGUCCCGUCAUUGAUAGCUACGUUCAUGAAUCCCAACCCAAGCCAAAAAUAAAUUGAACCCAUUUUCUAAGAUCAACUUUGAAUUCUUUUAAUUGGGAAAAUGUAUAUAAAUACAAUUAAACUAGAAUAGUAGAUUAGGUUUGUAGGUGGAGUCUACUUGAAUUUGUGAAACUUCCAAGUCGUCAUGGGUCUAGUGGUCCCAUAGCUCUUUAUUAAUUUUCACCAUCAAUUUUCUACAAUAAAGUCAAGCCAUUCCUAAACCCUAUAUUAAUUUGGCCUUAAAAGUCAAGUCAUUGAUAGUUAUGUUCAUGAAUCACAACCCAAGUCUAAAAUAAAUUGAACCCAUUUUCCAAGUUCAACUUUGAUUUUUUUACUAGUGAAUGCAAAUUGGGAAAACGUAUAUAAAUAUAGUUAAACUAGAAUAGUAUAUUAGGUUUGUAGGUGGAGUAAGCUUGAAUUAUUGAAACUUCCAAGUCGUCGUGGGUCUAAGGGUCCCAUAGCUCUCUAUUAAUUUCCAUCAUCAAUUUUUAUGAAUUAAGAUUUAAAAGUGAGAAGGGAAUAAAUUUUUUCUUUUUCAAUUCAUUACAAAAAAUAUUUUUGGUUUUUAUGCUAAAAUUUAUUGUUUAUUCAAAAAAUUAAAGUAUAAAAAUAUAAAAAAUAUAUAUAUAUAUAUAUAUAUAUAUAUAUAUAUAUAUCUUGCUAUUAUAGAAGAGCUCCAAAAUUUUCGUGUUUAAGAGAAUAUGUGUUGCCACUUUAGAAGAUUUAUAUACAAAAAGGAUUGAUGUUUCUCCUUUGACUAUGUUUGGUUCCCAUAAAUUUGAGGGAAAGAAAAUAAAUAAAAAAAUAGUAAAAAAGAAAAAAUGAAGGAAAAUAAAAAAUAGUUUUAAAGUAAAUAAAUUAUUUUUAUAUGCUUUUUCAAACUUAUUCUACUUAUUUUCUUUCAUUAUAUAAAGAUCAAAUAAUUUUAAAAUGCAUAAAUUUCUAACUAAUUUUAAUUAUAUUUAAUUUUUCUUUUAUAUUUUUUAGACGGGAUCCAACACAUGAAAAAAUCCAUUUUUUAGCAUCUUUUUUUCUUUUCUUAUUACUUUCUAAUAACCAUAUAUAACCUUUAGAUUUAGCCUAGACUUGGAGUAUGGAAGGAUACUGAGUAUUGAAAGAAGGUUUUGUAUAUGGCCAUGAUACCAUAGAAAAAAUAUGCGAGAGGGAAAAAACCUUUAUUAAAUGAUAAAUUAUUUUUUUCAAUGGAAAUCAAAUAUAAUUAUUUUUAUAAUAAUUACUUUAUUUUUAAAAAAAAUAAUAAUAAAAAAAAUAAUUUGUUGUUGCAUAAAGUAUUCUUGCAUUUGAAGAAGCAUGUUACUACUUACUACAUAAAUAGAUAUUCAUGGAGUGCAUUCUCUAAAAAGCUCCAGUCUCAUGAAAAUAGAAAGAUGGACCGGCCGGUGAACCGGUUCGAGUUUGGAUUUAUGGGCUACCUCAGCCUUACACGCAUGAUAGGCUGUUGCAGGUGAAGAACUAAUUAAUUUAAAGCGUUCUUCUAUCCUCUCCUAUUCCUCAGUGUAUUUAAACUAAACAUUAGGAAGGGUGACUAAAAUUAACCCUCUAGGUAUAUAUGUUUACCAAAAUUUUUAUUGUUUAUUUUUCAUUUAAUGUUUGCAUUUAAACAUUGAAAAUGAAUUGUUUUUCCAUAUGUUAACAAAAAGAAAUUUGAACACCUAUAAAAAUGAAAUCUUGUAGUAAAAUUGGAGUUACAUUAUCAGACUUUUAACGAGUGUUUAUGUUUAGAAAGGCCAAUUAAAGCAAGCAUGCAUCUAGAAAUUGUAACUUAGAUGCAUCAAACAUGAGCAACAUAUUUGAUAUAACUAAUAGUUUCUUAAGUAACUAAACACUUCUUUUUCUAUAAAUUUACUUGAUUAUCGAUGAAUACUUACAUAUAUUUACAUAGUUUGAUAAAUAUUUUAAAAUAGUAUUAGAAUAACUUUGUUUUUUCUCAAUUAUAUUAGAAAAUAAUAUAAAGUUACUUAUAAACUUUAUAUCAUUUUCUCAAAGUCAAGUCAUUUACAAUUAUUUCUAUCUAGCCUUCUCCAUUAUGACAACUUUUAUAUGAUAGUCGUUGAUUGGAAGAAUCUACACGUCUUUUUUGAUAGGAUAGUUGUUUUUAUUAUUUUUAUGAUUUUUAUUUUUUUUAUUCCAAAAUUUUGCUUCUAUCAUUGAAACUUUCAAAUCUUUUAUAUAUAUUACCAAUCAUUUUACAAGUGAGUUAAUUUCACUUAGGGUAGAUAUACUUAGCCACACCCCUAUAGAUGUAAUUUGUGUUUAAAUUUUAUUUUUUAUUCAGGUAAAAAUAUCUUAGGUAUAUGUGUUCAACAAUUCUCUAAAAAAUAAAUUUUCUUAUCUAAAAGUUUAUAUAGACAAAAUAUAUCUAUAGAAGUCCUAACUAAUGAAAUUUAAAAUCAAUGGUUGUUUAGUGUAUUUACAUUAAACCUUAUGGGGUAUGAUUGAAAUUAACUCUUUUACAAGCACUUGUAGCUUAUAUGUUUGAAGUUGUAGUGUUGGAAAUUGAUCAUUUUCUUGAAGGCCUCUAAGAAAUUGGAAAUAUUGCCAUAGUUUUAGACUUUUUUUAUUACACCUAAUAAAAAAUAUUAUUAAUUUAACAUAUAUAUUCUUGACUUAAAAGUAAAGUCUCUCCAUAUUGUAUGAGCCCUUAGGUGACAAUAUUAGGUGAAGUUUUUCUUUCGUUUAUUAAAAAAUAUAAAUAAUUUAUUAUUGUAUGAUAAAAUUUUAUGUAAUAUAUUUUUAUAGAUGUAAAAUUAUUAAUUGGGUUUUAUUUUAUUUUUACUAAAUUGUCAUUUCAAUAUAUAAAACUUAUUUGUAAAAAGACAAUUAUAAACUAUAUGAAAUUGAAAAACAUUUAGUUUUUUUAUUUAAUUUAGAAUUUUAUUUGGAUUAAUAAUUGAUAUUUGUAAGAUUUUUUAAUAUUUAAAAAAGUUAUCAUACUUAAGAAAGAUAUUCAAGAUCGGGAGUGUUUGAUAUUGGAUUAAUUUCCUUAUUUUCUCUAUUUUAAUAAAUUUUCACGUUCAUUACAAAAUUUUUGUUGUUUAUUUUUCACUUCAAUAUUUUUAUUUUGUAAUAGACAUUUGAAAAGAUUUUUUCCUACAUGUAAAAAAAAAAUAUUUGAACACUCCUAAAAAAGAAAUAUUGUAAUAAAAUUAAAGUUUACACUGUAGGACUAUUAGCAAGUGCUAUAUACAUAAAAUAGACCAAUUAAAGUAGAAAUACUUCUAAAAUUGUAAUUUAGGUAACAAUAAUAUAAAAAGAUAAUAUUUUUGAAACAAUAGUUCUCUUGGAGUUUUGGGUACGAUGGACUAGACUUUAUGUAACAACAGAUAUCCAAACUUUCCAUUAACAUCUUAAGAGACAUGAUGAGGAGCAAAGUCAUCCUAGAAGGUACCAUAGAGGUACCUUAGCUCCAUUCAUCUAGACUACAUAAUGUUUAAAGAUCAAAUUCAAUGACUAGCUAGAAGGUACCAUAGAGGUACCUUAGCUCCAUUCAUCUAGACUACAUAAUGUUUAAAGAUCAAAUUCAAUGACUAGAUUUCAAAAAUCAAUAUAAGCUUUCUCAUAUUCUACUCUAUAUAAGGCAAUGGUAUGAUACCUCUCUUGUGUCAUAGAAUACACCAUGAAAACCUUAUCAUUUUAACAUCAGUUUGAAACUUAAAAGUCACUUAGCACAUUCUAGUUAUUAAUUUAAGAGCAUUAAAAGAAAAUAUAAAAAAAGUUACUUUAUCCUUGUGAUUUUGAUCUAGGACUUUUAAUGAUAUUUAAAAAAAAAACAAAACAGAAAAAUAAAUGGAAAUAAAAUCAACAAAUUAAACAAUUGAAUUAAGUUAGUUUAAUUUUUGUAUCGUUAAAUAGGUAAAUAAAGACUCUUAGAUUUGAUAUUAAUAUGAACAUCAUGACUUCAGUGAAUCUUACAAGAAAAUUUUAGUUUGAAAGACUUCAUUCAUUAAACGUGUGGCACAUAUUAAAGUAAAACUAAGUCUUCUCUAUAAUUUGUACCUAUCAUAGUUUCUUUCCUCAUAAAUAGCCUUUUUUGAAUAUAAUAUAGACUUCAACAUGUAUGGUGGGGCCGAUCAAACUACUAGUCAAGACAACUCAUGGGCAACAACGAUGUACCAACUACAUUAAAUACUCUUCAUCUAUUUGCAUAUUAAGAGUAAUUUAGUAGUGUCUUUCUUAUGUACCUCAUAUCUAGACUUUCAAUGGAGAGUUCUUCAUCUAAAAAUUUGACUUAGGUUUUCAUACUAGUUUUGGUUUAGACAUGUGGAUGCAAAGGUUGCAUCAAAGAAGAGAAGUAGGCUAAAUCAUCUUACAAAUUUUCAAGUUCAAAAUAGAUGCACCAAACAUAUGCAAUAUAUUUGAUAUAACUAAUAUUUUCUUAAGUAAUUGAAUACAAUUUUUUUUUUUUAUAAAUUUACUUGAUUAUCAAUGAAUAACUACAUGUAUGGUAUUGACACAACUUGAUAAAUCUUUUAAAAUAGUACUAGAAUAACUUUGCUAAAAAAAAGUAAAAAUAAAAAUAAAAAUACGUCUAUAUAUAUAAAAAAAUUAAAUAAAAUUAAAAAUUAAAAAAGAAUAUAUAUAUAUAUAUAUAUAUAUAUAUAUAUUUUGUUGUGUGUGUGUGUGCAUGUUCCCACAACUCAUUAGCUACUCAUAAGCUUUAUAUCACUUUCUCAAAGUCAAGUCAUUUUGUAAUUAUUUCUCUCUAGCCUUCUCCAUUACGACAACUGUAUAAGAUAUUGAUUGGUUGGAAAAAUCUUCAUGUCUUUUUUUAUAAGAUAGUUUUAUUAUUAUUAUUAUUAUUUAAAGAAUUUGCUUUUAUUAUUGCUUUCAAAUCCUUUAUGUCUAGUGGUCCUACAAUUCCCUAUUCAUUGGUAUUUCAUAUUACCAAUCAUUUUACAAAUAAGUUUAUUUCACUCAGUAAAUAUACUUAACUACUAAUGGUUUCAAAUUUAAUUGAUUAACACACUUAUAGAUGUAAUUUGUUUUUAAAUUUUAUUUUUUUAGAAGAAUUGUAGGUAAAAAUAUUUUAGGAAUAUGUGUUCAAUAAUUCUCUAAAAACAAUUUAUAUAGAUGGAAUACAUUCAUGGAAGUUCCAACUAAUGAAAUUUAAAACCAAUGACGAUUUAAUGUAUUUGCACUAAAUCUUAGGGGAGGUGUACUAAAACUAGCCCUUUUACAAAUAUUUGUAGCUAGUAUAUUUGUAGUUAUAGUGUUGGAAGUUGAUCAUUUUCUUAAAGGCCUCUAUGAUAUUAGAAAUAUCGCCAAAGUUUUGAACUUUUUGUUUCACCUAAAAAAAAUAUCAUUAAUUUAAUAUAUAUACUCUUCGCUUGAAAGUAUAGUUUCUUCAUAUUGUAUGAAGUUGUAGCUAGGUGGCAAUAUUGGGUGAAAUUUUUUUGGUUUACUAAAAAAUAUAAAUAAUAUAUUUAUUAUAUGAUAAAAUUUUGUAAAAUAUAUUAUUAUAGAUGCAAAAUUAUUAAUGGAGUUUUAUUUUUUUACUAAAUUAUCAUUUCAAUAAAUAAGAACUUAUUUGUUAAAAGAAAAUUAUAAAAUAUAUGCAGUUGAAAAAAAUUUAAUUUUUUUAUUUAAUUUGGUAUUUUAUUUGAAUUAAUAAUUGAUAUUUGUAAGAUAUUUUAAUAUUAAAAGAAGUUAACAUAUUUAAAAAAGACAUUCAAAAUCAAGAGAGUAUAUGAUAUGAAAUCAAUUAAUUUAUUUUUUCUAUUUAAAUAAAUUUUUACAUCCAUUAAAAAAAUUUUAUUGUUUAUUUUUCACUUCAAUAUUUUUAUUUUGUAAAAGAAAUAGAAAUAAAAUCAACAAAUUAAACAAUUGAAUUAAGUUAGUUUAAUUUUGCCACCGUUAGGUAAAUGAAGACUCUUAUAUUUGAUAUUAACAUGAACAUCAUGACUUCAUUGAAUCUCACAAGAAAAUUUUAGUUUGAAAGAUUUUAUCCUUUAAUCAUGUGGCACAUAUUAAAGUCAGACCAAGUCUUCCCUAUAAUUUGUAUCUAUCACAAUUUCUUUCCUAAUGAAUAGCCUUUUUGAAUAGAAUAUAGACUUUAGCAUGCAUGGUGGGGCCUAGCUAUCAAACUACUAGUCAAAACAACUCAUGGGCAAGAAUGAUGUACCAACUAGAUUAAGUAUUCUCCAUCUAUUUGCAUAUCAAGAGUAAUUUAGUAGUAUCUUUCUUGUGUACCUCAUUUCUAGACUUUCAAUGGAGAGUUAUUUAUCUUAAAAUUUGACGUGGGUUUUCAUACAAGUCUUGGUUCAGAUAUGUGAAUGCAAAGGUUGCAUCGAAGAAGAGAAGUAGGCUAAGUCAUCUUACAAAUUUUCAAGUUCAAAUUAGAUGCAUCAAACAUGUGCAACAUAUUUGAUAUAACUAAUAUUUUACCAAGAAACUAAAUACUUUAUAUAUAUAUAAAUAAACAAAAUAAAAAAUUUAAAAAGAAUAUAUAUAUUAGUGGUCCCACAACUCAUUAGCUACUCAUAAGCUUUAUAUCAUUUUCUUAAAGUCAAGUCAUUUACAAUUAUUUCUAUCUAGCCUUCUCCGUUGCGACAACUAUACAAGAUAUUAAUUGAUUGAAAAAAUCAUCAUGUCUUUUUUGAUAGGAUAGUUUUUUUUUUAUUCAAAGAACUUUCAAAUCCUUUAUGUCUAGUGGUCCUACAAUUCCCUAUUCAUUGGUAUUUCAUAUUACCAAUCAUUUUACAAAUAAGUUAAUUUCACUCGGUAAAUAUACUUAACCACCAAUGGUUUCCAAUUUGUAGCACUCUUAUAGAUGUAGUUUGUUUUUAAAUUUUAUUUUUUAGAAGAAUUGUAGGUAAAAAUAUUUUAGCUAUAUAUGUUCAACAAUUCUCUAAAAACAAUUUAUAUAAAUGAAAUACGUUCAUGGAAGUUCCAACUAAUGAAAUUUAAAACCAAUGAUGAUUUAAUGUAUUUGUACUAAAUCUUAGGGAGUGUGGACUAAAAUUAGCCCUUUUAAAAAUAUUUAUAACUAGUAUAUUUGUAGUUGUGGUAUUGGAAGUUGAUCAUUUUCUUAAAAGGUUGACCAUUGAAGUUAGUUGAAUAUAAAGUUAGGUGAACUUUACCAUUGUUAAAUUGGUAAAUGAAGACUCUUAGAUUUGAUACUAACAUGUACAUCAUGACUUCAUUGAAUCUCUCACAAGGAAAUUUUAGUUUGAAAGACUUCAUCCUUAAAACAUGUGGCACAUAUUAAAGUGAGACCAAGUCUUCCCUAUAAUUUGUAUCUAUCACAAUUUCUUUCCUCAUAAAUAGCCUUUUUGAAUAGAAUUAAUAUAGACUUUAGCAUGCAUGGUGGGCCCUGUCAAACUAUUAGUCAAGAUAAUUUGUAGGUAAGAACGAUGGACCAACUAUAUUAAAUACUCUUCAUCUAUUUGCAUAUCAAGAGCAACUUAAUACUGUCUUUUUUUUGUACUUCAUGUUUGAACUUUCAAUGGAGAGUUUGUCAUCUAAAUAUUUGAUGUGGGUUUUUAUAUUACUCUUGGUUCAAAUAUGUGGAUGCAAAGGUUGCAUCGAAGAAGAGAAGAUGGGUUUGCUUGAAUUCAAGGCUUUUCUUAAAUUGAAUGAUGAGCAUGCAGAUUUUCUUCUCCCUUCAUGGAUAGAUAACAACACUAGUGAAUGUUGUAAUUGGGAGCGAGUUAUUUGCAAUCCCACCACAGGUCGAGUUAAGAAGCUUUUCCUCAAUGAUAUAAGGCAACAACAAAAUUUGUUGGAAGACGAUUAGCACUAUUAUGAAAAUGCCAAAUUCUGGUUACUAAAUAUCUCCCUAUUCCUUCCUUUUGAAGAACUUCACCAUCUAAACUUGUCUGCAAACUCAUUUGAUGGGUUUAUUGAGAAUGAAGGUAUGUUACCUCUCACCUUUAAAAUUUCUUUUCACUUAUACUCCAAACAUUCUAAAGGAACUACUAUCAUAUGUUCUUAAAAGUGUUCAGGUGGAGACCAAAUGGUCACUAGUAACUAUUGAAUUUAAUAUAAGAACAAUUACUAAUUAUUAAAAUUUAUAAUGUAAAUUAACAUUUAAAUAGAACAAUAAAAAAAAUUAUUAUUUUAGAAAACUAUAGAUUACAUUUGCCUUAUAUAUAUAAAAGCAUACUUGUUAUUUAUGCCAUCAUUUCACACUCAACCCAAUAAGUUGGAUUCAACUAAGAGUGAGCAAUUUCACAAUUAUUAAUUAAUAGGAACACUUAGGCUCCCAUAUCCUUAUCCUUUUUGCUGAAUUGUCUUUCCUUAUCUUCCAUUCCUAAAAAGCUUGAUUUCUAUAUUCUAAAUUGAUAGAGAUUGGUUAAAGAAAGGUGAUCACAAAAUUUGACUAUUGCUUUCAAAUGAGGAAUCACCAUCUUCAAAUUUUCACAUUUACACAAAAAAAAAAAAAAAAACUAGCCUCGGGUAAGGUCCAAGCCUUAUUGUUUUAAGCUGACGUCGGGUUGGUUUAAUAAUGAACAAAGUAAAUCCCAACCCAUGACCAUCUAGGCAUUUCCAAAUUCCACCCAUCCACAACCCAUUAAUAUGGCAUUUUCAAGGACAAAAUUUAAUCAAUUAAACCUAUUAGAUGGAUUCUCCAUACAAUGUUAAAAUGAAUAUAAACACUUUAAUUCAAAAAAUAAUUUCCUUCAUUUAGUUAGGAUUCAAAUUAUAGGGGCACAAAACAUGAAAAUUUUCAUGUUUAAAAUUCACAAAGAUCACAGAAGCUCUUUGAAGCUCUAUGGGCUUUUUUAUUUCUAACAUUUAAACACAAAAAUCACCAAAUUGAAUUAGAAACUUGGAUGCAUAUUCUUAUAUUAAAGACAUGUAAGCUUACAUAUUUAAAUAUGAAGAUCUCAACUUGUAAUUACAUGCUUCUAAUUAAAGUUAUAUUACUUUAUUUUACAGGAUUUAAAGGGUUAUCAAGUUUAAAGAAAUUGGAGAUCUUGGACAUAAGUGGUAAUGAGUUUGACAAAAGUGCCUUAAAAUCUUUGGGCACAAUAACAUCACUCAAGACAUUAGCUAUUUGCAGCAUGGGACUGAAUGGAUCUUUUUCCAUUCGAGGCAUGUUAUAUGUCCACAUUGUUUCUUUGAAAUUAAGUAAAAUAUAUUUCUAACUUUUAAUGUUCCUUAGUUAAUCUCUCUUUUGAUUCAUGUUUGUUGCAGAAUUAGCUAGUUUGAGAAAUUUGGAAGUGUUGGAUCUAAGCUAUAAUGAUUUGGAAAGCUUUCAACUAUUGCAAGGUACUUCAUUAACUUGCUAAAAAAACUUAUAAUAUUUUGUUAUUAAAUUAAAGGUAAGAUUAACAAACAAUUUCUUCCCAUUAGUUACUUUUCUUUGUAAUAUCAUUAAAUUUGAUAUAAAGUAGUCUAAAUCAUCCUUUCAAUUUAUAAGUUUUAAUUAAAACGCAUCAAGCAUGCACAAGAUGUUUAAUAUAACUAAUAUUUUCAUAAGUAAUUGAAUUUUUUUUUAUGAAUUAAUUAACUUGAUUAUCAAUAAAUACUUACAUGUAUAAGAUUAAUAUAGUUUCAUAAGUAUUUUAAAAUUGUCUUACAACACACACACACACACACACACAGGGAAAAUGAAAGGUAUGUGAUACCUUUAUGCUAUGUUUGGUUCCCAAAAAAAUUGAGGGAAAAUGAAAGGAGAAAAAAGUAGAGAGGAAAAAUAAAAGAAAAGAAAAAAAGUGAAGAAAAAUAUAAAAUUGAUUAAAGUAAAUACAUUAUUUUUAUAUGUUACUUUAAACUUGUUUCACUUAUUUUAAUUCUUCAAUGUAAAGAUGAAAGAUUUGAAAAUGCAGAAGUCUCUAAUUAUUUUUUAUUAUAUUUUAUUUUAUUUUAUAGUUUUUACAAUACAACCAAACAUAAUAAAAUCAUUUUCUUUAAUUUUUUUUUCUUUUCUUAAUACUUUUCAUGAACCCUUAAGUUAUGUUUGGUUUGCAGAAAAUAUGAGGAAUAGAAAAUAGAAAAGAAAAUUAGAAGGAAAGAAAAAAUGAAGUAAAAUAAAAAUAAAUUUAAAUUUAAUAAAUUAUUUUUAUAUGCUACUUUAAACUUAUUUCACUUAUUUUAAAUUAUUUAAACUCAUUUCUAAUAAAUAAUAAUGGAAAUUGUAGAGAAGUUUGUGUUAUUCAAGCUUUGCAAUGACUUUUCAAGGUGAAGGAAAAUAUUCUUGCUGAAAUUGAAAAAGGAAAUACCUUCUUAAAUAGCCUAUUGACCGAAAACACAUUGCCCUAACAUAUACACACACCUUUAUUAUUUAUACAAUCAUGUAAUACUUAAUCCAGUUAGUGGGAUUCUAGUGGUUGUUUCUAUCUUGGUUUCCAAUAUUUCUGAUUGAUAGUGUUCGAUUAAUGAAAUAUCAUAAAUUUUGACCCUAAUAAGGACCAAUCCCUAUUAAAUGUAAUUGGGUUGACCCAAGACUAAAUGUUAGACCCAACUAAUAAAAACCCAUCUGUUUGUUGGAGUCUAAAUAACCCGGCCUUAGGUAGGGCCCAUGCCUUAUUAUUUUAAGAUGUAGUCCAACUGGUUUGACACUAGAUUGAGUAAAGCCUAAGUUAUGAGCAUCUGUGCAUUUCCAUCCAUCCACAACCUAUUGGCAUGGGCAAACUUUGGUCAAUUAAACCUAUUAUAACUGUAUACAAAAUUUUAAGUUCAAAAGAUAAUUUUCCUUAUUUAGUUAAGAUUCAUAUUAAAAAGGCACAAAGCACGAAUUUUCAUGUUUAAAUUCACAAAUAUCAUGAAAGCUCCUUCAAGCUCUAUGGACCAUUUUAUUUGUAACAUUAUUUUACUCUUAAUUAUCAAAUUAACCAACAAAUUCUUCUCAUUACUUAUUUUUCUUUUGUAAUGUCAUAAAAUUUGAUGUAAAGUAGUAUUGGUCAUCAUUUCAACUUUUAGGUUCCAAUUAGAUGCAUCAAGCAUGUGCAACAUAUUUGAUAUAACUAAUAUUUUUAUAAGUAAUUGAAUUUUUUUUUCUAUAAAUCAAUUAACUUGAUUAUUAAUGAAUACUUUCAUACAUGAUAUUGAUGUAGUUUCAUAAAUAUUUUUAAAUAGUCAUAGAAGUCUUUUAUCUGAUUCACUAGAAAUAAAAAUAAAUUAAACUAUUCUAAUGAAAAUACUUAAUGAUUUGAAGUGAUUGCUUUUGAUUUUAUUUGAUUGCUACCAUUAUUAAUUGUUAGAAAUUGGCAACAAAUACCCAUUUUGCAUCACUUCUAUAUGCAUAGGGGGAAUGAAUUAUAUUUCAUAGAGCUAACAGGGCAAAACUCAUACUUUUGGAAUUAUGGAAAAGGUUGCUAGAAAGCUAAUUAACCAUUUAUAUUAUGAUUAAGACUAGUUGGGUUAGAAAUAAUUCAUAUGGAGAUUAAAAAAAACUAUGUAAUUUAGUUUAGUAGCUAGGGUGCUAUUGUAAUGAUUAAUGAUCUGCAACUUGAACACAUCUACUAGUGCUUUCUACUUGUAUAGCUAAAUUUAUGUUACCACUUUGAACUACAGUACUUACAUGAGAAGAAAGUUAUUCCUUAGUGAUAAUGCAAAAGAAAUUAACUAUCAGUUUUUGUUAAACUAACAAGUGAUAGUUUAGAUAUGGUUUGAAUACACUUCCUUUCUUCUAUUUUUUUAUUUUGAAAAAAAAAAACUCUUUAAUGAAAUAUAAGAAAUCUUAUAUGUAUAAAAAGUAAAGACUUAAACAAAAAAAUUCUUCAAAUUUGAAAAUUUUCGAGAAGUAUUUUUAAGAAUUUGUAUUUUUAGUAUAAUAAUUCCUAUAUUUUGUAUAAAAGUUUUUGUUUAAAAAAAUAGAAGUGUAUCCAAAUUACAAAUUAAUUGUUCAAUUAAGAAUGUUUCUCGGAUCAAGAGAUAAUGAAAGUUGUAGAGAGUUUGCAUUACUCAACCUUUGCAAUUACUUUUUGAAGAUAAAAGAAAAUACCUUCCUACAUAACAUAAAAUGGCAGGUUCUGGUUUGUAAGAAACAAAUAAAUGAUAUAGGAUAUGAAUAAGACUUCCUUUAUAAUAGAUAUGUAGAGAAGAAUAGUCGAUGAUAGGAGGUGAAAAUCUUGUAAUAAAAUAUCAAUAUCGGUUAUAAGAUAAUCAACAUUUUCUCUAUUUCUUGUACCUAUGUGAUUAAGAAUCUUGUAGCUCCCUUAUUGAAAUAUAAUAUAAAAAUAUAAAUAAACUAUUUAGAAGUGCAUGUAGUUUUCAACAUGAGGAAGUUCAAAAGCAAGUUAAUUAUGAUAAUUUUCUGUUGUCUAUAUUGAGCACAAAUUAUUUUUACUAAAGGUUCAAUUGUUCUAUGAAGGUUAAAAGUUUGAAUUGUUUACAUAUGCAAAUGUGAAAUUUGAAAUUUUAUAAUUUUUUAUAAUUUUCUUGUAGAUUCAAAAAGCUUGUCCAUAUUCAAAAAGCUCGAGACCUUGAACCUCAAUUACAACAAGUUCAAAAACACUAGCCUACAACAAUUGAAUAUAUUUACAUCCCUUAAAAAUCUUUCUCUAAGAGGGAACUAUGUUGGAGGAUUUUUUCCGAUCCAAGGUAUGUGUAAUUAUUAUUAUUACUUUUAAUGAUAAAAUAUUAGAAUUGUCAACAUCUUUUUUUUUUUCCCCCUCAAUGGUGUUGCAGAAUUAUGCACUCUGGAAAACUUUGUGAUGUUGGACCUAAGUGAGAAUUUCUUUAUUGGCAUGCAAGGUAAAUACAAAGUGAAGUUUUGGUUAUAUAUAUAUCAUGUAAGAACAUAACUAAAAUCAACAUUCUUUGCCUAUCAAUUUGUGCAUGACUAUUAUUUAGUUAUUCUUCGUAACAUAAUUGAAAGAAUGUCUAGGUGUACAACAUUUAAGAAUUUUACAUGGCACAAUGAAAAACAUGGUAAUCAAUGUAUGCAAUAAAAUUCUAAUAGUUGAAAAAGAAUUUUCUUGUAAUUUUAUGUUCGUGUAUAGUAAUCAAAGAGAAAAUAAUGAAAAUGUAUAUUAGUUAGACUUUAUAUAUCAAUAGACAAAAAAGAAAGAAAAAAAAAAAGAUUAGUUCCUUAACUUAUCCUAAAAUUUUCUAGAUAAUAAGGAGUUUUUUUAUUUUGGGCUAUAAGGUUUACAACCUGAAAAGUGAAGAUGAUUAAUAUUAGUAAUAUAAUUUUGAAAUAUAAAAAUUAAUGAAAUAAUGUUCUCUAUAACUAUAAGUGCAACUGCAACUAUUAAUAAAAGAUAAUAAAAGUACUUUAGACUUUGAAUCCAUGGUUAGGUUUGCAAUUUUUUGAUGAUCAAUAAAGCUACAACUUAUGCUGCAAAAGGCUAUACAAAAUGCAUUAGGAGCAUUGCUAAGCUCAUUUAUCAAUAAAAGAAAUCCAGUAAUACUUUGAUUGGAAAAAACCUAGAAUCAUGUUUGAUAUAUAUAAUAGGUGAAGAAACAAAAUAACAAUUCCAUGGUAUUAGUUAGUUUGAUAUCUCUUUUGUUAUAUGGAAUAACUAUUCCAUUUUAAAAUAAUUUUUUCAUCUUAUCACUAGAACAAAAAAUUUCAGGGGGUUAUAUGGGCUUUUGGGUUUCUUAAGAAUUUAAGCAUUUAUGGGUCACCCAUAUAUAUAUAGGAAGAAUAAAAAAAAUAUUCUAUGGAGACAAGGGUAGACACCCAUAAAUGUACAUAUAAUUAUUUAAAUAAAAAUAUCAAUAAGAAACAAUAUACAACAAAAUAGAAAAUUUUAAUCUUCUUAAAUUUUUUAAAAUAAAAACUAAAUGAAAAAAAAAUUAAGAAGUAAAAAAAAUAAUAAAAAGGUCAAGAAUACAAAUAGAGAAGUAAACAAAAUAAAAAAAAAUACAUAAAUUAAAAUUAAAUUUAAAAAAAAAAUACAUAGAUUAAUAUGAACACCAAAUGAGGUUUUUUGAGAUAGACUUAGUUAGACUUGAACUAGAUGGAUAUUAAAAAAAAAUUUAAAAAAAUCAAAGAAAUAAAAACUAAUUAGAUGCUAAAUAUUGGAUUAAAAUAACCAAAUGAAUAAAGAGUAAUUAUUAAUUUUUAACAUUUUUUAUUCCCUGGAAUUAUUAUUUUGUGUAUUAAAUGUAUUCUGAGUGUAGUGGUAUAAAAAAUGUAGUUAAGAAUACUAUGAAGAAUAAUAAUAGUGAUGAUAAUGGUGACGACACUUAAUACCUUUUAUUGUACAUUUAGAAAAAAUGAGGUUCUUGAUCUUUAUGGAGAUUAUCAUUACUCAUCCGCAAGCAUGUUGAUAGUUGAAACUACUUAAUUAUCAAAAAUUGAAUUUCUAACCUUCAAUUUUUCUCUCUCAAAUGUAUAUGUGGGUGAGAAAGCACUAGGAAGAUUAUAAGGUCUCACAUGUAUAUGAGUCAUAGGAUAAAAAAUAUAGAGACAUACUAGCAUUUAUUUGAUCUAGUGGCAAAUAGAGAAAUAUAACAUAACCAUAACCAUAAUGUUCUAACCUUAUAUAUACCAGAACCAUGUUUCCUUCAUUCAAUUUUGCACUUUUUCUUUUNNNNNNNNNNNNNNNNNNNNNNNNNNNNNNNNNNNNNNNNNNNNNNNNNNNNNNNNNNNNNNNNNNNNNNNNNNNNNNNNNNNNNNNNNNNNNNNNNNNNNNNNNNNNNNNNNNNNNNNNNNNNNNNNNNNNNNNNNNNNNNNNNNNNNNNNNNNNNNNNNNNNNNNNNNNNNNNNNNNNNNNNNNNNNNNNNNNNNNNNNNNNNNNNNNNNNNNNNNNNNNNNNNNNNNNNNNNNNNNNNNNNNNNNNNNNNNNNNNNNNNNNNNNNNNNNNNNNNNNNNNNNNNNNNNNNNNNNNNNNNNNNNNNNNNNNNNNNNNNNNNNNNNNNNNNNNNNNNNNNNNNNNNNNNNNNNNNNNNNNNNNNNNNNNNNNNNNNNNNNNNNNNNNNNNNNNNNNNNNNNNNNNNNNNNNNNNNNNNNNNNNNNNNNNNNNNNNNNNNNNNNNNNNNNNNNNNNNNNNNNNNNNNNNNNNNNNNNNNNNNNNNNNNNNNNNNNNNNNNNNNNNNNNNNNNNNNNNNNNNNNNNNNNNNNNNNNNNNNNNNNNNNNNNNNNNNNNNNNNNNNNNNNNNNNNNNNNNNNNNNNNNNNNNNNNNNNNNNNNNNNNNNNNNNNNNNNNNNNNNNNNNNNNNNNNNNNNNNNNNNNNNNNNNNNNNNNNNNNNNNNNNNNNNNNNNNNNNNNNNNNNNNNNNNNNNNNNNNNNNNNNNNNNNNNNNNNNNNNNNNNNNNNNNNNNNNNNNNNNNNNNNNNNNNNNNNNNNNNNNNNNNNNNNNNNNNNNNNNNNNNNNNNNNNNNNNNNNNNNNNNNNNNNNNNNNNNNNNNNNNNNNNNNNNNNNNNNNNNNNNNNNNNNNNNNNNNNNNNNNNNNNNNNNNNNNNNNNNNNNNNNNNNNNNNNNNNNNNNNNNNNNNNNNNNNNNNNNNNNNNNNNNNNNNNNNNNNNNNNNNNNNNNNNNNNNNNNNNNNNNNNNNNNNNNNNNNNNNNNNNNNNNNNNNNNNNNNNNNNNNNNNNNNNNNNNNNNNNNNNNNNNNNNNNNNNNNNNNNNNNNNNNNNNNNNNNNNNNNNNNNNNNNNNNNNNNNNNNNNNNNNNNNNNNNNNNNNNNNNNNNNNNNNNNNNNNNNNNNNNNAUGCUCCUUUUUUUAGAGUCAAUUGAUGCUUAUAAACAACUUUGUUUGAAAAUAAAAUACAUCGAGUGAUUGCAUCAAGAGAUUGAUGUAAUAAUUGCAUACUUGAUCUUGAUAAUGCUAAUAUGAGUUGACUAAAUAAAUGAGUAUUUACUUAUAAGGUAACCCAUAGAACAUUAUUUGUGGAAAUAUUCAUGCACCUCUACAUAUGUUCGUGAUAACUUAGGUUGAUAAAUUUAAGAAGAACAAAUUCAUAACCUUGGGCAUAGUUAGUAAGAUAUUUCACCAAUAGAGUUUGGUAUCAUGAUUCUAAUUGUUCAAAUUGUUUUAAAGGAGUAUUUUAAAUUGCAUGUUAAUUUGCUUCUAAUAAAUGGAGAGAAACCAAUUCAAGAAGAGAAUUGUACUCAAGCUAUGUAUAGCAUUCAUGAAGAUGUAGAAAAUAUUGAUGAACUUACUUUUGAGCAAGUUGAAAUCAUAAUUAAAUAAAAGAACAAACCCAAGGGUUAAGAUUGUCAAGUAAAACUUUAACUAAAAUUUAUUGAUUUUUUAAAUGCCUAUUAGAGGGACAAUAGAAGUUCUAGAUAGAAAGUAAGAACUUUUCUAAGGAAUCACUUGUUAGAUUUUAAGUGAUCAAUAAAUAUAAUGUCCAAUUUAAAACUUUUAUAAAAGCAAUGCUUCUAAAGAAUAACUUGAUUUGAAUUUAAAGUUAUUAUUGAUAUUUGUUUAUAAUGGAUGUAGUUAAUCAACUGAACAUAGUAAAAAACACAUAAAUUUUUCAAAAUACCUUCUAGUUGUUGGGUAUAUUUAAGUAGUCAUCCAUAUCUCAUUAUCUUUUCACUCACAUACUAAUCUCCUUAUUGAGUAUUUACCAAUUACAAGUAGGUUGAAAGUUACUCGAAUUUAAGUCACUAAUCAAUGUUAACUUGAUAACAAAUAAGUCUCUCUUUGAAACUUGUUUUACAAGAUAGCGAAAUGUAGUCGAUCAAUCAUCAAAACAAUGUUUAAGCAUUAGGAUUUAGUUGUUAAUUUUUAUUUUUUAUUUUUUGUGCUUAAACAAAGACAAAAAUGAUAAAAACUCCUUAAAAGUACAUAGUAAUUGAAUUUAAUUUAUACAUCAAACAAGAACAAACUAGUCUUGGAUUUAAAAUUCAUCAGGUUUUGUAAUUAUAAUUCCUAAAAAUUUGUAAGGCAACAAAAUUAUUGGACACUAGGUUAUUGGGUGUGUAUGACUAAGAGGUGAAGGAGGGUUCAUCUUAUACAAAGGAUGAUUUGAUUAAUUUUAAAGAUUGGAUAAACAAUAAUUGCAUAUUCAAGUAAAAAUAACAUUGCUAAAAAGGAAAAUAAGUAUUUUAGUCCUCAAACCUAAAAUGGCUAAAAAAAUUUAAUUAAUACAAUACAACUUCACCUACAAAAGAAAAAAAAACCCAAAACUUUUCAAUAGCACAACUAAGUCCAUUUAUCAAAAGCUCUAUGAACAACAACAACUAUCAAAUCACAUAAAUCAUGUUGUUUUCAAAGUGCCCUCGAUGUUUUAAAACUUAAGAUAUUACAUAAAAAUCAACCAAUAGUGUAUGACAUUAUAAAAAACAUAUCCAAAUCCAUUGUCGAACUUAAACUAAAUUCAACUUUAUAUGCAUAGUCGCAAGUGCGUCUUUUUGUCCUUCAAUUUGGGUCAAAUUCAGAUGUUAGUUUUUUACACGACAAGGGAUUAUCAAGGUGAUAAUUCAUGCAUAUAAAUAGUAUUACUAAUAUAAAAAAAGAUGGUAAAUGCAAUUUUUUUGUAUUCACUCACCAUUUGGCAUAUCAAUAAGAAAAAAAUAUAUAAUAGGUGUAAUCAAUAAUAUUACUCAUCACUAGAAAGUAUAAUUUUUCAUUUUUUGUCACUAUUUGUGCACUUUGGAAAGCUUGCUAGGUACAACAAAUUAGCUCAAUGAAGAAAUUGAUCAAUUCCUUCAUUUCUAAAUAAAUUUGCAUAUACACUAGAAUAAAAACAACUUUUUAACUUAACAAGUUGACUGAGUCUCAGAACUUAGUAGGUUGAAGACAUAAACUUCCAUCCAAACUCAUUUACUAGCACCACAUGUUGGAAAAAUAAAUAAAAAUCAAAACACUUGAGUAUAGUUGCAAACCAAUCUAAAUAUAGAGUGAGAUCUACCUUUCUUUGAAAGUUUAGAACAAAUUUUUAUUUUUAUGGUAAGACUAUGCAGUACUUAUCCCUCUCUUACAAGUCUAUAAUCAGUCCAAAGCAUGGGAUCGUGCAUAAAUUCUUGAACUCAAUUAGCCUUCAAUCGAUGCCUUUCAAGUAAAUGUAAAACCUGGUGUACUUGUUAUUGAUUCACAUCCUUAUCACUAUUAUCAUUACUUGUUCUUGAAUAUAGAACCUUAUUGUCUAUUAACAAGCAGACCUAUGUUCCUCCAUGAUUCAAGAGUAUUAUGUUUUGUUCAUCAUUAGUUGGUCUUGCUCUAAAGCUUCUUUUUUAUGACUAUCAAUAACCAAACUUAGAUACCAAAAUUUAUGCGAGAGAGCAUGUACUUUAUACAGUCAAGAACUUGUGAGUUUAGAUUUUGUUAUCUAGGUAAAAGAAUAAAUUGGUUUGUUAAAAUAGCUAGCAUUAGGUAUCUAUUCAAUUCCUAUCUUAGACAAUAAAGAUAGAAGUGAUCAAAUACAUUCUUAUUAAGAAACAUUUGAUACCAAAAGUGAUGUAAGACAACAUAGUUCCUCUAUUCAAUCAAGUUUAAGGCUUAGAUGAACCUAUGAAUUUAUAUUAAUUAAUUGGGAAAGAGAAUAAAUAGGCUAAGUAGAAGUGAUAGGAUUGUAAUAGCAUUAAGUUAAUGAUCUUGUUUAGGUCUUCUACUAAAUUAGAGAAGAAACAAACAAAAGUAAUCAAACGUGUUAGUGAUAAUUAUAUCUACUUAACAUUGAGACAAUAGUUGUAUUAAUGGUAAUUAUAUUAUUUCUUGAGAGUUUAAACAAUAUAUAUUGAAAAUAUUUUUAAAGGUUUAGCAACUACCAUGGUUAUAAUCAACUACGAGCUUUUUAUUUUUAAAAAUAUGAAAUAUUAAUAUCUUUACUUUCUUUGAUCUUCUUGUAGGUUUUAAAAGUUUGCCUAAGCUGAAAAAGCUGGAAAUCUUAAACCUUGGUUAUAAUCGGUUCAACAAGACCAUUAUAAAACAGUUGAGUGGACUCACAUCCCUUAAAACACUAGUUGUAAGCAACAACUAUAUUGAGGGACUUUUUCCUUCCCAAGGUAUUGUUUAUUUUUUUAAUAUCCUUAGUAACCACUCUACCAUAAUUUAUUUUUUCAAUUUUAUUUUCUUUCUUGAACCAUCUUACAGAAUUAUCUAUUUUUGGAAACUUGAUGACACUGGAUUUAAGCGAGAAUAGAUUCAAUGGCUCCCUAUCAAUCCAAGGUAAAUUCUAAUUAGAAUUAUCAUUAUAUUUAGGACAUAUAAUAAAUCAAUUAAAUUGUUUUAUCUAUUAUCAUUACUUGGUUAUUUGGAUUUUCUUGAUAUUGUUUAUCAUUUUACAUAGGAAAAUGAAAUUAAAAAAUCAACCCAUGCUUAGUGUUUAAGCAUUGGGCUAGAAGUAUAUUUUUCUUCCCAAUUUAAUCAAAGAGAAAAGUCAUAAAUAACAUAAUUUAACUUAUACCUUAUAUUGAUUGAAGAGGUUAGACUACUUUUGGAUUUAAUGGUCAAUAUUUGUUGAAGGUAGGGUUUCCUAAAUUUGAUCAAAAGAACUUCAAUUUAAAUUACCAUAACUACAUAAAGUUGUGACUAGCAUAAUUAAACUCUUUUAUUAAUAGAUGUUCAUAGACUAGUAUUACAAUCCCACACACACAAAUAAUUAAAAUUUGAAAUUAGACUUCAAAUAACUAUGCAAUAUACGAAACUACAAAAUGAAUGGUAGGUCAUAAUUAAUUAAAUUCGUACUAUAUUCAAUGUUGGUCAACACGUGUCAAGUAAAAGUUUUGGCCUAAGUGUAAGGGCUCACUUGCUCCUAUAUAGAUGUUAUUCACUUUGGGUCAAGGCCUACUUUAAAAUAUCUCUAUACAGUUAUGAGAAGUCUACUAAAUAUAAAGUCGUAGAAACUUUUCUUCUUAGGUGAUUUGGAAUUUCACAUUAGGACCAACAUUUUAUAUAUUUUGAAAACAUAAUUUAAUUAACAUUUUAGAACUAAUUAUUAGUUAUCCAUUUAUAAUCCUAGAGGAAAUUCCUUUUACCUAUGCAAAUUAUAUACCUCUAGUAAUUACCUUUAAUUUCUCAUUUACAACUUCCUAAAAUAAUAUGAAAAAUGACAAAGUGUACAAUAUCUACCAAUAUGGGUGGAAUAUGCAAUGAGACCCACAAUGCUCAAUAUAGUACUAGUAUCUAUGUCAUCUAAUAGCAAUGAAAGUACUAAGUAAUAAAAACAAUUGUUUUGGGCACUUUAUGCAAUUGGCCUUGUAAAAAAAGAAAUCUAAGGUAGUUGGACUCAUUUACUAGUAAUUUAACAUAUGACUAGAACCUAUUGAAUCAUUUGCAAUAGCACUUGCUUUGGUCAUGUCCAAAUUUAUUACACAUGGUGCAAAAAGGGGUGGUGCUAGAGGAUGCUUUGUUUUCCCACUUAUGGAAGUCUCAAUCUUGCUAAUAUAUUUUAUGCCAUGUUUAUCAUAUACAAAUUUAGCCUAAGUGUAAGGGCUCGCUUGCUCCUAUAUAGAUGUUAUUCAUUUUGGGUCGAGGCCUACUUUAAAAUAUCUCUAUACGUUUAUGAGAAGUAUACUAAAUAUAAAGUCGUAGAAACUUUUCUCCUUAGGUGAUGUGGAAUUUCACAUUAGGACCAACAUUUUAUAUAUUUUGAAAACAUAAUUUAAUUAACAUUCUAGAACUAAUUAUUAGUUAUCCAUUUAUAAUCCUUGAGGAAAUUCCUUUUACCUAUGAAAAUUAUAUACCUCUAGAAAUUACUUUUAAUUUCUCAUUUACAACUUCCUAAAAUAAUAUGAAAAAUGACAAAGUGUAUAAUAUGAGCCAAUAUGGGUGGUAUAUGCAGUGAGACCCACAAUGCUCAAUAUAAUACUAGAAUCUAUGUCAUCUAAUAGCAAUGAAAGUACUAAGGAACAAUUUAACGUAUGUUUUGGGUACUUCAUGCAAUGGCCUUGUAAAAAAAGAAAUAUAAGGAAGUUGGACUCAUUUACUAGCAAUUUAACAUAUGACUAAAACCUAUUGAAGAAUUUGCAAUAGCACUUACUUUGGUCAUGUCUAAACUUAUUGCACAUGGUGCAAAAAGGGGUAGUGCUCGAGGAUGCUUCCACAUAAGAAAGACCCUACUUAACUGUUACAAAGGUUAUUUUCCCACUUGUGGGAAUGCUAACCUUACUAAUAUAUUAUAUGCCAUGUUUAUCAUAUACAAAUUUUUCUUUACUAAAUAUUUCUUUAAUGAUCUUGGACCUAAAAUUAAAUAUUUCAUUAGUAUUGGUCAUGUCGUUCCUCAACUUUUCAACUUUUAGAGUUAAAUCUUUAUCUUUAUCAUUGAUAGUUUUAUGUUUAGUCCCUAGAAACUUCACCUUAUUAACAAUAUGUUCAUUUAAUAUGUUGAUAUUUUUAAUUUUCAAAGAAUCAUAGAGCUCAUUAAUUUUAAUGUCUUUUUAUUCACUUUUAUGCUUUCAACCUUUGUUUUUAGUUUUCCUAUAAUAAUGCAUCAUAGACCCCAUGUACAUCAUUAAAAUAAAACUCAUUUUUUUCAUUAGGAUUCAAUUAACCCAAUGGAUCAUAAUCAAAAUUAGCUGCAUAUGAACAAAAGCAAUAAGAUUAUCAUUUUGUACAUCUUUACUUUCAUUUGAGUUCUUAGCCCUACAAUCAUCAAACAUGGAAUUACUCCAAGUCACCUACAUAGCCUUCAUACCUAAUGUUUUUAAGGCAAGGAUAAUCAACAACCAUGUGUCCCAUUCCCCCAAUGGUUCACUACAAAAUCAAGGUACAUAUGUUAUGCUUUCUUUGUUUCAUAGAGAUUAGAGAGGAUAAACAUUGUAUAAAAAAAAAAAUUGUCAUAGUUAAUGUAAGCUAAAACUAAAAAACUUGUUUUUUCAAUUGUGUAAGCAUGUUUUGUUCUUGAUUAAUAUUUACAACAUUCAGAUUUACUAAUGUUUAUAAUUCACAGAGACCUCAUUAACAAGAAGUAACAACUAAUUGCAAGUAACCAUGAAAAAAAAUAAGGAGAAAAAUAAAGGAAAAUCAAGGAAAAUGGAAAAAAUUUUCAUCCCCAUAAAAAAUGCUAAGGAAGAAAAAGGUGAAGAAAGUUUAAAGAAAGCAUAUUUUUCAAAAAUUGAAUUUUCUUUCCCUUAAAAUUGGUAUGGACAACCAAACAAGAAAAUGAUUUUUAAAUUCUUUUUUGACCUUUUUCUAUCAUUCUUUUUUUUUCCCCCUACUCUAUUUCCUUUCCCUCAAACUUUCUAGGUAGUAAACAUUACCUAAGAUAAAUAGGGAAGAAAAUAUUUUAUCAUUUAUUAAUUUAGUAUUUUUCUUACCUUUUUUGUAUUUUAUCCAAAUAUGAGAAAACUAUUUUUCUUUAUUUUUUCUUUUCCUUGUUGCUUUUCAAGAAUCAAGCAUACUUUAAACUCUAAUUAAGAGUUACAUAGAUUUACGAAGAAACAAUGCAACUAGUAACAAAAAAUUAAGGAAAUUUAAUUUUUGAGAGUAGGUAUAAUGAGAUUGGUUUGUUUGAUACAAAAUUUGAAUAAAAAUUCUUUCAAUGAAAAUUCAAGGAAAGGAAAAAAAAAAACAACUUUAUCUCUAGACUAUAAUACUAAAUCACUUAAAAAAUAUCUUAACAUCGUUUAUGUUCAUCUUUCUUUUUAUGGAUUUGAAAAACCCAAUAAUUUGGAGAAAAUUGAUUCAAGGAAGAAUAAUUUUUAGAAUAAAAUAUUAUUAUUUAAGAAGAUCAUAAAUAUUAUAGUCAUUGUUGAAUAUGAUAAAUGAUUUAAAAAAAAUGGUAGUUGGAAAUUUAGAUACUUUUAUAAGACAAAUGAAUUUUUCUAGUAUUGUAUGAAAAAAGGUAAAAUGAUAGGCUUUCAUCAUUUUUUAAAGUAGUUUGUUUAAAUCAUUUUAAUUUAUUUUGAUUUAAGAACAAUAACUUUUAUUACACUAGUUAUUUUGAUUUUCUUUUGAUAGAUUUUGCAAGCUUAAGCAAUUUGGAGCUAUUGGAUUUGAGUUAUAAUUCAUUUAGUGGGAGCGUUCCAUCAUCUAUAAGAUUGAUGUCUUCUCUCAAGUCUUUAUCCCUGGCUCGAAAUCACCUCAAUGGUUCCUUACCAAAUCAAGGUACAUAUAUUGUGAUUACAGGUUUUUCUGUUUUCUUUUUUAAUAUCUUGUUUGUUCUUUAUGCCAAUGAAGUCAUGCAUGUCUAUUAAUUUUUGGUAUUAAAUAAAAAACUUUAUUCUUAAUUCAUAAAGACCUCAUCAACUGUAAGUAACAGCUAGUUGUAAGUUUGGGGGCAUUGACAAGACGAGGAGAUGAUUGGUUACAUGUCUUAUUCUCUUUUGUUGGCUUUUGCCAAUUGAAUAAGCUUCAAGAGUUAGAUCUUUCUUACAACUUAUUCCAAGGGAUCCUUCCUCCAUGUUUGAAUAAUUUGACAUCUUUGAGGUUAUUGGAUCUCUCUUCCAACCUAUUCUCCGGAAAUCUUUCUUCCCCUCUGUUACCUAAUCUCACAUCCCUGGAGUACAUCGAUCUCAGUUACAAUCAUUUUGAGGGUUCAUUCUCUUUCAGCUCUUUUGCUAAUCACUCCAACUUUCAAGUGGUCAAACUUGGAAGGAAUAACAACAAAUUUGAGGUAGAAACUGAAUAUCCAGUUGGUUGGGUUCCCCUAUUUCAGUUGAAAGCUCUUAUGCUAUCCAACUGUAAGCUCAUCGGUGACCUUCCUGGUUUUCUUUGACACCAAUUAAGAUUAACCGUGGUUGAUCUCUCCCAUAAUAACUUGACUGGAAGUUUCCCCAUUUGGCUGCUUGAAAACAAUACAAAAGUAGGAUCUCUAGUUCUGAGGAAUAACUCUUUAAUGGGUCAACUACUUCCCCUGAGACCUAAUAGUCGUAUCACUUUAUUGGAUAUCUCAGACAACCGACUUGAUGGGGAACUUCAACAAAAUGUGGCCAAUAUGAUUCCAAAUAUUGAGUUUCUAAAUUUAUCCAACAAUCCUCCCCUUCAUUUCAUCCAUAUUUGGAUCUACCUUUAAAUCUCUAUUGCAUACAACCCAUAUAUGAUUCCCUCUAAAUUUAGCCUUCAUUUCUUGUUAAGAGGUUUUAAAAGCCAGCAAUUUAAUUUACUUUCAUCCUCUAGAUAGAUGAGAACUCUUAUAUUUAUCCAAUGAUAGGUAACAUUUUUGCAAAUGCUUUUAUUUGAUUUUUUUAAUUGGUCUUAAAAAUAAGUGUUAAUAAAGAUCCACAAUAUAAAAUAAUAAAUUAUAUCUCAAUUGACCUCAAGAUACUAUUUACUUCUACUAACUCAUUUUACAUCUCAAUUGUUCUUAAAAAGUCUAUAAUGGUAAUUAACUAUAGAAUUCAAGUUUUAAUUAUGCAAAAAAUAUAUAAAGGUUUUUAAAAUUAAUAGAAAAAGAGAUUCUGAUAAAUAAUAAGUCAUUGGAACAUUUACUUCUAGAAGUAGAGAAAGAUGGAGGAUCAUAAAAGUUGAAAAAAGAAUAAUUUGGAAGUCAUAAAAUUUUGGAAAAAGAAUAAUACAUAGAGACCUCAUUAACAAGAAGUAACAACUAAUUGUAAGUAACCAUGAAAAAAGUAAGGAGAAAAAUAAAGGAAAAUCAAGGAAAGUGGAAAAUUUUUUCAUCCCCAUAAAAAAUGCUAAGGAAGAAAAAGGUGAAGAAAGUUUAAAGAAAGUAUAUUUUUCAAAAAUUGAAUUUUCUUUCCCUUAAAGUUGGUAUUGACAACCAAACAAGAAAAUGAUUUUUAAAUUCUUUUUUGACCUUUUUCUAUCAUUCUUUUUUUUUUUUUCCUUACUCUAUUUCCUUUCCCUCAAACUUUGUAGGCAGUAAACAUUACCUAAGAUAAAUAGGGAAGAAAAUAUUUUAUCAUUUAUUUAUUUAGUAUUUUUCUUACCUUUUUUUGUAUUUUAUCCAAAUAUAAGAAAACUAUUUUUCUUUAUUUUUUUCUUUUCCUUGUUGCUUUUCAAGAAUCAAGCAUACUUUAAACUCUAAUUAAGAGUUUUAUCUCUAGACUAUAAUACUAAAUCACUUAAAAAAAACUCCUAACAUCGUUUAUGUUCAUCUUUCUUUUUAAGGAUUUGAAAAACCCAAUAAUUUGGAGAAAACUGAUUCUAGGAAGAAUAAUUUUUAGAAUAAAAGAUUAUUAUUUAAGAAGAUCAUAAAUAUUAUAGUCAUUGUUGAAUAUGAUAAAUGAUUAAAAAAAAAAAGGUAAUUGGAAAUUUAGAUACUUUUAUAAGACAAAUGCAUUUUUCUAGUAUGGUAUGAAAAAAGGUAAAAUGAUAGGCUUUGAUCUUUUUUUAAGGUAGUUUGUUUAAAUCAUUUUAAUUUAUUUUGAUUUAAGAACAAUAACUUUUAUUACACUAGUUAUUUUGAUUUUCUUUUGAUAGAUUUUGCAAGCUUAAGCAAUUUGGAGCUAUUGGAUUUGAGUCAUAAUUCAUUUAGUGGGAUCCUUCCAUCGUCUAUAAGAUUGUUGUCUUCUCUCAAGUCUUUAUAUCUGGCUGGAAAUCACCUCAAUGGUUCCUUACCAAAUCAAGGUACAUAUAUUGUGAUUACAGGUUUUUUUGUUUUCUUUUUUAAUAUCUUGUUUGUUCUUUAUGCCAAUUAAGUCAUACAUGUCUAUUAAUUUUUGGUAUGCAAUGAAAAACUUUAUUUUUAAUUCAUAAAGACCUCAUCAACCGUAAGUAACAACUAGUUGUAUGUUUGGGGGCAUUGACAAGACGAGGAGAUGAUUGGUUACAUGUUUUAUCCUCUUUUGUAGGCUUCUGCCAAUUCAAUAAGUUUCAAGAGUUAGAUCUUUCUUACAACUUAUUCCAAGGGAUCCUUCCUCCAUGUUUGAAUAAUUUGACAUCUCUGAGGUUAUUGGAUCUCUCUUCCAACCUAUUCUCCGGAAAUCUUUCUUCCCCUUUGUUACCUAAUCUCACAUCCCUGGAGUACAUCGAUCUCAGUUACAAUCAGUUUGAGGGUUCAUUCUCUUUCAGCUCUUUUGCUAAUCACUCCAAGCUUCAAGUGGUCAUACUUGGAAGGGAUAACAACAAAUUUGAGGUACAAACCGAAUAUCCAGUUGGUUGGGUUCCCCUGUUUCUGUUGAAAGCUCUUGUCCUAUCCAACUGUAAGCUCAUCGGUGAUCCUGGUUUCCUUCGACACCAAUUAAGAUUAACCGUGGUUGAUCUCUCCCAUAAUAAUUAGUCUGGAAGUUUCCCCAUUUGGCUGCUUGAUAACAAUACAAGACUAGGAUCUCUAGUUCUGAGGAAUAACUCUUUAAUGGGUCAACUACUUCCCCUGAGACCUAAUAGUCGUAUCACUUUAUUGGAUAUCUCAGACAACCGAGUUCAUGGGGAACUUCAACAAAAUGUGGCCAACAUGAUUCCAAAUAUUGAGUUUCUAAAUUUAUCCAACAAUGGUUUUGAAGGUAUUCUCCCAUCCUCGAUAGCCGAAAUGAGUUCCUUACAGUCAUUAGAUUUGUCUGCUAAUAGUUUCUCAGCGGAAGUACCAAAACAAUCGCUUGCUGCAAAAUAUUUGUGGCUUCUGAAAUUAUCAAAUUAUAAAUUUCAUGGUGAAAUAUUUUCAAGGGACUUUAACUUGACUCAGUUAGGGUUUUUGCAUUUGGACAAUAAUCAGUUCCAGGGACCACUGUCAAAUGUAAUCUCCAGAAUCUCUAGGUUAUGGGUGUUGGAUAGGUAACAUGACCGAUUUGACUACACUGGUGUUGGGCAACAAUAGUUUUAAAGGCAAAUUACCACCUGAGAUUUCUCAAUUGUUGGGGAUGAUAUUUCUUGACGUUUCUCAAAACGCUCUUUCAGGAUCUCUUCCUUCUUUGAAGAGCCUGGAGUAUUUAGAGCAUCUACAUUUGCAAGGGAAAAUGUUUACAGGAUUGAUACCUAGAGAUUUUCUCAAUUCCUCAUAUCUAUUGACUUUGGAUAUCAGAGACAACAGGUUAUUUGGAAGUAUUCCCAAUUCAAUCUCUAGACUUUUAGAGCUAAGAGGAAACCUUUUAAGUGGUUUCAUUCCAUAUCAGCUUUGUCAUUUGACUAAAAUAAGCUUGAUGGAUCUUUCAAACAACAAUUUUUCUGGGUCAAUUCCCAGAUGCUUUGGUCAUGUCGGAUUUGGAGAUUUCAAAACUGAGCACAAUGUGUAUAUACUUAUGUUAGAUUCGUAUUCAGAAAGCAAUCCUUCUAUAUAUACGGGUUACUUAAUAAAAUAUUUAUUUUUCUCUACUGAACUCCCUGAUGAAGUAGAUGAAGUUGAGUUUGUUACCAAGAAUAGGUAUAGCUCCUACAGAGUAGAUAAAAAUAUUUGUUGGGAAUUUAGAUAUUUUUAUAGGACAAUAUACAAGUAUUCUAAUUUAUAAAAACAAUGCAUUUCUUUAGUUUGGUAUAAAAAAAAUGAAACGAUAGGUAUUGGUAAUUUUUUUUAAAGUAACAAACGUUUUAUUUUAUUUGUAUUUAAGAACAAUGUUUUUUCUUAUACUAGUUAUUUUCAUUUUCUUUUGACAGAUUUUGCAAGCUUAAGCAAUUUGGAGAUACUAGAUUUGAGUUAUAAUUCCUUAAGUGGGAUUAUUCCAUUAUCUAUAAGAUUGAUGCCUCAUCUCAAGUCUUUAUCCUUGGUCGGAAAUCACCUCAAUGGUUCUUUACAAAAUCAAGGUACAUAUGUUAUGAUUUGUUUGUUUCAUAUAGAUUAGAGAAGAUAAAUAUUGUAAAAAAAAAAAAAAGUUGUAGUUAAUGUAAGCUUGAAAUAAGUAUCUUGCCUUAUAAAUUAUAUAAGCAUGUGUUUGUUCUUAAUGAAUCUUUACAACAUUUAGAGUUACCAAUGUUUAUAAUUCAUAAAGACCUCAUUAACGGUGAAUAACAACUAAUUGUAAGUAAUUGUGGAAAUAGUAAGGAAAACAAAAUGAGGGAAAAGCAAGGAAUUAGGAAAUUAUUUUGUUCCCAUAAAAAAAAUGCUAAGGAAGAAAAAGGUAAAAGAAAGUUUUAAAAAAGUGUAUUUUUAAAAAAUUUAUUUCUCUUUCCUUUAAUUUUGCUAUGGACAACCAAACAAGAAAAUCAUUUUAUAAUUCCUUUUUAUUUUUUUCGUUCUCUCUCUCUUUUUUUCCCUACUCUAUUUCUUUUCCCUCAAACUUUCUUGGUAGUAAACACAACCUAAGAUAAAUGGGGAAGAAAAUUUUCAGUUUUUUUUUUAUUUUUUUAGAAUGUUUUCUUACUUUUUAGUAUUUUAUGCAAAUAUAGGAAAAUUAUUUUCUUUUUUCUUUUUUUUUCUUGCUCCUUUUCAAACAUGAAUCACACUUUAAAAGAAAAUUAAUUUUUAAUUAGGAGUUAAGAUAAAUUUAAGGAGAAACAAUGAAUCACAGACAACAAAAAAUUAAGGAAAUUGAAUUUUUGAAAGUAAGUAUAAUCAAAUUGCUUCUUUUGAUACAAAAUUUGAAUAAAAAUUCUUUCAAUGAAAAUUCAAGGAAAGGAAAAAACAUUUUUGUCUCUAGAUUAUAAUACUAAAUUAUGUAAAAAAUCUCCUAGCAUCAUUUAUAUUCAUAUUUCUUUUUAUAGAUUUGAAAAAUUCAACAAUUUGGAAUAAACUUAUUCAAUGAAGAAUAAUUUUUAGAUUUAAAGAUUAUUAUUUAAGAUCAUAAAUAUUACCAUCAUUGUUGAUGUCUAAGAAGAUCAUAUUCAACAAUUUUUUUAAUAUGUUGUUUUUUUAUGGUAAUUAAUUGAUGUCUUGUAAUUUUUAAUAUUUAAUGAAAAACAUUAUUUUAAUUCAUCUAGAGCUCUUAAUUCAUGAAGACCUCAUUAAUGGUAAGUAAUAGCUGAAUGUAAGUUUGGAGUCAAAGACAUGUCAAGGAGAUGAUUAGUUACAUGUCUUAUUCUCUUUUGUAGGUUUCUGCCAAUUGAAUAAGCUUCAAGAGUUAGAUCUUUCUUACAACUUAUUCCAAGGGAUCCUUCCUCCAUGUUUGAAUAAUUUGACAUCUCUGAGGUUAUUGGAUCUCUCUGCCAACCUAUUCUCCGGAAAUCUUUCUUCCCCUUUAUUACCUAAUCUCACAUCCCUGGAGUACAUCGAUCUCAGUUACAAUCAGUUUGAGGGUUCAUUCUCUUUCAGCUCUUUUGCUAAUCACUCCAAGCUUCAAGUGGUCAUACUUGGAACGGAUAACGACAAUUCUGAGGUAGUUGGAAGGGAUAACAACAAAUUUGAGGUAGAAACUGAAUAUCCAGUUGGUUGGGUUCCCCUGUUUCAGCUGAAGGCUCUCUCUCUAUCCAGCUGUAAGCUCACCGGUGACCUUCCUGGUUUUCUUCAAUACCAAUUCAUGUUAGUGGGGGUUGAUCUCUCACAUAAUAACUUGACAGGAAGUUUCCCCAAUUGGUUGCUUGAAAACAAUAUGAGACUAAAAUCUCUAGUCCUAAGGAAUAACUCUUUAAUGGGUCAACUACUUCCCUUGGGACCUAAUACCCGUAUCAAUUCAUUGGAUAUCUCACACAAUCAGUUGGAUGGACAACUUCAAGAAAAUGUGGGCCAUAUGAUUCCAAAUAUGGAAUAUCUAAAUUUAUCCAACAAUGGUUUUGAAGGUAUUCUCCCAUCCUCAAUAGCUGAACUGAGAGCCUUAUGGAUUUUGGAUUUGUCUACCAAUAAUUUCUCUGGAGAAGUACCAAAGCAAUUGCUUGCAGCAAAAGAUUUGGGGUAUUUGAAAUUAUCAAAUAAUAAAUUUCAUGGUGAAAUAUUUUCAAGGGACUUUAACUUGACUGGGUUAUCGUGUUUGUAUUUGGGCAAUAAUCAGUUGACGGGAACUCUGUCAAAUGUAAUCUCCAUAAGCUCUGAGUUGGAGGUGUUGGAUGUGAGCAACAACUACAUGUCAGGUGAAAUUCCAAGCCAGAUAGGUAACAUGACCUAUUUGACUACACUAGUGUUGGGCAACAAUAGUUUUAAAGGCAAAUUACCACCCGAGAUUUCUCAAUUGUGGGGGUUGGAGUUUCUUGACGUUUCUCAAAAUGCUCUUUCAGGAUCUCUUCCUUGUUUGAAGACCAUGGAGAGUUUAAAGCAUCUACAUUUGCAAGGGAACAUGUUUACAGGAUUAAUACCCAGAUAUUUUCUCAAUUCCUCACAUUUAUUGACUUUGGAUAUGCGAGAUAACAGGUUAUUUGGAAGUAUUCCCAAUUCAAUCUCUGCACUUUUGAAGCAGCUAAGGAUUCUUUUGCUGGGAGGAAACCUUUUAAGUGGUUUUAUUCCAAAUCAUCUUUGUCAUUUGACUGAAAUAAGCUUGAUGGAUCUUUCAAACAACUCUUUUUCAGGGCCAAUUCCCAGAUGCUUUGGCCAUAUCCGAUUUGGGGAGAUGAAAAAGGAGGACAACGUGUUUGGACAAUUCAUUGAACUUGGGUAUGGAAUGAGUUCUCAUCUUGUAUAUGCAGGUUACUUGGUGGAAUAUUGGGGGUUCUCAAGUCUAGUAUAUAAUGAAAAAGAUGAAGUUGAGUUUGUCACUAAGAACAGGCGUGACUCCUACAAAGGUGGCAUCCUUGAAUUCAUGUCUGGAUUGGACUUAUCAUGUAACAACUUGACAAGUGAAAUACCUCAUGAGCUUGGAAUGCUAAGUUGGAUUCGUGCUUUGAACUUGUCUCACAAUCAAUUGAAUGGCUCCAUUCCAAAGAGUUUCUCCAAUCUUUCCCAAAUAGAGAGCUUAGACCUUUCUUAUAAUAAACUGGGUGGAGAAAUUCCUCUAGAGCUAGUUGAACUCAAUUUUUUAGCGGUGUUUAGUGUGGCUUACAACAACAUCUCUGGUAGAGUUCCAGAUGCCAAAGCACAAUUUGCAACAUUUGAUGAAAGCAGCUAUGAAGGUAAUCCUUUCCUUUGUGGGGAACUAUUAAAGAGGAAAUGCAACACAUGUAUUGAGUCAUCAUGCGCACCAUCACAGUCUUUUGAAAGUGAGGCAAAAUGGUAUGAUAUCAAUCAUGUUGUUUUCUUUGCAAGUUUUACUACUUCAUAUAUCAUGAUCUUGUUAGGAUUUGUUACCAUCCUUUACAUCAAUCCUUAUUGGCGUCAUAGAUGGUUCAAUUUUAUCGAGGAAUGUAUAUAUUCCUGCUAUUAUUUUGUUUUUGAUAGUUUUUCCAAGUUAUCAGCAUAUUUGUAUAAUUAGAUACUUUUAAUUGGAUGAUGCUUGCAUAAUUAACUACUAUUUGUUUCCAUGGGAUAGAAAGAAAUGGGAUGUAUAAUGCUAUGAGUUGAAACUUACAUACUUUGCUCAAAUUCUAACAUCUUUUGAUUUUAUUUUCAAGUUCCGUUAUUUAUUAUGUAUUGUUUAAUUCAAGAUUUAACCAUAUUAUGUUACUCUUAUAAAAACAAAGUCAAAUUUUUAGGAACUUUUAGCAUUAAAAUAAUUUCAUAGUCAGAUUUUAAAAAAUAAAGAAGAAAGAAAAUAAUAAAUAAUUGGAAAAACAAUUCAAGGAAGUAUUAAAUUAUUAUCUUAGAAUUGUUUGGCAUAGUAUGGGAAUUCAAAAAUAAUUUUUCAAUUUGUUAGAAAUGUUUAUUUAUUUAUUAUAGCAAUGAUUGAAAUAUCAAUCACAAAGUAAUGUUUUUUUUUUCUUUUGUAGGGCACUAACACUUUUUCUUUGAUUGUAAUAAUUGAUAAAUAUAUUACACAAUUAUUUGUUUUAAAAAGGGGAGGGAUGACAAACAUAAUAACAUGUGAAAUAUUUCUAAAACUGUGAUGGGAAAUAAACCAUCUAAUUAGGGUGCAACAUUAUUCAUUUUAAUUUAUAUGAAUUUACUUAUUUUUAUUUGCAUCAUAUUUUGAACUAUUUUAUGAAAUUAAGGGAGAUUAAAACAUCAUGAAUUUCUUAGUUUAAUUUAUAUUUUUAAUAAUAAAGCAUGAAAUAUUUAAAAAAAGAAAAAAAGAAAAUCAUGAAUUUCUUUAAUUCCUUAGGAAACCAAUAUAUAAAAAAAGUUGAAUAUAUUAUUAUUUUAUGUCCUAAAUUUCUAAAUUUGUUCAUCACGUAUUUAUUUUUAUAUUAAAUUUAUUAUCAAUAAUUAUUUAUUAUAUAUUAUUAUUUUAUGUUUAAAAAUGUUUAUAAAUAAUUAAAAUUAAUAAAUAUAAAAAAUGAAAUAUUAAAAAAUUAAAUUAAAAAGAUUUCAUCAAGCUAACAUAUUUUGAUAAAAAAAAAAAAAAAGAGUAAAAAAGAAGAUGGGGAUAUUAUAGAGGUGGGGAAAAAGAUAAAAGAAAAAUCAUGUGGUAUAAUAAUUGCCACGUGUUAAAGUUAUUUUCUUUAAAAAUUAAUUAUAGUAAUGAUGAACUCAUUUGUCUUAUCAAAGUAAAUAAAAAUAAAUAAAUAAAAGAAAAAAAGAAAAAGAAAAAAAGUGGUAGUUGGCUGGAGGUUAGAGAGGAGGGUUUGAAGGUAAAUUUGGAAUUUGAUUAUUUUCACUAAGUAGAUAUUUUGAAAGUUAUUUUGCCUGAAACCCAUAUUGUUUGAAAAUAAAAAAUCAAAGUUUAAAAAAAUACAAUUUUUUUGAAAUGAUGCAUGAUUACAUCAUUCCCCUGAUAGAUUAUUUAUUCCUUUAAACUUUACUUCAAAUAAAAUAGUUUUAAUUAUUUUCUUUUUGGAAUUAUAUUUAACAUAUUAUUAAAAAUAUAAAAAACAUUUUAAUAAUAUUGUUAAUGAGUUUUUUUAUAUAUAUAUUUUGUAAAAUAAUUAAAUUUAAAAAUAUUUAAAUUUAGUUAUGGGCUGCCCAUUUCAAAAUAAUAAGAAUCUAGUAACCUAAUUUUUCCAAAUUCCAGGUAAAUAUGCUAAUCUAAAAAUAAAAAAUAAAAAUUAGGUUUUUAUGCUCUCCAAUCUACCACUUAAGCAUCCGACAUGGCUAAAAUAAAUUUAAAAAAAAAAGAGGAAAAAAACAAAAGUGUGUGAUCCUCUUUCUCGAGUCUUCACAUUUAGAGACACUGAACCCAAAUCAAAAUUAAUCCUUCAAAUUAAUUUUCACCGCCAAACAUAGCUAUCCGAAAAACCCUAACCUGCCUCCUCUUCCUCUUAUCCCGGAAAUCUAAAUUCCGUGACCCUAACCCCUUCUCUUUCCGCAAACCCUCCGGAAUCGGAAGAUUCAUAAUUCUUCAGAAUUAAUUUUCACCUCGAAGCCAAACCCUAACUGCCUCAUCUUCCUCUCAUUCAUAUCCCAAAAGUAGCUUCAACAGUCAGGCCUGUAGCCAUGAAAGCCGUAGUGAUCGCUACUUCCGGUGAUCCCCAAGUUCUCCAAGUGCAAGAAGUCGAAAACCCUGAAA
rnacentral:lncRNA from 1 species